rnacentral:lncRNA from 1 species
GGAAACGGACGAAUAUCUGAACAAGCGCUUCCCAGGUUUUCUAUCUCGUCAAGGAGGUAAAAACGUCAUCCUGCUUUUGAUGCCUGAAUCUCGGGACAAGAUUCUUUUUAAGAGGGUAGGCUGUAACGACCGACCCCUAAACCUUCCCAGUUAGUCUUGAUCAGAGCCCUUGAUCCUAGUCAUCUACCUUGCUUUUUCCCGCGCCGAGUGCUCAGCCUUCCGCCUGGUUCCGACCCCGGAAGACCCGACCCCUUCCCGUUUCGCUCCUCUCCCGACCCCGACGAUCUCAGCCCACCGUCGGAUCCUGCUAAGCAUCCUCAAACGUCCGUUCUAUCCACCGGUGGACCCGCAAAAUCUUUUCCCAGAUCCUCCGCGACAGUCGCAGUCGAGUUGCAUGCCCGCUUCAGAGUCUCCCUACCGCGUGGCUCGUCUUCUCCGACGCCCCCUGCUUAGUUUUGUCUCUGGCAAGCGACCAAGUGGGUUCUCGCGCCCCCUUCCCCAAUGGUAGCGGAAGCCCCUCUGCACCCUUUCUGCAGUUCCUCGCCUCCCGCGCCCAUCAUCACGCCGCCAGAUCCCGGCCCCAGAGCCCGAUGUCGCCCGUCUUUUCCGUCCCUUCAGCCACAGUCGCGCCGCCUGGUCUCCGCUACACGAUGAUUCCUCCAUCGCCAACCCCGACCGCGGCCGCGACAGCUCCUUUUCCCCCGCUCUGUCAGAAGCCGCCCGACAAUCUGUUGUUCCGCGCUCUCGCCCGCGCCCGCGGCUGCCUGUCCUCUCACCUGUGCGCCCUCGAUUCUAGCGCCGUUAAACCGGUCGCUUCUAUCAAAUCUUCCGCACGGCGACGCCCGCUUUCCGCCAAAUCUCAAUCACCAGUCUACCCGCUCCUACGCCGCCCUGACGGCAGAGCACUCCAUUGCCUCUCCCCGGCCUUCGAGCCGCUUCCCUUCUCUCUCUCCCGCGCCGCUUCCUUUCCUCUGUUCCAGCGGCUAUAAAAGGAAUGCCCCAGUCGCCGGAGUUCCCUCCCCCAGUGUUGCCUUAGCCUUUCUCUCGUUCCCUGCUCAAGCUCCUAGAGCCGCACACCAAGUUCUUGAGGAGCUCUCCUCUCAGCUUUCUCCCUUGGUUUUCUCCGAGCCACCCCGCAGCUUGCUCCUCCGUGCUGCGUAAAAGCUCUCUUGUGAUCUGCAAGAAGCACCGCCGCCGCCAUAGCUUUCCCAGUCGUAGCCCUUGUUCGAAGCUUUAGUCCCUCCGCCCAAGUCUGCUUCUUCCCGACCCCAAGCUUUCCUUUCAGGAAGAAGGUGAGUUGCCGACCACAGUCCGCCUCGCCCGACCCCUCCUAUCCGCCCGACCCCGGCUCCGUCUCGCCCGACCCCGUCUGUUCCGCCGACCCUUAUCCGCCUCGCCCGAGGGCUCGGCUGUGAUCUUUUCUUAAACCCGAGGGUGUAUGUGUAAAACUUAGGAACCCUUCAGCGCUUGCGUCUGAGGAUCCCUAGUUUUCCCACAUCCUCUAGUUCAAGGAUCGGAUCAUAAGUUCCUCUCCGACCCUUACCUCUUGAUCAUCAUCAGCUCUCUUGAACCACCAUAACCUCCUGCUCUCUGUCACGAGUUUCUGGGCUCAGGCGAGCCAGGGUUGCUGUUGAAAUAACUGUCUAGGCUAACCCUUGCAUUGCAUUCGUGUAGAGCUGCACCUCGCCGACGGCUUCUACGAGCUACACCCGGCGCCAGAAGAAGAAGCUGUAGCCGAGCUCCUGCCCUCCGAAGCCGAAGUCGCCACCGAAGUCGAGCAGUUCCCGUCCUCCUUGCUCGAAGGCAAGCCCCGGUUGCAUGAGAAUCCUACGUGUUUUGCCAGACUUGCGCAUGCCUUCUGUAACAUGCUUGUGCAUUUACGUAUAGGAGUUGUGUGAAACCCUAGAUGCAUGACUUAGUCGCCUUGCUUAACUAGGAGACGGUAAAAGUCGAGUGAUCUCCUGUCACUCGCGAGUUGUAGGAGUUGGAUGUCUAUCUUUCUGUUACAACUAUAAGGACGAUGGACGGGGCAGGGUUUUGGGUAACUCUUUGGUGGAUGGAUGAUCGCCCCGUCUGUCUAUGAAAACUUGCUAAGGCCCGACAGUGGUGGUGUUCGUGAUCAAGUGUUUGAAAGUACUAGCCUCAUACUUAGUAUGGGAUGAGGAAGCCUAGUACCGGAUUGAACCUAGACGUGAGCGGUCGCCCCAUUGUUCUUGGAACGGAGUUUCCCCUGCUGGUUGUCGCAUGUGGUGGCAAGCGUGGUCACAGAACGGCAGAGGCCGGGUCUAUGGAACCUUGCACCAAAGGAAAUGGGCCCGACACGGGUUGGGGGAUUGAUGGGGAAGGCUGACACAGGAAGCGACCACCGGGUGCGCGGAUGUCGUGAGGCUAGGUUCACCAUGCAUGGUUAAAGAACUCGAAUCGAUUCGUCUGCCUCUCACAGUUUGAGAUUGCUUGAUCGCUAUGUCACCCUGAGUAACCAAGGAAUCUAAUGAUGACAUGUUUGUUGAGAUAUCUAUGCCUCUUGUUUGGCUCUAUGAAUGCUUAGAAUAGGUUGCACCACCUAGACUGGCAAAUGAACCUAGAACCGAAGCUAAAACUGGAAAAUAGGGUUACUUAGUGCUUUUGGCAAACAAACCCCUCAGCCAAAAAGUCCUGCAUGUCUAGAAGGAGGAGUAGUUUUACUCCUAUCGGUUAAGUCUUGUUGAGCUUAGUAGCUCAGCCUUGUUGUGGCUCCUUUUUUUCAGGUGGAGUUGCUGCUCCCGACCCCUCUCUUGCUGGUGCUUGGCCGCCCCAGCUCCCGCCGGGCUGGACGGUCGAGUGGGAUCCUUCCUCGGACGGCGAGGAAAGGAACCAGUGAUGUCCCGGUCGGCCUCACCAGGGACGUCCGACCCCGACGAAGUCUUCCGCUAGUGUUUUCUCUGUUGUUUCUCCUGAACCGUGUAAAACCCUGAUGUUGGAUUUUAUGGCCGAACCAAAUGGGUAAACUUGUUUAACUCAGUGGACUCGUUGUAUUCUCUGGAACCACUCACCUUCGUGUGAGUUGCUGAACUCGAUCCUGUUUAAGUGGUUAAAUCGGAUGAAAUCCGACGGCACUUCGUGUUAACCUGGUUUAGGCAGGAGUGUCGCAUGUUAGGCGACUUAACCCUGUCUAAUCUAGCUAAUCCGAAGUGGAUCCGCCACACCAAGGUGAUGUGCUCGUACCUUGGUGGUUGAGCAAUGUCGGGAGAUAUCCAUCUUGUCGUGGUUAAGGACCGAGUUGAUGUGUCAUCUUGCCUAAUUCAACCAUCAUGCAACCACUCAACCGUUGUAUGGGCAACGACUUAGCAUAAAUACCACUAGCUGAACUGUUAGUCUUCAGGGGUGCUGGUGAGCAAUGGGGGCCCAUGGAAAAGGAGUAAGAUCUUGGUGACUUAGGUCCCGGUUACGGUCUCGUGGAUGAGCCGUGAACCCCUUGGGUGCUCCCGUGAGGGCUAGCCAGUCUUAGCUAAGGUGGGUAAUGGCUUUGUUAGGAUCCGUACCGGCACUAAGGUGAUCGUACUGCGGUACCCUACUUGUGGUAAAAGUGUACAACCUCUGCAGAGUUAAAACCUAUCCGGGUAUCCAUGUCCACAGCAUUGGACGAGUUACGGAUUGGUCACAUAUCUAGCACUUGGGCAUGGAUGUCGCGCGCGCGCGUGUGUGUGUGUUGGAUUUUGGAAGUGUCCGGCAGUUGUGCCGUGGGCUAUGGCGGAUGAGGAGUCCGAUAGCAAUAAAAACUUGGAUCCUUUGUGUAGGAUCAACCCCACUUAAUGUUUCGGUUACUAAAGAAAAGCUUUACGAAAACUUGUUUGAAAACGAGCCCAUGCAUGUGUUGAAAAUCUAGCCUUAUUGCAAAUAAACCCUAGCCUAUCCUUGAUAUAUCCUGUGCAUAUACUUGCUUGUAUCCCCCUCCGUGGAUGGGGUUGGACUUGUUGAGUACGUUCGUACUCACCCUUGCUUCGUUACUACAGAGGAAGACCCGGACUUCAUCGCCGAAGACCUUGAGUAGAGGUUGUGUCCGCACCCAACGCUGCCUGUGGUGCCGGCCUUUCCAAGAUGCUUCUGCUGCCGUGUAGUCCCGAGUGCUGUCUUUUGGCAGUCGCUUGGUUAGCCGUUGUUGUUUAUUUACUUCUUAUCGCUGCGUGGCUUUCACGCCCACUCCCUCGGGAGUUGUACGGUAACUGAAUUAUCUGUUGAAUAAAUGUGUUAUCAGCCUCCUGGGACCGAUAUUUGUAUCACAUUUAGUCUCUACUUAUGUGGGGACGCUUCAGGUGGUAUCAGAGCCGUCGUUGGCUGUAGGACGCGACCUUAGGACCGGAUUAGCCCUUUUGACCAAAAUAAAAGAUUUAUAAAAUUUCUGCCUACCUCUGCUCUAUUACAAAACUAAUUUGUGCCCCGGUACCUUGCCAGAUGGAAGAAGGGUUGUGGACCCACAGCCGUUGCACGGAAGAACCCGAUUUCCCCAAGUUGUUGCUUGUUUGCCUGAAGCGCCUUGGCAUCCAAGAGCCCCUAGAAUAUUCCAGCAGAGAAUACGAGCACUACGGUAUCCCUCAGUGUGAAGUAAUCAUCCACAUUGGAAGGAGUGCUCGCUACCCCAACAUUGAGCCACUCCAAGUAUCAGCUAUGGGAUUCAGGCACCGGGACACCUACCCAGUAGCAGCUCGAAAAGCUCUCGGCUACCUAUGUCAGAUGUACGAGGUGCACCUCGAACCCACAUCUAUGAGGUACUUUCCGCCGGCCGAAAAGGACCAUCCGGGUUGGAGAGCCCGAAUGAGAGCUUUGGAUGAACACGGACGGCGUGAAGAGGACGCCACCGUAUAUCAUAUGGCCACUUAUCUCGUCAGCUUGGGUAGACCCUAUGAUCAGCAGGCCGCAAAGCUGAGGCAACAAGUUCGCCAUGUCGAGAGGGCAGAGAUUCACAUAAGGAUGCUCCAAGCAAUGCUAAGGGAAGCUAGAGCACAAGUGGCAGCUGCCCGAAGUGCAGAGAGUGCAGCUAUGGAAGCCCUUAAGCAAGCUCAGGAUUGGCAUCUCCAAGAGCUCAAGGAGGCGCAUCUCAGAGGGAUUUCCAUAAGACGGAUGGUCACCUCGGAAGCCGAAGGGCCUCCUUGCUCCAAAGGGAAUCCUCUCGCCCUCGAGUACUACAAGUGUCAUGGUCUCAAAAUUCCACCGGUUGCCCCCUUCCUCGAUACUUCCAGAAGAGGCAUUGAGCUCACGGUGGGAGAAGCCGCAGAUCCCCCUCUCGGGUGCGGAGCAUGGAACAAGGAUGAUGAGUCAUCCCUCCUCAUCCCGUUAGAAGACCACUCAAUCCAGGGAGAAGACUCACCCCGUGAGUAGUGUACCAGCCCAGAGUUGCCAAGGGAAUGAAGCCGUCAUGGUCCGCAGUUUAGAGUUGUACCCCCCUUCAGUUGUGUUGUUGUAACCGGUCGUGUAGUACGUGUUUUGGCCCUACCCUAGCAAUGUUGUACCCUCCCCCCCCCCCCCCGUGGCAAAAUAAAUAAAAUCGCUUGUGUUUGUUGCUUGUUAGUCAGUGUUUGUCGACAGGAGGUGGAUUCUAUCUCUUUAAAAAUACGAAAUAACCACUUUAAAGAUCACUAAAAUCCAAAUCCCACUCUCAUAAAGUCCCACUCAAUCUGUAGAUGCCACCCAAGCGUGCCACCAGGACUUCCCCAAGUCAGGCCCAUGCCACCCCCAGUGCUGAGAGGCAGCCAGAAAGGCAAGAACCGCCUCUGGCAGUGCUUCCUGAGGAACAGGAAGUGAGCUAGCCAGAAGGAAGGGGAGAAAGCCAAGUGGGAACAUAGCAGCCACCACCCCCACCAGUUAUUGAUCUGGUUCAAGUGAUGAACAACCAGACCCUUCUGCUGGAAGCUCUGGCCAACGCCGUCACCCGCCAGAGGUCCCGCGGGCAGAACAUGAAUGAGAAGUUGACGGACUUCCUCCAGACCAAGCCACCCACUUUUGGUGGGUCCGUCAACCCUCUGGACGUAGAUGACUGGCUGCGCGUCAUCCAGAGGAAGCUGGAACCAUUUGGUUGCGAGGGCAGGGACAAGGUUCUCUUGGCUGCCCACCAGCUCACCGGAACUGCCCUAGCCUGGUGGGAGAAUUACUGCUCUGCCGCCCAGGAUGCCUCCACUAUCACCUGGGAUGAGUUCGUGACAGAAUUCCGUCGCUACCAUAUCCCCGCAGCCACCAUGAAGCGCAAGGCGGAUGAGUUCCGCGAACUUCGCCAAGGAAAUAGAUCUGUGGAGGAGUACACCUUCCAGUUCAUGGAGCUGGCCCGUUAUGCUCCAGAGGAGGAGGACAAGGAUGAGAAGAAGCAGGACAUGUUCAAGAAGGGCUUGAACGCGGAACUGAGGACCCUGCUCACUCCUCAGAUCUACCCCGACUUCAACACCUUGAUGAACAUGGCCAUCUUGACUGAGAGGGCCAAAGCAGAAGAGCAGAGGGACAACAAGAGCCGGUUCCUGGAGAGCAAGACGCACCAGCAGGACCGAUUCCAGAAGCCAAGGAGCUUCGGUCACCCCUUGCCCAGAUCCCAAGCUCCCAUGCAUUAUCGGACUCAGUCCCAAGCACCCGGUUCCUACCAGACCGCUGCCCCGUUCAGGAGCCAGAACCCUGCCAAGGUCCCACAGAGCAGCGCCAGCCAAGUCAUUGGCAACAGUAGGGCAUGCUUCAACUACAGAGAGCCAGGGCAUUUCAUCGCCAACUGCCCCUAUGCCAACAAGCCAGCAGCAUCAGCCUUCUCCAACUCUGUAGCUGGGCCCAGGGCCGCAUUGUCAGGAGCCAACCGUGUGCCAGUCCACAACAACAACAACCCCGGCAACAACAACAGCCAGCAGAUGAGGCCGCCCCAGCCAUCAUUCGGACGAGCUCGCGUCAACCACAUCGGCGCGCAAGAACCUCGCGAAGCUCAGGGCGUGGUACUCGGUGAGUUUCUAGUCAGCUCAGUCUUGGCAACAGUACUUUUUGAUUCUGGAGCAUCACAUUCCUUCAUAUCCUCAAGUUUUGUGGAAGAACACCAUAUACCUACAGUACUACUAAAGUUACCCCUAUUAACCCGGACUCCUGGAGCCGACAUUCAGUGUCGACUAGGUUGUUCCCGGGUAAGGAUCAAUUUAAGUGGGGUAGAAUUUCUAGCGGAUCUAGCGGUACUUAAGUCUAAGGGGAUAGAUGUGAUUCUCGGAAUGGACUGGUUGAGCCUGCAUGACGGACAUAUAGGGUGUGCCGAUAAGGUAGUGCACCUGACCAAUCGGGAUGGUGUGCAAGUGACCUAUCACACUCGAGGAAGUGGUCCAGACCCCAUGGUGUUUAGCAUGGAGACCAAGACCAUAGAAGAAGUCCCAGUAGUGAGCGAAUACCCGGAUGUCUUUCUCGAGGAGCUACCUGGAAUGCCCCAAGAUAGGGACAUAGAGUUCGUAAUUGACCUUAUCCCCAGAACCUCUCCUAUAGCCAAGAGACCCUAUAGGAUGGCAGCCUCAGAGUUAGCCGAACUGAAGAAACAGUUGGGAGAAUUGCAGCAGAGUGGCUUUAUCAGGCCUAGCUCAUCCCCGUGGGGAGCCCCUGUACUUUUUGUCCAGAAGAAAGACGGGAGUAUGAGGAUGUGCGUAGAUUAUCGCGCACUAAAUGAGGUUACCAUUAAGAACAAGUACCCCCUCCCCAGGAUAGAUGAUCUAUUCGACCAACUGAAAGGAGCCAAGUAUUUCUCCAAGAUAGAUUUAAGGUCAGGGUACCAUCAGCUCAAGAUCAAGGAGAGCGACAUCCCGAAGACGGUCUUUGUCACCCAUUAUGGUCAGUUUGAGUUUACCGUAAUGUCUUUUGGAUUGACCAAUGCACCUGCUUACUUCAUGAACCUCAUGAACAAGGUGUUUAUGGAUGAGUUAGAUAAGUUUGUCGUAGUCUUUAUUGACGACAUACUUAUUUACUCCAAGAGUGCUCAAGAGCAUGAACAGCAUAUACGGGUGGUAUUAGAAAGAUUGAGAGCCCACCGACUCUAUGCUAAAUUCAGCAAGUGUGAAUUUUGGCUUGCGAAAGUGGCAUUCCUUGGUCAUAUCCUGAUCGCAGAAGUAGUAGCAGUUGAUCCUAAGAAAGUUGAAGCCGUCUCCAACUGGCAACAACCCACCAAUGUUAGUGAAAUCAGGAGUUUUCUGGGUUUAGCUGGGUAUUACCGGAGAUUUAUUGAGGGAUUUUCCAAGAUAGCCUGGCCCAUGACAGAGCUGCUCAGGAAGGAUAAGAAGUUCACCUGGACCGAGUCAUGUGAACGGAGCUUCCAAGAGCUGAAGAAGAGGUUGACGACAGCCCCAGUAUUAACCUUGCCUGACAUCCUGCGAGACUUCGUCAUCUACUGUGAUGCAUCCCGACAAGGAUUAGGAUGUGUCCUCAUGCAAGAUGGGAAGGUUGUGGCAUAUGCUUCCCGACAACUUAAGCCCCAUGAGCAGAACUACCCAACCCAUGACUUAGAGUUUGCAGCCGUAGUGCAUGCCCUCAAGAUCUGGAGACAUUAUCUGAUUGGGAAUAAGUGUGAAAUCUACACCGGCCAUAAGAGCUUAAAGUACAUUUUCACCCAGCCCGAUCUAAAUUUAAGGCAAAGGAGGUGGUUAGAACUGGUAAAGGACUACAACCUAGAAAUCCACUACCACCCCGGCAAGGCUAAUGUUGUGGUUGACGCCUUAAGCCGGAAAUCCUAUGGACCGCCCGGACCCGAGAAUGCCCGCCUACAAGAGGAAAUAGCUCGGUUAAAUGUGCACAUAGCUCCCCAGAAUACUAGCCGCAAGCUAAGUGUCCAGCCCACCUUGGAGGAUAAAAUCCGAGAAGCCCAGAGUUCGGAUCAGGACUUAGUAAAAAUCCACAAGCAGACCGGAGAAAAUAAAGCCCCGAAUUUCAGGGUGGACGGCAAAGGGACCCUCUGGUACAAGGAUAGAAUUUGUGUCCCCAAGGACGGAGAGUUCAGGCAGACCAUCAUGGAUGAAGCCCAUAACUCGGCAUACUCCAUUCACCCCGGAUCCACCAAGAUGUAUAUGGACUUAAAGCAGAAGUAUUGGUGGCAUGGAAUGAAGGCAGACAUAGCUCAGUUUGUCGCCCAUUGUGAUACUUGCCAAAGGGUUAAGGCCGAGCAUCAGAAGCCAGCCGGCUUGCUAUAACCAUUGCCUAUCCCGGUUUGGAAGUGGGAUGAGAUUGGCAUGGACUUUGUAGUAGGCUUGCCCAGAACUCAGAAGGGAAAUGACUCCAUAUGGGUAAUAGUGGACCGACUCACUAAAGUCGCUCACUACCUACCCGUACGGACCACUUAUGGUGGAGAGAAACUAGCUCGACUCUACGUCGACAACAUAGUGAAGCUGCAUGGUGUGCCCAGCCGGAUCGUCUCGGACAGAGGAACUCAGUUCACCUCUAUGUUUUGGAGAAGUUUGCAUAAAGCCAUGGGCACCAAAUCGGAUUUUAGCUCAGCCUACCACCCCCAGACUGACGGCCAAAUGGAGAGGGUGAACCAAAUCAUGGAAGAUAUGUUGAGAGCGUGUGUCCUCACCUAUGGCAAGGAUUGGGAACAAAGUUUACCCUAUGCAGAGUUCUCAUACAACAAUAGCUAUCAAGCCAGCCUAGGCAUGUCGCCAUUUGAGGCCCUUUAUGGUAGAAAGUGCCGGACCCCUUUGACGUGGUCAGAAGUAGGAGAACGCUCCCUAGUCGGACCCGCUUUCAUCAAGGAAGUUGAAGACCGUGUGGCAGAAAUCCGAGAGAAGCUAAAGGCCGCACAGUCCAGACAGAAGAGCUACUCGGACAAGAGGAGACGGGAAUUAUGCUUCAAUGAGGGAGAUUUUAUCUACCUCAAGGUCUCCCCGAUUCGGGGUACUCGAAGGUUUCAAGUACAAGGAAAACUAGCGCCUCGGUAUAUCGGACCUUACCAGGUGUUAAAAAGAGUUGGAGCCGUAGCUUACCGUAUCCAACUGUCUGAGGAAAUGUCGGAUAUACACCCGGUAUUCCAUGUCUCCCAGCUGAGAAAAUGUUUGAGAGUACCAGAGGAACAAGUACCGGUGGAGACAAUAGACCUACAAAAGGACCUUCGGUAUCAAGAAGUGCCCGUCAAGAUUUUGGACACCAUCACCAGAAGGACAAGAAAUACAACAGUCCGGAUUUGCAGAGUACAAUGGAGUAGACAUGGCGAAGAAGAAGCCACGUGGGAACGCGAGGACGCGUUAAAGAAGGAAUUUCCCCACCUUUUCAGGACUCAGUCGAAUCUCGAGGAUGAGAUUCAACUUAAGUGGGGUAGGUUUGUAACAUCCGCGAAAAUCACCAACUAAAAUCACCCGUUAAAAAUCGCUUUCAAAAUCUUUUUACCGCUGAGCUCCCGGAUAUCGAAAACUUUCCCCGGCGAUUUCGCCAUCCCGGCACCUAAGCCGACAGCCAUCAUCUUUACCCGUGCCCAUAAAUCUCACCGCGUGCAGUCGUCAGACCACCACGCGCGUGCUCCGACCGCGUGCCGCAAUCGUCGCCGGUUCCCCUUCUUUCUUUCUCUGUUUCCUCCCUCUUUCUUUCUUUUUCCUCUUCCUUCUCCUUUCUUUUUCUUCUUCCUCCUCCUCCUUCUCUCUCCUCCUCUCUUCUUCUUCCUGGCGCCACUCCUCCCGGUUCCUAGCGCCAUUUCCUUUGGAUGCCCCCCCACCGGCGCAUUUACUCCUCCCGGCGCCCACGUCUCCCUGGCGCCACGCCGCCCAGCCGCCUCGGGCCGCGCCCCGCCGCCCGGCCGACCCCGCCGACACCACCUCCAGCCCCGCUCCGUGCUGGCCGACCCCACUGACCCCAACUCCGGCCCCACUCCACACCGCCUGACCCCGCCGACCCCUUCCCGCGCCCCUCUUGUGCCGGCCCCACCUCCGUCCCCGCUCCACGCCGCCCGCCGCCAGCCCCUACCUCUCCUCCGGUGCCGCCCGCCGCACGCCACCGUUGACGUGCCGCCCUCCCCACGACGCCCUCCUCCGGUGCCCGAGCCCCUACCACCGGCCCGGCCUGCCUGGCCCCCACCCCCACGCUGCACACCGCCGGCCGCCCGGUCUCCCACCGCCAGCCGCCCCUCGUCGGCCUAUAAAAAGGGCCGCUCGCCCGGCCUCCCUUGCCAGUCCACCACCACCCAGCUCGCCACCCCAACCUACACCACUCGCCAAGCACCGCCGCCACCAGUACCUCCACCGCCCGAGCGCCAACCGCCGCCGCCUCCACCGAACCACCGCCGGCCGCCCCUUCCCUAUCCGAAGCUCCAAGGUAUCGGGCAAAAUGGAGCCCCCACGGCCUCCUCUAGCCUCUCCCGCCGCCUCCCCUCGCCGCCGGCGAGCCUGGGCCACCGCCCCAGGCCGGCCGCCCCUCCCUCCCAUCUCCUCUAUUCCGGUAUAGAGAGAAGGGAAGAAGAAACCCCUACUUUCCGAUCUAACCCCAAGGAAUCUGUUAUUCGCGAAACAGUCCUUCGACCACUCUCAUAAACCUAUUCACGGAUAAGCCCCUCCACCUCCAAAAGUAUUUACAAAUAGGUCCCUGGUUUAUUAUAAAUCAGUCCUAAACCUCCGUUUAAGCCCCUAAUUCAUGUUUAACCCGUCAUUUCAUGCUGCAGAGUUAAAACCUAUCCGGGUAGCCGUGUCCACGGCAUUGGACGAGUUACGGCUUGGUCACAUAACUAGCACUUGGGCAUGGAUGUCGCGCGCGCGCGUGUGUGUGUGUGUUGGAUUUUGGAAGUGUCCGGCAGUUGUGCCGUGGGCUAUGGCGGAUGGGGAGUCCGAUAGCAAUAAAAACUUGGAUCCUUUGUGUAGGAUCAACCCCACUUAAUGUUUCAGUUACUAAAGAAAGCUUUACGAAAACUUGUUUGAAAACGAGCCCAUGCAUGUGGUUAAAAUCUAGCCUUAUUGCAAAUAAACCCUAGCCUAUCCUUGAUAUAUCCUGUGCAUAUACUUGCUUGUAUCCCCCUUCGUGGAUGGGGUUGGACUUGUUGAGUACGUUCGUACUUACCCUUGCUUCGUUACUACAAAGGAAGACACGGACUUCAUCGCUGAAGACCUUGAGUAGAGGUUGUGUCCGCACCCAAUGCUGCAUGUGGUGCCGGCCUUUCCAAGAUGCUUCUACUGCCGUGUAGUCCCGAGUGCUGUCUUUUGGUAGUCGCUUGGUUAGCCGCUGUUGUUUAUUUACUUCUUAUCACUGUGUGGCUUUCACGCCCACUCCCUCGGGAGUUGUACGGUAACUGAAUUAUCUGUCGAAUAAAUGUGUUAUCAGCCUCCUGGGACUGAUAUUUGUAUCACAUUUAGUCUCUACUUAUGUGGGGACGCUUCAUUCAGGUUCAUGAAGCGUCUGAAUCCAGUUAUCUUCAAGUCCUACAGAAGUUGAGGAACUAGUACGUUCAGCACGUUUCGUGGCAAUCCGAGUGGAAAUAUUCGCCUGAAGGCGAGACCUCAGCUGCAUAUAAAAGACCAUGGAAACACGAAGAGCUGGGAAAAUGCAGGAAAUGAAGAAAUUGAAUCAAACCUAAUCAGAAAGAUGCUCCGACUCGUCGCGGGUUAGCUGACCACCCCUCGUCUUGAAGAAGUUCAUCAUAAUAUUCUUUGCGAUGUUUUUUGGAAGCACAGGCAUAUACUUAGGAGGAAGCUUUUCCAAGAAUGCGAACAUCGUUCUUGCUCAGUGAUUUCUCUAAGGAAGGAGCAUCUUCAGGGAACAAUGAGCACGUAGAAUGUGCAAGGGCUCGGACACCGACGACAGCACUAAGCUCAGCUUACAUUUUCCCAGUUUUGCACAGCAGUUCUGCGUAGAUGCUAACCCACUCAUAGAAUUGAAGAAUGGAGCAAGACCUAACUUCGAAUAAAGGGGAGACAAAUUGAAAAACUCCAGGGCUCAAACUAUAUGAUCACAAAGACCCUCGGCACCUUUAAUGUGGCAAGCACGAUAGCGAGAGAGAUCAUUUCUAGCCUUCUCCAAGUCGUCACCCUUAGCCGACAGAUCUUUUGAUAGAGCCUCAAUGUUCUUCUUCAUAGUGUCACAAGAUGAGAGGGUACAAUUCAGCUCCUCGCCUACAGUUUUCAUCCCAUAUUGAGCUUUGGCGACUUCUUCAUCAGAUUUAACUUUACCAACGAUUAGCUGCUCGUUGAGGGUUGUCUCCAAAGCCAACUAGGAUUCCAACUCAGCAACACAGGUUUGGAGCAUGGCAACUUCAACAGAUGAAGUUGGACUUUCCUUGUCUUUGGCAAUCUUGCAAGAGAUACAUCGAGCAACAACGAAAUUCUUCAGAGCAAGAUCCCCGCAGGCCUCAACCAUCGUUUCCAAAUCAAGAUUACCAAUCCGUCUUCCUCAUGAGGGAAGCAAAAACUAUCACCAGCCCCGGAAAGAAACUGUCGUUCGUGACCAUCACUCCGAAGGGUCAAGAAAUCAAUGAUUUUACCACCAAUAAGCUUAGCAUCCUUCGGCGCACUGAUAUGAAGAGUGGCCUCUUUCAGGUCCUCUAGAGUGACCAAGUAACCACUGCUGUCAAGCUCCUCUUCAUCUUCAAAAUCAUUGUUGCCUGAGGUAGCCGUCGAAGGGGUUGCAGAGUGACGAGUCCUCGAAGUAGACAACGAAGCAGACAAAUUCGAAGAAGUAGCAGAAUCUUUCUUCGCGCCGCAAGGUCUAAGAUCAACAGAUUUGGAUGGAGCGUGUUCAGCUGUAGAAAAAUCAAUAUUCACUUCUUCUUUCUCAUCAGUCUCUGGCUGGAGGGGGCUCAGUGGAACAAGAAGAGACUCUAUGGCAGAAGAUGCUCUAGCAUCGACUGACGGAGUAGAAGGAUCGUCGAGAAUCAAGAAAUCAAUGGUGACGCAAGGAACAUGAUUUAGACAGGUUCGGGCCGCUAGAUCGCGUAAUACCCUAUGUCCUGUGUAUUUGUUUGUAUUGAUCUUGGAUGAACUGGAGUUGUUCUCUUUGAGGGGGGUCCCUGCCCGCCCUUAUAUGCACGGGAGGGCAGGGUUACAAGUCCGAGUCCUAGUCGAGUACAAUUACAGAGUUCUACUCGGUUAUGGCCCGAGUAGUUUUCCAUACACAUACUUGACUAGUCCGAGUGGGAUACGCCUAUCCCCUUGUCUUGAUCAUAUCCGAGUACGUCCCUUAGUGGGCCGUCCAGGGUUUACCCGUGGGCCUGGGAUGCAUGCCCAACAAGCCCCCGAGUACUUUGUAGUCGUGCACCACAGUCUCGAGUAUUGUGGGCACUAUCCGAGUAGUUCGUCGUAGAGGUAUUAGUGUCCGAAGUGCUCGAGUAUUGUCGUGUGGCUGGAAGGUACUCUUCUUGCUCCUUUGAGUUGCUUCUGUUCCAAGAAUUUUUAUAUGGUAGUGCGAUGACAAUCGUACUCCAUAUGGAGUAGCCCCCGAGCCUUAGGUUGAGUCGAAGAGUCAGGCUUAGAGUCAAUCCUGCUUCUUGGCUAUUUUACCCUCAGAAAUCUGAAAAACAAAAUUCUAACCAUCGGGUACGGUACCCGCAGCCCCCGAGCACUUAGGCGAUUUUUGUCGUUGCAGUGGUCAAAAACCCAUUGAAAAGAGUAGCCGUUGGGUAUUUAAGGCAAUUAAUCUGAUUAAAAUCCAUCCGUUGCGUCACUGACGCUUGGAAUCCGAAGGUGGCGGAGAAAUAACUGGAGGGCCCCCUUUUGGUUAGGUUUACACCCCACUGCAGCAGAUCUCUUUCUCUUCUUCCUCCACCUUUCCGUUCCUAUUUCCUCCGCCGUGAUUCUCUAGUGCCACCGCCGCCGUUGCAACUCCUCUGAGAGAGGUUCGAGGUUGAGUGCACUUUGCUGCGACUGAAGCCGGUGGAUGCGCACCAAGAAGAUGGGGAAGAAACUCGAGAAGGUCCAAGGCAAGGCUCCAACGGCGGGCAAGGUGAAGUCCAGGAAGGGGAAGGAACUGGUGCUGCCGGCGCCGAAGGUGGGGCCGACGAACUAGACUGGGCCACCACCACCUGGAGCGACGUGGCAACAUUCGGUGAUGAAGGAGGAGGCCGUCCAGGCGCUAGUCGACGCCAAGCUUCUACAGAUGAAGGAGGUGCUCGAGUGGCACCCUACUUUUGCGAAUACGUGGCAGUUCGAGGAACACCCCAAUGAGAUAGUGAUGCUUGCGCACUUUGUGGAGAGGGGGUUGGUGGUGCCCACCUCUAACUUCUUCAGAGGUAUCCUCGAGUACUAUAAGCUUCAACUUGUUCACUUGAACCCAAAUGGUGUACUGCAUAUGUCAAUUUUCGUACACCUGUGCGAAGUUUACUUGGGAGUUCCUCCGAGCCUUGAGCUGUUUAGGAAAUUGUUUCGCUGUAAACCUCAGCCUAGUGCACUUAGGACGGAGGUCUUUGGAGGCGCCGGGUUCCAACUCAGGAACUCAGGCGCGUAUAUUGAAUAUAACUUGACUGACUCCCAUGGGGAGUGGAAGAAAAGGUGGUUCUAUAUCAGUAACCAUAAUCCUCGCUUGCCGGUGGUUACUGGCCAUGCGCCAAAGCACGCAGAGAACUGGGUGAGCGAACCUAAAGAUACCCCAGAGCUUGACCAUUUGCUGCACCAGAUUACCGAGUUGAAAGCACUCAGUCUGACUGGGAUUAACGUGGCGGCCAGUUUUCUCAAGAGAAGGGUUCAGCCUCUUCAAAAAUGGGAUCACUCAGGGGGUGAGUACUCGGGAUUUAACGACCCGUCGUGUAUGUCCGCUGAGGAUAUAUCCGACGAUGAUGUGGAGGCACUGCUGGCCAAGUUCUUCAGAAACUAUCAAGGAGUACCAGUUAUACCUGCAGCUCUUCGGCAGUAUGAUGCUUGGUAUGAGCCAGAAGUGGUAUGUCCUUGCACUUGACUUGUACUAUGUGAACUUUUGAACCCUUGUUGUGAGUGUCGACUUAUUUUUGUAGUCCCGAGUUCUUGCUGGCUACUUGGCGCAGUCGGAACAAGAAGAAACUAUUAUUGAGGAAUCAGAGGAUGAGCCCUCUCCUCCCGUGAAGAAAUGCAGAGUAGUCCGCAAGAGGUCUGCUGCUAAGUCUGCUUCAACUUCUCCUCCUGAGAAGUCUCAGGGUGCCAAGGUAUGUGGCCGUGUAUUUACUCGUAGCUGAUGGAUUUGAACUUGUAAUCUUGUAAUCACUUUGUCUCUCUCAAAAGGUUGACGAUGCUACACUUGGUGGUGAUGAGGCUUCUUCUAAGGAAGUACUCGUGACCGACCCGGGCAUCGGUAUUGCAUCUGUUGAGAAGGUGCCAGAGGAGGUGCCGCCAGCAAAUGCUGGAGUAGCCCCGUGCUGAUAGCCCAAACUCCAUCGGCUACUACACUGCCGGUCCCUGAUCAGGCAGUCCUGGGUUUGCCUGCUAGUGGAGCAGAUGUCGCAAAGGAAAUGUCGCCAAUAGUUGCUACUGGUUCUUUGUUGUCCAAUGUGAUUACUAGUAGUGAGCUUUCUUUCCCGACUGGUUUUGUUAGUCUGAGUUUUAUUGUAGUCUUGACUCUGUGUUUCCCAGGUCUUGGCGAGAAGACAGCGCCAGCAGCUGUUCUUGUGGCACCGAGUACUCGGCCGCCUGUUGCCAAGAAGAAACGUGUGCGAUUUCUGCCACGCUCAACUCGGUGAGUUUGUUUAUCCUUGGUGUGUAUCUUCAACUUGUCUUGAAUUCGUGGAAUGACUUUGUACUUUGAUGUAGGGAUGCGGAGGAGACUAUCCCUGUGGAGGCAGGAGUAGAGCCGUGUCCCCCGACUACUCUCUCUGCUCCCUUGGAGGAUUUGAUUGUCGAGGAAAUGCCCGGAGUUGACGCUGGUCGCCUUGGAGCUACCAUGUCUAUGCUUCAAGAGGUGAUCCGCUCGGUGGAGGAUCCCUCCGCUGCUUCGGGUUCUGGGAAUGCAUCUUUGUCGACAUCUACUGGUGGAGCUCUGGCUGUAGUGGAUGUGGAGAAAUCCAAAGAACCAACUGCUCCAGGUAUGUAUUCGUAGUCCUGGUAUUGUAGUCGUAGCAUUGAGGUGACUGAUGUUAAUCUCUUUAGGUGCUGCUUUGGGUGCGGCUCCUCAUCUUGCGAAGAGUACUCAAAGUCCAGUACUCAGCCUUCCGUCUGAGUCAAAGUUCCAGAGAGCUGUCGAUGUUUUUCAAAGCUUCCAGGUGUGUUUUCUUUGCUUGUCUAACAGAUUAAGUAAUUUAAGGGACUUGACCGAUCGUGUUGCUUUGUAGGAGUUGUAUGACCAGACGCAAAGGAACACUCGGGCCCUUCAGGAACGAAACCAUCAAUUGGAGCAAGAGUGUGCCCGACUUACAGAAUCCUUGAGGGUUCAUGAAGCUGGAGCGAAAUCCUUUGCUGUGGAGCGGUCAGAUCAUGAAGUCUUGCAGCAGAAGCUGGAGAGCCGCUACAAGUCUUUGAAUAAAAAGUAUCAAGGUGAGUACUUUGCAUCUUCCGAGUACGUCCGACUGUAGUCGGUUGUGUUUGAACUUGGCCAUUUUUGCAGAGCUUAAGAGGCAAGAGACUGUUGCGAGUAGCCAACUCCUUGACUGGAGAAACGCGCACGACCGAGUGACGAAUGAAGCAGAACAUCUUCGGGCCGCGCUGACAGAAGCACAUGCUGCUUGCGAGCAUUACCGAGACAGGAAGAUUCAGAAUGGGGUGAUGCUUGCUAUGGCCAUGGUGGCAUGCAGAGAUCAUGUCCAGUCCAUAGGAAGACUUCGGGGCGAACUCCAAGAGUUAACUAUUGCUGCCCAAGACUUGGUGAACGCCAUUUCCCCCUUGGAAGAGGACGCAAGACCUCAAUCGCUAGUCGAGCGCUUGAAGUCUGCUCCGGGUAAGGUGGCAGGCCUCUGCAAGGCUGUUUGCAAACAAGUCCUUGCUGUGGUAAAGUCAUACUACUCGAGGGCAGAUUUGUGGCGGCUGGUGACGGCGUUGCUCGCAACUGCAUAGAAGAAGCUUAUGCGCAGUACCUUGAGGAGGCGGAGCCAAUCGCAUCCAAGAUGUCUGAAUUUGUAUCUCCACAGGAGCCUUGAACUUUUAUGUACUCUUGUAGACCUUCGAGUACCUUGAACGAAAUUGCCUGAGAGUUGAACGCUUCUCCAUACUUUGUUGUUUGAAGUGGGUCUGACCCGUCAUGAGUAAGGAGCGUUGUACUCUGCCUCACCCGGCCCAAGGUCGAGUGGUCAGACACGGCCGACCCUUUAAGGAUGAAAUUCCGCUUUGCCCGACCCUUGGUCCCAGGGUCGGAUGCGCCCGACCCCUUGUUCUAAGGCUUCAUAUCGCCCGACACCUGGCUUAGAGGGUCGGACUUAUCCAAGCCCCCAGGACAAGGAUGCAUUUCGAGCGCAGGCCAUGCUUGGCUGGAGUAGUUCUAAGUUUUGAGUAGUCGCGAUGCUGUCGAGUACUCUGCUUUUUGGAGGUGCAUGGGUGUACUGUACUAUUUUGUCCUUUGUGGCGUGAAUGCUUUCACGUGGGUAGAGUCAGAGGUCAUCAGACUCAUCGAUCAUGGACGCGUAGUAACUCCUAGGUGGUUGGUAGUUGUAGCGCUUGGCUAUAAAUAGAUCCCCCUGGAGGCCGACCCAAAUCAAGCUUCUGAGUAGCAAUGGAUUGCCUUCGGUUGCUGUUGUUUGAGUGUAGAGAGCCUUCAAAGAGUACACCGGUGCUAGAAGAUUACUCGUAUAAUGAGACCACCUUCCCUCCACAGACUCUAGCGCUCGUAGGGAUAGCCGCGAUGCUAGAAGAAUCCUCGUAGGAGGUUUCAUCGUGCGCCUCAUCUUGUAGCUCGUGAUCCAGUGGAGUACACGCUGGAACUCACGGGUGAUGGGUGAUGAGUGCCGCGGUUUUUAUCCCGCUCACUUAGAGGUGGAGGUGUGGCUGUAGAGUGGGUUGGCUCGGCAAGGCUAGCAAAAGAGCAGCCUUGGUUCCCUCUUGGCGCGGAGCGCGGGAUUCAUCAUUGCCGCUAUCAAGGCAGCGGCGGUGCAGGAGUACCUGGCGUUCCCUUGGGUAGAGGACCUAGAUAUGGCUAUGUUUUGCGCAGCUUCCUUGCGUGUAGGUCCCACCUAUUGUAGUCGGCAGAUCUGAGUGGCCUUGUGAUAUUGUAAAACCCUGAGGCUUAAAUGCACCCCGCCAGUAGGCAGUUGCUUGUAGUCCUUUUGUAUUUCGAGUACCUUUACUCGUAUGUAAAUUGUUUCGGGCUUGAGUAAAGAAUUACUCUACCGCUAAGGCUUUGUACCAGGGCAGUAAUGCCUGUUGAGUUGAUAGUCUUGUGUCAAGAAUAGUGUACCUUGAAGUCAGUAGUCGAGUUGGUGGCUCGAGUAGGUGACAUGAGUUUUUGCUUUGAAGCAAUUAUUCGGGUGCUGCUACGGGUAGUAGCGACAAAGGUGUUCUAUAUUCCAAGAGUUUGGUACUUGUUCUCCUGAGAGCUCUUGUAGUCUGUAAGAUCCGAGUUCUGUAAUCUUUGAUACGAUGUAAGGACCCUCCCAUGGUGAAUUGAGUUUAUGCAACCCUGACGUGUCUUGGAUUCGUUUGAGGACCAUGUCGCCCAAGUUGAAAGAUCUUUCUUUGACGUUGCGGUCAUGGUAACGCCUUAACCCGUCAAGGUAUUUGGCAGAGUGCACUAGCGUUGCGCAUCUUGCUUCUUCUAGACUGUCUAGAUCUGUUCGCCUUGUUUCUUCUACUAGUUCUUCAUUGUAUUGUUCAACUGAGGGAGAUCACCACAUGAUGUCGGCGGGUAAUAUAGCUUCUGAGCCAUACACGAGGAAAUAGGGUGAGAGCCCAGUAGUCUUGCAUGGUUGGGUUCGUAGUCCCCAUAGAGCAUUGGGUAAUUCCUUGAGCCAUUUUUGCCUCCUUUGGUGUUGCUGACGUCAUGUAGUCGUUUCUUGAGAGCUUCGAGUAUCAUGCCAUUGGCACACUCGACUUGUCCAUUGGCUCGCGGGUGAGCGACCGAGACAUAGCGAACGUCGAUUCCUCUAUUCUUGCAGUAUUCCUAGAAGUCGUGAUUGUUGAAGUUUGACCCUAGGUCGGUGAUGAUCCUAUUUGGAAAACCGUAACGGUUUACGAUUUCAUCCAAGAAGUCGAGGACUCGGUCCGCCUUGGGGCAAGUGAAUGGUUUGACCUUGAUCCACUUGGUGAAUUUGUCGAUUGCCACGAGUACUCGGUUGAAUCCUCCUGGCGCAGUUGGUAAUGGCCCUAUCAUGUCGAGCCCCCAGCAGGCAAAUGGCCAUGUUGGAGGUAUUGUGACUAGCUUGUAGGCCGGUACAUACUGCUAUUUAGUAAAGAAUUGACAUCCCUUGCACUUCCGAACUAACUGUUUGGCGUCAGCUAGAGUCAUUGGCCAGUAGAAACUUGCUCUGAAAGCCUUGCCGACUAUUGUUCGUGAAGAUGCGUGGUUGCCGCAGACUCCCUUGUGAAUUUCUUCUAGGAUUUCUUGGCCAUCUUCACGGGUAACACACUUCAUGAGUACCCCUGAUGAUGCGCUUUUCCUGUAGAGCUUUUCUCCGACGAGAACGUAAUUUUUUACUCGCUGGGAGAUUUGUUCGGCUUGAUUUUUGUCAGAGGGUAGCUUGUGAUCCUUGAUGUAGUCGAUGAAGGGUGUCCUCUAGUCGACUUCUAUCAUCAUGAUUUCUUGCAUGACGUCAGUAGUCUGGACUGCUGGCGGUGUAACUUGUUCAGCUAUGGACGGCUUGUGCAGUUCGUGCACAAAAAUUCCUGCUGGAACCUCUGCACGAGUUGAGCCCAUUUUUGAUAAGACGUCAGCGGCUACGUUGUUGUCACGGGCGACAUGAUGAAAUUCCAAGCCUGAGAAUUUGUUUUCCAGUUUGCGGACUUCUUUGCAGUAAGCGUCCAUAUUGUGCUGGUUUCAAUCCCACUCAUCAUUGACUUGGUUUAUAAUGACUAGUGAGUCGCCAUACACCAGUAGCAUUUUGAUGCCGAGGGAGAUUGCAAGGCGAAGGCCGUGUAGCAGUGCUUCGUACUCGGUUUCAUUGUUUGAUGCCUCCCAGAAGAUUUGCAGUACGUAUUUGAGUUGAUCUCCCUUUGGGGAGUUGAGGAGUACGCCUGCACCGGCCCCUUCGAGUUUGAGGGAUCCAUCGAAAUACAUUACCCAGUGUUCUGGCCGCUCGACUGGUGUUGGUACUUGAUUUUCAGUCCAUUCAGCCACGAAGUCGACCAAAGCUUAGGAUUUGAUUGCUGUCCUUGGCUUGAAAUCCAAGGUUAGAGCUCCAAGUUCAACUGCCCAUUUGGAUAUUCUCCCCGUGGCGUCUCUGUUGUGGAGAAUUUUACCGAGCGGGAAGUCAGAGAUGAUUGUAAUGUUGUGUUCUUGGAAAUAAUGGUGCAGUUUUCGGGAGGUGAGCAGGAUUGCGUAUAAGAGUUUUUGUAUCGGUGAGUACCGAGUUUUGGAGUCCGAGAGUACUUCACUGACGAAGUAUACAGGUCGUUGGACCUUGUAAGCGUGGCCUGGUUCAGACCGUUCGACUACUAUUGCCGUUCUGAUGACAUGAGUAGUAGCUGAUAUGUAUAGGAGCAAGUCUUCAUUUGGAGAUGGAGCAGUGAGUACAGGAGGCUUUGACAGAAAAUCUUUGAGUUGCGUCAGUGCUUUGUCUGCCUCUUCUGUCCAUUUGAACUUGUCCUGGCAUUUGAGAAGCUUAAAGAAGGGUAGUCCCCAUUCUCCAAGUCUCAAGAUGAACCGAUUGAGAGCGGCCAUGCAGCCUAUGAGUUUCUGCACAUCCUUGAUGCUAGCUAGUGCUUGCAUGUUUGUGAUGGUAGAUAUUUUUUCCGGGUUGGCCUCAAUGCUGCGAUGGCUAAUGAUGAACCCGAGUAACUUGCCGGAAGGUACUCCAAAGACGCACUUAGUAGGAUUGAGUUUCCAUCGGAAAGCUCUUAGACUAGAGAAAGUUUCCUCCAGAUCGGCGAUGAGUUCCUCCUGGUUUCUUGUUUUGACGACUACGUCAUCGACAUAAGCUUCGACAUUGCGGUGAAGUUGCUUUUCGAAGCACAUCUGUAUAGCUCGUUGAUAGGUUGCUCCUGCAUUCUUUGGUCCGAAGGACAUUAUUUUGUAGCAAAAAGCUCCGAAAGGUGUGAUGAAAGCUGUUUUUGCUUGAUCUUCUUCCUUGAGGCUUAUCUGAUGAUAGCCGGAGUAGUAUUCAAGAAAACAUAGUAAAGCGCACCCAGCAGUGGAGUCGACCACUUGGUUGAUCCUGGGUAGUCCGAAGGAAACUAACGAGCGCGGAUUCCUAUUUAGGAUCUAGCCCUGUUCCGAUCAGGGCUGUCUUGGAAGGGUCGCCUGUGUGGAGAUCAACUGCUUUGAAGUCUUUCUCACUUGCGGGCUUUACUUUCGUGGACCCCGACUUGUUUUCUAGGAUCUCGAGUUCAGUUGGAUGAAGUUUCUUUGAAGUUGUGAAGACUUGUUGCAUGGGGCUAGGUGCUUGAGAAGACGGGGCGAUUUCCACAGCUUCGGUGUUGCAUUCGUAGGAUCGUCGUAGAUCUCCCCGUAGCGUUAGUUCUCCCUUGGGGCCUGGCAUUUUGAGUACCAAGUAAACGUAGUGUGGUAUGGCCAUGAACUUGGCGAGUGCUGGCCUUCCGAGUAUGGCAUGUAAGAUGUCUCGAAGUCGGCGACUUCAAAUCUGAUGUACUCGGUACGGUAGUGUUCCUUAGUUCCAAAGGUGACUGGGAGGACGACUUGUCCUAGUGGUAUAGCUGCGUUUCCAGGUACGAUGCCGUAGAAGGGUGAAUCUGUUGGAGUAAGCAUUUCUGUAACGUCGAGGCACAUCUUCCUCAAUGUUUUGGCGAAAAUGACGUUGAGUCCACUUCCGCCGUCGAUGAGUACUUUAGUUAGCUUCAAUCCGGCCACCACGGGGUCGAGUACUAGAGGGAAUCGGCCUGGUUCGGAGAACUUGGUCCAUUGGUCCUUCCUGCUGAAAGAUAUGGACACCUCUGACCACUUUAGUGGUGUUGGAUCUGUUGGUUCGAUGGCCAUGAUUUCCCUAAGUACGAGUUUGCUGGCUCGCUUGGAUGCGGUGCCUGGGAUUCCGCUAAAGAUGACGUUGACUGUUUUUGAGGCGGUCUGGAAGUCGCCUUCUUCUUCAUCAUCAUUGUGGACUUUGUUCUUGCCCUUAUCCUUUUUCUUGGUGUACUCUUCAGGGGGUAGUGGUGUGGGUAAGUCUUGCAUUGCUCGGCGCAUGCUGUAGCAGUCUAUUGCCGAGUGUUUGCUAGUCGGGUGCCAUGGGCACUGCUUUUUGUGUAGUUCGAUGAAGGUCGGUCCUUCAUCAUUUUUGCGGGAUCCCUUUUUCCCGGAGUUGGUCAUGGCAGCAACAGUGUUGUCGGGCUUCCUUUUACGGUUGUGAUUACUCGAAAAGUUAUUUUGAGUAUCAUUAUGUCAAGUUCUAUCUUGGUCAUUGUUAUUGGUGUUGUUACGUCCACGAUUGCGGUGGGAGCCGAACCGUUCUCGUUCCUUGUCUUCUUUGUCCGCCCACUGUUGCACCAUGACUUUGAGGUCUUUGACAUUAGCUGGUCGUCGUUGACUGAAGUCUUGGUAUGUUCGUUGAUCGUAGAGUCCAUUCUGGAAGCACUCGAUGACGUCUGUUUCUGAAAUGUCAACUAUGGUUGCCUUCUUUUCAAAGAAUCGUCGUAAGUAGUCGCGCAAGGUUUCACCUUCCUUUUGCUUAAUUUGGCUCAAGUCAAUCUUGAUGCCUGGUCUAGCCAUGGAGCCGGCGUAGUUGUUGGUAAAAGCUUUUGUCCAAUCUGCCCAAGAGUCGAUUGACUUGGGUUUGAGGGACUCGAGCCAUGUCAGCUGUGCGGGUUCCAUGCAUAUGGGAAAGUGGAUGACUUUGGUAUCGUUAUUGCCCCCAGCUGCCUGGACUGCCAAAGAGUUCGUAGCCAUUGAAUAGGGUCUUGCUUGCCAUCAUACUUGGUGAUUCCUGUUGGCUUGAACUUCUUAGGUAGUCUUGUCUUCAUUACCCAAUUUGUGAAACCAGGAAAGUGGUUGUAGUUGUCAACUUCUCACUCGCGCUGACUGUUGAGUAUUUCUCGUAGAUCACUGAAGUUUGACACUUCGUGGUUCUUCCGAGUAGGGCGAAUACUUUUUACCGAGUUGGUGCAGCUGGCUUCCCCGACGUCCUUCUGGUGUAUUGGGGCAUUUUGUUUACUCAGACCUUGGCUGUGUUGCCUUGGCUGAUUCACGACUUCGUUGUCAUUUCUCUAAGCAUCAUUGUUGUUGGCUACAGCACCUCUGCUGUCUUCUUGAUGAGCUGCGAUGCGAGGAACAGAUGGGAUUGGUGAUUCUUUAUCGAGUAGCUUGUAAGCUUGCUCCGCGAGUUGUGCGAUUAGUCCAUUGCCGCGCUGCACAAGCUGAGUUGUGGCUUCAUUGUCCCUGUCUUGAGGCAUUAACAUUGUUAAAAGAUUGAUAGAAGCGAUUGCUGCAAGUGGAGUGGUAUGUUCCUGAGCCUGAACUGCGUCGAAAGCUCUUUCAAAGUUUGUGAUGGGAAUAUUUGUAGCCAUCGACUGCCGUCGCUCGGCUCAAGUAGCAUUGUGCAUCCUUCUUUGGUUCCUUUGAUCGGAGGUUUCAUUUUGCGGGGCGUCAGCUGUAGACUCGUCUUCUGAGAUGUUGUCAAGUUGUGCUAAUCAACUGGGGGUUCUGUUCUGGCUAGUACUCGGGUUGUUAUUUUGAGUAAUAACAAAGACUUCUCUGUCUGGGUAGUAGCUUCCGGAGCUUGAUGUGGCAAUCUCUGUGGAACUUUCCUCGCGGUUGGAAGUGAGUGGGACACCCUCUUGAUAUGGGAGGUUGUCUAUAUGAGCGACAAGGCAUGACUCGUAGUCGCGGGCAAGAAGAGAUGGUCUCAAACCUGGCCAAUGUACGAAUCUGCCUUGUUAUGUUGAAGUUAUUACCAGUCCUUGGGCUGGACCAGACAAUGGUAUCUCUGGGAGAUAGACCGAGUCGGGGUCAUCGUCUUCGUCGUCCCCGAGUUCAGGUUGAAUUCGAGUAAGGAAACUCUGGUGGGCUUCAGCUGCAUUGCGGAGUCCGUUUAGAAACCGUUUUGGGGUCGAAGUUGGUUUGAGAAACGACUGGGACCAACUAGUCCAAACCAAAGUCGAGUCCGACGCGUAGUUGAACUCAAAGUUGUCAACUUUGAAAUCUUGGUUUUCUCUGAUCAAAUCCUCCUAUUCCUUCUCCUGACCGUUGAUGAUCUGGGGCCGGAAUGAACCAGCACCAUCGGCGAUGCAGAGCCAGGAUCCAAAAACGAAGGUUGCGCCCGCUUCGAUGGUGAAGAAGGGCUUGAUGAUGACCAUUGCCAUUGUUUUCGUGCUGAGAAACUCGACGAGUGCCCCUACCUGGCGCGCCAGCUGUCGGUGUUUUAGACCGGCAACCCGCCUAGGGGGUACCCUAGGUGGUCUUUUAUGCGGUAAGGAUCAUCGAGAAUCAAGGAAUCAAUGGUGAUGCAUGGAACAUGAUUUAGACAGGUUCGGGCCGCUAGAUCACGUAAUACCCUACGUCAUGUGUAUUUGUUUGUAUUGAUCUUGGAUGAACUGGAGUUGUUCUCUUUGAGGGGGGUCCCUGCCCGCCCUUAUAUGCACGGGAGGGCAGGGUUACAAGUCCGAGUCCUAGUCGAGUACAAUUACAGAGUUCUACUCGGUUAUGGCCCGAGUAGUUUUCCAUACACAUACUUGACUAGUCCGAGUGGGAUACGCCUAUCCCCUUGUCUUGAUCAUAUCCGAGUAUGUCCCUUAGUGGGCCAUCCAGGGUUUACCCGUGGGCCUGGGAUGCAUGCCCGACAGAACUUGACAAAGGGGCUAGGCAAGAACAGCACCAUCGCCAGAACGAGGACUGGAAUGCCCAGUUUCUUCAUCACCACUAACCUCAGGUACAGCUUUGUCAGUACGAGCUCUUUCCGGCGUGCGAGCAGGUUUGGAACAAGGGCGGCGUCCCCUAUUUGUGCGUUCAAGAUGUUGCGUCACCCCAGGCUUAUCUUGAGCUGACAAAGGUGUAGUCUUAGCAGGGGCUGCGGCCUUGACCGCCUCGCAGCUUUUUGCUCCAAAUGCAAAAUAUUCCUCUUCCUCGCCUUGCGAAUAGGAGCAUGAAUCUUAAAGAAGGAGAAAAUAUGAUUCCCCCGAGAUCCACCAAGCUUUUCUUGCACUUCCUUGCACUCCGAAGGGGACUCUGCCCCAAGAAUGAAAUAACCUCAUUCCUCAGCCUUGAUGGCAUUUACCUCUGGAAAAAACGAAGAAGGGAUCAAUAAGCAACAAAAUGUCACAAAAAGGAAUUAGAACCCAAAAGUAAAUGAAGGAACUCACUGUCUCGGGUGAAUCUGAAGAACUUCAUCCAGUCUUUACAAGGGAUAGGCCAUCGACUUUGGCCCAAUCAGUCAUAGGGAUCUCCCAGCCACCUCGGAUAGGCCACACACCAACCAUAUGCUAUUCUUCAACAAUGUCACGACUACUGUACUUGCGAGCAAACAGACGAAGCAUAGAGAUAAAUUCAUCCCCUUCGAAGCAUGGAGGAAGAUCAAUUUUGUACUCCUCAUGGAGGGCAGGAAUUGUCUUGGUAACAAGAAGAUGAGGCUUGGCAUCAUCUUGCGCCUCCACUUCGUGAUACAGCCAGUGUUGGUGCCAGUCAUUAGGCCAUUUGUUACGAUAGGAAGCAACAGGGGCCAAUACACCAGUGCGAUAAACGAAGUUGAGACAUCCAAAUUGAGCCUCUUUUUCACUAACAACAACAUUUCCAUCCUCCAAAAGAUACUUCGGUUGAUGGUAGACCUUGUGGGCAGCAGCAAACCCUUUGGCCGAAGCCUUGAUUUUGGUAGUCCUACAUAUCUAGAUAUAAAUCGACACGCAAACGAGUGUGUUCGGUGUCAACUAAUGCAAGUAGAUAUCGAACAGACGAAGUAUGUCCAUGAUGACGGGAUCCAAUUCGAAGCGGAGUCCGGCAAUUAGAAGAUCCCAGAAAAUGACAACCUUGUUGUACUCAGGUUUAGGAAUAAUCUCAAAACUAGGAGCCCUAGUAGAAAUGACCACCCUCUUGUCUUUCAGCAUAACAAUGCUUUUGGGAGUCAUUCGGCUCUGACCGAAGAUGAUGGUCUUGCGUAUCGCGUGGUCUUCAUCUUCGUCGCCCGAAGGACGCUUACGCUUUGGAAACAUAAGGAGCACUCCACGAACUGGUUUCUAGAUGAAGAACUAAAGAAGUUACCAAAACAAUGGAUGAAGGGGGCUUCGGACCUCUGGCAGUGAAAGCGAUAGCGGUAAAAUUAAAUGGCCUGGGCACGCAUGGGGGUGUUUAUAUAGGCAUGGUGGAAGGAAAUAGUCAGGAGGGUAAAAAGUCCUAAAUGAUAUUUAAUAACAUCAUUAAAAAUAGUAAAUAAAGGGUAUUAAAGUAAAAUCCUUAAUGGGCUAAUCUUGGGGAGUUCCUGUGGCGGAUCCACUUCGGAUUUGCUUGGUUAAACGUGAUUAAGCCGCAUGAUACGCGACACUCACGCCUAAACCAAGUAAAUACGAAGUGCCAUCGGAUUUCAUCCGAUUUAACCACUUGAACAGGACCGCAUAGCAAACCCACACGAAGGUGAGCGGUUCCAGAUAAUACAACAAGUCUACCGAGUUAACAAAUUAACCAAUUAGUUUGACCAGAAAACCACAUCAGAGUCUUACAAGGUUCAGAAGAAAAACAACAGAAGCUAAACAACUAGAGGAAGCUAACUCGUUGGGGUCGGACAUCCCUGGUGAGGCCAACCGGGACAUCAGUGAUCCCGCUCCUCGCCGUCCGAGGAGGGAUCCCACUCAACCGUCCAACUCGGAGGGAGUUGGGGCGGCCAAGUGCCAGCAGAGGGAGGCUCAGAGACAGCAACAUCACCUGAAAAAGAAGAGCCACAACAAGGCUGAGCUACUAAGCUCAACAAGACUUAACCGACAGGGAGUACGCUACUCCACUUCUUCUAGACAUGCAAGGCUUUUUGGCUGAGGGGUUUGUUUGCCAAAAGCGCUAGGUGUAUCCCUACUUCAAGUUUUAGCUCAGGUUCUAAGUUCAUUAUCCAGUCUAAGUUAGCAACUUAUUCUAAGCAACCAUAGAACCAACCAAGGGUAUAUACAUAUCAUCACAAACCAUGUCAUCAUCAGAUUCCUUUAUUACUCAGGGUGACAUAGCGAUCAAGCGAUCUCAAACUGUGAGAGACAGACGAAUCAAUUCGAGUUUCUUAACCAUGCAUGGCGAACCUAAUCUCAUGACAUCCGCGCACCACAAGGGUCGCUUCCUAUGUCGGCCGUCCCCAUCAAUUCCCAGGCGCGCGUCACUUCCCUUGGCAUGCAAUGCUCCACAGUCCCGGUCUCUACCGUAUUGUGACCGCACUUGCACCCACAUGAUGCACCAUGGGAACCUCGUUCCAGGGACAGCAGGGGUAUAAGCCACGCCCUAGUUCAAUCAGGUACUAGGCUUCCCCAUCCCAUACUAGGUAUGAGAUUAGUACUUUCAAACACUUGAUCACGAACACCACAACUGUCGGGCCUUAGAAGUUUCAUAGACAGACGGGGCGAUCAACCGACCACCAAAGAGUUACCCAAAACCCUGCCCCGUCCAUCGUCCUUAUAGUUGUAACAGAAGAGAAACAACCAACUCCUACAACUCGCGAGUGACAGGAAAUCACUCGGCUUUUACCGUUUCCUAUUUAAGCAAGCAUCUACCCGGUCCAACAGCUAGUGUUCAGGACAAGGGAGCUAAGUUAUGCAUCUAGGGUUCCAAACAACUCCUAUACGUAAAUGCACAAGCAUGUUAAAGAAGGCAUGCGCAAGUUUGGUAAAACGUAGGGAAUUCAUGCAUCCGGGGCUUGCCUUCGAGCAAGGAGGAGGGAAACUGCUCGUCUGCUUGGGCAGCUUCGGCUUCUGAAGGCAGAAGCUCGGCUACACCUUCUUCUUCUGGCGCCGAGUGCAGCUCGUAGAAGCUGUCGGCGAGACGCAGCUCUACACGAAUGCAAUGCAUUGGUUAGCAUUUAGACGGUUAUUUCAACAGUAACACUUGCAAGUUUGAGCCCAGAAACUUGCGACAAGUUACAGGAGGGUGGGGAGGUUCAAUGGAGUUGAUGGAGAUCAAGAUAUAAGGGUCAGAUGGGGAGGAACUUAUGAUUUGACCCUUAAUCUAGAGGAAUAGAUGUGCUAGGGGUCCUCAGACGUAACGCCGAAAAGUCCCCAAGUUUUAUACAUACACCCUCGGUUCAAGAAAAAGAUACAGCCGAGCCCUCGGGCGAGGUGGAGAAGGGUCGGCGGAACAGACAGGGUCGGGAGAGACGGAACCGGGGUCGGGCGGAUAGGAGGGGUCGGACGAGGCGAACAAGGGUCGGCAGCUUACCUUCGUCUUACAGAGGAGACUUGGGUGGAAGGACUAAGGGGCUUGGGACAGCGGUGAGGAUGUCCGGUGGUAUUCCGGCGGUGGCGGUGCUUCUUGUGGAUCACGAGCAAGCUCUUGAGCAGCACUGAAAGCAGUGGCUGGUGGAUUGGGGGAAGGUGGUGUUUGCACGGAGAGGAGAGUUCCUCAGACUUAGGUGGUGGCGUUGUGAGCACGAACAGGGAGCAAGCGAGAGGGCAGCGAUGGCAAAGGGGAACUCCGGCGGGGCUCCGGCAUUCCAUUUUAUAGCUGCGCGGAAGAGGGAAGGGGGAGCAGCGCGAAGGCCGGGGAAGAAGCGAUGGAGUGCUCUGCCGGGGUGGCGAUUGAGCGACGAGGGCGGUGGAGCAGGACUUCGGGGAUGACACCGGCGGUCAUUGGGCACUGACGUCAGGGCGACGCAAGCGCGGUUUUGCCGGUGGUUGAGAUUUGGUGGAGGUGGGCGUCGUCGUGCGGUGGAUCUGAUGGAAGUGACCAGGAAAACGGCGCUAGAAACGAGGGCGCACAGGUGAGAAGACAGCGGCUGCGGUCGCGCGGGCGACGCGGAGCAAUAGAUUGUCGGGGCGGAGCUUCUGACAAGGCGGAAAAGGAGUUGUCGCUGCCGCGAUCUGGGUUGGCGGAGGAGGAAUCAUCGCGUAGCGAGGACCGGGGCGGCGCGAGUGUGGAGAGGUGACGGAAAAGACGGGCGGCAUCGGGCUCUGUAGCCGGGAUCUGGCAAUGUGAUGAUGGGCGCGGGCGGUGAGGUGCUACAGAAAGGGUAGCAGAGGAGCUUCUGCCGCAAUUGGGGAAGGGGGCGCGAGAAUCCAUCUGGUCGUGGCCGGCGACGAGGCAGAGCGGUGGGCGUCGGAGGAGUUGAGCCACGCGGCUGGGGAACUCUGAAGCGGGCAUGCAACUCGAGUGCGCCUGUCGCCGGAGAUCUCGGGGAAAGAUCUCGUGGGCCCACCGGUCAGUCUCGGUGGUCCACGGCUCAAAUUGAAGGGCGACGUUGUGGGAUGACUUAGAAAGAUCCGACGGUGGGUUGGGGGUCGGUGGGGUCGGAACUGGGGGAAAACACGGCGAGGGGUCGGAUCGAAGGGGUCGGGAGAUCUGAAGGUUGAGCAAACAGGCUUGGCAAACUGAGAUAGGUGAUCAGGGACUCGGAUUAAGAUUAACGCGAAGGAUUUUUAUCCAGGGCCGUUACAGCCUACCCCCCUUAAGAAUAAUCUCGUCCCGAGAUUCGGAUGUAGAAGUAACCGGUGGGGGUGUGUGGCCCUUACCUCCUUGGCUGGAAAGAAAACCGGGGAAGUGCUUGUUCAAGUACUCUUCUGUUUCCCACGUUGCUUCGUCCUCCGUGUGGUUUCUCCAGAGGAUCUUGUACAUUUUGACUACUUGGCAUCGGGUGCGCCUCUCCUUCUGGUCAAGGACCUUGGCCGGGUACUCUGCAUAGGUUAGGUCAGGCUCGAUUUGAAGCUGCUCCUGUUCUAAGAUCUCGGUUGGGACUUGGACACAUUUCUUCAGUUGAGACACAUGGAAAACGUCAUGUAUGGCCGAUAGCUGUUCUGGGAGUUGGAUCCGAUAGGCAACGGGUCCACAAAUUUCCACAACCUCAUAUGGGCCAAUGUAACGGGGAGCCAAUUUCCCUUUCACUCCAAACCAUUGCACUCCUUUGAUUGGAGAAACUCGAAGAUACACAUGAUCACCAAUGUCAAACUGCAGGGGCCUUCUUCGCCUGUCGGAGUAACUCUUUUAUCGGGAUUGGGCAGCCUUGAGAUUUGCUUGAAUUACCUUCACUUGCUCUUCGGCUUCUACCACUAAGUCAGGGCCAUAAACUUGUCUCUCUCCCGCUUGGGACCAGUUCAAUGGUGUCCGGCAUCUCCGUCCGUACAAUGCUUCAAACGGUGCCAUCUUCAAACUGGCUUGGUAGCUAUUGUUGUAGGAGAACUCCGCCAAUGGCAGGCACUUGUCCCAGUUUCUGUCAUAGUGGAUGACACAAGCUCUUAACAUGUCUUCAAGGAUCUGAUUGACUCUUUCGGUUUGACCGUCAGUUUGAGGAUGAUAGGUUGAGCUACGGAUGAGUUUGGUGCCCAUGGAUGCUUGUAGCUGUUCCCAAAAUCGUGCUACAAACUGAAUUCCUCGAUCAGAGAUGAUGGUCUUAGGCACACCGUGUAGGGAAACUAUGCGGUCGAGGUACAACUCUGCAUACUGCUUGACCGUGUGGGUGGUGUGGACCGGAAGGAAGUGGGCGGUCUUGGUCAGACGGUCCACUAUAACCCAAAUGGAAUCAUGUCGCUGCGAUGAAAGAGGCAAUCCAACAAUGAAAUCCAUGCUGACGUCUUCCCAUUUCCAAGAGGGAAUAGGUAGGGGCUGUAAAGUACCUACUACCUUUAGAUGACUAGCCUUGACGCGUACCGGGCAAUUUCCUGUUUCAUUCCGCUCCACCAGAAAGUUUGGCGUAGAUCAUGGUACAUCUUAUUGCUACCUGGGUGGAUUGAGAACUUGGAGAGAUGAGCCUCAUCUAGGAUCUGCUUCCUCAAGUUGGGGUCGGCUGGUACAACCAGUCGGUUUCCGUAAUAUACUUUUCCAGUUUCAUCCUGCCGAAACUGCUUAUAUCCUUCAUCUUUCAAGGAAAUCUUCCUGGUGAUCCACUGUACUUCCUCAUCCUCCACUUGUGCUAACCUUAUUUGGUCUUCUAAAACAGACUCAAGGGCGAUGUGGCCGAGGGUUCCAUGGGAAACAAUUUCCAAACUGAGUUUUCCCAUCUCAUGACACAAAGUUUCGUUGAAGGUUGUUGCCAACUAGCAGUUGCAACAGGGCUUGCGGCUAAGAGCAUCGGCCACCACGUUGGCCUUGCCGGGGUGAUAGUGCACUUCCAACUCAUAGUCCUUUAUCAACUCUAACCAUCUUCUUUGGCGCAUGUUGAGGUCGGCUUGGGUGAAGAUAUACUUGAGGCUCUUGUGGUCGGUGUAGAUGUUGCAGCGGGUGCCCAUCAGAUAAUGUCUCCAUAUCCUUAAGGCAUGGAUCACUGCUGCCAACUCAAGAUCGUGGGUCGGGUAGUUCAGCUCGUGAGGUCAUAACGCCCGUGAGGCAUAGGCAAUGACUCGGUUGUCUUGCAUAAGAACACACCCAAGUCCAGUGCCGGAGGCGUCACAGUACACGUCAAAUGACCUAGAGGGGUCGGGUUGGGCCAAAACUGGGGCUGUGGUCAGCAAGCGCUUUAAGAUUUUGAAGGCUUCUUUACAUUUGUCGUUCUACACAAAUUUGACCUCUUUCUUCAACAGCUCUGUUGGCUUAGCUAUCUUGGAGAAGUCCGGUAUGAAACGCCGAUAGUAGCCUGCCAGUCCAAGGAAACUUCGGAUCUGGUGCACUGAGGCAGGAGGCUUCCAGUCCAUAAUUUCCUGUACCUUGCUGGGGUCGACGGCUAUGCCAUUCUUAGAGAUAGUGUGUCCCAAAAACUUGACACUAUCUAACUAGAAUUCACAUUUGGAGAACUUGGCAUAGAGCUGAUGGUCUCUCAGCCGUUGGAGAACUACGCGAAGAUGGUUGGCAUAUUCUUCUUCGCUCUUCGAGUACACCAAGAUAUCAUCAAUGAACACCACUACAAACUUGUCCAACUCGGGCAUGAACACCGAGUUCAUGAGGUACAUGAAGUGUGCGGGUGCAUUGGUGAGUCCAAAAGACAUGACCAGGUACUCGUAGAGUCCAUAUCUUGUGGAGAAGGCAGUCUUAGAAUGUCACAGGGUUGGAUCUUGAUUUGGUGAUAACCUGAACGAAGAUCAAUCUUGGAGAACACUCUAGCUCCAGCUAACUGAUCAAACAAGAUAUCAAUGCGGGGGAGUGGGUACUUGUUCUUGAUAGUCACCGCAUUGAGAGGUCGGUAGUCUACACACAUGCGUAGAUUGCCAUCCUUCUUCUUUACAAAUAGGGCCGGGCAACCCCAAGGUGAUGCACUGGGUCGGAUGAAACCUUUUUCCAACAGAUCAUGCAACUGGGUCUUCAACUCGGCCAGCUCAGUUGGUGGCAUCCGAUAGGGUCUUUUGGAGAUGGAGGCGGUGCCGAGGAUCAACUCUAUGGCAAACUCCACGUCUCUAUCAGGCGGCAUGCCGGGCAAGUCCUCUGGGAACACAUCAGGGUACUCAGAGACAACAGGGAGGCUUUCUAGCCGGGCUUGCGAUAGAGGGUACGCACAGGGAAGUGCGGACUUAGGAGGUUUCAAGGACAGGGUAGAACUGCCAUGAAAGGGCGAGUUGAUGUGGAGGGUUCGGGCCGCUAGGUCUAGAAGCACUUGGUGUCUGGUCAUCCAAUCCAUUCCAAGGAUGAUAUCUAUUCCUUCCAGGUCAAGGAUGAUAAGAUUUUCCUUAAAAAGGUUUUGGCCUAGCUGAAUAGGCACAUUGACACUCAUCCUAUCAGAUGUGAUUAUUCCACCCGGGGUGGAUAUUCUAAAAGACCCUCUGGUUUGGCAUUCUUGUAACCCACACUUGUCAUGGGUCUUUCUCCCGAUAAAACUAUGUGAAGCUCCUGAGUCAAACAAAACCAAAGCUGAAAAACUGUGAAUCAGAAAGGUACCCGUCAUUAUCGGCGCACCUUCAGGAAGCUCUGCUGCGUGGGUGAAGUUCAGUUGACCCUGGCGAACUUGCACCUUGGGCCUCUUCCCCUUGUUAAGCGUUGCACUGCCCUGCACUGGGCGCGAGCUCUAAUUUCUGGGGCAGUCCUUGGCGAAAUGCCCCACAUCGCCGCAGGCAAAGCAGCGGUUACCCGUUGCAGGGCGUGGGAGUGGCGGCAGGGUUGGCCGGGGCGCCUGUGGUUGGAAACCAGGAAAACGGGGCGCUGCUGCUGGCGGGGAUCGGGCAAUCCACCUUCCCAACUGCUGGGGUUGGCUGGGCGCCUGGGGUGGAACCAUUCUGAAACGCUGCGCAGGUGGGCUGGGCGUUGGCAGUGGGGCUUUCCUCUUCCUCUCGGCUGCCAGAGCCUUCAUGCAGUCCUCUUGUCAGAUGGCCAGGUUGACCAACUCAUUGUACGUAUCCACCCUUAUCGGGUUUAACCUUUCUCUGAGCUCUAAGCUCAGCCCUCGGCGGAAUCUGUCCCGCUUCUUCUCGUCGGUGUCCGCGUGAUAUCCAGCAUAACGACACAGAUCGUUGAAGGCUUGAGCGUAGUGUAACACAUCUCGGUUUCCUUGGUGAAGAGCCAGGAAUUCAUUGAGCUUGCGCUCCAGGAGACCCUCCGGAAUGUGGUGCGCUCUGAACGCGGUCUUGAACUUGUUCCAGCUGAUGACAUGGUCUGCUGGCAACAUGGCGUGGUAGUGAUCCCACCAUAGCCGGGCGGAACCACGUAACUGCUGGGCUGCAAACCAGGCCUUAUUGUGGUCGGGGCACUAGGCGGUGAGAAGCUCGAACUUGGAUUCGAUGGUGCGAACCCAGGCGUCUGCAUCGAGCGGGUCUUGGGUCUUCUGGAACAAUGGGGGCUGCGUCCCCAAGAAGUCUUCAUAACGAGCAACAUGAGGUUGCUGCUGAGCCCUUCCACCAUGGGGCUGCUGCUGUUGUUGCCCUUGUACCAGAUGUCUCAGCAGCUCGGUCUGAGCCGCUAAGAUUGCCUCUAGUGGAGACGGGGGUGGAGGUGGGGGAAGAUCCUGUCUUUGCUCGCUGCUGCCGGGCACAGAGCCAGAUCUGGUGCGAUGCGUCAUCUACAAGAGUUAACGUUCCAUUAAAUUCAUAAUCUUAGAAGUACUCCAACAGAGGGGAACGCACAAGUUAAAUUCUCCAAUGCAACUCUUGCCGAUAAUGCAACACACAUCCCCAUAAGGGAGAUACACUCUUCCCAUUGUCAUCCUAGUUUAGCAUUUAUCUUAGCCCUGCACACGACUUUGGGCGAGCCAUACCCAGACUUCCAGGAAUUCCCUUACAUCUGAACUUAAGCCAAGGGGUCGGGCUAGACGAGCAUCCCGAGAAAAGGGGUCGGCAAAACGAUCCACACAAAAAGGGGUCUGGCGAGGCGGAGAACUGCCUUGAAGGGUCGGGCGCAUCCGAUCUCGCGACCCGGGGUCGACCAAACUUGAACAGACCCACAGAAAACGGCGUGUGUGGUAACAGCACAAACUCACAUGGUCUAACAUUCCAACGUUUUGCAAAGAGUCAAAGGUCAAACUCAGGAUCUGAUUUCAUUGGGAUCUUUUUACAAAGGUGUUCUAAAACACAAGGAGUACUCGACUCAAGGCUAACCUAUUACAGGACUAUCCAAAAUUUAGGCUGCCGAGGAGUACAACAAAAGAAUGGGUUCCCUGCAACUCUCCUUCUACGAGGGAACACUGUGAGUGGGAGAAGGGGCGUCGUCCUCUUCAAUGUCCAUGCUGGACACUUCCUCAACCUUCUCAGGGUCUUCUUGAGCUUCCAGCUGCAUCUGGAGGGCAUGCAUGUCAUCGAGCUCGGCGUGAUGCUCGUCCAGGUGAGCAUUAGCAACCACCAGAUCCAUUUCUACUUCCAUCUUUUCCUCUGAUAGCUCGAUCAUGCCAUCCACCAAGUCGGCUACUUCUCCCUCUAGCUCAGAGAUUCGGUCCUGCAUGUCGUGGACUUGAAUGCCUCGUUGGAUGAGCUGAUAUGUUUGGCCCACCAUGUCUCUUCUGGCGGCCUGGAGGUGUCCUUGGGUAUCCGUGGCGAUCCGAGCAAGGAUAGUCAUGGCUCGUCCUUGGAGCUCAAUCAGUCGAUAUAGGGCUGACAUGCACCGGAUAUUGGUGGAGAUGGUGACCAUUGAGUAGGAGGUGGCCAACACCUCGAUGUUGCUGAUGCGGUCGAGCCACGCCGGGUCCAACCGGUUCCUGGCAGGGAACAGGCGCAUGGGGUCUAGGGUGACCUCCAGCGGGUGCAGCUGACAGAAUUGAGUGAGGAGCUGAAGAGCAGCUGACUCCCAGGUGUCUUCCAAUGUAAGGCCGUAUGCUGAGAUUCCAAACGGGGGCCAGUCGGGCCGCACAGGAGGGGGAGGUACUACUGCCUGCACAUUGCAUGUUUGGACGCCUCGCUCCAGGUACAACCAUUCCGCAUACAAAGGUGGAGACUGGUACCCGAACCACUUCAAGGUGUCCCACAAGAUAGCGGGAAAGCCCUCGAAGUGCAGACACGUCGAAUGGGAGGUGCCAUCUGCGCCAUACAGGACAUGUCCGGGGGCGGCCAUCUGGAACCAAGAACCAAAACAACGUGAGAUGAACUCCAAAGGUCAGGGGUCGGACAGAAAAAGCAUCCGGAUUUUAACCGAAAACAAGCUGGAAGAAACUAGAAAUCCUUAGAACCGAAGAAGAGCUUUUCCAAGCAAGGUUGCUUUUGAGGAGGGUGGCUUUACCGAUUCUUAGCUUAUGUCGCAUGCACGGCCUACCUCGUUCUCAACCAAAACAACUGCCAAAGCUUGAUCUUACGCAGUUAGUGCCGGUGGAAAGGCAACCCGUACGUCUCUCCCUAUAAUAACUAGUCGGUUCUAGCAACGUUUCCUAAGCGAUCGCGGUUAGUGCACCUGCAGAAAACACAACCACAUGAACCUUUCGUGCCAGCACCCACGAAAGCGUCCCCAAACAUUACCGUUCACUAUAGGAACGGCAUCCAUGCGUUCAAGGCUGCAUGGACAGCACCCAACCGUGGAAAUAGGUCCCCUUUGAAUGGAACCGUAUAACCCUUCGCAUACUCAUGAUGCGGAACUAGCACACGUAUAAUAGACGUGGCGAACAACCGUGAUGAUAGGCUCGUUGGAAUCGAACCAUACCAACCUUCGUAUGGAUUACAUACGGAACCUGCGCACGUAUGAUACACGUGGGCGAAACAACCGCGAUGAUAGGAUCCUUUGAAUAGAACUCCCUAUCAACCCUCGCAUACUCGUGAUGCGGAACUCAGCACACGUAUGAUAAACAUGGCGAAGUGCUGGAAGGGUUAGCAAGAUCACCAAAUAAUUAUUAGCCACCUAAAACAACCCCAAAAUCCCCUAGGGCCCCUCGUACUAAAGUCAUCCUUAACGAUCGUACGAGAUAUUUUUCAAAGAGUUUCUUGCAAGUUUUAUCUUUUAAAGAAGUGUGUUAGGGCCUGUUGUGUUCUCUGUCUUGCUAAACCGGCUCUGAUACCAGCUGUGGCGGAUCCACUUCGGAUUUGCUUGGUUAAACGUGAUUAAGCCGCAUGAUACGCGACACUCACGCCUAAACCAAGUAAAUACGAAGUGCCGUCGGAUUUCAUCUGAUUUAACCACUUGUACAGGACCGCAUAGCAAACCCACACGAAGGUGAGCGGUUCCAGAGAAUACAACAAGUCUACCGAGUUAACAAAUUAACCAUUUAGUUUGACCAGAAAACCACGUCAGAGUCUUACAAGGUUCAGAAGAAAAACAACAGAAGGUAAACAACUAGUGGAAGCUAACUCGUCAGGGUCGAACAUCCCUGGUGAGGCCAACCGGGACAUCAGUGAUCCCGCUCCUCGCCGUCCGAGGAGGGAUCCCACUCAACCGUCCAACCCGGAGGGAGUUGGGGCGGCCAAGUGCUAGCAGAGGGAGGCUCAGAGACAGCAACAUCACCUGAAAAAGAAGAGCCACAACAAGGCUGAGCUACUAAGCUCAACAAGACUUAACCGACAGGGAGUACGCUACUCCACUUCUUCUAGACAUGCAAGGCUUUUUGGCUGAGGGGUUUGUUUGCCAAAAGCGCUAGGUGUAUCCCUACUUAAAGUUUUAGCUCAGGUUCUAAGUUCAUUAUCCAGUCUAAGUUAGCAACUUAUUCUAAGCAACCAUAGAACCAACCAAGGGUAUAUACAUAUCAUCACAAACCAUGUCAUCAUCAGAUUCCUUUAUUACUCAGGGUGACAUAGCGAUCAAGCAAUCUCAAACUAUGAGAGGCAGACAAAUCGAUUCGAGUUUCUUAACCAUGCAUGGCGAACCUAAUCUCACGACAUCCGCGCACCACAAGGGUCGCUUCCUGUGUCGGCCGUCCCCAUCAAUUCCCAGGCGCGCGUCAGGUCCAAACUUCCCUUGGCAUGCAAUGCUCCACAGUCCCGGUCUCUACCGUACUGUGACCGCACUUGCACCCACAUGAUGCACCAUGGGAACCUCGUUCCAGGGACAGCAGGGGUAUAAGCCACGCCCUAGUUCAAUCAGGUACUAGGCUUCCCCAUCCCAUACUAGGUAUGAGAUUAGUACUUUCAAACACUUGAUCACGAACACCACCACUAUUGGGCCUUAGAAGUUUCAUAGACAGACGGGGCGAUCAACCGACCACCAAAGAGUUACCCAAAACCCUGCCCCGUCCAUCGUCCUUAUAGUUGUAACAGAAGAGAAACAACCAACUCCUACAACUCGCGAGUGACAGGAAAUCACUCGGCUUUUACCGUUUCCUAUUUAAGCAAGCAUCUACCUGGUCCAAUAGCUAGUGUUAAGGACAAGGGAGCUAAGUUAUGCAUCUAGGGUUCCAAACAACUCCUAUACGUAAAUGCACAAGCAUGUUAAAGAAGGCAUGCACAAGUUUGGUAAAACGUAGGGAAUUCAUGCAUCCGGGGCUUGCCUUCGAGCAAGGAGGAGGGAAACUGCUCGUCUGCUUGGGCAGCUUCGGCUUCUGAAGGCAGGAGCUCGGCUACACCUUCUUCUUCUGGCGCCGGGUGCAGCUCGUAGAAGCCGUCGGCGAGACGCAGCUCUACACGAAUGCAAUGCAUUGGUUAGCAUUUAGACGGUUAUUUCAACAACAACACUUGCAAGUUUGAGCCCAGAAACUUGCGGCAAGUUACAGGAGGGUGGAGAGGUUCAAUGGAGUUGAUGGAGAUCAAGAUAUAAGGGUCGGAUGGGGAGGAACUUAUGAUCUGACCCUUAAUCUAGAGGAAUAGAUGUGCUACGGGUCCUCAGACGUAACGCCGAAAAGUCCCCAAGUUUUAUACAUACACCCUCGGUUCAAGAAAAAGAUACAGCCGAGCCCUCGGGCGAGGCGGAGAAGGGUCAGCGGAACAGACAGGGUCGGGCAAGACGAACCGGGGUCGGGCGGAUAGGAGGGGUCGGACGAGGCGAACAAGGGUCGGCAGCUUACCUUCGUCUUACAGAGGAGACUUGGGCGGAAGGACUAAGGGGCUUGGGACAGCGGCGAGGAUGUCCGGUGGUAUUUCGGCGGCGGUGGUGCUUCUUGUGGAUCACGAGCAAGCUCUUGAGCAACACUGAAAGCAGUGGCUGGUGGAUUGGGGGAAGGUGGUGUUUGCGCGGAGAGGAGAGUUCCUCAGACUUAGGUGGUGGCGCUGUGAGCACGAACAGUGAGCAAGCGAGAGGGCAGCGAUGGCAAAGGGGAACUCUGGCGGGGCUCCGGCAUUCCAUUUUAAAGCUGCGCGGAAGAGGGAAGGGGGAGCGGCGCGAAGGCCGGGGAAGAAGCGAUGGAGUGCUCUGCCGGGGCGGCGAUUGAGCGACGAGGGCGGUGGAGCAGGACUUCGGGGAUGACACCGGCGGUCAUUGGGCACUGACGUCAGGGCGACGUAGGCGUGGGUUUGCCGGUGGUUGAGAUUUGGCGGAGGUGGGCGUCGUUGUGCGGUGGAUCUGAUGGAAGUGACCGGGAAAACGGCGCUAGAAACGAGGGUGCACAGGUGAGAAGACAGGCGACUGCGGUCGCGCGGGCGAGCGCGGAGCAACAGAUUGUCGGGGCGGAGCUUCUGACAAGGCGGAAAAGGAGCUGUCGCUGCCACGGUCUGGGUUGGUGGAGGAGGAAUCGUCGCGUAGCGAGGACCGGGGCGGUGCGACUGUGGAGAGGUGACGGAAAAGACGGGCGGCAUCGGGCUCUGCAGUCGGGAUCUGGCGAUGUGAUGAUGGGUGCGGGCGGCGAGGUGCUGUAGAAAGGGUAGCAGAGGAGCUUCUGCCGCAAUUGGGGAAGGGGGCGCGAGAAUCCAUCCGGUCGUGGCCGGCGACAAGGCGGAGCGGCGGGCGUCGGAGGAGUUGAGCCACGCGGCUGGGGAACUCUGAAGCGGGCAUGCAACUCGAGUGCGCCUGUCGCGGGAGAUCUGGGGGAAAGAUCUCGUGGGCCCACCGGUCAGUCUCGGUGGUCCACGGCUCAAAUUGAAGGGCGACGUUGUGGGAUGACUUAGAAAGAUCCGACGGUGGGUUUGGGGUCAGCGGGGUCGGAACUGGGGGAAAACACGGCGAGGGGGCGGAUCGAAGGGGUCGGGAGAUCUGGAGGUUGAGCAAACAUGCUUAGCAAACUGAGACAGGUGAUCAGGGACUCGGAUUAAGAUUAACGCGAAGGAUUUUUAUCCGGGACCGUUACAGUUCCGAAGGAUGGUUGCACCAUGUUUUUAGGAUCGUCAGCUCAGCCCAUCAAGAGAGAAGAUGGCCCUCGCUCACGAGGGGCUACUGUUGGGGAAACCACCUUCAGAAUCCCCUUUCGGAGGGAGAAGUCCUCUCAUCACUAAGUAUGAUGGCUUGCUUGAUUGUGGCGAACUCUAAGUGCUGGGAAGAGGAGAACGGAAACGAGGGACCUUAGGAGUACGAGAGCCUUCGGGGUACGACGGUGGCGGGACAGCCCUCAGGACUCUAGGAGCGAAAGUUGCUGCGAUCGGCUCAUCCUCGACGCGAGCUAUCAGAAGGCGGAGGAGCAGAGCGAUCCUACGAAGAGCACCUCGACCUCCGAAGCAGGGUGAACGUCGAAGGGCCACGUUGUCCGUCACGUGAGGUGAAGAAGCCAUACAAGGAGCUAGCUGGAGAAGUCCGUACGAGGACCGUAUUUCCCGUUGUACCCUGCAAUAUCUGGGAAUCCGACCGUUGAGUAACGGUAAAUUGUAAUUAUGUUUUGUGGCAGUUGAUCUUCCUAUAAAUAGUGGAACCACUGUAACUGAUAGGGGGACUGGUCCGAAGCAAAUAAAAGUUAAUGCUAUUUGUUGUUCCUCUUUGCAUCUUUUAUUUAUUGUUUUAGUGAUUUCAUCUCUGGACCGUUAGAAGAAGAAUAGGAUAUACACUUGGUCCUCUUCUCCCGACGAAGGGGGCCUCACCUCUUUGGAGGAAAAACUUUUAGGCUGUUGUGACGAAGUCCCAUUGGAACCGUUUUCCAGCAACACGUUCCAUGUUCGAAGGGAGGAACUGAAGAAAUAAAAGGAGGGAAAAGAAUUUUGAAUGGCUGCGGGCAGUCGCGUGGGGAGAAAGCAGGCCGAGCUGGGGAAGGUGGUGCGAUGGAUUUCAACCAAUUCCCAGCCGCAGCACCAGUGCGGUUCCAUUCAGCCUUCACGCAAGCGCUUGCGUAGCGAUAGACAUGACAGCACCCGAGUAUUAAAAGGGAUUAUUUUAAUUUCUUUCUUUUUCGUGAGAGCGGGCAUGACAGGAGCCAUGCACAGAUGCACGCGACGUCGCUAUCCCAUCUGUGCAAUUUUGUCGAUUUACUGAGGCUUUUUUUCUCUUUUGGAAACCGUUUUUUAAUUUUCUAGUUUGGUUGGAUGUGCUUUUCGUUGCCCUUUCUGAGAUAGCGACCACGAAGGCAUCACGAAUAUACCAUGGGUUGUUUCUUCUCUCUUCUUCUUUAUGCAAAGAAAUAGAUAGGAUUGGGUCCAUUUGCCACGGGAUGAACUUCGUCAUGUAGCAUCUGCACACGCUAUAGCCAUCCAAGUGUUUUGGGUGGAGUUAUCUCGAACGUGGGGGCACGAACUGCUUUGUGACGUUGAAUGGAUUUGGUUGGAGCGAAUUGGCGACACGAUCGAUCCAGCCUAAACGGUGUAAAAGACAUUGGAAUUUUGUCAGACAUUUUGUCAUACAAAUCCGGCCCACGCCAUGAGUUUGUUUGUGCAAAUCAAACUAUGAAGGUUUGAUGCUUUUAACUCGAGAAAUGCCGAUUUUACUAUAUUCCCUAAAUUGGUAAUAUUUAUCUUUAUUUCUAUGCUCUAAUGAUAUAAUAUUUUAUAAAUACUUAGUGAUGAAAGCGACUAGAGGGAGAGGACUGUCCUGAUACUGUCGUGUCGAUAGCUAGCUCACCUUAUCGGUCUCGUUCGCUUGACACCUUUGUAAACGAACUGAGGGUCUAAAGUUUAAUCCUGAUUAAAGUUGAAGGAUCCAUCAGUCGGAGCAUGACCCUAAGUUGCAAACCUGCAGUUAAAUUCCCAACACCAAGUUUGAGUUGAUUCGGUUGGAACGCAAUGGGACUUCGCCUGAAGGAAUUGGGAAGGUGAUGGACUCGGAAUCAGGAGGCGGAGGUCAGGAUGGACACGGUGCGAUAUAGGCGAGAGUCCCCUCCAGCAGGGCACGUCGUCUGAUCUCAGCUUCGGGUCCUUCCUACUCAUUGCUGCUGGCCACCUCGUGGGUUGCACCCAGCGGCAUGGGUCUAGAGGCGUGCCUUAACCUUAGCGGACCAGCACUGCCACGCACGUUGAUCUGGGCUAGAAGCCAUGCCUACGCUAAGGGGUGCUUAGGAGAUAUGGGCUAAAUUUUAGCCUCUGUCGUAUCGGAUGUUUGAACACUAAUUAGGAGUAUUAAAUAUAGGUUAAUUAUAAAAUUAAUUACACAACCCCUAGGCUAAAUCGCGAGACGAAUCUAUUAAUCCUAAUUAGUCCAUGAUUUGAUAAUGUAAUGCUACAGUAACCAUUCGCUAAUGAUGGAUUAGUUAGGCUUAAUAGAUUUGUCUCGCGAUUUAGCCCAGGGGUUCUGCUAUUAGUUUUAUAAUUAGCUCAUGUUUAGUCCUCCUAAUUAGCAUCCGAAGAACAUCCGAUGUGACAAGACUAAACUUUAGCCCCUGCUAUCCAAACACCCCCUAAGGCGGCAACGUUGGCGCUUCGGCGGGAUUGUGCCCAUGCGUUGCGAUCUCAUCCGCACAUGCCUACCUCCAUUGUGGCGACACUGCGCCCAUGCGUCGCAAUCUCAUCCCGCACAUGCCGCUGCGCAGGGCAUAUGCCGAGCUCCAAGCUGCAGGUCAUCCUAUUAUUGGGCGAUGAAGGUUCUAUUUCAGCUGUGGGAGGUCGAGGCCACGACAGAUUUGCACAGAAUUCAGAUACGGGGAAAAGUAUCGAAGGAGGGAUUAGGAGAAGGGGGAAAUAGAUGGUAAAGUUCAAGUUCAUGUCCCUCACGAACUCUAUUUCUUCCCGUGGCUGGCCGUCGCAACGUAGCCAAGCAGCCUAUGGACACAGGCGGACAAGAGUUGCCUGCAAUUAGCACUAUGGGCCCACUUGUCAAUGAGAUUAGGUUGGAUAAAAAAACAAGGUAGAAGCAUUGUUCAGGGGGUGUUUGGAUCCAUGGACUAAUUUUUAAUUCGGGUCACAUCGAAUGUUUGAUACGAAUUAUAAGGACUAAACGUGAACUAAUUGUAUAAGCCGUGGCUAAUUUGCAAGACAAAUCUAUUAAGACUAAUUCAUCUAUGAUUAGCACAUAUUUACUGUAGCAUCACAGGGUCAAAUCAUGGACUAAUUAGGUUUAAUAGAUUCAUCUCAUGAAUUAGCCUUCAUUUAUGCAAUUGGUUUUAACUAUAUUUAAUUAUUAUUCCUCAUUAGCAUCUAAACAUUGGAUGUGACAGGGUUAGUCCAUAUCUCCAAACGGGCCUUAGUUUAAUAAUAGAUAAGACUUGUCAGUCUGUAUAAAAUUUUAUAUCACAUUAGAGCGACAAAAGUUGACUUCCCGAAGUUUGACACAAAGUUAGAGCAGCACGCACGUGUCUAAAAUCAUAAUAACUAAAAAUUUAUAUUUAUAAAACGAAGGAAUAUGGGCAUAUUCAAUAACAAAAAACUUAACACAUGCCACAAGAAUUUUAUUUGACAUCUAGCUUUAGAAAACGUUGAACAUAACAAUUUAUAUAUUCAUAGUUUAACUAUGAAUCAUACAUACUCUUAUAUGCAUAUGAAAGCUUCAAACAGUUUAUGACUAAACAUAUGAAAACCAAAAAAAUUAUUGGGCAACUAUACUUUUGACAGAGAAGAAAGAAUUUUUUUCAAAAAAAUAAAUGUUUAGAUUUUGCAGCCGACUUGGCAAGCGAUAGAGGAGUGGUGGGAUUGGUGCGUGCGUGGACGAACAGUGUACACAAACGAGAUCACGGGGCCUGGAGGGUGGAGGCGGAAUCUAUUCCCGUUCACACUGAGCUUGCGUGGUCGGCACGAGUGGCCCAUGGGCCAAGUCAUUCAGUCGCCUUUCGCUCUUGUCGUUUCUUUCGUUCAUUUUGAUCCCAAACAUUUUUUUUGUUUUUUGAGCAAAUGUUAAUUCCAAACCUUGGAAGGCCGGGCAAAACAAGGAAUUUUUUCCAAUCUACUUGUGGCCUGACCGCCUGAAUUCCGGAUCCGACGAACGCAAAAGAUUCUGCUGAUUUUGGAUUCAGUCCUGAGAUGUUGAAGGUUCUGCGAGCUGGGAUUUGUUAUGCCUUCGGCCUUUGCGUCCACGGGAAUAACGUUAUUCGUUCGAAAUUCGUGGUAAAGCUGCUUGGUACGAAACAGGUGUAGGAUCGUAUGAUCCUUGUUCUCGCCACGCUUCUUGUGUCCUUUACCUCCCGCAGCCGGUGGUGACGAGGUGUCCGUGCCAUGCCACAAGUCACCGCCAUCCACCAGGUGGGUUCGGUGAAUCUCGGAAUCACACUGCAGUAUCCUUAAUUCGAAGUUUCGGACCCCAGUUCCUAUUUAGACCAACCCAUCGGAAAUCAAAAACAUCUUUCCCACGACGCAGGAUGGAUUAUUGCGCCUUAUAUAGAUACUCGACAUGUUCGGCUGAACCUAUAAGCCGGCUGAAAAGCUGAAACGGCUGAUUUAUUGUGAGAGAAAAAUAUUGUUUCGACUAAACUUAUCAGCUGGCUGUAAAGCUGAAACGGCUGAUUUAUUGUGAGAGAAAAAUAUUAUUCGGUGGCUGAUACGCCGGCUGAUAAACCCAAACGGUUGAGGAUGUCCACGUGCAACGCCGCUGGGAGCACGCAUCGUGUCGGUCGCAGGUGCCGAGUGUUGAAUCUGGAAUUAACGGACAGAAUUUGCCCCAGCCGCUGGAAACAAGAACUGUUUGACGAAACACGGAGGAUUUGUGGCAGGCGCCCAGCCCUGGCUCUUUUACACUCUACUUCUGUAGCAUCAAUCAAUUCGGAAAGCGGCAGGCAAGUGGAGGGGACCUCACUCCAUCCAGGAACCGUUGGUUCGUAGCAAGCAACAGGCACACCAUUUUCUUUUUUGCGGGUAAGCAACAGGCACACCAUUGACGGGUGAACAACCAGCUCAGCGCGAAUUGAAUCUUGAACAGUACUAAAAGAAAGCGUAGCACCGACCUGACGAUAGUUUAAACAUUUAAUUAGAAGUAGCAGUACCUCAUUCUGCCUGAGUAGCCUUUGUUAACCAACAACUACAAGGUGAACGGCGACGGCGAUGUCAGCUGGUUACCGGCUACUAGCUACCAAAUGCUCCGGCGACCUGGACCACCAAUCACAACCCGCAGGUUGCCGCCGACCGCCAGGGGCUUGCGCGCCGGUCCGUCAGCGGUGCGCCGUGACGAGGGUCUCGAUGAAGCGCAGCCCGUCGAACCGCGGCGCGAACCUCUCAUCCGCCGCCGCGGCGCCGCGGCGCCUCCUGCUGCCGGCGUCCUCCUCCCUUGGCGCCGAGGACCCCUGUACCGGAAGAAUGCCAUCUCGCCAGGUCAGCCACACAGAUCGAUGGGGGACUAAAGAACCGAUGUCCGACGAGCUAGCGAGCGAGAGCGUACCGUGGUGGAGGAGCACGCGGCUGACGCGGCGGCGGUGGCCGCGGCGGAUACGGCGGCAGCGGCGGCACUCCACCUCAUCGCGCGACCGGGGGGGAGGACGACGGCCGGACCGGAUGAGGAGGACUCGACGGGGGCGGCGCCGCCGCCGCUGGGAUCUCACCACGGAACAGUGGGCUACUGGCUAUGGGUAGUCGGGCCUGCCGAGCCGCGAUGGCCGCGGGCGUAUUUAUGUGCGCCCUCGUCGGAACCGUGCGGGGGCGAUUCCGUCGGAUUUGAGAGCGGCCCGGCGUCGCGUCCGCCGCCGCCCGUGUGCUCCUUCAGACGGCGCGGUGGGGCCCCUUGCUGGUCUCGAAUCCCGAAGCUGGGGCCCGCCACGUCGUUGGGCGGUGGCGUCGGGAAGCCGCGCAACGCAAACCCCAACACCACACCACCCCCGCAGGCGCAGAGAUCGAGAGAGAGACGCAGCGGGAAGGCGACAGCGACGAGGAUGCUCUGGAACGCAGGCCUGGCGGUCCACGGGCCGACGCAAGGGAACGUGCGCCGCAGUGCGGUUCGUGUCCGGCCGGCGACCAGUGUCUUCGAUGCAAACUGAAUGAAAGGGUAAAAUCGUAAAAUUCAAAACCACACGGUUAGGCUCCGUCUGGAUCCUGGCUGAAGUUUAGUGCUAAAGAUCACCUAACAAAAUUUUAUAGGCCGUUCGCUUCAGCUUACCAGCCACCAAACAGUGUUUUUCUCUCACAACAAAUCAGCCGUUUCAGCUUUUCAGUCGGCUUAGGGCAGUCCCAAUGGGACAUUGAUGAUAGUUUCUAUCCCUCUUAAUUAUCAUGCCAACUAAGCAAUUUGCUGAUGUGGCAGUAGAUUUAUUAUGGAGAGAGAGAAACCAUUUCUUAGAGAGGAAACCAAGUCCUCACGCGCACCAAUGAGCCAAGAAACCAGCGAAUCUGCAUUGAGGAGACCCAAGUAGUUUCUUCUUACUUAUUGCCGGAUCCUUUGCGCUUGCACCGCUACUACCUAUCACUCGAGCUCCUUUACAUGAUGCACAGAGGAUCUGGUACUAGAAGAGAGAAUGAUUGGUUGGAUUUUUGUUUAGACUCUAGAUAAAAAAGUUGCAUUGUGAAGGAUGAUUUCUUGAUACAAUAUCCUAGACUAUGGAAACUAGGUUGGUUUCUCCCAUUGGGACUGCCCUUAUAAGUCCAGCGGAACAGGCUCUUAGCUGGAUCUCUCUCCCCGACAAAUCCAACAAGCCAGCAGUGGCGUUGGAGGCCGCGGGCCCCCUCCCUGCCAUCCCGACGAGGGCGCCCGCAUCCCCGAAGUUUCGGCAACCGGCGGACUGGCAGGUUGGAGCAGGGCGAGUCGUGGCCGGGCAAGCAGCGGCAAGAGCAAGGUCCGGUGCGCCCGGGCAAGCCGCGGCGGCGUUGCCUCCCCUCGACCGUCUUCCCUCAACGUGCAGCGGCGCCUCCCUCGGGCGUGCGGUGGCACCUCCCCCCGUCGUGCGGUGGCGCCACCCCCAUCUGCCUUCCUCCAACAUGCGGUGGCCCUUCUGUUGCUGUCGCCUGGUCGCCCAGUAUCUCGCGCUCGAUCCACUCCUCUCUCUGGACCGCGUCUAGCCACAUGCAAGUGACGCGACCUCGGGUAGCUCCGGCCCCGGCAGUGAGGGUGACCGGCGCGAGCUGCUUCGACAUGGGUGGCGGCCCUCGGUGAGGGCGCCCACGGCCGCGUUCGGUGAGGAAAGGGCUGGAGCUGCGCGAGUAGAGGGGCAACCAUUGUUCGUCGUCUGCGGCGCUGGCGGCGUCUGAGUCGUAGCCCAGGGAACGGCAAGCCCGGCGGCGCGCGACUGCGGUGGUGGUGUGCGGCGCGCUGGCGGCGGCGUGGGGGUAGUGUGGAAGCGGAUCGGAAUCGGAUGGGGAUAGGCUGGUGGGUGAAUGAAUGAGGGGUAUUUUGGUCUUACGCUGGUUUAGCUGCGGGUUUAAAUCUUUAGCUACAUAUAAACUUUAGUUGGAUCCUGUUUGAAUUCAAAAUGGCUAAAUUUAGAGCCCGUUCGGCAGCGCUGCUGGCUUCAGCUGCAAGCGGCGGUAGAAGCAGCUAGCCACUAAUGCUAGCUGCUGCUUGGGUUAUUGAGGCUGGUUUUCGUACUACUGCGCUGCUACAUUUCAAAUUUAAAUUUGUAACGGUAAAAGAAUCUAAAAAAUUCAAAUUUUUUGGCGCAAACUUAACCAACUUCAUCGAAGGUACUAACGUACAGAAUAAGCCACACAAUUUCUUACAUACAACAUACAACACAAACAUACACAACAUACGCAUACAUCUACAUCAAAGAGAUUCCUGCCGCGAUCUAAUCUCGUACACUAGCCAUAUCAGGAGUAUCAUUUGCUGCGACCCAUGCUGACACCCCAUAGUCCGGAGUUCGCGCCAUGUUCGAACCUGCAGUACUUGCAUCGGCAAGGUCCAACAAAUAAUUAUGGAGUGUGAAGCAAGCAAUAACGAUCUUCGUUUGCCUCUCUCGAUCAUAUAAUGGAACUUGCCGCAAAAUAUGCCACCUGGAUUUGAGCACGCCAAAUGCUCGUUCGACAACAUUGCGAAGACUGGAGUGGUGGAAGUUGAAUUUCUCCUCCAAAUUGUCAACCGCUCUUCUGCUGAAUUCCUCCAAAUGGUACCUAGUAUUUCGAUACGACCCCAGAUAGCCUUCACGAACUACGUACCCCGAGUCCACUAAAUAAUAUCUUCCUACAGAAAAUCAAAAAUAUUCACCAUUAGUGCACCAAUUUUUGCAAUUGCUGCGUGAUGUGCGUAAUUAGGCAAGUACCAUACCUGGAGGUGGAUGCGAGUAGUUCGGUGUCUCCAUACACUCCCACAACACCGACAUGUCAUGACUAGACCCUGCCCUCCCCGCUCCUACGUACGUGAAUCGCAUGUCCAUAUCCACUAUCGCUAACACAUUAAAGCUUGUCCACCCUUUUCUGUUAAUGAAAUCCAAACGGGACUCACGCCCGACCUGUACGGGAACGUGGGUUCCAUCUAGAGCACCUAUACACCCAUCAAAGAACGGUGCAUAUUGGUUCAGCCUAUGAUUAACCUUGGAGUAUGCAAGAUCCUUUGGAGCGAUUACCGUUUGGGCAAAUGAAAACAUUACAUCUGCCACAUGCGCCAUCUUCCUACUAACUGUGUCCAAACUCCGCUCAAAUCUAUCUCUAAUUUGACGAUAAGCCUGUUGUGUCGCACAAGCCCACACGAACAUACCUAAAGCCUCAAUAGAUUCUACCCCUUGUGACAAUUGCAACCCAUGAUUCUUAACCAAAAUGUCAUGCAACUGAAGGAACGCGUCGGGAUACAUACGAAAAUUGUCGAAGCACCUCCAGCUUUCCCGCAUAUUGAGCUCAACCCAUUGCCGUCCGGUCAUGCGUGGCAACUCCACUGGCGGGUUCACCACAGGAGGUGGCCUUCUGUUCACCUCCACAUAUGUGGCUACAGCUGCUGCUACACUCGCCAGCUGGUACACGAUAGAGCUGGAAUCACUGCCGGUGUCACUGUUUGAUUCCUCAGCACUACUCAUACUUGAAUGAACCUGUGCAUGCACAAGCGGAGGGGCAUCAACCAACACAGCCUACAUAUUUCUAGUUGCACCACAUUUUAUAGAUGCAUUUGUUUCAAACCUGUCAAGCGCCCUUCCUUUCCUUCAGGUUCACCAGUCAAGUAACCAAUCCUCCUCCUCGGACGUCUAUUGAGAGCCUCCAAUGGCCUCCCCACCUUACUUCAAGUUCACCAUCCCCACCUUCCUUCAGGUUCACCAGAAUAAAACCAAUCCUCCUCCUAGUUCGCCUGCUGAGGGCCUCCAAUGGCCUAACCACCUUCCUGUCAAAGGACGUAGACAACAGACAUCAAAAUUCUAGAUCACUAUUAAGACAAGCGUUGUGACACAAGUUAAAAAAAGUGGUCAUGAACUACUGAUCAUGGGUGACAUUGAACUUGAAAAAAAUUUAACUUGCACUACAACACAAUGUUCAUGGCACAGGACACGUUACAUAAUCAAACAUUAUUGUUUCAACCCAUAAGGAAACAUUAUCGUUUCAACUCAUUAGUACACAUUACUAGAAUAAACAAAGUCAUGCCACAAUAACUCUACUUGUUCUCCCUAUCCCAGUUGAAUUAGAUCCAAUUCAGUCGGCCCUCUUUCGUUUUUAUCUUCGUGAAGGCCCUCCGAUACAUUGCGUUCCUACAUAAAUAAAGUGCCUGACAGUACAACUCAGACCCCUCCUGUAGACCAUCUUCUUCUAUAAGCAGCAUUGCAUGGUCCAGUUCCUCCUGUUCACGGUCGCCACGUUUCUGGCUCCUCGUUGCCACAGUUUCAGAAAGGUCCCUGACAUAGUCCUCCAAGUAGCCACUUUUCUUUUUCGGAGGACUGUCAACAGAGAUUUCCCAGGAUGGCCUUUUGGACAAGUUAUGAGGACUACUAGCAGCCAUGGGGUCCUGGUACAAGUCCUGUGCAUUGGCCUCAGUCACCACGCUAGGUGUCGCCUCACGAAUACCUCCUGCCGUCAACAAGGUGCCCCUGUCUUGGGCGUCAUGGCCAUACAACGUAUACAAUUCAUCGAGGAACGGGGGUGGCUUAACAAAACUCGGCUGGGAACUCGGCUGGGCAGCACCAGCUCUGAUUUCCUGCAAUGACGAACAAUACAUGUCAGUAACAAAAAUAUGUUGCUACAAAUAAGAUGAGGAAUAAGUUACGGAACUAUCAAAGGACGUACCCCUUCAUCAUCAUCCCAAAAGCUGGAAUCAGCAGCAACGCCACAAGUUUGUUUGUCACGGCCUAAACUAGAUUGGGAUUGCAAGUCCUUCCAGCUCUGGAAUGCUCUCCGCAGGGCGUUCAGCUUAUUCUGCAGCUGCUUGCUGCCCAAAUUCAGACCAGUCUGUUGUUUGAAGCUGCGGUACACAUGCUGCCAUCCCAACUUAGUGAGGCACCUGUUGCUCCAAUUGAAUUGGUUCUUCUCAGCAAUGCACAGGUCCAGCAAUAUUUUCAUCGUGGCCUCAUCCCCAUUGGCACGGUUGCAAGCCAUCUGAGUACACAGUAGCUGCAAUUAUAUUGCACCGAAGUACGGAUAACGAGAAGGCAUACAAGUACACAAUUUCAGUAGUAAUGGAUAUAUUACUUGCCUUAGCAGAUGUCUUGGCACGUUUGUGGCGGAAAUUGUACAGACAGACCGGUGGGGGAGAGCAUGACGAAGUGGAUGACAAUGCCAGUGUGGGCACCGUUGCUAGUUCGUUGCGGUUGGGCUGCUACUAGGCUUGUAGCAGAUGCCUGGAAAGGUGAUAAAAACAAAAAUAGGCACAUCACUUUAGUUGACUGUGUUGUAGAAAAGUUUGCACAUUUAAGCUGAAGAACAUGCUGGAAGCACAAUGCACACAGGUGAUAACAUCAUGACCAUGGACAGAACCAGGUAAACAGAGAUUAGAUGCUCAUGGUUUGUAGUAUAAGCAAACAUGUCAUGUAUGUCUAUUUGUCAUGGUAACCCAGUUAUGAGGUCAUACAUGUAUGGCAAAUUUUUAGUAGUUCAACAUCACAGUACAAAAAUGGAGCAUGUCUGCCCACGAUCCGCCGCCGUCGCUCCCGCCACUUGCCCACGCCUACGCUCUCGCCUGCUCUCCGCCGCCGUUGGUCCCAGAUCUCGCCCGCUCUCCGCCGCCGUCGCUCCCGCCGCUCGCCUGCUCCCGCGCUCUCGCCCGCUCUCGCCCAGCCGAAAAAAGCCCAACCAGCUGGUUUCAGCGCUGCCGAACGGCUGUUCGUACGAAAGAGAAAAAAGCCCAACCAGCUGGUUUCAGCGCUGCCGAACGACUGUUCGAACAAAAGAGAUGCUUGCAUGUACUCCAUCCGUUCCAGUGUAGGUGCAAUUUUUAGGAUUGAAGGUGCAAACUAGGGGGGUGUUUGGAUACGAGGUGCUAAACUUUAGCAAGGUCACAUCGAAUAUUCGGAUGCUAAUUAGAAGAACUAAACAUGAGCUAAUUACAAAACUAAUUGCACGGAUGGAGUCUAAUUCGCGAUACGAAUCUAUUAAGGCUAAUUAAUCCAUCAUUAGCAAAUGGUUACUGUAGCAUCACGUUGUCAAAUCAUGGACUAAUUAGGCUUAAUAGAUUCAUCUCGCGAAUUAGACUCCAUCUGUGCAAUUAGUUUUGUAAUUAGACUAUAUUUAAUACUCCUAAUUAGUAUCCAAACAUCCGAUGUGAUAGGUGCUAAAGUUUAGCACGGUGUUCCCAAACACCCCCUAGUAUUGAUAGCAAAGUAUAUUAUUACCUUUAUCCGAAGGUAAGGCUAAUCCCAGUGGGGGUUUCAUUGAGGUUUCAUGCACAUUAAAUACAGUGACACAUCAGCAUAUGUGAUGACAUGGCAUGAUAGUUAUGAAGUGAGAGAGGGAAGGAGUUUCAUCAAGAUGAAACUGUGUAUACACUGUUUCCAAGACUAUGAAACUUGCAUUGGGGGCUAUAGAGUUUCAUUUCAUCUAACCCUAUCCAAUCACAUACCUCACAAUUAAAUAUCAUGGCCAUCCUAUGAAAUCGUGAAAUGAAACUAUACACUGGAACUCUCUGUUUCAUUCACGAGAAUACAUCUUAUAGGAUGAUGUGGCAUUCUUGGAAACAGUGCCACGCCACACUAGCCUAAUAGACAUAUCUGCAAAUAGCGGUAUUCAUUGCAUCGGUACAAUGUGGAAUGCAACCAUGCGCCACGUUACACUCUCGAAUGUCCCAGAAUUUAGAAAAAAAAUCACACUUAGGACUAUUACAUGGAGGAUAGCACUGUUACACGGAGGACAGUGACAUCAUUACACAAAGAUCCCCACUAUAUAAGCAUUCCAAAUCAACCAAAUGAAAGACAUCCACUCUAGCCUGCCAUCCACUUCAUCAUCAUGAGUCAUGGCUAUUGAUUUAAACAUAGAACCUGACGAAGGAGUUGGGCAUCCAUUACCUGAUCCAUUACCUGAUCUAAAUGUAACGUAGAACCACUAGAUGAGAAAAAAGAUGAAAUCUAUCAUCUCCAAGAAGAUGGAUUUCAUUCGAUGGCUAUUAAUCUAAACAUAAUACCAGAUGAAUUACAACAAGCUCAGUCUCAGGAGGCCAUCUGCACACCAUCCAUGGAGGCCGAGGCGCCCCUCAAAUCGGUCACCUUGACGCCGCCCGCCUCCACCUCCAUGCUGGACUCUUCAUCCACGGAGUCGGGGACCUCAAGUCGCCAUUGGCAUCCACUCUCAUCCGACCCAUCCAUUUGAUACAAUGGCUGCGCGCACAAUCCACUCUCCACAGCUACGGCUGCCAGGCUUCAUGACGACAUCGUCGUCCCCUCCACCAUUGCCACUUAUCUUGGAGACCCCAUGACACCGGCGGAUCCAGGUGCGACGCCUUCGGCACCUGGCGUCGCCAGCCAUGAAAGGGAGGUGGAGGAGCGAUGGAUGGAUAAGGGGCACGGGGGGCACUCGCGGAUGGAGGGAGUGCUAAGUGGUGAGGAUAGGAUUUGGAAGACUGGAACACAAGAAGCAGGAGAGGGGAGGGAGGUGCUGAGGUGUUGACGGAGCUAGGUCGCUGGAUGUGGGGCAGCAGGCGGUGGCGAUACAGAGCGGUGCGGGAGGAUGGACUGCAGAAGAUUGGAGAAACGAGCUAUGCAGAAAUGAGCAGAGCGGUGGUGUGUCCCAGAGUUCAGAGCGUUCAGCGAAAAGCUGAAACGGCUGAUUUGUUGUGAGAGAAAAACACUGUUUGAUGGCUGAUAAGCCAGCCGAAUAAGCUGAAGCGAAUAGGCCGCCAGGCUUCCAGCGGUCCAGCCUUUCAGGCCAAGGCUCGGUGCUUCAGUUUUUUUUAACAAAUGGGCCCACGUAUACUGUGCACAUGCUGGCAUAUUGGGACUCGUACCUAUUGGUGCGUUUAUUCUGGGUAAAUUUUUGAAUUUGAUAAGUUUAGUUAAAUAAAGUCUUAGAUCAGUCUCAAUAGAAUAGAAUGUUUUAUAGAAGUUUUAUGAGUAUUAAUUCUAUGUUAUAUCAGUAAUUUUCCUAAUUGGGUAAGCUUAUUAUGAGGAAAGAGAGGAGGAGCAGUUUCAUGAGAUAAGAGAAGUUUCAUCUAUAUGACACCCACCGGACUUAGUUCUUAAUUUUGGUAACUAUGCAAUAGAAAUAGAAAUGUACACUAAAACUAGCCUUAGGGCUGAUUGGUUGGGUGUGUAGCUUGGGCCUGGCUAGGGACCGGAGCCGGCUGUGCGCAUGCAACUGGGUAUGAUUGGUUGCUGGGGUAAUUCGGCUAGACUGGAUGGACUGUGUCAUGGGCUCCAUUACUUACGCAGAGCUAAUUUAUUCACCCAAGGAUUUCAUUUCCAUUUCUCUCCAGAGCCAGGACACGAGGCCUCCAUUGCACACGUAGAGCUAGGACUGCAGGCGCUCCCACGCAACCAAACAUCCAGACGCUGCAUCCGUUAGGCCUGGUUGGGCCAGAUGUGCGCAACCAAUCUCUGUUAUUUGCCUGGAUGGUGUACUGUAAGGGUCAGUUUCGUGUUUUUUUUUCUUCAGCUUGUCCAGGUAAAACAGCUCCGGCUCCUUAAGUACUUCAAGAGUCAAGAGUGAAGUUAUUUUUAACCAAACUACUUGGUAGGACUUCAGCUAGAGCCGCAAGAGAAGCCGGAGCCGGAGCUCUACCAUAUCCUAAGUUUAUUAUUUAAACAUAAAUGGAUUUUGACUGACUUGUUAGUGUGUAUGGUCUGAGAACUGAAAUGGGCUUGGGCCUGGCCCGGUCUUUGUGUGCGCACGGCACAACACUUAAAAAGGCUACGGAAUAACCGAUAUGUACACACAAAUUCGUCUUUUGGUAGAAACUAUAGAUGGAAGCUGCAGAAAUGACACCCCUGUCCAUAUAUAGGUGCUUGUCCAUAGCUGCAAAAAUUAUACAAAUUGGCGGACACCUAAGUUCUGCCCCUUAUACAUCGAUACUCCUCGUUCCACAUAAGCAUGAAACAUCCGAAGUCCGAAACGUAAUACCUCUUACAUGAAAGCAAAUUGAUAAAAAUUGGAGCAAACAUACGUGAGUGAAACUAAAUCUGAUGAUCUAUAGUUCGUCCCGUUGUAUUUAGAGCAAUAUUGCCGUUCAACUCCAUGCACGGUGUAAACACCAUAGUAGAAAUGAUUUGUUUUCCCCAACAAAGAAAUGACUACUCCAAUAUUCCUGAAUUAGCACAAAGAAUGAUAUUAAUGGGAAGUAAUUCUAAUUGAAUAAGAUCAGCGCAAAAGUUUAAUACUCUUUUUGGAUGUUUAGCCCAGUGGGUAAAGCCUGCAAGGAAUCACUGGAAUCAGUAGGUGCAAAAAGAAGAAAAUAGGGGGCUUACCUCGAAGGCACAAUAAUAUAACAAUUUGGUAAAUAAUGUUGAAUAAAGUGCUUACACAGACAACCAUCAUGUUACAAUUUGAAUUGAAAUUUCAAAGAUAGAAAUUGAUCAUUGAUAAUAUAAAUAUGUAAGCAAAAGGAAGUUUAAGAAAGAAGUAAAAUAGGUUCAUCAAUAACAUGGCAGGUUGUACAAUCUUCGUCGUUCAUCACUUGACUAACAUCUCAGCAACUAAUACCAACCCGAAAUAAGAGUAAAUUACAUCCACCAUACAAUAAAUUGCAUGAUUGUAUCACUUUGGUCCAACAAGUUGUAAAAUAUACAAAUUGAUGCAUGGAGUUGUCAAAUGUGUUAUCGAGUGUAUUUCUUGAUGGUUAGGGAGAAGCUAUCGAGGAUGAAGGACAUGGCCAACGAGAAUGGAGUUAGUUGGCCCAACCGCAUAUUUCUGGGGAGUCGGUUAGUCACAUUGAGGGCUGCAAUCUUGUCGCUGGUUCCGAGGGCGCACGCAAUGAGGCGGUGCUCCGCCUGCAUGCUUCCGACGCUGCGCGCGAAGAGCCAUGCUCCACCUCCAAGGUCGACGGUGCGCAAUGGAGAAAAUCAGUUCAUCGGCAAGCACACGAUGGCAUUAAAGGGACUGUGACAUCUUAGGAGGGAGGGUUGAAUCGGAUGUUCGAAAAUUUAAGGCUCUAGGCAUAUAUAAAAAUCUAUUUUAAUUUCUAUCUAUAUGUGCACUAGGUUUUUCUAUGUGUUGCUAUCUCUACCGUAAAAGAGUUUUGCACCAUAGGUUCCAAUCCUAUAAACUACAUAUGACAAUUCUAGGAAAGGUAAACGCCGAAUGUAAGUGCAAUAAGAAAUGCGGAAGGUCAAUGAGGUAGAGGAGACAAACUCCGGGCGUGGUGACACGGCGAUUUUUACCAAGGUAUCGGAAAGCAAAGCUAUCCACUAGUCCUCGUUGUUGGAGCCAUUCUCAAAGGGAAUGCCCACACAAGGGCAUAAACUCCUUGGUCAAGUAACUCCGUAGGAUAGCCGACGGAUCUUCCCUUCGCGUAAGUGGGUCUCUGCCUAGCCUCUCCCGGAUGCUCCUUGCCGCUGUUCACUUGAUAGAGCUUUGGCAAAAACGCCAAGGGCCUCUCCUCCCUAUCACAAGCAAUGGAGGUCACUUCACCGUUACAAAGUUCCGCAUUUACAACUCUUGGUGCGAGCAAGCACCGAUACAAAGGAGAUGUCCAAACCUCGCCUAACUCCCUAAAGCAAUGCGCUAAAAGGCCUAAAGUAGCACUAACUAAGACCAAGACUUAUGUAAUUACCUUAAUCUUCUCUUUACCACUUUGGUGGAUAGAGCACUUGUGUGUACGUAAGAACCAACCCUAUAAUUUAUGCAAGAUCUAACACGCUUGAAAUGGCCGGGCAAAGGGGUAUUUAUAGCCUCAAGCUAAGAAACUAGCUGCUAUGUAGCCAUUGUAACUUUCUGCGUAUGACCGACUCAUACGUUGCCCUGGUAACUAUUACCACCGUAUGAAUCAAUGAAGCCCAAAUUAUACUUCGAAACUUCCAGAGUUAUUUUUUAGCCGAUGCUGAGCCGAGCCAACGAUCACCGACUGAUUCGGUAAUGGCCACUGUUCCCACCGUAUGAAUCGGUGGUAACAGUGCAUGAGCCUAUCUUGAUCCUGGCUGUGGUCACCGAUUGAAUCGGUGAUGGUUACUGUUACCAUCGAAUGAGUUGGUGGAAUGUGUCGUUGCACAUUUUUCAGCAGGAUUCAUUUCAAAUCUUCACAUGUCUUUGUCUCGACUUCAUUACCAUCAUUUUUAAGUCUUAGAAUAAGAUCAUCUCUGGAUUUUUAUUAUCAUUUGGAUGCUCAAAAGUUCUUCUAAGUCUUUUUCUUGUUAUUUUGAUGGUUUUGUAAUUUAUUUGGGACCUAUAAAAUACCCACAAAGGUACAUCUUGCAAACACGUUAGUCCCAAUGGCUAUGUUGUGAUUAAUCUCCAAAAUCGUUAGGACCAUUUUCCUUGCAGGCACAACCGCGAUGGCCUGGUGGUGGUUCUCCGCUCGCUUACCGGCAUGCUGCUGUGAUGUGUCCUUGCAUUCACCGCCGCGGCACCCCUUCACGACCUCGACUUGUUCAUCGCCGAUGCUGAGUACUAGGAUGGGACGCAGAAGGGACUAAUUUGUGUGCUGCCUUGAUAGCGAUCUCAAUUGUGAAGCAAGAGGGAGAAGAGUAGAAGACCAUGAAAUCCACCUCCAUGUUAAAAGCAUAGCGAUCCUUUCCUGGAUGCAGUUGCAGCCUUGCAGCUGCAGGCAGGUGCAAGCAAUUGAUGCCCUCUUCCAUGACACAGCUGAGCGCUGCCUAUUCCCUGCGCCCUGUCCUCUUGCAAGUCUGCACCCUGUCCAAGCCUGCACACCAUCUCAUCUCCCAGACGCAGUUGAAUCCUAGAUUAGUCAGGACAUUGUUUCGGGAGAACAAAACGGACUAAUCGUCCAUACUCAUGAUUAGCUUUCAGGGAGAGAACUUUCAGGGAGAGAACUUUCUCCAGCAAAAUGGAUGGGAAUUUGUUGGAGGAAGAACUAGCGCGAAGGCGUUUGUCUGAUUCGAUCGAGAAAAUCAUCUCGUCUCCCGGGAGGCCGAAGAAGGUAUAUCGGGAGGCGACUCAUCUUGAGGGAAGAAUCUGGUGUGGUUCUGAUUCAGAGAUCGAUGAAGACUUGGGCGACGUCGAAAGUCCUCCGCAGAUAUGCUCUUCUGUGAUUGCAGGUCAAAUUAUACCUACUGAACAGGCACAGACCGGCAAAUCUGGGGAGCAACGACGAACAGAAAAGCUGCAAGCGAAGGGGUGUUGGCCGUGGGAUAAAAAUAAAGGAUGGAAGGGUCCUUUGCCCAAGCCUAGAUCUUCUCCUCUGAGAACGCUUGGAGAUUUUUUGAAGCCUAAACUCGAUGAAGCCCAUCAGCGAUUGUCUACCUCGCCGGCGUUGACGAUUUCUUGUCCUGUGCAGAUCUCAGAUCCCAAAAACACAGAAAGUUCAAAAUUCAAACGAGCUGGCUAUUGGGCUCACUGGUCCAGUCUUGGGCCGAAGGGAUAUUUGGUCACUACGUAAUCCUGGUUUGGCAUCCCUACAACGGCGGCUAUCACGAAGACCUAGCAACACGCGAUCUUACGCGCAGGCGCUAAUGGCUGGCGGCAUGGCGGCGACUGGUGGGGGAUCCGGUGGAGCUGGGAGCGGCGGCAGCGAUCAACGGGAGGGGCGCAACUACGGCGUCCAGUUUCGCGCGCAUCUCGCACGGUGGUGGCCGUGCUCCAAGAGGUCAGGGCCGGGGUCGUGGACAACGUGGCGAACACGAUCGGGGAGGACGAGGUGAUGGACACAAAGGCCGUGGACAUCAAGUUGGGCACGCUGGUGGCGCUCAUCCUGGAACUGGUUCUCACCGUGGUGAAGAUAAAGGACCAGCAGGCAGCCACAACAUGCAACGUACAGAAAAGGGUGAGAGCUCGGAGUCCUUGACAGGGAAGCACAAGGGUCCACAACCAGCCGGGGAACCGGAUCCAAAGAAGAAGAAGUUUGUGCUAUGCUGUGAGAUUUGCGAAGCAGAGCACUUCACUAAUCAGUGCCCGUUAUUACACGGUCCCAAACCGGAAGCAACUUACUGUGGUCUUGCACGGGAUGGUCUUGGCUUCUUCCACAUACCAUGCUUUCAGUACCGGAUCCAAACCUCCCUUUGUACCGGUUAUGCAACUAAUAUUGCUAAGUCAGUACUAAAAGGGUCCUUUUAGUAUCGGUCCAAAUAAUCGGUACUAAAUAACUAGCCAAUUUAGUAUCGGUUGGUCUCCCCAACCGGUACUAAAUUAUUUUUUCUUUUCUGUUUCUUUUCUCAUUUUCUUUUUUAUUUAUUUAUUCUAUAUUAGUAUUUCGUAUUUAUUUCCUUUACAUAUACUAGUUCAAAUAAGCAAUAUAUAUAAAGUUGUAUUUGAUCUAUAAUAUUACAUUUGAGAUAAUAUUAUAUAUGGACAUAUUGUGCAUACACAUAUAUGAAUAAUAUUGCAUUGCAUCAACUCUCCAAGUUCAACAUUUGGAUCAACUAUUUUGAAACCGAGUCCUGAUGAUGAUGCAGAUUUGAUCCAUCAUUAUGGAACUCUCCCGCUAGAUUUACUACCUCGUCCAGAAGAAAUCCACUAAAUUGUUCUUAAAUCGCCCUGAUUUUUUUCCGUCUCGAGGAAUUCUUCCUUCAUGUGCACAAUCUAUGUCAUCAGCAAAAGUUAUUAUAUUAAAUCAAUGGAUCUGCACAAUUAGAACUAAUUUAUUGUUAAGAAAUUUAUAUACGUACUCUGAAUUCGUGGUCAGUUAUACGCUUGGGACGUACAAAACCAUGGAUGAACUCACAUACGUAGUAUCCACAUAAAUUAUUCCCCGAAUUCUGUCUCAAACACUAUAUAUAUGGCAAAAGAAAUUAUGAAAUAUUUGUUGUGUUCAAGGAAGUGACACGAGAUGUGCAAAUUCAAUACAUACCAGGAAUUUGGAGUUGAUAUGAAGUUGCUCCUUGAAUUCACCUGAGUGAUGUUGAUGGAAGCGAGCCCAUGCUAUGUUGAACAUGUCUAUGAGGUCGGUGUAUUGAUUUAUUGGUCUCCUCAGAGAGUUCAGGAUAUAGACCAUGCUUCGAUCAAUCACGAUAACAAGGAGUAUCCAGUGGAAGCUAUACAUAUAUACAUAGUGAAAAACUAUUUAGUCUUAUUUUUAACUGCUAGUUCGAAAAAUAAAAGAGAUGGAAAACACGCUCACUUGAAGUUGUAUGGCAGAAGUAUGUACUUCUUGUAAUGUUGCUUGUCCAAGAAAUUAUAUAUAUUCUUCAAGGUCCGAUUUAGUUUAUCUCUUACAUUUCCCUCAUUUAUAACAUUCGGGUCCAUGAAGCCGACAUCAUACAAUCCUAUCCUCCGGCAAGCUUGAAUCUCUAUCCUGCAUGAUACAAAAUAGAAUAGGAGAUAAGACAUCGCACAAUAACUAGAGUAGAGAUUUUGAAGUUAGAGCAAAUUAAACACUUACAGAACCCAAGAACUAAUGAGUGAUUUGUCAAGUGCGUCUUGAUUUUAAAGGAAAUAAAGUUCCUCGAGCAGCACAUUUAUAACGGCAUCACCACAGAAAUAAUGCUGAUCUUGAUAUUGAAAAAAUAAUGCAAUAACUGAUGAAAAAUUGCUAUUAUAUUUAUUUAGUACGUAGUAAAUCAAAUAACGUUCAUAAAAUUGCAAAAAGAAGUUUGUUAUCUUGAUAUUGAUUAGAUUUACACAAUAAAAAUAUUAGAUGCACUUAAAUAUCAAAGAUAGUAAAAUUAGUAAUAUUAAGUUAGUAAUGGGUUAUAAAUUCUCAUAAUACUUAUGUUAACUUAACAAUUAGAAAAAAUAAAUAUUUUGACCAUGCAAAAAUCUAGAAAAAUAGUGCCUACAGUGCUAUUAACAUGUUUACCAUAACUUAGUCAUGUACUUGUUAAAUUGUAUGUAAAUUUAUUGUUUAAUAUAUAAUGGUGCUAAAAAAAUCAAAAUAAUUAAUAUUUUAACCAUGCAAAAAUUAGUUCUUGUUUAAUAACUCCAUAGAACGUUAUUACAUUACUUUGUCACUUGAUCGUAAAACUUUGUCACUUGACCACAAUACAUUACAUAUCAUUACAAUGUGUUGUUACAUUAAUUUAUCACUUGACCACAAAACAUAACAUAUAGUUCUAAUACAUUACACAUCAUCAUCUAAUGGAAUGUUAAUAACCUUCCUCUUGAUGAACGUCCCUUGGUUGUGAUCGUGGCGUAUGGAGCAUCCUCUUUGGUUAAUAGGAUGCUUGGGCCAAGCUCGAUUGAAAAUGGAGAAAGAUCAUCGAACUGAUCAUAGACUUCUGAAAUAUCAGUUUUGUCCUCAACUCCAGUGAUUUUUAUUUUCCCUGGAAGAACUAUGUGGCGCUUUGGCUGGUCAUUUGACUUAUUAGCACCCUUCUGUUUUGGUUUGCUUGAUGUCGGCUAGGCACCCCCGAGCCCACAAGAAGACUUGUACGAACCCACUCAAGGAAACGUACCCGAAACCUACUCGGACAUGAAUACUACUCUGCAGAGCGCGUAGGCUUCAUGGACUUCCCGAAGACUAGUCGGGUCCAAAGGAAAGUACUCUACCGAGUUAGAGUAGGACUCUGUAAUGUACUCGACUAGGACUCCUACCCUAUAACCGCUGCUCCGCCAACUAUAUAAGGGCGGGCAGGGAUCUCCUCUAGACAACGAAGAACAAGAUCAAUACAACCAACACACAGGACGUAGGGUAUUACGCGAUCUAGCGGCCCGAACCUAUCUAAAUCGUGUUCCUUGCAUCACCAUCGACUCCUUGAUUCUUGACGACACCUGCUGCACAAAAGACCACCUUGGGUACUCCCUAGGCGGGUUGCCAGUCUAAACACCGACAGCUGGCGCGCCAGGUAGGGGAAGUCGCCGAGUUUCUCCGCGCGAGAUCGAUGGCACCAGUCAUCAUCAAGCCUGCUUCCUCCUUUGAGGUGAGCGCGACCUUCGUAUUCGGCUCUUGGCUUUGCAUCGCUGACGGUGCUGGAUCCUUUCAACGUUGCAUCAUCGAUAGCCAGGAAAAGAAGCGUCUCGAUGAAAACUUUAUUCAUCAAGAAAUAGAGAAUCUCAUCAAAAAAAUCCAAAAUUUCAAUGCCAACAACAUUGAGUUCGACUACGGCACAGGCUGAUGUCCAAGUCAUCCCGCAAGUCGACUUCAGCUCGAAGUCAAUUCCCGCACGAAGUCCGCAACACAGCUGUGGUCCACCAAGAUUUCCUUACUCGAGUCCAAUCCGAACUAGAGUCAGCUAAGGACUACGACUUCGAUUCAGACUCCGUCCAAGAGAUCCCUCUGUCAGGACCAGCUCAAGGCUUGGUAAUUAUUUCAACUUCGUAAGGCAGAUUCGUUUAUUGGCCUCAGAUGAAGCCAUCAUUCUUUGCCCAAGAUUACGAGUCACGCCUUGUCGCUUACAUAGACAACAUCCCAUAUUAAGAGGGUAUCCCGCUUACUUCAACCCGCGAAGAAGGAAGCACUACGGAGAUUGCAACAUCAAGCUCUGGAAGCUACUACAUGGACAGAAAAAUCUUCGUCAUCAUGUUACCAAAUAACGACGUGGGUGCCAGCCACCAAAAAACUCCUUGACGGGUUGCACAACUCGACGACUUUUUGCAAGACGAAUCGUCAGCCAACACCCCGCAAGAUGAAACCUCUAAACAAAGAAUCAAAGAAGGGCACGCAAUGCUGCCCGAGCAGAUCGUCGCUGACUACUAGCUACAAACAUUCCUAUUGUGAAUCUCGAAAGAGAAUUUGAUGCAGUGCAAACUCGAGAACACAACACUCCACUCGCAGCAAUUGCCUCGAUCAAUCUCAUAUCAACUCUCAUACCUCAUGACAGAGACAACAAGUUAACAGCACAACUCACGGAAAGGGGCAACGGGUUAAUAGCACAACUCGUAGAACAAGCUUACAAACUACUUGAUAAGGAAUCGCCAAUCUCAUCCAUCCCUCGCAACUCGGCCCACCAGGAUGGCAACAGAGGUGUUGCAGUCUAUGGUGGCAAUCGUGAGGCUCCAAGAAACAGUAACGAAGUAGUCAACCAGCGGAGGCAACAUAGCCAAAGGCAAAAUAGAGCUGAACGCGAGGCCCCAAGGCGAAACAAGGACACAAGGGAGGCUACCUGCACCAAUUCUGCAAAGAGCCCUCCCCACCGCAGAGCCGAUCGCGAAGCCUCAAUCUUUAGCGACCUAAGAGAGGUAAUUAAUAACAACCAUCGCCGCGAACGCGAAUGCGAAACCAAUGACUAUGAUCACUUCCCCGCCUUCACCACACAAGUAAUGAAGACUAAACUACCCGAGAAGUUCAAGCCGACGGGGAUCACCAAGUAUGAUGGUAAGCAAGAUCCAGUCCAAUGGCUACGAUGCUACUCACUAGCAGCUCAAGCAGCUGGGGGUAAUGAUGAUACAAAGGUUAUUCACUUCCCCAUAUGCAUGGAACCCGCACCAUUAACAUGGCUCGAGUCACUCAAGCCCAAGUCGAUCGAUUCCUGGGAAGACUUGACGAAGGCUUUCACUAAUAAUUAUGGGAGCUCCAUGUCUCGCCCAGGCAACAAAAUUGACCUAAGCCAAGUCAAACAGAAAGAAGGUGAGACACUUCGUGACUACCUGCGCCGUUUCUUUGAAAAAAAGGCUACAAUAUUUGACAUUUCAGAAGCAGACAACAUCGAGUGCUUCCAAAAUGGCCUCUAUGAUCAUCGAACAUACCAAGACUUUGGCAGACAUUGUCCAGCCACCAUCAAAGAUCUCAAAAUCAUGGUGCAAUAAUGGGCAGAUAAAGAAGACAAAGAGUGUGAGAGAUUCGGCUCUCAUCACAACCGCGGUCGCGAAAACAAUAACAACAAUCAUGAACAAGACAGAAAUUGCAAAAAUGAUACUCGAAACAACUACUCGGGUAAUCAGAACCACAAGCGCAAACUUGACAACACUGUCGCGGCUAUGUCCAACUCAGGCAAGAAAGGGUCACACAAACGCAAUGAUGGGCCCUCCUUCACUGAGUUACUCAAGAAGCAAUGCCCGUGGCAUCCAAACAGCAAACACUUGGCGAUCGACUGCUACAACAUGUGCCGAGUAAUGCAAGAAUUACCCGCACCACCCCCUCCCGAAGACAUUGGUCAGAAAAAGGAUAAAGGUAAAGGCAAGGUCAACAAAGUUGAUGAGGGCGAAGGCGAGUUCCAAACUGCCUCUAAAACGGUCAACAUCAUUUUCGGUGGAAUCCCAGGUACCACAUCCAAGCGGUCCAAUAAGCUAGUACUUAGAGAGAUUAUGGCUAUCGAGCCAGUAGCUCCUACACCACUUUAAUGGUCUAAGGUACCCAGAACUUUCAGCAGAAAGGACCAAUGGACAAGUUUCUCAGAACCAGGCCGAUUCCUUCUGGUACUCGAUCCUGUCAUCGCAGGCUCAAGACUUACCAAAGUACUCAUCGAUGGCGGAAGCGGACUCAACCUUAUUUUCGCCAAGACACUAAGGAAAAUGUGCCUCGACGUCACAGACAUGCUUACUCCAACGGACUCACCAUUUUACGGAAUUAUCCCAGGCAAUGCUGCCAUACCUUUAGGACAAGUUGUCCUACCAGUCACUUUCGGCACCAAGGAACAUUACCGACCGAGUACAUCAGGUUUGAGGUUUCCAACUUUGAAACUUCUUACCAUGCCAUACUCGGAAGACCAGCCCUAGCAAAGUUUAUGGCUAUACCACACUACGUCUACCUGGUACUCAAGAUGCUAUGACCUAAGGGUGAGUUAACACUACGUGGAGACUUGAGGUGAUUGUACGAGUGCGACACGAAAGCUGUCGAACUCGUAGCGAGUUCUCAAGCACCCAAUCCCAUGCAACAAGUCUUCACAGCAUCAAAGAAACUCAACCCCACAGAACUCGAGAUCUCAGGAAACAAGACGAGAUCAACUAAGGUGAAACCAGCAAGCGAGAAGGACUUCAAACCCGUCGAUCUACAAACUGGUGACUCAUCCAAGACAGCCCUGAUUGGAACAAGACUAGACCCUAAAUAGGAAAGCGUGCUCAUCAGUUUCCUUUGGGCUAACCAUGAUAUCUUCACUUGGAAGGCCUCUGAUAUGCCUGGUGUGCCCAAGGAGCUGAUUGAGCAUUCAUUAAAUGUCGAUCCCAAAGCUACCCCAUAAAGACAAUGACUACGAAGGUUCACCCAAGACAGAAGAGAUGCAAUAAAAAAAGAGCUGGCCAAACUACUUGCAGUAGGGUUUAUCAAAGAAGUUUUCCACCCUGAUUGGUUAGCCAACCCUGUACUCAUUCGCAAGAAGAACAAUGAGUGGAGGAUGUGCGUCGACUAUACAGACAUCAACAAGCAUUGCCCAAAGGACCCCUUGGACUACCUAGGAUCGACCAAGUAGUCGACUCCACAACUAGGUGUGCAUUGCUCUGCUUUCUUGACUGCUACUCAGGCUACCAUCAAAUAGCCCUCAAAGAAGAAGAUCAAGCCAAAACAGCUUUCAUCACCCUGUUUGGAGCAUUUUGCUACAAAACAAUGUCUUUUGGGCUAAAAAAAUGCUGGUGCGACCUAUCAACGUGCCAUCCAGAUGUGUUUCGAGAAACAACUACACCGCAACAUAGAAGCUUAUGUAGACGACGUGGUCAUUAAAACAAGAUAUCCAGAUGAUCUAGUCGCUGACUUAGAAGAAACAUUCGCAAGCCUACGAGCAUUCUGGUUGAAACUCAACCCUACGAAAUGCGUUUUCGGUGUACCCUCAGGAAAAUUACUCAGAUUCAUCAUUAGCCAUCAUGGCAUUGAGGCCAACCCAGAGAAAAUUUUUGCCAUAAAAAAUAUGCAAGCUCCAGCUGGCAUCAAGGAUAUGCAGAAGCUUACAUGCUGCAUGGCAGCCCUCAAUUGAUUUAUCUCAAGACUUGGAGAACACGGAUUACCCUUCUUCAAGUUAUUGAAAUAGCAAGACAAGUUCCAAUGGACAGAGGAGGUAGACAAAGCCUUGACACAGCUCAAGGACUUCUUGUCAAAACCACCAAUCCUCACAGCUCCAUCUCCAAGCGAGGACUUGCUCCUAUACAUAGCUGCUACUACUCAUGUUAUCAGCACAACAGUAGUAGUCGAAAGGUCUGAACCAGGCCACGUCUACAAAGUCCAGAGACCCAUCUACUUCGUCAGUGAAGUACUCUCGGACUCCAAAACUCAAUACCCACCAGUGGGAAACUACUCUACACAAUCCUGCUUACUUCACGGAAACUACAUCACUACUUUAAAGAAUACAGCAUAUCCGUCAUCACCGACUUCCCGCUCGGUGAAAUCCUUCAUAACAGGGAUGCAACGGGUAGAAUCUCCAAGUGGGUAGUAGAACUCGGAGCUCUAUCUCUAGAUUUCAAACCCAGAAAAACUAUCAAAUCCCAAGCUCUGGUCAACUUCAUAGUGGAGCGGAGGGAAAACCAAGUACCAACACCAGUUGAAAAGCCAGAGCAUUGGGUUAUGUACUUCGACAGUUCCCUCAAGCUUGAAGGCGCCGGUGCAAGAGUACUCUUAAUCUCUCGAAAAGGUGAACAACUCGAAUACGUUCUCCAGAUCUUUUGGGAAGUCUCGAACAAUGAAGCUGAGUACAAAGCACUUUUACAUGGCCUUCGUCUUCCAAUAUCACUCGGUAUCAAACGACUAUUGGUAUAUGGUGACUCGCUAGUUGUCAUUAACCAAGUCAAUGAUGAGUGGGAUCGCAACAAGGAAAAAAUGGACGCCUACUGCAAGGAAGUCCGCAAGCUAGAGAAUAAGUUCUCAAGCCUUAAGUUUCACCAUGACAUUCGCGACAUCAACGUAGCUGCUGAUGUGUUAUAAAAAAUAGGCUCAACCCGUGCAGAAGUUCCAGCAAGUAUUUUUGUACACGAGCUUCGCAAACCUUCCAUACCAGAACAAGCUAUUCCAGCAACUACCAACACAAAACCUCCAGAACCCAACCGAGAGAUCAUGAUGAUCGAAGUUGACUGGAGAUCACCGUUCAUCGACUAUAUCAAAGAACAAAAGCUAGCCUCCGAUAAGGACCAAGCUGAACAAGUCUCGCAGCGAGGUAAGAGCUAUGUUCUAGUUGGAGAUAAGCUCUAUAGAAGGGGUGCAUCUUCAGGAAUACUCAUGAAAUGUGUCACCCAAGAAGAAGGUCAAGAAAUCCUGGAAGAAAUACACAAAGGAAUAUGUAGUAAUCAUGCCUCUUCAUGAACGAUCAUAGGAAAAACUUUCAGAGCAGGCUUCUACAAGCCCAUGGCACUGGCCGACGCAAAACAACAAGUCUGUAGAUGCUAAGGCUGCCAAUUAUUCGCCAAGCAACAACAUGUCCCCGCCUACAAGCUUAGUACAAUACCUCCAACAUGGCCCUUUGCAUGCUAGGGGCUUGACAUGAUUGGUCCACUCCCAACUGAACUAGGAGGGUUCAAUCGAGUACUCGUAGCCAUCGACAAGUUCACCAAGUGGAUUAUAGUCAAACCCGUCACUUGCCCCAAGGCCGACCGAGUCCUCGACUUCCUGGAUGAGAUCGUAUAUCGCUACGGUUUCCCCAACAGAAUCAUCACUGAUUUGGGAUCCAACUUCAACAAUCACGACUUUUGGGAAUACUGUGAGAAUAGCGGAAUUGAUGUACGAUACGUCUCUGUCGCUCGCCUAAGGGCCAAUGGCCAAGUCGAGCGUGCCAACAGCAUGUUACUCGAAGCUCUCAAGAAAAGACUGCAUGACAUCAGCAACACAAAAGGAGGCAAAUGGCUCAAAGAACUACCCAAUGUUCUUUUGGGACUACGCACUCAACCAUGCUGGGCACUCUCCCUACUUUCUCAUAUAUGGGUCAAAGGCCAUCCUCCCUGUAGACGUCAUGUGGCAAUCUCCCGUAGUUGAGCAGUAUGACGAAGGAAUAUCAGAGGAAACAAGGCGCCUAGACCUAGACAGUCUGGAAGAAAUAAGAUGUGCAGCACUUGUUCAGUCAUCCAGAUAUCUCGAUGCGCUACAACGCUAUCACGACCGUAAUGUCAAGGAGCGUUCCUUUAAUGUGGGUGACAUGGUCCUCAAACGCAUUCAAGACAUAUCAGGGCUGCACAAACUCAACUCGCCAUGAGAAGGUCCCUACGUCAUAUCCAAGGUCACAUGGCCUGGAUCGUACCGACUACAGGAACUCUCAGGCGAAGAAAUACCAAACUCUUAGAAUAUAGAGCAUCUAUGUCGCUACUACCCAUAGCAGACUACAAGACAUAUACUCGGGUCUUCACCCAUUUAUUAAACAACAAAGAUCUUUGACAAACACUAUCCUUGCCUCCGCUCGGCUAUUCACAGCCACUCGAGCUCUUCAGCUCUGCGAGCCCCAGCGCUCCGCCUUCGACUUGAUUCCAUCAAGUCUAUUUGAGUUAUCACAACUCGUCGACUAUUCACAGCCACUCGAGCUCUUUAGCUCUAUGAGCCCCAGCGCUCCGCUCUCGACUUGUUUGCAUCAAGUCUCUUCGAGUUAUCACAACUCGACGACUAUUCACAGCCACUCAAGCUCUUCAACUCUACAAGUUUCAAUGCUCUCUUGCCGACUCGUCUCUACAAGACUAAGCGGCUUCACAAAGCCACGACUCAAGUCAUUCCACUUACUGGGCGCUCUAUGAUAACAAGCCACGGCUACAGCGCUAGUCAUUCGUUCUUCUAAGGCACAAGACUGCCACAACCAUCAGUCAAGGAGUACUCAAACUCACUUCAUACUUGCAUUUUUCGCGUUAACGAAACUCCGCAGGAUUACAAUCGACUACCCAAUGAAGUCAGGGUAUACAAAAUACAACACAAUAGCACAAUAAUGACUGCAAGAAACUAAUGGCAGUUAGAACAGAAGUCCCAAGCUUUUACUAUAUCACAAGGAUACACGAGCCUAGCAACUGCCUGACUACCAAGGUGCAAGCAGUGUCAAAAGGCAGGGCCUGCACACGAGGAAGCUGCGCAAUAGGCAGUUGUACCCUGAUCCCUCCCCCUGACAACCGGAAGCCAGGUACUCCUUCACCGUCGCUCCCUCGACGGCGACAGGAUGAAUACCCGAUGCAGGAUCAGGAAGAAAAGCACCAGGAAGAUGAAGUGCACUCCCCAAAGCUACUCCCUGGACAACUUUAGUGCACAGGUCCUUACCACAUGCUACACCUCCACCUCUAAUCAGGGAGCUGGAUAAAGACCGCAGAGCUCAUCAUCCUUCACCCACGAGUUCCAGCGUGGACUGAGUUGGAUCGCAAUUUGCAAGAUGAGGCACACAACAAACCCUCCUACGAGGAUUCUUCUAGCAUCGCGGCUAUCCCUACGAGCGUCAGAGUCUAUGGAGGGAAGGUAGCUCUAAUCUACGAGGAAUCUUCUUGCACCGAGGCGCUCAUUGGAAGCUCUCUACUAUCAAACAACAUUAACCUGAAGCAAGCCAUCGCUAUACUGAAGGGCAUGACCCUAGUCGAGUACCUAGGGGCUCAUUUAUAGCCGAAGGGCUGCAACUGCCUACUACUCGCAAUUCCAGCCUGCUCGUGACGAUUAGCACAAGACAUUGACAAGGGUCAGACAGACGACUUAACUCCACGCAUGUGACCACACUGAGCAUAACGGAAAAAAGUGAACAGUGUACCCGUGCACCCUCUUAAGUACAAAGCAAUAAUUGCUACAGUACCCUCACCAGCAACUCCAAUAAUUGAAGACCACACCAGAUACUAUGACUACUCGAUUACUUGGAUAUUGUUUUCCCAACUACGAGAUCAACCAACAAAGAUCAUCGAUUAUAUCAGAAUUUAAAUUUCUCAAAGCAAGAUUUACAUGACUGAGUUUGAGUACAGCCACAAGUGUUCAGCAAAAAAUACAACACGAGUUCAAAUGACUAGGGUUCUUCCAAAGAUAUGAACUCGGUCAUCCUUGCCGCAAUGGGCUCAGGCUCCUCAAGAUACUGCACAUAGGCAUCCUCUGUGCAGUCCCAGGCAAUUCCGUCUCCAGCCGCCGACAAGUUUGCCCUCGGGUAAUACGACUUGACCACUACAAGGACUUGCUUGCAGACAGUCUUACAUAGUCCAGCAACUCUACCUGGGGCAGCUCUUAGUCUCUCGACUAGAGAGCGAGGCUCAGCAUCAUCUUCGGGUGGAACAAUGGCGUUGACUGCGUCUUGAGCAGCACUAGUCAACUCUUAGAGAUCACUUUCCAGCCUCUCCACAGCUCUAGCAUGGCCUCUACAGGACAUCAUAGCCAACGCCAGCAUCACUCCCAUCCGAUCCUUUCUAUCCUUCUCACACUCAUAAGCCGCCUGAGCUUCAGCUAGUGAUGCCCUAAGACGGACAACCUCAUUGGCUACCUGGUCGUGGGCAUUUCUCCAGUCAAGUAGUUGGCUACUCGCAGCGGCCUCCUUGCCUUUGAGCUUCGCGUCAAGCAACACACUAAUCAGAGAAGAAUCUAUGACUAUGAUUAAACAUACUCAACAACUAUGAGUACUCACCCUGAUAUCUUUGAUUCAAAGAUCUAUAGCGAUUCUCCAGCCACUCCUGAAGGACUUCAUGAUCAUUCCUUUCAAUAGCAAAAGAUUUAGUGGCCUCCUUAUGAACUAGCAAGGAAUCUGUAAGACGGCGACAUUCUUGCUCCAAUUGCACUACCCGCUGUUCGGCUACACUAUGCUCCUGAAGAGCUCGAGUAUUUUUCUGGGCCUUAUCAUACAGAUCGUACAACAACACAACACAAUCAUCAAAGCUUGUCAAAAUAUAAUUAAUCAAAGAAAAUGGGUUAUACACACCUGAAAGCUCUGGAUAGCUCUCUUGAUCUCUGACUCUGGUGGCAGCUCGAGUAUCGGACCCCCAGUGCUCUUGGCAACUCAAGGCUCUGGCUCUUUACUCACAACAUACCCUGACAAGAAAAAUCAAGGUUAGCUACUGGGUACAAGGGAACUCCCCUUCAAAAAACAUCUCUACUCCAGUAACAUACCUAUUGCGCCAAAUUCGCCUACUCCUAUCGCAACAACCGGUGCCAAGGCCUGAACACCAGUCGCGCUCACAGUCAACGCAACUUUAGCCGUUGUAGGCAGCACACCUUCAGAACUCUCGGGGACUGUAGGACCUUCCACUGAGCAGAUGACCUCCUGCAGCAUAUUCAUGGUAGCACCCAAGAGACUUGCGUCUUCGAUCUUAGGUGCAUCACCCUCCAUAAUUAAGUCAACUAUGGGCCCAGAAAAGGUAGUCAACGGACCAGCCUCAACCUCAGCCCCCACCUCGACGGGAAUAAUGUCUUCGGCAUCCCUUGAUCGAUCAAGUCACAUGAUUAUCAUCCAGCUACAGAGUACAAAAAUCAUGAAAAGAAAAUACUACACAAGUCCUUACUGGGCUGAUCCCGACGGCAGACGAACACACCUCUUUUCGACUACCACCGACUAGUUACUCGGUACUGGCUCCACAGGGGCCACGGGAGGAAAGUCCUCCACAUUCUCACCAAGUUCUGAAAGAACCAAGGUUGAGACUACGUACGCACGACUAUCAGAACAAACCGCGUACUCACCACUGGUAAUAUCCUCAGGCAACGAGGCAUCAACAACCACUUCCGGUGUCUUCACAGCAACCGCCACCUCAGAAGCCGUGGCCUCAUCACCUACUGGGUUAGUAGCCUUCCUAGGGGCUUCCAGCUCGGAGGCUCCCAGCUCGGGGGCUGCUGACCCUAAGUUUGACGGCUCCUCCUCCAUGAGCAGCCCUUCCAUAGCCGCGACACUCGCAGCCGCAUCUCUGGAAAUCAUGACUACUUCAGCAGAAGUAGCCUCAUCAUCACCAAAAGUCAAGUCGGCGGCCUUUUCAACACACAGACUAACAUCAUCAGUGUUCUACAAGCAAUAUGACUAAGUCAACAAGAAACUCAAAGUACUCAAACAAUUACAACGCACGUACCUUGGUACCUCACGACUCAUCGGGAGUCAAGUCUGAAGCAGUCGCAGCAUACUGUGUAGCGGGUUUCUUCCGCACUACUUGGUGUUUCUUAGUCGGAGGAGUGGAAGGAGAAUCUUCAUUAUUACCAUCAGCUACCUCCUUAUCCUUAUACGGCGUGGGCAAAAAACCAAGCACCACCCAGGACUACAAACCACAAUACAACAUUGUUACUCGGAAAGUACUACUUGUCAAAUUAACCGACUAUAUAUUUGACUACACAAAAUGAACAUAGAAAAGCAAAAAUACCUUUGCUGACCCAUACCAACCGUUCAACUACCGGAGGACUCUUGGGAGUACUGACACUCCUUGAUACGUCUUCAGGGCACAUACGUGACGGGUCAUCAAAACCCGUGUACUCGAAGCCCCAGUGAGCAUGCUGCUGCAGGGGCUGAACUCUGUGCUGGGCACGCUGCUGCAGGGGCUGAGCUCUGUGCUUAAGGAAACUAGCGGCUACAUUGAUCCCAGUUAACCCCAAAGAUCUCAACUCGGAAAUCUACGACAACAAGUCGGUGAUCUCAUGGGUAUCCUCAGGCUUAGUCACCCAGUUGUCCGCAUGUUUUGGAGCAUGGCCGGUGACUACUGGCAAGAUAGGAUCAUGGUUGCCAAUAUAAACCACCUCUUCUUCCAAUCACCAUGGGAAUCGGGCAAAUCGUACUCAAGAUAUGCACCCGAGUUUCUCAACUGAAACCUAGCUCCUCCAAAGACUUUUGUCCUAGUCGUGCUGGGUUGUGGUUUACACCAAAACAAUUUCCUAAACAAAUCCAGACAAGGCAAAACACCCAAGUACACUUCGCAUAGGUGUACAAAGAUAGCCAUAUGCAGCACACCAUUCGGAUUCAAAUGGACUAGCUGAAGAUUAUAAUACUCGAGAAUACCUCUGAAGAAGUCAGAGGUAGGCACUGCCAGGCUUCUCUCGACAAAGUGAGCCAGCAUCACCGCCUCCUUGGGGUGUUCUUCGAAUUGCCAUGCAUUUCCAUAUGCAGGCCUCCACUCAAGCUCAACCUUUGGUUGGAGAAACUUUGCAUGAACCAAGGCCUGAACCGCCAGCUUUUUCAUCACAGAGUGGUGCCAGGUGACCCCAGGAGGCGGUGGCGCAGUAUGGUUCAUUGGAUCACACUUGGGCGCGGGCAACUCGGGCUCUUUACCCUUCUUGGAUCUGGAUCACAACUUGCUGGUGGUCGUGGUCUCCCCCUGGAUCUUCUCAGGUUUCUUGCCCAUCUUCUUGGUACGCAUCAACUAAUCUUGAGGAAUAAAGGGAGAGAAAAAGGCCGUAGCGAUUCCUCUUCAAAAGAUUGGGCGGGGCAACAAUGGCAGCGGCGGCGCAAACAGGAGCAGCGGCGCUAGGGUUGCAAAAAGGGCGCAAAUUGCAGAUCUACUACAGGCAUGCCAAUAAUUAGCACUGGGCCCCCUAUUAUAUCAACAACAUUUCCGGAUUCCACCCGUUAAUCAAGCAAUGGUCAGAUACGACUAAGAUUCACCACCAUUUAGUGUCCAACAGCUACUCUGACCAAGAAAUUGAUCCUUCAUCAACUACAAGUAGUCAUCAAAUUGCUCGGGGGCUGCGUAUACCGUACCCGUUGGAUAAAGUUUUCUUUUUCUGAAGACUAAGAUAAGUCAAAGAGAAAUUACAAGUUUGACCCUCAGCCUGAUUCUUCGAGACAGACUACUCAAAGCAAACAUCGGGAACUGCUAAGAGUACCUUCCAGUCACGCGACAGCUCCGGUACUCGAAGGUUGGCUACAUCGAGAAGUACUCGAGAAGCACGAGGAGGAACUCGGGUGACAUCUUCAAACACUCGGAGCUGUUCCUCUUGACUACAAAGUACUUGGGGGCUUGUCAGCUUGGCACCCUCGGGCCCACAAGAAGACUUGUACGGACCCAAUCAAGGAAACGUACCCGAAACCUACUCGGACAUGAAUACUACUCUACAGGGCGCGUAGGCUUCAUGGACUUCCGGAAGACUAGUCGUGUCCAAAGGAAACUACUCUACCGAGUUAGAGUAAGACUCUGUAAUGUACUCGACUAGGAUUCCUGCCCUGUAACCCUGCUCCCCCGACUAUAUAAGGGCGGGCAGGAACCCUCUCCAGACAAUGAAGAACAAGAUCAAUACAACCAACACACAGGACGUAGGGUAUUACGCGAUCCAGUAGCCUGAACUUGUCUAAAUCGUGUUCCUUGCAUCACCAUCGACUCCUUGAUUCUCGACGACACUUGCUGCACAAAAGACCACCUUGGGUACUCCCAAGGUGUCGGGGGGAAAUAUUAACGACUCCUCCCAAGCCCAUGGAGACGACAAAACGUAAAGGCCCAGGCCCACCUGAGGUAACAAGGCCAGCGCUGGCCCAACACGGGGAGCAAGGAUCACGCUCCGCCUCGCCUGACCCAGCGUCCUAGGGUUAGGCAUCCCCGACCCCCGCGAAACCAAGCUCCGCCUCGCCCCACCGCAGGACCGGGGUCGGGGGCAUCCGACCCCCCGCCGCAGACCUCCGCUUCGCCCGACCCCAUGCAUAAAGGGUCGGGCUGGCCCGGGCCUACCAGACAAGUAUCCGCCUCGGGCGCGGAUCUCAUGGGUCCCCCUGUCGAUCCCACCAUAAAUGCGCCGCAAAGCUGUCAGAAGAAAGGAUCUCCGCGGGGUCAGCCGAAGGAGCCGAAGGCGGGACGGGAUCUGCGCCCUCUCCCGUGUCCGGCGGCGGCACCACUCCAUCAGUUGCCGCCGCGGGAGCCACCUCCACGGUGGGACCUGCGACCUCACCAGGGACCCCGCUGCUCUCCACAGGUGGGGCCGCGGUGCGCCCCGCAGGGGCAAACAACACCCGCAGCGCCUUCUUGGGCGCCAGCUACGGGACGAGGCCUCGAGGGGCGGCAUUGCAAAACAGUCAACAGAGAUCAGCGAAAACAAACACAACGCAUGGAAGGGAAUGAGGUUCGCAAAGGAAUUCAACUCACGUUCCCCCAGCGCAAGGACGGCGUGCGCGCUUCGCCUCCGAGCCGGACGUCAACCCCGGGGCGACCGGCAGCGGCCGCUUGUCACCGCUCCUCUGCUCCUGGGCUGCGGGCGCAGGGGCGGGGGCGGGCUCCGUCGAGCCCUGGGGAGCGGGCUCCGUUGACCCCUUGAGGGUGGGCUCCGCCGACCCCUGGGGAGCGCUCCGCACCAACCCUUGGGGGGGUGCUCCGCGCCGCCCCCUGGGAAGCACCUCGCGCCGACCCCUGAGGGGCGCUCUGCGCCGACCCCAGAACUUUGCGGGAUCAAGCCCCGGGUGGACGAUCCGUCCGCUUCAUCCCUCACGGCCGUUUGGGAGCGCGUCUCCCGAAUAACGAGCGCGCCCGACCGGGGGGAAUGAACAAACUCCUCCUCCUCGUCGUCAUCCUCCUCAUCCUUCUCGUCAUCGUCAUCGUCAUCGUCGUCGUCCGACACGACCUGUCCUCGCCGCUGCUACUAGAACUCCUUAGCGGCCUUCUUCUUCUUCUUCGCUGUCUCCUUGUCCUUGCGGCGCUUCUGCUUCUCAGCAAGGAGACGGUUCUGAAGCCGCCGCUCGGCGUCCUCCGGCACCGGCGGGCACGAGUCCACGACCCGGGUCAAGCUACCCUGCAGACACAAAAAGGCCCCGCGUCAGAGCGGCGAACCAAGAAACACGAAAAAAGAAGGUUCACGCACAAAUUCCUUGCCAGGUCGACGAAGUCCUCGUCCGGGUGCAUCGGAGGGUGCCCGGGCACCGGGUAGUUGGCGCCCUUGUCCUCCAGCGCCUCCCGAAUCUGCCGCCGGAUCUCGGAGGCGGCGAGCGCACCCAUCGUGAGGGCGGUGCCGUCGGUCGGCGCACCGGGGGCCAUCUCGGCAAGCGAGCAGACCCGGAGCAUCAGCGGCGCCACCCGCCGGGCGUGGUACACCCCGAUAACUUCGGCUCCGGUCAACCCCCGGCCCUUCAGGUGCUCGAUGGCCUGCGCAGGUCAUGGAUCCGUUUCUUCUCCUUGUCAAUUGGGCCAUACGCCCACACCUCCGGUGCUGCCUCGAUGAUGCGGCCGGUGAACGCCGGCAAGGGGGAGUCGGAGUAGUUCUUCACGUAGAACCACUGCUGGUGCCACCCCUAGUGGGACGCUGCGGUCUUCAUCGCCAUGUACUCCCUGGCACGGGUAUGACGGAGGUGGAUUCCGGUGCACCCUAUCGGCACCGGGGGCGACCGCUGCUGGCUCCCCAUCUUCCCCGCCUUCUGGUACAGGCUAACGGUGAAGAAGUAUUUCCACAGCGAGAAGUUAGGCUCGAUGCCCAGGAACCCCUCGCACAACAUGACGGACGCCGCGAUAUGAUGAAUCCCGUUGGGGUUGAGGUGCUGCAGCUCAAGCCCGUAUUAAUGCAGAAGCCCGCGGAAGAAGAGGCUCGGCGGAGUCGCAAAACCUCUCUCGUGGAAGUGGGCGAAGGAGACGACAUAGCCGGCAGGCGGCGUCGGCGCCUGCUCCAUCCCCGGAAGCUCCCAUUCGCCCGCCUCCGUCCUCUCGCAGAGGAGACCCCUCCUCACUAGGUCCUCGGCGCGCGAGGGGCCGAAGUGGGAAAGCGCCCAAGAUCCCAUCGCUGGAGAGAAAGAGGAUCGAUGAGGGAUGAGGGGAAAGGGUGCGGCGCGGGGCGGAGGAAGAUGAAGCGGGUGCAGGAGAGCUAAGGGCGCGCGAGGAGGCAAAAAAGCUUGAAAGCAGACAGCGGGCGGAACCGGCGAGGUGAGGUUUCCAUUUUAUAGGAAAGGCGAGGAAGGAGCGGAACAGACGCCCUCGUCACCAUAAAUGCGGCGCCAAGUACGCUCCACCACGCCUGCCUCUUUUUUGGAAACCGUGUGCACGGCCGGCAGCAGAAACAAUUUUCCUCCCUCGAUUCGCGAGUCGGUGCCCUCCACCGCUUCACCUCCCAGGGUUACGCGCGCGACAUCCCCCACGAUCGGCCCAAGGCACUGCUCCCUCCGCAUCCAGCCCAAGACACGACCUCCAUCCACGUCCAGCCCAAGGCCCACCAAAAGGUAAGAAAGGGAUACGGGGCUGAAAACGCCCCCACGGCCCAUUACGGUCGAGGAGUUCGAAGGUUGGCCCACCAUGGGUUCGACAACCGCUCCAGGUUGCCCCCGAUCGAGGGGUGAGAAGAGACAGGUCCGCAAGCGACCAUCACCCAGGCGCGCGAUAGCCCAGGGCGUCUCAAUCUCACGUUCGAGUCCAAACCGGCAUUACAGUUCAUGGUUUUUCCCUGAAGGAAGGCAACGAGCCCCCGGAUCCAAACGAACGGAUUCGGGAACUAUAUGAACUGGCCGAUCGGAACCUCGGGCACGCCACCAGCUUGGCCCAAGCCGGACCCCCCCGAACGGGGACUGGGGCCCCACUCGAAUUUGCCCGAUAGCAGGUCAAUGAGCACCACGGUUUGUCCGACGAGGAUAGCGUGGCACGGCUCGCCCCCUCCAUCCCAACGAACGGACGCUUGAGGGGUAACGCACAAAAGUCGACCCAGCCUCCCGACCGGUCCCCUGCAACACGCAGGGGCUCGGGGGCUGGCCUCGCAUCCUAAGGCCACGCGGGUGGUCUCGACUUAAGGCUCGCGAGCGAAAGGGGCCGACGAGAAGUCCUCCCGCGCCGAGUUGCUCACAGGGUGCGUCACCUAAUUAACCCCCUCGGUCGAGCCACCCAAGCAACACCUCCCGUCCUGGAUCAACCACGAAGACUCCUCAUUGGCGAUGACAACAGCCUCUAGAGGAGCGUCCCUGCUCCACCACAGGCUUGGGGGCUACUGUCGGGGGGAAAUAUUAACGACUCCUCCCAAGCCCAUGGAGACGACAAAACGUAAAGGCCCAGGCCCACCUGAGGUAACAAGGCCAGCGCUGGCCCAACACGGGGAGCAAGGAUCAUGCUCUGCCUCGCCCGACCCGGCGUCCUAGGGUCAGGCGUCCCCGACCCCCGCGAAACCAACCUCUGCCUCGCCCGACCGCAGGACCGGGGUCGGAGUAUCCGACCCCCCGCCGCAGACCUCCGCUUCACCUGACCCCAAGCAUAAAGGGUCGGGCUGGCCCAGGCCCACCAAACAAGUAUCCGCCUCGGGCUCGGAUCUCAUGGGUCCCCUGUCGAUCCACCAUAAAUGCGCCGCAAAGCUGUCAGAAGAAAGGAUCUCCACGCCUCCACGCAACCCAUCGCAGGUACCCAUGCACGGCCGCACGGUACCUGCUACAGUGGCUGCAACCUUCUCUGAUUGGCCACAGGGCACUCAUUAGCUGCACCGCCUAGGGCAGGAAGAAGUCUCGCCUGCUCUCGUGCCCCGCGCGCCCAGCGGCAGGGAUGCGACGUCCGCCCUCCGCAAGCCAUCAGCAGGACGGCAAGAUCCGCCGCCUCCCCCAGCGGACACGGGGGUCACGACAAAAUGCCAUCAUCGCGUCCGGCGGCUACAGUCGCCGAUGAGGCCGUCGAUAGGAUGCAGCGGCCGCCACCCCAUUCCGGCUAACGCGCCAGUAGAAGCCGAAGGCCGGCGAGGACGCCGGCGACCUGGGGACUUGUUUCCCCCCCUUUUUGCAUUAUUCUUUUUACUGCUCCACACACUCGGUCUCACUUGUAACACCGGUGGCCUCCUCAUACUAUAAAAGAGGAAUCAGGGGCCGGAGACAAGGGAGAAAGAACGCACAACUCAAGACACCAUAACACUCCCUAGACAACAGAACGCACGAGCGCACCCUGCUAGAGCGUUAGGGCACAUCCAAGGGACUUGGGACCAGUUCCCUCUCUCGCACUCCUGUAACCCCUACUACAGAACCCUGCGUGGGCAACACGAGCAGCUCCCGAUACUGGACGUAGGGCAUUCCCGUGCCCGAACCAGUCUAAACCCGUGUCUCCCACGCCACCAUCCGAAGCCUUACGUGCAUAAAAGAAAUUUACUAGUCUAAGUCUUGACUCGCUAAUCUUGACAACGACACUAGGUGGGUUGCCGGUCUAAAACACCGACACUUGACAUGUCCUUCACAUUAAAAAACUUGAGUCACAUCAUUGGUUAGGAUGAAUGGUUCGUCUCUCUAUCCAAUCUUGUUGAGGUCCACCAUUGUCAUUCCAUAGUUGUUUGUCAUUACGCCUUCUCCAGUAAGUUCCACCCAUUGGCACCGAAACAGAGGGAUUUUCAGAGGGAUAUUCAAAGGUCCAUAGUUGAGUUCCAUAUCUCCUCAAUGACACCAUAGUAUAUGUAUUUUUUUUCCAUUUUUGUCUAUUGCCUCUGUACGGGCACCACUAUUUUGGUUUGUGCUCUUUUGGUCUUGGGCUGUCGUGUAAAAUGUGUACCCAUUUAUGUCGUAUCCUUGGAAUGUCAAUAUUGAGAUAGAUGGACCCCUAGCCAACCCUGCUAGGUGCUCUUCAAUCGUGUCAUCACCCAUCAGUUAUUACCGCAACCAAGAGGCGAAAGUGUCAAUAUGAUGACGUGUAAUCUAGGCCUCAAUCUUCCCCUGGUUUGAGGACCGCACAAUGGUCUUGUGCUCCUCCAAGUAUGGAGUCACUAGGGAUGAUUGUUGCAGGACCGUGAAGUGUGCUUUACGAAAUGUACUCUCAUCAAUGUCCAUUCGAGCUUUCCUCCCUAGUAUGACCUUUCCCUUGAGUCUCCCCUCAUGGCGUGAUACAAGGACUCCAAUCAAACACAGGUCAUCAAUAAAGUCAACAUAAAACUCAAUGACCUCCUCUUUUCCAUAGCCCUUUGCGAUAAUUUCUUUUGGACGGGCACAAUUACGAACAUAGUUCUUCAGAACGGCCCUAAACCUCUUGAAAGGGAACACAUUAUGUAGAAAUACAGGACCGAGAACAAAAAUCUCUUCAACAAGGUGGAUUAGAAGGUGGGUCAUGAUAUUAAAGAAGGAAGGUGGAAAGACCAUCACAAAGCUGACAAGGCAUUGCUCUACGUCAUUCUGCAGCUUUAGUAGGUUGUUUAGAUGGAUUACCUUAUGAGAAAUCAUGUUGAGAAAUGCACAUAGCUUCACGAUUUCCAUUCUCAGAUUCUCUGGUAGAAUACUCCUCAGUGCAACAGGCAGCAAUUGUGUCAUCAGGACAUGGAGUCAUAGGCCUUUAGAUUUUUGAAUUUCUUCUCUUUAAUAUUUAUUAUUCCCUAUGUAUUUGAGGAGUAGCCUGAUGGGACAUUAAUACUAUUCAAGCACUCAAACAUGCAUUCCUUCUCUUCCUUGCUGAGAGUGUAACUAGCAGGAUGCAAGUAAUGUCCAUCAUCUCUCUUUCAGAUGUAGGCCAUCUCAUUGUUUCAUAUAUUUCAGGUCCAAACGUGCUUCAAUUGUAUCCUUUGUCUUUCCAUAUGUACCGAGGAAGCCAAGCACAUUCACGCAAAGAUUUUUCAUCAGGUGCAUCACAUUGAUUGCAUUACGGACAUCAAGGAAUUCCUAAUAAGGUAGCUCCCAAAAUAUAGACUUCUUCUUCCACAUGGUUGCAUGUCCGUCCACGACAUUCGGAACAGGUUGGCUAUCAGAGCCCUUGCCUAAGACUAUCCUCACAUCCUUUAUCAUAGAAAAUACACAUUUACUAUUACGGUGAACGGACUCAGUAUGUUUUUCUUCCUCCCCUUCAAAAUGCUUCCCUUUCUUUCUUAACGGGUGCUUAGCAUGAAAUAAUCAACGAUGGCUUGUAUAUAUGACCUUCCUACAGUGUUUCAAAUAUAUGCUGUAAGUAUCAUCUAAGCAGUGCGUGUAGGCUCGAUAUCCCUUGUUUGUCUGUCCGGACAUAUUACCAAGCGCCGGCCAAUCAUUGAUGGUUACGAACAACAAUGCUCAUAGAUUAAAAGUCUCCUUUUUAUCCUCAUCCCACACAUGUACACCUUCUUCCUUCCAUAAUUGUAAAAGUUCAUCAACCAAUGGUCUUAGGUAAACAUCAAUAUGGUUGCCAAGUUGUUUUGGACCUUGGAUAAUUACCGGCAUCAUAAUGAACUUCCUUUUCAUGCACAUCCAGGGCCAGAAGGUUGAACAUACAUAAGAUCACAAGCCAAGUGCUAUGACCACCACUGAACUCACCGAAUGGAUUGAAUCCAUCUGUACUUAAACCAAACCGUAUGUUCCUUGCAUCCUUUUCAAACUCGGAAAAUUCUCUAUCAAGUGUUCUCCACUGGGACCCAUCAGCGGGGUGUCUGAUCAUUUCAUCUUGCUUACGUUCUUCUUUGUGCCAACACAUCAACUUUGCAUAUGCCUUAUUUUUGAACUAACACUUCAAGCGUGGUACUACAGGGAAAUACCACAUUACCUUCGUAGGAACUUUCUUCUUGCUGGCCUGCCCCUCAACAUCACCAAGAUCAUCUUGCCUAAUCUUAUAACGCAGCGCUUCACACACAGGACAAGCAUCCAAUUUCUCAUAUUCCUCAUAGCGAGAGAGGAUACAGUCAUUGGGACACGCAUGUAUCUUUUGUACCUCCAGACCUAGAGGGCAAACAACCUGUUGAUGCCAGAUUUUGACACGUGUGUGAUCGGCGUCAGGGGAAGAAGAAAUCAGAAGAAACGGCGAGACACAGGGAUGGCGGUUGGAAAUCGGCCGAUUGGUGCUACAGUUAUGGAUCGGCCGAUUGACCUUUGGAGUUACGCCUCGCCCGACCCCUGAGGACUGGGAUCGGAUACGCCCAACCCUCCAAGGGAGGAUCUCCGCCUCGUCCGACCUUAGAUCCCAGGGUCGGAGUAGUCUGAGCCCUCGACAUGUGGGUCCUAAUCGGUUGUCCCUUGCCAAUGAGGUGAAUAGAAAUCGGCCGAUUAGGAGGCUGGAAUAAUUGGGCCGGUGUGGGCCUAAAGAGGAUUGUGAAGAUGAAGAGGGAAUCAGGCCAUGAAGAGCGUGAUAAUCGACCUAGUACAAAUCGUACUUGUAAAUAUUUGUUUUCUAUUUAAAUUUAGGGAUAGAGUUCUAAUCGGAUAAGAAGUCAUUUGUAACGGGCUAUAAAUAGCCACCCUUGUAGAUCUGUAAUCAUCAUCAACUCAAUACAACAAACUACUAUUUCCUCAUACUUACUUUCAAGUCGGCGACUUCGCCAAUACUUUUCUCUUUUUCACGAGUUCGUACGGGUUGGCGGGGCUGCAUCAACUUGACCUCCGGCCAAUCUUGUAAGUUCCACUUAUCGAAUAAUUUCUAAGCUUUAACUUCGGGCGCAUCGCUGUUGUUUCGUUUAGAUUUAUUCAUCAGUUAUCGAUAUUUACUAGAAUUUUAGGUUUUACCUGUUGUUCUGGUUUUAUCACUAGUUAUCCAGCUAGGAAUCGGCAAUUUCGGCUUUUCUUGGGUUUCGUCAUUUGAUCUAUUUAUUUCACGCAUAGCUGAUUAGAUCUGUUCCUAGUGUUGUUACUGUAGCGUUGUUUAGAUUACUCCAGUGGUUUUCUUUAUCAACGUCGCCUUGUAAUCGGUCGCAUUGUAACCGAUUUCCUCAUUAUAGCAAAUCGGCCGAUUCGCUGAUAAGCUUUCUCGAGAUCGGAACUUUAGCCGAUCGCUACCUCUGGGAUUUGACACGUUUCUCUCCUUGCCAAUCAACAGGUCAGAUUGGCUGGCACGCCGCGCGAACUGCACCAGGGCGAUCACCCGAACAGGAGCUAAGCAGAUUCUCCCAGGUCGUGUGUCCGACGCUGGGGAUUUGAUUAGUCGAUUUCUAGCGCCAACACACUUUUGGCACGCCUAGUGGGACCAGUACAACUGCCACUAUGUCGAAAGCUGCUGAAGUCUCGGAAGAUAACGUCAUCGAAGUGACAGAAGCAGACCUCAGGGACGACCAGAGGGAGGAAUUAGAGAAGCAGACGGCAUACUACCGGAAGACAUGUCCGCAAUCCUUCAGUCACACCAGGAGCGGAGAAACUAUCAAAAAGAUUCCAUUUCCAACUCCCCGCCAGAUCACAAUCACCGAGGACUCGGAUAAGAUGUCUGAGAGGGAUCAACAAUCUGUCUAUCAAGCUUUCAUCGAUCAAUCCCCGGUGAUUUCUAAUACUGUAUACAAUGCCGUCAUCAGCUCCUUAGCUAGUGGCGUAUCUCAAGGGUACUAGGGGCCGGCAUAUGCUCCGCCAAUUAUGGCUCCGAACAAGAGUUAUUCAAAUACACCUUAUUCGGCUUCUCAGCCGACCCAAAUUCCAGUUGGAGGUUCUAGCACUUCCUCAUCAUCGAUCCCUAUGGGGUUUAAUGGCGCGCAAUAUCUCCAGCCGCGUCCCAUUCAGUUGUCCUCCGCGCAGUUUCCUCCGUUGAAUCCAGCGCCUUGGGGGGCACCAUCAGUGAUGGCCGCCCAGGAUCAACCGGCCAACCAUGGAAGUCCUCAACUCCAGGCAUCUUUCCAGGCGGCCGCUAGGCCAAUCAUGCUGCAAUAUCAGCCUGUCGCACCGGAGAUGAGCAGGGCGGCAGAAUCAACGGAAGUACUUUGGGGCGUUGUGCCGCUCGUACUGUAUGACGAAGCAGGCGGCUCACUCAAACAGCCGACCCUGACUACGCAGCCGGCUAUGACACAUCAGACGCCGCACGCUUUCACUCGUCAUCAAGUCAUCCCGCCGCCAACAUACCAGCACGUACCAGUUCUCCAGCCGACGGUACACCAGCAACAGCCGGACUGGUCGGCACGCUUAGCAGAGGUGAUUCAAGAACAAUUCGGCUUAAAACCGAAGGUGCAGACCUACACAUACAGGACACCGUACCCGCCUACAUACGACUCACUGCCGUUUCCCCAUCGGUAUAAAGUUCCUGAUUUCACUAAGUUUUCGGGACUGGACGACACCUCAACUGUGGAACACGUGAACAGAUUCAUCAUCCAAUGCGGGGAAGCAGCGGCACAGGAUGCUCUACGGGUGCGCCUUUUCUCGUCAUCCCUGUCUGGGUCAGCCUUUCAGUGGUUCACUACAUUACCGCCCAACUCGAUAAUUACGUGGGCUGAUCUGGAAAGGCAGUUUCACAAGUAUUUCUACGCCGGGAUACAUGAGAUGAAGCUGUCCAAUUUAACCAGCCUUAGGCAGAGAAGCGACGAGCUGAUAUCCUCAUAUGUACAGAGGUUCAGGGAGAUUAGGAAUAAGUGCUACUCCCUGGCCCUGACUGAUGCACAGUUGGCCGAUAUAGCCUUCCAAGGUCUCCUACCUCAUAUCAAAGAAAAAUACGCCUCACAGGAGUUUGAGAGCUUAAGCCAAAUCGUCCACCGAUUGUCUGGUCAAGAAGUACGCCCUUUCGAUCCACGGAGGAACUUCCAGAAGAAGGUGACGUACUUAGAAGAGGUUGAAACCGAAGAAGACGCAGAAAUCGGCCUUGCGGAAUGGGUUAAAGGGAAGAAGCCGAUAUCAUGUCCGUUCGGAAAGAAGGAGUCGAAAACGUUCGGAUUCGACAUAUCAAAGGCCGAUAAAAUCUUCGACCUCCUCCUCCAGGAAGGACAGAUCAAGCUCUCGUCGUACCAUACGAUUCCUUCUGCCGAACAGCUGAAGAAGAUAAAAUAUUGCAAGUGGCAUAACGCUACCUGCAAAGAUACAAACGAAUGCAAAAUUUUCCAGCAGCAGAUACAGUCGGCCAUCGAGCAAGGCAGACUUAAAUUUGAAGUUCCAACGAAACCGGCCAAGCCGAUGAAGAUCGACCAGCACCCCUUCCCCACCAACAUGGUUGAUACGGGGAGGAAUUCGCUCCAAACCAAGGUCCUGACGUCCGAAUCGGCUAAACAAAGUGGCGCUGUGGACCCCAGAAAUCAAGCAACACCCGAAGACGUCAAGGGAAAACGGCGGAUGGAAGAUGAUGACGAUGGAAUGGGAGAACCACGUAAGCCCAUUACUUCCCAAUUUCUGCUCAAUAAGUAUCAGCGGCAACAUGAACGCUCGAGAUCCUGGGAAGAGGAGAUGCGGCGCAUGAAGAUCACUGGUGAUGUCCGUUCUUCAUCCACUGUUGGGAAAGCAACCUCAGGUUGCCAUCGGCCGAUAAUUGCCCUGAGUGCAACGGCCCGUAUCGUAACAAUCGGCCGUUCAGAAGGUCUCGCUCCAGAGAUGGGAAAUCAGAGCCGAUCAGCAGGAACUGGCAUGACCAAGAAGACCGGCGCCCUCCAGUACGUGAUCGGUUGGGGGGCAGAAGUGACCGAUAUGACCGGUCGGAAGGUAGGCGCGAGCGAAAUGAUAGGCCGGGGGGCAGAUUUGAUCGACAUGACCGGCCAGAAAACAAGGUUAGCGUCCACAGUCGACUUGAAGAAAUGGCUGAUGCUCGGGUAUCAGACGAGAGUCCUUUAGGACGUGAACCAGAAUGGGAACGCGCCAGGCCACAGACCAAACCAGUAAACCCCAGGUGGUGCCCUGAUGGAUUCACCAAAUCUCAAAAAAGAAGAAUCCAACAUCUCUGCCAGUGGGAACAGCAGGAAGAAGAACAACGGCAUACGAUGGAUGAGAAAAACGGCAAGUCUCAGGUCUAGCGCCCCAAAAAAGGUGACAGGGGAAACGACGAAUCGGCAGCCGACAUCGGCAUGGUUUUCAUACUGCCGAUGGAGUUCAUGACUCCUGCCGACCGACAGAACAUGUCGGCAAUAGAAGAGCAGAUGGCACAAUUGGCUUUAGAACCAAUGACAGCCACGUUCGAGAAGCCCGAAGAUGACAAACGACAACACCUGAAGGCGUUGUUUCUUAAAGGGCAUGUCAACGGCCGACCCAUCACCAGAUUACUGGUAGACGGAGGAGCUGCAGUUAACAUCAUGCCAUAAGCCAUGUUCCAGAAGCUAGGGAAAUGCGAUGACGACCUGACCAGGACAGAUAUGAUGCUCAAGGACUUCGAAGACAACGUAUCCCCCGCUCGUGGCGCUCUCUGCGUCGACCUCACCAUCGGCAGUAAGACCCUUCCUACUACUUUCUUUAUCAUUAAUGGCAAGGGGUCCUACAACAUGCUACUCGGCCGAGACUGGAUACAUGCAAAUUGUUGUAUCCCGUCUACAAUGCAUCAAUGCCUCGUGCAAUGGGUUGGCGACAAUAUCGAGGUGGUCACCGCCGAUUCCGCAUACAGCGUCGCGGCAGCCGACACGCAGCAGUGGAGCUGCGAGAUCGUCAAGUGCAUAUCCGGGAGAAUAUGGGACACUGAUUUCUUGAAGGUGUCCGAUUUUGGCCUGCAGCUGAUCCAAGCAGUCGGCUCCGAAGACUCAGACUAAAUGGAUCAGUUCGCCCGAGAAGAUGGGAAGCUGGGACACGGAUUCACGUCGGCCGAUUCAUUAGAAAUGAUAGACUUAGGCGAUGGCACCAAACCAAGGCCGACAUAUAUUAGUGCAAAUUUGGAUCCGGAAUACAAAUGUAAAUUGACAAAUUUAUUAAGAGAAUUUAAGGAUUGCUUUUGCUUGGGAAUACCAUGAGAUGCCCGGAUUAGACCGAUCUAUUGUUGAGCAUCGGUUACCCAUAAAGCCGGGGUAUCGACCAUAUCAACAGCCUGCACGGCGGUGUAAUCCUAAAAUCCUACCAGACAUAAAUGCUGAAAUAACGCGGCUAAUCGAAGCAAAAUUUAUUCGGCAAUGUCGUUAUGCCGAAUGGAUCUCCAACAUUGUACCAGUAUACAAGAAGAACGGAAAGCUACGCGUAUGCGUCGAUUUCAGGAACCUCAAUCAGGCCACACCAAUGGACGGAUACCCCAUGCCGACGGCCGAUGUGCUGAUAGAUGUCGUCGCAGGACACAAGGUUAUUAGUUUCAUGGAUAGAAACGCUGGGUACAAUCAGAUACUAAUGGCCGAAGAGGACAUAUCCAAAACGGCCUUCAAAUGCCCGGGUCACCUUGGUUUAUUCGAGUGGGUGGUAAUGACUUUCGGUUUGAAGAACGCUGGCGCUACGUAUUAGAGAGCCAUGAAUUACAUAUUUCACAAACUUAUCGGCAUACUAGUAGAAAUCUACAUCGACGACGUCGUAGUCAAAUCAAAAGGACAUCAGGAGCACCUAGCCGAUUUGCGACAGGUAUUGGAAUGCACUAAGAAACAUGGGCUGAAGAUGAACCCGAGUAAGUGUGCCUUCGGCGUAUCCGCCGGACAAUUCUUAGGAUUCAUGGUGCAUGAGCGGGGAAUAGAGAUCAACCGGAAGACCAUAGCGGCAAUCAAUAAAGUCGUGGCCCCGCAGAAUAAAACUGAGUUGCAAUCUCUAAUCGGCAAGGUGAAUUUCAUCAGAAGAUUCAUAUCUAAUCUGUCUGGGCGAAUCCAAGCCUUCACACCAUUAUUAAAAUUGAAGCCCGACCAGGAGUUCAUAUGGGGGGAAGAGCAACGCAAGGCAUUAGAAGAUAUCAAGCAGUACUUGGUCUCACCACCAGUAUUGGUCCCACCUCAAACUGGUAAGCCGUUUAAACUAUACUUAUCAGCUGAUGAACGAGCUAUUGGGUCGGCUCUGGUCCAGGAGUUCGAGGGAAAGGAACGAGUAAUUUAUUAUGUCAGUAGAAGACUUCUGGACGUCGAAACAAGGUAUCCUCCAGUAGAACGGUUAUGCCUAUGCCUUUACUUCUCAUGCACCAAACUCAGGCACUAUUUGCUAUCGGCAGAAUGUGUGGUCGUAUGCAAAGAUGACAUGGUAAAGUACAUGCUGUCAUUGCCGAUCUUGAAAGGAUGAAUCGGAAAAUGGGUUUUAGCUUUGUCGGAGUUUGAUCUUUGAUAUGAAUCGGCAAAGGCCAUUAAGGGUCAGGUCAUGGCCGAUUUCGUUGCCCAGCACUGUGGACCAGAGGCCACCUUCAUGGAACCAGUACCUUGGACCUUAUACUUUGAUGGAUCAUCAUGUGGGGCCGGAUCAGGAAUCGGCAUCGUCCUCAUAUCGCCUCGGGGGGCAAGCUAUGAUUUCUCUCUGCCGAUAGAAGCAUCCGCCACUAACAAUCAAGUAGAGUACCGAGCUAUACUGAAGGGGUUACAAUUAUUAAGGGAAGUCAAGGCUAAUUCUAUCGAAAUUUUUAGGGAUUCCAUGCUUAUCGUGGAUCAAUUAACAGGGAGGUACGAAUGCAAGGACGAUGUGUUGAGGAUUUAUUACGAAGAUUGCCUGCAGCUUCUGAAAGAAUUCAAGUCUGCAGUUAUUGAGCACAUCCCAAGGAAUCACAACGAGGAUGCCAACAAGCUCGCCCAACAUGCAUCUGGGUAUCGGCCGAUUCAAGGCGCUAUGGCUCUAGAGCUCGCGGCCAAUGACUGGCGAAAGGAGAUUGCCGAUUACCUGAAAGAUCCAUCUAAGAAAGUGGAUCGGCGUGUACGAUUUCAUGCUACCAAAUAUGUGUUACUGGAAGACGACUUGUUCUACCGAACAAUUGAUGGCGUCCUACUCAAGUGUCUAGGAACGGAGGAGGCUAAGACUCUGAUGGGAGAAAUCCACGAAGGAGUGUGUGGAGCCCACCAGUUGGCACAUAAGAUGAAAUAGAUGAUUAGGAAUAAUGGGUACUACUGGCCGACAAUCCUCGAAGAUUGCUUCAAAUAUUAUAAAGGAUGCCAGGAUUGUCAGAAAUAUGGGAAUGUCCAACAUGCGCCCGCAUCGGCCAUGAAUCCCAUUAUCAAACCAUGGCCAUUCAGAGGUUGGGGAAUAGACCUCAUCGGCCAAAUCUAUCCUCCGUCAAGCAAAGGGCACAAAUUCAUUCUGGUGGCCACUGAUUAUUUCACCAAAUGGGUGGAGGCAAUUCCGCUAAAGGCUGUAACAUCGGCCGCUAUGGUUGACUUUGUAAGGGACCAUAUCGUUUACCGUUUCGGCAUUCCCCAGACUAUCACGACCGAUCAAGGAACGAUGUUUACAUCAGGAAAAUUCGAGGAGUUCACAGCCGAUAUGGGAAUCAAAUUGUUAAACUCCUCUCCGUACUAUGCCCAAGCUAAUGGCCAGGCCAAAUCUUCCAACAAAGGGAUAAUUAAGUUAAUCAAGAGGAAGAUAGAGGAACAGCCGAAAAAAUGGCAUUUAUGUCUGACUGAAGCCCUAUGGGCAUACAGGAUGGCUUGCCAUGGGGCCACCAAGAUAUCCCCUUAUCAGUUGGUGUACGGUCACGAGGCGGUACUACCAUGGGAGUUGAGGGUAGGGUCGAGACGCACUUCGCUCCAGGACCAGUUGGUGGCCGACGACUACUCCUCACUCAUGAAAAGUGAACUUGAUGACUUGGCUGGCCAACGAUUGAGAGCUUUGAUAAGUAUUGAAGAAAACAAGAAGAAAGUGGCUAGAUGGUAUGAUAAGAAGGUCAAAGUCAAACAAUUCUCUCCGGGAGACCUGGUAUGGAAGUUAGUGUUGCCGAUCGGGUCGAAAGAUCCUAAAUUCGGUAAAUGGUCCCCUACGUGGGAAGGGCCAUAUAAAAUCGGCCGAUGUGCUCCAGGAAACGCUUAUAUUCUGGAAACGAUCGAAGGAGAAGAGUUUACUAGGGCUCUGAACGGAAGAUACUUGAAAAGGUACUACCCUAGUAUAUGGGUUGGAGCAUAAGGAUCAACCACGAUGAACAAGAACACAGCCGAUACAAAAGGAAUCGUCGGGAGAAAAAACAUAAUCGUCCAAAUCGGCCGAUAUAUUUUAUUCGGUACGGACGAUGGGUUACACGGCCGACACGGUACAAGUCACCCUUAGAAUAAAAAAAUAAUUAGCCACGCCUCUUUUUAAGCUCUCUCUCUCAACCCGACCUAGUUCUAUCAGAAGGCGGAUGUGCCAUUCUUCUAUCUCUUUCAUUGCGGCCUCCGCUUCAACUUGACGGGGGAGAGGAUGACUCCGGUCCAUUGCCGGACGUGAUGUUCCUGCUGUUGCGUCUUCAAGGAUGAUUUGACAAGGAAGCACGUGACUUCUGUCGGCUUGAGGUCGCCGGUGGUCGUUGCCGUCAAGGAAAUCCCAGAUCCGUCGGAUGUCAGUAGGGACGUGCUCUUUGAGUUCGUCACGAUGGGCCCUGAUUAAAUCCUUGUCUUCUUGUGACAACGGUUCGUCGGAGUACACGAGUCCGAUGGCUCGUUCGAGCUCAGGACUAAGGCGCCGCGGCUGGGAAAAGCAACAAUAUACAUAUGGCCGCCGAAGAUGUGAUUCUCUUCAGAGGAAUUAAACUGAGAAAGAGAAUGAAGGCAGAUCUUUUACCUGAUUAACAGAGGAAUAGGAAGAGGAUGAAGAAGACAUGACUGAAAAGCGCGCCGACGAAAACAAGUUAGGGAAGAUGAAGCCGAGCUAGACGGGUACUCUCAAAACGGGGACCUAGGCCGGUGUUUAUAAGAAGAGAAGGCGUGGAUGUUUGGUAAGACGCGUCCCAUCAGAAGUAAAAAGGGUAAUAAAUAAGGGGGCACCACGAAGGAUGGUCAAAGGAGGUAUUAAUGUUCGUACAAGACUACUAGUGCUUUUACAGGUCGCCCAGAAGGGCGUUGAUAGCCGCAAUCGCUCGACGCCGAAUCUGAUCGGCCGAAUCCAGGACCCGUUGGUCAUCCUCCGCCGAUCCAGGGACUUCUGACAUGUGGCGGUGGAGUUUGAGAGCUUCGUGAGCCAGGUGCUGCCUCUCCCAUUUCAGAUCGACGAUGACGGAAGGAAGUUCCUAAAGCCUCUUCUCUUCGGCGGUUAUUGCUUUGGUCACCUGCUCCAUCUCCUUGGCAAGCUCUGCUCUUCGGCGUUUGAGGCGAUCUAUCGUGCCGACGAUUCCCGGGCGAGAGUCUUCCAGAAAGUGGAUCCGUUGAUGCACCUCUUGAGCUUGACGCUUGUACGUGUCUUCUUCUUCACGAGUCUUGGUCAACUUGGCGUGAUCGGCCAUGUGACGCAGGGCCCUGAAGACCGGAAUCCUCAUUGACUCGAUAUACGCAGCCGGCGCCAAGGCUUCUUCUGCUUCUUCUGGUACUCGCCCGCUGACGUCACCAAAAAGCUGCCGAAUCGGCGAGGCAUCUUCUACUAAUCGGCCGAUGUCCUCUUGAAGAAGAGACCAUAUGCUUGCAAGUUUGGCACGAAUGUCAUCAGGAACGGAGCUCAAAGUGACCUGACGGGAGGCGACUUCCUCGUCAUCGGAGAGUGUGACCGCGAACGAAAAAAGACUGUUGUUGGGGGUGUCCUGUUCCUAGAAAAUAGUAAAUCAAAAAGAAAACAAAUCAGCCGAUGGUGACAGCGAAUCGGCCGAUUAAGGGUGGGAAAUCUUUUACCUCCUUAAAACGGAUUUCUUCAAGCUGUGUUUAAGGGACUGUUACCCUCAACUCUGGGACUGGAGCCAUUGGCUCGUCUGAAGAAGAGGACUCAACAACGAUCGGCGCUCUGCUCGGGCCAGCUUCUUGAGGAAUGACCGACGGUUGGUUAGGCAAGACGCUUAGCGUGCCAGUGACCUGUGCCAAAUUUGUUAAGAACAUCAUCCAAGUACUAGAAGAACGGGUUGAAGGAUGGUAUACCUCGACAGGAGGAAGCACUGGCGUUUUGUCGAUCACUUGGGCUACUGCCGGUUGCUGGGGACCCACAAGGGUAAUCUAAGCAGUCUGAUAUAAAAGAAGUUAGUAUAAAGAUGGCGAUUGGGAAGAUCAGACAACAAGUUUACCUGCAUGGCUUCCACUAGUAAUGAUGCAGCGGCUGCUCCGGCUUCUAUGGCAACUUGAAUGUCUACUUCCUCAGCAGUCGGAAGGGGUGGCGCGGCCGAAGUUUCUGCCGAUGUAAUCGUGGGAGGAUCGGCCGAUUCUAUACGAGUGCGUACUCGGCGACUGGUUUUCUUGAUAACCUUCUUCUGCGCCUGCUUUGCUCGACCGACAAUAACGUCCACGAAAGGGGCAUGGUAGCCGAUAAGGGGGAAGGUGGUAUAUGGAUAACGGUCUUCUAUCGGCCGGCCACUCCGGCUGCGUUUUGGGGGAACGCGGUUUUCGGACUGAGACAACAGCAAGAGUUAGUAUAUAUGUUUAACAACAUUAAUAAGGAAUGAAAAUCGGCCGGGGAAAAAUACCUCGGCAUUCGGAUCGAUGUUGGCUGGAUCCAGGAGGUUGCAGUAUAUUGAUGCAGAAGUGCAGAACAGAUACUGUUUCCAUUUGGCCCACCAUAGCUUGAAUGGUUGAACGGUAAAGGGGGCUACUAUCCACUCAUUCAAGUCUAUGGUGCUGGAGUCUGGGAUCCGGUCUCGCAGCCGAUUGUAGUCGAGGCCCUUGGUGAGUUCAUCUCUGAACUUUGCUCGGCCGGCAAAGUACGCCUGAAUCGGCAAUUGACCCAUGCCGAACUGCCGUGCCGCAACGGAGGGGUUGUAGAACUCAUACGUAGGAGCAUCUUUCCCCGAGAAAGAAGUUGGCUGGUAACAUUCCUGGUUUAAUUAAUUCGUCUGUGAGAUCUUCGUCGAAUCAGCCAGUAGUCGAGUCAAAGCAAGAAGGGAGCUCAAAGAUUGGGUCAUCUCUCUGAUAAGGGAACCAGACGGUUGCGUCUUCACUAAAGCCGUUGUAGAAACACCGGAAGUAUUCGGCCACUUUGGUAGCAGAGUACGAGCAACCGGAGAAGGCUGAUGCCGCUUCACCGAAGGAUGUACAUCGGCGUCGGACAGUGGGAUUCUCUGCCAAUUCAAUGUUGGGGAAUGUCAUGUGCUCCACUCGUUGCUGAGAAAUCUUGCUCAUGUACAGGUUAAGACAUAAGUUAAUAAACAACCAGGGUCCACCUGGGUUUCCAAUCGGCUCCCCUUGGGAUAAUUUGACACCGAUUUGGUGAAGCAUGUGGUAGGCUGCUCCCAGUAGGUGCUUUCCAAGGGGAACGGAGGUCCCUAUCGAUAAUGCCUCGGCCAGAGCUUGAGUGUUGGUGGAUGGACCAGCUUCUCUCCCACAGAAGAAAUGUUUCUCUAACCACAUCAUCAAGAAGGCCGUGUGCUCUCUGUUCUCGACUGAUCCGGCCCUUCUGUUGCAUCUGAUGAACCCCUUCCAUCCGCCGAUUCCCCUUGUGUCCAGCCGAUGAGAUGUCGUGGCUAAAAGGCGAAAAGGGGUGUCCGGGGAGGAAAUGUCCAGGCCGGUCAGCAAGACUACAUCAGCCAGAGUGGGGGUCAUGGGUCCGUGUCCAAAAAGGAAUGCAUUGAGAGCAUCGGACCAGAAGUAAGAAGCUGCCAUCACUAAUGGCUCGUUCCGUUCCAUUUGGGACAAGGAUAGAUCGAUGCACUGGCCGAUUUUGAGCUCGUCCCAUUGGACCUUCUUAGAGGCGGCUAUCCGCUAGUACCAUUCCCUCCAGCCGGGAGUUUCAUUCGGCCAUGACCUAAAGGUACCCGACCAAUGAUCUAGGUCCAUAGUUGAUUGCUUGAAAGGGAUCCUAUGGGUUUCCAAAUUGAUUAAGUCGGUUGGAUCUGGGUUUCCUAUGGGACCAAGGCAGAUAAGGCUGGGAGUUUCUGUGAGGCGUAUGGUAAUGUGAUGCCUAACCACCUAAAAAAGGAAAAAGUUGGUGCGGGAGUAAGAAAUAGAUCUAAAGUAAAUGCAUUACUGAUAGGGAAAGUUUCGGUAAUGACCUCCGGGAUGAAGCUCCUCGUAAUCGGCGGGAUCGUCGGUGCAGCUGCAGAUGAUGAAGCCGCCAAUGGGAUUUCGGUUGAAGCCCCAACUUUCACUGACAGAGUUCCUUCUCCCGUCGAUGGAGCCACCGCUGUUGCUGCUGGAACCUCCACCGAAGGCGCCAUCUCCGGAGUUUCGGGCGCUGGUGAAGUGGUGGAGGUUGCCGCCAUUGGAGAAGUGGGGAGGAAUGGAAGGAAGGAGGCACCGGAGAAAACUGGAGAACUAAGGAAAGCGCCUGAGGAAGAAGAAGACCGGUGCGUUAAAGGAGGAAGACGUGAGGUCGUACGGGGAGUACGGGGCGUACUGAUAUUUAAAGGUGGUCUGAGAAGGGGUAAAAGUGUAAUUUUUACCGUGCCGGCGUUUCGAUUGUUUCGGGAGGAGUGGUUGUCGUGGGCGCCCGUUUUGAAAAAAUUGCAAUCAUCAGGCUGGAGACCGCGAAACGGAAGGAUAUUUUCAAUGCGCUCGUUUCGGAAGGGAAUUUGAAAGGAAUUUCGAAGUAAAGACUAUGUUUUACUCCGAAACUGGGGGGCAUGUGUUGAGGCUAGAUUUUGACACGUGUGUGAUCGGCGUCAGGGGAAGAAGAAAUCAGAAUAAACGGUGAGACACAGGGAUGGCGGUUGGAAAUCGGCCGAUUGGUGCUACAGUUAUGGAUCGGCCGAUUGACCUUUGGAGUUCCGCCUCGCCCGACCCCUGAGGACUGGGAUCGGAUGCGCCCAACCCUCCAAGGGAGGAUCUCCGCCUCGUCCGACCUUAGAUCCCAGGGUCGGAAUAGUCUGAGCCCUCGACACGUGGGUCCUAAUCGGUUGUCCCUUGCCGAUGAGGUGAAUAGAAAUCGGCCGAUUAGGAAGCUGGAAUAAUUGGGCCAGUGUGGGCCUAAAGAGGAUUGUGAAGACGAAGAGGGAAUCAGCCCAUGAAGAGCAUGAUAAUCGACCUAGUACGAAUCGUACUUGUAAAUAUUCGUUUUCUGUUUAAAUUUAGGGAUAGAGUUCUAAUCGGAUAAGAAGUCGUUUGUAACGGGCUAUAAAUAGCCACCCUUGUAGAUCUGUAAUCAUCAUCAACUCAAUACAACAAACUACUAUUUCCUCAUACUUACUUUCAAGUCGGCGACUUCGCCAAUACUUUUCUCUUUUUCACGAGUUCGUACGGGUUGGCGGGGCUGCAUCAACUUGACCUCCAACCGAUCUUGUAAGUUCCGCUUAUCGAAUAAUUUCUAAGCUUUAACUUCGGGCGCAUCGCUGUUGUUUCGUUUAGAUUUAUUCAUCAGUUAUCGAUAUUUACUAGAAUUUUAGGUUUUACCUGUUGUUCUGGUUUUAUCACUAGUUAUCCAGCUAGGAAUCGACAAUUUCGGCUUUUCUUGUGUUUCAUCAUUUGAUCUAUUUAUUUCAUGCAUAGCCGAUUAGAUCUGUUCCUAGUGUUGUUACUGUAGCGUUGUUUAGAUUACUCCGGUGGUUUUCUUUAUCAACGUCGCCUGGUAAUCGGUCGCAUUGUAACCGAUUUCCUCAUUAUAGCAAAUCGGCUGAUUCGCUGAUAAGCUUUCUCGAGAUCGGAACUUUAGCCGAUCGCUACCUCUGGGAUUUGACACGUUUCUCUCCUUGCCAAUCAAUAGGUCAGAUUGGCUGGCACGCCGCGCAAACCGCACCAGGGCGAUCACCCGAACAGGAGCUAAGCAGAUUCUCCCGGGUCGUGUGUCUGACGCUGGGGAUUUGAUCAGUCGAUUUCUAGCACCAACACAACCUUUUUUGCUUCAUACGUUAAGCAAGGCAAUUCGUUCCCUCGGGAAGCAUGUUCUUUAUGACUUUCAUUAACUCAUCAAAACUCUUGUUAGGAACUCCAUUUUUUAUUUUCCAUUGCAGCAUUUCCAGUGUGGUACCUAACUUUUUGUGCCCCUGUUUGCAAUCUGGGUGCAACAAUUUCUUAUGAUCAUCUAACAUACGCUCAAACUUCUUUGACUCCUUCACAUUCUCGCAGUCUUCCUUUGCAUCUCACAACACCUGACCUAAACCAUCGGUAGGACCUUCUUCUACAACCAUCUCUUCUUUAGCCUCGCCCAUUGGAGCAUCUACAAAGGCACCUCCUUGAGUCCAGUCAAGAAUGUAGUUACCAUCUUCUUCUUCAUCAUUAUCUUCUAUCAUAAGUCAUUUUUCCCCAUGCUUGGUCCAAAAACAAAAUAGUUAGGCAUGAAUCCCGAACUGUAUAUAUGGGCGUGAAUAGUCUUUCUUGAUGAGUAAUCCUUCUCAUUUUUGCAAAUUCGGCAUGGACAACAAAUGAAACCAAACGACAGCUUGUUGGACUCUGCCAGAUCGAGAAAACCACGCAAGCCAUUAAUGUAGUCUAUGGAGUGUUUGUCCGCGUUGUACAUCCAUUGUCGAUCCAUCUACAAAAUAUUACCGAACCAAAGAUAUAUGAUCAUCCAUAGAAUUGUACAUGAAAUAUAACAAACAUGAUACAAAUACCAUUAAACUCAAAUGUUGCUGAAAGUUUAGAGAGAAAUACACAAAUUUAAAUUUUAGACCCAAAUAACAUGAUACACUACGACAAACUCAAAUGUUGCUGAAAGUUUAGAUAGAAAUACACAAAUUUAAAUUUCAGACCCAAACAACAUGAUACACUAUGACAAACCAUCCACUGAGUACUAUCUAGGAGGAUUUUAAGCAUCCUUGGGUAGUGAAGACGAAUGUUUCACUGACCCAGCCUCAUCUUGUGGUUUAUUUGUGCCUCCUGCGAUGGUAGUACUCAGUGGACCUGAAACACCCAGGACUGGCGUGGAGCAUAACAACCACCCGCUGCAAUAGCAUCUUCAUGACAUCUUUCCAAAUAAUGAGGCAUUACUCUCUCCCACGUGCUCAUUUUCUUCGGGUUAUCAUGAGGGUCAACUAUGGUUUUCCCCUUGCCACGAGAGGAAUGACGAUCACCCCCACUGUCGCCACUACCUCCAGCAGCAGUAGCCAUCUCUCUGUACUACAAUUUAUUUAGAUCAUAUUUGCAAAUAACUAAACUAUGAAUAAAUUAUAUUUUUCCCCAUAAUUUAUUUAGCUCAACAUAACAUAUAAAUGAAAAGUUUCUCCAUUGUAGCUUAUUCUAAAAAUAACUAAUUACGUACCUCUAUUUCAUUUUAUUAUCUCUAUGUACCACAAUUUAUCUCGCUCAUAUUUGCAAAUGACUAAAAUAUGAACAAAUUAUUUUUCUCCAUAAUUUAUUUAGCCCAUAUUUGUAAAGGACUAAGCUAUGAAAUUAUUCCUCUAACCUCAUAUCAAAAUCUUUGACUAAUACAAAAUAUAGCAUCCAAAAAAUUGUAGCUUAUUCUAAAAUCACAAAUAUGAGCUCUAAAUAACACAUGGAUAUAAAUGAAAAAUUUCUCCAUUGUAUCUUAUUCUAAAAAUCACAAAUUACUCUAGCUCUAAAGCAUAAAACUUAGUAUACUGACCAUGUAUCAAGGGAGGAUGAAGUUUCUAACCUUUAGAACACUUGAAUGAGUGAAAUCCUCACGAAAUGGUCAAAAAUCCGGCAGCACCUCCCCUAUUUCGCCAUGAAUGGAUGCAGCCCGAGUUAGAGGAAAUGGCUCGGGCAGGAGGAAGAAGAUGCUUGAUUUAUAGGAGGGAAGUUAGUACCGGUUGGGAGCUCCAACCGGUACUAAAGGUCACCCAUUAGUAUCGGGUGGAGGCACUAAAGGUCCUCAAGCACAUUAGUACCAGGUGGAGGCUCCUCCCGAUACUAAUGGGUGGCCUUUAGUACCGGUUGGAGCCCCCAACCGGUACUAAAAGGGGUCACGAGGGGAUCCUAGGGAACUAGUCGUUAGAUCUGGUACUAAUACUCAUAUUAGUACCGGGUCAAAAACCAACCGGUACUAAGCUUCGGGACCAAUACCGAGUUUUCCAGUAGUGUACCGUAUACUUCAACGGCCAAAGCUCGUUGUAAGGUGUCGGCAACUGCUCUCAUCAAAAUCAGUGAAGGCAAUGUACCGGCAGAGCUCGUCAAGAGCGAACUAGCUCGAGCAGUUCCGAUAAAAUGGGAUUGGGUAGUACAAGAGCAUGGAAAAAAUACAUUCAUUGUGCCAUACCUGUGCCAGGUGGAGCUGCAAAGAAUGAUUAGUAUGAAGCGUCUCCGAACUGAUAACAAUGAAGGGUGAUGCUAUUUGAAGAGUGGAAUAAUGAGAUCAAGCCGAAGCAGAAACUACAGAAGGUAUGGGUUCAUGUAUAUGGCAUUCCAUAUGAGAUUAGAUCCUUUUUACCUCUUUGGGCUGUGGGGUCAAUUCUCGGAGCAAAUCAGAAGGUUCAUAUGAGAUCGAUGAAGAAAACAGGGGUGAUACGACUUAUGGUUGCAGUUCUUGAUGCAAAUUGCAUUCCAGAUGGCGCUGAUAUAGUGGAAGAUGACUGCCUUUAUGAGAUUUUCUUUAAGGUUGAUCAUGUGGUCGCUGAUAACAGUGGGGAACCGGAUGAAUUUAAUGAGGAUGAUGACGUAGAACGGGAGAAUCAAAACAAUCAAAAGGAUCAUGAGAUGGAGGAUGCUGAAAAAGCCCACAAUAAUGGUUCUGAUGCUUCUGGUUUAGAGGCACCACCUUCCAAUUUACAACCUGAUCAAGCACCAAAAUCUGGUGCACCAAAUGCAUUUGAAAAGCAGGUGGUGGAACAAACACUUGACUUAGCAGUAGACAUCGAUGAGCUGAGUGCCAAAGUACUGGCUGAGAGUGAUGAAGAUAACGUGUCACUGUCGGCAAUGAUGGAUUCAGUUCAUGACCUGCAGCCAAUUCAUGACAAAGAGCAAUACAUAGGCGGGAUUUCCCCUGUGGCAAUGCAACUGGAAAAAACAAAGAUGUCAGAAACUGCUACUAAGGAAUCUGGUGCUAAUUCAGAGAAGCAGGUGUUGGGUUCCGUUGAGAGUGCGGGGGGAGGGACAACAGCUAGCACUCAUUCCAUGCUUCAUGGCUACGUGCAGUACAAAACUGCUGUGAGCGACACGAUGGGAACCGUUCAUCUCGGGACCGGCCCCGGCUGGAGGCAAGCCUCCUGCGCACAACAAUGAUGCGCGCCAUUCAUUAGGUGGGGGUGCACAGCUAAACCAGGAAGAUGGUGCCCAGGAGGGAUCUAGGAGAUCAGCUAUACAACUUACACAGUGAUGCAUGUGGAAUCGAAAGCGUAGGUGGUCAGGGAAAUAGAAAUAACAGAUCAAGUGGAUACCUCGGGUACUGUUUGCAAGUCACAAUUCCAUGGGAUUCCUAGACGCAUGUUGCAGGCAUUAUCCAAAAAAAAAAAUGGAAUACGGGCUAACCUUACAAAUGAGGCAAUGGCAAAAGAGCUCCAGGAUCUUGAUAAUGUCAUUGGCAUGGAGAUGAUCAAUACUGCAAGCACCGGAAGUGGUGAGUUUGAGAAGAGGUCAUGAAGUACUAGAACAAUUACCAACGAAGAUGCAAAAAUAAUGGAGAAAGCAAUGAAUCUGGUAGCCAAGAAAAAUGCUCUUGAUCCAGGUAACUGCAUAUCUUUCCCAUCUAUUUCAGAUUAUAAUAUUGUCACUAGAAUUGCAAACCUAGGUGUUCCUAUGGGUAGAGAUAAUAGUGUUACGUCUUCUGUUACCUCUCUCAAAAAUAUAGAAAUUCAUAGGCUAAAGGUGUCAGCUAAAAAUAAUGCUGAUAACAAUAAAUCUUCCUCUCCUAAGAUUAACCUGGAUGGGGAAGAAGAGGACCUGUUAGAUGCACGACUCAACCAUCUUUGUGGGAAUGAUGAGUGUGCACGAGGGACUCGAUCACAUCUGUAGUGAUUUAGUAGCGACACCUCGCAAGAAAAAAAAAUCCAACUCUAGGAAAAAGCCUAAGGUGGGUUUGACAUAAAAAAAACCUAUCGCACCAUCAAAGCUAAGUUUCAAAUGAAAGGGGUCUUCUGGAAUAGUAGAGGUCUUGGAGACUUGGCUAAACAUGGGUACUUGGAAGAUUUGGUUAAAGAGGAGCAAAUUGAUUUUAUUGCUCUCAUGGAAACGGGUUGGGAUCAAUUCCCAAAUGGGACCCUUCAAAAAUUAUGUGGUGGCAAAGAAUUUAUUUGGCAGUACAUGGCACCACAUGGUCGGGUCUAGGGGAAUCCUUCUUGGAGUCGACCUAAUAGUGUUCGAUAUUGGGUCCAUAUAUGAACGGGACUUUUAUAUUAAGUUCACACUUUGAAAUAAACAUGAUGACUUUAAGUUGUCAUUGUUUGCAGUUUAUGGUCAUGCUCAAAAAGAACAUAAGGAAAAUUUCCUGUUAGAAAUGGCACACAUAUGUGGUAAAGAAUCGCUAAUAUAUAUAAUUGGUGGGGAUUUUAACAUCAUACGUUGUCCUCAAGAUAAAAAUAAGGACAAUUUUGAUGCAAAGUGGCCAAACCUUUUUACAUGGUCAUUCAGACUCUUGAUCUUAGAGAGAUAGAAAUGUCUGGUCGUAGAUAUACUUGGGCGAGUAGUGGGGAUGAUCCAAUGUUUGAGAAAUUGGAUUGAGUUUUAGUUAGUACGGAGUGAGAACUACAUGCCAAAGAUAGAAGUAACUCAGAUCACAUACUCUUAUUACUAAACAUGGGUGCGUCUUCUCACAAUAGACAACACCAAUGCUUAAAUUUGACUUGGUUCCUAAUAAAUGGCUAUUUUUAAACCAAGAAACCACUUCGAUGGAAAGAUGGCAGAAUAAAAUAAAAUCUCUUUGGCAAUUUCUAAGGGGUUAGGCCAAAAAUAUAGCUGGCCACAAUAGAAAAGAAAAGAAAAAAUGGAUGAUUGAUGAUCUGGAUAAAAAAAAAUUGAAAACAGGGUGCUCUCAUAUCAAAGAGUUAAAUUUAAAACAAUAUCUCAAUGAACGAUUAGUUCACUUAUUGAGAGAGGAAGAAAUCAAAUGGUAUGAGAGAGCUAAAACUAACAACCUCUUGGAAGGUGAUGAUAGCACCCAAUAUUACCAUUUGGUUGCUAAUGGAAACUAUAGGAAACAACGCCUCUUCAAAUUAGAACAGGAAGAAUGUGUAAUUAAGGGUGAUACUGAAUUGAAAGCUUAUAUCACAAACUAUUAUAAGGGGUUGUUCGGGCCACCGGAGGAUAAUAAUUUUACCAUGUUGGAAAACCAGAACAAUGAUAUAUCUCAAGUCACGGAGGAGGAAAAUAAUUUCCUCACAGCUCCAUUUACAGAGAAGGAGGUGAAAGAGGUAGUGUUCCAAAUGGAGCAUAAUAAAUCUCCUGGAGCUGAUGGUUUCCCAGUAGAAUUUUAUCAAGUUUUCUAGAAAAUCAUAAAAACAGAUCUCAUGGCGCUAUUCACGGAAUUUUAUGAAGAGCGUCUCCCUCUGUAUAGUCUCCAUUUCGGAGUAAUUCCUCUUCUCCCAAAAAUAAAAGAGGCUGUCAAAAUUCAACAAUAUAGACCCAUUUGCUUACUGAAUGUGAGUUUCAAAAUUUACACUAAGGUAGCUACUAACAGACUCAUGGGAGUGGCUAAUAAAGUGAUUCGACCCACCCAAAUGGCAUUUAUGUCUGAUCGAAAUAUUAUGGAAGGAGUAGUGAUAUUACACGAAACUAUCCAUGAACUACACACCAAAAAACUUAAUGGUGUAAUUCUCAAAAUUUAUUUUGAAAAGGCCUAUGAUAAAGUGAAAUGACCUUUUAUACAACAAACCCUUAGAAUGAAGGGAUUUUGCUUGUGAUGGUGUGCAUGGGUUCAAAAUUUUGUUUCGGGAGGAGGUGUGGGUAUCAAAAUUAAUGAUGACAUCGGGCACUACUUUCAAAUAAAAAAAAGGCUCUUAGGCAAGGAGAUCCCAUAUCACCUAUUCUCUUUAAUAUUGUGGCAAACAUGCUCUCUCUCUUUAUAAAGUGGGCAAAAGAAGAUGGCCAAGUUGAAGGAGUGAUUCUACACUUGGUGGAAGAUGGACUAUCUAUUUUGCAGUAUGCAGAUGACACAAUUAUUUUCAUGGAGAAUGACUUAGAGCAAGCUAAGAAUAUGAAACUCUUGCUUUGCAUCUUUGAACAAUUAUCGGGUCUAAAAAUCAGCUUCCACAAGUGAGAUAUUUUUCUAUGGAUAAGCUAAACAGUACGGACAUGAAUAUACUAAACUGUUUGGUUGUGGUCUAGGCACAUACCCCUUUAGGUAUCUAGGAAUCCCGAUGCAUUAUAAUAAACUUGGUAAUACGGAUUGGAAUAUCAUCGAGGAGAGAUUCAAACACAAAUUAAGUACGUGGAAGGCUAAACAUUUAUCUUAUGAAGGACGGUUGGUUUUACUAAAUUCCAUCUGAAGUAGCCUUCAUAUGUUCAUGAUAUCCUUCUUUGAAAUCUCUAAAGGAGACCUAAAAAGAUUGGACUUUUAUCGAUCCAGGUUCUUUUGCAAAGGCAAUAAUGGUAAACAAAAAUAUUGCCUAGCUAAAUGGGACAUUUUGUGCCGUCCUAAAGAUAAGGGGGUUUGGAAUAACAAAUCUCUUGAUCAAAAAGAAAUGUCUACUCAGCAAAUGGCUAUUUAAAUUGCUUAAUGAGGAUGGCAUAUGGCAAACAUUACUUAGAAAUAUCUAAGUUCAAAGUGCCUUUCUCAUGUUACAAUUAAACCUGGUGACUCGCAUUUCUGGAAAGGUUUGUUAAAGGUUAGGGAUAAUUUUCUAGGUUGUGCAACAUUCAAGAUAAAGGUUCUGGGAGGAUAUUUGGGUUGGCUAUAAAUCACUAAAAGAGCAGUUUCUGAUCCUACACAAUACAGUAUACUAUCCUCAUGCUACUGUGGCAAAUGUGAUGAACCAAACGCCAUGGAAUAUCUCUUUUAGAAGAGUAUUAGUUGGGGAUAAACUGACAGCCUGGCAUAACCUUGUAUCUAAAAUAGUUCCUUACCAUCUUUCGGUUGGAAGGGAUAAUUUUACUUGGAACUUGCAUAGAAAUGACAAUUUUACAGGUAAAUCUAUGUACCAGUAUCUCAUAAAUCAGGAUACCCCUUUCAACUGUAAGUUUAUUUGGAAGCUAAAGUCCCCUCUAAAAGUAAGAUAUUUUUUUUUACCUCCAACAUGGUGUUAUCUUAACAAAAGAUAACUUAUCUAAGAGAAACUGGUCUGGGAGUCAAAAAUGUUUCUUCUGUGAUCAUAAUGAAACAAUUAAGCAUCUCUUUUUUAAGUGUCAACAUGCUAAGAUAAUUUGAAGAGUUGUCAAUAUAGCUAUUAGGUUAACUCCACCAAAGUCAAUAGCACAUAUGCUUGGAAAUUGCUUCAUGGGCAUAAGAAACAAGGAUAAAAGUUUGAUUUUUAUUGGGGUUGCAGCUCUUAUGUGGGCGAUCUAGUGUCUGCGUAAUGAUUUGGUUUUUGAGAAAAAAUGGUUUACCUCUUUUACGUAGGCUGUUUUCAGGGGAGCUUACUGGCUGCGAUUUUGGUCCCUAUUACAGCGUAGGGACACAAAGGAGACUGUUCGUUUGGCAAGCAAGGCAUUGGAGGUCGUUGCCUUGGAUAUUUUUGCAAAAAAUGUAUGGAGAAGCAAUAAUAGACUUUGCUUUUAAUUUCUUACUACCAUUUGUAAUCUACCCAUUUUAUUUGUAAUCAGUCUGUGAGCUGAGAAUAUUGUUAAAAUUUGGCUGUAUGCGGUCGGAGAGGCCGGAAUAUUAUCCUUUUUCUAAAAAAAUACUCAUGAGUAAGACUGCCUGGUGCAUAUCACUACGGUUCUACUUUUAUCAUGUCUUCGGUUGCCAUAGGAACCUUGUCGCAGGUGCAGAUCACAGGACAUAGAUGAACAACCUCCGAGUAAAGGAAUGCAAAAUUGUAUUUUUGAGAGCCUCCCGCUUCCCACAGACAUACAUUGGCAUGCUACUGUAGCAAAGUACAAUCAGUGAUGUACAUAUGACUGUAUAUGCACACAUUUGACAACUUCAUGCAUCAAUUUGCAUGUUUUGCAACUUGUUGGACCAAAGUGAUACAACCAUACAAGUUGUUGUAUGGUGGGUGAAAUUUACUCCUGAAAUAAUGGGUAAUGUGGCUAUGAGAUUAACUUAUAUGUGCCUAAUCUAUUUGAAUGGAAAAUUUUGACAUCAUGACAAAACAAAGGAAGGAAAAUCAUGCCAUCUCCAUUUCAACGGGCUCCUACGCCAUUACUCCAUCAGGUACUUGAACCAAUGUUUGAGGAUGACAAUUCGAUUAGAGGUGAGUGUCAGGAUCUGAGAGAUCUAGAUGGGAAUUUCAGAGAACAAAGAGGAAUCGAGCCAAGAACAAGAGGAAAACGAAGAUGAACUGAAGAACAGACAUAACAAAUAGAAGCAACAGCAGCAAAAUUGUGGAUGAUAACUUGGAUUCAAUUACAUAUAGACGCGAGAAUCAGCGAUAAACUACUGGUACUGCUACAUCUAAGAGAUACUUAGGGUUCUUCUUGUUCGAUAAUAUCUUAUAGACUAGGGCCUCUGAGCUAAAUAGCAUGCUCAGGGUGAAGUAAAAGUAAAAGAUAGUUUUAUCUGACGGUAACUGUUCCACGUCCGCCAAUGGAGGUAAAUGAGCUACUGGCCGAGUGAAUGGAUGACUGCCGACGGAUGGGAAAUGGAUGUUAUCGCCAAAGUCGACAAGUUGUUUAAGUUGGCGCCGAUAUGCUGUGCUCCUUGCUCUGAAUCAGAAAUACACUCUGCAUUGCUCUUGUUCCUCACAAUUGCCCCUCUUUGAGAUCCUUGUCCUCAACGAUGAAAUGAAGGAAAUACCUUGCGAAUGAAUGAUGCAUCUUCCCAGGUUGCUUCAGUUUCUGGCAUAUUCAUCCAAUGAAUCAACCACUGGACAACAUGCUCAUUGUUUCAAGGAAUUAGCCUUCUGUCAAGUAUUGCAACUGGAGCUACUUUGAUUGUUCCCUUGGAGUCAAUUAAUGGCAGCUCUGGACUUAGUACUGCAUUAUUUCCAACAUGCUUUUUCAGUUGACUCACAUGGAAUACAUUGUGAAGUUGACAACCUUCAGGGAGGAGCAAUCUAUAAGCAGCUUUGACAAUCCCUUCGAGGACUAUGAAAGGACCAUAGAACUUAGAAUGCAAUUUCAGAGACUUGUGUGCACUGAGUGAGGUGUGGCUGGAUUUUCAAGUACACCAUAUCACCAAUUGUGAAUUCCCUAUCAGUCCUAUGUUUGUCUGCUUGGUACUUUGUUCUUGCUUGUGCUUUUUGGAGGUUGUUUCCGAUUCACCACUUUUGAGUCAUCAAUUAAUGCAAUUGCAUGGUCCAUUUGUCUUUUUGGAGGUAAAGACCUGAUGGUAAUUGUUCCACAUCCACCAAUGGAGGUAAAUGAGCUAGUGGCCGAGUGAAUGGAUGACUGCCGACAGAUGGGAAAUGGAUGUCAUCGCCGAAGUCGAUGAGUCGUUUAAGUUGGCGCCGAUAUGCAUUGCUCUUGUUCCUGACAUGAGGUAAUCAGAGAAUAUGUACUACAACUCCAUAGUGGUCGAGGAUGGCUGCUGUGAUGGAUAACUGUUACGUCCUGUAUUUUGGUGGAUUGUAUUUUUUUGCGCUGAUGCGUGGAAUAGUUGACGUGCCCUAGGGAGGCACCCCUGGCCGCCUUAUAUAGGCUAACAACCUAGGGUUAUAAGUCGGUUUGAAUCUAAUCUAGUCGGUUGUUACAUGGAAAGUAAUCUGAGUCAGAUUACAACACGUAUCCUGCAAUAUCCAAGCUGAUUUGAAUCACCCGGCCCCCUUGAAUUGUACUUCAAGUAUCUUCAUGUCCUUGGCCCACACGUUCUGAUCAGGCGGGCCCCGAGCAAUGUGUAGGAGAAUAGGAACACGAGGACAUCACAGCGAAGCUUGGAAUUUGGUUGGUUGAAGCUGUGAUGAUGUCUUAGUGAUGGAGAGGCUGCGCAGUGCUCAAAAAGAAGAAAAUCUGAGCAAACGCAGAGCGAAGUCGAGUGCUGAGUUAAUGGAUGUCGAGCAUCCAGCAUGUUGAAUCGAAGAACAUAGAGGGUGUGGCAAGAAAAAGAACAUGGAGAUUGAAGCGAAGAACAUGGAGAGUAGCCCCCGAGCAUUGAAGCGAUUAGUAUAAUCGGUCCAAUGGUCAAAAAAGAAAAAAUUGAUCCUAGAAGCAUGUCCUAGUGCCCGAGCACAAGGAUAGGUGAAGCUACGGAGGCACGCUGACCAGAAGUAGGCGCCCAGCCCCCGAGCGUAAGUGCAAGGACUGGCGGAGCCACGAAGGCACACCGACCCGAAAUAGGCGCCCAGCCCCUGAGGAUAAGGACUAGUGGAGCCACAGAGGCACGCCGACCUGAAAUAGGCACCCAGCCCUCGAGGACGAGGAUUGGUAGAGCCGUAGAGACACACCGACCUGAAAUAGGCGCUCAGCCCCCGAGGACGAGGACUAGCGGAGCUGCAGAGGCAUGCCGACCUGAAAUAGGCACCCAGCCCCCGAGCGUUAGGGCGAGGACUAGCGGAGCCACGAGGCACGUCGUGAAAAACAUAACAGAAAACCUGCAAGCUCCGCUCGGGGCGUGCGGUGCAACAACGAAAAAGCCGUAGAUUCCAUCGCUAGGGUUACACCGUCAAAUCCUUCAAAAGCUCAAGGGGCGUAGAUCCAUUUUUAUUUUCACUAGCCACACUCAUGAUGCUGCCACCGUAGUCCAUGGAGCACAUCGCCACCGCAUCCGUGAACCCUAGGCCACGACGCUGCAGUUUCCAAUCUGCUAGCACGCACUUCACCGCCGCCACCCGAGCCGUCGCGCCGCCGUAUGCAAACCAAGAGCCUCGCGGUUAUUAGAUCCAAAUCCCAGGGAGUAGAAACCGAAGAAAUGGUAGCGGGGAAUGCUCCGGAUCCAUCCACAUACUGGAUGAAAUCUGUGAUGACGGAGGAGCACAUCCAAGCGCUCGUCGACCGGGACCUCCUCGGGCACAAGGCGCUACUCGACUGGAAGGCGACCGCCGGGCAAGAGUUCGCCAGCAAUGACAAGACGGAGACGGUGGUAUUUGCAUUAUUCAACACGUAUUUGGGAUCCCUUGCGGGGACUUCUUCCGCGGAUUGCUGCACUACUACAAGUUUGAGCUGGUACACUUGAAUUCCAACUCCGUUCUUGAUAUCGCGGUUUUUAUCCAUCUGUGCGAGGCGUACCUCAGAAUCCCCCUUCCCACUUCGAUCUAUGGAAGUAUUUGGAUCAGUUCAAACCUGUAUCGACUAAAGGGAAGCCACGAGUGAUUGGGGGAUGUGGGUUUUCGCUACGGAUGAAGAAAGUGCAAGAGUACUUUGACCUCCAGUUGAAGGAAUCCAACAAGGACUGGCACAAGGAAUGGUUUAAGAUCGCCAAUCAAAAGCUCGAGCUCCCGCCGCGCACCAGAUACGCUCCACUUGCUAUGCCCGAGUGGUCAAACCAGCUGGCCUCAGAGGAGCAAGUGCAAGUGAAGCAGCUGCUGGAGAAGAUUGCCAACCUGAAGGUGCGUGAACUCACAGCCGAGGCUGUAAGUAUCAAUUUCUAUCGGAGAUUGACACAGACGAUCAAGAACAGGGUCCAUCCGAUGUAUGAGUAUACAGGGCCACUAGACCUGACCUGGGAGGUCCAGCGAAAGGUGACCAAGGAAGAAGUCGCCAAUCGGAUAAGCGAGUUUUUUGGUGGUAUCAUCAAGAACAAGAGCUGCCCCAAAGCAUAUUCCCUCAAGAGGCCGGCCGAAUAGGUAUAAUCUUAACUGCAUUGUUUUUGGCAUUCUCGUUGUGCUUUUGUGUUGUCUUUGACUAUUCUUGUUGAUUGACCAGAAUGACGAAUUUGAGUUCUUUUGCUCGGUGCCACUUCCUGAAGGGGCUGAGCAAUAGCGACCCAAGGUCCGCCCGACUACCAAGUCUGAUGAGCCGCCUGCCGGCCUUGAUUGGGAAUCGGACUCCUCCAUCGGGUUGGACGAGGACAUGCCAGAAGAGGUCGGCUAGGCCGAGGACUAUGAACCAGUGGGACGCCGAACACGGCAGGUCGUGAAGAAGCUUCAGACCUACAAAAAGCCAAGCACCAAGAGAAGCCAAGCACCAAGAGGAAGAAGAUGGCCGGUAAGAAAGAGGAGACUGCCCCGAGCGCAGCCUCCGCGACCAAGUCAGCUAGCGAAGCGCACGAAGAAUCGGACACGCCGAGCCCGGCCGCCAAGAAGAAGUCCGAGCACCUUGAGACGACCACGACCGACGCAGAACGGAUCAAGGAGACGUUGAAGGCAAAGAUCCGCGGGGGGUCUAGCAGAGAUGUGUUGGUGCCACCACCGCCCUUGCGUCCCAAGUUCCGAGUGAAGCAGAGCACCAUGUAAGUGCGAUCUGGUUAUAUUGUCUAUCUUGUGGUUGUUUUGCUGCCUGUCUUUCUUAAAUUGCUUCUUGCACUAACAAUGCAGGAAUGUCGUGCUAGAUAAUGAAUUUGGUACGCAGCUGACUAGUUGCACGACCCAUGCCGAAGGGGCGAGCGGCCACAACGUUGAACAGUACUCGCUUCCGAAGGUCGGCAGGGAUCAAGAUAAUCGUAUGGAGGUGAAGUGCACCUCUCGCUGGUGCAGCUUGUGUUUCCGAUUGCUGCAGAACACCUUGGGGCCACCCACGAUGAUGUUGACUUCAUGGUUUGGUCGCUGGAACUCCCCGUUCUGGUCGGCGCCGGCCCGGUGGGCAUCUGGGUUUGGCUGGUCGCAGCGCUCUUCUCUGGGCUGAUCAUUGAAGUCGUCGCGUCGGUGGUUGUCACGGACAUCGCGGUCAUCAUAGCGGUGGUCGUCGUUAUCGUCAUGGCGGUGGUCGCAGUCGUCGUGAUAGUAGUCGUCGCGGUGACAGUCGCUGCGGUCAUCACGGUCAUCGCGUCGGCGGUUGUCAUGACAAUUGUCAUCCCUGUGGUAGUUGUUGCAGCAAGGUUGCUUGUACUCCACGGGGGCGCCGAGCUCUUUCUUGAGGACUGAGCAAUCCCAUAGAUUGUGACGUACAUCCUUAUGGAAGGGGCACGGAGCAUUCAAGGUGUCAUCAAACUCUUCCUGGAGGAAGGUGGUCGGCCUGGCGGGUCAGCUUCAGCAGUGAGGAUAAUAGGGGCCCUUUUUUGAAGUCGGGAGGACUCCAGUCCUGCUUGGUGCUCCUCAUGGGCCGGCAGUUCGUAGUUGUCGUUCUGGCGAUGCUUGCCGCCCUAGAACUAUACUUGCACUACCUCCUCUGUGUUGGCUUGGUGUUGAUGAUCUGCAUCAUCUGCCCGACCAUUUUUGGGGCAGCCUCAUACAGCUUGCAGAACAUGGUGCGGUUCAUCAGGCUGGAGCGGAAGUACCAAAUGAUGUCGCGGUCCUCGACGCUGGCCAGCCUGUUGUGGUUCUUGAAGAAGCGGUUCAUGUACUCUCGGAGGGUUUCUUUCUUCUGCUUGCAGACUUGCCUAAGGUUCUCCGUGUUUCUAGGUCAGCUGUAGGUAGCCUGGUAGUUUUGGGUGAAAGCUCUAGCGACCUGACCCUAAGAGUCGAUGCUGCUCAGCGGGAGGUUUUCUAGCCAUAGGAGAGGGGUGGGACCCAUCACCAUCGGGAAAUAGGCGGCCAUCUAGUCGUAGGUGCCAUUGGAGGCUUUCACCGCGGUGCUAUACGUCUUGAGCCAUAUGGUGGGGUCAGAGUAGCCAUCGUACUUUUCGUUGAUGACCGGCUUGAACGAGGACGGCCAUUGAAUGGCCCUGAGGUGGGAAGUGAAGGUGGCAAAACCGUCGAUCGCCAUGUCGUCGUCGUCUUUGAGGUUGUACACGACGGGUGGUGCCCCAGGGCGUCCAUCGUUGUUGCGCAUAGAUGGGACAUAGGCAUCUUCAAGGGAAACGUACAUGCGGUCGUAAUUGGCACAACGACGCAUCUCCUCUUCUUGGCAUCGGCGGUCCUCCCGUUCUGUGUCACGGUUUGGUCCAGGGGCACCGUAGUCAUGGUCAUACUCAGCGCGACGGCGAAGCUUAGCCUUUUCCUGCUCUUGGUAGCGGUUGUUGAGGUCGGCAUGGAGGUCGCGGCAGUCGCGUAGCUCUUCACGAAGCUCACGUUGGCGACCUUGUCUGCCAUGGUCCUCGCCAUCGCCUCUCCUGCCACAGCGGCAGUUGUCGUGGUUGUCGUUGUUGGCGAGUGGGUCGGCGGGUUGCUCCACUUCCUCUUGACGGAUGGACUCUAGCCGACCUCCCACGCGGUUGUCGUGGUCACCUCGGUGGUGACCAGAUCUGCUAUGCCCGGAUCAGCUUCGAGAGUGCUGGGUAGAUGUGGAUCGGGAGUAUGUUGACCAGCUGUGGGCCCGCUCUUCGAUCUGGACGUUGGCGACGCGGAUACGUGCCCGGAUCCGUCGGAGUGGCUCCAAGUCUGGAAGGUUUUCCAGGUUGGCGAAGGCAGCCCCUAGGUUAGCCUGGGGUGUGGUGAAGACGUUGUGGCCGGCCCCCUCGAGGUCGGCUUGUAGAUUGCGGGCGCGCAUAGGGCGUCUGCGUCUGCCCCAAGCACCGUCAUGGUCGGCAUUGUCACCAUCAUUGGUGAGCGAUGGGUUGGCAUCGCGUUGGUCACCUACUGCUUCAGCUCCCGCAUUAGCAGCAGGUUGUUGGUGCUGCGGGGCAUCGGCUUUCUCCCGUUGGUGCCGUACUGCACGGUCCUGGUUCUUGGCGUUGCGACCUGCUUCCUGAGAAGAGGUUUCGCCAUCCCUGGGUGGAUCGUCAGCAAAGACCACGAAGGCUUCAGGAUCUGGCGUGGUGGAGUUGCCCUCAUCAUUGCUUCCGUAGGGGUUCGGAGUCAGGACGAUGCAGGAGACCUGGAACUCGCCACAGUCCAGAAACUGGGCGGGUCUGGGUGGGUCUUCAGAUUGGAUCUAAAAAGACCGUGCGAGUUUCGCGGAAUACACGGUAGCUGAGUUUCUCAGACCAAAGGGGACGUGGGAAGGACCCUGUGCCGACCUUGUUGAGAGUAGCGCCGCCUCAGAGAGAUCGAUGCACUCAACAAUUGUGUUGCUGAUGCGAUCUAACUCCGCGAUCAGGUCGCAGGGCGUGGGUGGGCGGGUUGCGGCAAGGAUGUUGGGAAUCCUCUCGAAGAGGGAGAGAUCACCGACCUGCUGUGCAUGCGGAAUGAUGAUCCUCGGGUGAAGACCUUGCUCCAUCAAAGUAGAUCCGACGGAUGCUGAGCUGGCAGCGGACGCCAAUUCGACGAAGAAGGUGGUGGAGUCAGAGUCCACCAGCAUGCUCCCGAAGUGAAGCUGGAUCGUAUUGGCGAGAAAGUCCUACAUGCUCUUGGGGAAGAUGACGCUGGGGCGGGAUGCCAUCGAGCUCGCUGGGGAGGAUCUCACAAUCUCCUACCUGGUGCGACAACUGUCGGAUUUAGUAGCCCGGCAGUUUACUAGGGGGUUUCCCAAGUGGUUGAUUUGUAGGCAGGGAGGAUUGCGAAACUCUAAGGUGAUCAUGAGAACACGAGGGUUUAGAUAGGUUCGGACCUUCAGAGAGUAAUACCCUACGUCCUGUAUUUUGGUGAAUUGUAUUGCUUUGCGCUGAUGUGUGGAAUAGUUGACGUGCCCUAGGGAGGCGCCCCUAGCCGCCUUAUACAGGCUGACGACCUAGGGUUACAAGUCGGUUUGAAUCUAAUCUAGUCUGUUGUUACAAGGAAAGUAAUUUGAGUCGGAUUACAACACGUAUCCCGCAAUAUCUGGGCUGAUUUGAAUCGCCCGGCCUCCUUGACUUGUACUCCAAGUAUCCUCAUAUCCUUGGCCCACACGUUCUGGUUAGACAGGCCCACUUGUCAGGACCGGCUAGUAUCCUGGUCAGUGGGGACCCAUGGGGUACCCAUAUCCCUCAAUUAUAUUGACCAAUGGUUGACCUUUAUACCCAAACUAGUCGUGUAACGGCUCGAGGGAUGUGUACCACGUGCCCGUCGACUAAAAAGUUUUUUCUUUGGGUUUUCAAGGCAAAAAGAUACGUGAAAUUACAAGAUUGACCCUUAGUCUGAUUUCUUUGAUUCAAACUUCCAUAUAUGAUUCAAGAUUGGAGAUUCAGAACCAAGUUAAAAGUAGCUUGAGCACAUUCUAGCCGCAUGGCAGUAUUCGAGUGCAUUCGAACUCAAUCUGAUGGAAUACUCAAAGGAGCAGCACAAACUAGUCGGACACGUCUACAGAAGUACUCGGGACUGCUACAUUUGACUAAAAAGUACUCGAGGGCUUGUCGGCCAUACAUCUAUGAGUCCACCAGAAGGCUUGGACAGUCCUAUAAUAUGAGGUUGUACACCGAGACGUGUCAGACAUGGAGAUUACGGUGCAGGACGGCAUGAUCCACGUGGAGGACAAGAACUAGUUGAGGAUUAGGAAACUACUCGUAGCAAUUAGUGUAGGACUCUCUAGUUGAAUCCGACUAGCACUCUUGUAAAGCAACCGACCUGUAACCCUGCCCCCGAUAAUAUAAGGCGAGGCAGGGACCCCCUCUAAACGACUUCAAUCAAUACAACGCAACCAACACAAAGGACGUAGGGUAUUACGCGACAUAAGCGGCCCGAACCUAUCUAAAUCGUGUGUUCAAGUUCACCAUCGAGUUCCUGAUCUCGGCGAGUCCCACGCAUAAAACACUACCUCGGGUACCCCUCGGUAGGUUGCCGGGUCUAAACACCAGCAGUACUAAAGGCCUCCUCUAGGACUAGCCGUUCAACCAUGUACUAAAGUUCACAUUAGUACCAAGUCCACUUGCAACCGGUACUAAUGCAGUGAACGAAAGGUCGAUCUCCGGUAGUGUACCACAAUACCACACAUAAAAAAGUUAUGAUAAAUACUUUCUUUUCCAACAAAAAUUAAAAAAGACUUAUCAUCUACCUCUCUACUUCGAAAAGAUUAAUGGGAAAUGGUUCUUUCUAAGUGUGCGUUUCCCACGUGGGCACACCUGCACACUCAACGCUACCUACACAUUGAACAACUAUGAUCGUUACCUCCCAGUAUCUACUAAUUCAUUUGGGAAGGGUUCUCAUACAAUGGUUUUCACCGGUGAAGUUGAAGGAAAUGAAGCAAAAAGAAGAAGCUUUACACUAGUUCAUUUUUGUCUAGUUUUGUGAAACGUUACGUGACUUGUUUUACCCACAACAGCUGAAGUUGAAACGAAUACGAUAUCUCAAACAAGCCUUGAGAAUUAGAGAAAGGAUAAUGAUGGUGUGAAUGCAUGCAAAGUAAUUUUAAAAAGCCAUAGUGUUUGAACUAGACAUUCAAACUAUUUAUAUUCUAAGGUAGGCAAUUUGGGCAAAGUAUUCAAGUAUUUUCGUUUGGUUAGUCUGGCAGUUUCAGUUUCGAAAUAGGCAAUGUCGAUGAAAUUUUUGCAUGCCAAACUAUAAGCAUAUGGAUCUUAUUUGUCGAUAAAAUGUAUAUAAGGAUUAUAAUGAUGGAACGGAUUUGUAAUCAAAUACGUCAAGAAAAUACAAGAAUUUAGAGGUUACUAGCAGAGUCCAAAGUUAAUAAUUAUUCAAAAGCAAACUACAAGAACACACGAAACCUGAGAACAAGAUAUAUGAAGUUUACGAACGAGAAAGUGUGCAAAGCGGAAUAAAUUUCAUAAAAUUAGUAAUGUAUAGAAAUAUUGUGAGUAUAUUGGCUUACUUCUCUUCCUGCUAUGGUGAAGGCAGCUAACUCCCUCCAAAUUUCUUCUCUAUAUCCACGGCCUAUGGUUAGGAUUUAAGAAGAGCUGAAAUACUCCUUGCAUAAAAAAGUAAAGAAGAGCUGAAAUAAACAGGUCCUAAAUCGCUUUACAUCCUACAGCUCUCUUCACAACGCCAACAAUUGGUGUAAAUUAAGUUAAAUAUUGUUGCAGUGUCUCUUCUACGAUGGCAGUAAAUUUCACUAGGUCGUGACAAAUCAUCAAUCUUGCUUAUUUUCUUUGUUAGCAUAUCCUUCUGACAUUCCACGUCUCAUCACGUUGUAUCCAUUCUUUAGUCAUUCUAGUACAAAGAAAUACGAGACAACCUUUUGAAUCAAAUUGACAAAAAACGCACACAGAAUACAGGUCUCAUAUUACCCAUCGAUAAGAAUAAGUACUAACAGGAUCUCUGCAACCCUUUGUCAAAUGCAGUCUGCAUGAACAGUUCAUCUGGGACAUGGUCUGUUUUCACAAAAAUUAAUCACUACGAUGAGACCACAGAAUUUGAAAUCAGUGGCAAGAAACUGCAGAACUAAGGUAUGCAACGCCGCCCCCCCCCCCCCCCCCCCCCCCCCCCCCCCAUUUCAUGUCUCGGGCAUAUAUGGAAUGGAAUCCAAUUUACAGACCUACAUAUAAAUACAGGAGGCAAGCAUAUUAUACAAACGUACAGAAGUGCCUUUCCAUCUGCCGCCUUUCCCACUGGCAACGCUGACUCCGAUGCAGCUGUGACACGCGCUUCCAUGUUUUUCUUCAGACCCACUUCUGCAUACAUUGAACAGCUGUCUUGACAAAACAUACAAAGCAAAGACAUAGUACUGAUUAAACUCAUGUGCAUCCAUAGUAAAGUUCGCAGGGUUCAGUGGAGCAUACCUAGUACAUUGUGCUUGUUGGUAUCGGCUCAUCAGAAUCUUGUGAUUCUGAUCCACAAUACCGAACAUCAUGAUCACUUCCACCUGUACCACGGUGGCCAUUGUCUCCAGGGCUAUCACCGAAGCCGUCCCCGCCCUCUAUCUGAUCCUUUGAACUCCCAGAACUGCCAUUUUGUGUGAAGCCUUGGACAAGAUCUGGCCUAGGUUCUACACCAACUCGCCUCAAAUGUAGCUGGCAAUGUUUCAAUAAUUAUUCUUCAUGAAGCCCCUAACAAUGAAAAGGAAACAAAAGAUGUGUCCACAAUACCUGAAGGUACAGAUUAACUUCAUCUGGACGGGACAGGAAGGGAAAAUCGCCACCAGUCUUCAGUACAGCACGCCUUGCACCAGGAUACCUUUCAUUCAACUGGUCCUUCAACUGCUGGGGAACAGCAGAGUAGUCGUUUGUCUGUGCAAAGAUAUGCACUGCACAGCAUUAGCAUAUAAGAAGUAUUGGAGUGUCACAGCUCACAGGUCAUGAAUUAUGGUAAGAGCUAAUUUUGGAAGUCAUUAAUACGGAAUCAAAACUAAAGAUGUUUAUCUCCCAACCUACUCAUACAUGUUCAGAUUUGAUUUCCGAAUCCAAUGUUAACCAUAUACACAGCCUUGGCUCUAGCUGUCUUGCAGCCAAUAGAUGGAAUGGAGAACUAAGAAAAGCCCCAUGUGAACCUUAAUGUAUGAGGUUUCUGCUAGUCAGUUAAAUUUUAGAUAACUUACAUCCAUUAUAGUGAUGAGUGAAUCAGGUAGCAUCAAUGACCCAACUGAUGAAACAUUAACAUUUAACAUCAACCUUGAUGAAAGGUCAUCUCUUGACAAUGUCUCGACCUGGAAUGGAGAAGAUGUUAUCAAAUGAGAAGGCAGGUAGAACAGAGAAUAUCAAUGAAGAAAAAAAAAAGAGAAAGGGUUGUUAUCCUCAAAUCAGUCAUCUAACUACAAAUAUUUAACCAUAUAUCACAUCAAGUUUGAUUGCUCAUACCUAUAACAUAUAAAAAUCAUUUAAAAAGUUCUGUUAAUGCAAAAACAUCUAAUGAUGUUUUUAAGUGUGAUACAAACCUGACCCACAACAAAAUCUACUGAGUCUGCAAUGAAUGGUUCAUGGGGACCAUCUCGGAUUCCUGUCAAGAGGUACCGCUUCAGCAAAAAAGAAGGGGUCCAAUUAACACUGCAAUAGAAAGAAGAUUGUUGGAUAGAGUUAUUCAGUAGUUAAUAUACAUGUAUAAAUAGAUUUUAUAUUGUUAAAGUUUGAACAUAUUUUUCCCAAACAGAAAAAUCUGAACACAUGCUAUCACCUAAUGUUAAGAAAAGUUUUUUAUAGAAAACUAAUUUAAGUUGAUCUGAGAAACCGAGUUUCUUAGUUGCAUCAUGUUUAUUCUUCACAUGUUACAUCAUGUGUUUCAUUGAAAAUCAUUCAGCUUCAAGUCAAGCCAUUAUAGCCACCAUGUUCUGCUCACAGCUGCUACACUUAAAGUCAUCUAAGCUACAGCAACGGUGACAUCACUAAUUGUUGAAGGUCAGAUGCUUGGUUUAGCUCAGUACUGUUGCAAAUAACAUAUCUUCAUGUCUCAUUAGCUGUGUUUUUCUAAACCAAAUCGCUAAAGGAGAUGCAGCUGCAUUGCGAACUGCACAAAACAUGGAAUAUUUAACAAAUCAACUGUCAAACCAUUGAUAUCAUACUGUGUUAUAUUAUAAUUUGAUUUGCAAAACAGGUGCCAGAUUUCUUCACAGCAGCUUAAAAAUAAGAACGGAACAUAAAAACUGCAUAAUAGACACAAGUUUUCUUUAAGCAUAGAAACUGAGUUUUAAAGUUACAUUUGUGUUCCACAGAACGCAACAAACAUGGCCUAAAAAUUUGUUUGUAGCAAAAACGUAUUCUCCAGCAGAACAAGACACCAUUAUUCCUGGUUUCAAUAAGAUGAAUUUGAAGUGACUUGAUGUAAGGAAACUCGGUUAACUUUCUGGUUAGCUUAUACGGAAUCACAGAAAUUGGUACAUCAUCAGAUUUUGGUGAAGCCUUGUGAGACUUAAAAUCGUUAAUUUUUUAAAAAAAGGAUAGUUUCUAUCCCAUCAGUGAUAAAUUACAAUGAAAACAUAAUCCUUGUGUUUUUUUAAGUAAAACAUAAGCCUUGUGUUAGCAAGCAACAUAUGCUAAUGCCUUUGAAACAACGUGAUUUAAAUGAAAGGAGGCGUCAGAUGCGUACACAGCAUAUGACUACUUUGUAAUACAUAAUCACAGUCUUGAAAGAAGGCUUUCCAAAAGAUUAUACAUACACUGGAGACCAUGGCAUGGCAGCAGCAAACUUGUGUGUCUCAAGAAAAGUAUUUGAUAGGACCAAGGACUUCACUCUCCUGGGACGGUGUUGAGCAAAUAUUUGUGCCAAAAAUCCACCAAGAGAUGUACCAUAAAUAUGAACCUGCACUCUCAGACGGUCAGCAUAACCUAUUCACAAUUGAAAUGAAAUACUUUAGGAUUCAGUUUUGUAAAAACAAGACUUCUGGGGCAUAUUUACAAGGACUAAACUACAGACUAGCCCUACUGUACUUGUUUUCUCGAGAAAGAAUAUACUUACAACAACAACAACAACAACAUAGCCUUUCAGUCCCAAGCAAGUUUGAGAAAGAAUAUAAUUAAACAAUAAUAAACAAUUUUGCACCGAUUUCACAUUAUAUCUUGGUUAUAAAUUUGUCUACAUCCUGACGGAAAGUUGAAUAAAACUGAAAAAACAAAUUUAUUUUUUUUCAAAUGCAAAGUAGGGAGUGAAAAAUGUAUUUAAUUGUAAGAAAAUGGGUGCUAGAAACCAAAAUGGCAAUGCCUUAUUAACCUAAUAGUCUUGUUAGAACAUGAAUGCAGAAGAAAAACUGGGUAUGUUUCCUUACAUGAUGGAUGUUCAUGGAAUCCAAGAAUUUUUCAAAUGAAUGAAUCCAUUCAUGGUGAUUCCAAACUUGCGGAACGUCGAUAGAUAUCACUCGAUAACCCUGUAAGAAAAUUGGAAAAAGAAUCUAAAAGUAGCUCCACAUGUAAUCAACUAAUUACACCACAGGCUACAGGGAUAAAUUGGUAGUAAAAUUUGAACAAGGUAUGCCCAAAUGAAAUUUGACAGACUUAAUGAUACUACCCCAAUUUAGCUGUCUCCAAACAGGAAUAUGAUUUAGGUAGCCAUUUAACACAGGCACACAUGAAUUUCCUAAUUUCAGAUAACUGAAAUAAGAAUAGAGCAAGAUGGAGGGAAACAUCCAUUUCUGAAUGUAUGUACCUUCAUACAGAGGGACAUAAUCUGUUUAUAGUACACAUCAGCUGUCCCUGCAAUUCCUGGGAUGCAGACAAGAGAAGGUACAACCUUGGGCCCAAAGUCGUAGUACCUCCACAGUUUUUGUCCAAUCUACAAAUUUUCCAAUGAAAGGAUCAGAAACUAGGAAAAAAAAUGGAACAAAAUAAACAUUAAACACGAACCACUAAAGCAUUUUUUUUCUUUCAGAACGCACAUUUUUUGCACAGCAAAACUUUGGUGAGUUGACAAAGAUAUGCACAAGCUCCAGACUGGAAAACUCAGGGGUAAUCAAAGAUUGAUGUUUACCAUGCAUAUCUGUUACUGGAUAUGGACAUAGGGCAAAAACAAAUAAAUCCACAACUAUGCACACAGUUAAUGCAAGCAAACAAUGAAAAAACAGUUGCAUCCUAAGGUAAGACCAAAUUUGAUCAGCAGCUCCUAUUGUAAAUAAACUUAUAUCCUAAUCACCAAAUAAGUUGAUUGAGCAUACUAGAGAGAUGGAGUGGCCAGUAAACUUGAGAAAUUUGAGCUAAUCCUUACAAGAGUCGACCAAGCCACCAAGUGGGUACUUGUGAAGCUAUAGAAUGAUUGGAUCAUGAUCAGACAACAACCACCCGGCAGUGGGCAGAAAUUUCCAUUAUGAUGCGAAUAAACGCAAAAUUAACCAUAAAUAUUGCAAUCUCUGUUAGAGUAUCAUCAGAUUGGGGUAAAGCCACUGUCUUAGCAUCACAACGAUAACGCCAAAAUCACAGCAAAUGCGCCUGCCAAACACUAAAUCCACACCAACCAUCGCGCUCUGUCGUCGAGCAUAGAGAGCUCUUCACACUGAAUUCGCUUCAAAUCCAUCCCAAAUCAGACAACGAUCAAGCUGCGAACCAAGCGGCACAGGCUGACGCCGAGUACCCCAUACCCCCAAAAACCCGGACGCGCGAGGGGUAAGAGACUCAAGUGAGAUGGGGCAUGGGAGGGAGGGAGUCAGGGGAGCGCGCGAACUCACGGAGAUCUUGUGGAGCGGGACGAUGGACUUGAAGUAGACGUAGUCCCCCGGAGCCGCCGCGCCGCCAGUAACGCCCUUCAUCUCUCGCUACGCCGGCGUUGCGGCAGCGGCGAGUGGGGAGAUCAGGAAGGGGGAGGAGACGGCCUGGAUCGCGUCAGAGUGACCCACGCGGGCGGACAGCCAGAAGAGGAGUCUUUUACCUGUGUGCCAAAGUUGGGUCUAAACUCCGUACCUCUAAAAAGUUUGUCGACACCUGUAUGCCUAAGUGCAACUUGGUUUGUCCCUCCAUGCCAUUCCGACCCUAUUCCAUUCGGUUUUGACCGUUUGAGAGCUCUUACAAGCGGAUCCAGGCAGCAAAAAUGUCCAUUGUACCCUUUGUUUUAAAAGCCUGCACGCGUCCAUGAUCAGGUCCACGGCCGCCGUGAGGGCCACGAACGCCACCGCAUCCUCGGCACACCCGAUGUGCGCCACCCCGACCUCCUGUCGGCUUGCUGCACCGGCCCUCGCCCUGGACAGCGGCGGACAUGACGAACCCGCGGUAGUUCCCCAGGGGCCAGUUGCUGAAGUCGCCGCUGCCCCACGGGCUGCACCCCGGCGUGCCGCUCCAGCUAAGCGGCUGCGUGGCGGUGAGGUCGAUGGCGAACUUGCCGCCCUUGGAUGACGGGAUGGAGGAAUCGGCGAGGGGGACGGCGUGGUCGACGCCGGGGAGGAAGAGGUCGAAGCGGUAGCCCAGGCUGUCGGACGCGUCGGCGCUGCCGCGCUCGCGCCAGCACUCGAGGCGCGCCCAGGGCUCCCAGGCGCCAUCGCCAACGAGGCGGAGGAUGAGCCACGCACUCGGGUUGGAGCGGCUCACGCGGUCCGUCCCCGGUGACGGCACGAAGGGCGUGACCAUGGACGCCAUCGCUACAGGGGAGCCCGACAGGUCGUGCACCGUCACGGACCAUCCCUUGCGCUCCUUCCCCGACGCCCCCUCCCGCUCCGGCUGCAUCCCCGGCCUCCGCAGAUCGCUGUUGCUGCGGCACCCAAACUUGCAGGUGAACAUUAGCUGCUUCAUGCUGCCCCGCACCUGCAGCACCUGCGGGCUGCACUCCGGCUCACCGUCAAACUCGAACACGAACCGCGGGUCGGGCUCCGCCUGGACGGUGAGGCUGAGCUCCGCCGCCGCGGGGCUGCCCUUGCCGCCUCUCUUCCCGAUGGAGAUCCAGCCGCUGUGCAGCACCGCGGGCUUGGCCUCGGCGCCCAUGAGGUCGAGCAGGAUGGUAGCCUUCCCGAGCAGCCGCCCGGAGCUGACCCUGCAGGUGCUCCCCUUCUGGCCGGUGUAGACCGCGACCUUCAGGCACGCCUCCCCACGCGAGGAGAAGAGCGACGAAACGGCUUCUCGUUGAACCACUCCAGGUCGGCCUUGGACAGAUGGAACGUAGCGGCGAGCGCCCCGGACGCCGGCGCCUGCUCGCCGCCGUCGAAGGGCACGAGCGGCGUCGGGACGAGCUGAGCCGGCAUCUUUCCUAGCCGGAUCUUGCAAUGGCACGGCGACGAGGAUAGGUGGACGCCCGCGCCGGCGCCGGCGGCCAGCGGCGCCACCGGCAUUCUGAGCGCGAGGUUGCCGACUAGCACCCGCACGAACGGGCAUGGGUCCAUGGCCAACGGUGCUGCUCCUGCUGUCACACCUCCCGAAAUCCCCGCGAACUUGGCCUGAUCCGCUAGGAUUGACAACGGCGGGCGCAAUGUGGGUGUGUCGUCGUGAGCGAGGGAGAUAAGAGGGGGAGGAGUUGAGCGGGGGGUGCCAGGGGGAGUCGUGGAGACCACGGGAGCGAGGUGUAGCCGCCGCCGCGGGCCCCGGCAGUGGAGGGCGCGGUGCCUUGCGCCAUCGGGAUGGGAUUGCCGGAUUAGGAUUGGCGGCGAGGCGAGUGCGAGCGGUGGAGGGUUGGUCAACACGGCCUCCGCUAAUAUGUCUUAGAGACAAAGGGUACAAUGAAUAUUUUCGCUACCUGGUCCCGCUUGUAAGAGCUCUCAAACGGUCAAAACCGAAUGGAAUAGGGACAGAAUGGCAUGGAGAGACAAACAAAGUUGCACUUGAGCAUACAGGUGUCGACGAACUUUUUAGGGGCAUGAAGGUUAGAUCCAACUUUCAUAGUGGCUGUAAAACUCUCCUAGAAGAGGGGUUUCACCGCUUCACCUGCCUGACGUUGGGCCCGGACUGUGGUGGGACUCACUUCCCAGGAGCGGACUGUUUUGGUAACUGGAGGAGCGAAGGUCCACCCCCGUCCGUCGUGGACGACGUGGACGGAGGUGGCACGAAUGAUUGCGGACCGGCCGGGACAGCUCACCCACGCGGCGUGUUGGCUCUCGCUGCCCGCUGGUGUGCGGGCCCGAUGCGGCUCUUGCCUGGCGGCACCCAACUGGUGGGCCACGGAAGUGCUUGACGCCACGGGAGCCUGGACAACGGGUGCAUGUAGCAUGUUUUUUCGGUCUAAUCUAAUCCAGCACGGGCGCUAGGCCGCUAGGCGCUAGCUUCGAUCUAUAGAUCCUGUUGCCAUCUAGAUGGAUCACCGGAAGCAAAUCGCUCUUGGAUCUGCUUUGCGAGGGAACGGGUGCGGCUACUCGAUCAGCGAGGCGCGUUGCAGCCGGGCUGCCGGCAACCAUAGCGCGAUUGGGUUGGUUUGUUGCACGCUCCCAGCCUCCACCGCAUCACCGAGCCUGGUUCGCUCCGGCCAGGCUGACGAGUUGAUUGGUUGCCUUGACAUUUAACUGACGCUGCACCUCUACUCUCCUUCCCGCACACCUCGCGUGCUCCUAUGAGCCUGACCCGGCAGAAACGAGCAUUUUGGCUUUUGGGCUUGUUUAGUUCCCAAUUUGAGAGUGGCAAAAUUGGUAUUUUGCCAUAAAUGCGUAAUUGUAGCGUUUCGUUUGUAUUUGUGAAUUAUUAUCCAAAUAUUUCGUUUGUAGCGUUUCGUUUGUAUUUGUCCAAAUAUUGUCCAAAUAUUGACUAAUUAGUACCUGAAUUCUAACUUUGACACUAUGCAAAAAGAAGAUUCCCCAUCACAUCAAACUUGCGGUACAUGCAUGGAGUACUGAAUGUAGACGAAAUCAAAAACUAAUUGCACAGUUUUGUUUUUUACUUUGCGAGACGAAUCUUUUGAGCCUAAUUAGUCAAUAUUUGGACAAUAAUUCACAAAUACAAAAUAAACGCUACAGUGUUGCUACAGUACUUUUGGCACUCCAAAGUUGGGCAGCUAAACAAAGCCUAAACAUAACCUUUCUCCGUAUUUCUGGAGCCGCUGAUGAGGGAAUCUUGCGCCGUGCGCGACAAGCUUAGAACGCUGCUGCACCCAUCCAAUCACAUGUUGCCUGCAUGCUUGAGAGCCUGGUUCAGCUCAAACCAGCCAACCAAUCAGGACCUUGUUUAGUUGCCCAAAGUUUGGAGGUGCAAAUUCACUGUGCUAGCACUGUAGCACACUGUAGCGUUUCGUUUGUAUUUGUGAAUUAUUGUCCAAAUAUUGACUAAUUAGGCUCAAAAGAUUCAUCUCGCAAAGUACAACAAAACUGUACAAUUAGUUUUUAAUUUCAUCUACAUUUAGUACUCCAUGCAUGUACCACAAGUUUGAUGUGAUGGGGAAUCUUCUUUUUGCAUAGUGUCAAAGUUGGGAGUUUUGGAGCAACUAAACAUGGCCCAGGCCCAUUGCUUCCAACUUUCUACCGCAGCAACGUGUAGCAGCGCACGGGCUGUGCUAGCUGGCCCGUCCACCGAGGCCCUGACCGGCUGACCCUGAGCAAGAUUGAGGAAGAAAGAGAAAUGGCUAAGGGGGUGUUUGAAUACAAGGUACUAAACUUUAGAAGGGUCACAUCGGAUGUUCGGAUGCUAAUUAGGAGGACUAAACAUGAGCUAAUUAUAAAACUAACUGCAGAACCCCUAUACUAAUUCACGAGACGAAUCUAUUAAACCUAAUUAAUCCAUCAUUAUCAAAUGGUUACUGUAGCACCACAUUGUCAAAUUAUGGACUAAUUAGACUUAAUAGAUUCGUCUCGCGAAUUAGACUCCAUCUGUGCAAUUAGUUUUAUAAUUAGAUUAUAUUUAAUACUUCUAAUUAGUAUCUAAACAUCCAACGUGACAUGUCCUAAAUUUUAGGAUGCCGGAUCCAAACAGGCCCUAAGAUAGGUGUAACAUAGUGGAGCAAACUUUUCAUGUGGUGCUAAGGGGUAUUUGUUUCUUUAAUCCUUCCUAAAAUUUCUGUCACAUCGAAUGUUUACAUACUAAUUAGGAGUAUUAAAUAUAGACUAAUUACAAAACCAAUUACACAGAUGGAGACUAAUUUGCGAGACGAAUCUAUUAAGCCUAAUUAGUUCAUGAUUUGACAAUGUGAUGCUACAGUAAAUAUGUGCUAAUGAUGGAUUAAUUAGGCUUAAUAAAUUCGUCUCGUGAAUUAGCCUCCAUCUAUGUAAUUAGUUUUAUAAUUAGCUUAUAUUUAGUCCUCCUAAUUAACCUCCGAAUAUUCGAUGUGACAUAAAUUUUAUGAGGUCCAAAGGUCCAGACACCCCUUAAGUUAUAACCAAUGAUGUAGCUAGGGGUAUUCAUGUGUACCCAUGAUUCUACGUAAUUGUUUUGAUACAUAUAUCAUGUAGUACUAAUAUAGCUAUAAAACAAGAAUACUACUUGUUGGUUUUACAUUCUAAAAGGAGUUUCUACGAGGAUCUAGCGAGUUUUCAGCCCACAGCUCAAUGGUGGGAUCUAGUGAGUUUUCGAUUGGUAGGAUGGAGACGACAUUCAGGGUCCGACUACAGCUUUCCAAGUUGCGCCUUAGCAACCGAUACACCACAUCCAAUGGCUGUCGCGAUCUUGUGGAGCGCGUCACCCGACCACUAGGGCACUCGUCCUGCAAGCAAUCGAAGAACUAGCAAGAAUAAGUAUAACAAGUACUGAAUUUACUAGAUGAAGGUGAAGGUUUCAAACUCAAUCUCAAUAAUGAUGGGGUUCCAAAGACAAGAAGAUGGGUGGCUGAUCCAGCACGCGUGUUUACAAGCAAGUAUUGAGAGCUAAACCUGAUCUAAACAAAACCCAAUUGUUCUUGGUGGCGGCUAAGGGGUAUAUGAAGGUGGGAGGAUGACCACCAGGUUGUUGGGGUCAUGCUCCAACCCUAGGACGCGUCCCUAAUGGACCCGACUUGAUACACGGCCCAAAUUAAAGUGACGCAACACCUUUGGAUAGAAAACCUCUCGGUAGUAAUUCGAUCAUUGCGGCCGCCUUCGACUAGAUAUGGACUUGAGUCCAAAUCCAUAUGAAAAUAGAUUUCAUAAUGAAUCUGUGAAGUACUUAAACGCCCCAAUCCGAAUCUGUAUGCGAUUGUGGUGUCCUCACAAGUUGGUGCUAUCCUGCAGUCCGAAUCCAGCCUGAGCGAGUCCUUUUCCCUUUCGAUCUUCUCCCUAGUUCCUAACCAAAAUAAGAGUGCACGUGUCUCCAUGGUCUAAAUAUAAUUGACAGGAACUCAAGAGUGAACUUACUUGAUGAUUAAAUUGAUGAGCAUGAGCGUGAGUAAUAGGACCAGAAACUGGUACUUGUGUCGGCAUUGAAAUGGUACUCGUGUCGGCGUAGAUGUAUCGUUGGUGUUGAUGUCCUCAUCAGAGGUGCUGCCCGAUUUUUUUUUCAUUUUCAUGAGGAUUCACUCAUCCAAAGUGUUGUAAAGGUUAGCUAUUUCAUCCUCCCUUCAUUUAUUAUUAUUAUGCUUUAUUUUAUACUUUAGAGAUAGAGAAAAAUGAGUUUUUUAGAAUGAGGGAGAAUGGAGAGUAUUUUUAUUUAUACAUGUUUUUGAGCUAGAAUUUGAUGGAUAGCUUACUUGUUAUAUAUAAUUCGUAUUAGGUAAAAAACUUGAUCAAUAUUAGGUAUGGGAAAACUAUAGAGUAAAUAUGUUUUUAAUAUUUAGUCAUUGCAAUAAAAUUAAGAUAAAUAAAUUGUAGGUGUAAGAAAUAGAAUUUGGUCAUUGCUACAAUUUUUCAUGUCACUAUAAUUUAACUAUAAUUGUAUUUAUUUAACCAAUAAUUUAUUUAUCUCAUGUUCAUUGCAAGGACUAAAUAUUAUAAAUACAUUUACUCUAUUUUCCCCUACCUAAUAUUGAUCAAGUUCUUUAUCUAAUACGAAGCCCUAUGUUUAUUUUUCACGUAAUACGAUGCAGAUGGACCGGCAAUGGAUGUACCACCUCUGCUCCUCCAAUCCCAGAGAACAGUAUCUACACAUGGCAUGAAUGUGCUUACACUAUGCUCUGGUAUUGGAGGAGCGGAGGUGGCUCUCCAUAGACUUGGAGGAACAUUCUAAAGCGUUGGUUCCUCCGUUUCUCCAAUACCAGAGAACAGUGUCUACACAUGGCAUGAAUGUGCUUACACUAUUCUCUGGUACUGGAGGAGCGGAGGUGGCUCUCCAUACACUUCGUAGAAGAUUGAGUCAUGUGUAGAGGUGGCUUGGAGGGCGAACAUUCUACUAUGUUGUACCAUUAUUUUAGGAUAAUUGACUAUGUGAAGUCCACUAUGGAGCGUCUAUAAUCUUUAGUGUAUAUGUAUCUUUAUUGUCUUGUUCCAAAAUUCUAACAUUUUUCUUUUGUCGACCUAGUGAAUGAUAUGAAUGUUGAUUGGUGUAAUUUUCAUGUGAAUUGUUUUUAUCUUUAUGAAGGUUGAUUGGUGUAAAUUAUCAAUAUUGAUCAAGUUCAUUAUCUAAUACGAAGACCUAUGUUCAUUUCUCAUGUAAUACGAUGCAGAUGGACCGACAAUGGAUGUAUAACGCGGACAGACGGACCAAGAAGUUUGUUGAUGGCUUGCAUUAUUUUCUAAAAAUGGCCAAAGCCAACAAGCCUGAGAAGGGAUUUAUAUUUGUCCAUGCUUCCAAUGCAGUAACAAGAAGGACUAGUCUUCCUGGGGCACUGUUCUCAGCCACUUGUUUAGAUACGAUUUCAUGCCUAACUAGUUGGUUUGGACCAAGCACGGUAAAAUAGGGGUUAUAAUGGAAGACGGCAAAGAAGAGAAGGAUGAUAACAAUAUUUCGGACUGGACUGCAGGCCAAGCUUUUGCAGAUACUACAAUGGGAGAGGCUGAUGAAUAAGAGUUUGUAGAAGACAACCCUAUUGAUGAUCUUGGUCAGGUGCUUCGGGAUGCACGGAAAGACUGCGAAACUGAGAAGGAAUCAAAAAAGUUGCAACGCAUGAUAGAUGAUCACAAAAAAUUGUUGUAUCCAGAUUGCAUGCAGAGACAUAAAAAACUGGGUACCACACUAGAAAUGUUGCAAUGGAAGCUAAAAAAUAGUGUGUCCGAUAAGGCAUUUUAGGGGAUAUUGAAAAUUGUAAAGAACAUGCUUCUCGAGAAUAAUGAAUUGCCGUCCAUAACAUAUGAAGCUAAACAGGUUGUUUGCCAUCUAAGAUUGGAGGUUCAGAAGAUACACGCAUGCCCUAAUGACUAUAUCCUCUAUCGUGGUGAUGAAUACGAGAAAUUAGAUGCUUAUCCUGUGUGCGGAGUGCUGCGGUAUAAGAUCAGGCGAGAUGAUCCUGGUGAUGUUGAGGGGCAACCUCCCAAGAAGAGAGUUCCCAUGAAGGUGAUGUGGUAUUUUUCUAUAAUACUACGUUUGAAGUGUUUGUUCAGAAACAAGGCGAAUGCUAAGUUGAUGCGAUGGCACAAAGAAGAACGUAAGUAAAAUGAGAUGCUGAGACACCUCGCCGAUGGGGUCUAGUGGAGAUCAAUUGAUAGAGCAUUCUCAGACUUUGAAAGUGAUGCAAGGAACAUAAGGUUUGGUUCAAGUACCGAUGGAUUCAAUCCAUUCGGUGAGUUGAGUAGUGGUCAUAGUACUUGGCCUGUGACCCUAUGUAUGUUCAACCUUCCUCCUUGGCUGUGCAUGAAGCGGAAGCUCAUUAUGAUGCUGGUGCUUAUCCAAUGCCUAAAACAACCCGGCAACGAUAUUGACGUGUACCUAAGACCGUUGGUUGAUGAACUUUUAUUGCUCUGGGAGGAAGAAGGUGUACGUGUGUGGGAUGAAUAUAAACAAGAGAGCUUUGAUCUAUGAGCAUUGUUCUUUGUAACUGUUGGCGCUAAAAAUAUGCCGAUAGCCUUCAACAUCGGACACACGACCCGGGAGAAUCUGCUUAACUCCAGUUCGGGUGAUCACCCUGGUGCGAUUUGCGCGGCAUGCCAGUCAAUCUGACCUAUUGAUUGACAAGGAAAGAAACAUAUUAAAUUCCAGGGGCCUCGAUCGGCUAAAAUCUUGAUCUGUCUCGAAAAGCGUAUCAACGAAUCGGCCAAUUUGCUAUGAAGAUGACCAGCUAUAGAACAGGCAAUAAUCACGUAGUGAUUAUGAAGAAACUACCAGAGUAGGCUAAAUAACGCUACAAAUGCAACACUUGAAAUAGAUCUAAUCAGCUGUAUGAUUAUAAAUGAGAAUAACAAUAAUAAAGCCGACAGCCCAAAUCUCAAGCUGGAUAACUGGUGAUAAAACUAGAACAAUAGAUAAAACUUAUAAUUCUAGUAAAUAUCGAUAACUGGUGAAUAAAUCUAAAUGAAACAACAGCGAUACGCCCGAAGUUAAAGCUUAGAUAUUACUCGAUAAACGGAACUUAUAGAAUCGACCGGAGAUCGUGUCGAUGCAGCGCUGCCAACCUGUAUGAACUCGUGAAAGAAAAAGAAGUAUUGGCGAAGACGCCGACUUGAAAGUAAAGUAUGAUGAAAAAGUAGAUUGUUUGUAUUGAUUGAUGUGUUUUUUUACAAAUCCCUAAAGGUGGCUAUUUAUAGCCUAUUACAACUGAUUUCCUAACCAACUAGGAUCUAUCUCUAAUUUUAAACAAAAACAAAUAUUUACAAUCACAACUCGUAUCGGAGUUGGUUAUCAUACUCCCACGGGCCAAUCUUUCUCUAUCUUCUUUUUCUAGCCCACUUUAAGCCCAUAUUGGCCCAAACGCCCCAGCCUUCCAACCGGCCGACCUCCACCAACUCCGCCUGCCAAUCGCUCGAAACACUAUAGCGCCAAUCGGCCGAUUCCCAACUGUAGCACCAAUCGGCCGAUUCCCAAUCGUAACCUUUUAAUCUGCCUCAUCGGUCAACCCUUUCCUCUCUUGACGCCGAUCCAAAAUGUGUCAAAAUCUGGCGUCAACACAUGCCCCCCAGUUUCGGAGUAAAACAUGACUUUUACUUUGAAAUUGUUUUUUAACCUCUUUUCUAAAACAGACACGGCAAAAGCCUCCUUCUGUUUCGCGGUCUUCUACCUAAUGAUUGCAAUCUUUUUGAACUGGGUGCCUAAGACAACCGCUCCCCCGAAAUUUGUGUAGACGACGUGGUAAAAAUCCCGCAUUUACCCCUUCUCUCGGACCAUCUUUAAAUACUAGCGUUCCCUGUCGCUUCUUCUCCACAUGCUCAGUAACUUCCUCCCCGGCGAAUCACUUUCCAUCUUCUCCUAGCGCCCUUUUGGCUUCCAAUCGCAUUCUCUGGCGAUCCUUCUUUCGUUUGCAUCCCGCUUCAUCCCCUCAAUGGCGGCACCAUCGGCAACUCUACCAGCAACGGAAGCUCCGCCGGCAGCUCCAUCAGCGACGGUAGUUCCAUCGGCGAUCCCAUCAGCAACGAUGAGCUUUAUUCUAGAGGUAAACAUCCGAAACAUCAGCAAUUACCUAUGGAUUUGAGCCAGUGGUCAGGCACUUUUAGAUCUUGGCUGAAUGAAACCCCCGGCUGGAAAGAGUGGUACCAAAGAAUGGCCAACUCCAAGAGAGUUCAAUGGGAUGAAUUAAAAAUCGGCCAGUGCAUCAAUCUAUCUUUGUCCCAGAUGGAGAAGAAUGAACCAUUGGUGAUAGCAGCCUCCUACUUCUGGUCUGACGCGCUUAAUGCUUUUCUCUUCGGGCACGGACCCAUGACCCCAACUCUGACGGAUGUUCUGAUGCUGACGGACCUCGAUAUUUUCUCCCCUGAUACACCCUUUAAUUAUCUGAUCAACCCAACUCAUCGGCUAGAGACGAAAGGAAUCGGUGAGUGGAAGGGGUAUAUCAAUAAAAACAUGAGGACCGGGACGAUUUUAGAGAGGGAAUACGCAACCUUCUUGAUGAUGUGGCUAGAGAAGCACCUUUUUAGUGGCAGAGUAGUCGGCCCUUCUUCCAACACACAAGCUCUGGCCAAAGCCCUGUUAAGAGGAGCAGCCAUCCGUCUUGGGAAGCAUCUGCUAGGAUCGGCCUACCACAUGAUGCACCAGAUUGGUGUCAAACUGUCAAAGGGAGAGCCGAUUUGUAAUCCUGGUGGUCCCUGGUGGUUCAUCACCCUCUAGCUCAACUUGUACAUGAGCAAGGUCUUCCAGCAGCAGAUAGAGACCAAGACAUUCCCUAACAUUGAGUCAGAGGAAAACCCCACAGUACGACGACGGUGCACCUCUUUCAGCGAAGCGGCAUCACCUUUCCCUGGUUGCCAGUUCACUGCCACCCAGACAGUCGAGUAUUUCAGAUGCUUCUACAACGGCUUUAGUGAAGAAACCACAAAUUGGUAUCCAUACCAGAGAACAGAGCCACUCUUUGAGCUUCUCUUCUGCUAUGACUCGACGUCCAACUCAACGAUCUCACGGACGCCUUGAUCAAACCAGGGAUCUUACCAGCAAACUUCUUCUCCGGGAAGGAUUCCCCAACUUAUGAGUUUUACAACCCAUUAGUUGCAGCACGGCAGUUCGGCCUCGGUCAGCUGCCGAUUCAGGUUUACUUUGCCGGUCGCGCAAAAUUCUGGGAUGAGCUCACCAAGGGCCUUGAUUACAAUCGGCUGUGCAACCUAGUGCCAGACUCCAGUACCAUUGAUCUAAACAAUUGGGUAGUGGCUCCUUUUGCUGUUCAAUAAUUCAAAUUAUGGUGGGCAGAAUGAAAGCAACAUCUCUUUUGUGUAUCUCCUGUAACAUAUUGCAAUUAUCUGGAUCCUAACAACAUCGAUCCAAACGCAGCGGUACUGCUCUUUUCUCAGCUGAUUUUGAUGUCAUUUCCUUUUAUGCUACAAAUUUGCCGCUAACUCUUAUUUUCUUUUACAGUCCGAAAGUUGACUUCCUCCAACGCGCAGCCGGAGUGGUAGGCCGAUAGAGAAUCGCUACCCAUACACACCAUUCCCACUCAUCGGCUAUCAUGCCCCAACCAUCGAAGACAUCACCACAGGCCGAUCGAAACAGACGUCGAAGAAAACCUCCUCAAAAAAGACGAGUCGCCGAGUGCGCGCUCGUAUAGAAUCGGCCGAUCAGUCGGCGAAGGCAUCAGCUGAAUCCUUAGCUGCGCCGAAUCUGCCAAUUAUCGAGGAAGUCGAUCCCCAGGCUGCUACAGAAGCUGGAGCGGCUGCUGCAUCAUUGUUGGUAGAAGCUGUUCAGGUAACUUCGUAUACCCCACAUUCUUCUAAGUAGCCUUUCGAUGUUAAUUUCUUCCUUCUGUUAGGCCGCGCAAAUCGCCCCAGUGCAAUCUCCACAGCAAUCAGUCACCAUGCAGGCAGAGACCGAGGCGCCAGCGAUUCCUCCCUUUGAGGUAGAGAAUAUCUGUUUAACCCCAAUUUCUUAAUGCUUAACCAAAAUCUAACCAAUUUUUGAUGCAGACCCCUCUGGACACAUCAAUUGUACCCUUCUAUCGGCCAUCAGCCGGACGACCCGCGGAGGUAUAGCAGUCAUUACUUGUCAUCAGACUUAAUUACUUGCCUCAUACUUAUAGAGAUCCGUUUCUUAAUCCUUUCCAGGAAGCCGGCCCAAGCACAACGCCAAUAAUCGUCGAAUCCUCUUCCUCCGAUGAACCAGUCGCGCCAAUUCCCGAGAUGAGGGUAGCACUCCCACCGGCGCAAGCAGAAGAAAUCCGCUUUAAAGAGGUAAGACACUUAUUUAUUCUUUCUUAGGAGCAAGAUACCCCCAACAAUAGUAUUUUCUCUUUCGCGGUUGCACUUUUUGAUGAUGAAGAGGUUGCCUCACGUCAAAUCGCGCUGAGCUCAAUCCCUGAUGACGUUCGCGCCAAGCUUGAGAGCAUACGGACCCUCCUCCAAGAUGAUAUCAGCCGACUAGUGGAACACACCUCACCGAUUUGGUAGCUUUUUAGCAACAUUAGAGGCCGAGUUCCCGAAGAGGCAGAAGAGGCUUUGGCACCCGCCGCAUACAUCGAGUCAAUGCGGGUACCGGUGUUCAGGGCUCUACGCCACAUGGCUGAUCGUGCCAAGUUAGCAAAAGCUCGCGAAGAGGAGGACUCCUAUAAGCAUCGAGCUCAAGAAGUGCACCAAAGAAUCAGCUUCCUUGAAAGCUCUCGCCCAGAUAUCGUCAGUGCCAUAGACCGCCUCAAACGGUGAAGGGUAGAGCUCGCCAAAGAGAUGGAGCAGGUGACCAAGGCCAUAGCCGCCAAAGAAAAGAAACUUCAAGACCUCCCCUCCGUCAUCGCCGAUUUGAAGUAGGAGAGGCAAAACUUGGCCCACGAAGCAAUCAAACUUCAUCGUCACAUGCCAGAAGUCCCGGGAUCGGCUGACGAUGGCUAGAAGACUUUAGAUUCGGCCGAUCAAGUUAGGCAGCGUGCGAUUGCAACUAUUAAUGCCCUCCUUGGGUGAAUUGUAAAAGCACUAAAUACUCUGUAAAAACAUUAAUGUAUUUUUGCCGUUGACGUGCGGAUUCAAACUUGGACUGUCCUCUAUGGUAGCCUUUUUAUUUAAUGAUCCUUUAUUCUGAUAGGACGCGUCUUACCAACCCCUCAUCCUUUUCCUUCUAUAAAACCUUGUAUCAUUUCCAAAGGCAUUCACAUCGCCCGUCUUCUCCUCCUCUAGUAGUUUGAUCUCCAUACCCUUCAAACUAGAUGCCGAGAUGUCUUAUUCCUCUUCUUCCUUCUCCGUCAAUCAGGUACAAAACCUUCCUUCGUUCCUCCGUCUGACAUUUCAAUCAAUCUGACGAUGAGUAGUUGUUCGCUGCUUUUCAGCAGAGACGCCUUAGUCCUGACCUGGAACAAGCGAUCAAGGUUAUGUGUUCCGACAAACCGCUAUCACAGGCGGACAGAGAUCUGAUCAGGACUCAUCACGAAGAACUCAAAGAUCAUAUCCCCGUUGAUGUUUAGAAGAUCCUGGACCAUAUGGACGCCAACUGCUUCAGGCGGCCGCCAACUAAAAGGAGUCAUCCGCUUCCUCGCUAGGUCGCCCUUGAGGAUGCCGCGAUGGGGACAUCCCAACCGCCUCUUGACAGGAGCCACCCACUUCCUCGUCAAGUUGAGGUCGAAACCGCCAUGGCGGAUCUGGAGGAGAAGAGCACCCGCCUCUUGAUAGAAUUAGGUCGGAUCAAGAGAGAGAGAGAGAGAUUAAGAAAAAGCAUGGUCAAUAAAUGUGUUGGUACUUUUGUUCUAAGGGCGACUUGUACCGUGUGGGCCAUGUACCCUAUUGCUUGUACCGAAUAAUAAAUUGGCCAAACUAAUCAAAUGUUUCGUCCUUAAGGCAAUGUUAUCUUUGCAUCGGCUAUAUAAACAAGAGCCAAUAGGAGUUGGCCACGUCGUCCUGAUGCACCCUAUUGUCAGUCAUGCAUCCACCCAUAUACUGGGAUAGUAUCUCUUCAGAUACCUUCCGUUCAAGGCUCUUGUGAAUUCCUCUCCUUCGAUAGUUUCUAGUAUAUACGCGUUUCCCAGAGCGCAUCGGCCGAUUCUAUACGGCCCUUCCCAAGUAGGUGACCAUUUACCGAAUUUGGGAUCCUUAGACCGUAUCGGCAGCACCAAUUUUCAUACCAAAUCUCCUUGGGAGAAUUGUUUGACCUUGACCUUCUUGUCGUACCGCCUGGGCACCCUUUUCUUGUUUUCUUCAAUGUUGAUCAGAGCCCUCAAUCACUGACCUGCCAAAUCAUCGAGCUCCCCCUUCAUGAGGAGGGAAUAAUCAUCGACCGUCAACUGAUCCUGCAGUGAUGUGUGCCUGGACCCCGUUCUUAAUUCCCAAGGCAAUACUUCCUCAUGACCAUAUACCAACUGAUAAGGAGAUAUUUUAGUGGCCCCGUGGCAGGCCAUCCUGUAAGCCCAUAAAGAUUCAGUUAACGAUAGGUGCCACUUCUUGGGUUGUUCUUCUAUCUUCCUUUUGAUCAACUUGAUUAUCCCCUUAUUGGACGAUUCGGCUUGACCGUUAGCUUGAGCAUAAUAUGGAGAAGAAUUCAACAGUCUAAUUCCUAUAUCGGCGGUGGACUCUUCGAACUCUCCUGAAGUGAACAUUGUCCCUUGAUCAGUUGUGAUGGUUUGAGGGAUACCGAACCGAUAAACAAUAGGGUCUCUCACGAAAUCGACCAUAGCGACCGAUGUCACGACCUUCAAUGGAACUGUCUCCACCCACUUGGUAAAAUAGUCAGUGGCCACUACUAUAAACUUGUGUCCCUUGCUUGAUGGAGGAUAAAUCUGUCCGAUGAGGUCUAUUCCCCAACCUCUAAACGGCCAUGGCUUGAUUAUCGGAUCCAUAGCCGAGGCUGGUGCACGCUGCACGUUAGCAAACUUCUGACAAUCUUGACACCCUUUAUAAUAUUUGAAGCAAUCUUCGAGUAUCGUCGGCCAAUAAUACCCAUUGUUUCUAAUCAUCCACUUCAUUUUGCUGGCCGAUUGGUGGGCUCCGCACACCCCUUCGUGAAUUUCUCCCAUCAGGACCUUUGCUUCUUCCGUUCCCAGGCAUUUGAGCAGAACUCCAACAAUUGUCCGGUAAAACAAAUCAUCUUCGAGCAGCACAUAUUUCAUGGCCUGAAAGCGUAUUCGCCGGUCUACUUUCUUGGACGGAUCUUUCAAGUAAUCGGCGAUCUCCUUUCGCCCAUCAUCAGCCGCAAGUUCCAGAGUCAUGGCGCCUUGAAUCGGCCGAUACCCGGACGCGUGUUGGGCAAGCCUAUUGGCCUCUUCAUUGUAAUUUUUGGGAAUAUGCUCAAUAAUCGCAGUCUUGAAUUCCUUUAAAAGUUGGAGGCAAUCUUCAUAGUAAAUCCUCAAGACAUCAUCUUUGCAUUCAGAUCUCCCCGUUAAUUGAUCCACAAUGAGCAUGGAAUCCCCAAAAAUUUCCACCGCAUCAGCUUUGAUCUCUCUCAACAAUUGAAUACCUUUUAGGAAGGCUUGGUAUUCUACCUGAUUAUUGGUCGCGGAUGCUUCUAUUGGCAGAGAGUGUUGGUGUUUUAGACCGGCAACCCGCCUAGGGGGUACCCUAGGUGGUCUUUUAUGCGGUAAGGGUCGUCGAGAAUCAAGGAAUCAAUGGUGACGCAAGGAACACGAUUUAGACAGGUUCGGGCCGCUAGAUCGCGUAAUACCCUACGUCCUGUGUGUUGGUUUGUAUUGAUGUAUGUUCUGGUCCUGAGGACGAUGUGUUGAGGGGGGUCCCUGCCCGGCCUUAUAUACACGGGAGGGCAGGGUUACAAGUUUGAGUCCUAGUCGGGUACUAUUACAGAGUUCUACUCAGUACUGGCCCCAGUAGUUUUUUCAUAAACAUACAAGACUAGUUCGAGAAGGAUACGCCCAUCCUCGUUCUGAUCUUGUCCGAGUACAUCCCUUGGUGGGCCGUCCAAGGUGUACUCGUGGACCUAGGGAGUAUGCCCGACAAGCCCCCGAGUACUUUGUAGUCGUGCGCCACAGUUUUGGGCACUGCGGGCGCUAUCCGAGUAGUUUAGUCGUAGAGAUUGUAGACUGAAGUGCCCGAGUACUGUCGCGUGGCUGGAAGGUACUCUUUCUGCUCCUUGUUUCCAUCCUGAGUAAUUUUAUAUGGUGGUGCGAUGUCAAUCGCACUCCAUAUGGAGUAGCCCCCGAGCCUUAGGUUGAGUCGAAGAGUCAGGCAUAGGGUCAAACCAGCUUUUGUCCAUUUUACCCUUGGAGAUCUUGGGAAAAGAAAAAACUGACCAACAGGUAUGGUACCCGUAGCCCUCGAGCACUUAGGCGAGCUUUGUCGUUGAAGUGGUCAGCAGCCCGUUGAAUAGAGUAGCCGUUGGGUGUUUAAGGCGAUUAAUACACGAUUAAUCUGUCCGUUGCGCAACUGACACGUGGAAACCAGAGCUGGCGGAGAUAAAACUGGAAGGCCCCCUUUCGGUUGCUGUUACGACGUACGGUAAUCAGAUCCCUUUUUCCUCCUCCUCUGCGUGCGAGCCCCUUCCAACUUGAGGUUGAUUCUGUUGAAUGCGCACCAAGAAAAUGGGCAAGAAACCCGAGAAGAUCCAGGGCAAGGCUCCGGCGACAGGCAAGGUCAAAUCCAAGAAAGGGAAGGAGUUGGUGCUGCCGGCGCCGAAGGUGGGGCCGAUAAACCAAACUACGCCACCGCCACCUGGGGCAACUUGGCAACACUCGGUGAUGAAGGAGGAAGCUGUCCAAGCGCUAGUCGAUGCAAAGCUCCUUCAGCUGAAGGAGAUUCUUGAGUGGCGCCCUGCGUUUCCCAAUGUGUGGCAGUUUGAGGAACAUCCUACCGAGAUGGUGAUGCUUGCACAUUUGUGGAAAGGGGGUUGGCGGUGCCAACCUCCGACUUCUUCAAAGGUAUUCUUGAGUAUUAUAAACUUCAGCUCGUCCAUUUGAAUCCCAAUGGUGUACUGCACAUGUCUAUUUUUGUACACCUUUGCGAAGUUUAUCUGGGAGUACCUCCAAGUCUCGAGUUGUUUAGGAAACUGUUCCGUUGUAAGCCUCAGCCGAGUGCCCAGCGGACGGAAGUUUUUUGAGGCGCCGGGUUCCAACUUAGGAACUCGGGCGCGUAUAUUGAGUAUAAUCUGACCGACUCCCAUGGGGAGUGGAAGAAAAGGUGGAUCUACAUCGGGAACCAUGAACCCCGCUUGCCUGUGGUGACUGGUCAUGCGCCUAAGCAUGCAGAGAGCUGGGUGAGCGAGCUCGAGGACACCCCUGAGCUCGAUCACCUCAUGCAGCAGAUCACCGAGUUGAAGGCACUCCGUUUGAUUGGGAUCAACGUGGCGGCCACCUUCCUGAAGAGAAGGGUCCAGCCGCUCCAACAACGUGCUCACUCGGGAAGUGAGUACGUAGGUCUGAAGGAUCCAUCGUGUAUGUCCGAUGAGGACAUAUCCGAUGAUGAUGUAGAGGCGCUGCUGGCUAAGUUUUUUAGGAACUAUCAUGGAGUACCAGUAAUCCCUGCAGCCCUUCGUACGAGCUAGAAGUGGUAAGUGUUUUCCUCCUGACUUGUUCUUCUUUGACUUGUGAUUCUUGUUGCUGAUACCGAUUUGUUGUUUGAAGUCUCGAGUUCUUGCCGGCUACUUAGCGCAGUCAGAAGAGGAGUCGGAGGCUGUCGUCGAGGAAUCAGAGGACAAGCCUUCCCCUCCUGUUAAGAGACGCAGAGUAGUCCGCAAGAUGUCUGUGGCUAUAUCUGCUUCAACCCUUGAGAAGUCUCGGGGUACCAAGGUAUGUAGUCGGUAACUUGUCUGUUACUGAUGGAUUUGAACUCGCUAUUGAUGUGGCGAAUCUUGUUUUGGUUUGUGAAGGCUGUAGAUACGGUGCUUGGUGAAGAUACGGCUGUUUCUGAAGAAAUGGCCGUGACCGUCCCAAAAGUCGGUGAUGUGGCUGUUGACAUGGUGCCGGAGAGGGUACCAUCAACAGAGACUGGGGUAGCCCCCGAGUUAACCGCGUCAACUCCAUCGAACACCAUGCCACCUAUUGCUGACCAGGCGGUCCUGGGGCUGCCUGCUGGAGUAGCGGGUACAGCGAAGGAGGUGUCGCCAGUACUCGCUACUGGUACCUUGCUGUCCAAUGAGAUCGCCAGUGGUAAGCAUUAUCCCUUCCGAUUGUAUUCAUUUGAGUAGUACUGUAGUCUUAACUUCGGUUUUGUAGGUCUUGGCGAGAAGACAACGUCGGACGGUAUUCCCGCGGUGCCUAGUACUCGGCCGCCUGUCGCCGAGAAGAAGUGUGUGCGACUACCGCCACGUUCAACCCGGUGAGCUUUCUUGUCUUGUUGAAUGACGUUGGGUUGUCUUGAAAUCAUGUAGUGACACUUUUUGGUGCAGAGAUGCAGAGGAGACUAUCCCUGUAGAGACAGGGGUAGUACCGGAUCCCUCGACUACAAUAUCUGUUCCUUUGGAGGACUUGACUGUUGAAGAGGUACCCGAGGUUGACGCCGGCCGUCUUGGAGCUACUAUGUCGAUGCUUCAAGACGUGAUUCGCUCGGUGGAGAUUCCCGCUGCUGCAUCAGGCUCGGGAAGUGCUGGCCUAUCAUCAUCUUCUGGCGGAGCGCUAGCCGUAGUUAAAAAAUCCAAACAAGCGACUGCUCCAGGUAAGUGCAAGUAGUCUUUUUAUUGUAGUCAUAGUCGGUAGCUGACAUGGUAAAUGUUGUAGGUGCUACUCUGGGUACGAUUCCUCAUCUUGUGGAGAGCACCCAAAGGCCAGUACUUAGCCUGCCUUCUGACUUGGAGUUCCAGAGGGCGAUCGAUGUUUUCCAGGGCUUCCAGGUAGAUGUCCUUUUUAAGUUUGUUGCAUGACCUGAGUAGUUGUGAGGCUUGAAACUCACCAUACCAUACUUGAAUAUUUUCAAGAAAGAAGCCAUCAGUUAGAGCAGGAAUGUGCCCGAUUGAUAGAAGCUCUUCGGGUUCAUGAAGUCGGGGCAAAGUCCUUUGUCGUGGAACGCGCGGAUCACGCAGUUCUGCAGGAAAAACUGGAGAGCCGCUACAAGUCCUUGAACAAGAAGUAUCAAGGUAAGUAUUCCGACUACUCUGGUUGUGUCCAGCUAUAGUUGGCUGUGGCCUGAGUUCUUUGUUUUGUAGAGCUCAAGAAGCAGGAAGCGGCUGCAAGGAGCCAAGUCAUCAACUGGAGAAACGCUCAUGACCGAGUGGCAGAUGAAGCCGAACAUCUUCGGGCCACGCUUACGGAAGCACAGGCUUCUUGCGAGCAUCAGCGGGAUCGAAAGAUGCAGAAUGGCGUGAUGCUUGCCAUGUCUAUGGUGGCAUGCAGAGAUCAUGCCCAGACCUUGGGAAGACUUCGGGGCGAACUCCGAGAGCUGUCUGGAGCGGCCGAAGACUUGGUGAAUGCCAUAGCCCCCGUGGAGGAAGGCGCAGGGCCGCAAUCACUAGUCGAGUGACUAAGAGCUGCCCCGGGCAAAGUAGCGGGACUUUGCAAGACUGUUUGCAAAUAGGUUCUUGCAGUGGUGAAGUCCUACUACCCGAGGGUAGACUUGGUGGUAGCUGGUGAUGGCGUGGCUCGAACUGCACAGAGGAAGCAUAUGCGCAGUACCUCGUGGAGGCGGAGCCUAUUGCAUCCAAGAUGUCGGAGUUUGUCUCCUUAGAAGAGCUUUGAGCUUCUGAUGUACUCUUGUAUUUGUGUCGAGUACAUUGAUACUUUUGAAUAUCAAGCCUUUAGAUUUGUUGUCUGAAGUUUGUUAUCUUGUGAAGAGUAGUUUUACUCUAUCUUAUCCAACCCCGAAGUGCUGGAGUCGGCUGGGUCCGACCCUCUAGGGAGGAGAUUCGUCUCGCCCGACCUUGAGUCUUGGGGUUGGCUAAGCCUGAUCCCUUCGUGGGUGAAAAACUCUGCCUCGCCCGACCCUGAGUUUGGGGUCGGAGUAGUCGAAGCCCCCGAGAUGUAGGCCAUGCUAGGCUUGUAGUAGUCCCGGGUGUCAAGUAGUCGUAAUGCUGUUGAGUGCUCGACUUUUGAGGGACACGGGUGUACUGUACUCCUUUGUCCUUUGUGGAUGCACGGGUGUACUGCACUCUUUUGUCCGUUGUGGCAUAAGUGCGGUCACAUGGGUAGAGUCAAGAGUCAUCAGACUCAUUGAUUACGGGUGCAUAGUAACUCUUGAGCAGGUGGUAGUUGUGGCCUUCGGCUAUAAAUAGGGCCACCUGGUGAGCGAACCAACUCAAGCUCCUGAGUAGCGAUGGAUUGCCUUCGGUUGCUUCUAUUUGAGUGUAGAGAGCCAUCAAAGAGUGCCCCGGUGCUAGAAGAUUCCUCGUAGAUUGAGGCCACCUUCCCUCCAAAGACUCCUGCGCUCGUAGGGAUAGCCACGAUGCUAGAAGAAUCCUCAUAGGAAGUUUCAUUGCAUGCCUCAUCUUGCAGCUCGUGAUCUAGUGGGGUACGCGCUGGAACUCGCGAGUGAUGGGUGAUGAGUGCCGCGGUCUUUAUCCCGCUCUGAGAGAGGUGGAGGUGCGGCCAUAGAGUAGAUGGGCUCCGCAAGGCUAGCAAAAGAGCAGCCUUGGUUCCCUCUAGGCGCGUCGUGCCGGAUUUGGCGUUGCCGCUGUCAAGGCGGUGGCGAUGCUGGAGUUCCUGGCGUUGCCUUGGGUAGGGUACCUGGGCAUGGCUGCGUUUUGCGCAGCUUCCUUGCGUGUGGGCCCUUCUUGUGGUCGGCAGACCUGAGUGGCCUUGUGAUAUAGUAAAAGCCUGAGGCUUAAAUGCAGCCCGCCAGUAGGCAGUUGCUUGUAGUCUUUGUGUAUGCCAAGUACUUGUACUCGUAUGUAACUUGAUGUACUCUUGUUUCAGUAAAGAUUGAUACGAAGAUUUUGUAUCAGAGCAAUGAUCCUUGUUGUGCUUGAAAGCUCAUGUCGAAGCUGAGACAUCUUGAAGUCGGUAGUCGGGCGGUUGGUCCGAGUAGUUGCCUUGAGGCGAUUUCUCGGGUGCUGCUAUGGGUAAUACCGACAGAGAUGUUCGAUAUUCCAAGAAUUUGGCACUUGUUCCCUGAGGCGAUAUGAGGACGAUGCCGAUUCCUGAUCCGGCCCCACAUGAAGAACCGUCGAAGUAUAGAGUCCAUGGAACUGGUUCAACGACAGCGACCUCCGGUCCACAAUGCUGAGACACAAAAUCGGCCAUUACUUGACCCUUGAUAGCUUUGGCCGAUUCGUACCUUAGGUCAAACUCUGACAGAGCUAGGAUCCACUUUCCAAUCCGUCCUUUCAAAAUUCGCAAUGAUAGCAUGUAUUUUAUUACGUCAUCCUUGCAUACGACUAUGCACUCUGCCGAUAACAGGUAGUGCCUGAGCUUGGUGCAUGAGAAAUACAGACACAGGCACAUCCGUUCUACCGGGGAAUAUCUUGUUUUGGCGUCCAGGAGUCUUCUGCUGACGUAAUAUAUUACCAGUUCUUUUCCUUCGAACGCCUGUACCAGCGCCGAUCCAAUAGCCCGUUCAUUGGCCGAUAAGUAUAGUCUGAACGGCUUGUUAGCCUGUGGCGGGACUAAUACAAGUGGCGAAAUCAGAUAUUGCUUGAUGUCUUCCAAUGCUUUUCGCUGUUCUUCUCCCCACACAAAUUUCUGAUCGGGUUUCAACUUCAAGAAAGGAGUGAAAGCUUGAAUACGCUCGAACAAGUUGGAUAUGAAUCUUCUGAUAAAGUUGACCUUGCCGAUUAGGGACUGCACCUCAGUUUUAUUCUGUGGGGCUACAACCUUGUUGAUGGCAGCUAUGAUCUUCCGGUUGACCUCUAUCCCGCACUCAUGGACCAUGAAUCCUAGGAAUUGUCCAGCCGACACACCGAAUGCACACUUGUUCGGGUUCAUUUUCAACCCAUGUUUCCUUGUGCACUCCAACAGUUCUCGCAAAUCGGCCAGAUGUUCCUGAUGUCCUUUUGACUUGACCACGAUGUCAUCGAUGUAGAUUUCCACCAGUACACCAAUAAGCUUGUGAAAAAUAUAAUUCAUAGCCCGUUGAUAUGUAGCGUCGGCGUUCUUUAAUCCAAAGGUCAUUACUACCCACUCGAAUAAACCGUGGUGGCCCGAACACCUGAAAGCCAUCUUCAAGAUAUCUUCUUCGGCCAUUAAUAUUUGAUUAUACCUAGCAUUACCGUCCAUGAAACUGAUGAUUUUAUGUCCUGCGGCGGCGUCUAUCAAAACAUCGGCUGUCGGCAUUGGAGAUCCAUCCAUCGGCGUAGCCUGAUUUAGGUUCCUGAAGUUGAUGCAUAUGCGCAACUUUCCGUUUUUCUUGUAUACGGGUACAAUAUUAGAAAUCCACUCAGCGUAACGGCACUGCCGAAUAAAUCUCGCUUCAAUCAAUCUUGUAAUCUCGACCUUUAUAUCAGGUAGAAUUUUAGGGUUGCAUCAUCGUGUAGGCUGCUGAUACGGCCAAUACCAUGGUUUUAUAGGCAACCGGUAUUCGACAAUGGACCGGUCUAGACCAGGCAUCUCACAGUAUUCCCAAUCAAAACAAUCUUUAAAUUAUUUUAAUAAACUUGUCAAUUUACACUUGUACUCGGGUCUAAGCUAGCACUAAUAUACGUCGGUCUUGGCUUGCUACCAUCUCCUAAAUCCACCAUCUCCAAUGAAUCAGCCGACGUAAAUCCGUGCCCAAGCUUCCCAUCUUCCCGGAUGAACUGAUCCAUCUAAUUUGAAUCUUCAGAGCCGACUGCUCGGAUCGGCUGUAGGCCAAAAUCGGACACUUUUAGGAAGUCGGUGUCCCAGGUUCUACCGGAUAUGCACUUGACGUGUUCGCUGCUCCACUGUUGUGCAUUGGCCGCACCAACACUGUAGGCGGAAUCGGCGGUGACUAUCUCGAUGUUGUUGUCGACCCACUGCACGAGGCAUUGGUGCAUUGUAGAUGGGAUGCAACAAUUCGCGUGUAUCCAAUCGCGACCGAGCAACAUGUAGUAGGAUCCCUUGCCAUUAAUAAUAAAGAAAGUAGUGGUAAGGGUCUUACUGCCGAUGGUGAGGUCGACGCAGAGCGCCCCGCGGGCGGGAGACACGUUGCCUUCGAAGUCCUUGAGCAUCAUGUCCGUUUUGGUCAGAUCUUCAUCACUUUUGCCCAAUUUUCGGAACAUGACAUACGGCAUGAUGUUGAUUGCAGCACCUCCAUCUACUUGUAGCCUGGUGACAGGUCGUCCGUUGAUGUGUCCUUUGAGGAAUAGGGCUUUGAGGUGUUGCCAUUUUUCGUCCUCGGGUUUCUCAAAAGUGGCUGUCAUUAGCUCCAGAGCCAAUUGCACCAUCUGCUCCUGCAUCCUUGUCGUAUCAUCUCGAUCGACGGGAGCCAUGAACUCCAUCGUCAAGAUAAACACCAUGCUGACAUCAGCUGCCGAUUCCUGAUUGUCGCCUUCCUCAUUGUUGUUUCUUUGGGGCGCCAGACUAGAGACCUAUCAUAUUUCUUAUCCGCCAUCUGUCUCUGCUCUUCUUCUUGUUGUUCCCAUUGGCGUAGACACUGGAUCCUUCUUUUUUGGGAUUUGGUCAAUCCAUCAGGGCACCACCUGGGGUUCACCGGUUUGGCCGGCGGUUUGACAUGCUCCCAGUCUUGUUCUCAUCCUAGGAGGUUUUUAUCUAACACCUUGGCAUCGGCCAUCUCUUCUAGCUGAUCAUGUGUGCUGGCUCUGCCCCCCAGUCGCUUGUGCUGGUCAAUCCUGCCCCCCUGCCGAUCGUACUGUUCAGCUCUUCCCCUUGGCCGAUCAUACCGGUCAACUCUGCCCCCCAGCCGAUCACGCACUGAAAGGUGCCGAUCUUCUUGUUCGCACCACUUUCUGCUGAUUGGCUCUGAUCCUCUAUCUCUGGAACGCGACCUCUUGAAUGGGCGAUUGUCGCGAUAUGGACCGCUGCACUCGGGGCAAUUAUCGACUGAUGGUAACCUGAGAUUAUUUUCCCAGCAGUGGAUGAAAAAAGGGCAUCACUAGUGAUGUUCGUGUCGAUGCAUCAUCUCCUCGCGGUGUCUCGAGUUCUCCUAUCGCUGUUUAUAUUUGUUGAGCACGAAUUGGGAAGUGAUAGGUCUGCGUGAUCUUUCUGAUCCUUCGUCUUCGUCGUCGAGCCGUCUUUUCCCUUUGACAUCCUCAGCCAUGGCCUGAUUUCUGGGGUCCAUGGCGCCGCUCCUCUUAGCCGAUUCCGACGUCAGCACCUUGGUUUGGAGUGCGUUCCUCCCCGUGUCAACCAUGUAAGUAGGGAAAGGAUGCUGAUCAAUCUUUGGCUUUGCAGGCUUUGUCGGGACCUCGAACUUGAGUCUGCCUUGCUCGAUGGACAAUUGUAUUUGCUGUCAGAAGAUCUUGCAUUCGUUUGUAUCGUGAGACGUGGCGUUGUGCCAUUUGCAAUACUUCACCUUCUUGAGCUGUUCGGCCGAAGGGAUAGUGUGGUAAGGUGAAAGCUUGAUCUGCCCCUCUUGGAGAAGUAAGUCGAAAAUUUUGUCGGCCUUUGACGUGUCAAAACCGAACGCUUCUGGGUUUUUCUUCCCGAAAGAACAUGAUAUCGGCUUCUUCCCUUUGACCCAUUCUGCUAGGCCGAUUUUCGCUUCCUCCUCAGAUUCAGAUCCCUCCAAGUACGCCACCUUUUUCUGAAAAUUUCUCCGCUAAUCAAAAGGGCGUACUUCUUGACCAGCCAAUCGGUGAACGAUUUGACUCAAGCUUUCGAAUUCCUGGGAGGCGUACUUCUCUUUGAUGUGUGGCAGGAGUCCUUGGAAAGCGAUAUCAUCUAGCUGAGCGUCAGUCAGGACCAGGGAGUAGCAUUUGUUUCUGACCUCUCUGAACCUCUGCACGUAAUUGGUUACUGGCUCGUUGCUCCUAUGCUUGAGGCUGGUCAAAUCUGAGAGCUUCAUCUCGUGGACUCCCGUGUAGAAGUAUUUGUGGAAUUGUUUUUCCAGAUUGGCCCAAGUAACAAUGGAAUUAGCCGGUAGUGUAGUGAACCAUUGGAAAGCUGACCCGGAUAGGGACGAUGAGAACAGGCGCACCCGCAGAGUGUCUUGUGUGGUGGCCUCCCCGCACUGGAUGAUGAAUCUAUUUACGUGCUCCACGGUUGAGGUGUCAUCCAGCUUCGAAAACUUGGUGAAGUCGAAAACUUUGUACCGAUGGGGAAACGGCAGCAGAUCGUAGGCAGGUGGGUAUGGGGUCUUGUACGUAUAGCUCUGUACCUUCGGUUUCAACCUGAAUUGAUCUUGAAUCACCUCUGCUAUCCUUGCUGUCCAAUCCACUUGCUGCUUAUGAACGACUGGUUGAGGGAUCGGCACAUGUUGAUGGAUCGGGUGAUGGAUCAAAGCAUGUGGUGGUUUUUGCGGCAGCGUGGCCGGCUGAGUAGUUGACAGUUGGCGGCGUAGCGAAUCUGCCGUCCCAUCGUAUAGCAUCAUUGGCGCCGCGUUUCUGAGUGUUUCUGCGGUAUCUGCCCCCCUGCCAAUUUCUGACAAGGCCGGUUGAUAUUGUGGGACCGUCGGCCGGAUAGCCGAUUGGAAUGGUGCUUGGAUCGGAGAGCCUCCGUAACCGGCUGAUUGGUCCAAACCAACCGCUGUUGCUGGUGCCCCCCAAGGCACUGAGUUUGAGGGCUGUGAUUGCACGGAGGGAAUCUGGGCAGGCUGAGGCGGCGCUUGUGAUUGAAAGCAUGGUGCACCGUUGUAUCCUGAAGGCAUUGAAGUGUUAUAUCCACCAUGUUGUGUUGGUAUCGGCUGAGGAGCCGAGUGAGAUGUGCCUGGUAAGCUUCUGACUGGAGCUACAAUAGGCGGGGCAUAUGCUGGCCCCUGAUAUCCCUGAGCUACUCCGCUGACCAGGGAACUGAUGACGGCAUUGUAUACCGUGUUGGUCAUCACUGAGGAUUGGUCGAUGAAAGCCUGAUAAACGGACUGUUGAAUCAUAUCGGACAUCUUGCUCGAGUCUUGAGCGAUGGUGUUCUGGCGGGGAGUUGGAAGAGGAGCUUUCUUGAUGGUCUCCCCGAUUCUGGUACGACUAAAAGAUUGCAGGCAUGUCUUCUUGUAGUCUUCUAGGUGUCUUGCUAGUUCUUCUUUCUGGUCGUCCUUGAGAUUUGCCUCCGUGACCUCGAUGACAUUGUCUUUAGAGAUUUUGGCAGCCUUUGACAUGUUGGAUGUUGAGGUGGUCCCACCGGGCGUGCCAAAAGUGUGUUGGCGCUAAAAAUCGGCCGAUGGCCUUUAGCGUCAGACACACGAGCCGGGAGAAUCUGCUUAACUCCUGUUCGGGUAAUUGCCCUGGUGCGGUUCGCGCGGCGUGCCAGUUAAUCUGACCUGUUGAUUAACAAGGAAAGAAACAUAUUAAAUUCCAGGGGCCUCGAUCGGCUAAAAUUCCGAUCUGUCUCGAAAAGCGUAUCAGCGAAUCGGCCGAUUUGCUAUGAAGAUGACCAGCUAUAUAAUAGCCGAUAAUCACGUAGCGAUUAUGAAGAAACUACCAGAGUAUGCUAAAUAACGCUACAAAUGCAACACUUGAGAUAGAUCUAAUCGGCUGUAUGAUUAUAAAUGAGAAUAACAAUAAUAAAGCCGACAGUCCAAAUCUCAAGCUGGAUAACUGGUGAUAAAACUAGAACAAUAGAUAAAACCUAUAAUUCUAGUAAAUAUCGAUAACUGGUGAAUAAAUCUAAACAAAAUAACAGCGAUACGCCCGAAGUUAAAGUUUAGAUAUUACUCGAUAAAUGGAACCUACAGAAUCGGCCGGAGAUCGUGUCGAUGCAGUCCUGCCAACCCGUACGAACUCGUGAAAGAAAAAGAAGUAUUGGCGAAAUCACCGAAUUUGAAAGUAAAGUACGAUGAAAAAGUAGAUUGUUUGUAUUGAUUGAUGUGUUUUUUUACAAAUCCCUAAAGAUGGCUAUUUAUAGCCUAUUACAACUGAUUUCCUAACCAACUAGGAUCUAUCUCUAAUUUUAAACAAAAAUAAAUAUUUACAAUCACAACUCGUAUCGGAGUUGGUUAUCAUACUCCCACGGGCCAAUCUUUCUCUAUCUUCUUUUUCUAGCCCACCUUAAGCCCAUAUUGGCCAAAACGCCCCAGCCUUCCAACCGGCCGACCUUCACCAACUCCGUCUGCCAAUCGCUCGAAACACUGUAGCGCCAAUCGGCCGAUUCCCAAUCGUAACCUUUUAAUCUGCCUCAUCGGUCAACCCUUUCCUCUCUUGAUGCCGAUCCAAAAUGUGUGUCAAAAUCUGGUGUGAACAGUAACCAUCAAUGAUUGGCCUACGCUGAGUAACCUUUCAGGACAGACAAACAAGGGGUAUCGAACAUGCACCCACUGUUUAGACGAUACAGACAGCAUGUAUUUGAAACAUUGUAGGAAGGUCGUGUAUAUGGGCUAUCGUUGAUUUCUUCAUGCUUAUCACCUAUUAAGAAAGAAAGAGAAGCAUUCCGAACAACGAUGUGAGAAAGCAUGUAUUUGAGAUUAUUAAGGAUGUGGGGGUAGUCUAUGGAAAGGGUCUUGGUAGCGAACCUAUUCCGAACAACGAUAACGGACGUGCACCCAUGUGGAAGAAGAAGUCUAUAUUUUGGGAGCUACCUUAUUGGGAAAUCCUAGAGGUCUGCAAUGCAAUAGACGUGAUGCACCUGAUGAAAAAUCGUUGCAUGAAUGUGCUACGCUUCAUGGGUUGUUAUGGGAACUCAAAAGAUACAUUGGAAGCACAACAGGAUUUGAAACGUAUGAAGCAAUGAGAUGACGUACAUCCGGAAACGAGAGAUAAAGGACAACACUACUUACAUCCUGCCAGUUACACUCUUAGCAAGGAAGAGAAGGAUAUCAUUUUUGAAUGCACGAAUAUUAUCAAGGUUUUGUCUGGGUACUCCUCGAAUAUAAAGGGAAUAAUAAAUAUGAAAGAAAAGAAGUUCACAAAUCUAAAGGCUCAUAACUGCCAUAUAUUGAUGACUCAGUUGCUUCCAGUUGCACUGAGGGAUAUUCUAUCAGAGAAUGUACGAUUGGCGCUCGUAAAGCUAUGCGCGUUUCUCAAUGCAAUUUUGCAGAAGGAAAUCAAUCCAACCAAGCUACUAAAGCUAUAGAACGAUAUGGUACAAUGUUUUGUCAGCUUUGAGUUGCUAUUUCCACCAUCCUUCUUCAAUAUUAUGAAGCACCUCCUAGUUUACCUAGUCAAAGAGAUUACUAUUCUUGGUCCAGUAUCCCUGCAUAAUAUCUGGCCUUUCAAGAGGUUCAUGUCAGUCUAAAAAACUAUGUUUUUAAUCAUGCACGUCCAGAAGGAAGUGUCGCCGAGGGAUAUGGAAUAGAGAAGGUCAUUAAGUUUUGUGUUGAUUUUAUGGACUCAAUUAAUUCGAUUGGGGUUCCAACAUCACGCCACGAGGGGAGGCUACGGGGAACAGGCACCCUUGGAAGGAAAUCAAGUUUGAGCAAUGAUAGUGAUUUGUUCCAUAAAGCACACUUCAUGGUUCUGCAACAAUCAUCCUUUGUGGCUCUGUAUAUCGAGGAACAGAAACAUAUUCUAUUUUCCUAAUACCCAACGAAAUUUGAUGCCUAGAUUAUAUGUCAUCACAUGGAUACUUUUCCCUCUUGGUUGCAUCAACACCUUAUGGGUAACUCCAUGAUUCACGAACAACUCGCUUGGUUAGCUAGGGGACCUUCUAACACAAUCGUCAAAUUCCAAGGUUACAAGAUAAAUGGUUACACAUUUUACACAAGAGCUCAAGAUUAAAAAAACACCAACCAAAAUAGUGGUGUUCGUAUAGAUGUCAUACACAGCAACAGGAGCAACAACUCAUAUUAUGGUUUCAUAGAGGAGAUCUGGGAACUCGAAUACAGACCACCGAACAUCCCUCUGUUUCGUUGCCAAUAGGUGAAGCUAACUGGAGGUGGCGUAACGAAAGAUCAGUAUGGAAUGACAAUAGUGGACUUGACCAAGACUAGAUACAAUGAUGAACCAUUCGUUCUUGCUAAUGAUAUGCAUCAGGUUUUCUAUGUGAAGGACAUGUCUAGCAAACCUAAGAAAAAUUCAAAAGAUAAAGAAAAACCAUAGAAGCCAAAGCGCCACAUAGUUCUUCCAGGUAAAAGAAAAAUCUUGGGAAUCGAGGACAAAAUAGACCAGUCAAAUGAUUAUGAUCAGUUUGAUGGCAUGCCUCCAUUCGCUGUCGAAGUUGACCUAAGCAUCAUGCUAACCAAAGAAGAGGUUCUGUAUUUACGCCGCGAUCAUGACCAAGGAACUUUCAUCAGGAAGUUUUAUAACGUUACAUUGUAAUGCACUAAAUAUGGUGCACCUUUAUGUAAUGCUCUAUGGCCAUCAGAACCUUUGAAUUAUAUUGCAAUGUUCUAUGGAGAACCUUUAUUCGAUCAAUAUAAAUAAUGUUAACUCAACCACAUACAUCAAUUGCAUUUUUGGGCAUUGAUAUUAUUUAAUUGAAGAGUUUGCUGACGAUAGUGAUGCAUUAAAAUAAUUGUUUUAGAAACUUAAUCAACUAGUAUUGAAUUAUUGACUUAUUCAAACAAUUUUUAGAUAUACUUGCUAAUUUAAUAUAUUUUUGCAUGUUCAAAAUAUGUAAAAUUUUUAUUUUUCUUUAACAACACCAGUGCGAAACAACUUAAAACAUAUAUAAAUUAAAACUACAAAACUAUUAGGAAAAUGAAAGGGGGUGCCUUUAAUCCCAGUUGCAAAUUCCAACCAGGACUAAAGGGUGCUUUUUCAUCUCCCGCGCGAAAAACACCAUUUAGUCCCGGUUGGAAUUUGCAACCGGGACUAAAGCCCCCUAGUCCCGGGUUGAAUUUGCAACUGGGACUAGGGGAUUAUAACGUCCGCCCCUUCUCCCCCACCUCGUCUCCUCCUUAGUCCUUCACUUUGCCGCCUCGUCUCACUUGUCUCGCCGGCGCCCUCUCCCAGCCUCCCCUUGCGUGCCGCCAGACACCGCCGUCCAACGAUCCGUUGCCGCAUUUUGCUUCCACGCCCCGAAUCCGCGGCCGCCCUUUCACCUCCACGCGCUGGACCCCCGGCGGCGCGAUCCCGGCCCACCGUCUGCCAUCUGCCCCCCGGCCGUCCGCCUACCCCGCCAUCCCACCGUCCGCCAGUACGAGCCCUCCCCCCUCCCAAACAGGGCUUGUUGACGCAAGUACCAUUUUUUAGUGUUUUUAAUGUUUAAUUUGUAUAAAAUACAUUUAAUCCUUAAAAAACUAGUAUGAACUAUUUUAAAUACUUAGAAAAAUUGUAAAAAUUAAUAGUUUAAAUACUUAGGAAAAUUGUACAAAUUAGUUUAAAUACUUAGAGAAAUUAGUACAAAUUAGUUUAAAUACUUAUAGAAAAAUUGUACAAAUUAGUUUAAAUACUUAGAAACAAUGUAUAUUUCACAAGUUUCUUUUAAUUGUAUAUACAUGUCAUUAGUGUGAUAUUGAUUUUUGGAACUCGGUGGUAGUUAAUGUGAACAAAAGGUCACUUAGAAAAUGAACAGUCAUGCUUUUGGCUUUUUCGGCUUCAAUGUCCAAAUAUUAGGUAUUUUAUGAAUUUAUGGUCGAUCAAAGUUCUAGUAUGUAACAUGAUUUCACUUGUAGUUAUCUGAGGGCUUACUGUGAGAAAUCUUAUUAGAGGCAUUUCAAUGCCCAGUAUCUUGUAUUUUAAAUUUCAAAAGAAUGUAAGACAAUUUUAAUGUUUGGAUGGAAGCAACGGUAUAUUUCACAAGUAUCUUAUUAGAGGCUUACUGUGAAGAUUAAUCCAUCCUCAUUAAUGGGUCUCAAUUAUCUCAUGUGUAUUUUCGGAGUUAUGAGCCCGGCAGUCCACCUAGUGGUUACCUAAGUGGUUGAUUUGUAGGCGAGAGCGGUCACAAGAGCAAAAACUCGAUGGUGAUCACAAAAACUUGAAGGGGACACAAGGGUUUUAGACAGGUUCAGGCCUCGAAAGAGUAAUACCCUACGUCUUGUAUGUUGGUGGAUUGUAUUGCUCAAUGAUUCGAUGUCGGGUUUCAUUGCCCUUAGAGGGUGUUCUUGGCCGCCUUAUAUAGUCUGAUGACCAAGAGUUACAAGUUGGUUCGAAUCUAAUCUACUCAUUAUUACAUGGAAGGUAAUCUAAGUCGGAUUACCAUACGCAUCCCACAGUAUCCAAGUAGAUUUGGACAGUCUAGUUGCCUUACUGUGUACUCCAAGUAACUUCAUGUCCUUGGCCCUCACGCCCUGGUCGGGCGAGCCCACUUGUCAGGUCCGACCAAUAUUAUGGUCGGUGGGGACCCAUGGGGUACCCAUAUCCCUCAUGUAUAUUUCACAAGUUUCUUUUAUUUCAUGGUUGUUCUAUGAUUUCAUGUUUAUACAUCAAUUGUACUACUUGAUACAAUUUUUAAUUUAAUGUAUCUAUAAUUACAUUGUGUUUAACUAAUGUCAUUAUUAGUUGAGAUGAGAGACGAAGAGGAUGGAAGGUAUCCAAUGGAGCAGAUUAUUGCUAGCGGUAGUGGCUCCAACAUUCCAAGAACCUACACCAAGGAUGAGGGUAGCUAGGUGGACAUGUUCCUCAACAUGUCCGGUGAUGGCAAUGAUGAGCCUGAGCAUGACGUUGAUGACAAUGCGGAACAAAACUUGCCGUGAUGGAAGGUUCUGGCAAGGUAUAUAUCAUUUUCAUUAUUUUACCCCAUCUAUAAUUUCAUAUUCAUUAUUACUAUGUACUAAUUAACGAAUCUUGAACUUUUAACCCUAUGGAUCGAUGAAGCGAAAUAAGCCACGAGGUCGUACAAAGAUAAUGGAGGGAAGACUUCACAUCACUAAAGUGAUAGAAGAGGGCUAGCCAAUUGCUCCCGAAAAAGUGGCUAGAAAGUUCGUGAGUCAAUGCGGGGCUAUUGUAAGGGACAACGUGCCCAUCAGCAUUCGAGAAUGGAAGGGUAAAAAAGAUGAUCCAUACGUGCUCCCGCAGACAUAGAAAGAUAUGUUGUGGGAAGAUGUCAAGGAACACUUCACACUUCCUGAUAGUGUUGAAGAAAAAGUUGUGAAAGACUGGACACUGAAAAAAAUGGCAACCCAAUUCCAGACCUUCAAGAAAAAUCUGGAUGCCAACUUUAUCAAGAAGGGCCAAACUCUAGAUUUUAAUGACCGGCCAAAGUUAAGGGAUCACUCGAACUCAUUUCUGGAAUACAAGAUGAAUGAAGGUAGUGGGAACAAGGUUCAUGUCAACUCAACCAAUGCCUAGAGGGAGUACCAUCAUCGUUUAGGGUGAGGUGGUUACAUCAGUUCAAUUCCCAAAUGGAGAAAGAUGGAACAAAACCUAUUCGAUCGAGGUAUCAUACUAGCAAUUAUUGACUGGCCCGAUCGAUCGAAGAAUUGGUAUUACGCUCACGGAGGCAACCUGAGCCAUGAGGAUGGGACACUUACAUUCAAUGAAACAAUACGUCAGAAGGCUCUAAGGCUUAUCCAAAACAUUGAAGAUGCUAAAGUGGGAAAGUUGAAGGUUGAUAGAGAUAACAAGGAGCUGACUUUGGUGCUCGGGAAUCCCGAACACCUAGGAUGUUGCUGAGGCUUUGGGGUCGUUCCGUGGAAGUUUGCAUUCGUAGGGACAUCAACAUGUACAGAAGCCGGAAGAGAAGAAAGGAGACGCAAGAGGAGAGCUCGUGGUGCAUGUUAGAAGCUAAAGUGCAUGCACAAGAAGUAAGAAUGCAUAAAGAAAUUAAUCCGCGAGUGGCCCUAGUAGUUACUGAGAUGGCCCAAUCUGGAGCACUUCCGGAUCCCAACGUUGUCGUGAGCCCUUCUCAAUGCCGAAGUAGUUGUGCUUCCAUAGGGGUCCCCGAUGAGAACAUACCAAGAUUACCCAUAGUUGCGCAGGACAACCAACGGUACCCUAUGGAUGACAUCACUCAGUGCACCUCAUGUGAGCUGUACAAACCAUUUGGCAACCUCACAAUUAAGGUAUACAUAUAUAUAAUUAUGUAAUUAUCUCAAUUGAUCCACGCCUCGGGGGUUUAAUAACUUCUUUAUUUUCUCCUAUAUGUACAGGUGGCGUACGGAAGUGCUUUACCAAUCCUGCCAGGGCAGACAAGCCAUGGGAUGGAGAUUCCACCUGGCUACUCCAGCGUUGGUCUAGAGCAGAUUUUUGAUAGUAAUUAUGAAUGUCUAGAGCUCGACCUCCCGGGAGGUGACGGUGAAAGCACACUAGGAGAUGCACUUCACGGUAUCAUUCUAUGGCGCAAAUGCUACAUCAUCAUCCCCGGUAAGGAGGCAUCAUUGCUCUCCAUAGAUCCCUCGCAACCGCCAUCUCCUCAGAACUCAAGACCGUCAUCUCUAGAACAUCCACCUCCAAGACUGUCAUCACUACCGGGUGUGGCGGAUCCACCUCGGAUUAGCCUAAUUAAGGCACUGUUAAGUCGCCUAACAUGCGACACUCGGCCUUAAUCAUGCUAACUAGAGAUGCCGUCGGAUUUCCUCCGAUUUAGCCACUUUGACAGGACCGAGUUUAGCAAAACCCACACGAAGGUGAGUGGUUCCAGAGAAUACAACAGGUCCAACAGUAGAUUACAAGUUGUUACACACUUAGUAAAAAUCAGAGUUUUAACAAGUUCGGAAGAAAAACAACAGAAGGUAAAAACAAGCGGAAGCUACUUCAUCGGGGUCGGACAUCCCUGGUGAGGCCAGCCGGGACGUCAGUGAUCCCUCUCCUCACCGUCGGAGGAGGGAUCCCACUCGACUGUCCAACCCGGAGGGAGUUGGGGCGGCCAAGUGCCAACAGAAAAAGGCUCGGGAGUAGCGACUUCACCUGAAAAAGAAAAGCCACCACAAGGCUGAGCUACUAAGCUCAACAAGACUUAACCGGUCGGGGGUAAACUACUCCACCACUUCUAGACAUGCAAGGCUCUUUGGCUGAGGGGGGUUUGUUUGCCAAAAGCACUAUGUAGAUCCUUAUAUUCAAGGUUUUAGCUCAGAUUCUAAGUUCAUUAUCCGGUCUAAGUUAGCAACUUACUCUAAGCAAACAUAGAACCAACCAAAGGGUAUAUAACAUCAUCAAGACCAUGUCAUCAUUAGAUUCCUUUAUUACUCAGUGUAGCAUAGCGAUCAAGUAGUCUCAAACUGUGAGAGGCAGACGAAUCGAUUCGAGUUCUUUAACCAUGCAUGGUGAACCCAACCUCACGACAUCCGCGCACCACCGAGGGUCGCUUCCUGUGUCGGCCUUCCCCAUCAAUUCCCUAACCCGUGUCGGGCCUAUUUCUUUUGGUGCAAUGUUCCACACACCCGGUCUCUGCCGUUCUGUGACCACACUUGCCACCACUGUCGGGCCUUAACAAGUUUCAUAGACAGACGGGGCGAUCAGUCGACCACCAAAGAGUUAACCAAAACCCUGCCCCGUCCAUCGUCCUUAUAGUUGUAACAGAAGAGAAAUAAUCGACUCCUACAACUCGCGAGUGACAGGAGAUCACUCGACUUUUACCGCUUCCUAUUUAAGCAUUGCCACUACUCGAAUCCAACAGACUAGUAUUCAGAUCAAGUGAUCUAAGUCAUGCAUCUAUGGUUGCAAACAACUCCUAUAUGUAAAUGCACAAAUAUGCUGAAGAAGGCAUGCGCAAGUUUGGGAAACUGGGUUCAUGCUCCGGGGCUUGCCUUCAAGCGAGGAGGAGGGGAACUGAUCUUCUGCUGGGGUGGCUUCGGCUUCUGGAAGCGGGAGCUCGGCUACAGCUUCGUCUUCUGGCGCCGGGUACAGCUCGUAGGCGCCGUCGGUGAGAUGCAACUCUACACGAAUGCAAAUGCAGGGGGUUAGCACUUAGACGAUUAUUUCAACAGCAACACUUGCGAGUUUUGGCACAGAAACUUUGUAGCAAGGCUACGGAAAAAGUGAGGAAGUUCACUUUAGUUGGAGGAGAACAAGGUAAAAGGGUCGGAUGGAAAGAAACUUAUGAUCUGACCCUUAGGCUAGAGGAAUAGCUGUGUUGGGGGUCCUCAGACUUAACGCAGAGAAGUCCCCGAUUUUCAAACAUAUAUCCUCGGGUCAAGGAAAAGGAUACAGCCGAGCCCUCGGGCGAGGCGGAGAAAGGGUCGGCGAAACAGACAGGGUCGGGAGAGACGGAGAAAGGGGUCGGUUGAACGGAUAGGGUCGAGCGAGACGGAAAAGGGGUCGGGCGGACAGACAGGGUCGGACGAGGCGGAAAAAGGGGUCGGGCGGACAGACAGGGUCGGACGAGGCGGAAAAGGGUCCGACGAACAGAAGGGGUCGGACGAGGCGGAAAAGGGUCGGACAAACAGAAGGGGUCGGACGAGGCGGAAAAGGGUCAGCAGCUUACCUUCGGUUCACAGGUGAAGCUUGGGGUCGGGAAGGAGCAGACUUGGGCGGAAGGAUGGAAGCACUAAGACUUGGGCAGGCGACGAUGUCCGGCGGUGCUCUGGCGGCGGCGGUGCUUCUUGUGGACUACAAGCAAGCUCUUGCGCAACGCGGGGGAGCAAGCGGCUGGGCGGAUUGGGGAAAGCGGUGUUGAGUGGAGAGGAGAGCUCCUCAGGAACUUAGGCAGUAGUGCUUUGAGCACGAAGCAGAGAAACGACGGUAACGUAGCGAUGGCGAAUGGGACUCCGGUGGGACUCUGGCGUUCCCUUUUAUAGCUGCGCGGGAAGAGAGAGGGUUGGAGCAGCACGAAGAUCGGGAAGAAGCGAUGGAGUGCGCUGCGACGGCGGUGAUUGAGCAGCGGGGCGGCAGAGCAGGACUUCGGGGAUGACACCGUCGGCCAUUGGGCACCAGAGACAGGGCGGCGCAGGCGCGGUUUUGCUGGUGGUUUAGAUUUGGUGGAGGCGAGCGUCGUCGUGCGGCGGAUCUGAUGGAUGUGACCGGGGGAACGGCUCUAGAAGCGAGGUUGCUUAGGUGAGAAGACAGGUGGGCUGCGGCUGCACGGGCGAGCGUGAAAUAGCAGUCUGUCGAGGCGCAGCUCUGACAAGGCGGGAAAGAAACUGUCACGGCCGGGGUCGGGAUAUGCGACGGAGGAAUCGUCGCAUAGCGCAGUCCGGGGCGGUGCGACUGUGGAGGGGCGGCGGAAAAACCGGGAGGCCUCGGGCCUUGCAGCAGGGGGUCCGGCGAGGUGAUGAUGGGCGCGAGCCGCGAAGCGCUGCAGAAAGGGUAGCAGAGGGCUUCUGCUGCGAUUGGGGAAGGGGGUGCGGGAAUCCAUCCAGUCGCGGCCGACGACGGGGCGGAGUGGCGUGGGUUGGAAGAGUUGAGCCACACGGCGGAGAAGCUUUGAAGCGGGCAUGCCACUUGAGUGCGUCUGUCUCGGGAGAUCUGGGGGAAAGAUUUUGCAGGUCCACCGGUCAGUCUUGGUUUGUCCUCUGCUCGAGAUUGAAAGAAGGCACUGUUGGGAAGACUUCGAAAGAUCCGGAGGUAUGGGUUGGGGUCGGCAAGGGUCGGAGCUGGGAACCAGCGGAAAUGGGUCGAAUACUCAGGGGUCGGGAUCGGACUGGAGGUUGAGCACUUAAACUCGGGAAAGCUGAGAUAGGGGAUUAGGGACUCGGAUUAAGAUUAACUCGAGAGAUUUGGGGUCGGUCGUCACAGCCUACCCCCCUUAAAAAGAAUCUCGUCCCGAGAUUCGAGUGUAAGAGUAACCAGUGGGGGUGUGCAGUCCUUACCUCCUUGGCUGGAAUGAAAACCUUGGAAGCGCUUAUUCAGAUACUCUUCGGUCUCCUAGGUUGCUUCAUCCUCGGUGUGGUUAUUCCAUAGGAUCUUGUACAUUUUCACCACUUGGCGUCGGGUGCGCCUCUCCUUAUGAUCAAGAACUUUGGCCGGGUACUCAGCAUAGGUCAAGUCGGGUUCGAUUUGAAGUUGCUCUUGCUCUAAGAUCUCGGCUGGGACUUGGACACAUUUCUUUAGUUGAGAUACAUGGAAAACAUCAUGUAUGGCUGAGAGCUGUUCUGGGAGUCGGAUCCGGUAAGCAACUGGUCCACAAAUUUCCAUAAUCUCAUAUGGGCCAAUGUAACGGGGAGCCAAUUUCCCUUUUACUCCAAACUGUUGCACUCCUUUGGUCGCGGAGACUCAAAGAUACACAUGAUCACCAAUGUCAAACUGCAGGGGUCUUCUUCUCCUGUCGGAGUAACUCUUCUGUCGAGAUUGGGCAGCCUUGAGAUUUGCUUGAAUUACCUUCACUUGCUCUUCAGCUUCUACCACUAUAUCAGGACCAUAGGUUUGUCUUUCUCCAGCUUGUGACCAAUUCAAAGGUGUCCGACAUCUCCGGCCAUAUAAGGCUUCAAACGGUGCCAACUUCAAGCUAGCCUGGUAGCUAUUGUUAUAGGAGAACUCUGCCAAUGGUAAGCAUUUAUCCCAAUUUUUGUCAUAAUGGAUGACACAAGCUCUCAACAUGUCUUCAAGAAUCUGAUUAACUCUUUCGGUUUGACCAUCGGUUUGAGGAUGAUAGGUUGAGCUACGGAUGAGCUUGGUGCCCAUUGAUGCUUGUAGCUGUUCCCAAAAGCGUUCUACAAACUGAACUCCUCGAUUAGAGAUGAUCGUCCUAGGCACACCGUGCAAGGAAACAAUGCGGUCAAGAUACAACUCCGCAUACUUCUUGGCCGUGUAGGUGGUGUGGACAGGAAGGAAGUGGGCAGACUUGGUCAGGCGGUUCACAAUUACCCAGAUGGAGUCAUGUCGCUGCGAGGUAAGGGGUAGUCCAACAAUGAAGUCCAUGCUGAUGUCUUCCCAUUUCCAAGAGGGAAUAGGUAGGGGCUGCAGGGUACCUGCUACCUUUAGAUGGCUGGCCUUGACGCGUUGGCAGGUGUCACACUCUGAAACAUACCGUGCAAUUUCUAGCUUCAUUCCGCUCCACCAGAAGACUUGAUGGAGAUCAUGAUACAUCUUAUUGCUGCCAGGAUGGAUUGAGAACUUGGAGAGAUGAGCUUCAUGUAGGAUUUGCUUCCUAAGGUUGGGGUCGGAUGGUACAACAUGUCGGCUUCCAUAAUACACCUUCCCAGUCUCAUCCUGUCGGAAUUGCUUAUACCCUUCAUCCUUUAAUGAAAUCUUCCUUGUGAUCUACCUUACUUCCUCAUCCUCUAAUUGUGCUGACCCAAUUUGGUCUUCCAAAAUAGACUCAAGAGAUAUGUGGCCGAGGGUUCCAGGGGAAACAAUUUCCAAAUUGAGUUUUCCCAUCUCAUGACACAGAGUCUCGGUGAAGGUUGUUGCCGACAAACAGUUACAAAAGGCCUUGCGGCUAAGAGCAUCGGCCACCACGUUGGCCUUGCCGGGGUAAUAGUGCACUUCCAAAUCAUAGUCCUUUAUCAACUCCAACCAUCUUCUUUGGCGCAUGUGGAGAUCGGCUUGAGUGAAGAUGUACUUGAGGCUCUUGUGGUCGGUGUAGAUGUUGCAGUGAGUGCCCAUCAGAUAGUGUCUCCAUAUUUUUAAGGCAUGAAUGACUGCUGCCAACUCAAGAUCAUGGGUCGGGUAAUUCAGCUCAUGAGGUCGUAACGCCCAUGAGGCAUAGGCAUGACUCGGUUGUCUUGCAUAAGAACACACCCAAGUCCAGUGCCCGAGGCGUCACAGUACACGUCAAACGGCCUAGAAGGGUCGGGUUGAGCCAAAACCGGGGCUGUGGUCAGCAAGUGCUUCAGGGUCUUGAAGGCUUCCUCACACUUGUCGUUCCACACAAAUCUAACCUCUUUCUUCAGCAGCUCAGUCAUCGGCUUAGCUAUCUUGGAGAAGUCUGGUAUGAAAUGCUGAUAGUAGCCUGCUAGUCCAAGAAAACUUCGGAUCUGGUGCACUGAGGUGGGAGGCUUCCAGUCUAUGACUUCCUGUACCUUGCUGGGGUCGACGGCUAUGCCAUUCCGAGAGAUAGUGUGUCCCAAGAACUUGACACUAUCUAACCAAAAUUCACACUUGGAAAAUUUGGCAUAGAGCUGAUGAUCUCUCAACUGUUGGAGAACUACAUGAAGAUGAUCGGCAUGUUCUUCUUCGAUCUUCGAGUACACUAGGAUGUCAUCAAUGAACACCACUACAAACUUGUCCAACUCGGGCAUGAACACCGAAUUCAUGACAUACAUGAAAUAGGCGGGUGCAUUGGUGAGUCCAAAAGACAUGACCAGGUACUCGUAGAGUCCAUAUCUUGUGGAGAAGGCGGUUUUGGGAAUGUCGCAGGGUCGGAUCUUGAUUUGGUGAUAACCGGAACGAAGAUCGAUCUUGGAGAACACUCUUGCUCCAGCUAACUGAUCAAACAGAACAUCAAUGCGGGGAAGUGGGUACUUGUUCUUGAUAGUCACCGCAUUGAGGGGUCGGUAGUCCACACACAUGCGUAGACUGUCGUCCUUCUUCUUCACAAACAGAGCUGGGCAACCCCAAGGUGAAGUGCUGGGUCGGAUGAAGCCUUUUUCCAAUAGAUCAUGCAACUGGGUCUUUAACUCGGCCAGCUCAGCAGGUGGCAUCCGAUAGGGUCUCUUGGAUAUCGGAGUGGUGCCGGGGAUCAACUCUAUGGAAAACUUCACAUCUCUAUUGGGCGGCAGGCCGGGCAAGUCCUCUGGAAACACAUCCGGGUACUCACAGACAACCGGAAGGCUUUCUAGCCGAGCUUCCGAUAGAGGAUACGCACAGGGAAGUGUGUACUUAGGGUGGUUCAAGGGUAGGGUAGAACUGCCAUGAAAGGGUGAGUUGAUGUGGAGAGUUCGGGCAGCAGCAUCUAGAACCACUUGGUGUCUGGUCAUCCAAUCCAUCCCAAGGAUGAUAUCUAUUCCUUCCAACUCAAGGAUGAUAAGAUUUUCCUUGAAAAGAGCUUGGCCUAGCUGGAGAGGUACAAGGGUAACGAUCUGGUCUGAGGCUAUCUUCCUUCCAGGAGUGGAGAUCACAUAUGAUCCUUUAGUGUGAUCGACACUCAGCUCACAUCUUUCUCUAGUCUUACUCCCGAUGAAGCUAUGGGAGGCUCCCGAAUCAAACAACACAACAACAGUUUGAUUUAAGACAAGGAAAGUACCCAUCAUCACUGGCGCACCUUCGGGGAGUUUGGUCAAGCUGGUGUAGUUGAGUCGUCCUUGGCGAACUUGUACCUUGGGCCUUCUUCCUCUGUUCGCGGUGGGGUUCUGGCCAGGCUGCUGAUUCCUAUUCCUGGGGCAGUCCUUAGCGAAAUGCCCUUCAUUGCCGCAGGUGAAGCAACGGUUACCAGUUGCAGGACGCGGUGGUGGUGGUAGGGUCGGCCGGGGCGCCUGUGGUUGGAAACUAGGAAAACGAGGUGCUGCCGCUGGUGGGGGUCGGGCAACCCAUCUUCCCAACUGCUGGGGUCGGCUGGGCGCCUGUGGAGGAACCAUCCUGAACCUUCGAGCGGGCGGGCUCGGAAAUGCCACGGAGGCCUUUCUCUUCUGGUCAGCUUUGAGAGCCUGCAUGCAAUCCUCUUGUGAGAUGGCCAAGUUGACCAACUCGUUGUAGGUAUCCACCUUAAUGGGGUUCAACCUCUCUCUGAGCUCCAGGCUUAGCCCUCUGCAAAAUCUAUCCCGCUUCUUCUCGUCUGUGUCCGCAUGAUAGCCGGCAUAAUGGCAUAGAUCAUUGAAAGCUUGGGCGUAGUGCAGGACAUCUCGGUUUCCCUAGGUAAGAUCCAGGAACUCGUUGAGCUUGCGCUCCAGGAGACCUUCCAGAAUGUGAUGCCCUCUGAACGCGGUCUUGAACUCGUUCCAGCUGACAACAUGGUCGGCCGGCAACAUAGCAUGGUAGUGAUCCCACCAAAGCCUGGCGGAGCCACGUAGUUGUUGAGCCACAAACCAGGCCUUGUUAUGGUCGGGGCACAGGGCGGUGAGAAGCUCAAACUUGGAUUCGAUUGUGCGAACCCAGGCAUCGGCGUCGAGCGGGUCUUGCGUCUUCUGGAACAAAGGGGGCUAUGUCCCCAAGAAGUCCUCAUAGCGAGCAACAUGAGGUUGCUGCUGAGCCCUUCCCCCAUGGGGCUGCUGCUGCUGUCCUUGUACAAGAUGCCUCAGCAGCUCAGUUUGAGCCGCUAAGAUCGCCUCCAGCGGAGACGGGGGCGGGGGCGGGGGAAGAUCCUGCCUCUGCUCACUGCUGCUAGGCACAGAGCCGGAUCUGGUGCGAUGCGCCAUCUGCAAGAGCCAACGUUCCAUUAAUUCCAUAACCUCAGAAGUAUUCCAACCAAAUAGGAAUGCACAUGUUAAAUCCUCAAAUGCGACUCUUGCCGACAAUGCAACACACACAGCUUUAUAAAGGAGACACACACUUCCUCUUGCCAUCUUAGUUCGCAACUAUCUUAGUUCUACACACGACUUAGGGUGAACCAUAGCCAGAUUCCAGGAGUUCCACUACAUCCGACCUUAGGCCAAGGGGUCGAGCUAGGCGAAACAGCACAACAAGGGGUCGGGUGAAGCGCUCCGCAUGAGAAGGGGUCGGGCGAAACGAACCGCACAAGAAGGGGUCGGGCGAGGCGGAGAAGCGCCUCGAGGGGUCGGGCGCGUCCGACCUCGCGACCCGGGGUCGGCCAAACUUUGGGCAGACCCAUAGAAAAACGGGUGUGUGGUCACAGCACAAACUCACACAGUCUAGCAUCCCAAACGUGUUGCAAAAGAGUCAAAGGUCAAGCUAAGAUCUGAUUUCAACUGAGAUCAUUACAUUGCUGGUCUUAAAACACAAGAGGAAGUACUCAACUCAAGGCUAACUUAUUACAUGACUAUCCAAAACUUAGGUUGCCGAGGAGUACAACAAAACAUGAGAUCCUUAAAGCUCCCGACCUACGAGGGAACACUGUGAGUUGGAGAAGGGGCGUCGUCAUCCUCAAUGUCCAUGCUGGAUGCUCCCUCGACCUCCUCAGGGUCUUCUUGCUCUUCCAACUACAUCUGAAGGGCAUGCAUGUCGUCGAGCUCGGCGUGGUGCUCGUCCAGAUGAGCAUUAGCAACUACUAGCUCCAUCUCUACCUCCAUCUUCUCUUCGGAAAGCUCAAUCAUGCCAUCCACCAGAUCGGUUACUUCUCCCUCGAGUUCGGAGAUUCAGUCUUGCAUGUCGUGAAUUUGGAUGCCUCUCUGGAUGAGUUGAUAGGUUUGUCCCACCAGGUCUCUCUUGGCGGCGUUGAAGUGUCCCUGGGUGUCCACGGCGAUCCAAGCCAAGACCGCCAUGGCCCCGCCUUGAAGCUCGAUCAACCGAUAUAAGGCUGACAUGCAUCUGACGUUGGUGGAGAUGGUGACCAGCGAGUGGGAUGUGGCCAACACCUCUAUGUUGUUGACACGAUCAAGCCACGCUGGGUCUAGCCAAUCCCUGGCUGGAAACAGGCCGAUUGGGUCCAAGGUGACCUCAAGCGGAUGAAGCUGACAGAAUUGGGUGAGGAGUUGUAGAGCAGCCGACUCCCACGUAUCUUCCAGGGCUUGUCCAUAUGUUGAGACUCCGAGCUGGGGCCACUCGGGCCGCAUAGGAGGUGGAGGUACCACCGCCUGCACAUUGCACCUCUGUACACCGUGCUCCAGGUACAUCCGUCCCACGUACAAGGGCGGGGACUGAUACCCAAACCACCUCAAGGUGUCCCACAGAAUAGCGGGAAAACCUUCGAAGUGCAAGCACGUCGAGUGGGAGAAGCCAUCGGCGCCGUACAGAACGUGUCCGGGGGCGGCCAUCUAGAACCAAGAACCAAAACAACAUGAGAUAGAACUCUAAGAAGAAAGGGGUCGGACAGAAAGCAUUCGGAUUUGACUGAGCACAAGCUGGAAGAAAACUAGAAAUCCUUAGAACCGAAGAAGAGCUUUUCCAAGGCAAGGUUGCUUUUGGGAGGUGGCUUUACAGAUUUUAGUUUAUGUCGCAUGCACGGCCUACCUCGUUUCUCAACCAAAACAACUGCCAAACUUGGUCUUACGCAGUCAGUGCCGGUGGCAAGGCAACCAGUACGUCUCUUCCUAUAGUAGCUAGUCGGUUCUAGUAGCGUCUCCUAAGCGAACGCGGUUAGUGUACCUGCAGAAAACACAACCACAUGAACCUUUCAUGCCAGCACCCACGAAAGCAUCCCCAAACAUUACCGUUCACUAUAGGAACGGCACCCAUGCAUUCAAGGCUGCAUGGACAGCACAACAAUCGUGGAAAUAGGUCCCCCUUUGAAUGGAACCGUAUAACCCUUCGCAUACUCGUGAUGCGGAAUCAGCGCACGUAUAAUAGACGUGGGCGAACAACCAUGAUGAUAGGCUCAUUGGAAUCGAACAAUACCACCCUUCGUAUGAAUCAACACAUGGAACCUGCGCACGUAUGAUAAACGUGGGCGAAACAACCGCGAUGAUAGGGUCCUUUGAAUAGAACUCCCUAUCAACCCUCGCAUACUCGUGAUGUGGACUCGGCACACGUAUGAUACACGUGGCGAAGUGCUGGAAGGUUAGCAAGAUAACCAAUAAGUAUUAGCCACCUAAAAACAAUCCCAAAAUCCCCUAGGACCUCUCGUGCUAAAGUCAUCCUUAAUGAUCGUAUGAGAUUUUUUAAAAAUUUCCUUUGCAACUUUUAUUUAAAGGAAGUGUUUAAGACCUAUUGUGUUCUCUAUCUUGCUAAACCUUGCUCUGGUACCAGCUGUGGCGGAUCCACCUUGGAUUAGCCUAAUUAAGGCACGGUUAAGUCGCCUAACAUGCGACACUCGGCCUUAAUCAUGCUAACUAGAGAUGCUGUCGGAUUUCCUCCGAUUUAGCCACUUUGAUAGGACCGAGUUAGCAAAACCCACACGAAGGUGAGUGGUUCCAGAGAAUACAAUAGGUCCAACAGUAGAUUACAAGUUGUUACACACUUAGUAAAAAUCAGAGUUUUAACAAGUUUGGAAGAAAAACAACAGAAGGUAAAAACAAGCGGAAGCUACUUCGUCGGGGUCGAACAUCCCUGGUGAGGCCAGCCGGGACGUCACUGAUCCCUCUCCUCGCCGUCCGAGAAGGGAUCCCACUCGACCGUCCAACCCGGAGGGAGUUGGGGCGGCCAAGUGCCAAUAGAAGAAGGCUCGGGAGCAGCGACUUCACCUGAAAAAGAAAAGCCACCACAAGGCUGAGCUACUAAGCUCAACAAGACUUAACCGGUCGGGGGCAAACUACUCCACCACUUCUAGACAUGCAAGGCUCUUUGGCUGAGGGGGGGUUUGUUUGCUAAAAGCACUAUGUAGAUCCUUAUAUUCAAGGUUUUAGCUCAGAUACUAAGUUCAUUAUCCGGUCUAAGUUAGCAACUUAAUCUAAGCAAACAUAGAACCAACCAAAGGGUAUAUAACAUCAUCAAGACCAUGUCAUCAUCAGAUUCCUUUAUUACUCAGUGUAGCAUAGCGAUCAAGUAGUCUCAAACUGUGAGAGGCAGACAAAUCGAUUCGAGUUCUUUAACCAUGCAUGGUGAACCUAACCUCACGACAUCCGCGUACCACCGAGGGUUGCUUCCUGUGUCGGCCUUCCCCAUCAAUUCCCUAACCCGUGUCGGGCCCAUUUCCUUUGGUGCAAUGUUCCACAGACCCGGCCUCUGCCGUUCUGUGACCACACUUGCCACCACGUGCGGCCGCAGGGGAACUCCGUUCCAAGGACAAUGGGGCAACCGCUCACGUCUAGGUUCAAUCCGGUACUCGGCUUCCUCAUCCCAUACUGAGUAUGAGGUUAGUACUUUCAAACACUUGAUCACGAACACCACCACUGUCGGGCCUUAACAAGUUUCAUAGACGGACGGGGCGAUCAGCCGACCACCAAAGAGUUAAGUAAAACCCUGCCCCGUCCAUCGUCCUUAUAGUUGUAACAGAAGAGAAACAACCGACUCCUACAACUCGCGAGUGACAGGAGAUCACUCGACUUUUACCGCUUCCUAUUUAAGCAUUGCCACUACUCGAAUCCAACAGACUAGUAUUCAGAUCAAGGGAUCUAAGUCAUGCAUCUAUGGCUGCAAACAACUCCUAUACGUAAAUGCACAAAUAUGCUGAAGAAGGCAUGCGCAAGUUUGGGAAACUGGGUUCAUGCUCCGGGCUUGCCUUCAAGUGAGGAGGAGGGGAACUGAUCUUCUGCUAGGGCGGCUUCGGCAUCUGGAAGCAGGAGCUCGGCUACAGCUUCGUCUUUUGGUGCCGGGUACAGCUCGUAGACGCCGUCGGCGAGAUGCAACUCUACACGAAUGCAAAUGCAAGGGGUUAGCACUUAGACGAUUAUUUCAACAGCAACACUUGCGAGUUUUGGCCUAGAAACUUUGUAGCAAGGCUACGGAAAAAGUGAGGAAGUUCACUUGAGUUGGAGGAGAGCAAGGUAAAAGGGUCGAAUGGAAAGAAACUUAUGAUCUGACCCUUAGGCUAGAGGAAUAGCUGUGCUGGGAGUCCUCAGACUUAACGCAGAGAAGUCCCCAAUUUUCACACAUAUACCCUUGGGUCAAGGAAAAGGAUACCGCCGAGCCCUCGGGCGAGGCGGAGAAAGGGUCGGCGAAACAAACAGGGUCGGGCAAGACGGAGAAAGGGGUCGGUCGAACGGAUAGGGUCGGGCAAGACGGAAAAGGGGUCGGGCGAACAGAUAGGGUCGGACGAGGCGGAAAAAGGGGUCGGGUGGACAGACAGGGUCGAACGAGGCGGAAAAGGGUCGGACGAACAGAAGGGGUCGGACGAGGCAGAAAAGGGUCAGACGAACAAAAGGGGUCGGACGAGGCGGAAAAGGGUUGACAGCUUACCUUCGGUUCACAGGUGAAGCUUGGGGUCGGGAAGGAGCAGACUUGGGCGGAAGGAUGGAAGCACUAAGACUUGGGCAGGCGACGAUGUCCGGUGGUGCUCCGACGACGGCGGUGCUUCUUGUGGACUACAAGCAAGCUCUUGCGCAGCGCGGGGGAGCAAGCGGCUGGGCGGAUUGGGGAAAGCGGUGUUGAGCGGAGAGGAGAGCUCCUCAGGAACUUAGGCGGUAGCUCUUUGAGCAUGAAGCAGAGGAACGGCGGUAACGUAGCGAUGGCGAAGGGGACUCCGGUGGGACUCUGGCGUUCCCUUUUAUAGCUGCGCGGGAAGAGAGAGGGUUGGAGCAGCACGAAGACCGGGAAGAAGCGAUGGAGUGCGCUACCACGGCGGCGAUUGAGCAGCGGGGUGGCGGAGCAGGACUUCGGGGAUGACACCGUCGGCCAUUGGGCACCAGAGACAGGGCGGCGCAGGCGCGGUUUUGCCGGUGGUUGAGAUUUGGUGGAAGUGGGCGUCGUUGUGCGGCGGAUCUGAUGGAUGUCACCAGGGGAACGACGCUAGAAGCAAGGUUGCUCAGGUGAGAAGACAGGCGGGCUGCGGCUGCGCGGGCAAGCGCGAAACAGCGGUCUGUCAGGGCGCAGCUCUGACAAGGCGGGAAAGAAACUGUCGCGGCCGGGGUCGGGAUUGGCGACGGAGGAAUCGUCGCGUAGCGCAGUCUGGGGCGGCGCGACUGUGGAGGGGCGGCGGAAAAACCGGGAGGCCUCGGGCCUUGCAGCCGGGGGUCCGGCGAGGUGAUGAUGGGUGCGAGCCGCGAGGCGCUGCAGAAAGGGUAGCAGAGGGCUUCCGCUGCGAUUGGGGAAGGGGGCGCGGGAAUCCAUCCGGUCGCGGCCGGCGACGAGGCGGAGCGGCGGGGGUUGGAAGAGUUGAGCCACGCGGCGGAGAAGCUCUGAAGCAGGCAUGCCACUCGAGUGCGUCUGUCUCGGGAGAUCUGGGGGAAAGAUUUUUGCGGGUCCACCGGUCAGUCCUGGUUUGUCCUCUGCUCGAGAUUGAAAGGAGGCACUAUUGGGAAGACUUCGAAAGAUCCGGCGGUAUGUGUUGGGGUCGGUAGGGGUCGGAGCUUUGAACCAGCGGAAAGGGGUCGGAUUCUCAGGGGUCGGGAUCGGACUGGAGGUUGAGCACUUAAACUUGGGAAAGCUGAGAUAGGGGGAUUAGGGACUCGGAUUAAGAUUAACUCGAGAGAUUUGGGGUCGGUCGUCACACCGGGACCAUCGCAUCCUGCUCGAUCACCAUCUCCAUCUCCAUCAAAUCCUGGUGGUGCGAGCGACGCCAACCAAAACACCCCUUCCCAAUCACCGUUGCCAGGACUAAACUCUGGUGCGAGCAAGAAACCUGCAGCACCUCUCAAGAAGUCGCGACCACCACUUCCAAGCCAAGGCAGCCAAAGGCGAACCUGUUAAGAGAACAAUGAAGUCUGACCCAUUAAGAAGCUAGCAGGUGAUAUGACUCUUGAGAAAUUGAAGGAGGCAUCGCAAGCAUAGGUAAGGGAGUUCUUCGAAGCAUGAGCUGAACAAAGAAAAGCGAUGAUGAUGGAGCCAAAGUUAGUAGAUCCAGCGAAAUUAAAGUUUUUUAUUGGUAUGAAAAAAGAAGUAAAGAAGACUUUACUAUCGAACCAUGAUCGUUCGUUAGUUAAGUCUUAUUAGAAGAAUAAACAAGUAGAGUCAUCUUCCAAUCGUAUUGUCCCCCGGCUCGGGCAGCAAGCAGAUAAAGAUGCUCAAGCUAUAGCAGCUUUACCCUUAGAACAACAAAUCCAAGUCAUUAUGUUUAUGGAAGAUACAGGUUUGUCACUUGCUGAAGUUCUAGAAAAGAUUGUACCUAAAUGACCCUUUGAGGUAGACAAGCCUCUAGUAAGGCCUGAAUUGGUACGGAAGCUCUCUAUGAAGAUGUUGAAUUCCAUCAAUGGUACAUGGAGCAGUCGGCCAAGGAAAGGCUCAUGUUCGCUCUUCGUGUUAAACCGAUUGAUUUUUUUGGUGAAGGUGAGAAACUCCUGUGGUUGCAAUUCAAGGAUAUAUAUGAAGUGUACCAUUAGGAUGCCCUUGACGUCUCUCUCAUCAGCGCCUGGGUUCUGUAAGUGUGUGGUUACCAAGAUGUAAAUUUUGGCUCGGAUCAUUAUUUUGUGUGUGUGCAUCGCCCUACUAACUUUGUCUUUCAUUUUAUGUAGGAUACUAAUUCAGAGGUGCCACACAAAAUCUUACUUCAACAUUGGCUUCAUCGAUCCAUCGCUUGUUAACGAAGAUCAGAUACGGGAUCAACCAAAGCCUACAUUGGAUGUAAUAUACAAUUUCUUGGAGCAACAAAAUUACAAGCAAUACAUACUACUACCAUACAACUUUAAGUAAGUGUGGGUACCGUCUGUUUUUCAUUUUCCUUUUCCUUUUCCUUACCUAAUUAAUGUUAGUUAGUUCUAAUGUGAACAUUUAUGUGCGCAGUUUCCACUGGAUUCUCCUUGUAAUUAUGAUUGAUAAAAGCAACGUUAUCGUGUUCGAUUCCUUGAGGAAACCACCCAUGGAGUACAAAGACAUUCAAGACAUGGUAAACUUGUAAUAAUUCUGAACUUUUAUCUCUAUGCAAAAGUUUGUUUCCUAAAUUUUCACCUAACAUUGUAUCAUUUAUUAUUUUAAUUCGCAGCGCAUGGAAAUGGUUCCGUAAGACUUCUAGUGGUGAAUUCAAAGAAAAACUUACGCUUCGUUAUUUGCAGCAACGUCAUGAAGAAGCUGUUGCCGCGGGUCAGGAACCUCCUUUUGGUGAUUUUUAUGCUCCACCCUCAGUCCCGGGUGUUUCACGUCCACUUAGUACUACCGUUUCAGGCGGCACAAAUAAACCUAAGGAUGAGGCUGGGUCAGUGGAACCUUUGUCUUCACCGUCCAAGGAUGCUUAAAGUCCUCCUAGAUAAUAACCAGUUUCAGGCGGCACAAAUAAACCUAAGGAUGAGGCUGGGUCAGUGGAACCUUUGUCUUCACCGUCCAAGGAUGCUUAAAGUCCUCCUAGAUAAUAACCAGUGGAUGACUUGUUGUAUUGUAUCAUGUUGUUUGGAUCUUUAAUUUAAAUAUGUGUAUUUGGAUCUUCAUGUUGUUGUAUUGUACCAUGUUGUUUGGAUCUUUAAUCAAUUUUCACGCGUAAUUCAUUGUCAAGUGUAAUCCAUUUUCAUGCGUAAGAUGAUGCAGAUGGACCGGCAAUGGAUGUAUAAUGCAGACAAGCGGAGCAAGGUGUUUAUUGAUGGCUUGCAUUAUUUUCUCGAAGUGACCAAAGCGAACAAGCCAGAGAAUGGGUUCGUAUGUUGUCCAUGCUUCCAAUGCAAUAACAAGAAGGAGUAUUCAAAGGAUUCCUGGGGGACUAUUCAUAGCCACUUGUUUAAAUAUGGUUUCAUGCCUAACUAUUUGGUUUGGACCAAGCACGGUGAACUAGGGGUCGUAAUGGAAGAUGGCGAGGAGGAGGAGGAAGAUGACACCAUUCCGGACUGGGUUGCAGGCCAAGCUUUUGCAGGUACUACAAUGGGCGAGGCUGAUGAAGAUGAGUUUGCAGAAAAUGGCCCUACUGAUGACCUUGGUCAGGUGAUACCAGAUGCAUACAGAGAUUGCGAAACUGAGAAGGAAGCAGCAAACUUGCAGCGCAUGAUAGAUGAUCACCAAAAAUUGUUGUACCCAGGUUGCCAGCAGGGUCAUAAAAAACUAGGUACGACACUAGAAUUUGUGCAAUGGAAGGCAAAAAAUGGUGUGUCCGAUAAGGCAUUUCAGGGGAUGUUGAACAUUGUCAAGAAGAUUCUCCCCGAGAAUAAUGAAUUACCGUCCACAACAUAUGAAGCUAAACAGAUUAUUUGCCCUCUUGGAUUGGAUGUUUAGAAGAUACACGCAUGCCCUAAUGACUGUAUCCUCUAUUGUGGUGAUGAAUACGAGAAAUUGGAUGCUUGUCCCGUCUGCGAAGCGCUACGGUAUAAGAUCAGGCGAGAUGAUCCUGGUGAUGUCGAGGGGCAGUCUCCCAAGAAGAGAGUUCCCGCGAAGGUGAUAUGGUAUUUCCCUAUAAUACCACGCUUAAAGUGCUUGUUCAGGAACAAGGCUAAUGCUAAGUUGAUGCGAUGGCACAAAGAAGACCGUAAGGAAGAUGAGAUGCUGAGACACCCCGUAGAUGGGGCCUAGUGGAGAUCAAUUGAUAGAGCAUUCCCGGACUUUGAAAGUGAAGCAAGGAACAUAUGGUUUGGUUUAAGUAUUGAUGGAUUGAAUCCAUUCGAUGAGUUGAGUAGUGGCCAUAUUACUUGGCCUGUGACCCUAUGUAUAUUCAACCUUCCUCCUUGGCUGUGCAUGAAGCGGAAGUUCAUUAUGAUGCGGACGCUUAUCCAAGGCCCAAAACAACCCGGCAACGACAUUGACGUGUACUAAAGACCGUUGGUUGAUGACCUUUUACAGCUCUGGAAGGAAGAAGGUGUACGUGUGUGGGAUGAGGAUAGACAAGAGAUCUUUAAUCUACGAGCAUUGUUGUUCAUAACUAUCAAUGAUUGGCCUGCACUGAGUAACCUUUCAGGACAGACAAAUAAGGGAUAUCGGGCAUGCACCCACUGUUUAGACGACACAUACAGCAUGUAUUUGAAGCAUUGUAAGAAGGUUGUCUAUAUGGGUCAUCGUCGAUUUCUCCCUGCUCACCACCAGCUGAGAAAGAGCGGGAUGCAUUUCAAAGGGGCGCCAGACCAUCGUAAAAAACCUGCACACCGUAAUGGAAAGCGUGUCUUCGAGAUGAUGAAGGAUGUAAAUGUAGUCUUUGGAAAGGGUCUUGGUAGCCAACCUGUUCCGAACGACGAUAACGGACAUGCACCCAUGUGGAAGAAAAAGUCAAUAUUUUGGGAGCUACCUUAUUGGGAAAUCCUAGAGGUUCGCAACGCAAUAGAUGUGAUGCACCUGACGAAGAAUCUUUGCGUGAACGUGCUAGGCUUCAUGGGUGUUUAUGGGACCUCGAAAGAUACAUGGAAGCACGACAGGACCUGAAAGCCAUGGGGCAAUGAGAUGACCUACAUCUGGAAAAGAUAGAUAAUGGACAACACUACUUACGUCCUGCCAGUUACACUCUCAGCAAGGAAGAGAAGGAUAGCAUGUUUGAAUGCUUGAAUAGUAUGAAGGUCCCGUCUGGGUACUCCUCGAAUAUAAAGGGAAUAAUAAAUAUGAAAUAAAAGAAGUUUACAAAUCUCAAAGCCCAUGACUGCUACAUGUUGAUGACCCAGUUGUUUCCGGUUGCACUAAGGGGUGUUCUAUCAGAAAAUGUUCGGUUGCCGCUUGUAAAGCUAUGCGCGUUUCUCAAUGCGAUUUCGCAGAAGGCAAUCAAUCCAUCCAAGUUAUCAAAGCUACAGAACGAUGUGGUGCAAUGUCUUGUCAGUUUUGAGUUGUUAUUUCCAUCAUUCUUCUUCAAUAUUAUGACGCACUUACUGGUUCACCUAGUAAAAGAGAUUGGUAUUCUCGGACCUGUAUACCUGCACAAUAUGUGGCCUUUCGAGAGGUUCAUGGCAGUCCUAAAAAACUAUGUUCUUAAUUGUGCCCGUCCAGAAGGAAGCAUCGCCAAGGGAUAUGGAACAGAGGAGGUGAUCGAGUUUUGUGUUGAUUUUAUUGAUUCAAUUAACUCGAUUGGGGUUCCAACUUCACGGCACGAGGGGAGGCUCCGAGGAAUGGGCACCCUUGGAAGGAAAUCAAGUUUCAGCAAUGAUACUGAUUUGUUCGACAAGGCACACUACACUGUUCUACAAUAGUCAUCCUUUGUGUCUCCGUAUAUCGAGCAGCACAGGCAGAUGGUAGUUUCCAAAAAACCUGACCAAAUCCGAUGCUUAGCUUACCCGUCAUCACAUGAAAACUUUUCCCUCCUGGUUGCGCCAACAACUUAUGGGUAACUCUGAGAUUCACCCAUAGCUUGCCUGGUUAGCCAGGGGACCUGCUAGCACAAUCGUCAAAUUCCAAGGCUAUGAGAUAAAUGGUUAUACAUUUUACACGAGAGCCCAGGACCAGAAAAGUACGAACCAGAAUAGUGGUGUCCGCAUAGAUGCCAUGGAUAGAAAUAAUAGCAAGGAGUCGUAUUAUUGUUUCAUACAGGAGAUAUGGGAACUCGAAUACGGACCGCUGUACAUCACUCUAUUUCUUUGCAAUUGGGUGAAGCUAACUGCCGUAACCAAAGAUCAGUACGGAAUGACAAUAGUAGAUCUGAGCAAGACUGGAUACAGUGAUGACCCAUUCGUACUUGCCAAUGAUGUGCUCAGGCGUUCUAUGUGAAGGACAUGUGUAGCAAACCCAAGAGAAAUCCAGAAGAGACAUGGGAGCCAAAGUGUCACAUAGUUCUUCCAGGUAAAAGAAAAAUCGUGGGAGUCGAGGAUAAAACAGACCAAUCAGAUGAUUAUGAUCAGUUUGAUGGCAUGCCUCCAUUCGCCGUUGAAGUUGAUCCAAGCAUCCUUCUAUCCAAAGAAGAGGCUCCGUACUUACGCCGCGAUCAUGAUCAAGGAACUUUCGUGAAAAAGAAAUUUUACAAUGUUGUAUUGUAAUGCGCUAAAUUUACAUGACCUUUGUGUAGUAAUUGAUACAAUUUUUAAUUUACCCUAUGUAUGAUUUCAUGUGUUCUUAAAUUUGUUAGGUGAAGAUUUAUUAGAUAAACAUGAACAAUGUUAACCACAUACAUACAUGGAUUUUUUUGCGCAUUGAAAUUAUUUAAUUGAAUAAUUUCUUGAUCACAACGAUGCACUAAAAAAAUAUUUUAGAGGCUAAAUGAACUGGUAUAGAAUUAAUGACUAAAUCACACUUAUUGUCAAUUUACUCGCUAAUUAAAUAUAUUUUUGCAUGUACCAAAUAUGUGAAGGUUUUUGUUUUUCAUCCUCAAAUGCAGUGAAAACAUAAAAAAAAUCCAUUUCCAAAAAAUAGGCGGGAGAAGAAAACUGGGAAAAGGACCUUUUAUCCCGGGUGCCAACAGGAACCGGGACAAAAGACCCCCCUUUUAUCCCAGUUGCAAACUGCAACCAGGAUAAAAGGGUACUUUUCGACUCCCGCCGGGACGUACCCUUUUAUCCCGGUUGUAGUUUUCAACCGGGAUAAAAGGCCCCCCCUUUUAUCCCAGUUUGUGGUGGCACCUGGGAUAAAAGUGUAGGCUCCCAGCCCCACCUGGCGGACGCACCCUUUUGUCCCGGGUCCCGUCACCAACCGGGAUAAAAGGGCCGGGACAAAAGGGAAUUUAGUCCCGGGUGCCAUUACGAAUAGGGAUAAAAGGGGGGGGGGUUAAAAGGCACUGUAGCCCCUUCUACCCCCCACGCGAGUUACACUUAGCCAAAUUUUUGCCAAGAUCCCGCGCGCUCUGCUCCAUCGCCGCACGUCCGCCUCCCUCGCCAGCUGCCGUCGUCGUCGUCUCCCAUUGCCCCGGCCGUCGUCGUCCCGCAGCCCGACCGCGCCCAGACACCCUUGUGGCGGAACCGCCCAAAUUAACCUGACUAAAAUGCAUUGAAGUCGCCUGACACGCGAUUAUGCACUUUAAGCAAGUCAACUUGGUCGACCGUCGGAUUUCCUCCGAUGAACCACAUAACAGGAUCGAGAAGCAUUGCUCACGCGAAGGUGAGUAGCACAGAGGUUACAACAUUCCAUCAUGACAACAUAGUUCCACAUUUUAUUACAUCAGAGUUUUCAAAAUUUAGACCGAAAUUUGCAAGGUUCAAAGUCAAAUAAAACUAGCGGAAGCUAAACGUCGACACAUGACAUCAUGACGGAGCCGAUCAUGACAUCAAAAAUUCCUUCCUUCGCCAUCCGAGGAAGGAUCCCACUCGACGGUCCAGCCUGGGGGAAGCUGGGUCGGCCAAGUGGUACCCGCAACCAAACUAUUGACAUUACCUGAAAAAGGUUAGCCACAACAAGGCUGAGCAACUAGUACUCAGCAAGAUUGACCCGUCGGAAAGACAUGACUGAGACCUAGACAUGCAAGGCUUUCUGGCUUUGGGGUUUUCUUGCCAAAAGCGUCUAAAGUCAGUCCUUACUUUCAACAUUUUAGCUCAUGUUCUAUGUUCUUUAUCCAUUCUAGAUUAGCAACUUAUACUAAACAAACAUGGUUUCCAAGCAAUUACUUAACAGACAUCAAGAUUAAAAUCAUCAUCAUGUUCCAUCUUUACUCAGUGCAGAAUAGUCAUCAAGUAGUCCCAAUCUGUGAGAGGCAGACGAAUCGAUUCGAAUUUUAUUAACCAUGCAUGGCAAACCUAAUCUCACGACAUCCGCGCACCACGAAGGGUCGCUUCAUUUGUCAGCUGUCCCCAUCGAUCCCUUAGGCACGUGUCAGGGCCAACUUCCUUUGGCAUGCAAUGCUCCACAGUCCCGGCCUAUUGCUGCACUGUGACCGCACUUGCACCCACAUGAUGCACCAUGGGAACGACGUUCCAAGGAUAGCCGGAAGGUAUGCCACGCCCCAGUUCAAUCAGGUACUAGGCUUCCCCAUCCCAUACUAGGUAUGAGAUUAGUACUUUCAAACACUUGAUCACGAACGCCGACACGUUUCGACCUUAGUUCAUUUUCAUAUAGACAGACGGGGCAAUCCACCAAGAAUCGAACACAAGCCUGACCCUGUCCGUCAUCCUUAUAGUUGCGACAAAAAUGAAACAUUCAAAUCCUAUAACUCGCGAGUGACAGGAAAUCACUCAACUUUUACCGAAACCUAUUAAGCAUUGCACUACUCGACCUUAGCAACUAGUAUUCAGACAAGGUACUAAGUUUAUGCAUCUAAGGUUUCAUUACAACUCCUCGAAACGUAAAUGCGAAAUCAAGUAAUCAAUAAUAUUGCAUGAACUCAACAUAGGAAUUUAUGCUCUGGGGCUUGCCUUCAGAAAAAGCUUGCGGGUCCUCGGGGUCUUGCUCCGGUUUGGGCUCUCCUUCGCAGGGAUGCAGUUCCUCGGCGGGGUCUUCUUCCGGUGCUGGAUGAAGCUCGUACAUUCCGUCGGGGAGAUUCAACUCUACACGGAAAUGCAAUGCAGGGGUUAAACAUUUUAGAUGGUUAUUUCAACACACUCAUGUUUUAACACGGACACUUGUAGCAAUGCUACAGGAAAGGUGGGGGAAGUUCAACUUCUGUUGGUGGAGAGCAAGAUGAGAGGGUCGGAUUGGGCAAAACUUAGGGUCUGACCCUCAAGUUUAAGGAAAACCGUACCGAGGUCCUCAGACUCAACACAGAGGAAAACCCGAAAAGAUUUCACCGAUACCCUCGGGUCAAAGAAAAAGUUACAACCGAGCCCUCGGGCAAGGCAGAGAAGGGUCGGCGAAACUUGGCAGGGUCGGGCGAGGCGAACGGGAAAAGGUCGGGCGAGAUGAAAAGAAAAAGGGGUCGGGCGAACCGAAACAAAGGGGUCGGGCGAAACGAAAAAGGACAGGGGUCGGGCGAAACGAAAAAGGACAGGGGUCGGGCGAAAUGAAAAGGAUAGGGAGGUUAAGUAGCUUACCUCCAGGUCUACCGGUGAAGCCUUGGGACCGAGCAGGAGUAGGCUAGGGCGGGAAGUUGUACACGCUAACGCUUGGGCAGCGGUGAGACUUCGACGGUGGUCCGGCGGCGGCGGUGCUUCUUGCAGACACCAGCAAGCUCGAGUACCGCGUGGAGGAGCGGGCAGCUGGUGUGUUGGGAGAAACAGCUUGAGGGUGGCGGCGAAGUCGCCGGAGUGUGGGGUGGCGCAAGAGGUGAGCUCCACGGAAGCUCAGCGGCAGCGCGGGGAGAAAGCGGCGACGCGGUGCGGGCGGUGGCAAGGGGUGGCAUUGCCGGUGAGGGGGUUCCCUUUUAUAGGGCCGGGGUGGCGCGGAGGGUCGAGGCGGGGCUCCGGUAGGGAAAGGAUAAGGCCGGGAGCAGCGAGUGCUCGGGCGAGGCGGCCAUUGGCCGACGACGCCAUUGGGCAGAGGAGGCGGAGCUUCAGGUGGUCUUCGGCGGCGAUUGGCCUUGGGCGGCGCGCGUCUGGGGCUUCCGGUCUGUCGGGCGGGCGAGGCGGAAAGGCUGCCGUGGGGGUUGGGCGAGCGGGCGGAGGCGCGGGACGUCGGGGGCGUCUCAGCUUUCUCGGCGAACGGGCAUAACAGGGUUGGCGGAGCAGAGCCGUGGCAGGCGGAAGGCGACCUGCGCGCGGCCGGUGAUUGGCUAGCCCUUCGCUCGCUCCGUCCUGUCGCGGGCGCGGGUUGGGCGCCGUGGCUCUCGUCCUGUCGCUGUCGCACUGGUGAUAGGGCGCCAGCGAGCUGCCGGUGGCCGGCGGCCACGCGGCGCGCGGCGCGCCAGCGAGCUGCCGGUGGCCGGCGGCCACGCGGCGCGCGGCGCGCGAGCGAACAUGCUCGGGCGCGCGGGCAUUGAGGCUCCCUUCGGGUAGCAAGCCCGACCAGCUUUGGAGCGAUCCUUCUCCGAAUCUUUCAACACAACUCCCGAAACUCCCUUAAACAAACUUGUUCAACUCUGGUCGUUCUUCAAACUUUGUUUAUGGUGUUGGUUUAGAGUGUGAAGGGAUUCAAAGAUAUUUUAUGCCAAAGUUAGCCAAAAAUCUGGAAUCCCAGACUUAGGAUUUAAGGCAUCCGGGGUGAGUUGACUGGUUUACCUCACUUUGACCGGGAUUUUGAACAAGUUCGGGUCCGAUUUGGAUCUGGGUCAGUGUAACAAAGUUGGAACACUCUUGAGGUACUACAACUUCUAUUAAGGCUCUGACUCGCAUUUAGAUAGGAAAACGGGAGAUGAAAGCUUGCAAAGAUGGAGGAAAACUCGAAUUCCAGGGCUUAAGAGAUUUUCAGGGUCCUUUAGGAAAGCCGGCUUUGGUUGCUGUUUUUGACUUCCUUUCACUCCGAAAUGGUCAAAGUGCCUUUAACAAAAGUUGUUGGAAUUUCAAAGUUUUACAACUCUUAUUUGGGCAGAAACUUAAGUUUGUAUAUAGAAUUUCAAGCUUUAAAUCAAACUCCAAAAAGCUUCUUAGGUUUUAUAAAGGUCAUUUUACUUCUUAAAUUAAGGAUUUAUCACUGGUUUAUAGUUAAAAGCACUUAAUUUAGGUAGAGUUGUUACAGCCUACCCCCCUUAGAGGAAUCUUGCCCCGAGAUUCAAGUGCAGAAAGAACUAGUGUGGCUAGUGCAACGUACCUCCUUGACCGAAAAGAAAACCGUAGAAGUUAGCGUUGAGAUAUUCUUCCGUCUCCCAUGUCGCUUCGUCUUCCGUAUGGUGACUCCACUGAAUUUUGUACAUCUUGACCAUUUGCCGACGAGUGUGUCUUUCCUUCCGGUCGAGGAUCUUAACUGGAUACUCCUUAUACGAUAAAUCGGGUUCAAUCUCCAAUUCUUCCGGGGUAAUGAUCUCAGUUGGAAUCCUGAUGCACUUCUUGAGUUGCGAGACAUGGAAAACAUCGUGUAUCGCUGCAAUCUUCUCUGAAAGUUUUACUCGGUACGCUACGGGUCCACACGCCUCUACGAUCUCAUAGGGACCAAUAUAGCGCGGAGCUAACUUUCCCUUUACUCCAAAAUGUUGUACGCCUUUGGUCGGUGAAACCCGUAGGUAUACAAAAUCUCCAACCUUAAAUUGGAUGGGUCUUCUUCUUUGAUCGGAAUAGCUCUUCUGUCGAGAUUGGGCGGCCUUGAGAUUUUCGCGGAUGACUCUCACUUUUUCUUCGGCCUCUAUGACCAGGUCAGGUCCAUACACCGUUCUCUCUCCGGGUUGUGACCAGCUCAGUGGGGUUUGGCAUCUACGUCCAUACAAGGCCUCGAAAGGUGCCAUUUUCAGGCUAGCUUGGUAACUAUUGUUGUAGGAGAAUUCCGCUAAUGGCAAACACUUAUCCCAGUUCUUGUCAUAAUGAAUAGCACAGGCACGCAACAUAUCUUCCAAAAUCUGAUUAACCCUUUCUAUUUGCCCAUCGGUCUGAGGGUGAUAUGUGGAACUGCGGAUCAAUUUAGUGCCAAGUGAAAACUGCAACUGCUCCCAAAAGCGUGCUACAAACUGACUACCUCGAUCAGAGAUGAUCGUUUUAGGUACACCAUGCAAGGAAACAAUCCGAUCAAGGUACAGUUCUGCAUAUUUCUGUAUGGUGUGGGUGGUGUGUACUGGAAGGAAAUGUGCCGUUUUGGUUAGUCGGACUACUAUAACCCAUAUGGAGUCAUGCUUGCGGGAGGUAUUGGGUAGUCCGACUAUAAAGUCCAUGCUUAUGUCUUCCCAUUUCCAUGAGGGAAUAGGCAGCAGCUGCAAGGGGCUAGCUACCCUCAAGUGGCUUGCCUUAACUCGCUGACAGGUAUCACACUCAAAAACAUAUCGAGCAAUGUCGGGUUUCAUCCCACUCCACCAGAAAUUUUGUCGGAGGUCGUGAUACAUCUUGGUACUGCCGGGGUGAAUCAAGAACUUGGACAGGUGUGCUUCGUCCAGAAUUUGUUUCUUAAGCUCGGGAUCAUUUGGAACUACAAGUCGAGUUUCAUAAAGUACCACUCCUUUCCAAUCCUGUCGGAAACGUUUAUAUCCUUCGUCCUCCUGUGCAAGUUUCGCUUUGAUAAGGUUUAUCUCUUUGUCCUCUAGCUGUGUUAGAAUUAUUUGGUCAAGCAGGGUGGGCUCCAGAGAAAUAUGACUUAAGGGGCCGUGUGGAACAAUUUCCAAGUUGAGUUUAGCCAUUUCGCGACACAGGGUCUCGGCAUAAUUAACUGCCGAUAAGCAGUUACAAUGGACCUUGCGGCUGAGUGCAUCUGCAACUACGUUGGCUUUUCCUGGGUGAUAAUGCACUUCUAGGUCAUAAUCCUUGAUUAAUUCUAACCAUCUCCGCUGGCGCAUAUUGAGGUCUGCUUGAGUGAAAAUAUACUUAAGACUCUUGUGAUCUGUAUAGAUGUUGCAUCGGGUUCCCAUGAGAUAAUGCCUCCACAUUUUCAGAGCAUGAACGAUUGCCGCUAACUCAAGAUCAUGAGUAGGGUAGUUCAACUCAUGUGGCCAUAACGCUCGCGAGGCAUAGGCAAUGACUCGGCUGUCUUGCAUAAGAACACAACCAAGUCCAGUGCCAGAGGCAUUGCAAUACACAUCAAAUGGCCUAGUGGUGUCGAGCUGAGCUAAAACUGGCGCAGAAGUCAAUAAUUGCCUCAAGGUGUGGAAAGCUUCUUCACAUUUGUCACUCCACACAAACUUACUCCCUUUCCUCAGCAGUUCCGUCAUUGGCUUAGCUAUUUUUGAGAAGUCAGGGAUGAAGCGACGGUAGUAACCGGUUAAACCAAGAAAACUUCGAAUCUGAUGAACUGAAGUGGGCGGCUUCCAGUCCAUUACUUCUUGCACCUUGCUUGGGUCUACUGCUAUACCGUCUCUGGAUAUGGUGUGUCCUAAGAAUUUAACACUGUCCAGCCAAAAGUCACACUUAGAGAACUUGGUAUAGAGUUAGUGGUCUCUUAAGCGUUGGAGUACAGUAUGUAGGUGCUCUGCAUGUUCUUGUUCAUUCUUCGAGUACACUAAGAUGUCGUUAAUGAAUACCACGACGAAUUUGUUGAGUUCGGGCAUAAACACCGAAUUCAUGAGGUACAUGAAAUAAGCCGGUGCAUUAGUAAGCCCAAACGACAUGACUAAGUACUUGUUGAGAUUAUGUAGGUACCUUUGGUGUGACAGAAAUCUAACCCACACUUAGCACUGAUUCUAGUCCCAAUGAAACUAUGAGAUGCUCCUGAAUCAAACAGAAUAAGGAUGGGUUGAUCACAGAUAGAAAAGGUACCCGUCAUCACUGGUGCACCCUCUGGAAGUUCAACAAGGGUGGUGAAGUUCAGCCUGCCUUGUCGGACCUGCACCUUUGGCUUCUUCCCCUUAUUGUCCAGUGUAUUGCUUUGACCGGGUCAUUAAUUCUGGUUGCGAGGGCAGUCCUUGGCGAAGUGUCCUAAGUUCCCGCAAGUGAAACAGCAGUUUCCAGUGACCGGGCGCAGUGGCAUCGGGAGAGCAGGGCGGGGCCCUUGCGGCUGGAAACCGGGGAAACGAGGUGCUGCCUGCGGUGGAGGUCGAGCAACCCAUCUCCCAGGCUGUGCAGGCCUGCGAGGUGCUUGUGGGGGAACCAUUCUGUACUUCUGGGCAGGCGGGCUGGGUGCCGGCAUUGGGGCCUUUCUCUUCAUGUCGGCCUUGAGAGCCUUCAUGCAAUCUUCCUGGGAAAUUUCCAGGUUCACCAGUUCAUUGUAGGAACCCACUUUGAUGGGGUUCAGCCUUUCCUUGAGCUCCAAACUCAAGCCUCUACGGAAGCGGUCCCUCUUCUUUUCAUCGGAGUCCGCAUGAUAGCCUGCAUAGUGACACAGGUCGUUGAAAGCCUGCGCAUAGUGCAGGACAUCGCGGCCUCCCUGGGUGAGAGCCAAGAACUCAUUGAGCUUGCGCUCCAGAAUACCCUCAGGGAUGUGAUGGCCCCUGAACACCGUCUUGAAUUCCUCCCAGCCGACGACGUGGUCCGCCGGCUGCAUGGCGUGGUAGUGUUCCCACCAUAGGAGAGCAGAACCACGCAACUGCUGCGCGGUGAACCGAACCUUGUUCUCAUCCGGGCAACAUGCGGUGAGAAGGGAGAACUUGGACUCGAUAGCGCAAAUCCAGGCAUCGGCGUCAAGUGGGUCCUCCGUCUUGUGAAACAGAGGAGGCUGGGUCCCUAGAAAAUCCUCAUAGCGAGCAACAUGUGGCUGAUGAUGGGCCCUUCCUCCUUGGGGCUGCUGCUGCUGCCCCUGAGCGAUGUGCCUCAACAACUCGGUCUGGGCUGCCAAGAUCGACUCGAGGGUGGUCGGAGGCGGAGGUGGGGGAGGCACCUCGCUGCCACUGGGAACGGAGCCGGAGCGUGUGCGAUGCGCCAUCUGCAAGAUUCACCUUUCCAUCAUUUCCAUAACCUCAGAAGUAUUCCAAAUAAUGUGGGAAUGUAUGUGUUAAUUCCGCAAAUGCAACUUUUGCAACCCAACACAUAUCCUUAUUAAGGAGGUGCACAAAUCUUAGCUAGCAACUAGCCCAUUCCUGCAGCGUCAUUUUAUCCUUGUUACCGAUCGGAAAGGUAUUUUGAUCCACGUUUUGUAGGGUCCACAAGAUCCGGUUUCUCCUCGGUUGGUCUGCACACACCCUUGGGCGAGCCAAAACCUUAUCCCCGGGGUUCCACUAAUUCCGACCUCUGGUACCGGGGCCGGGCGAAACGGAGCUUCUCAACACGGGGUCGGACGAGGCGGAGACCUUUCAACAUGGGGUCGGAUGGGGCGGAGACCGUCCGCGAGGGGUCGGGCGCGUCCGACCUCGCGACUCGGGGUCGGUCAGCUUUGGACAGGCCCACAGGAGACGGGUGUGUGGUCACAGCACUAAAACCCACACAACUUGGCAUCCACGGCGUGUCGCAAGGGUCAGAAGUAGGAACUGCUUUCACCAAGAUCAUUUCAUUGCUGGUCUUAAAAUACAGGAGGAGUACUCAACUCAAGGCUAACCUAUUACAUCAUUGGCCAAAAAUAUAGGUCGCCGAGGAGUACAAUCAAAAACAAAAUAGAACCGCUCAACCUAGUUUGCCAUAACUAGAAGUCGUCGAGGUUGCCCACGGAGGCAAAGCUAAGGACCGGAGAGUGAGCAUCAUCAACUGGAGGCUGCGGUUAAGCAUUCUCAUAGUCCAUGCUCAAAAAGCCUUCGAUCUCCUCAGGCUCCUCCUCCUGGGCCAUUUGCUCAUCCAGCUGCACCUCUAAGGCGUGGAUGGCAUUAAGCUCAUCGUGAUGCUCCUGCAAGUGCUCAUUGGCAUUCGCCAGCUCCAUGUUCACAUCAUAGAACUGGACAGCCAAGAUCUCCAUAUCGUGCUCCAUAUCCACAAUCUCUUCCUCCAAACGAGUAAUCUUGUCCUGCAUCUCAGCAAUCUGAACAUCCUUCUGUACCAGCUCGAGCGACUGGUCCACCAUUCCACUCUGCACGGUAGUCAAGGCAACCUGGUUGGCCACUGCCAUCCCAAUCACCGUAGCCAUCGCUCGGCUCUGCAGCUCAACCAUCCUGUAGAACACAUUCAGGCAACGAGCUGAAACAAAAAUCGUGCGCUGAGGAUCCAUAAGCCCGAGCAAGUCCAUAUGCUCCAUACGAUCCAACCAGUCCGGGUCCCUCGUAUCCCGGGCAGGGAACAACCCAAUCGGGUCUAGCACGAUCUCAAGAGGGUGUGCCCGGCAGAACUGGGUCAAGGUCUGCAAGGCUGCGAACUCCCAAGCGUCGUGGAGCGUGUGUCCCUCAGCCACUACCUCCAACAGUGGCCACUGUGGCUGAUCCGGAGGCGGGGGUACCCGCACGUGUACUCGGCUCCGCGGAAUCCCGUGGUCCUGGUACGCACGGCCCGCAUAAACCGGCGGCGACUGGUACCUGAAAGAGCGCAGAGUGUCCCACAACACAGCUGGAAAACCCUCGUAGUGAAGGCACCGUGAGUAGGUGGUGCCCUCCGUACCGACUGCAACGUGCACAGGCUGCGCCAUCUGUAACCAAGGGUCACGUGAGAAAUGGAGCUAACACUUGGAAAUCAAACAGAUUUCUGGCAGUUAGAGAAAAGCUCAUAACUCAGCAAGUAUUCCUCCAAAACUUCUCAAAUUUUACCAGCAUGUUCUUUAGAUAGUGGGUAACAAGUUUGGUAUUCAAAGGUAGGGCUAGAACAGAACCUAACAAGGUGAUAAUCUCGGAUUCCCAUUAAGUAUACCUGCUGGAACUCUUCAGACCGAGUCAAGAUAAACUGAAUACAUCUUCCAAACCAGAGACUUAACAAAACCAAAACUCUACCAGUAAGUCCUUCACUAAGUCCUGAAAAACUUUGCUUAAAGGACUCCUCACAGAAAAGUCCCUUAAGGUGGUCGAAACAGCAGAAACUCCGCUGGUGUGCACUUUGGGCUAACAGCCAACAGGGGGUCACCAAACUGAUCGCAACUCUCAACCCAAAUGGUAGUACCUUGUGGCAGUUUUACUUGGGAGUUUUAACACAACUUUCUUAUACAAACCUUCUGGAGUUAGCAUGGCGGAAAAAGGACAGCUAGACAAUCCAUAACGCGGUGCAUUACUUUUUACGACGUACUCGAGUUGGGUUUUAUUUCUGAAUGCAUGCACGUCCUAGUCGUCCUCUCAACCAAAAAUAAUUGCCAAAACCUUUGGACUUACGUGGUUAGUGCCGGUGGCAAGGCAACAAUACGGCUCUCACUAUAAUAACUAGUCGAGUUACUAGGCAUCGUUUCGAACGCAACGCUUGUUAGUGUACCUGCAGGAAAAACACAACACAGCUUGAACCUUCCGUGCCAGCACUCACAAAAGCGUCCACAAUCAUUACCGUUCACUAUAGAAACGGCACCCAUGCAUUUAACGCUGCAUGGACAGCGCAACAACCGUGGAAAUAGGUUCCUUUGAAUAGAAUCCUAUAACCCUUCGCAUUCUCGUGAUGCGGAAUCAUGCACACGUGUAACAAACGUGGGCGAACAACCGUGACGAUAGGCUCGUUGGAAUCGAACCAUACCAUCCUUCGCAUGUAUUAACACACGGAACCUGCGCACGUAUAAUAGACGUGGGUGAAACAACCGUGAUGAUAGGCUCGUUGGAAUCGAAUUCCCAUCACCCUUCGCAUACUCGCGAUGCGGAUUUCGGCACACGUAUGAUAGACGUGGCAAAAAGUGCUGGAAGUUAGAAAAUAACCAAUAACUAUUAGCCACCUUAAAAACAACCCCAAAAUCCCCUAGGGCUCCUCGAACUAAACUCAUCCUUAGCGAACUUACGAACUUCUCGAUUUUACUUCUUGCAAAUUUUAGUUAGAAAAAGAGUUUUAAGGUUUGUUGUUCUCCGUGCUGUGCUUCGAGCUCUGAUGCCAGCUGUGGCGGAACCGCCCAAAUUAACCUGACUAAAAUGCAUUGAAGUCACCUGACACGCGAUUAUGCACUUUAAGCAAGUCAACUUGGUCGACCAUCGGAUUUCCUCCGAUGAACCACAUAACAGGAUCGAGAAGCAUUGCUCACGCGAAGGUGAGUAGCACAGAGGUUACAACAUUCCAUCAUGACAACAUAGUUCCACAUUUUAUUACAUCAGAGUUUUCGAAAUUUAGACCGAAAUUUGCAAGGUUCGAAGUCAAAUAAAACUAGCGGAAGCUAAAUGUCGACACAUGACAUCAUGACAGAGCCGAUCAUGACAUCAAAAAUUCCUUCCUUCGCCAUCCGAGGAAGGAUCCCACUCGACGGUCCAGCCUGGGGGAAGCUGGGUCGGCCAAGUGGUACCCGCAACCAAACUAUUGAUAUUACCUGAAAAAGAUUAGCCACAACAAGGCUGAGCAACAAGUACUCAGCAAGACUGACCCGUCGGAAAGACAUGACCGAGACCUAGACAUGCAAGGCUUUCUGGCUCUGGGGUUUUCUUGCCAAAAGCGUCUAAAGUCAGUCCUUACUUUCAACAUUUUAGCUCAUGUUCUAUGUUCUUUAUCCAUUCUAGAUUAGCAACUUAUACUAAACAAACAUGGUUUCCAAGCAAUUACUUAACAGACAUCAAGAUUAAAAUCAUCAUCAUGUUCCAUCUUUACUCAGUGCAGAAUAGUCAUCAAGUAGUCCCAAUCUGUGAGAGGCAGACGAAUUGAUUCGAAUUUUAUUAACCAUGCAUGGCAAACCUAAUCUCACGACAUCCGCGCACCAGGAAGGGUCGCUUCAUUUGUCAGCCAUCCCCAUCAAUCCCUAAGGCACGUGUCAGGGCCAACUUCCUUUGGCAUGCAAAUCCAUAGUCCCGGCCUAUUGCUGCACUGUGACCGCACUUGCACCCACAUGAUGCACCAUGGGAAUGACGUUCCAAGGACAGCCAGAAGAUAUGCCACGCCCCAGUUCAAUCAGGUACUAGGCUUCCCCAUCCCAUACUAGGUAUGAGAUUAGUACUUUCAAACACUUGAUCACGAACGCCGACAUGUUUCGACCUUAGUUCAUUUUCAUAUAGACAGACGGGGCAAUCCACCAAGUAUCGAACACAAGCCUGACCCUGUCCGUCAUCCUUAUAGUUGCGACAAAACUGAAACAUUCAACUCCUAUAACUCGCGAGUGACAGGAAAUCACUCGACUUUUACCGAAACCUAUUAAGCAUUGCACUACUCGACCUUAGCAACUAGUAUUCAGACAAGGUACUAAGUUUAUGCAUCUAAGGUUUCAUUACAACUCCUCGAAACGUAAAUGCGAAAUCAAGUAAUCAAUAAUAUUGCAUGAACUCAACAUAGGAAUUUAUGCUCCGGGGCUUGCCUUCAGAAAAAGCUUGCGGGUCCUCGGGGUCUUGCUCCGGUUUGGGCUCUCCUUCGCAGGGAUGCAGUUCCUCGGUGGGGUCUUCUUCCGGUGCUGGAUGAAGCUCGUACAUUCCGUCGGGGAGAUUCAACUCUACACGGAAAUGCAAUGCAGGGGUUAAACAUUUUAGAUGGUUAUUUCAACACACUCAUGUUUUAACACGGACACUUGUAGCAAUGCUACAGGAAAGGUGGGGGAAGUUCAACUUCUGUUGGUGGAGAGCAAGAUGAGUGGGUCGGAUUGGGGAAAACUUAGGGUCUGACCCUCAGGUUUAAGGAAAACCGUACCGAGGUCAUUAGACUCAACACAGAGGAAAACCCGAAAAGAUUUCACCGAUACCCUCGGGUCAAAGAAAAAGUUACAAUCGAGCCCUCGGGCGAGGCAGAGAAGGCUACCGUGGGAUGUUGGAUGCCCACUACAUUAAGAAGGGCCGAACUCCAGACUUCAAUGCGUGGCCAAAGUUGAGGGACCACUGGGAGGCAUUUGUUGAAUAUAAGACGAGUGAAGACGGUGUGAAAAAGAUCAUGACCAACACUACAAAUGCUAGUUAGAAGGGCUACCAUCAUCAUCUGGGGUGAGGUGGUUAUGGCUCAGCAAUUCCCAAGUGGAGGAAGAUGGAACAAGAUCUGAUCGAACGGGGAAUCAUACCUGCAACUAUUGAAUGGCCCGAACGAUCAAAAAAUUGGUACUACGCUCAUGGAGGCUCCUUGAGCCAAGAGGAUGGGACGUUGAUUUUCAAUGACACAAUACGUGAGAAGGCCGAACAUCUUGUGAAGAACAUUGAAGAUUCUAAGUCUGGGAGGUUGAAGGUGGACCAAGAAAAUUAUGAGCUCACAUUAUCCCUCGGUAAUCCCGAGCACCCAGGACAUUGCCGAGGGUUCGGGGUCAUUCCGUGGAAGUUUGCUUUCCGAGGUGACAACGCAUCAUACAGAAGCCGGAAGCGAAGACAGGAACAGAUCGAGGAGAGCUGACGGUAGAUGCUAGAAUCCAAAGUGCAGGCACAAGAACAAAGAAUGAUGGAGGAAAUCAAUCGUCGAGUGGCCCACGUAGUUGCGGAGUUGGCCCAAUCUGGAGCAUUGCCGAAUCCUAACAACGUCAGCCCUUCUCAACGCCUCUUGAGCAGUUGUGCUUCUACAGGGGUCCCUGAUGCGCAGACGCCAAGGUUACCCGUGGAGGAGCAAUGGUUCCCCGUGGAUGUCAUCACGCAACGCACCACAUGUGAGCUGUAUGCAUCGGUCGGCAACCUCACUAUUAAGGUAUACUUAAUAUUUAUGCAAUCUUGUGAAUUGAUCCACACCUCGUGAUCGGAGUUUAACUUGUUUACUUCUGCUAUAUGUACAGGUAGCGUACGGGAGUGCGUUAGCAACCCUGGCGGGGCAGAGUAGUCAUGGCAUGGAGAUUCCACCUGGCUAUGCCAGCGUCCGCGUAGAGCAAAUAGUUGAUAGCCAAUAUGAAGGUCUAGAGCUCGACCUCCCAGGAGGCGACGGGGAAAAGACACUAGCAGAUGCGCUUCAUGGGAUCAUUCUAUGGUGAAAAUGCUACAUCAUUAUUCCUAGCACGGAGCCAUCUCCUCAGAGCUCAAGACCGCUCCCUGUAGAUCCCCAGCAGCGACCUUCUCCUCAUAGCUUGAGACCGUCAUCUCCUGCACAACCUGCUCCAAGACCGUCCCUUCCAUCUAUAUCAAGGUCUCCAUCUCCACCACAUCCUGGUGGUGGGAGCGACGACGACAAUAACAACACCCCUCCCCGAUCACCGUCGCCGGCACCAAGAGUGGCCCCCAUGAAGGAACCUGCACCACCACUAAAGAAGUCACGAGCACCGCCUCCCAAGCAAAGAAAGAGAAAGAAGAAAACAAAGGAGCCUGAAGUGACUCGUAAGGAACACUGGGAGGCAAUGUCUCAUGCGGAACAGUGGGCAAAAAUCCAACGAGAGGCCAGUGAGUGGUUCAAGAAACAAGCUGAAGAAAAAAAACGCAAGGGAGAUGGAGCCACCACUAGUAAAUCGAAGAGAUUUAAAUUUUUUUAUCAGGAUGGAAGAAGGAGCCAAGAAAAGGAUACCACUCUUAUCAAACUAUGAACGGGCUUUAGUAAAGGCUGAUAAGAAGGAUAAAAGGAAAGGAAAGUCAUCUUCCAGUGGUGCUGUCCCCGACCUCAGCCAUUUAUCAAAGACGCUCAAAGGGUAAAAGCAAUGCCCUUGGAUCAACAAGCAGAAGUAUUGAAGUUCAUGCAAGAAACAGGUCUGGGACUUGAUGAAUGCUUAGGGCAAGUUGAGACGCCAACUGCACCGCCCCCUGAGCAGAGAUGACCUUAUGAGCUAGGCAAACCUCUAGUAAAGCCUUCAUUGGUACAGAAGCUAUCAACAAAGAUGUACGCAUUCCAUCAAUGGUACAUGAUGGCAUCCGCCGACUCGAGGGAGAUGCUCGGCCUGAAGGUAAAACCGAUAGAUUUUUACGACGAAGGCGAGAAAGUGCUGUGGCUAGACUUCAAGGAUAUAUACGAAGUGUACCAUCAUGAUGCCCUAGACGUCUCUCUGAUCAGCACUUGGGUUUUGUAAUUGUCUGUUUAUCUCUACAUGUUAAUUUUGGCAUGCGUCAUUGUACUAACUUUGUCUUCCAUUUCAUGUAGGAUGCUAAUUUAGACAUGCCACCGAGAGGCGUACCUACAUGUAGGCUUCAUGGAUCCAUCUGUAGUUAACCAACAACAGAUACAAUUAGCACCGGAAAAAACCUUGGUGGAAGUAUACAAUUUCCUAGACAAACAAACAUUCAAGGAUUUCAUACUACUUCCAUACAACUUCAAGUAAGUGUGUGUAUACCGUCUACUUUCGAUGUCUUUUUCCUUAUCUCUACAUGUUAGUUAGCUCUAAUAUGCAUGAACAUUUUACGUACGCAACUUCCACUAGAUCCUUAUUAUAAUUGAGCCUGAAAGAAGCCACGUCACUGUCUUUGAUUCGUUGAGGAAAGAUCCGGUGGAGUACCAAGACAUGCAAGACAUGCUAGGCUUGUAAUAAUUCUGGACCUUUAUCUCUAUGCAAAAGUUUGUUUCCUAAAUUUUAUCUCUGUUACACUAUAUCUUUCAUUAUUCUAAUCCGCAGCGCAUGAAAACAAUUCAUAAGGACACACAAAGGUCCAUUCAAAGAAAAACUUACAUAGAACACAGACUUCCCGGUAAGUAUGAAGUCUGCACAUUUAUUACAUUGUAUAACACGAAUAUUUCAUAACUUAUUUUUUUCCGCACUGAAGUACUUAAGACAGGAACCCAGGAAUAAUCUAUGUGGCUACUACAUCUGUGAGCACAUGCAUAGUUUUAUGGGACCCAAGGGACUAAAGAUGACGCCGCACAACUUUAAAGUACGUAAAAUAAAACUAUUACUGGUUAAUUAUUUUCUAGCUCCUUAUAUGUAUUUGUUCGUGUAACAUUCACAAAUUUCCAAAAUAUAGAUGUUAAAUAUUCAACAAGGACUCUUGAAGGAAGAAAGAGUAGCGGCAAUAUGUGAAGGUCUCAUUGGAUUCCUAAUGGACGAGGUGGUAAAUCCAAAAGGAGAAUUUUAUUACGAUGGACGACAAUUAGACACUCCGAUCAGCAACACCUCGACGGGAAGAUUGUAGAUAGAUACUUUGAUUUAUUUGUAUAUAUAAUACGUGCUAAUUAUGAUCGAUUUGUACUAGUUGAAUUGUGUAUAAAAAUUGUGUAUAUAUAUAUAUAGUAAUUGUAUAAUUACAAAUCCCAUUCGUUUAAAUACUAGUUGAUUUCAUUCUAAAAAAAAUCUCAACUACUAAAGGUUAACAAAAGGGCCGCGGUACUACGUAUUCGUGAUGCAUGCAUGAAAAAUUCAGGCGCUAGCCAGGGUGCCAUGCAGGGCGCCAUUUAGUCUUGGUUGGAUUCCAACCGGGACUAAAGGGUAACCCUUUACUCCCGGUUGCUUUUACCAACCAGGACUAAAGGGCCUGUCCCGCGCCUGGCGUGGCAGGUCCUUUUUCACCAACUGGGACUAAAGGGUGACCUUUACUCCCGGUUGAAAGACCCGGGACUAAAGACCCCCCUUUUGUCCCGGUUGGUUUAUCCCGGAUGGAUUUUCGGGAGAUAUGCACCCUACCAAUUGGGACUAAAGGUCAAUUCUCUACUGGUGUUUCUGCGGUGAUCAUGUUCAGAAAUUGUUCAUAUAUUCAUUACUUAUGUUUAGAACUUCUUCAUGUACCUACCUUACGAAGAAAAAUGUAACAUAUUAUCUAUGUAUCUUACUGUAUUAUAUCAAGGUAUUUCAAGAGCUUUCCACAUAUACUAUCUUCACUAAAUUUGUCUGAAUAAUUCACAUGAUUUGUUGCUUCUGACGUUGAAGCUCCCCAGAAUCUGUUCCCAGAUUGAGAGAUUAACAUGAGACUCAAAUUCUUUAAAUUCUAGAGUGCAAGAAAGCUAGAUAUACAUAAGGGCGUCCCUCCUACGAGUGCGGCAAAGCCGCACAUGUGUUUCUAGUAUACACUAAAGUUGCCCUUAAUACUUUUUAAACAUGUGAGUAGCGAGCCAUCUGUCCCUCCAUCUCGUUUUAGAGCCUGAUGCCCACGUCCUCUCCCUUGUGGAGGGCGACACAGGCGGAACAACCAUCCGCGUCGCUACUGCCAAAUCCCUCAGCUCGGCUCUUUUUAACCCUCGAUGUCUUUUUUAUCCAUUAUUUGAACAUCUAAACUUUUCAAAUGAAAAUAAUAACUACAGAGUUGUAAACCUCAUCGAAUCGUACAAUUUUCAUACAAAGUUUUUCUCCAUCCGAGUCCGUAUAUAAAAGUAAUGAAUUUUCAAAUACAAACUGAAAAUUAAAUUUGAAAAGUGGGAAAGUCAUCCGUGCCGACUAUUGUUGAGACCCGGCAGGUAUAAGCAAUUAUCUGUGCUGGAUGACUUAUUAGUAACGGCUUAUUUAUGCUGGCACGGAUGAACUGAUACAGAUUAAUAUUUUUCUAGUAGUGAAUUGUCCUUAUUAAUAAGGACUCUAUUUUUGCCUGUUGUCUUUCUGAAGCCAUGAACUGAUACAGAUUAAUACCGAUUCUUUCUGAAGCCAUGUAAAAGGUAGAAAGUUUUGAAGUUACGAUCAACUCAUGUUGGUGGUGAUCUGAUGAUAAACAAUCUUCCAUGGUAAUCUAAUGCAUGAGUUUCAAUUCUUCAUUGAUCCAUAUGCCUCCUUCUAUAAUUUCAUACUAUCUUGGUUACAUUGUGCUUGUUUCAAUCUAUUAUCAAUGUAGAUUGCAUAGGGUGUUCUUGUAGUCGUGAUGACUAGAAUUGCAUACCUUAUCUAUGGAGUAUUGUGACACGAUCUUUAUGCUCAUACUCUCAGAACAUCUCGUGCAGAAUGGUAGGAUCGUGACAAGAUCUGUUACCUAGUGGGACUCUUAGUAUUCGAGGGUCAGACCAGAGGUGGUAAUUUAAAGAAGCACUGCAUGAGAGUCAUGUUUACCUUACUUUCAUGCAUAAGAACUACAACAUAUGAACAAUACAGGUUACUCUAGAUUGGUUACAUAUUCAUGCUUAGAUUGAUUCCUGAACAUUAUAAACCUGAAUUAUAUUGCUUACUGCUUAGUUGAAAUAGUUCUAACAGAUUGAUAAACUUUGAGGAAUAUUUUAAGGAAAGAGUUACAACUGAUCUGUAUGCUUACGGUUCACGAUUGUUAUCCUUCGGUAGCAUCAACAACUGGGUGAGCCCAACUUACUUUUGCUAACUACUCCCCCGGAUGUACCCAAUGUUCAUGUGCCUCGCUUGCGCACCCAAAAUGCCAUUCUUUAUCCUAAUGGUUCCGAGCCAAGCGUUUCAAGACUAUUGGCCAUCUACAUGUAUAGUCGCUCGGCCAUUCACAUGGUCAGGCAUUCGACCAGUAGCCGAUUGAAUAUUGGCCAUAGACAACCGUACGUCAGUCGCUUCCAACCAUAGCUAAAUGUGAUUACUUAAAUUGUUGGACAUCACUGUAAUAGUUGGUCAUUCUAUUAAAUAGCCAAGGGUAUGUGAUUGCGCUGUCGUUGACGGUCAAACCAUCGGUAAAUAGUAAUGUGCAUCUGGAAGUUCUUAUAACAGUUGGCUGAAGUUAGGAUUCCAGUAGUCGAUGCAGCUCUCAUCUGGCACCACCUCUGCAAGUGUGGACCAGUGCCCUUCCUUGGCUCGCACGGGCGUACCGCCUAGCAACCCCAUAUACUUAAUGCCAUACAAGGGUCAAAUAUACUAUAUUCCUGAUUCAAGUGGUGAGCAAGAGCUUUUUAAAGGGUUUCAUUCAAGUAUUUGUAACGUGGUAGAGCGCAUGUUUGGUGCUUGAGUGGAAAAUCCUUAUCAAGAUGUCUGAGUAACCCAAUAAAAAGCACAUGAUGAUUGUUGCAGCUACCAUGUGUGUCGAUUACUACAUUCAUGAGAAUAUAUGCAUUAGAUAAAGAUAUUCGCAAGUGAGAUCAUCUAUGUGCCCACUAUACCUUCAUGAUAUGCAAAAGAGUAAAUUGCACCCACCAUACACCAACUUGUCUGGAAGGUGCAGAUUGGUCCAAAACCUUAUAAAAUGCUCAAUUUAGUGCAAUAACUUGACAGAUGGGUGCAUAUCAAUCAAACAACUCGUAAAAUAUUCGAAGAUGGGUGCAUAUCAGUCCAACUCGUAAAAUAUUCGAGCACUACUAGAGAACUGACCUUCCAUCCAAGUGCUUUUGUCCCCAAUUUUGGACCCGGGUCAAAAAUGAGGCACUGAAGGCCACCCACGAGAGGGGCUUUAGUCCCAGUUGUAAAGACCAACCGAGACUAAAGCCCCCUCUAGUCUUGGUUGUAACCGAUAAAAAAAUUUGGUACCGACGCCCCCUUUUGUUCCGGUUGGAAAUUCCAACCUGGACAAAACGCCCUUCCCACGCGCAGCACUCCUCUCCCUUCCUUCCUUUAAUUUAUCUCACGCAACACUCUUCUCCUCUCCGCUCCUUAUCCACUGACGCCUCCCCUCCUUAUCUUCUUCCUCUCCUCAUCCUCUCCUCCCUCUCCUCAUCCUCUCCACUGACCCCUCCCCUCCUCCCUCUCCUCAUCCUCUCCUCCCUCUCUACGUGGGUGGGCGAGCGGUGGGCGGAGGCGGGCCGGGUGGAGGCGGGCGACGGCAGGGCAGGGGCAGGCGGAGCCGAGGCAGGCGGGGGUGGAGCGGAGGCGGGUGGCAGCAGGCGGCCGGCGGGCGCGGGUAGGCGAGCGAUGCGCGGUGCGGGCGGGCGGCUGAUCGGCGGCCAGCGUAGUGGCCUUUUUUUAUUUUUUUUUGGAAAUUGUGGAUGAUCAAGGACUAAAGGACCCCCUUUUGUCUCGAAUAAUUAGUUCUAGAUGGAAUUUUGGGAUCUUGGACCCCUACCAACCAGGACUAAUGCCGUGUUUUUUCAGUAGUGAAUAUAGUAUAAUAACUUGGUAAAUUGGUGCAUCCGCAAUCCAAAACGUUACAAGGCAAUAUUUGUACUAAUGUCGAGCUGCAAUCGAGAGUGUAUUCGCGUCAAAACAAAUUAUUAAUAAUUAUUAGCCAUUAAUAUUUGCAUCGCAAUGACAAUAUUAUGUAUUUGACAAAGACAAAAAAAUUUUGGUAUUUAAGAAAUUAAUGUUAUGUCUUCAUAUUAUUUUUAUAUGAUGAUUUAAUUUUGAUUAAGAAUCUUUAAUUUCAUAUUCAAUAUUGGUCACUUCUCUCUUACUAUAUUUUCUAUAUGUUUGAUUAUAUGCAUUGUUCAGCUACACAAAAAAACUAAUAUAUUGGUAUCUACUAACAAUACACUUGGCAUAUAUAUUUUUUGAAGCCUCCCGUACUUAUUUAGAAAGAGGAGUUAAAGAAUAAAAACAAAUAUGCUUAUAUAUAGUUGUUGAAUAUAUGAUCAGAAGCAUAAAGCAAAUCUAAGGUCCAAGGGUCUGUCUUUUUAUCUUUCAAUAAUACCAAUGGCAUAAUUCUAGAAUUCGAUUGAAUUUUAACUAAUGAACAAAUAUGUUCUAUUCAUAGCUGAAAAGCAACAGCUUGAUCAUGAUCAACAAAAUUAUUGACAAAAGUUAAGAAUAAUUGAUCGGAAGAAAAUCCGCAGGUCCAUCUACUUUGUUUAACAUGUUGCCUUUGUAACCUUUGAACUGUUGAUGCACCAAUUUAUCAAGUUAUUGCACUAAAUUGGAGACCGAUUCACACCCACUUGUCAAGUUAUUAUACAAAAUUGAGCAUUUUACAAGUUGUUGGAUCAAUCUGUAUAAACUUGACAAGUUGUUGUUUGGUGGGUGCAAUUUACUGUACGCAAAAUGUCAGAUACAUCGACUCCACAAUCUAAUGAUCAUACUAUGUAUAAGUUCCAUGUAUAAUGGGCAUUCUUUCUUUCUAGAUCAUCAUGAUCAUGUAUGUUCUGAUGUAUGGUUGAAUGCACUGUCAUGAGCAUAUAUAUACUUCCUUUUGUGAACAUUACUCUAGUACAUAUAAGGUAAACUUUAAUUUCUCUUCGUUAAUCUUUGCUCAUUUCAUAUGAAACCACGAAAAAAUUAAGGUCAAAUAUAUAGCUGAUCUGUAUAGAUAAGUCAAAUAGGCCGCACAUUGGACACAUUUGACCUCUUCCACCCAUUGAUGAAACCAGGAGAAAUCAUUAUAUGUCAAACUUUUUUUUUUCAAAGGGUUUCAGCUAGCUCCACACAAAAACUACUCCACUAGAAAAGUCAGAGCGAGAGUCCUGCCAAAUAUGUGCUCAGUUUUUACCCAUCUUAAUUGCUCCCAUGAUUUAGUAACAUCAUCCACCACUAUAACAAACUAACAAUCUACUCACUCCCUCAAUCUGGAUUCCAGUUUCCAAUAAUGUUGGGGAUUGCUAUACUACACUCGAGCGUAAAUUCCCCUCCAUACACUCGAACUUUUUCUCUUCUACAUCUUCCCCUCUUCUCCACCUCCGGCGACCUCCAGCGAUCUUUUAGGGUUCGGGGUUGGGGGGGUUCGGUGUUACCUAUGUUCACCGGACCUAGAGGAAGCUCCGAGGUGGCAGGACAGCAGGCGGUGGUGGCGGUAGAGAUGGCGGCGAGGCCCAGUGGGGGCGCCGCCCGCCGGGGCAGCGGUGGAACCCCGGCUGGGUGGUGGAGGGACGGGGGCGAGCACCGGCGACAAAUUAGCGUGGGGCGGUCAAGACGGCGGCGGACGCGGGGGUGAACAGCGGAGGUGACCUCAAAUGGCACGGAUGAACGUAGGUGGGAUGGGUGGUGGCGGAAGGGAGGGCCACGGCAGCAGCAUCCGGCGCCGGCGAGGCGGAGGGCAGCGGUGGGGGGCGGAGGUCGGCGGCACGUCUGGAGGAAGAAGACGCCCGCGACUCCCCCCGACUCGCGACGAGUGGAUAUGUCCUGGCGUGGGGAGGAGAUGAGGUUUGUUGAAUUUGAUCUCAGCAACUCAUAAAAUGAUCCAAGGGCCUGGAAUUCGAGUGUACAGUAGACAUUUAUUGAGAGCACUUUAGUAGAAAGCACCACAGCUAAAACACUACAAAUCUAGAGUUUAGACUUUCUCCAAGAGUUAUUUGCAGGUGACUGAUGAUUCAUUUUUUUCCUCAAGAAUUUUAUCAAAUGACCAAUUGUUGUUCUACCAUGGUUUGGACGUGUUCUUACGGCUGCAACAAAUGGCAGUAAGAAGAGGUGGCUAAAGGCAGUCACGGGAUCGACAAAAUAAAAUCACUCGUUAUGCUCUACCCCUUAAGAACAGUCACGAGUACACACAUAUCAUUAUUCAUACAACAAAGAAGUGCGACACUGACAAACGAAGAUCGAAAAGAAGGCUACAUGAAGACUGCAAAGUUCAGCAGGUACUGAAUUUGAAAAAAACAGUAGCAACAAGCGAACAAGGACACGAAGCACUGAAGCAUACAUGCAUGCACGAUCUAGCUGCUAAGCUCGCAAGCACUUGAGGCCCUUGAAGCACGGGAGGCGCUGAAGCUCGGCCAUCUGCACCGCCGGCGGAACCACGUUCCUCGGGCAGCGGUGCCCGUGGCGGCGGUGCGGGAUGCAGGGCACGGCCACCGCCUGCUUCAGCUGGCAGAGGCAGCUCGCGUUCUCGACCACGAUGCAGCACUGCUGGCGGAUCUCGUCACGGGCCAGGCAGUUGGUGAAGUACUUGAUCUGCUCCGCGCAGCUCUGCGCUGUGACGGUAGCUGCAGAGGUGGAGGUGAUGGCGAAGGCACAGGCUACGGCGGCGACGAAGAGAAUGGUGGCGAACUUGGCGGGCGCCAUGAGUAAAAUCUUGAGUCUAUCUAGCUGCGUCGUCGUCUGGGAAGGCAGCUGGAUAGCCUGGGACCUUGUGACUCUGAUAUGGGUCCGGAGAGUCACGAGCGACCAGUGAGUCAUGCGGUCAUGCCGACUUCCUCUGCCUCUCAUAGACGGUGCUGGGUGGACGGUAGCGUGGAACGUACAGCAUGUGAAGCUGUGGAUGAUGUCUAUUAUUACAUUGCAGACUUGGGUUUACUGUAUAUAGUGAUUUCUAUUGGGGUUACUGUAAAUUCCAAUUUCAGCUUUCCUGUUUACUAGACAUAGGAAAAAGAAAAAAGAAUGGAAAGUGGGAGGAGGUGGCGCUGAGGCAUAGACCACAUGUGAUCUGGAGUCUAGAGAAAGAGACACUGAUAUGAACUAAUAGUAGACCAGAAGGCAGCAGAGUCAAAAGCAUUUCCAAUUUCUGCUUAUCCGCUCGAGUUCUCAAUCAUCGUCGUCUUCCUCGGUCCGCUACGCAUCUCGUCCCGUCCACCGCGCCCGCCCGCUCGCCCAACCCACCAGCCUGGCCUCCGGUGCCGCCCUUGGCGCCGUCGCCCCCACCACACAAUCCCUCUCCCCCACCUUCUCCACCUGUAAGGCCCCCGCGGCACACCCUGCCUGCCUCCGCCUUCCACCCAUCCGACGCCCUCUUCUUCGUCCUCCCCCUCCCCUUCCACCUAUCCGACGCCCUACCUCAUCACGACGAGGUCCCCCACCUCGGACACUGGCCCUCCCGAUCCGGCGGCACCAUCACCGCCGGAUCCGCCACCCACGUGACUGUCGGUGUGCACCUAACCGCCGCCACAAUGCCCCUGCCACCAGCCCUGCCCAACCAGCCUCCUCCAUCGCCGUGGCGGGCGGCGCCGCUGCUGCCCACCAUCCUGCCCACACACCACCGCCGCCGCCGCCGGUCCGGCAGCCUCCCCCGGCCAUCCCUUUAGAUCCCGCAGCCACCAAUGCUCUCCCCAACCCCAAAACCAGAAACCCUAUCCCUAACCCAAAACCUAAUACGAAGGGGAUCUCACCGGAGAUGGAUUUGUCGCCGGCGAAGAAGAGGAGGUCACCGGAGUGCUCAUCGGAGAAGAAGAGGAGGUGGUCGAAGUAACAAACCGAAUUGUUACUUCAUUGGAUGAAUUACUUCUUUGAUUUUUUUUCCUUUUUUGGUUUCUGAUCUCCCCUCUCCUUCCUCGUACCCUACAAAACGGGAGGGCUCUCGCAUUAACCUAAAACGAGUGCCCUCUCGUUUUAGAUUUUGCGUUGUAACUAAACUUAUCACAGUGAGUUCGUACUCUGAUGGUGAAUAUAAUUUGGAACUGUUUCUGUAUCGUAAUAGCAACACAAGAAAUGUUUAUUACCAUUUAUUGAAAUGCUUAUUAAUGGGUAUAUCUGCCAACAGUUCCAAGAUAUUAAGAUCCAUGUGAACCUUGCUUCAUUUCACCGCUUUUGUCGUUCACAAAUUUUCUAGCUGUUUAUUGGAAGAUCACAAAUUUUCUAGCUGUUUAUUGGAAGAUCAUCAGGAGUGGCUUAAUAAGAGAUAAAACGAUAUAAGGCUAUCAUAAACAUAAAGCUAAAUCUGUGAUCUCUCCAUGCUCCGACAUAGUAUUUCUUGUUAUUUUCUCUUUCUCCAAGUUUAAUAUCUAGGUUCUUCAGAAACCCCUCCUCCUGCGUCGCCCAGCGUGGGCGACACGGGCGGGCGAGCGCUGCCAUCGCCUCCUACCCCCUCCCUCCUCCCUUCCCUUCACCCCGCCACCACUCGAGCCGGCCGUUGGAAGUCUGACCGGCCCGCAAUGAGGGUGGCAGCGAGGCGGUUCUCUUCUCCUCCGUUAUGGCCAGGAGGACGAGGCUGCCUCGUCAUCGAAGGGGGCCCGGGGUGGCACCGGCGGCCGGAUCCGGCACCCGGUGCCGGAUCCGGUGGCCCCGUGGACGGAUCCAUUGACAAGGCACGCGGGGGGUGGGGGGGUGAUGGCUGGCGAUGCGCCUAUGCUGCGCCGUGCGCGACCAUGGGGGGCCUGCUUGGGUCGCGGUUGUCGAAGGAGGCAAGGCGGAGCGUGCCGACGAGGAGCGUAGCGCGGAAGAGGAGGAGGGGCGCCGUGAGGAGGAGGGUCGGGAGCAAGGUAGGGUGGAAGAGGUGCCCUGCAGCACGACGUAGGUUGCGACCGCCCGUGCGCGCGUCCAUGCUCACCGGCGGAGGAUGCUGUGCGGGGGCGGCUUCUAGCAUGGCAGGUCGUGCGAGUUGACGGCUGCCGGCGGGCUCUCGGUGGGUGGCGCGCGCGGAUGAAGGCUGGGCUGCCGGUGCGGGCAACAGAGGAGUGCCAGCCAGGAUAGAAGCGCGACGUGCCCGAGAGGACCGCAGCUGUGAGAAGUGCGUGGCCGGGAGGAGCGCCGUCGGAGUGCACGCAGCGGACGGGAGGCGCGCGACGGUCGGGAGGAGCAUGGCUGGGAAGUGCGCGUGGCCAAGAGCAGCGCGCUGCAAGGCAUGUGGUGGUGGAAUGGCAAGCGGACGCGCGGCGUAGGCAGGAAGGUGCAGGCGGUGGAGGGCACUGCGCGUGGGCAGCGGUGGAGAGUGACGACAGAAACGGAGGUCCAGGUAUGGCGGCAUGGCGAGUGGAGGCGCGGCGGCGGCAUCGCCUCGGCUGGGUUGCCGUAGUGGUGGUUUGGGAGUGCCGAACCAUGUACGUGCAGCGAGGGGUUGUAUUGCUCCAGGUGAAAGUUCUCAUCGACCUUCGUACUGGUGGACAUGACGGCGGCGUCCUAGGACGUCAUCUUCCCCGUUGGGGGCAUCAUGUUGGAAUUACGACCUUGCUGCACAGGGUUCAUUGGGUGAAAAUCCUGUCCAGAUCCUGGAUGAGUGACGGCGGCACCAUCGGUGUCAUGCCCUCCUUGGAGGCGCCAUCUCUAGAGACCCAACUUGGUUCGUGGCAUUGCUGAACCAUUGUUAUAGGAGGGUAUAGCUGAAGGUGGCAACUCCGUCGCGUGGUGCGCUAGUGAUUGUCGAGCCCAGGUGCAGGCGAUCGAAGUUAUGGUGGCGGCCAGGGGUUGUUGCAUGGUUGUCGUAUUUGGCUGCUUGCAGCGGACCACGGCGGCUGACGUUGAUUGGCAGCAGUCAGUGUGGUGUGGGACUGCGUCGGAGGACGGCGCUUGCGGCAACGGUAGCGUGGUACGACUUGCGGGUUGCUCAGCUUGGCUGGGCUAUCCGGUGCGGUACAUUGCUGGAAGACGGUGCAAGCGACUUCCCUGGCUUGCUGACACGGCGGAGAAGGCUAUGUGCGAGGGUGAAGCGACGAGAUGAGGUCGACACAUUGCGGCGGCUUGGCUGAUCAAUGGAGAUCUUGGGAGCAGGGCAAUACCGCUCAAUACUCUGACAGCGAUAAAAGAAACGGAUCUACGACAUGGAGUACUACGGCGGGCGUGGUGAGGCCCUCACGUGCGGUGUCUAUUCGAGGCGACGAGAGAGAGGUAGAGUCCAACGGCGGAUGUGGUGAGACCCCCGAGCGUUGUGUUAUUGUGGCGGCGACUACGAGGCAGCCUACGAGAGGUCUGGAUUCAGUGCUAUCACUGUCAGGUGGAGAGUGAUGUUGUAGCGGCACUACUGUGGAAGGUCCUGCAUAGUGGUGGCGUUCUCGGUGCGGUGCAGUCUGCUUCUCGGUUCAACGUCGACGCUAGGUUACGCUGGGAGGUUUUGGCAACUUCUUGACCGUGUGUAUGGUGGUACGGGUUGCGGUAAGGCUUCAGUUCCGUUGCCGUCGGCCAAUAGUAUCCGUUAUUCCUAAUCAUCCACUUCAUUUUAUGAGCUGAUUAGUGAGCUCCGCACAUGCCUUCAUGGAUUUCUCCCAUUAGGAUCUUUGCUUCUUCCGUCCCCAAGCAUUUGAGCAGAACUCCGUCAAUCGUUCGGUAAAACAAAUCAUCUUCGAGUAGUACAUACUUUGUGGCUUGAAAACGCACUCGCCGAUCCACUUUCUUGGACGAAUCCUUUAAGUAAUCAGCGAUCUGCUUUCGCAAUCGUCGGCCGCGAGUUCCAGAAUCAUGGCGCCUUAAAUCAGCCGAUACCCGGACGCGUGUUGGGCAAGCCUAUUGGCCUCUUCAUUAUAAUUUCUAGGAAUAUGCUCAAUAACUGCGGUCUUGAAUUCUUUUAAAAGUUGGAGGCAAUCUUCGUAGUAAAUCCUCAAGACAUCAUCUUUACAUUCAUAUCUUCCCAUUAGCUGGUCUACGAUCAGCAUGGAAUCCCUAAAAAUCUUCACAGCGUCGACUUUGAUCUCUCUCAAUAAUUGAACGCCUUUUAGGACAGCUCGGUACUCCGCCUGAUUAUUGGUCACGGAAGCUUCUAUCGGCAGAGAGAAAUCAUAACUUGCCCCCGAGGCGAUAUGAGAACGAUGCCAAUUCCUGAUCCGGCCCACAUGAUGAACCAUCAAAGUAUAGAGUCCAUGGAACCGGCUAAACGACAGCGAUUUUCGGUCCGCAGUGCUGGGCCACGAAAUCAACCAUGACUUGACCCUUGACAGCUUUGGCCUAUUUGUACCUUAGGUCAAACUCUGACAGAGCCAGGAUCCACUUUCCAAUUCGUCCUUUCAAAAUCGGCAAUGAUAGCAUGUACUUUACCAUGUCAUCCUUGCAUACAACUAUGCACUCUGCCGACAACAGGUAGUGCCUGAGCUUGGUGCAUGAGAAAUAAAGAUAUAGGCAUAGCCGUUCUAUCGGAGGAUAUCUUGUCUCGGCGUCCACAAGUCUUCUGCUAACAUAAAAUAUUACCCGCUUCUUUCCUUCGAACUCCUAUACCAGCGCCGAUCCGAUAGCCCGUUCAUCGGCCAAUAAGUAUAGUCUGAACGGCUUCUCAGCUUGUGGUGGGACCAAUACAGGUGGCAAGAUUAGAUAUUGCUUGAUGUCUUCCAGUGCUUUUCGCUGUUCCUCUCCCCACACAAAUUCCUGGUCAGACUUUAACUUCAAUAAUGGCGUGAAGGCUUGAAUACGCCCGGACAAGUUGGAUAUGAAUCUUCUGAUAAAGUUAACUUUGCCGAUUAGGGAUUGCAACUCAGUUUUGUUCUGUGGGGCCACAACCUUAUUGAUGGCCGCUAAGAUUUUUUGGUUGACUUCUAUCCCGCACUCGUGAACCAUGAAUCCUAGAAAUUGCCCGGUCGAUACGACGAAUGCACACUUGUUCGGGUAUAUUUUCAACCCAUGCUUCCUUGUGCACUCCAAUACUUCUCGCAGAUCGGCCAGAUGCUCUUGAUGCCCUUUUGAUUUGACUACGACAUCAUCGAUGUAGAUUUCCACCAGGACGCCAAUGAGCUUGUGGAAGAUGUAAUUCAUAGCCCGUUGAUAUGUAGCGCCGGCGUUCUUUAAUCCAAAGGUCAUUACUACCCACUCGAAUAAACCGAGGUGGCCCGGGCACCUGAAAGCCGUUUUUUCAAUAUCUUCUUCGGCCAUUAGUAUUUGGUUGUACCCAGCAUUAUCAUCCAUAAAAAUGAUGACUUUAUGUCCCGCGGCGGCAUCUAUCAAAACAUCAGCUGUCGGCAUUGGAUACCCAUCCAUCGGCGUAGCCUGAUUAAGGUUCCUGAAGUCAAUGCAUACACGCAGCUUUCCAUUUUUCUUGUAUACGGGUACGAUAUUAGAGAUCCACUCGGCGUAACGGCACUGCUGAAUAAAUUUUUCUUCAAUUAGUCUUGUAAUUUCGGCCUUUAUAUCAGGUAGAAUUUUAGGAUUACAUCAUCGUGCGGGCUAGUGAUAUGGCCGAUAUCCUGGCUUUAUAGGCAACCGGUGUUCAACAAUGGACUAGUCUAGACCAGGCAUCUCAUGGUAUUCCCAAGCAAAACAGUCUUUGAAUUCUUUUAAUAAAUUUGUCAAUUUACACUUAUAUUCGGGAUCCAAGUUAGCACUAAUGUACGUCAGCCUUGGUUUGGUGCCAUCACCUAAAUCUAUCAUCUCUAAUGAAUCGGCCGACGUAAACCCGUGACCUAGCUUCCCAUCUUCUUGGACGAACUGAUCCAUCUAAUCUGAAUCUUCAGAGCCGACUACUCGGAUCGGCUGUAGGCCAAAAUCGGACAUUUUCAGGAAAUUGGUGUCCCAAGUUCUUCCGGAUAUGCACUUGACGUGUUCGCAGCUCCACUGCUGCGUAUCGGCCACAGCAACACUAUAGGCGGAAUCGGCGGUGACUAUCUCGAUGUUGUCGCCGACCCAUUGUACGAGCAUUGGUGCAUUGUAGAUGGGACACCGCAAUUCGCGUGUAUCCAAUCGUGUCCGAGCAACAUAUUGUAGGAUCCUUUGCCAUUAAUAAUAAAGAAAGUAGUGGGAAGGGUCUUACUGCCGAUGGUAAGGUCGAUGCAGAGUGCCCCGCGCGCGGGAGACACGUUGCCCUCGAUGUCCUUGAGCAUCAUAUCUGUCUUGGUCAGAUCUUCAUUGCUUUGGCCCAGUUUCUGAAACAUGGCAUACGGCAUGAUGUUGACUGUAGCGCCUCCAUCUACUAGUAACCUGGUGACAGGUCGACCGUUGACGUGUCCUUUGAGGAACAGUGCCUUGAGGUGUUGCCUUUUUUCAUCUUCGGGUUUCUCAAAAGUGGCUGCCAUUUGCUCCAGAUCCAAUUGUGCCAUCUGUUCCUCCAUCUUCGUCGUGUUGUCCCGAUCGGCGGGAGCCAUGAACUCCAUCGGCAAGAUGAACACCAUGCUGAUGUCAGCUGCCAAUUCCUGAUUGCCGCCUUCUUCCUUGUCGUUUCUUUUGGGGCGCCAAACCCGAGAUCUGUCAUCCUUCUUAUCCACCAUCUGUCGCUGCUCUUCUUCCUAUUGUUCCCAUUGGCGCAGACGUUGGAUCCUUCGUUUUUGGGAUUUGGUCAAUCCAUCAGGACACCAUCUGGGGUUCACCGGUUUGGCCGGUGGUCUGGCGCGUUCCCAGUCCAGUUCUCGUCCUAGGGGGUUUUCAUCUGACACCUUGGCGUCGGCCAUCUCCUCUAGCCGAUCGUGCGCGCUGACUCUGCCCCCCGGUCGCUUGUGCUGGUCAAACCUGCCCUCCGGCUGAUCAUACUGUUCAAAUCUACCUCUUGGCCGAUCAUACAGGUCAACUCUGCCCCCAGCCGAUCACACACUGAAAGGCACCGAUCCUCUUACUCGCGCUAGUUUCUGCUGAUUGGCUCUGACACUCUGUCCCUGGAGCGAGACCUCUUGAAUGGGCGAUUGUCAUGGUAUGGACUGCUGCAUUCCGAGCAAUUGUCGGCUGAUGGCAGCUUGAGGUUAUUUUCCCAGCAGUGGAUGAAGAACGGACACCGCCAAUGAUCUUCGUGUCGUCACAUUAUUUUUUCACGAUAUCUCAAACUUUCCUGCUACCGCUGAUAGUUGUUGAGCAGGGAUUGGGAGGUAAUAGGUCUACGCGGUCUUUCCGAUCCUUCACCCUCAUCGUCAACCCGUCUCUUCCCCUUGACGUCUUCGAUCGUAGCUUGAUUUUUGGGGUCCACAGGGCCGCUCCUUUUAGCCGAUUCCGACAUCAACACCUUGGUUUGAAGCGCGUUUCUUCCCGUAUUGACCAUGUUGGUGGGGAAAAGAUGCUGAUCAAUCUUUAUUGACUUUGCUAGCUUUGUUGGGACCUCGAACUUGAGCCUGCCUUGCUCGAUGGCCGAUUGUAUCUGCUGACGGAAGAUUUUGCACUCGUUUGUGUCGUGGGACGUUGUGUUGUGCCAUUUGCAAUACUUCAUCUUUUUUAGCUGCUCGGCCAAUGGGAUCGUAUGGUAAGAUGAGUGUUUGAUCUGCCCCUCUUGGAGAAGUAGGUCAAAGAUUUUGUCAGCCUUGGACGUGUCAAAACCGAAUGCCUCCGGUUCCCUUUUUUCGAAAGGACACGAUAUCGGCUUCUUUCCCUUAACCCACUCUGCUAGGCCGAUUUCCGCUUCCUCCUCAGAUCUGAGAGCUUCAUCUCAUGGAAUCCCGCAUAGAAGUAUUUGUGGAACUAUUUUUGCAGAUCAGCCCAGGUGACAACGGAAUUGGGCGGUAGCGUAGUGAACCACUGAAAAGCCGACCUGGACAGGGACGAUGAGAACAGACGCACCCGCAGAGCAUCAUGUGUAGCUGCCUUCCCGCAUUGGAUAAUGAAUCUGUUUACGUGUUCCACAAUUGAGGUGUCAUCCAGCCCCGAAAACUUAGUGAAGUCAGGAACUUUGUACCGAUGGGGAAACGGUAGUAGAUCAUAGGCAGGCGGGUAUGGCAUUUUGUACAUGUAAGUUUGUACCUUUGGCUUCAACCCAAAUUGAUCUUGAAUCACCUCCGCUAUCCUUGUCGUCCAGUCUACUUGCUGCUGAUGAAUUACUUGCUGGGGGAUUGGCACAUGUUGGUGGAUUGGCAGUGAGAUGACCGGGUGAUGAAUCAAAGUGUGCGGCGGAUUCUGUGGCAACGUGGCCGGCUGAAUGGUUGACAUUUGAUGGCACAGUGAACUGGCCGUCUCAUCGUACAGUAUCAUCGGCGCGGCACCUUGGAGUGACUCAGCAGCUUCUGCCCCUCUGCCAAUUUCUAACGUGGCUGGUUGAUACUAUGGAACCGUCGGCCGGGUGGCCGACUGGAAUGGUGCCUAGAUCGGAGAGCUUCCAUAGCCGGCCGAUUGAUCUAGAACGGCUGCUGUUGACGGUGCCCCCCAAGGCACUGAGUUUGAUGGUAAUGAUUGCAUGGAGGAAACUUGAGCAGGCUGCGGUGGUGCUUGUGAUUGAAAGCAUGACGCACUGUUAUAUCCUGGAUUCAUUGAAGGUAGUGAAGUGUUGUGUCCUCCAUGAUGUGUCGGCAUCGGCUGAGGAGCCGAUUGAAAUGUGCCCGAUAAACUCCUGACUGGGGCUGCGAUGGGUGGGGCGUACGCCGGCCCCUGAUAUCCCUGAGAUAUGCCGUUGGCCAGGGAGCUGAUGACGGCAUUGUACAUCGUGUUGGUCAUCAUCGGGGAUUGAUCGAUGAAGACCUGGUAGACAGACUGUUGGAUCAUGUUGGACAUCUUGGCCAAAUCCUCAGCGAUGGUGAUCUGGCGGGGAGUUGGAAAAGGAGAUUUCUUGACAAUCUCCCCACUCUUGGUACGACUGAAAGAUUGCAAGCAUGUUUUCCUGUAUUGUUCCAUUUGCUUUGCCAACUCUUCUUUCUGGUCAUCCUUGAGAUCUGAUUCCGUCACUUUGAUGAUGUUGUCUUCGGAGAUUUUGGCAGCUUUCGACAUGUUGGAGGUUGAAGUGGUCCCACCGGGCGUGCUAAAAGUGUGUUGGCGCUAAAAGUCAGCCGAUUGACCCUCAGCAUCGGACACACGACCCGAGAGAAUCUGCUUAGCUCCUGUUCGGGUGAUUGCCCUGGUACAGUUCGUGCGGCGUGCCAGCCAAUCUGACCUGUUGAUUGGCAAGGAAGAAAACGUGUCAAAUUCCAGGGGUUCCGAUCGGGUAAGGUUCCGAUCUCAAAAAGCGUAUCAGCGAAUCGGCCGAUUUGCUAUAUAAAGAUAAUCGGCUAUGAUACAGCCGACAAUCACGUAGCGAUUGCGAAGGAAACUACUAGAGUAAACUAGACAAGGCUAUGAAAGCAACACUUGAAACAGAUCUAAUCGGCUAUAUGAUAAUGAUGAAUGAAAAUAACAAAAACAAAGCCGACAGUUCGAACCUCAAGCUAGAUAACUGGUGAUAAAACUAGAACAACAAAUAAAAUCUAUAAUUCUAGUAAAUAUCGAUAACUGGUGAAUAAAUCUAAAUGAAACAACAGUGAUACGCCCGAAGUUAAAGCUUAGAUAUUACUCGAUAAACGGAACUUACAGAAUUAGCCGAAGAUCGUGUCGAUGCAGUCCUGCCAACCCGUACGAACUCGUGAAAGAAGAAAAGUAUUGGCGAAGUCUCCGACUUGAAAGUAAAGUGCGAUGAAAAAGUAGAUUUGUUUGUAUUGAUUGAUGUGUUGUUAACAAAUCCCUAAAGAUGGCUAUUUAUAGCCUGUUACAACCAAUUUCCUAACCGACUAGGAUCUAUCUCUAAUUUUAAAUGAAAACGAAUAUUUACAAUCACAACUCGUAUCGGAGUUGGUUAUUGUACUCUCACGGGCCAAUCUUUCUCUCUCUUCUUUCUCUAAUCCACUUUAAGCCUAUAUUGGCCCAAUCGCUCUAGCCUUCCAACUGGCCGAUCUCCAUCAACUCUGUCCACCAAAACACUGUAGCGCCAAUCGGCCGAUUCCUAGUCGUGACCUUUCAAUCUGCCGCAUCGGCCAAUCGUUUCUUCCCUUGGCGCCGAUUCCAUACGUGCCAAAAUCUGGCAUCAAUAAUAGGUAUCAGAGACCUUGCACGAAUUUAGAAAAUAUUGGGUUAUGCUCCGGGGAUUGCCUUCCUAAUCUAAGUUAGUGGGGAGCUCAUUGGAUGCUUCGUUGAUCUCCUGCUCGGCCUCAACAUGAUGCAGCUUGGUAGUUACUUCCUCGGCAGUAGGCGUCAACUCAUAGGUUUCGUUUGCGAAGUGUAAAUUUGCAUUUUGACUACAUUCACCUAAACAAGGUUCUAAACUUUCAUUAUCUUCAUGAAGUAAGGUGUGCUGUGAUAUAAAACUCGAGGUUGAUUUUGACGGUGAUUAUGUACACAUAUAAGGUUUUACAAUUUGGACUUCACAAAGAAAGGUGGGGUCACUCUAGAGUUGCUCAGGGUUCAUUUGGAAAAUUAUCCUGUUUCUGAAUAUUUUUCUGUACCUCUUCGAAUAUCUCCCACAUUACCCUCACUAUUACCUAAUGGUUUUUAUUCAUUUCCUUUUUGGGUUUAAAUUCCAUCAAUGUUUCUGGUAGCAUCUUAUAAGAUAUUGUUCUGAAAAUUUUACAGAGGCUUUCUAAUCACAUUAGUGAGCCAGUGUAAAAGUUUGGGAUGCAUUGGACUUCUACCAAAUGAAUUAAAAUUAAAACAGUACCCUAUGGUAGAUUAUAGGGAUCUAUUUUUACUCAAGCUCCAGUGUGAUAGAGGCUUCUGUGAUUUUGCCAAGAUUUAUGGUGAAGGACAUCUAUUAUCCAUAUUUUUCCUUCAUUUGAACUUGUACAAAAAGUUAAGCCUGUUUCAUCCAGUUUCAUACAGUAACCAUUAUUUUCUCUAGCAAGUAUGUUUCAUUUGUGAUCCAACAAAUGUGGUUUCACAUUUUUCUCUGCCUUAAACCAUUUAUUAUGCAAAAAGUAAAAUUUCCCCUCAGAUUUCAAGGUUUAAACCAAAACAGUGUGUUAAACAACUAAACCUGCAUCACCACUAUUUUAUUCAGCACAAGCUCAGCACAACAAAGUUAAUAGAGGUGGAUUCAUCAUUUUAGCAUUUUUGUGUGAUUUACCAUGAAUUUAAGAGUUACAUGGCCAACAUUAUUUUUUCUAUAAAACUACUCAUCUCAAGGAUUCCAGCAAAGUUGGUUUUGCAUUUUUAUCAAUUUUCUACAUUUACCUAUGAAUUUCCAAAGUUUAGGCUAUUUAAACGAAUUUAAAAAAUUAGAAAUGCAAAAACUCUUUUACGCGGGGCCCCUGGACAUUAUGAACUUCUACGGAACGGUCCCUACACUUUACACUAUGGCCCCUGGAAAGACUCCAAUCGUAGCAAUGGGGUCCUCCCCUUGGUCGACAGUGGUUCCGGCCGGAUUCCGGCUAGGUCCGAUGGGGAUUUGAGCGAGAAAGGGCAGGGGCACGAUGGGGAGCUCACCUAGGGGCUAUGGGGUGAAGGCAGUGACGGUGGAGCACGACUGGUGGCGAAGCUCUACGAUGGGGAACGAACGGCGGUGGCAGCACGUCUGCUCCGGCAAGGUCAUCGGUAGAAAGGGCUUGGGGGUGGCUCGGGCUCCGUCAGUGGGGUGUGUCAGGUGCUGCGGGUGGGUCAGAGGGUGGUGGCAUGGCACGGGAGAGGGCUCUCCACGGCGGCAUGUCACGGCGGCGGAACGAAGCAGAGCUGCGAUGAGGGAGAAGGCGCGGGGAAGCUCCGGUGACGCCUUUGGGGUGCCUUUUAUAGGCUCGAGGAUGUGAGGGGGAGGGUGAGGCGAGGCUCUGGGCGAGACGAUAAGGCCGGGCGAGGAGGGUUAGGCAGAUGACGCCGUGCAGAGCUCGUGGGCGAUCUUCAGCGGGUUGGCCAGGAGGAUUGCAAGCUGAGAGAUUCGCCUUGCUGUGGGUUGGCUGAGCUGGGGAGCUCGAUUUGUCCCAUCGGCGUGGCGAGAGGCGGAGUGCGGGAGCCGGUGAGCAAGGGCAGCAUGGGGUGUGCGUGCGGCAAGGAGCGUCGCGCGUAUUAGGCGGCCAAGAUGCGGAGCGGAGGGCGGAUACAAGCACGCACGGUCACUAGGUAGCUGCGGUGCUCGACUGGUCACGUCACGGCGGGGGUUGGGCCUGGAGCUGCAAGGGGCAGCGGCACCACGCGGCGAAUGGCGGAGAGGGCAACGCAGUGAUCGCAUACUGGGCGCUGAGGUGGGAUGCGAUGGCAUGCGAAGGGGCUAGGUUUAGGCGCGUUUUGUUCAAAAUUUUCCAAAUAGCUUGGAAAUAUUCAAAUCUAAAAGUUGUAGUCCUUGGUUCACACUUCAACUUAUAGAAAGACCUUAGGUUCAACACUCUUUUAAAUUUGUACGCCCUUUAUUCCAAAUCGUUGUACGCUCUUAGUCAGUGAAACUCAGGGGUAUACAUAAUCACCAAUUUCAAAUUGUAUUGGCCUCCUCCUUUUAUCGGAAUAACUCUUCAGUCUAGACUGAACGGCUUUAAGGUUUUCUCUGAUUACUCUCACCUUCUCUUCCACAUCAGUCACCAAGUUAGGUCCAUAGACCAUUCUUUCUCCUGCUUGGGACCAACUUAGUGGAGUUUGACACCUUCGACCAUACAAGGCUUGAAACGGUGCCAUUUUCAAACUUGCUUGGUAGCUAUUGUUAUAAGAAAAUUCUGCUAAUGGCAAGCAUUUGUCCCAAUUCUUGUCAUAAUGGAUGACACAAUCACGUAAUAUAGUGAUUUACCCUCUCUAUUUGCCCAUCUGUCUGAGGGUGGUAUGUUGAACUACGGAUUAGCUUGGUGCCAAGUGCAGCGUGCAGCUGCUCCCAAAAACGUGCUACAAACUGGGCGCCUCGAUCGGAGAUGAUUGUCUUGGGCACUCCAUGUAAGGAAACGAUACGGUCUUGGUAUAGCUCCGCAUAUCUCUGAGUGGAGUAGGUUGUUCAUACUGGGAGAAAGUGGGCCAUCUUAGUGAGUCUAUCCACUAUGACCCAUAUGGAAUCAUGCCUCUAGGAAGGGUUGGGUAACCCAACGAUGAAGUCCAUGCUGAUAUCUUCCCAUUUCCAUGAGGGUAUGGUAGUGGUUGAAGUGUACUUGCUACCUUCAAGAGGCUUCCUUUCACUCUCUGACAUGUAUCACAUUCCGACACAUACUUAGCAAUCUCUGGCUUCAUUCCAGACCACCAGAAAUUUUGUUAGAGGUCGUGGUACAUUUUGGUGUUGCCAGAGUGAAUAGAGAAUUUAGAAAGGUGUGCUUCAUCCAAAACUUGCUUUCGGAGAUUGGGAUUUGCUGGAACCACUAAUCGGUCUUCAUACCACAUGACUCCUUUCUAAUCCUGUCGGAAAUGCUUGUAUCCCUCAUCUUUCUGUGCCAACUUCUUCUUGAUGAGCUUUAUCUCCUUGUCCUCCAACUAUGCCAAGAUGAUUUGGUCAUCCAAGGUGGGUUCGAUAGCUAUGUGGCUCAAUGUGCCAUGACGAAUAAUCUCCAAAUUCAACUUCCUCAUCUCGGAACACAAGGUCUCGGUGAAUUUGUCUGCAGAGAGAUAGUUGCAAUGAGCCUUGCGGUUAAGAGCAUUGGGAACUACAUUAGCCUUUCCUAGAUGAUAAUGCACCUAUAAAUCAUAAUCGUUAAUCAACUCCAACCAUCUUCUUUGGCGCAUGUUCAAAUCAGUUUGGGUGAAGAUGUACUUCAGGCUCUUAUGGUCAGUAUAGAUGUUACAAUGAGUUCGCAUAAGAUAAUGUCUCCACAUCUUCAGAGCAUGUAUUACCGCUGCUAGCUCUAGGUUGUGAGUCGGGUAAUUCUGCUCGUGUGGCCAUAACGCACGUGAAGCAUAGGCAAUGACCUGAUUGUCUUGCAUAAGAACACAUCUGAGUCCAGUGCCAGAAGCAUCACAAUAGAUGUCAAACGGCUUGGUAGUGUCGGACUGUGCUAAAACUGGUGUAGAGGUUAGUAGUCUUCUCAACAUGUGGAAGGCUUCUUCACAUUUUUCACUCCACACAAAUUUGACUCCUUUCUUCAGUAGUUCAGUCAUUGGCUUAGCUAUCUUUGAGAAGUCAGGAAUGAAUCAUCAAUAGUAGCCUGCUAGACCAAGGAAGCUUCGAAUUUGAUGAACCGAAGUGGGUGGCUACGAAUCCAUCCCUUCCUGUACUUUGCUUGGGUCAACUGCUAUGCCUGCACUGGAUAUAGUAUGUCCUAAGAAUUUUACACUAUCCAGCUAGAAUUCGCACUUGGAGAAUUUGGCAUACAGCUGGUGAUCCCUUAGUCAUUGAAGAACAAUGUAGAGGUGUUCAGCAUGUUCCUCCUCAUUCUUGGAGUACACGAGAAUGUCGUCAAUGAAAACCACGACAAACUUGUCAAGCUCGGGUAUGAAAACCGAAUUCAUGAGAUACAUGAAAUAGGCUAGAGCAUUUGUAAGCCCGAAGGACAUAAACAAGUACUCAUACAAUCCAUACCGUGUAGAGAAAGCGGUCUUAGGAAUGUCUCAUGGCCGGAUCUUGAUCCGAUGAUAACCAGAGCAAAGAUCAAUCUUGGAAAACACUCUAGCUCCAGCUAGCUAGUCAAAGAGAACAUCAAUGCGGGGUAAAGGGUACUUGUUUUUGAUAGUUACCGCAUUGAGGGGUCGGUAGUCCACGCACAUUCGCAGACUAUCAUCCUUCUUCUUCAUAAAUAGAGCUGGGCAGCCCGAAGGUGACAUGCUUGGGUGAAUGAAACCUUUCUCUAACAGUUCAUGCAACUGAGUCUUUAAUUCUGCCAGCUCUGCAGGUGGCAUCUGGUAUGGCCUCUUGGAUAUCGGUGCUAUGCCUGGCUGCAGCUUUAUGGCAAACUCAAUAUCUCUAUCUGGGGGCAUGCCUGGCAAGUCAUUCAGAAACACAUUAGGAUACUCGCACACCACGGGAAUAUCCAGGACUCAAUGGCUGGGAAGGCACAAGAAUUUAUGCACUCUCGGGCUAGCAAGUGCGGUGUUGAAGGUCCGAGGGUAGGUGAGCUUAUUUGGAUGACCUGUGCUGCAAUAUCUAAUGUGACUUUGUGCUGAGUCAUCCAAUUCAUUCCCAAAAUUAUAUCUAUGCCCUCCAAACCAAGAUAAUAAGGGUGGUUUCGAAAACUUUUCUACCUAACAUGAUGGGUACUCCACGUGUUAUUUGGUGGGAAGCAAUUUUACCACCAGGUGUUGAGAUCAUGUAAGCCCCUUUGGCGUGACAGAAACCCAAAUCACAUUUAGCACUAAAUCUUAUCCCAAUAAAGCUAUGUGAUGCACCAGAAUCAAAUAAUAUAUGGGCAGAUUGGUUAUGGAAAGAAAAAGUUCCCAUCAUGACUAGUGCACCCUUUGGAAGGUCUGCAGAGUGGUGAAAUUGAGUAUUCCCUGCCUGACCUGAACCUUUGGCCUCUUGCCUUUAUUUUGGUUCGAGCUCGGUCCCUGACUCUGGGCCUUGUUAUGCGGACAAUCUUUGGCGAAGUGGUUCGGGCUCCCAUAAGUGAAACUGCGAUUUCCACUACUAGGACGGAGUGGCGGCGGAGCAUUUGGCCUUAGGCCUUGUAGCUGAAAACCGGGGAAACGAGGAGCUCCUUGCUGCGGUGGUGGCCGGAUCACCCAUCGGCCCUGCUGAGGAGUCCUCUGUAGAGCCUUCGGGGGAAUCAGCCGCGACUUUGGCACCGCGGCACUGGGGGAAGGCAUCGGUGCUUUUCUCUUCUUCUUGGCCUUGAGGGCUAUGAUGCAAUCCUCCUGAGAAAUAGCUAGACUAACCAGCUCGUGGAAAGUGUCCACCUUCACCAGGUUCAGCCUUUCUUUAAGCUUGAUACUGAGGCUCUUGUGGAAUCUAUCCCGCUUCUUCUCAUCAGUAUCUGCGUGAUAACCCACAUAUUGGCACAAGCCAUUGAACGCUUGUGCGUACUGGAGCACAUUGCGGUUGCCCUUGGUGAGCGCGAGGAAUUCAUUCAGCUUCCUUUUAAGAAGACCUUCAGGAAUAUGAUGCCUCUCGAAGGCGAUCUUAAAUUCUGCCGACGUAACCACGUGGUCGGCGGGAAGCAUGGCGUGGUAGUGAUCCCACCAUAGCCAUGCUAAUCCUCUCAGCUGCUAGGCUGCAAACUUUUCCUUGUUCUCAUUGGGGCAAGGCGAGGUAAGGAGUGUGAGUUUGGACUCAAUUGUGCGAAUUCAAGAGUCAGCAUCGAGAGACUCCUCCGUCUUGUGAAACAAAGGGGGGUGAGUGCCGAGGAAAUCUUCAAAGCUUGCCACUUGGGGCUGGUGGACAUUUCUCCCACCGUGUGGUGGCUGCUGCUGCUGGCCCUGAACAAUGUGGCGCAGCAACUCCGUUUGGGCAGCGAGGAUAGCCUCCAUGGUAGGCGGGGAGGUGGUGGUGGUGUCUGCCUCUGCUCACUACCGCUUGGUGCAAAUCCAGAGGAAUUCUGGCGUGUUCCGUGCACUAUCUCCAGAAGUGAACUUCUCCCAUUAGUCACAUCAUUUUGAAUAUUGCCUAUAAGAAGAUGAACAAGGUAAAUCAUGUGCGGAAUGUUAAAGUUCAUUAGGCAGUCAAAUCAUUGCAGGCGGAAGGCUGUUGCUUGGGAGAAAAUUCAUAUCUCCCUACUCAAAUAUCCAUAAGUUCUCAUCUUUGGUCAGUGAGUAGGAAACUUUGUGCACUACAACUUUGGCAAUUUACUCAGAGGCCAAAACAAGGGUUAACAAGGUCGAAAACUUCAUGUAGGUAUCUCUGUUCUGGCUGUUUUUCAGCAGCCUGGGCGGUGAAAUUUUACUCAUAACUUGAUUUGGAAAAGUCCAGAGAUGCUGAAAUUUCUGUGAGAAAUUGGUUUAUGUAAUUCCUCAGAACUUUGGUAUCCACCAUUUUUGCUGAAACAAACUCUAGGAAGGUGAUAAACUCAGAUUCUCAGAGUGAUUCAUUCUGGAAUUUCAGAGAGAGUACAAGAAUGAACAGAUCACAUCUCUCAAACUAUUAAUCCAAUUCAGCUGAAAUUUUACCAAAAUGUUCUCUGCUCAGUUAUUAACAACUUUGGUUUAAAGGUGCCUAACAUAAAACAUAGUUAAAGGUGUCAAAAAAAAUUAAAAUCCCAAUUGGUGUGCAACUGUGUUUCUAGCAAACAGGGGGCUACUAAACCAAACAUAUCUCACAACCUACUUGGUCAAAUUUUACGAAAUUUUACCAGCAUUUUGUUUACAAAUUUGUACACAACUUUCCUAUAGAGUGUUUCUAUAGCAAACCUCAGGGAACAACUCAAAAGAUUUUAUCAAGUUUGAACAACGGAGUAAGGCAGCUAGAAAAUCCUUAUCGCGCACAAGAUUUUUAGACAAGGCACACAUGCUAGUUCAAUUUGUCAUCUUUUAAGUGGCGAAUUUUAAUUCAUGAUGGAUGCACAUCCUAUUCGUCCUCUCAACAAAACUAAUUGCCAAAAAGCUUUGGACUUAUGUGGUUAGUGCCGGUGGCAAGGCAACAUUUACGGCUCUCUCUAUAAUUAGUCAAUCUUUCUAUUCGUCGUUAACCUAUGUAAUCGCGAGAGCGUACCUGCAAAAAUUUUUCCAACCUGAACCUUUCGUGCCAGCACUCAUGAAAGCGUCCACAAUCAUUACUGUGCACUAUAGGAACAACACCCGUACGAUUAUCACUGCACGGGCAACGUUCAUACGCUUGAAAGCGUAUUCACAUUUAUCCAACCAUUAUGUGCCACCCUCAUAUUUGCAUAUGAGGCCGGGGGCAUGUCAUGGUAUCGCCAUACCCCUGUGUCCAACCAUUAUGUGCCGACAUGGUAUUUUCAUAUGAUGCCGGGGGUGUGCUAAGGAAUCGCCACACCCCUGCGUCCAACCAUUAUGUUCCGUAUGAUGCUGGGGGUAUGUUAAGGAAUCAACAUACCCUUGCGUAAGUGCUGGGAGUCAGUAUGAAUAACCAAUAGUUACUUAGCCACCUAAAAACAACCCAAAAAUUUUUCCUAAGGUUUCUCGUUCUAAGUUCAUCCUUAACGAACUUACGAAUAUUUUUAAACUAAUUUCUUACAAGUUUUAUUUAGGAAAAGGUGUUUAGGGUCUGUUGUUUUCUCUGGUAAGCUUUUCCAGGUCUGAGCUAUGGCAUCAAAUACUAGCUCUGAUACCAGCUGUGGCAGAACCACCUAAAUUAACCUGGCUAAAGUGUUCCCAUCUUUGCCUCAAUGCGAACCGACACUUUAAUCAAUCCAAUUUGGUAGUCUGUCGGGUUAUACCCGAUAAACUAGUUGUCUCGGAUCGAAACGAAAAACAUCUCACAUGAAGGUGAGUCCAGAGAUUACAACAUUCCAGUAGUUUAACACAUAGGUCCCAUUUUAUUUAUUAUAUCACAGCAGUUCAAAAGUGCAUAAAGUAAAAUGUUUUAGAGUUUAAGUAGUGGAAAAAGGAUGGCAACUAAACGUCGAAGUCAAAACAUCAUGGUGAAGCCAACCAUGAUGUCAGUUACCUCAAUCCUCGCUGACCGAGGAUGGGCCCACUUGACCGUCCAACCUAGAGGGAACUAGGUCGGCCAGGUCACACUUUCAGCAUAGGCACUAACAUCCAAGUUACCUUAAAGUAAAGCCACAAGCAAGGCUGAGUAUACUAAUACUCAACAAGACUUACCCAUCGGGUGGCAACUACUCCACCGACUUCUAGACAUGCAAGGCUUUUUGGCGGAAGGGUUUGUUUUGCCAAAAGCAUCUAUAGUAAGUCCUUACUUUCAAGUUUUGGCAUCCGGUUCUAGUUGAUUAACCAUUCUAGGUGAGCAUGUAUUCUACAAGAAUGUUGAGCAAACAUUUUAUUUGAAGCAAACAUCAUUAAGAUAAUCAUUCUUUGUUCCACUUGUUGCUCAGUGCAGCAUAAUAGUCAAGCAGUCUCAAACUGUGAGAGGCAGAUGAUUCGAAUCGAGUUUCUUAACCUUGCAAGGUGAACCUAAUCACAUGACAUUGCGUACCACGAUGGGUCCGCACAUGUUAGCCGUCCCCAUCAAUUCCUAGGCACGUGGCCAGGGCCCACUUCCCUUGGAUAUAAGGCCCCACGGUCCCGGAACGUCACCGUACCGUGACUGCACUUGUACCCACAUCAUGCAUUCAGGGAACUCCGUUAUAGAGAGAGCGGGGAGUAUGCCCACGUCCUGGUUCAAUCAGGUACUAGGCUUUCCUAUCCCAUACUAGGUAUGAGAUUAGUACUUUCAAACACAUGACUGCGAAUGCUGACACAUUUCCGCCUUAGCAUUUUCAUCACUAGACAGACGGGACAAAACCACCAAGUCAGAACCAAUCCCGGUCCCAUUCGUCAUCCUUAUGGUUAUAGCUUGAGCAACCAAUCAGCUCCUAUAAACUCGCGAGUGACAAGAAAUCACUCGACUUUUACUGAGUCCUAUUUAGCAUUGCAGCUACUCAGCCUACCAUACUAGUGUUCAACCAAAGGUACCUAAGAUCAUGCAACUAGGUUUUCAAUCAACUCCUGUGAACGUAAAUGCACAAGCAUAGGUAUCAUAGACAUUGCAUGAAUUUAUAAAAUGCUGGGUUAUGCUCCAGGGCUUGCCUUCCUAUUCUAAGUUAGUGGGGAGCUCGUUGGAUGCUUCGUUGAUCUCCUGCUCAGCCUCGCGUGAUGUAGCUUGGCAGGUACUUCCUUGGCAGCAGGCGUCAACUCGUAGAUUCCGUCUGCGAGGUUCACUUCUACAUGAGAUUCAAAUGCAAUAGUUCAAGUUUCGAUGCUUUCACAUGCAGGAUGCAAAACAUGAAUUAUUGCUAAAGUGUAAAUUUUCAUUUCAACCACAUUCAUCUAAACAAAGUCCUGAACUUUCAUUAUCUUCAUGAAGUAAGGUGUGCUGUGAUAUAAAACCCGGGGUUGAUUUUGAUGGUGAUUGUGUACACAUCUAAGGUUUUACUAUUUAGACUUCAUAAAGAAAGGUGGGGUCACACUAGGGUUGCUCAAGGUUCAUUUGGAAAGUUAUCCUGUUUCUGAAUGUUUUUCUGUACCUCUUCCAAUAUCUCCCACAUUACCCUCACUAUUGUCUAAUGGUUUUUAUUCAUUUCCUUUUUGGGUUUAACUUCCAUAAAUGUUUCUGGUAAAUUCUGAUAAGAUAUGGUUCUGGAAAUUUUACAAAGGCUUCCUAAUCACAUCAGUGAGCUACUGUAAAAUUUUGGGAUGCAUUGGACUUCUAUCAACUUAAUUAAAAUUAAAACAGUACCCUAUGGUAGAUUAUAGGGAUCUACUUUUACUCAAGCUCCAGCGGCAGUCUAGCUCUGAUACUUUUACAGGAGAUUACACUAGUGUGACAGAGGCUUCUAUGAUUUUGCCAAGAUUUAUGGUGAAGGACAUCUAUUAUCCAAAUUUUUCCUUCAUUUGAACUUGUACAAAAAGUUAAGCCUGUUUCAUCAAGUUUCAUACAGUGACCAUUAUUUUCCCUAGCAAGUAUGUUUCAUUUGUGAUCCAACAAAAGUGGUUUCACAUUUUUCUCUGCCUUAAACCAUUUAUUAUGCAAAAAUAAAAUUUCACCCUUGAUUUCAAGGUUUAAACUAAAUCAGUGUGUUAAUUAUCUAAACUUGCAUCACCACUAUUUUAUUCAGCACAAGCUCAGCACAACAAAGCUAACAGAGGUGGAUUCAUCUUUUUAGCAUUUUUGUGUGAUUUACCAUGCAUCUAAAAAAAAUCUAGAGAAAAAAGGUAAGAGUUACAUGGCCAAUAUUUUUUUUCUGUGAAACUACUCAUCUCAAGGAUUCCAGAAAAGUUGGUUUGAAUUUUUAUCAAUUUUCUACAUUUACUUAUGCAUUUCCAAAGUUCAGGCUAUUUAAACCAAGUUAAAAAAUCAAAAAUGCCAAAACACUUUUACGCGGGCCCCUGGACAUUUUGAACUUCGACGGAACAGUCCCUACACUUUACACUACGGCCCCUGGAAAGACUCCAAUCGAAGCAAUGGGGUCCUCCCCCAGCCAAUGGCGGUUCCGGUCGGAUUCCGGCAAGGUCCAGCGGGGAUUUGAGCAGGAAAGUGUAGGGGCACGAUGGGGAGCUCACCUAGUGGCUAUGGGGUGAGACGGUGAUGGUGGAGGGUGACCGACGGCGAAGCUCAACGGUGGGGAAUGGACGGCAGUGGCAGCACAUCUCCUCUGGCGAGGUCGUCGGCGGAAAGGGCUUGGGGCGGCACGGGCUCCAUCAGUGGGGUGUGUGGGUGCUGCGGGUGGCUCAACGGGUGGUGGCACGGCGCGGGGGGGGGGGGGGGCUCCCAACGGCGGUGGAGCAAAGUAGAGCCAUGGCAAGGGAGAAGGCACCGGAAAGCUCUAGUGAGGCCUUUGGGGUGCCUUUUAUAGGCUCGGGGUUGUGAGGGGGAGGGCGAGGCGAUAAGGCCGGGCGGUGAGUGGGGACCGCUGCGCAGCGCGGCAUUGGCCAACGGCGAGGGUUGGGCGAAUGACGCCAUGCGGAGCUCGUGGGCGAUCUUCAUAGGGUUGGCUAGGAGGGAUUGCGAACGGAGAGAUUUGCCUUGUCGCGGCCAUGGGUUGGCUGAGCUAGGGAGCUCGAUUUGUCCCAUCAGCGUGGCAAGAGGCAUGGCAUGUGCGUGCGGCGAGGAGCGUCGCACGUAUUCGGUGGCCAAGAUACGGAUCGGAGGGCAGAUACGAGCGCGCACCAUCACAGGGCAGCUGCGGCGCUCGACUGUUCACGUUGCGGCAGGGGUUGGGCACGGAGCUGCACGGGUGCGGCGGUGCCACGCGGCAAACGGCGGUGGGGGCAACGCGGUGAUCGCGUACCGGGCACUGAGGUGGGAUGCGGUGGUGUGCGAAGGGGCUAGGUUUAGGCGCGUUUUGUUUAAAAUUUUCCAAAUAACUUGAAAAUAUUCUAAUAAAAAAGUUUUAGUGCUAGGUUCACACUUCAUCUUAUAGAAAGAUCUUAGGUUCAACACUCUUUUAAAUUUGAAGUUAUGUUAGGCCAAACUUCUCAGGAACACACGUUUUAAGGACUUAGGAUAUUAACUAGUUUCUAUGGAUUCGGCUGAACUUUAAAUUGAAUUUACUCCAAAUUUUCAAAUUAAAGUUGGACAACUCCAAAUGUAAAAGUUGUCAUCCAUGCUUCAGACUCCAACUCUUAGAAAGGGUUCAGGUCCAAAAUAGUUUUAGAUUUCAAGAUAAACAUAGAUAAAAUAAGGCCAAAAGGCUGUAUUCCACGACUUGGAGAUUUUAGAUUUGAGUUUGAAUUUGAACUGAACUUGGGCUCGAUUUUUGAUAGGGUUCCAGUGCAAACUAGCAAAAGUUCAAAUAAGCAAAGUUGUUUGUUUGAAAAGUUUUGCCACUCAUAUAUUGGCAAAAAUUGAAGUUGUUAAAUAAAAUUUUAAAAUUACAAAUUGCCUCCAAAUUAAGCUUUUAAAGGGCAUUUUGGUCCUUUUUAAGUACUAGAUUACUUCCAAACACUCUUCUUAGGCUUUGACAAGGUUAAUUGAAACUAGAGUUGUUACAUUUGGCUUGUGAUUUGUGGCUCUAAUCCUAUUUUCUUCCUUAAUGAAGGGCAUAGCUCCUACCAAUUUGGUUCAAAAAAAUUUUGUACCCAAAUACAAAGCAUUUUAGCAUCUCUUGGACAAGUAUUCAAUGAAUUUCUUUAAUACCACUCUUGUUUUCCCCAGCCAACUGCAUCUUAUCUGUUAACACGAGUGCUUUGAUGUUCUUCUUGGCUUGUGAUGUGUUGGUACUGAAUGCAACAUGGUGGUCGACGGCAACAGUGAAUGUAAAGUGAGUGCUCAUACAAAGGGACCAUACACGGUGAAGGAUCAUCAAGGGUUUGGGACUAAGGGAACCGAGGAGUCCUAGCGAGGCCAUGGGUGGUCUAUACGCCGUACAUGUGAAGAGCAAGAGUACAUAGGGAUCAAUGGAGAUGACAUCGAUUGAGUCAAGGAAAGAGAUGAUGGCAAGAUCACGUAGAUAUCCCGUACACAGCAAGCGUGAAAGGCUCGAAGGCAUCAAGGCUUUGCAAGAGGUCAGACACAGGUCUACAUUGAGAAGUAUGCAUAAUGGCUUUGUGGAGAAGUAUGCAUAAUGGCUUUGUGGAAAUGGACGGUUUGAUGGUUUGGGCCUCAAAACCAUCGGUACGGUGGGUUUCUUGUUUUGGCACAACAAAACUGGGGGCACUUCUUGUGUGCUGGAUGGCGGAGUCGAAGAUCAAAUUUUGAGGCAUUGAUCCUAAAGCUGCAUUGAGCCGUUUUUGGGUAGCUCAACGGUUUUUUUAUAACCAGUUUGUCCGAAAGCUUGUACCAGGUCAGCCAGUCAGAAGAUGGUCACCCACUUUCAACUAAUGUAUGGCAAACAAAUGUUUGCGUGUCUGCCUGUGGCUGAUUAUUAGGCUAGUCUCACUGCACAGUUUCACUGCACUGUCACUUAGACUGGGGACUAGGUAACUGUGCAUGUUGAGUAUCAUGGGGAUGAAACUCCUCUCACAUAUGAUGAAACUCCCCCUUCUCUCUCCUCAUAAAUACAUUGCCAAGUUAGCAAAAUUGCUGAUGUGGCAUGAAAUUUAAUGCCCAUGAAACUCUCCAUAAAACUCCCACUAAUACUAGCCUUACAGAUCUAGUUCUGGUGAUGAUCGGAUGAGCCUACUGUGGAAGAGCUCAUUAGAGAUGUCCGAAUCUUAAGAUACAGAGGAAUCCUUAUAUAAUGCUGUUAUCUCACUCCAUAUCUAAAAAGUAGGCACGGAAUAGAUAGAUAAAAUAACUGUUGAGUUUUAUCAGAAGUUUUGGAAAAUUGUCAAAGGGGGCUUGAUGCAAAAGUUUCAUAACCUACAUGCUGGAACCCUCAUCCUUUUCCAUCUCAACUUUAGAGUUAUAACAUCAAACCCUAAGCCUAGGAGUCGGCCGAGCCACAAAAGCACACCGAGUCGCCUCCUACCCAGAGCUAGGAGGUCGGCCGAGUGGCGAGGCACGCUGAGUCUUAUGUAGCGCCCAGUCCUCGAGCCGUGGAGGUCGACUGAGCGACAGGAGCAUGCGGAGCGACCUCCCGCCCUCAGCCCCCAUGGCUAGGAGGUCGACCGAGUGGCAGGAGCAUGGCGAUUCGCUUCCUGCCCUCGGGCCCCAAACCUGGGAGGUCAACUAAGCGGUUGGUGGCACGCCGAGUAGUCUCUAAGCUUUAAAAGAACCAUACAAAGAAUAUGUAGCAUAAUUUAGAGUAUUUAAUAGUUAAAUAACUUAAAGUUUUCCACAACUAGAAUAAAUUCAGUUGUAGAUAACAUAAUUAGCCCAACCGGGACAACUUUUAUGCAAGGACAUAACAUUCUAGAUGGAGUGGUCAACUUGAACAAAACUUGUCAUGAGUUGCAUCGAAACAAGCAAAGUGGCAUCAUACUCAAAAUUAACUUGAAAAAGGCUUAUGAUCAGGCUUUAUUGCGGUUCUUAUUGCAAACAAUUGUCGAAGCCCGUAGAGUCAUCUGUGGCACCCAGCCCUCGAGCCUGCGAGGUCGGCCGAGCGACGGGAGCACCCCGAGCCACCUCCCGCCCUCAACCCCCAAGACUGGGAGGUCGGGCAAUUGGUGGGAGGCAUGCCGAGUCAUCAGUGGCACCCAGACCCCGAGCACGGGAGUCGGCGUAGCCACGGAAGCACGCCGAGUCGCCUACCACCCUGAGCCUAGGAGGUCGGCCGAGCGGCGAGGCACACUAAGUUGUCUAUGGCGCCCAGUUCCCAGGCCUUGGAGGUCGGCCAAGCGGCAGGAGCAUGGCGAGUCGCUUCCUGCCCUCAGCCCCCGAGCUUAGGAGGUCAACUAAGUGGCAGGUGGCACGCCGAGUAGUUUCUGAGCUUUAAAGGAACAAUACAAAGUAGGAUAAUGUAGAAUAUUUAAUUAUUGAAUGACUUGAUGUCUUCCAGAAUUAGAAUAAAUUCAGUUGUAGAUAAUAUAAUUGGCCCAUCCUAGAUAGCUUUUACAUGAGUUGCAUGGAAAGAAGUAAUGUGGCGUUAUACUCAAAACUGACUUCGAAAAGGCUUAUGAUAUGGUUUGAUUGCCGUUCUUAUUGCAAACCAUUGUUGAAGCCCAUAGAGUUGUCUAUGGCGCCCAGCCCUCGAGCCUACGAGGUCGAUAAAGGGAUGGGAGCACGCUAAGCCGCCUCCCGUCCUCAGCCCUCGAGCCUUGGAGGUCGGUCGAGUGGCGGGAGGCAUGCCGAGUCGACUGUGACACCAAGCCCCCGAGCCUAGGAGUCGGCCGAGCCACAAAAGCACGCCGAAUCGCCUCCUACCUAGAGCUUAGGAGGUCGGCCGAGCGGCAAGGCACGCUGAGUCAUCUGUAGCGCCCAGUUCUCAAGCCAUGGAGGUCGACUAAGUGAUGGGGGCACGCCGAGUCACCUCCCGACCUCAGCCCCCAAGCCUAGGAGGUCGGCCGAGUGGCAGGAGCAUGGCGAUUCGCUUCCUGCCCUCAGCCCUCGAGCCUUCGAGGUCAGCUAAGCGGUUGGUGGCACGCCGAAUAGUUUCUAAGCUUUAAAAGAACAAUACAAAGAUUAUGUAGCAUAAUGUAGAAUAUUUAAUAAUGAAAUAACACGAAGUUUUCCACAACUAGAAUAAAUUCAGUUGCAGAUCACAUAAUUAGCCCAACCUGGAUAGCUUUUAUGGGAGGACAUAACAUUCUAGAUGGAGUGGUCAACUUUAUUAAAACUUUUCAGGAGUUGCAUCAAAAGAAGCAAAGUGGCGUCAUACUCAAAAUUAACUUCAAAACGGCUUAUGAUAAGGUUUGAUUGCCGUUCUUAUUGCAAACAAUUAUCGAAACCCGUAGAGUCGUCUGUGGUGCCCAGCCCUCGAGCCUGUGAGGUCGGCCGAGCAACCGGAGCAUGCCGAGCCGCUUCCGUCCUCAACCCCAAGCCUGGGAGGUCGGUCCAGUGCCGGGAGGUAUGCUGAGUUGUCAGUGGCACCCAGACCCCAAGCCUAGGAGUCGGCCAAGCCAUGGAAGCAUGCCGAGUCGCCUACCACCCUGAGCCUAGGAGGUCAGCCGAGCUGCGAGGCAUGCUGAUCGUCUAUGGCGCCUAGUCCCCGAGCCUUUGACGUUGGCUGAGCGACGGGAGCACGCCGAGUCCCCUCCCGCCCUCAGCCCCCGAGCCUAGGAGGUCGGCCGAGCGGCCGGAGCAUGGCAAGUUGCUUCCUGCCCUCCGCCCCCAAGCUUGGGAGGUCAACUAAGUGGUAGGUGGCACGCCGAGGAGUUUUUGAGCUUUAAAAGAACAAUACAAAGAUUAUGUAGGAUAAUGUAGAAAAUUUAAUUAUUGAAUAACUCGAAGUUUCCCAGAAUUAGAAUAAAUUCAGUUGUAGAUAAUAUAAUUGGCCCAUCCUAGAUAGCUUUUACAUGAGUUGCAUGGAAAGAAGAGAAGUGGCGUCAUACUCAAAACUGACUUCGAAAAGGCUUAUGAUAUGGUUUGAUUGUCGUUCUUAUUGCAAACAAUUGUCGAAGCUCGUAGAGUCGUCUGUGGCGCCCAGCCCUCGAGCCUGUGAGGUCGGCAGAGCAACGGGAGCAUGCUGAGCCGCCUCCCGCCCUUAGCCCCCAAGCCUGGGAGAUCAGUCGAGUGGCAGGAGGCACGCCGAGUCGUCUGUGGUACCUAGCCCCCGAGCCUGGGAGUCGGCCGAGCCACGAAAGCACGUCGAAUCGCCUCCCACCCAGAUCCUAGGAGGUCGGCCGAGCGGCGAGGCACGUUGAGUCAUCUGUGGUGCCCAGUCCCCGAGCCUUAGAGGUCGACUGAGCGAUGGGAGCACGACGAGUCACUUCUCACCCUCAGCCCCCGAGCCUAGGAGGUCGGCCGAACGGCAGGAGGAUGGCGAGUUGCUUCCUGCCCUCAGCCCCUGAGCCUGGAAGGUCAACUAAGCGGCAGGUGGCACACCGAGUAGUUUCUGAUCUUUAAAAGAACAAUACAAAGAUUAUGUAGCAUAAUGUAGAACAUUUAAUAAUUGAAUAACUCGGAGUUUUAUUUGCCAUGGAAGUAAAUUCUUGCAUGUUCUGCUCUUGUAGGCCAUGUAAUUUCCUCGGGUACUUAGCCUGUUACCUUUAAACAUCUAGCCUUGCUUAGCCACUGCUCAUAUAGUGUUGAGAGCAUAUCCAAAACUCGCUAGAGGAGGCGUCACAAGAUGAGUCGAGGUUUCACGGAUUAAAGCAUGUGUUACCUGAGUACUUUAGAAACCGUUAAGAGGAGACGGACAAGAUGCAAACUAGGUGGAACAAUGCGGAAAAGUGAAAGUGCGCGUUGAGCAUUCGUAGGGCGCAACCGCCGACUGCCCGUGUAGUGGAUGAACCAAGCUGUACAAGCAGUCAGGGUACAGUCACAAAGACACAUGAGAAUCGAGGCGUGUGGAGAUAUACGAAAGCCGUAAAAUACUUGAUUAAAAACAAGACUUAACUUGAUUUGUGGCCGACUUGGAGAAUCAGUGUGUCGUGCUCGAGCGGGCAGCCGUUGGUGAACAGUUGUUGAUGAAGCCAAUCGGGUUGGGGUGGUCAAAGUGGUUGGUGUUAUGUUGGGGGUUGCCAACUCGUCGAAGUGGUGCCAACCCACAUUGUCGGCGAUAUGAUCAUCGCUGCUAGAGUGCCGAUGUGGAUAAAGAGCCGCGAGCCAUCGUAGAGUUGGGCCUUCGGCUUCGUCAGGUGGGCCGCCUCGACAUCGUUCCGGCGGUGGCGCCGACCUCGAGACGACCUACCUGUGGUUGAUGAAUGCAUCGGUGUGGAGGUCACGCUCAGCACGUGCCAAAGGUGCAACUCCGUUGUUUAUGGAAUCCGCAAACAACACCAAUGAAGUAAGUAAUUUCCGUUAGCUUUCCUAGCAACCAAACAGAUUAAAGAAAAGUAACAUGCUUCCCUGCUGAGCUUGUUGAUUAGAUCCGAUCUUUCUAACAUGCGUACGUAGAUUAGGGUUGUAUGCUUAGUAGCACAUCAGUUUUUGACGUAGCAGAUCAGGAAUCCAGCUCGCCCAUUGCACGGGCGACUCGCCAUCUUCAAGUACAUGCGCCACCACACGUGGCACGUUCUUGGCGGCAACGAGGUCAUAGCACAACGGGCGCCGACAUCCCUGGCAUGUACCACCGCCAGAUUCAUUGAAGAAAACUGCCAUCGAGCUCGCUGGGAGAAUCUCACGAUCACCCCUAAUAGAUGGCAUGCCAACUAUCGGAUUUAGUGUCCAGCAAUCCAACCUGGGGGUGCCCGGAUGGUAGAUUUGUAGGUGGGGAGAUCGCAAGAAUAAGAAUUCGAAUGGUAAUGCAGGGACGCAAGGGUUUAGACAAGUUCGGGUCACCGAGGAGGUGUAACACCCUACUUCUUGUGUUCUGAUAGAUUGUAUUGCUAGUUUUAGUUGAGUUAGCCUCAGGGGGUGUCCCUAACUGCCUUAUAUAGGCUGACGACCUAGGAGUCGGAUUACAACGUGUAUCCCCUUGAUAUCCGAGUGAAAUCGAUUCGUCCAGCCUCUAGACUUGUGCUCCACGUGGCUUCAUGUCUUGCCCCAUACGCCAAGGUUAGGUGGGGCCCACUUGUCAGGCCGGGCAAAUCCCUGGUCGGUGGGGACUCCUGGGUACCAUAUCCCUCACUUUGAAUGAAAGUUUUUCGCCUAAGUGAAUAUCCUAGGUGCAAUCUUUUGUUUCGGGUGGAGUGUCUCACGUCGGACCUUAUUUUCAAAAAAAAAAGGUCUUUGGGGAUCCCAUAUCCCCUUAUUGUUUAACAUUUUAGCAGAUGUGUUAGCCAUCUUAAUCAAAAGAGCCAAAGCGGAUGGUCAAGUGUGUGGUGUGGUGCCCCAUCUAGUAGAUGGAUGUUUGUCUAUACUACAAUAUAGUGAUGACACUAUCUUUUUAUGGAUCAUGAUCUCGAAAAAGCUCGUAAUAUGAAGUUAUUGCUUUGUGCUUUUGAGCAAUUACCAGGGCUCAAAAAAAAUCACAAGAGUGAGAUUUUCUUCUUUGGUGCAGCACAAGAAGCAACGCCCCAAUACACUGAGCUAUUUGGCUGUUAUUCUUGUGAUUUCGCAAUGAGAUAUUUGGGUAUCCCUAUACAUUAUAGAAAGCUGUCAAAUACUGAUUGGAAAAGAGUAGAGGAGCACUUUGAAAAACGACUGAGCAGUUGGAAGGGCAAGCACCUCUCAACAGGUGGGCGGUUGACAUUGAUUAAUUCAGUGCUUAGUGACUUACCCAUGUACAUGAUGUCCUUUUACACCAUUCCUAAAGGAGUACUUAAAAAUGGAUUAUUUUCAGUCACGUUUCUUUUGACAAAGUGAUCAAGAGAGGUGUAAAUACCGACUCGCCAAAUGGGGUGUCCUAUGCUAACCAAAAGACCAAGGGGGUCUUGGAAUACACAACCUACAUAUUAAGAACAUAGCUUUGCUUAGCAAAUGACAUUAUAAGUUGCUUACAACAGAUGGAACAUGACAUGAAAUUUUACGCAACAAAUACCUAGACUCAAAGCCACUGUCUCAGGUUCAAUGAAAAAUUGGGGACUCACAUUUCUGAGCUAAUCUUACGAAGGUCAAACAUGAUUUCCUUUAUUUUGGAGAAUAGAACACUUUGUGAACAAUAUCGUCCUUGUCUCUGUAACAUAGCCCGCAAUAAGCAAGACACUGUAGCCGGCGUUAUAGGAACCUCACAACCUAAUCUAUCAUGGCGUAGAGACCUAAGUGGAAAUAUGUUGGUGGUGUGCUUCGCUAAUAUAGUUUUGACAAUGGAAGAGGAUUAGUUUCGCUGGAACCUACUCUCUACUGCACAGUUCUCAGUCAAAUCUCACUUUUUGGCAAUGAUCCAUAAUGAUGUCCCUAACAUUAACAAACCACUAUAGAAAUUAAAAGCGCCUUUGAAAAUUAAGGUCUUUUUAUGGUACCUUCGUAAGGGUGCAAUAUUAACAAAAGAUAACUUAGCUAAGCACAAUUGGAAGAGUAGCAAGCAGUGUUGCUUUUGUCAAAAAAAUGAUACAUGUUAGGAGCAUGCCUAGGAUCUCUAGAUGCAUAUCUAGUCGGGAUCACAAUCAACAUGAACGUGUUGGGGUUUCUGGUGUCAACCAAGAGCGACAGAGAGAGAGAGAGAGAGAGAGAUGAGGGUACCUUCACCCCUAGGGGUGGAAGCACCAGAGCUACUGGCCAUCGCGGGUUCUGUCGUUCAAGAUCUGCGCAAGGCACCGACGUGCAGUGCAGUUGCGUUGCCGGUGCGGUGGCGGUGGUGCUUCCCGUCGCUACUGCGCAAAACCUAGAUCGGUAGGUGUGUCGGUGGGGCGGCUGGCAGCGGCGAACCUCGUGAGCCGAGCCGUGGUCCCCACCCUGUUUAUAUAGCGCAGCGUGACAGGGGCCUACCACCCAAUGCUAGGGUGGGCGCCCCGAUCAGGGCACGGAUCAAAGGUCCCUAUGGGCCUUUGGGCCCAUCAUUUACUUUUAACUUUACACUUUUCACUUUUAUUCGUUUCAUCGUAGAUUAAUGCGUAGAGCAUGUCUCAUUGUCACAGCUUAAUCGCUGAUAGAAUCAACAGCUACAACACACCUUUCUAUUUUGAAACAAUUCUAUUUCUUUUGGGCCCUUUACAAUCCAGGAAUCAUAGGCUUUCCCUAAAAUCCAUGCCGGCUAAGUGUUCUCUGAACACAUUGGGUGGUAAGCCUUUCGUAAGCGGAUCCGCAAGCAUAUCCUUUGUUCUUAUAUGCUCGAGACUUAUAGUGCAAUCCUGGAUUUUGUCUUUCACAAUAUAAAACUUUAUCUCAAUGGUUUUGAAAGCAUUGCUUGAUUUAUUGUUGUGAGCAUAGAAUACUGUUGGCAGUACAUCUUUAGUGGUCUGUGAAUACAAUCAACCACUCUCAAUCCGGGUAUAAAUUUCUUUAACCACAUCGCCUGCCCCGUGGCCUCAUGACAUGCUAUAAAUUCUGCAUGCAUCAUGGAUGACGCAGUUACUUUCUGUUUUGAGCUUCUCCACGAGAUAGCUCCUCCUGUGAGAGUGAACACGUAACCAAACGUGGAUUUUCUAUCAUCUUUGUCUUCCGCAAAAUCUGCAUCUGAAUACCCUUUUAUCUCUAGGGAAUCAGAUCUCUUAUAUGUAAGCAUGAGUUCUUUUGUGCCUUGCACGUAACGCAAUGCUUUCUUUACCAUCUUCUAGUGCUCUACACCUGGAUUACUUUGAUAUCUUCCAAGAACCCCGGUGACAAAAGCUAAGUCAAGGCGAGUACAUACUUGAGCAUACCGUAGGCUUCCGACAGCUGAAGCAUAUGGAACCGCUUUCAUUUGAUCGAUCUCGUACUGGUUCCUAGGACAUUGAAAAUUCUCAAAACUGUUGCCCUUGACUAUGGGAGCAGGUGUGGCUUUACUCGCAUGCACAUUAUACUUCUUUAGAAUCUUUUCUAAAUAUGCCCUUUGCGAUAAUCGAAGAACCCCAUUCUUUCUGUCUCGGUGAAUUUCUAUGCCAAAAACAUAUGAUGCUUCACUGAGAUCCUUCAUAUCGAAGUUUGAGGACAAAAACUUCUUUGUCUCUUGCAGUAGACUGAUAUCACUGCUCGCAAAUAAGAUAUCAUCCACAUACAGAAUUAGAAAAAUGUAUUUCCCAUUUUUGAACUUUGCAUAGACGCAAUUGUCCUCUAUGUUCUCUUGAAACCCAAAUUUCUUAAUUAUAUCAUUAAACUUUAGAUACCACUAUCUAGAGGCUUGCUUUAAUCCAUAAAUGGAUUUCUUUAGAUGACAUCCCAUAUUCUCUUUGCCUUCCAUGAUAAAACCUUUGGGUUGUUUCAUGUAGACAUUUUCUUCCAAAUCCCCAUUUAGAAAUGCCGUCUUUACAUCCAUCUGAUAUAACUCUAAGUCAAAAUAUGCAACCAAUGCCAUUAUGAUUCUGAAGGAGUCUUUACAUGAGACAGGAGAAAAAGUCUCAUUGUAAUCUAUUCCUUCUCUUUGUGUAAAGCCUUUUGCCACAAGUCUCACCUUAUACCUUUCUAUAUUCCCUUUGGAGUCACGUUUAGUCUUGUAGACCCAUUUACAGCCUACUGUUUUGGCUCCUUUAGGAAUUUCUUCAAGUUCCCAAACUUUGUUGGAACUCAUUGAUUUCAUCUCAUCUUCCAUGGCCUCUAGCCACUUUGAUGAGUGGAUGCUUUUCAUGGCUUCUUCAUAUGAAGUGGGAUCACCUUCCAUAUGAACUUCUUCUGUAUUAUAAACUUUAUAGUCAUUAGAAAUAGCCGAUCUUCUGACUUUUUGAGACCUUCUAGGCCCCUCACUUACAGGCACAUUCUGUGCCUCUGCUUGUGGCACAUCAUCCAGAGGUGGCUGCUGCAACUCUUCCUCGUGUGUAAUAAUGGAUUCAAUUGGCUCCUGAAGGACAGGUUCCAGAUUUUCACUCAUCGUUUCCACGGGUGGAAUCACAGUAGGUGCUUGCACCACAAUAUCAGGAACUGUAGCGGGUGCUUGCACCACGACCUCAGGAACUAUCGGUGCGGGAACAACAGGUAGUGAGAAGAAUGGUUCCUGAAUCAUCGGAUUAGGUGCACACACCCGCUUCUCCUCGAGAUCAAUCUCUCGAGCCACCAUGCUCCCCCUCACCAUUUCAUCCUCUAAGAAAAUGGCGUGUCUCGUUUCUACAAACUUUGUGUAUCUGUCUGGACAGUAGAAAUGAAAACCUUUUGAUUUUUCUGGAUAGCCAAUGAAAUGGCAGCUUACUGUUUUGGGAUCUAGUUUCCCAAUAUUUGGGUUAAAUACUUUGGCCUCAGCUGGGCUACCCCAAACACGUAGAUGGUUUAGUGAGGGUACUCUUCCUAUCCAUAGUUCAUACGGUGUUUUGGGCACCGACUUACUUGGCACUUUAUUUAGAAUGUGAAUGGUGAUUUUCAACGCCUCCAUCCACAGUCCCAAUGGUAAGGUGGAAUAACUCAUCAUGUUGCGCACCAUAUCCAUCAGUGUACGGUUAUGCCUUUCUGCUACUCCAUUUUGCUGAGGCUCGCCCAGCAUCGAAUACUGGGCUACUAUGCCAUUUUCCUGCAAAAACCUCGCAAAAGGUCCAGGAACUUGGCCAAAUGGGGUAUGUCGACCAUAGUACUCCCCCCACGGCUGGAUCUUACUAUUUUAAUUUUUUUGUUAUGCUGAUUUUCAACUUCAGCUUUAAAUAUCUUAAAUUUAUCCAACACUUCUGAUCUUUCUUUAAUUGGAUAAAUAUAAUCAUAAUGGGAAUAAUCGUCUGUGAAUGUUAUGAACGAGUCAUAGCCAUCCACGCUUUUCACGGGAAAUGGUCCACAAAUAUCAGUGUGGAUUAUCUCUAAAACUCCUGUGCUACGUUUAGCGCCUCUUUUAAUUUGCUUUACAAACUUUCCUUUAAUGCAAUCUAUGCAUUGUUCUAAGUCUAAGAACUCUAAUUGCGGAAGAAUUUCAUUCUUAACUAGUCUUUCUAUUCUCCCCCUCGAAAUAUGGCCUAAAUGAUAGUGCCAUAAUUUCGACGAUGUUUCAUGAGUUCUCUUUCUUUUCUUUGUUUCUUGCUCUGACGAGGAUACAUUCAUAUUCGCAUCACAUACAGAAUUUACUUUUUCACGCAGUGAUAAUAAAUACAACUCAUUGUGAAGGAUGGCAACACCAACACAUGCAUUAUCAAACUAAAUGGCACACUUUCCAUUUCCAAAAUGACAUUCAUAUCCAUCAUGGUCCAUACGUGAAAUGCUAAUCAAGUUUCUGUGUAACGAAGGAACAUAAAGUACAUCUCUAAGUACAAGCGUGAAACCAUCAACUAGCUCUAGAGAGACAUCGCCAACAACUUCAACAUCUUCUUGGACUCCAUUUGCGACUUCAACGCAUCUUUCGUUUCUUUGCGUAGUCCUCGUCGAACAGAAUCGUUGUAAAGAAUUUGCAACAUGAACAGUUGCACCUAAGUCAAUCCACCAAGUAGAUUUCGAAUACUAUGUAUACAAGGAUUCAUUUACAAAGGAGAUAGUGUUCUCACCUCUUUUUGCCAUUAUUGACUUCAACCAGUCAGGGCAUUCUUUCUUGUAAUGCCCCUUUUUCUUGCAGUGGAGACACUGAUCUUUGUCUACUGUGAGAGGCUUUUGGUGAUGCUGCUGCAUGGGAGCCUUUCCUCAUGCCUUGAAAGAGGAGUUAGCAUUCUUUUUCCUGUUGUCCUUCACAUAGUGCAAUGAACCACCAUAUGAGGAUCUAAUUCUAUCCUAUUCCUACACGCACAUGGCUAUCAUCUUUUCCAUGUCUCACUAUUCUGGCUGCAUGUUGUAGUUGACAACAAAGGUGUCAAACUCUUUUGGCUGGGAAGCAAAAACCAAAUGAAUAAUGUGCCCAGGCUUGAGCUCAAGAUCCAUUGGCUUCAACUGUGAUGCCAAGUUAUACAUCCUCAAGAUGUGCUCUCUUAUGCCAGUUCCUCCUCCAGUGUACCUCUCUAUGGCCAGCUGCUUGAACAGCUGGGUAGCAUAUAUCUUUGAGGAACUAGUGAACUUAUUCCUUAUCUUCUCUAGGUACUCUACGACAGAGUCACACUCUGUGAUCGAGCCCAAAAUUGCAUGCUCAAUCGUAUUCUUUACCAAAGCCAUACAUUUCUUGUUGGCAGUGGUCCACUGUUUGUUUUCAAGGGUAUAUGCCAACUCUAGUGGAGCAUAAUCCCUUUCCUUUUGCUGCCACGCAGCAUCAUCAUCACCUUCAGCCCUCACUGGCUUCUCUGGAGCUUUUGGCCGCGGUGUAGUCACCACCCAGUCAACUUCUCCACAAGCGAAGGAAAAAUCAAUCUUCUUCCUCCACUCUACAUGGUUGUCUCCUCUUAGAGUAGGUAUCUCUUUGAGACAAGCCAUCAAGUUGAAUCCUCCUGAAAUUUGCAAUUCAAGAUGAGAUCAUAAGAACAAUUGCAUGAUUUAUUUCCAACGUUGGUCAAAAAAUAAAACAUACAACUGUUUAUGCAAUUUAAAUCUAUAUCACCGUUGGGCAGAAAUAGAAAUAAAAGCAUGAAAAUUUUUUAAAUCAUGAUACAGUUAUUAACAACGUUGGUCAGAAAAUAACAGCAUCCUUAUCUAACUUUUUAAGAAAAAAUUAACUUUAUCAUGCUCUCAUAAAUUUAAUUAUCUCAUUGGUUCAAAUUAAAUUUAAAUAGAGCAACAAAUUAAACUUUUGCAGUGGAAACUGUGAAAUAGUUCUAUUUUCAGAAGAAAAAUUACUGUAUAAACUUUAUUAAUCUCUAACACAAAUUAUCCUGUUGGUUCAAAUUUGAAUGGAGAUCAAAACUGUGCAAAAAUCACAAAAAAAAUGUCUUUGAAAAUAGAAAAUAAAAAAUGUCAAGCGUUACUGUGCAAAACUUUCUUUUCGGCCCAGCAGCGAAAACAGCCCACAGCCCGUUCCCGCGCUCGGCCCGCUCACGCGACGCGGCCAGCCCACUCGUGAGCGUGGCCUGCUGGCCUUUGGCCCAACAGCCGCGGUUCGCGCGUGGCAGCCCUGCCGGCCGGUUUUGGGCCGCAACCUGGUCCCAUGCCGUGAUUCCGGCCUGCCAUCACCACCCGCCUGGGCCACAUCUGGCCUUGACGAUUCCAACCGUUGAUCGAAUCGGACGGCCGAGCGUUGCUUUCGGCGGAACAAAAACCGCCUGAACGGCCGGCUCCCCCCAAACCUAGUGCCAUUUUGUUCCUCUUGUUGGGAUACGAGGUAGGCUACACUAGCGCAAAUCAAAAUUUCUACCACGUAAAACCAGGAAGAACUGCCGUAUAAGGAUCACGGGAUUACCACUCGACGCACUACUGGUGCGGAAGAUGUAGAUUUGCGUCGAUGCAGCGAAGACGAUCAACAUAGUCGUACGUAGUCGAUCAACAUAGUCGUACGUAGUCGAUCAACGUAGUCAUACGUAGUCGAUCACGUCAACGUCCAGCAGCUCCUUAGCAGCUCGUCCACGUGCAGCAAGAUCGUCCUCAUGCCGCGGCUCAUCGUCGGCUUGUCGUGGCUCGUCGGCGGCUCGUCCAAGUGCUGCAGGCGCAACACCUCCAAGGUAUCCACACGUGCAGGGAGGAAGCAUCGCAAGCCGGACUGCUAGAUCCGUGAGUUGCAACAGGCGAGGGCGUAGGAGGCGCGUCAGAUGUGUUUCGCCAAAAAGGUGUAAACCCUAGGGCGCCCCACCCCUCUAUUUAUAGAGGUUCCUAACGAGCCUCUGGGUCCGAGGCCCAUUAGUACUUCUAAACCUAAUCCAACUCGGAUCACAUCCGAAUUGGGCUUCCAGCCCCUUAAGUGUGUGACCCUAUGGGUUCGGAUACAUAUAGACAUGGCCCGAGUACUCCUACUCGGCCCAAUAGUCGGUAGCGGCCUCUAGCAAGACGUGCCAACUCCUAUACGCACACGAAGAUCAUAUCAGACGAACCUUCACAACAUAAUAUACAUGCUAUUCCCUUUGCCUCACGAUAUUUGGUCUAGCUUCAAGCCGACCGCUCUUUCUCGAUCCUGUGACUCGGAAUCCCUUUGUAGGUUAACUCUUAACCGUACAUAGCAUGGCCAUGCAUUUUUGGAUCCGAUCACUCGAGGGGCCCAGAGAUAUCACUCUCAAUCAGAGAGGGGCAAAUCCCAUCUUGAUUGACCAUGUCUCAUAGCAUGCUUCUUGACAAACCUGAAAGCUACCUUUAUAACUACCCUGUUACGGCGUAGCGUUUGAUAGCCUCUAAGUAGGUCGAUCCACAUCUUGAAUACAUGCGACAAUCUCAGUGUGACGACCGGCCCCAAAUCUCCCAGGUUAAUCUUAAUCCUAUCCCCUGAUCAUCUGUCUAGUUUGCCGCGCCUGAGUGUUCAACCUUCCAACCGGUCCCGACCCCUGAGACCCGACCCCUCCCCGCCUUGCUUCGGUUCCGACCCCGCCAAAACCAGCCCACCGUCGGAUCCUUCUAAGUCUUUCCCAAAACGUCCGUUCUAUCUGACCAGUGGACCCGGGAGAUCUUUUUUCCCCCAGAUCUUCCGCGACAGGCGCACUCGAGUUGCAUGCCCGCUUCAGAGUCUCCCCGCCGCGUGGCUCAUCUUCUCCGACGCCCGCCGCUCAGCCUCGUUUCUGACCCGCGACCGAAUGGAUUCUCGCGCCCCCUUCCCCAAUGGCAGCGGAAGCCCCUCUGCUACCUUUCUGCAGCGCCUCGCCUCCCGCGCCCAUCAUCACACCGCCAGAUCCCGGCCGCAGAGCCCGAUGUCGCCCAUCUUUUCCGUCACUUCAAACACAGUCGCGCCGCCUGGUCUUUGCUACCCGACGAUUCCUCCUUCGCCAACCCCGACCACGGCAGCGAGAGCUCCUUUCCCCACCCUGUCAGAAGCAGCCCAACAAUCUGUUGCUCCGCGCUCGCCCGCGCACCCACGGCUGCCUGUCUUCUCACCUGUGCGCCCUCGAUUCUAGCGUCGUUAACCCGGUCGCGUCCAUCAAAUCUACCGCAUGACGACGCCCGCCUCCGCCAAAUCUCAACCACCGGCAUACCCGCUCCUGCGCCGCCCUGACGCUAGAGCCCAAUGACCGCUGGCGUCAUCCCCGAAGUCCUGCACCACCGCCCUCGUCGCUCAAUCGCCGCCCCGGCAGAGCACUCCAUUGCUUCUCCCCGGCCUUCGCGCCGCUCCCCUUCUCGCUCCUGCGCCGCUUCCCUUCCCCAUCCCAGCCGCUAUAAAAGGGAGUGCGUGAGCCCGCCGGAGUUCCCUCCGCCAUUGCUGCCUUCCACCAUUUCUCUUGCUCCCUGCUCAAGCUCCUAUCGCCACACCCUAAGUUCCUGAGGAACUCUCCUCUCAGCUCCCCUCCGUUUUUCCCAAGCCACCCAGCCGCUUGCUCCUCCAUGCCGCGUAAGAGCUCACUUGUGAUCCACAAGAAGCACCGCCGCCGCCGGAGCACUGCCGGACUUAGCCGUUGUUCAAAGCCUUAGUCCCUCCGCCCAAGUCUGCUUCUUCCCGACCCCAAGCUUUCCUUGUAGGAAGAAGGUAAGAUGCCGACCCCAGUCCGCUUCGCCCGACCCCUCUUAUCCUCCUGACCCCGGUUCCGUCUCGCCCGACCCUAUCUGUUCCGCCGACCCCUAUCCACCUCGCCCGAGGGCUCGGCUGUGAUCUUUUCUUCAAACUGAGGGUGUAUGUGUAAAACUUGGGAACCCUUCAACGCUUGCGUCUGAGGAUCCCUAGUAUACCAAAUCCUCUAGUUGAAGGAUCAGAUCAUAAGUUUCUUUACAACCCUUACCUUUCCAUCUCCACCAACUCCUUUGAACCUCCCCACCCUCCUGCUCUUUGUCGCGAGUUUCUGGGCUUAGAAGUGCAAGUGUUGCUGUUGAAAUAACCGUCUAUGCUGACUCUUGCAUUGCAUUCGUGUAGAGCUGCGCCUCGCCGACGGCUUCUACGAGCUACACCCAGCGCCAGAACACGAAGCUGUAGCUGAGCUCCUGCCCCAAGAAGCCGAAGCCGCCCCCGAAGUCGAGCAGUUCUCUUCCUCCUUGCUCAAAGGCAAGCCCCGGUUGCAUGAAAACCCUGUGUUGUUUCCAAACUUGCGCAUGCCUUCCUUAAACAUGCUUGUGCAUUUACGUAUAGGAGUUAGUUGAAACCCUAGAUGCAUGACCUAGUUUCCUAUGAUCUGAACAGUAGCUGUUGGACCGAGUAGCUGCUUGCUUAACUAGGAGACGGUAAAAGCCAAGUGAUUCCCUGUCACUCGCGAGUUGUAGGAGUUGGAUGUCUACCCUUCUGUUACAACUAUAAGGAUGAUGGACGGGGCAGGGUUUGGGUAACUCUUUGGUGGUCGGAUGAUCGCCCCGUCUGUCUAUGAAAACUUGCUAAGGCCCGAUAGUGGUGGUGUUUGUGAUCAAGUGUUUGAAAGUACUAACCUCAUACUUAGUAUGGGAUGAGGAAGCCUAGUACCGGAUUGAACCUAGAUGUGAGCGGUCGCCCCAUUGUUCUUGGAACGGAGUUUCUCCUGCUGGUUGUCGCACGUGGUAGCAAGCGUGGUCACAGAACGGCAGAGGCCAGGUCUGUGGAACCUUGCACCAAAGGAAAUGGGCUCGACACGGGUUAGGGGAUUGAUGGGGAAGGCCGACACAGGAAGCGACCUCCGGGUGCGCGGAUGUCGUGAGGUUAGGUUCACCAUGCAUGGUUAAAGAACUCGAAUCGAUUCGUCUGCCCCUCACAGUUUGAGAUUGCUUGAUCGCUAUGUCACCCUGAGUAAAUGAGGAAUCUGAUGAUGACAUGGUUUUGUUGAUAUAUCCACAUAUCUUGUUUGGUUCUAUGAUUGCUUAGAAUAGGUUGCAAAACCUAGACCGGUUAAUGAACUUAGAACCGGAGCUAAAACUUGAAAAUAGGGUAUUACUUAGCGCUUUUGGCAAACAAACCCUUAGCCAAAAGGCCCUGCAUGUCUAGAAGUGUGGAGUAGUUUCUCCCGUCGGUUAAGUCUUGUUGAGCUUAGUAGCUCAGCCUUGUUGUGGCUCCUGUUUUUCAGGUGAAGUUGCUGCCCCGACCCUUCUCCCAUUGGCACUUGGCCGCCCCAGCUCCCUCCGGGUUGGACGGUCGAGUGGGAUCCCUCCUCGGACGGCGAGGAGAGGGAUCAGUGAUGUCCCGGCUGGCCUCACCAGGACGUCCGACCCCGGCGUUUGCUUCCGCUAGUGGUGUUAUUUUCUUUGUCUUUCUGGAAAUCCUGUAAAACUCUGAUGUUUAUUUCGCAACUAAACCAAGUGGUUAAUUUGUUAACUCAGUGGACUUGUUGUACUCUCUGGAACCGCUCACCUCCGUGUGAGUCUGCUAAAAUGGUCCUGUUCAAGUGGUUAAAUCGGAGGAAAAUCCGACGGCACUUCGUAUUUACUCGGUUUAGGCAUGAGCAUCGCGUAUCACGCGGCUGAAUCAUGUUUAACCAAGUAGAUUCGAUGUGGAUCCGCCACACUCAGGUCUAAGGACAAAGCGUAUAUGUUGUUUAUAGAGAGAACUACUUCUCGUGUUGGGUCAGUCCUAGCACAUGUCUCCACAUGUGCCCACAUUAUUAGUUCAACAUCUCCAUGUCCAUGACUUGUGAAACAUAGUCAUCAACUAAUACAUGUGCUAGUCUAAUAUUCAUGUGUGUCCUCACAUGAACUCUGACUAGGGACAACUUUAGAAUAACCAUACAAGUAAAGAGUUUCACACACAAUUCACAUAAUUGCAAAUUAAUUCAAGUAGCCUUUGAUGGAUAUUCAAGGAACACAAUAUAAAUCAUGGAUACAAAUGGAAUAUCAUCAUCUCUAUGAUUGCCUCUAGGGCAUACCUCCAACAGUCUCCCACUUGCACUAGAGUCAAUCUAGAAGGUACCUAAUACCCAUAGCUCUUACAUGCGCAUCAUGCUUAGCCUGCGGGAGUGGUUUUGUCAACGGAUCAGAAAUGUUCAGAUCCGUGUGUAUUUUGCAUAUCUUGAUCUCACCCCGGUUAACGAAGUCUCGAAUGAGAUGAAAUCGCCGCAUUACGUGUUUGUUCUUCUGGUGGUUCCUUGGCUCGUUUGCUUGCGCAAUUGCCCUAUUGUUAUCACAGUGGAGAUUCGAUGGGCUGGACGCAUUCGGGAACACACCAAGCUCAAUGAGGAAAUUCCUUAUCCAAACACCCUCCUUCGCGGCUUUCGAAGCCGCGAUGUACUCGGCUUCUGUCGGAGAAUCGGCCACCGUCUCCUGCUUGGAACUCUUCCAACUAACAGCACCACCAUUUAGCGUGAACACAAAUCCUGAUUGUGACUUUGAAUCAUCUCUGUCGGUUUGGAAACUAGCAUCGGUGUAACCUGUUACAACGAGCUCCUCCUCACCUCCAUAGACGAGGAACAUAUCUUUAGUCCUUCUCAAGUACUUAAGAAUGUUUUUUCACCGCUGUCCAGUGACUCUAACCUGGAUCAGACUAGUGUCUCCUUGUCAUACUUAGCGCAUAUGAAACAUCUGGGCGAAUACUUAUCAUUGCAUACAUGAUAGAUCCAAUAGCCGAGGCAUAUCGCACUCUACUCAUGCGAUCCCGCUCAUCAGCAGUCGAAGGACACUGAGUCUUGCUGAGAUGUAUGCCAUGUGACAUAGGCAAGAACCCUUUCUUUGCCUCUUCCAUGCUGAACCGCUUCAACACUUUGUCAAUGUAAGUACCUUGGCUUAAUCCUACAAGCCUUCUCGAUCUAUCUCUAUAGAUCUUAAUGCCCAGAAUAUAUGCCGCUUCCCCUAAGUCCUUCAUCGAAAAACUAUUUUUCAGUGAAGUCUUUAUGGACUCAAGCAUAGGAAUGUUAUUUCCAAUAAGCAAUAUGUCAUCCACAUAUAAGAUUAGAAAUACUACAGAGCUCCCACUAACCUUCUUGUAAACACAAGACUCUUUUUCGUUCUUGGUGAAGUCAAACCCUUUGACCACUUCAUCAAAACGAAUGUUCCAACUCCUAGAUGCUUGCUUCCAUCCAUAAAUGGAUCUCUGAAGCUUGCAUACCUUUCCAGCAUUUUUCGGAUCGACAAAACUCUCAGGCUGUAUCAUAUACACGUCCUCAGCUAGGUUUCCAUUUAGGAAAGCUGUCUUGAUAUCCAUCUGCCAUAUCUCAUAAUCGAAAUAUGCAGCUAUAGCUAGAAUAAUCCAAAUGGACUUAAGCAUCACUACGGGCGAGAAAGUCUCGUCGUAGUCAACUCCUUGAACUUGUUGAAAACCUUUUGCGACAAGUCGUGCUUUAUAGAUGUGAACAUUUCCAUCCAUGUCCUUUUUCUUCUUAUAGAUCCACUUGCACUCUAUGGCUUUAACACAAUCAGGUGGGUCAACCAAGUUCCAAACUUGAUUGUCUCCCAUGGACUCUAUUUCGGAUUGCAUGGCACUCUGCCAUUUUUCAGAGUCUGGGUCCAUCAUUGCUUCUGCAUAUGUCGUAGGCUCAUCAUUGUCCAACAAUAAUAUUUGCCGCAUUUCGCGGAGCCUUGCCGACCUUUGUGGUUGUGGCGGUGCUUCUCUUGCCAUGGGUAUCUCAACUUGUUCUGCUACGUUAGCAUCACUCAUUGAUUCUUGCCCGAUCGGCUCAUCUUGAACUUCUUCAAGAUGCACUGUCUUUCCACUCUUUUCUCCUUUGAGAAACUCUUUCUCUAGGAAAACCCCGUUCCGAGCGACAAACACUUUGCCCUCUGACCGGUUGUAGAAAUAAUAUCCCAAAGUUUCCUUUGGAUAUCCCACAAAAAUGCACUUAUCCGACUUGGGUGUGAUCUUGUCCGACUGAAGUCGCUUGACAAACACUUCACAUACCCAAAUCUUUAGAAAAGACAAACUAGGAACCUUUCCGGUCCAUAUCUCAUAUGGUGUCUUAACUACGGAUUUAGAUGGUACCCUAUUAAGUGUGAAAGCUGCUGUUUCUAGAGCGUAUCCCCAAAAUGACAACGGUAGGUCCGACUGGCUCAUCAUUGAUCGAACCAUGUCUAACAAAGUUCGAUUAUGUCGCUCGGAUACACUGUUUCUCUGAGGUCUUCCAGGCAGCGUAAGUUGUAGAACAAUUCCGCAACUCUUUAGAUGAUUGCUAACCUCGUGGCUCAAAUACUCACCUCCACGAUCAGAUCGUAAGGCUUUAAUUUUCUUGCCACGCUGAUUUUCAACUUCAUUCUGAAAUUCCUUGAACUUUUCAAAGGUUUCAGACUUGUGCCUCAUUAAGUAGAUAUAGCCAUAUCUACUAAAAUCAUCUGUGAAAGUUAUGAAGUAUUGGAAUCCUCCUCUAGCCGUCGUGCUCAUUGAUCCGCAUACAUCGCUAUGUACGAGUUCCAACAAGUCUACUGCUCUCUCAGGAAAUCCUGUGAAAAGGCGUCUUGGUCAUCUUGCCUAGCAAGCAAGCCUCACAUGCCUCAUAUGAUUCAAAAUCAAACAAAGUUAGAAGUCCAUCAGAAUGAAGUUUCUUCAUGCACUUUUCACUUAUAUGACCCAAACGACAAUGCCAUAAGUAGGUAGGACUCAAAUCAUUAGGGCGAGGCCUUUUAGCACUUACGUUACGGACAGGUGAACCAUCAAGAUUUAAAAUAAAUAAUCCAUUCACAAUGGGUGCAAAAGCCAUAAACAUAUCAGUCUUAGAGAUCACACAACCAUUGUUUUCACUCGCAAAUGAAUAACCAUCCUUCAUCAAGCAUGAAGGAGACAAAAUGUUUCGACUUAAAGUAGGAACGAAAUAACAAUUAUUCAACUCCAUAAUGAAUCCUGACGGGAGGUGGAGUUGCAUCGUCCUGACGGUCAACGCAGCAACUCUUGCAUUAUUGCCCAUGCGGAAAUCAACUUCUCCUCUUUCCAUGCUUCUACUUCUUAUCAUUCCCUGCAUCGAAUUGCAAAUAUGAGCAACCGAUCCGAUAUCAAAUACCCAAGAAUUAAUAAUUGUAUCAGCGAGAAAUAUGUUGUCCAUAACAUUAACAACAAGCGUACCUGAGGUAGAAGUACUCUUACUUCCGCCAUUCUUCAACGAAGCUAGGUACUGCUUGCAGUUUCUCUUCCAGUGACCAAGUUCAUGACAGUAAAAGCACUCUUUGUCUGGAGCAGGUCCAGGUCCAGCUUUAACCUUGGGCGCUGGGUUUGGCUUGGACGUUCCAGCCUUGCCCUUCUUCUUAAAGCUAGGCUUGUUCUGUAUAGCCAUCACAUGGCUGGUACUAGCGCUUUUCUUGAUGUCAGCCUCUGCUAUUUUAAGCAUGCCACAUAGCUCAUUCAGACCCUUCUCCGUCCCAUGCAUAUGGUAGUUCGAGAUGAAGUUCCCAUAGCUAGACGGAAGAGACGAAAGAAUGAAAUCAGUGGCCAACUCUUGGCCUAGUGGGAAGCCCAGCUUCUCCAACCGUUGAGUGUAACCAACCAUCUUGAUUACGUGUGGUCCUAAUGCUGCGCCUUCUGCUAGCUUGCUCUCCACAAAGGCCUUAGACACAUUGAACCUUUCAGUCUUGGCCUGUGUUUGGAACAUGUCUCUAAGCGCCAUGAUCAUAUCGUGGGCCUCAUGGUUUGUUUUGAACUGCAUCUGCAGCUCGGGUUCCAUGCAAGCAAGCAUAAGGCAGCUUACUUCGAGGUUAGCAUCACAUGCUUUCCUGUAAGCAUUCUUAGCAGCAGCGGGUGCAUCAUCAGCAGGUUCUUCUGGUAGUGGGUUGUCUAGAACAUCUUCCUUUUUCUCAGCCCUAAGAACAAUUCUCAGGUUACGGAUUCAAUCCGAGUAAUUUGUUCCAUUCAACUUGUCCUUCUCAAGGACCGAACGCAAAGCAAACGGUGUAGUGCUGCUAGGUGCCAUUUAAUCUACAACAAAAGUAAUGCAAAAUACACUAAGACAAACGUAUCCAUGAUAGAGAAAAUCACAUUAAACUAUUUUAACAGAUCUACUCCCACUAAAAUCAAUAUCCCUCUAUUGAAACUUAGUGAUUCAGGAUCCACAACUAACAAGUCUACUAGUGAGCUUUAUCAUCACCGCUAGAAAACAAGGUAGAUCGGUAAGCAACUUUUGCUAAUCAUAUCACAUAUGACUCCUGUUGUUGGGUGACAUCUCUAUGUCUCGGCGCCCAACCUUUAUGCCCCAAGGUCCUUAACUGUUAAGAUAACCUUGUUAAGCAAACCAACCCUUAUGCGUGUAAGUGUCCGACACAAACCCGUCUAGUCAAGGAAAACUAGUGGUACCCUAAUUUCAUAGACCCACCACUAAUUGUACAAGACAUGGGACAGUGCAAGUUUUAGUUGGGAUGACAUACUAACUUAAACUUUGUGAGGGAUCGUUCUACUUCUAACAUCACAGCAUGCAGAAAGUAAAAUAUAAACAGAAUAGCAUUCACACAGUUGUGACACAGUAUGGCCCGUUUUCAUAUGGUGAUCUCCAUCUCCAUAGAACCUGUUCACCAUGGUGAUCUCCAUCUCCAUAGAACCUGUUCACCAUGGUGAUCUCCAUCUCCAUGUUCCAUGUACGCCAUCCUCCUGGUGAUGAGUCCUCCAAGAACUAGAACAUGCUAUUACGCCUAAUAGCUAGUAAAGAAGCUAGUAAUGAAGAUUGCAUAGUUGCUUGGAUCAUCACAGAUUGGUACGCAGACCAUUAAAUACAAUAAAGUGACAACACAUAUGGCUCCUGCCGUGUUGCCGUACGCGCGACACGCAGGUCACGAAUGAGUUACACACAUGCAUCACAUACACAAAGGGGCCAUACUGAUCACAAGAUACAUACAUCCUGCAAAACAGAGUUAAUCGUCCUAACGUUCCAAACUUCGGAUGCCCGAAACUCCAUCUUCCAAGCCAAAUUUGGGAAAUCUAAUUUCACCGAAAAUGGCAAAGCGGUUCAAUUUCAUGUGUAGCUUUUUCUGUAGAUCAAUUUUCAUAUAAAAUUCACCCUGAUCCGAGAUCGUACCGAAAAGUUACGGCUGAUUUACCGAAGCAUACGCAUACGGCAAAAAUCCCGACCCCGGUAGUAGAUCCCAUCUACUAUUGCACAUCUAAUGCGCCUGGCGUAUGACCUUGGAUUUCGAUUUGACCAAUCAUAUUGAUCUUCGCUCACUGCAACUGGAAUUACAUGUAUCAUUUAACUCCGAUGGCGGAAACCGACCGGUAGGAGUAUGUUGUUACACUACCAUUGCAGCAAGAGCACGAAACCACGACAUAGAUCAAACUGAAAACUCGCAUAUCUCCAUAUGCACACAUCCCGAAUCCAAAACUAAAUAGCUACAAUUCUGAUACCACUGUUGGGAUACGAGGUAGGCUACACUAGCGCAAAUCAAAAUUUCUACCGCGUAAAACCAGGAAGAACUGCCGUAUAAGGAUCACGGGAUUACCACUCGACGCACUACUAGUGCAGAAGAUGUAGAUUUGCGUCGAUGUAGCGAAGACGAUCAACGUAGUCGUAUGUAGUCGAUCACGUCAACGUCCAGCAGCUCCUCAGCAGCUCGUCCACGUGCAACAAGAUCGCCCUCGUGCCGCGGCUCAUCGUCGGCUCGUCGUGGCUCGUCCAAGUGCUGCAGGCGCAACACCUCCAAGGUAUCCACACGUGCAGGGAGGAAGCGUCGCAAGCCGGACUGCUAGAUCCAUGAGUUGCAACAGGCGAGGGCGUGGGAAGCGUGUCAGAUGUGUUUCGCCAAAAAGGUGUAAACCCUAGGGCGCCCCCACCCCUCUAUUUAUAGAGGUUCCUAACGGGCCUCUGGGUCCGAGGCCCAUUAGUACUUCUAAACCUAAUCCAACUCGGAUCACAUCCGAAUUGGGCUUCCAGCCCCUUAAGUGUGUGACCCUAUGGGUUCAGAUACGUAUAGACAUGGCCCGAGUACUCCUACUCGGCCCAAUAGUCGGUAGCAGCCUCUAGCAAGACGUGCCAACUCCUAUACGCACACGAAGAUCAUAUCAGACGAACCAUCACAACAUAAUAUACAUGCUAUUCCCUUUGCCUCACGAUAUUUGGUCUAGCUUCAAGCCGACUGCUCUUUCUCGAUCCUGUGAUUCGGAAUCCCUUUGUAGGUUAACUCUUAACCGUACGUAGCAUGGCCAUGCAUUUUGGAUCCGAUCACUCGAGGGGCCCAGAGAUAUCACUCUCAAUCAGAGAGGGGCAAAUCCCAUCUUGAUUGACCAUGUCUCAUAGCAUGCUUCUUGACAAACCCGAAAGCUACCUUUAUAACUACCCUGUUACGGCGUAGCAUUUGAUAGCCCCUAAGUAGGUCGAUCCACAUCUUGAAUACAUGCGACAAUCUCAGGUCUAAGGACAAAGCGUAUAUGUUGUUUAAAGAGAGAACUACUUCUCGUGUUGGGUCAGUCCUAGCACAUAUCUUCACAUGUGCCCACAUUAUUAGUUCAACAUCUCCAUGUCCAUGACUUGUGAAACAUAGUCAUCAACUAAUACAUGUGCUAGUCUAAUAUUCAUGUGUGUCCUCACAUGAACUCCGACUAGGGACAACUUUAGAAUAACCAUACAAGUAAAGAGUUUCACACACAAUUCACAUAAUUGCAAAUCAAUUCAAGUAGCCUUUGAUGGAUAUUCAAGGAACACAAUAUAAAUCAUGGAUACAAAUGGAAUAUCACCAUCUCUAUGAUUGCCUCUAGGGCAUACCUCCAACACCUCUCCCCCGCGAGCUCCUAUCGUGGCGGCGGCGGUGGGGCUGUCUCUCCUGCGCUCGGUGAUGGCCGGCGGCGGCGGUUGAGGGAUGGCCCCGCCGGCGCACGGCCGCGGCAGCCCCCCCUCUCUUUCCUGCUUUCUUGCCUCCCCCCUUGCUCCCUCCGAGUCUCCCGAAAUUCGAGAUCCAGAGGGCCAUGGCGACCACGGAGGAGGGCCGGCACCACCGUAGGUCCCCUCGCCAGCGCGCGCGUCCACCAGAGGUUGGGCGUGCCGCCGUCGAGUGGUCCUGUGGUGGUGCUUUUGCGCCCCUCGAGCCCCAAGCGGACGCUCCGGUGGCUUGGGUGGAGCUUUUCCCCGGCGAGCCCGUGGCUCGGCCGGCCUUUGCCGCUCCCCAUUGGUGGACGUGCGGUGGUGAGGAUGAUGGUAGGUAAGCCGCUCCGCGUCCCUCUUUACUUUAGAUCUAGGGUUAGGGUUAGAGUUUUACUUUUCUUUUCUGUUUCUUUUUCGAUCUACUUCUUUUUCCCGAUCUAGAAAAGCUUCUAGUGAGGUGUCUGAUACCAUUGUUAGGAGCAUGCCUAGGAUCUCUAGAUGCAUGUCUAGUCGGGAUCACAAUCAACAUGAAGGUCUUGGGGUUUCUGGUGUCAACCGAGAGCGAUAGAGAGAGAGAUGAGGGUACCUUCACCCCUAUGGGUGGAAGCAGCAGAGCUGCUGGCCAUCGCGGGUUCUGUCGUUGAAGAUCUGCGCAAGGCAGUGACCCGCAGUGAAGUUGCGUUGCUGGCGCGACGGCGGCGGUGCUUCCCAUCGCUACUGCACAAAACCUAGAUCGGUUGGUGUGUCGGUGGGGCGGCUGGCAGCGGCGAACCUCGUGAGCCGAGCCGUGGUCCCCACCGUGUCUAUAUAGCGCAGCACGACAGGGGCCCACCACCCAAUGCUAGGGUGGGCGCCCCCAAUCAGAGCGCGGAUCAAAGGUCCCUAUGGACCUUUAGGCCCAUUGGGGAGGAGAUCAAUCUAAUUGUUAACAAUUAGGCACCUAUUUAUUGAUUGUCGCUUUGCUCGUGCUGUAUAGUCCAUUAUACAUGCAGCCUCAGGACUUUAUAAACCUCAUAGUGUGUCGAAUAUGUUUGGGGCUUGGCUAUAGGGUAUAAUUAGUAAGGAUCUAGUUUGGUUGGGGUGGCAGCUGCUUAUUGAACGUUGCGACUUUGUAGAAAUGAUUUGGUUUUUGAAAAGAAAAAUUCUACAUCCCCUUUGCAGAUUAUCUUCUCGGUUACGCACUGGCGGCUUCAUACAUGCGCGAUCUUACAUAAGUCCAGACCACAUGAUUUGGUUAUUGCGGCAUCACGAUGGAUGGUGCAGGUGGCCGAGGAGUUUUUUUACUCGAGCACGUGGUGGGUGGCAGUCUAGCUGUCGAAUUGAGUGUCGUUAGGGCACCAGUUUUUUUGUGUUUCUUUUGUAAGGUUGUGUGCAUCUUCGAUAUACAAAGGUCAGGAGUAUUUCAAGAUGUUUGUAUCAACUCGAUGUAAUGAUCUUGGAAUUAAUAAAACAUUCUUUAUAAAAAAGAUAAAAUCACUGCUACUGUUUGUCCCCGUAAGAAGAGUUCCAGAACCACAUUGCUUUCUUAUAUAUAACGUAGAGGGGUGAAAAACGAAAAAGAAAGCUCACAUGGACACUACAAAAGGCUAGUUGGUACACUAGUACAUCAACAGUAAAAGGUAUGAAAAAACCAGAAGCAACAACAAGUGAACAAUGAGACACCAAGCAUACGUGCGCGAUCGAAACGCAAGACGAACCGGCUAGGCGUUUCAGCACUUGAGUGUCUUGAAGCACGGGAGGUGCUGCAGCUCGGCCAGCUUCACCGUCGGCGGGGCUGGCCCUUUGAUCGGGCCGCAUUUGCGUUCGUGGCGGCGGUGCAGGCUGCAGGGCACCGACACCUCCCGCUUCAGCUGGCAGAGGCACUUCUCGUUCUCCACCACGGUACAGCACUGCUCGCGGAUCUCGUCAUGGGCCAGGCAGUUGGUGAAGUACUCGAUUUGCGUCUGGCAGCUCUCCUGCGCGGGCGCGCCACCCGAGUAGUAUGCGGCAGCAGGUGCGGCGGCUAAGGCGCAGACGACUACGGCGAGGACGAGCACGGCAGCAAGGUUCGCCGGUGCCAUGGGGCUCAAACUGAAGGUAGCUAUGUUUGGGGUCGAAGCAGCUGGGAUAGUCUGUGACUCUAUGAGCAGUCCUGUAUGGGAUGACGAGUGACGACCCAUGCCGACCCCUGCCUCCUUUCAUAGAAGCUGCUGGGUGGACGGUAGCGGCACGGAACGUGCAGGAGCAUGUGGUAGCUGUGGAUGCUGUCUAUUAUUGCACGUAGUUUAAUUAGUUUGUUUUUACAGCGACUAGAGCCAAGAAUUUUUAUAUAGUACUUGCUCCUUGUUGUCUGAAGCUGGGUCCAAAACAGGAGUCAAUUAAGUGAGUGGUGAUAUAUUCACCCCUCUUGAUCAUUAGGGAUCCAAUGGCCCGAAUGCGCUUCGGUUGGAUUUGUCAUGCAUGUUUCUGGUGGGCACUGGGGCAUAUUGACAACCAAGAACAACUAAGAAGAGCAAUGGGUUGGAGUUGUCAUGUUUCCGGUGGGCACUAGCUAGGAACUCAGCAAUAUGGGCCACGAGCACAAGAGAUGUAAUCAGUCAAAAUAUGGCAAAUUAAUUAAACUGUUGUUGCUUUACAGCACAUAUAACAAAUUCUUUAGAAGCAAAAAGCAUAUCCCUUACGCGAGUAUGACUACACGUAUGAUAUGAAGUUUUAGGAUGCAAUUUGGAGGACUGCUACACAUAUGACUGAUUUUUUACACUUCCCACCAGAAGGAUACCCACAAGAAAGAUGGUCCCUUGUGCGAGUAGGGCGUAGGAACCUCUGGUUCCUUUGCCCAUCGGAUCGGAGAGCCCAUCUGAUAAAUCACCGGGCUGUACGCCUAGAAGGAAAUCCGUUCCAAAUUAUAGGUCAUUUUGGUACUUUUAGAUUUAUUUUUAUUAUGCACUUAGAUAUACCCUAUGUCAACAUGCAUAAUAAUAUAUAUAAAUAUAUAAAAGUCAGAAUGACCUAUAAUUUAAGACGGAGGAAGUAGGUUGUAAAAUAUCCACAUAUUAUUUUGUACAUGUACCUUGAAGCGAAGCAUGUAGGCUACGAUAGCCAUACCAAUUUAUCAUCUACUGCAUUCAACCAGUAUACUUGCGAGUAAAGAGGUCAUGUAUCAUUAUAAUUGUACACGCAACACAGCGAACACAAUGUUGGAGCAGCCGGUCCAACAUAGAUGCGCGUCGAUGUUGAGAAAGUAGUCGACCGUUAUCGCCUCAUCCUCAUCCCAACAUAAACCUCACCCACUGAUCAACACAUCAGCAACAACUGCAGCGCCUCCAUGGAGUAGACACAUAUGAAGAUAGAAUGCAGUGCACAGGUGUGCUAGCACCGCAGGCCCAGCUAGGUCUUCAGGGUUAAUCCGAGUGCACGUGGCAGCUCGGGUUUCUAGCACGAUGAAAUAAUGACUUGCCCACACCCCACUCCACAUAUUUUUAGAGGACGCUAAUAGGCUUGCACACUGUUAGCCCAUUAAUAGCCUAGUCAAUCCCUCAUGGAUCAACAUCCAUUGGCUUUGUAAUCUAAAUUGUUUACGAUUGGCUACUGGGCACAUUACCAACAUACCUUUUCUGCACAAAGAGCUUGUUUUGCGGAGCUUGUUGAUCUGGGGUAUUCAAAAAUUUUGUGCACUUAGAGCUAUGAGUGUAUUACAUGUGUUUGGGUGACUUCUAUUUUUUGUGUGUGCGUUUGUGCAAAAGUAAUUGGCAUUCUUGGCUAGCUGCGGCGUCUCUCUAGGUGAGAAAACGUCACCCGUCUGAUUCACAUUAUGCAGUUAGGACUGAGCCACGUUUCUUAUUAGUUUUUGCCAAAGUACCCUCGAGCAUAGAACAUCCUGCUUUUUUGGAGCAUUUAAAAAAAAUACUGACAUUUUAAAAAAUUUCUUUUAACUAAACACAUUCUCUAUUCCCAAAUAUUCAAAAACGGUUUUACAAAUAAAUCUUGCAUAAACAUGAGCAUAUGUGCUGCAUAUGUGCUGCAUUUGAUUGCUCUAGCAACCCCUCUCAAACCUCUCUUCCCAAGCGUUUCCUUAUAAACCUUCUUUCCAAAACCCUUUGAAGUAAUAUUUAAAUUUUAUUCAAAUCAAUGCCAAAAUUCCUAUUGAAUAUCAUGCAAAUAUAAUAUUCAAAUUCUUGACCCUGUCCUCUCAUCAUCCAAAGUCCUAGAAACCUUAUCAAAAUAUUUCCUUUCGUAAAAACCUUAAACCUAAUAUUCAAAUCUAAUUUGAAUAUUAAAUCUAUCCAAACACUCUCAGCUUCCCAACCCUCCCAAAAAGCCUCCAAGUUCCAGACCAAACUAUGCCCCACUUCAAAUCCUAUUCGAAUCAUUUCAAAUUCGAACUCCAAAUCCAUUUAAACAAAACCAAUUAGAGGAUAAAUAGGCCUCAAACUUCCUUUUUGGCCCGCCCCACUAUCGGCUCAUCCUCCGCCCGCGCACCCACACUCGAGGCCCACUCGGCAUGCUCGCCCAUGCCCAGCACGCGGCCCAUUCCACGCUGCGUCCCAGCUUGCCUCGCGGCCCGCUUGCCCGCUCUCUGCGCGCUGCCAGCGCCGCCGCCGGUGUGCGAUUCCCCCAGCGCCGCUGUGGUUCGCCGCUCCGCUCUGCCGCGCUGCGCACCCCCAUGCCCGAUGUGAUACCCCCCUCCAGCCCUAUCCCUGGUCGAAGGCCACCUCAACGCAGCUGACCAUACCGCUGCCAUCCCUUCCCCUAAACCCCAGCGCCACCUCAUCGCCGCCGCAUUAACUCUGCCCCGCCACUGCACUACGCUCCUACGCGGUACAGCUUCCCGUCGCCCAUCCUUGGCCCUCACAUAUCCCUGCUGGCUGCCGUGCAUGGCCCCUGGGCAAUCAUAUCCCCGCCGCGGUGCCAAGCCCCUUGCCGGCCUCAUCCGACAUGCCAUCCUCCCAUCCUCACCCCUCCCCAACAACGUGGUAGCCCCCCUACACCCCCCUUCGUACCUAUAAAUAGCCUACCAUCCUCACCCUUUCUCUACACAAGCCCGACGCGCAUCGUGUCCUGUCCCCCAAGUACCGCGCCUCUUCCAUUCCCUCCCACAUAAUCCCAGCACCACCAACGAGCUCACCUUGUUCUCCUCUUUCCCCCAGUGCUAGCUCGGACACUGGCGGCGAGCUCUAUCCCGGUUCCGGUGACGCUCCGCCGUGUUACGCGGCGGCACACAUUGCGGGCCGCCGCCACCGCUGCCGGCCUCGACAUCGAAGCGAUAUGCUGUCACCGCGUCGUUGCCCCUCCGUCCCACUCCCCCUCCCUGCCACACGGGUCCGGCCGUAACACCGUCACCUCGUCCGUCCCUCCCCUACCACCUCGCAUCCGUGCGCAUGGUCAAUUGGACUGCAAAUAGGAGGCGCGCUGGUUCACCAGUCCACCAAGCUGGCGCACAGCACAGUGCGUCGGGCGGACCCCACCCCUCAGCAUCAUCUAUGUGUAAUUGCUGGGUACACCCGGUAAAGUGUACACAAGAUUCUAGUUAGAUCCGUUCCACUAUGCCAAAAAUUCCCCAAAAUUCACCAAAACUACUAAGAAAUAUUCUAAACCUAUCCAUGCCUUUCAUUUCUAUAGCUCAUCCCAUAUAGACCCUUUUCCAAAUUACUCAUCCUACACACAAUAGGAAAAGCCCAAUGUAGUGUACACCAAAAAUAGCCUCUCUAUUUAUUUUAAUUCCAAAAAAAAUCCUAUGAAAAUUUGCAAAAAUAUCUUAGGUCCAUAUAAACCUAUUCCCACUCUUACUCUCCCAAUUACACCUCAUAUGCUCCCUUGGCUACCCUAGCGUAGCUGUUACCCUUUCCUGCCAUAGACGUUCACUGCCCGCGAAAGCAUCUAACAGUCGCAAAAUAGUCAAGCCAUCAUUUUUAACCAGGUUACAUCCGAGUCACUGUCGAUCAUCUCCUGCCGGAGGUGCAAGCCUGGGGGGUGGGAUGGAGGAAGGGUGAACUCAAGAAGAUGAUGGUAUAACCUAAGCCUCCUUGAUGCCUGAUCUUGCUCGGCUCCGUCUGUCACCGUGUGACUAUCCCCUAGCACCGAGUCAGGUCCAAUAGAAUCCAUCGAGCAAACUCUCUAGCUUCCUAUUCCACUUGAUCUUGCCCAGCUCUACCUACCGCUAUGUGGCUAUCCCCUAGCACUAGGCCAAGUAGAAGUGGUGUCUACCAAGCGAGCUCUCAAGUCUUAAACCUAGCAUCAAAGAAACACCGAAACCCAAAACCAUGUGAACUUGUCAGAGCUCCUCCCGCCAUAGGACAGGGCCCCGGGAUAAAGUUGAGCUCAGUGUGCAAGUUUCCUAGCCUUGAAAUCCAUCCUCACAACACCCACAUCAUACCUAGAGUCUAUUCCAAAACCUAGCUGUUAUGCUGCCCAAUUCAAACCUCAUAUAUUGACCCAACCUAGCUGAUAUACUGCCGAACCAAAACCCUAGAUAUCGAUAAAACCUUGUUGUUAUGCCUUAGGAAAUCCGUUCUUAAACUCCCUAGUAUUCCUCUGAAGUCCAACCCUCCAAUCCAUUAAUUAUUAGAAUUCCAUUUCUAAAUUAUUAAUGAAUUAUUCCUCUUUAUCCGGAGAUUAUUCAUUAGAUAUCGAAUAAUUCCCAAAACCUCCAUCGUCUAGUCUUUUUCAUUUUUCCUAAGCUAGAUAUUGAUUGUUAUAAUUGUUUGCUUGUUUAUGUGCUUGCAUAAGCUGAGGAUACGCCCAACUGGAGGCCCAGGAUCCAGAAGGCCUUAAGCUGAAGGUCCAUGUCAUCCAAAAGAUGAGUUGAAGCAUUAGCGUGACCACGCUCCGACGAAGACUCUGACGAGAAGCCAAGGCCUGGUCAACCUAGGAGGCGCAAUGAAGGCAAGUCCUUAGCACCCACCCCUCGAUCAUAUUUUUAUCCUAUAUUUCAUAAAUAUUAAAAUUCACCAAGAUAAUAACUUGACUUGCAUAUGUUAUAAAACUAUAGGAGCAACCCACGUAUAUUCUCUUCCUUGCCUUGACUUGGAGCCACCUCUAGCCAAACAUCCUGGUAACAACCCCAGUCAUGACUGGAUCGACUAUCGAGCGCCAUUUAGAAAUAGAAUUUUUAGGAACAUUACAAAUACAAUGAUUUUUAUGAAAAAACCCAAAUGGCGUGGGUUUUCAUAGUAAAUCUAAAAUGAGCCAACUAAAGAGUUAGAAACCCCUAAGGACAGGACAAGGAAGUAAGGGGGUAGCCUCAUUGAUGGAUUCUAUCCCAAAGCUUACUUUGGUCAUAUAAGGAUCGGUUCACGGGCAAGUCUUUCUAGUGAUACAUAUAGCCAUACGAGCCAAAAAGGUACAACCUUUAGGAGUACCUAGUUAUGUGAGGCAUUGAUUCAAACCCCGCUAGCUGAACCUAGUAAUCUAUCCCAAUGGGCCACGGUGGGCAACAGAUAUGCUGGAGCAGGACCUUCGCAUAGUCCUAGGUCUGGUUGGCACAGGUUGACUGAGAGGGUCGGAGACCCUGAGGGCAGAGACCCUGUUUAUUUUCUUUGUGCACACUCUCCCAGGUUGAUAUCCGCAUGACGGAUGAUAGUCACCCCUGUUUAGACCCCCAGUGUAUUAGUGGAUGGACCUAGGGAAUGCUAUCUAGAGAUAGACGCAGGUGGGUAUGGAUCUUGUGGGUCAGCACCGCCUAAAGCUAAGGUAUGGGCUGAUUGAACAUAUGGAUAAAGUGUCCACUGCUGCACAGAGUCAUAAAUCUAUCUAGAUUGCCGAGGCUCACUGUCACAAGCCCACAUAGUUAAAGCUCCCAAUGAUUAGUAAACAUGUGUUUAUAAAUUGUGUGAUGGUGAGAUGGGGCCGAGGCCCUGAGAGAGUAAUUUUGGAAUGACGCUCAAGUCGGCCCAGAAGGACCCUGAUGGUCUCUAGUGCUCUUUAGAAUAUGGGAACUGGUAGGGAAGGUAAGAUUCCCCCUCCAGGGCCAACAACUUAAAGAAUAUGCUUUCCUUCUUUUCUUUUUCCAAAACUCACCGCAGCCUACAUAAAUCAUUUUCAAUUAAUAAAACUAAACCUCAUACCCUUCCUUGAUUAUCCUUGCAUAUAAUAUAAUUUUCAAUCCUAGGAUUUGUUGAGUUACUCAGCCUUGCUUUCAUUUGUACAGUUUAGGGUUUAUGGUGCUAUAAGUUCAUUCUGCCUAUGGAAUGGGUAAUUGCAUUGCUCUCCGCUACGUAAGGUGAAAAACUAUUUUCUAUAAUUUAUGCAUCUCUUAUUGUUUGAAGCUAAUCUGUGAUGAGGACUGUAUCAGCUACUGAUUCAGGGACUGAUAGAGGUAAUCAGCGGGAUUCCCGGAAGGAGAUCCCCACAGAGCAUUUGUAUAAUCAACCCACAGUUUGUGCAUUUUGAUUAUUUUGAAAUCAACGCACCGAAACUCCAACUUAUGAUGUGGUAAUUUUGCAAAGAGAUCCUUGUUAUUUGGUAUAAUUAAUCCGUGUCCAUGCAAUGUGUAAUAUUCCAAAAUGACCCUUUAUUUUUUCUAUAAAUCAAUAUGCAAUCAUGUAUCUUGCUAAAAAGGCCCUAGACUUCCAUAAAAGCGAUCUAUACCCUAGCUCAUGCCACAGUAACUGUACCAAAAAAGUUUCAUUUUCUCUUAGAAUGAUCCCAUGGUCCAUGUACUCGGGACUUGUUCUUGAAAAAGACUCAUGCUCCUAUGGAAUCAAAUUGCAUUCUGCAUAGCCUAUUUUUUUAAUAUAAAGGCCCCAUGGUUCUUUGGAAUCAGCCCAUAGCCACCUAACAUCAUAUUUUCAUAUGGAAAACUCUCAUGCCACCAUCCCUACCCAUCUCUCUUCCUACCUUUCAUCAGACAUCAGGUCAAACCCUGUAUUGGACUCCACAUGUUGAAUUUGGAAUCCAGAUGAGGGAAUAUGGCUCUAGAAAGAUCCUCACCAAGGAAAUUGACUAACCCGGUUUUGGACAUAGGCUAAACUAGCUUUUUGUGUAACUGAGUAGGAAUUGGAGAAUUGUACAGAAUUUGAUUUGUAAAUGAUCUCCAAGUGGGCCAAGACCUCCUAACACUAUAAAUAUAAAGGGACACGACCGUUUGAGGGUAUCCAAUCAUCACAAUAACUAAUAUAUCUUUUAUCUUUUACCUUUACCUCUUUACCAUACUUUUCCAACCCUAUGUGUUGUUCUUCUCUUGUCUCCAUGGCAUGAGGAGGCACCCUAGCUGGCCUUCUGAGCCUAGGGCAACCUAAGGUGCGCUAGCCUCGAUGGGGUCCCUCCCGACUGGGUGUUUGUUGGUGUUUUGCUAGAGAUCCGGCGAAACCGCUUUGGCUGUUUUUCGUAGGGGCGCUACAAGGAGUCCCCUGCGACGUGCACGUGAUGUGCUCGUAUGAUGGCGUGUGACUUGUUCUCGCAUCAAUACGUUCAUAUUGUAUCUGACCAAACUCCACCAAUGUGAUAUAAGAGGCCCCACAAAAACAUAUUCAAUUUUUUUAAAUAAAGAAUCAUAUUCCAUUAUAAUACAUACUAUUACCAAGCCUUAUGAAUGAACCAAGUUUGAUAUGCCACUCUUACAUUUCUACAAAUACACUCAUAUACAUAUACCAAAGGUGCAUACCCUAAUAUAACAAGUCCUAGGAGCUCAUUAUAUCAUAAGGAACAAUAGAGCUUUUGUGCACACAACAUGUGAGCCACUAUUGAUUGAUGUGAUGUGAAACUUAGAAUUAGCCAUGCCCAUGAUAGCCAAAGUUUUCCAAACCAGUUGGUCCAGGUGCAAUUUUUCCAUGUUCUAUCUUCCACACCUCUCCCCCAAACACCCCCACUGCCCAAAUUAUGUCGAUGCCACCACAAGGUUGCUCAAACAUGGCUGUUGACGCCAGAUUUUGACACGUGUAAAAUCGGCGUUAGGAGAAGAAAAGAUCGGAAGAUGCGGCGAGAUACAAGGGCGACAAUUGGAAAUCGGUCGAGUGCUGCUACAGUCAAGGAUUGGCCAUUUGGUGCUUCAGUCGAGGAUCGGCCGAUUGAUCCUUGGAGUUCCGCCUCGCCCGACCCCUAAGGUUUGGGGUCGGACGCGCCCGACCCCUCCAAAGGAGGAUCUCCGCCUCGCCUGACCCCUGAGGCUUGGGAUCGGACGCGCUCGAUCCCCAAGGGAGGAUCUCCGCCUCGCCCGACCCUUGAGGUUUGGGAUCGGAUGCGCCCGACCCCCAAGGGAGGAUCUCCACCUCGCCCGACCCCUGAGGCUUGGGAUCGGACGCGCCCGACCCCCAAGGGAGGAGCUCCGCCUCGCCCGACCCCUGAGGUUUGGGAUCGGACGCACCCGACCCUCCGAGGGAGGAUCUUCGCCUCGUCCGACCUUAGUCCCCAGGGUCAGGAUGAGUCUGAACCCUCGACGUGUGGGUCUUGAUCGGGUGCCCCUACGCCAAGGAGAUGAUUGGCCGAUUAGGAGGUUGGAAUAGUUGGGCCGAUGUGGGCUUAAAAAAAAGAUUAUGAAGAUGAAGAAGGGGUCAGCCCAUGAAGCGCGUGAAAAUAGUACGAAUCGUACUUGUAAAUAUUUGUUUUCUUUUUAGAUUUAGGGAUAGAGUUCUAGUCGGAUAAGAGGUUUUUCUGUUUAGAUUUAGGGAAAGAGUUCUAGUCGGAUAAGGAGUCGUCUGUACGGGGCUAUAAAUAGCCACCUUUGUAGAUCUGUAAUCAACAAUCAACUCAAUACAACAAACUACUUUUUCCUCAUACUUACUUUCAAGCAGGCGACUUCGCCAACACUUUUUCCCCUUUUCCACGAGUUCGUACGGAUUGGCAGGGCUGCAUCAACUUGACCUCCAGCUGAUCUUGUAAGUUCCGUUUAUCGAGUAAUUUCUAAGCUUUAACUUCGGGCGCAUCGCUGUCAUUUCGUUUAGAUUUAUUCACCAGUUAUCGAUAUUUACUAGAAUUCUAGGUUUUACCUGUUGUUCUAGUUUUAUCACCAGUUAUCCAGCUUGGAAUUAGAACCUUCGACUUUAUUAUAUCUUGUUACUUAAUUUACUACUUUCAUAUAGCCAAUCGGAUCUGUUCCUAGUGUUGCUACAUUAGCGUUGUUUAGAUUGCUCUAGUAGUUAUCUCUACAAACGUUACCUGGUAAUCGGUUGCCUCAUAGCCGAUUUCCUUCAUUACCGCAAAUCGACCGAUUCGCUGAUAAGCUUUCCUAAGAUCGGAACUUUAGCCGAUCACAACCCCUGGGAACUGACAUGUCUAUUUCCUUGCCAAUCAACAGGUAAGAUUGGCUGGCACGCCGCGCGAACCACACCAGGGCGAUUCACCCGAACAGGAGCGAAGCAGAUUCUCCCGGGUCGUGUGUCCGACGCUGGGAAUUCGAUCAGUGGUUUCUAGCGCCAACACACUUUUGGCACGCCCGGUGGGACCAAUACACCCACCACCAUGUCGAAAGCUGCUGAAGUCUCCGAAGAUAACAUCAUCGAAGUGACAGAGGCAGAUCUCAGGGACGACCAGAAUGAAGAACUAGAGAAGCAGACGGCAUACUACCGGAAGGCAUGCCUGCAGUCCUUUAGUCGCACCAGAAGCGGGGAGACUAUCAAAAAGACUCCGUUUCCAACUCCCCGCCAGAUCACAAUCACCGAGGACUCGGACAAGAUGUCCGAGAUGGUCCAGCAGUCCGUUUAUCAAGCUUUCAUCGAUCAAUCCCCGGUGCUUGCGAAUACGGUGUACAAUGCCGUCAUCAGCUCCUUGGCUAGCGAAGUAUCUCAAGGGUACAAGGGACCGGCAUAUGCUCCGCUGAUUCCACCAAAUAAGAGUUAUCCGAAUUCGGCUUCUCAGCCGAUCCAAUUUCCAGUUGGGGGUUCAGGCGCUUCCUCAUCAUCGAUCUCUAUGGGGUUUACUGGCACACAACACUUCCAGCCACAUCCCGUUCAGUUGUCCUCUGCGCAGUUCCCUCCGGUUAAUCCAGCGUCUUGGGGGGCACCAUCAGCCACAACCGUUCAGGAUCAAUCGGCCAAUCAGGGAAGUCCCCAAUUCCAGGCAUCUUUCCAGGCAGCCACUCGACCAACUAUGCCGCUGUACCAGCCUGUCGCACCAGAGAUAGGCAAAGCAGCAGAGCUCGUACUAUAUGAUGAAACGAGUGGCUCAUUCAAACAGCCGACCCUGAAUACGCAGCCGGCUAUAACACAUCAAAUGCCACAUACUUUCACUCAGCAUCAAGUCAUCCCACCACUGAUAUACCAGCACGUACCAGUCCCUCAGCCGACAGUUUACCAGCAACAGCCGGACUGGUCGGCACGUAUAGCAGAGGUGAUUCAGGAACAAUUCGGCUUGAAGCCGAAGGUGCAGAUUUACACCUACAGGACACCGUACCCAUCUACGUACGACUUACUGCCGUUUCCCCAUCGGUAUAAAGUUUCUGACUUCACCAAGUUUUCGGGGAUGGACGGCACCUCAACCGUAGAACACGUGAACAGAUUCAUCAUCCAAUGUGGAGAGGCAGCGGCGCAAGAUGCUCUACGGGUGCGGCUUUUCUUGUCGUCCUUGUCUGGGUCGGCCUUCCAGUGGUUUACAACCUUACCGCCAAACUCGAUAAUUACAUGGGCUGAUCUGGAGAGGCAGUUUCAUAAAUAUUUCUACGCCGGGGUACAUGAGAUGAAGCUGUCCGAUUUGACCAGCCUCAGGCAGAGAAGCGACGAGACGAUAUCCUCAUAUGUGCAGAGGUUUUGGGAAAUCAGGAACAAAUGCUAUUCUCUAGCUCUGACUGAUGCACAACUGGCUGAUAUAGCCUUUCAAGGUCUCCUGCCUCAUAUCAAAGAAAAGUACGCCUCACAGGAGUUUGAGAGCUUGAGCCAAAUCGUCCACUGAUUGUCUGGUCAAGAGGUACGUUCUUUCGAUCCACGAAGGAACUUCCAGAAGAAGGUGGCAUACUUAGAAGAGGUUGAGGCCGAAGAAGAUGCAGAAGUCGGUCUUGCAGAAUGGGUUAAAGGGAAGAAGCCGAUAUCAUGUCCGUUCGGCAAGAAAGAGCCAGAAACAUUCGGCUUUGACACAUCAAAGGCCGAUAAAAUCUUUGACCUCCUCCUACAGGAAGGACAGAUCAAGCUCUCGCCAUACCAUACUAUUCCUUCUGCCGAACAGCUGAAGAAGAUGAAAUAUUGCAAGUGGCACAACGCUACCUCCCAUGACACUAAUGAGUGCAAAAUCUUCCGGCAGCAGAUACAGACGGCCAUUGAGCAGGGCAGACUUAAAUUUGAAGUACCAACAAAACCAGCCAAGCUGAUGAAGAUCGAUCAGCACCCCUUCCCCACCAACAUGGUUGACACGGGAAAGAACUCGCUCCAAACCAAGGUGCUGACAUCCGAAUUGGCUAAAAAGAGUGGCGCCGUAGACCCCAGAAAUCAAGCGGCGCCUGAAGACGUCAAGGGGAAGCGGCGGAUGGAGGACGAUGACGGCGGGUCAGGUGAACCACGCAUUACUUCCCAAUUCCUGCUCCACAAAUAUCAGCGGCAACAUGGACGCUCAAGAUCCCGGGAAGAAGCGAUGCGGCGACAUGAAGAUCACUGGAGAUGCCCGUUCUUCAUCCACUGUUGGGAAAGCAACCUCAGGUUGCCUUCGGCCGAUAAUUGCCCGGAGUGCAACGGCCCGUAUCGUAACAAUCGGCCGUUCAACAGGUCUCGCUCUAGAGAUAGGAGACCAGAGCCGAUCAGCAGGAAUGGGCGCAACCAAGACAACCGGUGCCCUCCCGUGCGUGAUCGGCUGGGGGGCAGAAGUGACCGAUAUGACCGGUCGGAAGGCAGGAGCCAUGAUGGGCCGGGGGCAGAUUUGAUCGACAUGACCGGCCAGAAAACAGGGCCAACGUCCACAGUCGGCUUGAAGAGAUGGCCGAUGCUCGAGUAUCAGACGAGAACCCUUUAGGACGCGAACCGGAAUGGGAAUGCGCCAGGCCACGAACCAAACCAGUGAACCCCAGGUGGUGUCCCGAUGGAUUGACCAAGUCUCAAAAACGAAGAAUCCAGCAUCUCCGCUAGUGGGAACAGCAGGAGGAAGAACAACAGUACACGACGGACAAGAGGAAAGGCAGGUCUCAGGUAUGGCGCUCCAAAAGAAACGACAGAGGAGGUGAUGAAUCGGCAGGUGACGAAUCGACAGCCCACGUUGGCAUGGUUUUCAUACUGCCGAUGGAAUUUAUGACUCCUGCCGACCGACAGGACAUAUCGGCAAUAGAAGAACAGAUGGCGCAAUUGGCUUUGGAGCCAAUGACAGCCACAUUCGAGAAGCCCGAAGACGACAAACGGCAACACCUGAAAGCGUUGUUUCUUAAAGGGCAUGUCAACGGCCGACCCCUCACCAGAUUACUGGUAGAUGGAGGGGCUACAGUCAACAUCAUGCCAUACGCCGUGCUCCGGAAGCUUGGGAAGAGCGAUGAUGACCUGACCAAGACAGAUAUGAUGCUCAAGGACUUCGAGGGCAACGUAUCUCCCGCUCGCGGCGCUCUCUGCGUCGACCUCACCAUCGGCAGUAAGACCCUCCCUACUACCUUCUUUAUUAUUAAUGGCAAGGGGUCCUACAACAUGCUUCUCGGCCGAGACUGGAUACAUGCAAAUUGUUGUGUUCCAUCUACAAUGCAUCAAUGUCUUGUACAAUGGGUCGGCGACAACAUCGAGGUGGUCACCGCCGAUUCCACAUACAGCAUCGCAGCAGCCGACACGUAGCAAUGGAGCUACGAAACCAUCAAGUGCAUAUCCGGGAGAGUAUGGGAUACUGAAUUCUUGAAGGUGUCCGAUUUUGGCCUACAGCCGAUCCGAGCAGUCGGCUCCUAAGACUCAGAUUAAAUGGAUCAGUUCGCCCGAGAAGAUGGGAAGCUAGGGCACGGGUUCACGUCGGCCGAUUCAUUAGAGAUGAUAGACUUAGGCGAUGGCACCAAACCAAGGCUGACAUAUAUUAGUGCAAAUUUAGAUCCGGAAUACAAAUGUAAACUGACAAGUUUGUUAAGAGAAUUUAAGGAUUGUUUUGCUUGGGAGUAUCAUGAGAUGCCCGGAUUAGACCGAUCUAUUGUUGAACAUCGGCUACCCAUAAAACCAGGAUAUCGGCCGUAUCAACAGCCUGCACGGCGGUGCAAUCCUAAAAUCCUACCGGACAUAAAAGCCGAAAUAACUCGGCUAAUCGAAGCAAAAUUUAUUCGGCAAUGCCGUUAUGCCGAGUGGAUCUCCAACAUUGUACCAGUAUACAAGAAGAACGGAAAGCUACGCGUGUGCGUUGAUUUCAGGAAUCUUAAUCAGGCCACACCAAUGGACGGAUACCCCAUGCCGACGGGCGACGUGCUGAUAGAUGCCGCCGAGGGACACAAGGUUAUUAGUUUCAUGGAUGGAAACGCUGGGUACAAUCAGAUACUUAUGGCCGAAGAGGACAUACCCAAAACGGCCUUCAGAUGCCCAGGUCACCUUGGUUUAUUCGAGUGGGUGGUAAUGACUUUUGGCUUAAAAAACGCCGGCGCUACGUAUCAGAGAGCCAUGAACUACAUAUUUCACAAACUCAUCGGCAUACUGGUAGAAAUCUACAUCGACGACGUCGUAGUCAAGUCAAAAGGACACGAGGAGCAUCUGGCCGAUUUGCGAAAAGUGUUGGAAUGCACUAAGAAACACGGGCUGAAAAUGAACCCAAAUAAGUGUGCCUUCGGCGUAUCCGUCAGACAAUUCUUAGGAUUCAUGGUACACGAGUGAGGAAUAGAAAUCAAUCAGAAGACUAUAGCGGCCAUCAACAAAGUCGUGGCCCCGCAGAAUAAGACUGAGUUGCAAUCUCUAAUCGGCAAGGUGAAUUUCAUCAGAAGAUUCAUAUCUAAUCUGUCGGGGCGAAUCCAAGCUUUCACACCACUAUUAAAGUUGAAACCCGACCAGGAGUUCAUAUGGGGGGAAGAGCAACGCAAGGCACUAGAAGAUAUCAAGCAGUACUUGGUCUCACCACCGGUAUUGGUCCCUCCUCAAACUGGUAAGUCGUUUAAACUAUAUUUAUCAGCCAAUGAAAAAGCUAUUGGGUCGGCUCUGGUCCAGGAGUUCGAGGGAAAGGAACGAGUAAUUUAUUAUGUCAGUAGAAGACUUCUGGACGCCGAAACAAGGUACCCUCCAGUGGAGCAUUUGUGCCUAUGCCUUUACUUCUCAUGUACCAAACUCAAGCACUAUUUGCUAUCGGCGGAAUGUGUGGUCGUGUGCAAAGACGACGUGGUAAAAUACAUGCUAUCACUGCCAAUUUUGAAAGGACGAAUCGGCAAAUGGAUCUUAGCUUUGUCAGAGUUUGACCUUCAGUAUGAAUCGGCGAAAGCCGUCAAGGGUCAGGUCAUGGCCGAUUUUGUCGCCCAACACUGCGGACCAGAGGCUACCUUCAUGGAACCGGUACCUUGAACUUUAUACUUUGAUGGAUUGUCAUGUGGGGUCGGAUCAGGAAUCGGAAUCAUCCUCAUAUCGCCUCGGGGGGCAAGCUAUGAUUUUUCUCUGCCGAUAGAAGCAACCGCCACUAACAAUCAAGCAGAGUACCGAGCUGUACUGAAGGGAUUACAAUUACUAAGAGAAGUCAAGGCCGAUUCUGUUGAAAUUUUUGGAGAUUCCAUGCUUAUUGUGGAUCAAUUAACAGGGAAGUCCGAAUGCAAGGACGAUGUGUUGAGGAUUUAUUACGAAGAUUGCUUGUAGCUUUUGAAAGAGUUCAAAACGGCAGUUAUUGAACACAUCCGAAGGAAUCACAACGAGGAUGCCAACAAGCUCGCCCAACACGCAUCUGGGUAUCGGCCGAUUCAAGGCGCUAUGGCUCUAGAGUUCGCGGCCGAUGACUGGCGAAAAGAAAUUGCCGAUGACCUGAAAGAUCCAUCCAAGAAAGUGGAUUGGCGGGUGCGUUUCCAUGCUACCAAAUACGUACUACUGGAAGACGAUUUGUUCUACCGAACAAUUGACGACGUCCUACUCAAGUGUCUGGGAACGGAGGAGGCUAAGACUCUGAUGGGAGAAAUCCAUGAAGGAGUGUGUGGAGCCCACCAGUCGGCUCUUAAGAUGAAAUGGAUGAUCAGGAAUAAUGGGUAUUAUUGGCCGAUGAUCCUCGAAGAUUGCUUCAAAUAUUAUAAGGGAUGCCAGGAUUGUCAAAAAUUCGGGAAUGUCCAACGUGCGCCCGCGUCGGCCAUGAAUCCCAUUAUCAAACCAUGGCCGUUCAGAGGAUGGGGAAUAGACCUCAUCGGCCAAAUUUAUCCUCCAUCAAGCAAAGGGCACAAAUUCAUUCUAGUGGCCACUGAUUAUUUCACCAAAUGGGUGGAGCCAAUUCCGUUAAGAGCCGUAACAUCGGCUGCCAUGGUCGACUUCGUAAGGGACCAUAUCGUCUACCGAUUCGGCAUUCCCCAGACUAUCACAACCGAUCAAGGGACAAUGUUCACAUCAGGAGAAUUCAUGGAGUUCACGGCCGAUAUGGGAAUCAAAUUGUUAAACUCCUCUCCAUAUUAUGCCCAAGCUAAUGGCCAGGCCGAAUCCUCCAACAAAGGAAUAAUAAAGUUAAUCAAGAGGAAGAUAGAGGAGCAACCGAAAAAGUGGCAUCUAUGUCUAACUGAAGCCCUAUGGGCAUACAGGAUGGCUUGCCAUGGGUCCACCAAGUUAUCCCCUUAUCAGUUGGUGUACGGUCACGAUGCAGUACUACCAUGGGAAGUGAUAGCGGGGUCGAGACGCACUUUGCUCCAGGACCAGUUGACGGCCGACGACUACUCCUCACUCAUGAAAAGGGAGCUUGAUGACUUGGCUAGCCAACGAUUGAGAGCUUUGAUAAGCAUUGAGGAAAACAAGAAGAAAGUGGCCAGGUGGUAUGAUAAGAAGGUCAAAGUCAAACAAUUCUCUCCAGGAGACCUGGUUUGGAAGUUAGUGUUGCCGAUUGGGUCGAAAGAUCCUAAAUUCGGAAAGUGGUCCCCUACAUGGGAAGGGCCGUAUAAAAUCGGCAGAUGUGCUCCAGGAAACGCUUAUAUUCUGGAAACAAUCUAAGGAGAAGAGUUUACUAGGGCUCUGAACAGAAGGUACUUGAAAAGGUACUACCCUAGUAUAUGGGUCGGAGCAUAAAGGAUCGACCACGAUAAACAGCACACAGCCGAUACAAAAAGGUUCGUCUAGAGAAAACAUGUAAUCGUCCAAAUCGGCCGAUGUAUUCAUUCGGUACGGAUGGUGGGUUACACGGCCGACAAGGUACAAGUCGCCCUUAGAACAAAAAAUAAUUAACCACGCUUUUUCUUACGCUCUCUCUCAGCCCGACCUAGUUCUAUCAGAAGACGGAUGUACUCUUCUUCUAUCUCUUUCAUCGCAGCCUCCGCUUCAACUUGACGGGGGAGAGGGUGGCUCCGGUACAUUGCCGGGCGUGAUGUUCCUGCUGCUGCAUCUUCAAGGAGGACUUGUGGAGGAAGCGGAUGACUUCUGUCGGCUUGAGGUCGCCGGCGGGCGUUGCCGUCCAGAAAAUCCCAGAUCCGUCGGAUGUCAGCAGGGACAUGCUCUGGGAGUUCGUCACGAUGAGCCCUGAUUAAGUCCUUGUCCUCUUGCGACAACGGUUCAUCAGAGCGCAUGAGUUCGAUGGCUCGUUCGAGUUCAGGGCUAAGGCGCCGUGGCUGUAGAAAGUAACGAUCAAAAAGGGGAUUCCCUUCAGAAGAUCUAAACUAGGAAAAAGGAUGAAGGCAAAACUUUCACCUGGUUAACAGAGGAAGAGGAAGAGGAUGAAGAAGACAUGACUGAAAGGUGCGCCGACGAAAGUAGGUUAGGAAGAUGAAGCCGAGCUAGACUGGUACUCUCGGAACGGGGGCCUAGGCUAGCAUUUAUAAGAAAGGGAGGCAUGGAUGUUUGGUAAGACGCAUCCCAUCGGAAGUGAAAAGGGUAAUAAAUAAAAGGGGGCGCCGCGAAGGACGAUCAAAAGGGGUAUUAAAUGUUUGUACAAGAACUGCCAGUACUUUUACAGGCCACCCAGAAGGGCAUCGAUAGCCACGAUCGCUCGGCGCCGGAUCUGAUCGGCAGAGUCCAAGACGCGUUGGUCAUCUUCUGCCGAUCCGGGGACUUCUGACGUAUUGCGGUGGAGCUUGAGGGCUUCGUGAGCUAAGUGCUGCCUCUCCCGCUUCAAAUCGGCGAUGACAGAGGGGAGUUCCUAGAGCCUCUUCUCUUCGGCAUCUAUUGCCUUGGUCACCUGCUCCAUCUCCUUGGCAAGUUCCGUCCUUCGGCGUUUGAGGCGAUUUAUCGUGCCGACGAUCCCCGGGCGAGAAUCCUCCAGAAAGUGAAUCCGUUGAUGCACCUCUUGAGCUUGACGCUUGUAUGUGUCUUCUUCUUCACGGGUCUUGGUCAACUUGGCGCGAUCGGCCAUGUGGCGCAGGGCCCUAAAGACCGGAAUCCUCAUUGACUCGAUAUAUGCUGCCGGCGUCAAGGCCUCUUCUGCUUCUUCUGGUACUCGCUCGCUGACGUCACCAAAAAGUUGUCGAAUCGGCGAGGCGUCUUCUACCAGUCGGCCGAUGUCCUCUUGAAGAAGGGAUCGGAUGCUUGCGAGUUUGGCACGGACGUCAUCAGGAACAGAACUCAAGGUGACCUGGCGAGAGGCGACUUCCUCGUCAUGAGAAAGUGCGACCGCAAAUGAGAAAAGGCUGUUGUUGGGAGUGUCUUGUUCCUGGAAAAUGACAAGACAAGAAGAGGGACAAGUUAGCCGAUGAUGGUAGCAAAUCGGCCAAGUAAGGAGAAGAAGUCUCUUACCUCCUUAAAACGAAUUUCUUCGAGUUGCGGUCGGGAGGUUGUUAACCUCGAUUCAGGGGCUGGUUCCAUUGAUUCGUCAUGAGUAGAAGAUUCCACCGUGAUUGGUGCUGUGCUCGGGCCGACUUCCUGAAAGAUGAUCGAUUGGGUUGCUGCCGAUUGUUGCAAGUCCACAGGAGGGAUUUGUGCAGUCUAAAAUAAGAUGAGUCAGUAUGAGGAUGGCAAUCGGCAGGAUAAGGCAACAAGUUUACCUGCAUAGCUUCCACUAGUAACGACGCAGCGGCCGCUCUAGCUUGCGUGAUGACUUGAGUAUUCACUUCUCCAGCAGCUGGAAGGGGCAAUGCGGCCAAAGUUUCUGCUGAUGUGAUUGUAGGAGGGUCGGCCGAUUCUAUACGAGUUCGUACUUGGCGACUGGUCUUCUUGGUAACCUUCUUCUGCGCCUGCUUCGAUCGGCCGACGAUCACAUCCACGGAAGGGGCAUCAUAGCCGAUAAGAGGGAAAAUGGUGUAGGGGUGAUGAUCCUCUAUCGGCCGACCACUCUGACUAUGUGUUGGGGGAACACAGUUUUCAGACUGGAAAAACAACAAGAUGUUAGUGUACACAUUUAAAUGCAUUAACAAAGGAAUGAAGAUCGGUUAGGGGAAAAUACCUCGGCGUUCGGAUCGAUGUUGGCUGGAUCCAAGAGGUUGCAGUACGUUGAUGCGGAGGCGCAGAACAGGUACAGUUUCCAUUCGGCCUACCAUAACUUGAAUUGUUGGACAGCAAAGGGAGCCACUAUCCAGUCAUUCAGAUCUAUGGUGCUAGAGUCUGGUAUCCGGUCUCGCAGCCGACUGCAGUCAAGGCCCUUGGUGAGCUUAUCUCUAAACUUUGCUCGGCCAAUGAAGUAUGCCUGAAUCGGCAGUUGACCCAUGCCGAAUUGCCGUGCUGCAACAGAAGGAUUGUAGAAUUCAUAUGUAGGGGCAUCUUUUCCUGAGAAGAAGUUGGCCGGUAAGAUCCCUGGUUUAAUUAACUCAUCUGUUAGGUCUUCGUCGAAUCGGCCAGUGAUUGAGUCAAAACAAGGAGGGAGUUCGAAGAUUGAGUCAUCUCUCCGAUAAGGGAACCAGACGGUUGCAUCUUCGUUGAAGCCGUUGUAGAAGCACCGGAAAUAUUCGGCCACCUUGGUCGCAGAAUACGAGCAACCAGAGAAGGCCGAUGCCGCUUCGCCAAAGGACAUACACCGGCGUCAGACAGUAAGGUUCUCUUCCGAUUCGACGCUGGGGAAAGUCAUAUUUUCCACUCGCUGCUGAGAGAUCUCGCUCAUAUACAAGUUCAGCUACAAGUUAAUGAACCACCAGGGCCCACCUGGGUUUCCAAUCGGUUCCCCUUGCGAUAACUUGAUACCGAUCUGAUGAAGCAUGUGGUAGACUGCUCCCAGUAAGUGCUUCCCGAGAGGAACCGAAGUCCCUAUUUAUAGUGCUUCGGCCAGAGCUUGGGUGUUGGUAGAUGGACCAGCUGCUCUCCCAUAGAAGAAGUGCUUCUCUAGCCACAUCAUCAGGAAGGCCGUAUACUCUCUGUUCUCGACAGAUCCAGCCCUUUUGUUGCAUCCAAUGAAGCCUUUCCACCCGUCGAUUCCCCUUGUGUCCAGCCGAUAUGAUGUUGCGGCUAUAAGGCGGAAAGGAGUGUCCGGGGAAGUGAUGUCCAGGCCGGUCAGCAAGACUACAUCGGCCAAUGUGGGGGUCAUGGGUCCGUGUCCAAACAGGAAUGCGUUGAGAGCAUCAGACCAAAAGUAAGAAGCUGUCAUCACUAACGGUUCAUUCCGUUCCAUUUGGGACAAGGAUAGGUCGAUGCAUUGGCCAAUUUUGAGCUCAUCCCAUUGGAGCUUCUUGGAGGCGGCUAUCCGCUGGUACCAUUCCCUCCAACAAGGAGUUUCAUUCGGCCAAGACCUGAAGGUACCCGACCAGUGAUCUAGGUCCAUGGUUGAUUGUUUGAAGGGGAUCCUAUGGGUUUCUAAGUUGAUCAGGUCGGUUGGAUCUGGGUUCCCCAUGGGCCCGAGGCAGAUAAGGCCAAGGCUUUCUGUAAGGCGAAUAGUGAUGCAAUGCCUAACUGCCUAAAAAGGAAAAGGGGGUGCGAGGGUGAGAAAUAGAUCUAAGGUAAAUGCACUACUGACAAGGGAAGGUUUCGGUAAUAACCUCCAGGAUGAAGCUCCUUGUAAUCGGCGGAGUCGCCGGUGCAGCUGCAGAUGAUGGAGCCGCUAAUGGGAUCUCGGAUGAGGCUUCAGCUUUCGUCGGUGGAGCUCCUUCUUCCGUCAAUGGAGUCGCCGCUGUCGCUACUGGAAUCUCCGCCGAAGGCACCAUUUCUGGAGCUUCGCGCGUUUGCGAGGUGCCUAAAGGUGCCGCCAUUGGAGAAGUAGGAGAGAAUGCGAAGGGAAGGAGGCGCUGGAGAAUUGGAGGAUUGAGGAAAGUGUUGGAGGAAGAAGAGAGCCUGUGCGCCGGAGAAGAAGGACGUGAGCUCGUAAGGAGUAUGGGGUGCGUUGAUAUUUAAAGAAGUUCUGAGAAGGGUUAAAAGCGGAAUUUUUACCGCGCCGGCGUUCCGAGUUUUUCGGGAGUAGUGGUUGUCAUGGGUGCCCGUUUCGAAAAGAUUGCAAUCAUCAGGUUGGAGAUCGCGAAACGGAAGGAUGUUUUCGUGGCGUCUGUUUCGGAUGGGAAGUUGAAAAGAAUUUCGAAGUAAAGACUGUGUUUUACUCCGAAACUGGGGGGCAUGUGUUGACGCCAGAUUUUGACACGUGUAAAAUCGGCGUUAGGAGGAGAAGAGAUCGAGAGAUGCGGCGAGUUACAAGGGCAGGUGAUUGGAAAUCUGCCGAUAGGUGCUACAGUUAAGGAUCGGCCAAUAGAUGCUACAGUCGAGGAUCGGCCGAUUGAUCCUUGGAGUUCCUCCUCGCCCGACCCCUGAGACUAGGGAUCGGACGCGCCCGACCCUCCAAGGGAGGAUCUCCGCCUCGCCCGACCCCUGAGGCUUGGGAUCGGACGCGCCCGACCCUCCAAGGGAGGAUCUCCGCCUCGCCCGACCCCUGAGGCUUGGGGUCGGACGCGCCCGACCCUCCAAGGGAGGAUCUCCGCCUCGCCCGACCCCUGAGGCUUGGGGUCGGACGCGCCCGACCCUCCAAGGGAGGAUCUCCGCCUCGCCCCACCCCUGAGGCUUGGGAUUGGACGCGCCCGACCCUCCAAGGGAGGAUCUCCGCCUCGCCCGACCCCUAAGGCUUGGGAUCGGAUGCGCCCGACCCCUCCAAAGGAGGAUCUCCGCCUCGUCCGACCUUAGUGCCCAGGGUCGGGAUGAGUCUGAGCCCUUGACGUGUGGGUCCUGAUCAGUUACCCCCUUGCUAAAGAGGCGAUCGGCCGAUUAGGAGGCUAAGAAUAGUUGGGCCGAUGUGGGCUUAAAAAGGAUCAUGAAGAUGAAGAGGGGGUCAGCCCAUGAAGCGCGUAAAGAUAGUACGAAUCGUACUUGUAAAUAUUCGUUUUCUAUUUAGAUUUGGGGAUAGAGUUCUAGUCGGAUAAGAAGUUUUUUGUUUAAAUUUAGAGAUAGAAUCCUAGUCGGAUAAGAAGUCGUUUGUAUGGGGCUAUAAAUAGCCACCCUUAUGGAUCUAUAACAAGACAAUCAACUCAGUACAACAAACUACUUUUUCCUCAUACUUACUUUCAAGCAGGCGACUUCACCAACACUUUUUUCUCCUUUUUCACGAGUUCAUACGGGUUGGCGGGGCUGCAUCAACUUGACCUCCGGCUGAUCUUGUAAGUUCCGUUUAUCGAGUAAUUUCUAAGCUUUAACUUCGGGCGCAUCGCUGUCGUUUCGUUUAGAUUUAUUCACUAGUUAUCGAUAUUCACUAGAAUUUUAGGUUUUACCUGUUGUUCUAGUUUUAUCACCAGUUAUCCAGCUUGGAAUUAGAACCUUCGGCUUUAUUAUAUCUUGUUACUUAAUUUACUGCUUCCUACAUAGCCGAUCGGAUCUAUUCCUAGUGUUGCUACCUUAGCAUUGUUUAGAUUGCUCUAGUAGUUUUCUCUACAAACGUUACCUGGUAAUCGGUUGCCUCAUAGCCGAUUUCCUUCAUUACCGCAAAUCGGCCGAUUCGCUGAUAAGCUUUCCUGAGAUCGGAACAUUAGCCGAUCGCAACCCCUGGGAACUGACACGUUUAUUUCCUUGCCAAUCAACAGGUCAGAUUGGCUGGCACGCCGCGCGAACCACACCAGGGCGAUCACCCAAACAGGAGCUAAGCAGAUUCUCCCGGGUCGUGUGUCCGACGCUGGGAUUCGAUCAGUGAUUUCUAGCGCCAACAGGUUCGAUGAUAUGAUCUUCACUCUUAAUGUUUAAGUGCUCAGGAAAAGUUAUUUGAAAACUUGGAAAAGCCUUUAGCAAGAUCCUCUUUGAUAUGCCAAAGUCCUACCAAAGCCAUGUGAAGAGUUAUCUUGAAAACCUUAUAUACACAUAUGCUGCUUGUCUUUGCAUUGAGCUUUGUCAAAUUGUUGUGACCCUUGGAAGAAUUCUUUCAUUCUUUCAUGAUCAAGAUUCACGUGCACACCAUAUUCCCUUUGAUAUGCUCAUAUGAGAGUUAGCAUUGUACCAUCCAACCAUUCCACAAAAUAAAUGCUCCAUCAUAUGUAUUGGUCUCUCUCUCCAACUAUUAUUACAAAAGAGACAUGGGCUAUCGUGCAAAAAAAUUGGACACAAGAAGGUCCAAGAGAAGAAAGAAAAAGGAAAAGAAAAAUAAAGAUAGCCAUGCUCUCAAAAGAAUUUACAAAGGGAGAGAGAUCAUACAAAAAGGAGUUUUCAUUUCAUUUCCAUAUACCAUCAACUAUAUCCAUACAUGUGCACAUCUUGAUCUGAUUGUUAUGACUUACUUUUCUCCUUGGAUCAAGUUUUUGACUUUGCAAUAUAUGUGAUGCGAGUAUGUCUUAUCCUUCAUACCCUACCUUGAGCUUCGCAUAUAGCCAUCAUUAGAAGUAGGAAGAAGAAGGCAAGUCUAAUGCCUUAGUGAGGACAUAUACACAUUGAGUGAUAUGAGAGAAUCAAAUGAUGAGCUAAAAAAGGUUUGUUUUGAAAACUCAUUGAAAAAUCAUUCCAUUCAUCAUUAUCACAUAGCUGAUUAGAUCUAUCUCAAGUGUUGUUUUUGUAGCUUUGUCUAGUUUACUCUAAGUAGUUUUCUUUACAAUCGCUACGCAAUUGUCGGCUGCAUUAUAGCCGAUUACCUUUUUAUAGAAAAUCGGCCGAUUCGCUGAUAUGCUCCUCGAGAUCGGAACUUUAGCCGAUGGGAAUCCCUAGAAUUUGACACUUUUUCUUCCUUGCCAAUCAACAGGUCAGAUUGGCUAGCACGUAGCACGAACCGCACCAGGGCAAUCACCCGAACAGGAGUUAAGCAGAUUCUCCCGGGUCGUGUGUCCGACGCUGAGGGUCAAUCGGCUGACUUUUAGCACCAACAAGGUGUAACAAAAUACCGUUAUGGGAUGACAAUAAUGGAUCUUAAAUCAAUUGGAUAUAAGAUGAAACAUUCAUCGUAGCCAAGGAUGUGGGUCAGGUUUUCUAUGUGAAGGACAUGUCAAGAAAACCCAAGAUGAAGGCCGGUAAAAAGUUAGAAGAUGAGCCAAAACGCCACAUAGUUCUGCCAGGGAAAAGAUAAAUCGUUGGAGUUGAGGACAUUUCGGACAAGUCAGAAAAUUUUGAUCAGUUUGAUGACCUUCCUCCAUUCUCAUUUCAGGUUGACUCCAGCAUCUUAUUAUCCAAAGAAGACGCUCCGUACUUACGCCGCCAUCAUGACCAAGGGACGUUCAUCAAGAAGAAGAUUACAAUUGUUCCACUGAAUAAUGAUGAGUAGCUUUAGAACUUUAAUAUUAUGUGGUAUUAUGUGGUCAUGGGAUGAACUAUGUAAUGUAUUUUGUACAAUUCGAACAAUUAUGUGGUAUUUCUCUCGAUUAACGAUACUAUUUUGGCUCAUCAAAACUCAGGAAACAUUAAAUUAGAGGCAAUUAUACGUGUACAUUGUAUACUAAUGGCAUAAUUGUAAAAUUUGUUAUAGCUAAUAUUUCUUAAUAUUUUUGCAUGUUCAAAAUAGUAGUUUUUUCCUUUUUUUAUGGAUUACCAGCAGUAAGAAAACAUUUCAUACCCUAGUAGUAACUAAACUUCUAAUUUUACUAUAUAAAUAAAUUGCAGUAUGGUGUGAAGAUAGUCAACACUAAGCUAUGAAACAUUUUUCAAUUAUUUUUCCUAAGUUUACUCCAUUUAUUAAGCAUAAAACUAAUAUAACAACAAUUUUAAAAAUAAGAAAAUAAAAUAGAGUGCUGGCGGGAAAUGAAACUCUGGGGGAAGAUUAGUACGGCCUUGCCCGGUACUAAAUUCCUCCACUUUCGUCUCCUACCGUUUUGGUCAGAUUAGUAACGGGCAGUGGCCUUGCGUGGUACUAAAUGGAACAAUUUAGUAUUGGGCAGUAGUGUUGCCUAGUACUAAAAGAUAUUUUGUAUCGGGCAAGGCCUCCGCCCGGUACUAAUCUAGCCUAACCUACAAAAACCCUACCCUGUUUUUCUCCAACAUUUAUCCACGCAGUCGUUCCUCUCCCGAUCCCGCCGCCACUCCACCGCCCCCAACAUCGUCAUCCACCAUCUCCCGCCGCCCCAGUUUCUCCUUGACGUCCGGCCGUGCCCGGCUCUCUAGGGCAUCACGGCGCACUCCAUCCCACCCUCCUCCCGCAUGGAGCGCUCCUCCGUGACGUCCGCACCAUCUACCGCCCUGGCCAACCAGCCCCCUUCGCAGGCGCCCACUGCCACAGCUCCUCCUUGACUUCCUCGACAUUCGGCCGCACCCAGAGCUCCCCUAGCACCAUGGCGCACUCCGUCCCGCAGGAUUCCGCACUCCACUAUGCCAGCCACCCCUCUGCCCCGGUCGCCGCCCCACGUACUCCGCCGCGCUUCGUCCCCAACCUCGCCGUGCACCGGUCGCCCCCAUCCCAAGCGCCUCUCCCCUCAUCCCGGUCUCCGGGCUCUGGCCUCCGCCCCCACCGCCACACCCUCGGCCCUUCACGUGCGUACGUAAACCCGCAACCCCUCAACCCGAUCGCAUACGUCAGCAAGCCCCGUGAUCAGGUCAGCAACUAGAAUUAGAAAAUAAAUAAUAAAUUGGUAGAAAUCAUUGAAAUUAUUGGAAAAUGGCGUGGAAACUUACUUACAUGAUGCCUAGAAUUAUUUCUUUUGUUUCAUUUAGUUACAUUCUAUUUACAGUUACUUUGUUAAUUGUUUUUUUAGUAAUGGCUAGAAUUACUUGUUAGUAUGGAAGAUAAAAAUAUAGAAAAAUAUUAGAAAGUAUAGGAAAUUGCUAGAAAUAAGUGAGAUUACCACAAAAUUGCUAGAAACUUACUUACAUGCUGCCUUGAAUUAUUUUUUUGUUUCAUUUAGUUACAUUCUAUUUACCAUUACUUUGUUAAUUGUUUCUUUUAGUAAUGGCUAGAAUUACUUCUUAGUAUGGAAGAUAAAAAUAUAGAAAAAUAUUAGAAAAUAUAGGAACUACCUUGUUUUUUCUUGUACUAGUUAAAAUGGGAGAUAGGGAGGAAGAGGUGUUCCUGCAUAAUAUUAUUAAUGAAUGCAGUAACUACAAUGUACAAGUAGAUGAUGCAGGAGGUGAGGAGGAGGAUGGCAACCAGUACCUAAAUAUGACUGGUGAUGGCGGUGAUGAUGCGCCAGCCGAAGAGGAGGAAAAAAUUGCUGAGGUAUAUGAAUCCCUUUAUACAAAAACAUGAUUUGAAUUCUCUACCUUUCAUUAAUGCAUCUUUUUUGGCCAUCUAGAUCAUCAACGAGGCCUAAACAGAAAUGAGGCGGGAAGAAAAAGUUGGAGGCGCACCAAUUGCUCCCGCUAGUAUUCAGACGACAUUUGUCAAACAAUGUGGGUUUGUUGUUAUGGAAAACAUCCCCAUAAGCAUCAAAAAAUUGAGGGUAACCGUACUUGCUGAUCCACCUGAAGAUAUCAUCCCUGAGCAAGAGAAGGAAAUGUGUUGGCAAUAAUUGAUACUGCACUUCACAUAUCCAUAAGGGAAAGCAAACAAACUGAAGGAAUAUGCCUUUAGGAACAUGGCAAUUGCUUUCCAGAUGUUCAACAAAAACUUGCACAAAGACUUUAUCAAGAAGGGCAUUGAACUAGAUUUGGAGAAUAAGUACCAGAACCUACAACCUUAUUGGGAAGCAUUCAAGCAAUACAAGUUGUCAGAAGAUGCCGAAAGGAAAGCUCAAAGUGCCAAAGAUAAUGCGAGCAAAAAGAAACAUUUUUAUCAUCUUGGCCAAGGAGGUUAUAAGACGGUGAUGCCGAAAUGGCAGAGGAUGGAAGAUGACCUAAUGGCAAGAGGAAUCGUGCCAGUAACUCUCAAUUGGCCAAUGUGAGCAAAGAACUUUUUCUACGCUCAUGGCGGCACACUAAAUAGGAAGAUGGAUCAUUUAUUACUACCGAUUCAUUAAUAGCAGAAUUCACCAGGUUGCAAGCUGCACUAAAGGCUAAAUGGCAAGGAAAUUUCAAGCCUAACAAAGAGAAAGACGAGUUAACUUAUGCACUUGGGAAUCCGGAACACAUUGGACGUGUCUGAGGCAUUGGUGUAGUUCCAUGGAAGAAAGAGUUCAGCAAAGAUAUCGAGUAUUACGCAGGUCAAAGAAGCAAGCCGCAGUACAAGAGAAGCUGCAUAUCCUAGAAGAUCAAGUAGCUUCAACUAAUGGAAGAAUGGAUUGGCUUCAAGAGGCGUUAGCAGCCAAGAAGGAGCUGCAUCAGAUGCUAAUGUGGACAUAAUAAGCCAUGCUUCCCAGGAUCGUAGCAGCAUCGCUUCCACGGAGUUCCAACCAGUAGAUGAAUCGUCUAACAUGGUAGCAGGUAACAACCAACAUUACCCCAUGGACGACAUCACUAUGAGGACCCCAUGUGAGCUUCUUACUUUGGUGAGGAAAACAAUCAAAGUAGUGGCUCACAUUAUUGUUGAAGUACCGGUACCAAGCGGGACAACUCAUGGCAUGCAAAUUCCUGAAGGAUAUGCUAGAGUCCAAGUUCACCGAGUGGAAAUAGGAUGGGAAGACCUGGACCUCGAGAUCCUUGGAGGUGAUUGUGAAACAGAACUGGGGCACACCAUCCACACCUAGAUUUGUUCGGCCAAGCGCUACAUAAGGUUUCCGCAAGUAGCCAUAGUUCUCGUAUCAUCCCCUCAGAGCUCAAGGCACAGAUCACCAACGCCACCAUCCACGGAUGCACCUGUUCCAAGGGACUAAAGCAUGAGCGCAUCGUCCCCACCUGCUACAAGGGACCAAAGCAUGAGUCCACCAUUACCUCAGCCUCCACUUCCUAAGAAGAAAAACUCGAAGGCUUUGGUCCUAGAACCUACUAAGCAAAAGAAGAACCCACCUCCUAAGAAAACGAAGCCUCCACCUCUGAAGCUUCCAUAUGAACAAACUAUGGAGGAAAGUCAUGCGAUAUCUUUUGCUGAGGUUGCUGCUCACUUCAGGUGAAAGAAGAUGCCCAAGAAACCACCAAUUGAUGAAGCAACAAAGAAAAACUUUAAAUCUCUGGUGGUUGAAAAAGUGGUGGAAGAACCCAUCUCGGACUAUGAUUGCUCAAUCACAAAGUCAUUUGAGAAGAAAAAAAGAUCACGGUCCACCAUUCCCCAGCUCGGAGAACAAUCUCAAAAAUCGAUUGAUCCGCUCAAAGUGCUUUCAAAAGAAGAUGAGAUUCUAGCUGAAUUGGAUUGCUGAGACCAAUCUCAAAAAAGAGCAACUCAUAGGGGGGGACGAUGUCCAAACUCACCCAGGUGCUGGUAAAUGGGAGUUUAAGUUGGUGGAACCUCUUGUGCGGCCAUAGUUGGUGCCUCACCUGCCAACAAAAAUGUAUGCAUUUCAUUAAUGAUACAUGGAGGCAACUGCAGAUGGAUGGAUCAUGUUUGCUGCUCGGGUUCAAGAUCGUGAUUAGAGGGCCAGAUGACAUAUGGAUUGAGUUUGAAAGUAUUCAUUAUUUGUACCAUCAAGAUGUCCUUGAGAAGUCCCUCAUCAGUGCAUGGGUUCUAUAAGUGUUUGCUCUCAUUUCUACAUCCUAGCUCCUACAUUAAUUGUGCGUUGUCUCAUCCUCUCUUUAAUUUUGUAUCAUGCAGAAUGGAGAUUCAACAUUGCUGGAGAAAACAUAUCUACCAUGUCGCCUUCAUGGACCGGCAUGUUAUAAACGAGGAAUGCUUACUGAAAUGGCCAAAUAGGACCAUGAAGACUAUUUUCAACUUCCUGGAUAAGCAACAUCACAUGCAAAGAAGAAGAGAUGCUUAAUUGUUUCAUUACAAUCACAGAAACAACAUUUUUAACUUGCAGUCCAAUUCCUCUUGGCUAAGUUAUCCUUUGUGAAGAUAAGACCUCUUGGAGGUACCAAAGGAAGAUCUUUAUUUUUAGAGGAAUAUUUAACUUCCAUAUAAAUUUAUUGAUGAAAGGAGUACCCUGGUUAAUGAGAUAUUGACACAUAGUCUGGAUAAUAAAUUUGCUUUGUCUAUGCAAGUCCCAGAUAAAAUUAUCCCUCCCAUCAGAAAUGUGCUGAGUGGCUACAUUAGCUACAAGGUUAUGCCAAGCAGUCAUUUUAUCUCCGAUCAAAGCUCUUCAAAAUAAUAUAUUUAGGCGAACACCUGGUGGUCAAGACUCAUUCUUGUUUUGCCACCUUGUUUUGCCGGCCAUUCAACUGUGUUUUGCUUUUUCAAGCCACGCAGGUUGUUGACGGUCAUCAAGUACCAAAUAUGAUCAUCAAUAUACUCAAGAAUAAAGGAGGAUUGGCAUUUCUUACACACAUAUUUUGUUUCGAAUAAUGUAGUUCCACUUGUCCUUGGAGAUUAUUUGGUUGCAGGUGAAUAAGCACAAAAUGAUGGAGAAAGCACCCUCUAAGGAUCGAAGAAACAUGCUUCUAACCAAUAGGAGGUUGCCAUGUGUGCAUCCCAUGGAUUGAAGGGCCUACAAACUACCACAACUGCCUCAAUCCACCGGAGAACACACACAACCGCCAUUGGGACCCACCAAGUAGUCACCCGAAGAAAGAUGGUUGCGAGGGAGCCCACAGGGGGUCGUCCGAACUGCCCUUGCCUCCCCUCGUCUCCAGCUUCCACGUGGCGAUGGUUUAGGUCGGUUAAGGGAUAUUCCCCAAAGAUUCCCUCGUAGAACCGCCUCCUGGAGCCUAUAAAUAUGAGAGGUGGGGCUCCAUUCUAGGACACACACACAACUAGUGAUUCACUCUCUCUGUCUUAGUUUCCAUGUUAGGUUCAAAGUGUGGCAUCCCGCCCCCCAGGGCCGGGCCCGCUUACACCUGGCAGCUCUCUACGAUAUCAAGAAUUCCCUCACAGACCCACACAAGUCUUUUUUGCGCACUUUGUCCUCACUCGUGUGCACCUAGGAAGAACUUCCCGGUCGGUCACCCAUCCUAAAAUUGCUCCGGGCCAAGCGUGAGUUUCCAUGUUAGGUUCAAGGUGUGGCAUCCCGCCCCCCAGGGCCGGGCCCGCUUACACCUGGCAGCUCUCUACGAUAUCAAGAAUUCCCUCACAGACCCACACAAGUCUUUUUUGCGCACUUUGUCCUCACUCGUGUGCACCUAGGAAGAACUUCCCGGUCGGUCACCCAUCCUAAAAUUGCUCCGGGCCAAGCACGCUUAACCCUGGAGUUCUUUGAGGAUGAGCUUCUGGAAAAGAAGUUGCAACUUGUUGGUAUGAGUAUUUUAUCAAUCCUAUUAAGCAUUGGGACAGGAUGUCACACAAGGUCUUCUUGGAGUUUAGGGUAUGGCUCUUAUAUCUUUUAUUCCUAGGUUAACUUUGUUCUAUUCAAAAUAUAUAGUGUUGUGCUUGGUUCUAAUAUGCAUGAGUUAGAUAUAUACCCUUACUAUGUUGAUGUGCUUGGCCUAUACGCUCGUAUGCUAGUUGUAUACCCUUGCUAUUGUAGUAUAGGCUAUACUCUCAUGUGUGCUUAUAGACCUUGCUACAUGUCAUACUUUGUGCGCAUGUUGUUGGAUUUAUAAGCCCGGUAGUCCACUAGGGGGUUACCCAAGUGGUUGAUUUAUAGGUGAGGGCGAUUGUGAGACCAAGAACACAAAGGUGAUCACGAGAACAUAAGGGACACAUGGAGUUUUAGAUAGGUUCGGGCCUCUAGAGAGUAAUACCCUACGUCUUGUAUGUUGGUGGAUUAUAUUGCUCGUGAGUUUCGAUGAGGUGCCCUCGGGAGGCUCCCUUGGCCACCUUAUAUAGGCUAACGACCUAGGAUUACAAGUUGGUUUGAAUCUAAUCUACUUGGUAGUUACAUGGAAGGUGAUCUGAGUCAAACUACAAUACCUGUCCCGCAAUAUCCGGGCUGAUUUGGAUCACACGACCUCCUUGGCGUGUACUCAAGUACCUUCUUGUCCUUGGCCCGCACAUUCUGGUUGGGUGGGCCCACUUGUGAGGUCCGACUAGUAUCCUGGUCGGUGGGGACCCAUGGGGUACCCAUUUCCCUCACAUGUAUACCUUGUAUAGCUUAGUUGAUCUAUGCUACAACAUCGGUUCAAUAGCCAUUUCUAUGGUGGCUUCAGCCAUUGAUACAAUAGCCCGGUAUGGCUGAGUAUUGGUAACAAUGCAAGCAUGGUGCUUGGAUUGCUUAGCUUCAUUGGAUAUGAGUUUGCCCCACGGGUUGCUAGGGCUAGGCCACAGGUGUUGAUAGCCCUAUUGGUCCUUCAUAAUCCCCCACAUUCGGGUAUGCUGUAGGAGUUUGGAAAUUAGCAGUAACUUUACUGGGCGGAACCAGUACGGGUACCGUCUCCCCGUGUGUGCCUAGGUGCAUAUGCCUGAGUUCUAUACAAUGUCUAUGUAUGUUAUGCUUGUAUGAUAUGUGUAGUAUAUAGGAAGUACAUAUGAACCUAGAGCUAACUCUUAGUCCUUCUCCCUAGCUUAGUUAUCUUGAGAUGAUUCCAGUGUGUGUCACACUACAUAUCUAUCUAUCUUACCCCUGCCUUGAGUAUUGCCUCUAUCCAUCUAUGGUAUACUCAUAUGCAUAGUAAACUAUUUUGACCAACCCGGGAAUAGGAUACCCUUGGGAAUACUCUUGGGUGAAAUGCUACAAUAGUAUAUCCAUGCGCUUACGGAUUUAUUUGUGAUCGUUGAAUAUACCAACAUAGGUCAAACACAGUUGUCUUAGGUAAAACUGAGAGUUUUUGCCAGUUCUCCAUGAACUCAUUCGAGAUUAUGUCCCAAAAUGAAGUAAAUCAUAGACAAAGGAUGUCACUUAAUCUCUUUUUUUAAGAUCAAAGAUUCUCUCGAAAUUCAACAUUGGAAUAGGACCCAAAGUAUCUUUCCAGGUGGUGAUGUUCCAACCCACUUAGAUAGGAUGACAAUCUACUAGCCUAUAAUCCUCCACAAUGUCACUAAAGUUAUAGUUCUUGGCAAGCUCAUGGAGCAUCGAAACAAAUUUUCCACCAUUGGGGCCAUAGUCAACCUCAGCACUCUAGCUGGGGGGGAGGGUGCAAAUUACCGAUUUUUUUAGCAACGAGGGGGUGAGACUCUGUCACCGGGUCAAUAUCAACCUUGUGGUAAAGCUAGCGCAAGUGCCAAUCAUUAUGCCACUUGUUGCAGUAGGCGGCAAUAGGUCCCGCUAACCACUUGCAAAGGAUGACACAUCCUGUGGACCAUGCGUUUUUCUUGUAAUAUUCAACUAUACAUAGUUCUCUUACAUAUUAUAGAACAACAAUUUGGCUCUACAAUCAGCAACUUGUUCGGACCAAUGCCAUUUCUAUCUUUCCUCAGAAAAAUGUUUCGCCACUGGACGAUCAACCUUCAGUACCGGUUAGUAACCCCCUUUAGUACCAAGCGCCUGAUAGGUACCGCUUUAGUACCAAGUGCUAUUGUGUUUAGUACCGGCCAAAAUGCCUGGUACUAAAUGUGCCAUUUAGUACUAGCCAAAAUGUCUGGUACUAAAUGCGCCAUUUAGUACUUGUCGGUAGUACCAACUGGUACUAAACUAAGAGCCAUGUUGCGCUGUUGUGGAGAAAAUUUAGUACUAGUUGGUUUUACUAACCGGUACUAAAUGGUUAUUCCUUUUCUUUUUUUUGUUUUCCUUUCAUUUUAAUUCGUAUUCGUAUUCAUAUUUGUGUACAAUAUCUGUUUGUGUCAUAUUUCGCUAAUAUAUAUUGAUCUAGCAUAGUGAAGGUUGCAUAUAUUAUAUUUAUACAAUUUAUAUACACUUCAAAAGUUACAAGUAUUCCGAAUAUGCACUAUGUGUUGUCAUCUGAGUUCCUAAUUGGAUGAAGUUGACUGUUGGUAUAUUUAAUGAUCACGAAUAAAUCUGCAAGCACACGGAUAUACUGUUGUAGUAUUUAACCCAAGAAUAUUUCCAAGGGUAUCGUAUUUCCCAAAGGAAGGCGGGUAGGUCAAAAGAGUUUAAUAUGUAUAUGAGUAUAUCAUAGAUGGAUAUAGACAAUACUCAAGGUAGGAGUAAGAUAGAUAGGUAGAUAGAUAGUGUGACAAGCACGGGAAUCAUCUCAAGAUAACUAAGUUAGGGAGAAGGACUAAAAGUUAGCUCUAGGUUCAUAUGUACUUCCUAUAUACUGCAUAAGCACACUGUAUAGAACUCAGGCCUAUGCACCCAGACACACACAGGGAUACAGUACCUGUACUAUUUCCGCGUAGCACAAUUACUGCUAAUUUUGAAACUCCUACAGUGUACCUGAACGUGAGGGAUUAUGAAGGACCAAUAGGGCUGUCAUGACCUGCGGCCUACCCCUAGCAACCCAUGGGCAAACUCGUAUCCAGUGAGGUUAAGCAAUCCAAGCACCAUGCUUGCAUUGUUAAGAACACUCUAUCCGACACGAGCUAUUGUGACAAGGGCUAAAGCCGCCAUAGAAAUGGUCAUUGAACCGAUGCCGUAGCAUAGAUCAACUAGGCUAUACAGGAUACGUAUGCACACAGAGUAUAACAUGUAGCAUGGUCUGAAGGCAUACAUGGACGUAUAUAAGCCUAUACUACGAUAGCAAGGGUAUAUGACUAGCAUAUAAGCGUAUAAGCCUAGCACAUCAACAUAGCAAGGGUAUAUAUCUAACUCAUGCAUAUGAGAAUCAAACACAGCACUAUAUAAAGAAGAUGCAUAUUUUGAGUAGAAUAAAGUCAACCUAGGAAUAAAAUAUACAAGAGCCAUAUCCUAGACUCUAGGGAGACCUGUAACCUGAAGUAGAGCCACUCUAGCCUAACUCCACUAACUUGAAAACUAAGAGGGAGAGAGUGAAUCACUAGUUGUGUGUGUGUCCUAGAAUGGAGCGGCUCCUCUCAUAUUUAUAGGUUCCAAGAGGUGGUUCUAGUAGGCGAUCUUCUGGGAAUAUCCCAUAACCGAUGUAGGGGAGUCACCACCAAUCGCCACGUGGAAGCAGAUCACAAGGGGAGCCAGAGGCGGUUUGGUUGAACCCUUGGUGGCCCCUCUCGCAACUGCCUUUGCGUGGUAGUCUGACAUGUGGGUCCUAAUGGCAGUUGUGUUUGUUAUUCGGUGGAUUGAGGUGGUUAUGGUAGUUUGUGGGCCCUUCAAUCCAUGGGAUGCACACAUGGUGACCUCCCAUUGGCCAGAAGCAUGUUUCUUGGAUCCAUAGAGGGUGCUUUCUCCACCCUUUUGUGUUUAUUCACCUCCAACCCAAUAUUCUCCAUGGACAAGUGGAACUACAUUAUUCGAAACCAAAUAUGUGUGUAAGAAAUGUCAAUCCUCCUUUAUUCUUGAGUAUAUUGACGCUCAUAUUUGGUACUUAACGACCAUCAACAACUCCCCCAAGCUAGCCCUUUGCUUAUCCCGAGCAAAUGCUAAGACUUAGGCUAGUUGAUCAGGAGUUGCUACUAUAUUGUAUUCCUAACUUAUGCGAAGCCUAUAAUAAAAUAUUCUACCAAAAUACUUAUGUGGGGCAUGUAGCUUCACCUUAUCUUGGGUGGUUGAGAGAUAGAACUGUUUUAUAGAGCACCAUUCACUUAUCCUUUGAUCAGUGGUCAAUCCGGAGGUUUUGCAAAGUUUUUCAAAAGAUAUCAAAGUUCCUCAAAUGAUACUCUCGGAUCGGUCAAUGUGUAUGAUUCCUGACCAAGGCAUACGGUUGCCUUUCUUUCACAACCUGCUCCUAAUAGGCUUAUAUGUGGAACUGUAUGUAGGGAAGAAUGAAGGCAUACCUGUCUCUGAUUUAUUGCUAAGUCAAAGACCGGAUCAAAAUGUGCAUGUCUGUGGAUGGUGUAUGGACUCCUUUUUUUAUGAUCCUUCUCUCUCCUUGAUUUUUUUCUUUUGAGACAUAGGCUAUCUUUUCUCUCUUUCUUUCUUUUUUUCAUCAUGCUUUCAAGAGCAUGUACUUUAUUUCUUUUUGCAUAGCCCAAGUCUCUUUUGCAAGGAUACUUUGGAGAGAGAGGUCAUAGAAAAACGUGGAGCUUUAUUUUGUGGAUGGAUGAAAUGAUAUGAUUCCUAACUUCCAAUGUAGAAGUUUAGCAUAUGGUAGUGGCGUGUACGUGAUCUUGAUCAUGGGAGUAUGAUAAGUUUCUCACUAGGGGUCACAACAAUUUGACAAAGCUCAAUGAGAAAACAAGCUACAUAUGCAGAGGCUAUGUAAUAGAAUCACGUAUGGCCUUGGAUAGGAAUUUCUCAUCAUUGAGGAACUUCUCAUUUUAGCAUUUUCAAAAAUAAAACUCCGGAUAUCAAGUAUCACGUAGAACAAGAUCAUAGCAUCUCUAUUCUACCAUAUCAUAUCUCACAACAACCUAGACUUGGAUCAUCCUUUUGCUACCCACAAGUUUCAACUUAAGGUUUGAUCAUGCAAGCCAACAAACUCAAAACUUAGGUAGGAUACUAAUUUGUAGCAAGACAUGGGAGGAAAUAAACAGAGCAACUAUUCAUCAUUUCAACUAUGGAGAAUUAAAACAUUCUUACCGCACAUAGGAAACAAGUAAAUAUUUUUGGUCUUUUUAGUUUUUCAGAUUUUUAUUUGUUUUUACUAUGCAUAUUCUAAAAAGGUAAAGAUACAAGUUACCUCUCUUGUGGGGUGUUGGUAAUUUAACCCGGCAACCUAUCAAGGGAGUACCCGAGAUAAUGUUUUGGUUGGUGAGUGUUGUUGCAAUCAAGGAGUCGAUGGUGACGUAGAAACACGAUUUAGACAGGUUUGGGCUGCUAGAUCGCGUAAUACCAUAUGUCCUGUGUGUUGUAUGCUUGUAUUUGAUUGAACUUCUUCUGAGGGGGUCCCUGCCCGCCCUUAUAUAUUAGGGGGGUAGGGUUAUAGGGUAGUCUUUAGUACAAGAGCACUACUCGGAUACGACUACAGAGUCCUACUCUAACUCGGCAGAGUAGUUUCCUUGUAUUCCGACUAGUCCUUCAGGAGUUCCAUGUAGUCUAUGUUGUCCUGUAGCAUAGUCUUCAUGUCCUGAUAUGUCUCGAGUACGUCCCCUUGAGUGGGUCCGUACAGAUCUUCUGGUGGGGCCGAGGAUGUAUGGUCGACAAGCCCCCGAGUACUUUGUAGUCAAAUGAAACACUUCCGAGUACUCAGCAAACGAUGCUCGACUAGUCUUUGGUGCUCGUUGAGUACUUCUGUCGUGGCUAGUCUUCGAGUACCCGAAUACUAUCAAGCAGCUGGAAGGUACUCCUACCCCAUUUGACGUUGGUUUUGAGUAGUUCAUCUUCAAGUCUUUAUAUGGAAGUGCAAUGAAAAUCGCACUCCAUAUGGAGUAGCCCUCGAGCCUUAGGUUGAAUCGGAGAAUUAGGCUAAGGGUCAAACUGAAUUUGUUUUGUCUUUCCUUUAUCCCUAAAGAAAAAGAAAAUUUUGUCCAACAGGCAAGGUGUAUGCAACCCUGAGCACUUGAUGGACUACGUCCAGGCGAUGAGGGGGUCAAUCAUGAUCAACGUGACUGUUGGACUUCAAUCUCACGAUAAAUCUUGAGAGGAUCAGACCGUUGCAAGAUUACCGGCUGCAUUCCUAGAAUCUCGGAGCCAUUUUAGAUCUGUUGCGCUGUUAUAAAAGAUAAGGCCAGUAGCCUCCUGUGACGACCAUGGUCAAAUCUUUCGAGUUAAUCUUAAUCCGAGUCCCUAAUCCCGCUAACCCAGCUUCCCCGAGCUCAAGCGCUCAACGUCCGUUCCUAAGUCCCGACCCCUGAAGACCCCAACCCGCCGGUUCCUUCUAAGUCUCCAUAACAGUGUCCCUUUCAAUCUUGGGUAGAGGAGAAACCGAGACUGACGGUUGGACCCGCAAAUCUUUUUCCCGGAUCUCCCGAUGCAGACGCACUCGAGCGGCCUGCACCACUCCAGAGCUUCUCCGCUGCGUGGCUCAACUCCUCUAACCCCGCCGCUUCGCCUCGUCGCCGGCCGCGAUCAGAUGGUUUCCCGCGCCCUCCUCCCCAAUCGCAACAGAAGCCCCUCUGCAACCUUUCUGCAGCGCCCCGUCUCGCUCGCGCCCUCGCCGGCCGCGCCUUGGUGCUCCGUCACCGCUGUGGCAGAACUUUGCCACCUGCUGCAUCAGACCACCUCGCGGCUCGCGCCCAUCAUCACCUCACCCGACCCCCGGCUGCAAGCCCCGAUGCCUUCCAGCUUUUCCACCGCCUCUCCAUAGUCGCGCCGCCCCAAAUGCGCUACGCGACGAUUCCUCCAUCGCCAACCCCGACACCGGCCGUGACAGCUCCUUUUCCGCCUUGCCAGAACUGUGCCCCGGCAAACCGCCGUUUCGCGCUCACCCGCAUAGCCGCAGCCCGGCUGUCUUUUCACCAGUUGCAACCUCGCUUAUAGCACCGUUCCCCCUGGCACACCCAUCAGAUCCGCCGCUCGGCGAGGCCCGCCUCCGCCAAAUCUCACCCCCGGCAAAAUCACACCUGCACCGCCCUGUCUCCAGUGCCCAAUGGCCGAAGGCGUCAUCACCGAAGUCCUGUUCCGCCACCCAUCGUUGCUCAAUCACCGCCAUGGAAGCGCACUCCAUCCUUUUCUUCCCGGUCGUUGUGCUGCUCCAACCCUCUCUCUCCCGCGCAGCUAUAAAAGGGAAUGCCCGAGUCCUACCUGAGUUCCCUUCUCCAUCGCUGCCUUACCGCCUUGUUUCUCUGUUUCGUGCUCGAGCACUGCCACCUAAGUUCCUGAGGAACUCUCCUCUCCGCUCAACACCCACCUUUCCCAAUCCUCCUAGCCGCUUGCUCCUCCGCGCUGUGCUAGAGCUUGCUUGUUGUCCACAAGAAGCACCACCGCCGCCGGAGCACCGCCGGACAUCGCCGCCGCCCAAGCUUUAGCACCUUUCAUCUCUCCGCCUGAGCCGUUCUUUCCGACCCCAAGACGUCACCAGUAGGCCUAAAGGUAAACUGCCGACCUUGUCUUGUUCGCCCGACCCCUUUUCCGUCUCGCCCGACCCUAUCUGUUCGCCCAACCCCUUUUUCGUCUCACCCGACCCUAUCUGUUCGCCCGACCCCUUUUCUGUCUCGCCCAACCCUAUCUGUUCGCCCGACCCCUUUUUUCUGUCUCGCCCGACCCUGUCUGUUUCGCCCAACCCCUUCUCCAUCUCGCCCGACCCUGUCUGUUUCGCCGACUCUUUUCCGCCUCGCCCGAGGACUCGGCUGUAUCCUUUUUCCUUGACCCGAGGGUAUAUGUGUAAAAAUCGGGGACUUCUCUGCACUAAGUCUGAGGACCCCAAGCACAGCUAUUCCUCUAGUCUAAGGGUCAGAUCAUAAGUUUCUUCCAAUCCGACCCUUGGUCUUGUUCUCUAUCCACUGAAGCUUGAACCUCCACACUUUUUCCGUAGCUUUGCUACAAGUUUCUGGGCUAAGACUUGCAAGUGUUGCUGUUGAAAUAACCGUCUAAGUGCUAACUCCUGCAUUUGCAUUCGUGUAGAGUUGAAUCUAACCGACGGCGUCUACGAACUGCAUCCAGUGCCAGAAGACGGAGCAGUAGCUGAGCCGCCGACCGCAGGAGCUGCAGCAGAACCCUCAGAGGACCAGUUUCCCUCCCCUCCGCUUGAAGGCAAGCCCCGGAGCAUGAACCCGUUUUCUCUAAACUUACACAUACCUUCCUUCAUUUGUAUGUGCAUUUACGUGACAGGAGUUGUUUGAAACCAUAGAUGCAUGACUUAGUUCCCUUGAUCUGAACACUAGCCUGAUGAGUCUGAGUAGUUGCAUUGCUUAAUAGGACUCGGUAAAAGUCGAGUGAUUUCCUGUCACUCGCGAGUUAUAGGAGUUGGUUGUUCUCCUUCUGGUUACAACUAUAAGGACGAUGGACGGGGCAGGGCCUGGGGAACUCUUUGGUGGUUGGUCGAUUGCCCUGUCUGUCUAUAAGAAGUUGCUAAGGUCGAAAAGUGUUGGUGUUCGUGAUCAAGUGUUUGAAAGUACUAAUCUCAUACCUAGUAUGGGAUGGGGAAGCCUAGUACCUGAUUGAACUAGGGCGUGGCUUAUACCCCUGCUGUCCCUGGAACGAGGUUCCCAUGGUGCAUCAUGUGGGUGCAAGUGCGGUCACAGUAUGGUAGAGGCUGGGACUGUGGAGCAUUGCAUGCCAAGGGAAGUUUGGACCUGACGUGCCUGGGAAUUGAUGGGGACGGCCGACACAGGAAGCGACCCUUGUGGUGCGCGGAUGUCGUGAGGUUAGGUUCACCAUGCAUGGUUAAGAAACUCGAAUCGAUUCGUGUGCCUCUCACAGUUUGAGACUGCUUGAUCGCUAUGCUACACUGAGUAAAGAUGGAACAUGAUGAUGCUAUGAACCCGAUGCUUGUUCUAUACUUUGUUGUUGGAACUAUGGUUGCUUAGCAUAAGUCGCCAAUAUCGACUGGUUAAUGAACUUAGAACUUGAGCUAAAACUUGAAAGCAAGGACCCACUGUAGUCGCUUUUGGCAAACAAAACCCCUCAGCCAAAGAGCCUUGCAUGUCUAGAAGUGGUGGAGUAGUUUACCACUGGUCGGUUAAGUCUUGUUGAGCUUAGAAGCUCAGCCUUGUUUGUGGCUCUCUUUUCAGGUGAUGCCGCCACUCCUGAGUUUGCUCCUAUUGGCACUUGGCUGCCCCAGCUCCCUCCGGGUUGGACGGUCGAGUGGGAUCCCUCCUCGGACGGUGAGGAAAGGGAUCACUGAUGUCCUGAUCGGCCUCAUCAAGGACAUCCGACCCCGGCGCUAGCUUCCGCAUGUUUUACCUUCUGUUUGUUUCUUCAGACCAUGUUAAACUUUGAUUUACAACCAAGUGUGUAACAACUUAUUAAUCUUUUGGUGGUCCUAAACAGUUUCUUUUAAAUAAAAGUUGCAAGAAAAAUGUUGAACAAUCUCGUACGAUCAUUAAGGAUGACCUUAGUACGAGAGGCCCUAGGGGAUUUUGGGGUUAUUUUUAGGUGGCUAAUAUUUAUUGGUUAUCUUGCUAACCUCCAGCACUUCGCCACGUGUAUCAUACGUGUGCCGAGUUCCGCAUCACGAGUAUGCGAGGGUUGAUAGGGAGUUCUAUUCAAAGGACCCUAUCAUCGCGGUUGUUCCGCCCACGUUUAUCAUACGUGCGCAGGUUCCAUAUGCUAAUUCAUACGAAGGGUGGUAUGGUUCGAUUCCAACGAGCCUAUCAUCACGGUUGUUCGCCCACGUCUAUUAUACGUGCGCAGAUUCCGCAUCACGAGUAUGCGAAGGGUUAUACAGUUCAAUUCAAAGGGGACCUAUUUCCACGGUUGUUGUGCUGUCCAUGCAGCCUUAAACGCAUGGGUGCCGUUUCUAUAGUGAACGGUAAUGCUUGGGGACGCUUUCGUGGGUGCUGGCACGAAAGGUUCAUGUGGUUGUGUUUUUCUGCAGGUACACUAACCGCGUUCGCUUAGGAGACGCUACUAGAACCCGACUAGAUAUUAUAGGGAGAGACGUACUGGUUGCCUUGCCACCGGCACUGACUGCGUAAGACCAAAGUUUUGGCAGUUAUUUUGGUUGAGAAGACGAGGUAGGCCGUGCAUGCGUCAUCAACUAAAAUUUGUGAAACCACCUCCCUAAAACAACCUUGCCUUGGAAAAGCUCUUCUUUGGUUUUAAGGAUUUCUAGCUUCCUUCCAGCUUGUGCUCAGUCAAAUCCGAGUACUUUUCUGUCCGACCCGUUCUUCUUAGAGUUUCUAACUCACGUCGGUUCGGUUUUGGUUCCAGAUGGCUGCUCCAGGACACGUGCUGUACGGCACCGACGGCAUUUUCCACUUGACGUGCUUACACUUUGAGGGUUUUCCUGCUAUUCUGUGGGACACCUUAAGGUGGUUCGGGUAUGAGUCCCCGCCUUUGUACGUGGGACGGAUGUACCUCGAGCACGGAGUACAGAGGUGCAACAUGUAGGUGGUGGUACCUCCACCCCCUGUGCGGCCCGAGUGGCCCCAGCUCGGAGUCUCAACUUGCGAGCACACUCUGGAGGAUAUGUGGGAAUCAGCUGCUUUGCAGAUCCUCACCCAGUUCUGUCAACUGCACCCGCUUGAGGUCACCAUGGACCCGAUCGUCUUGUUUCCUGCCAGGGAUCGGAUGGACCCGGCUUGGCUUGAUCGCGUCAACAACAUAGAGGUGCUGGCAACCUCCCACUCGCUGGUCACCAUCUCUACCACCACCAGAUGCAUGUCAGCCUUAUAUCGGCUGAUCGAGCUUCAAGGCCGAGCAAUGGCUGUCUUGGCUCGGAUAGCCAUAGACACCCAAGGGCACUUCAACGCCGCCAAGACAGACUUGGUGGGACAAACAUAUCAACUCAUCCAGAGAGGCAUACAGAUCCACGACAUGCAAGACCGAAUCUCCGAACUCGAGGGAGAAGUAACGGACCUGGUGGAUGGCAUGAUCGAGCUUUCCGAAGAAAAGAUGGAGGUCGAGAUGGAGCUAGCAGUUGCUAAUGCUCAUCUGGACAAGCACCACGCCGAGUUUGAUGCUAUACAUGCCCUUCAGAUGCAAUUGGACGAGCAAGAAGAUCCUGAGGAGGUCAUGGGAGCGUCUAGCAUGGACAUUGAGGAUGGCGACGCCCCUUCUCCGACUCAUAGUGUUCCCUCAUAGGUUGAGAGCUGUGGGACUCUAAUCUUUUGUUGUACUCCUCGGCAACCUAAGUUUUGGUUAGUGAUGUAAUAGGUUAGCCUUGAGUUGAGUAUUCCUCCUGUGUUUUAAGACCAGCAAUGAAAUGAUCUUGGUGAAAGCAGUUCCUAUUUUUCUUUCACUCGUGACUUGACCUUUGACUCUUUUGCGACACACUUUGGAUGCCAGGUUGUGUGAGUUUGUGCUAUGACUACACACCCGUUUUCUAUGGAUUUGUCCAAAGUCUGGCCGACCCCGGGUCACAAGGUCGGACGCGCCCGACCCCUCGAGGCAGUUUUCCGCCUCGCCCGACCCCUUCUUGUGCGAUCACCUGACCCCUUGUUGCACUGUUUCUCUUAGCCCGACCCCUCGGCCUAAGGUCGGAUAUAGUGGAGUUCGUGGGAUAUGGUUUUGGUUCGCCCGAGGUUGUGUGUAGAUCCAAGCGAGUGGCUAACUAAGAUGGCAAGAGGAAGUGUGCACCUCCUUAAUAAAGCUAUGUGUUGUGUUGCAUUAUCGGCAAGAGUCGCAUUUGCGGAUUUAACAUAUGCGUUCCCACAUAAUUGGAAUACUUCUGAGGUUAUGGAAUUAAUGGGACGUUGACUCUUACAGAUGUCGCAUCGCACCCGAUCUAGCUCUGUGCCCAGCAGCAGCGAGCAGAGGCAGGAUCUUCCCCCGCCCCCGCCCCCGCCUUCGCUGGAGGCGAUCUUAGCGGCUCAAAACGAGCUGCUGAGGCACAUUGUACAAGGACAACAACAGCAGCCCCAUGGAGGGAGAGCCCAUCAACAACCCCAAGUUGCUCGUUAUGAGGACUUCUUGAGCACGCAGCCUCCUUUGUUCCAGAAGACGCAAGACCCGCUCGACACCGACGCCUGGAUUCGUGCCAUCGAAUCCAAGUUCUCCCUCCUCACCGCCCAUUGCCAGGAGGAGAACAAGGCUCGGUUCGCCGUGCAGCAACUGCGUGGUUCUGCCCUCCUUUGGUGGGAUCACUACCACGCCAUGAAGCCGGCCGACCACAUCGUCAGCUGGGAGGAGUUUAAGACGGCGUUCAGGGGCCACCAUAUCCCUGAAGGUCUCCUGGAGCGUAAGCUCAACAAGUUCCUAGCCCUUAACCAGGGAAAUCGAGAUGUCCUGCACUAUGCGCAGGCUUUCAAUGAUCUGUGUCGGUACGCUGGGUACCAUGCGGACAUAGAUGAGAAGAAGCAGGACAGGUUCCGCCGAGGGCUAAGCUUGGAGCUCAGAGAGAGAUUAAACCCGAUAAGGGUGGAUACGUACAACGAGUUGGUCAACUUGGCCAUCUCACAAGAGGAUUGCAUGAAGGCUCUGGCAGCCGAGAGGAAGAGGAAAGCUCCACUGCCAACGCCCAGCCCACCUGCACAGCGAUUCAGAAUGGUUCCCCCAUAGGCACCCAGCCGACCCCAGCAGUCGGGAAGAUGGGUUGCCCGACCCCACCAGCGGCAGCACUUCGUUUUCCAGGAUCUCAACCUCAGGCACCACGGCCGACCCCACCGCCGCCACCGCGCCCUGCAAAUGGUAAUCGCUGUUUCACCUGCGGCAAUAUGGGGCAUUUUGCCAAGGACUGCCCUAGAAAUCAGAAUCAGCGCCCAGGGCAGAGCAAUGCGAUGCUCAACAAAGGAAAGAGGCCCAAGAUGCAAGUUCGCCAAGGUCGGCUGAACUUCACCAACGCAGCAGAGCUUCUUGAAGGUGCGCCGAUAAUGAUGGGUACCUUUUUGAUUCACAGUUUUUCAGCUUUGGUUUUGUUUGACUCAGGAGCCUCACAUAGUUUUAUUGGAAGAAGGACUAGUGACAAAUAUGGGUUAAAGGAAUGCCAAACAAGAGGGUCUUUUAGGAUAUCCACCCCGGGUGGGGUAAUCACAUCUGAUAGGAUGAGUGUCAAUGCGCCUAUCCAGCUAGGCCAAAAACUUUUUAAGGAGAAUCUUGUUAUUCUCGAUCUAGAGGGGAUUGAUGUCAUCCUAGGGAUGGAUUGGAUGACUAGGCACCAGGUUGUGCUAGAUAUCCUAGCCCGAGCUAUCCACGUCAACUCACCCCACUAAGGCCCCCUGUUGUCCAAUUGCCUCGCCGAGAAGAUGUGAAUUCUUGUGCGUAUCCCGCAAUUGAGACCCGACUGAAGGACAUCCCUGUAGUCUGUGAGUACCCCGACGUGUUUCCCGAUGAUUUGCCAGGCAUGCCGCCUGAUAGAGAUGUGGAGUUUUCCAUAGAGUUGAUCCCCGGCACCGCCCCUAUCUCCAAAAGACCUUACCGGAUGCCACCCGCUGAGCUUGCUGAGUUAAAAAACCAGUUGAAGGAUCUGUUGGAAAAAGGCUUCAUCCAACCCAGUACUUCACCUUGGGGUUGCCCAGCCCUGUUUGUGAAGAAGAAGGAUGGGAGUCUACGCAUGUGUGUGGACUACCGACCCCUCAAUGCGGUGACUGUCAAGAACAAGUACCCACUUCCCUGCAUUGAUGUUCUGUUUGAUCAGUUAGCUGGAGCAAGAGUAUUUUCCAAGAUCGAUCUUCAUUCCGGUUAUCACCAAAUCAAGAUCAGACCCUGUGACAUUCCCAAGACUGCCUUCUCCACCAGAUAUGGACUCUACGAGUACCUGGUCAUGUAUUUUGGACUCACCAAUGCACCCGCCUAUUUCAUGUAUCUCAUGAAUUCGGUGUUCAUGCCUGAACUGGACAAGUUCGUGGUGGUGUUCAUUGAUGAUAUUCUAGUAUACUCUAAGAGUGAAGAAGAACAUGCCGAACAUCUUCAAGUGGUUCUCCAACGGUUGAGAUAUCAUCAGCUCUAUGCCAAAUUCUUCAAGUGUGAAUUUUGGUUAGAUAGUGUCAAGUUCUUAGGACACACUAUCUCUCGGAAUGGCAUAGCCGUUGAUCCUAGUAAGGUACAGGAAGUCAUGGACUGGAAGCCACCCACCUCAGUUCAUCAGAUCCAAAGUUUUCUUGGAUUGGCAGGCUACUAUCGGCGCUUCAUUCCAGAUUUCUCCAAGAUAGCUAAGCCGAUGACUGAGCUGCUGAAGAAAGAGGUCAAAUUUGUGUGGAACGACAAGUGUGAAGAAGCCUUCAACACCCUGAAGCACUUGCUGACCUCAGCCCCAGUUUUGGCUCAACCUGACUCUUCUAGGCCAUUUGACGUGUACAGUGACGCCUCUAGCACUAGACUUGGGUGUGUUCUUAUGCAAGACCACCGAUUCAUUGCCUAUGCCUCACGGGCGUUACGACCUCAUGAGCUGAACUACCCGACCCAUGAUCUUGAGUUGGUAGUAGUGAUACAUGCCUUAAAGAUAUGGAGGCACUAUUUGAUGGGCACCCACUGUAACAUCUAUACUGAUCACAAGAGCCUCAAGUAUAUCUUCACUCAAGCCGACCUCAACAUGCGCCAAAGGAGAUGGUUGGAGUUGAUAAAGGAUUAUAAUUUGGAAAUGCACUAUCACCCUGGCAAGGCCAACGUGGUGGCCGAUGCCCUUAGCCGCAAGACUCAUUGCAAUUGCUUGUCGGCAACCAAUUUUGCCGAGACUCUGUGUCAUGAGAUGGGAAAACUUAAGUUGGAAAUUGUUUCCCAUGGAACCCUCGGUCACAUCUUCCUUGAGUCUGCUUUGGAGGACCAAAUUGGGAUGGCACAGUUAGAGGAUGAGGAAGUAAGGCGGAUCACAAGGAAGAUUUCAUUGAAGGAUGAAGGGUAUAAGCAAUUCCGACAGGAUGAGACUGGGAAGGUGUAUUAUGGAAGCCGACUUGUUGUACCAUCCGACCCCAACCUUAGGAAGCAAAUCCUAGAUGAAGCUCAUCUCUCCAAGUUCUCAAUCCAUCCUGGCAGCAAUAAAAUGUAUCAUGAUCUCCGUCAAAACUUCUGGUGGAGUGGAAUGAAACCAGGGAUUGCACGCUAUGUCUCGGAAUGUGACACCUGCCAACGUGUCAAGGCCAGCCAUUUAAAGGUAGCGGGUACCCUGCAGCCCCUACCUAUCCCCUCCUGGAAAUGGGAAGACAUCAGCAUGGAUUUCAUUGUUGGACUGCCCCUUACAUCGCAGCAACAUGAUUCCAUUUGGGUUAUAGUGGACCGCCUGACCAAGUCUGCUCACUUCCUUCCUGUCCACACCACCUACACGGCCAAGAAGUAUGCGGAGUUGUAUCUUGACCGCAUUGUUUCCCUACACGGUGUGCCUAGGAUGAUCAUAUCUGAUCGAGGAGUUCAGUUUGUAGCGCGUUUUUGGGAACAGCUACAAGCAUCACUGGGCACCAAGCUCAUUCGUAGCUCGACCUAUCAUCCCCAAAUCGAUGGUUAGACCGAAAGGGUAAAUCAAAUCCUUGAAGACAUGUUGAGAGCUUGUGUCAUCCAUUAUGACAAAAAUUGGGAUAAGUGCUUGCCAUUGGCAGAGUUCUCCUAUAAUAAUAGCUACCAGACUAGCUUGAUGAUGGCACCAUUUGCAGCCCUAUAUGGUCGGAAAUGUCAGACAUCGCUGAAUUGGUCACAAGCUGGAGAAAGACAAACCUGUGGCCCUGACUUAGUGGUAGAAGCAAAAGAACAAGUGAAGAUAAUUCAAGCAAAUCUCAAAGCCGCCCAGUCUCGACAGAAGAGUUACUCCGACCGGAGAAGGAGACCCCUGCAGUUUGAUAUUGGUGAUCAUGUGUAUCUUCGAGUCUACCCGACCAAAGGAGUGCAACGGUUUGGAGUAAAAGGGAAAUUGGCUCCCCGUUACUUUGGCCCUUAUGAGAUUGUGGAAAUUUGUGGACCCGUUGCUUACCGGAUCCAACUCUCAGAACAGCUUUCAGCCAUACAUGAUGUUUUCCAUGUCUCCCAGCUGAAGAAACAUGUCCAAGUCCCAACAAAGAUUUUAGAACAAGGGCAACUUCACCUUGAACCCGACCUGAUCUACGCUGAGUACCCGACCAAAGUUCUUGACCGCAAGGAGAGGCAUACCCGACGCCAAGUGGUGAAAAUGUAUAAAAUCCUAUGGAAUAACCACACAGAGGAUGAAGCAACAUGGGAGAUAGAAGAGUAUCUGAACAAGCAUUUCCAAGGUUUUCUUUCCAGCCAAGGAGGUAAGGACUGCUCACCCCCACUGGUUACCCCUACACCCGAAUCUCGGGACGAGAUUCUUUUUAAGGGGGGUAGGCUGUGACGACCAUGGUCAAAUCUUUCGACUUAAUCUUAAUCCGAGUCCCUAAUCCCGCUGACCCAGCUUCCCCGAGCUCAAGCGCUCAACCUCCAUUCCUAAGUCCCGACCCCUGAAGACCCCAACCCGCCGGUUCCUUCUAAGUCUCCAUAACAGUGUCCCUUUCAAUCUUGGGCAGAGGAGAAACUGAGACUGACGGGUGGACCCGCAAAUCUUUUUCCUGGAUCUCCCAAUGUAGACGCACUCAAGCGGCCUGCACCACUCCAGAGCUUCUCCGCCGCGUGGCUCAACUCCUCCGACCCCGCCGCUUCGCCCCGUCACCGGUCGCGACCGGAUGGUUUCCCGCGCCCUCCUCCCCAAUCGCAGCGGAAGCCCCUCUUCAACCUUUCUGCAGUGCCCCGUCUCGCUCGCGCCCUCGCCGACCGUGCCUUGGUGCUCCCUUGCCACUGUGGCAGAAAUUUGCCGCCUGCUGCAUCAAACCACCUUGCGGCUAGCGUCCAUCAUCACCUCACCCAACCCCCGGCUGCAAGCCCCGAUACCUUCCGGCUUUUCCGCCGCCUCUCCACAGUCGCGUCGCCCCGAAUGCGCUAUGUGACGAUUCCUCCAUCGCCAACCCCGACCUCGGCCGUGAUAGCUCCUUUUCCUCCUUGCCAGAACUGUGCCCCGGCAAACCGCCGUUUCAUGCUCGCUCGCGCAGCCGCAGCCCGCCUGUCUUUUCACCAGUUGCAACCUCACUUAUAGCGUCGUUCCCCCUGUCACACCCACAAAUCCGCCGCUCGGCGACGCCCGCCUCCGCCAAAUCUCAACCCCGGCAAAACCGCACCUGCGCCAUCCUGUCUCCAGUGCCCAAUGGCCGAAGGCGUCAUCUCCGAAGUCCUGUUUCGCCACCCAUCGCCGCUCAAUCGCCGCCAUGGCAGCACACUCCAUCCUUUUCUUCCCUGUCGUCGUGUUGCUCCAACCCUCUCUCUCCCGCGCACCUAUAAAAGGGAAUGCCCAAGUCCUACCGGAGUUCCCUUCGCCAUCGCUGCCUUACCGCCUUAUUUCUCUGUUUGGUGCUUGAGCGCUACCACCUAAGUUCCUGAGGAACUCUCCUCUCCACUCAACACCCGCCUUUCCUAAUCCUCCCAGCCGCUUGCUCCUCCGCGCUGUGCUAGAGCUUGCUUGUUGUCCACAAGAAGCACCGCCGCCGCUGGAGCACCGCCGGACAUCGCCACCGCCCAAGGCUUAGCACCUUUCAUCGCUCCGCCUGAGCCGUUCUUUCUGACCCCAAGACGUUACCAGUAGGCCUAAAGGUAAACUGCCGACCUUGUCUGGUUCGCCCGACCCCUUUUCCGUCUCGCCCGACCCUAUCUGUUCGCCCGACCCCUUUUCCGUCUCCCCCGACCCUAUCUGUUCGCCCGACCCCUUUUUCGUCUCGCCCGACCCUAUCUAUUCGCCCGACCCCUUUUUUCUAUCUCGCCUGACCCUGUCUGUUUCGCCCGACCCCUUCUCCGUCUCGCCCAACCCUGUCUGUUUCGUCAACCCUUUUCCGCCUCACCCAAGGACGCGGCUGUAUCCUUUUUCCUUGACCCGAGGGUAUAUGUGUAAAAAUUGGGGACUUCUCUGCGCUAAGUCUAAGGGUUAGAUCAUAAGUUUCUUCCAAUCCGACCCUUGGUCUUGUUCUCUAUCCACUAAAGCUUGAACCUCCACACUUUUUCCGUAGCUUUGCUACAAGUUUCUGGGCUAAGACUUGCAAGUGUUGCUGUUGAAAUAACCGUGUAAGUGCUAACUCCUGCAUUUGCAUUCGUGUAGAGUUGAAUCUCGCCAACGGCGUCUACGAACUGCAUCCGGUGCCAGAAGACGGAGUAGUAGCUGAGCCGCCGACCGCAGGAGGUGCAGCAGAACCCUCAGAGGACCUGUUUCCCUCCCCUCCGCUUGAAGGCAAGCCCCGGAGCAUGAACCCAUUUUCUCUAAACUUACACAUACCUUCCUUCAUUUGUAUGUGCAUUUACGUGACAGGAGUUGUUUGAAACCAUAGAUGCAUGACUUAGUUCCCUUGAUCUGAACACUAGCCUGAUGAGUCCGGGUAGUUGCAUUGCUUAAUAGGACUCAGUAAAAGUCGAGUGAUUUCCUGUCACUCGCUAGUUAUAGGAGUUGGUUGUUCUCCUUCUGGUUACAACUAUAAGGACGAUGGACGGGGCAGGGCCUGGGGAACUCUUUGGUGGUCGGUGGAUUGCACUGUCUGUCUAUAAGAAGUUGCUAAGGUCGAAAAGUGUUGGUGUUCGUGAUCAAGUGUUUGAAAGUACUAAUCUCAUACCUAGUAUGGGAUGGGGAAGCCUUUUACCUGAUUGAACUAGGGCGUGGCUUAUACCCCUGCUGUCCCUGGAACGAGGUUCCCAUGGUGCAUCAUAUGGGUGCAAGUGCGGUCACAGUACGGUAGAGGCCGGGACUGUGGAGCAUUGCAUGCCAAGGGAAGUUUGGACCUGACACGUGCCUGGGAAUUGAUGGGGACGGCCGACACAGGAAGCAACCCUUGUGGUGCGCGGAUGUCGUGAGGUUAGGUUCGCCAUGCAUGGUUAAGAAACUUGAAUCGAUUCGUCUGCCUCUCAUAGUUUGAGACUGCUUGAUCGCUAUGCUACACUGAGUAAAGAUGGAACAUGAUGAUGCUAUGAACCCGAUGCUUGUUCUAUACUUUGUUGUUGGAACUAUGGUUGCUUAGCAUAAGUCGCCAAUAUAGACCGGUUAAUGAACUUAGAACUUGAGCUAAAACUUGAAAGCAAGGACCCACUGUAGUCGCUUUUGGCAAACAAAACCCCUUAGCCAAAGAGCCUUGCAUGUCUAGAAGUCGUGGAGUAGUUUACCACCGGUCGGUUAAGUCUUGUUGAGCUUAGAAGCUCAGCCUUGUUUGUGGCUCUCUUUUCAGGUGAUGCCGCCACUCCUGAGUUUGCUCCUGUUGGCACUUGGCCGCCCCAGCUCCCUCCGGGUUGGACGGUCGAGUGGGAUCCCUCCUCGGACGGCGAGGAAAGGGAUCACUGAUGUCCUGAUCGGCCUCAUCAAGGACAUCCGACCCCGGCGCUAGCUUCCGCGUGUUUUACCUUCUGUUUGUUUCUUCAGAACAUGUUAAACUCUAAUUUACAACCAAGUGUGUAACAACUUGUUAAUCUUUUGGUGGACCUGUUGUAUUCUCUGGAACCGCUCACCUUCGUGUGAGUUUGCUAACUCGGUCUUGUUAAGUGGUUUAAUCGGAUGAAAUCCGACGGCACUUUGAGUUAACUUGACUAAGGCAUGAGUGUCGCGUAUCAGGCGACUUAACCAUGCUUUAAUCAAGGUAAUCCGAGGUGGUUCCGCCACACCUCCGUGGUUUAUGCUUCCAACCAUUCACAUCUGUUAUUCUCCAUCUUGAAAAACCCCAACGCUACCACUUGCACUGCCGCUACCACCAUCAGCCGACACAAGCGACCUUAAGUGUCAUAGUAGCUUUCUCUUCCUCCCCUUACGCGCCCCGAGGUGAUGCUUGUGAAGAAGAUGGGGAAGAAGACCGACAAGUCCAAGGGAAAAGUCACAGAAGAAUCGAUGAAAGGUUCCAAGAAAGGGAAGGAGCCACAGCUUCCUCCACCCAAAUGUGGGCCUACAGAGCAGACUACUCCGCCAAAUCAAGCAUCCACUUGGAAGAUGUCCACCAUGAAGAAGGAAGCAAUUCAAGAGUUGGUGGAUGCAAAAUUGCUGCAGGAGGACGCCAUCAUCAAUUGGAGGUGCGCCUAUGCCAAUGCUUGGAACUUUGAGGCCCAUCCGAAAGAGACAGUGAUUUGGGCUCAUUUUGUGGAGAGAGGACUUGCUGUUCCUACGUCGGAGUUCUUCAGAGGUAUCCUCAACUUUUAUGACAUUUAGCUUGUUCAUCUGAAUCCCAACGGGAUAUUGCACAUUGCAAUCUUUGUGCAUCUCUGUGAAGCAUGUUUGGGGAUACAACCCCAUUUUCAAUUGUUUCGCAAGCUUUUCCGCUGCAAGGCCUAGCCUAGUCAAGAUAGAAUGGCAGAACUCGGAGGUGCAGGGUUUUAGCUUAGGGACUCCGAUGUGUAUUUGGAGUACGAGACUCUGCCAUCCCAUGGUGCCUAGAAAGAGAACCAUGGGCCUCCAAUGCCAGUGAUCAACGAGUACAACCCAAAGUACUCAAGCAAGUUGCUUGAAGAGCCUAGCAUCGAAGAUAGUCAUCAGGUAGCCAAGUUGUUGCAGAGGAUCGCAGUGUUGAACAAAGUAGGGUUGAUUGGGAUAAACGUGGCAGCCAGCUUCUUGAAGAGAAGAGCGCAACCAUUGCAUCUGCGCCAGACUUGGGGCUAUGAGUACUCAGGUUUUAAUAAUCCAUCGCAGAUGUUGGUUGAGGAUAUAUCUCAUGAUGUAGUUGAGGACUUGUUGGGCAAAUUUUUCAAGAAUUUCCAAGGAGUGCCCGAAGUCGAUGAAUCCAUUCAGGAGUUUGACAAAUGGUAUAAACCCAGAAAGGUAACUUGCUUUUCUUUUGAGUACCCAUAACUAGUAGUCGUUAUGUUUGCCAACUAGUAAUUCCUUAUGCAAGAGAAUGUCCUUUUAUAAUUUUCUCCUCCUCCUCCCCCUGAUGCUAAUGGUGCAAAAAAACGCGAAAUCUGUGCAUUACGUGCGCUUGCCUGAUGAUCCCUCAAAGGAGGAGGAGGAGGAUGGGGACUCUGAGCUGCUUGGCGAUUCAGACAUUGCGUCGCCUAAUUCUGAGUUGUCUGAUCAUAUUUCUGUGCAGUCUUGGGUUCUCAAAGGGUAUAAAUUUGGAACCGAUACCUCGAAGCGUCCAGCAGGAGAUGUUGGUGAUGAAGAGGUCCCUGCUCCAAUGCCGAAGAAAAGACGGACCGUAGUGCAUAAGCGAUCGGUUAGCAAGCACUUGGAGAUGUUCAAAGCUCCAUCGCCGGUAAUUAGCUUUGUAGAAGAGCAAUGUGUUGAAGUAUGAGUACUUAUAUAGCUUCCUUGAUUAGUCGAAUUGACUUGUUUUGAUGUUUAUGUUUGCAGGUUGUUGAUGGCGCAGGUGAAGACAUUGAGGAUGCCGCGGAUGCAAUGUAUGGAGCUGCCGAGACUACUUCUGAUGAUGUAGUCACGAUAGCUAAGGACGCGGCUUGCUAGUGUAGUUUCCUUGGAGACAUCUGUUGAAGAUGCAGUCAUGAUGCCCGAGACAGCUACUACUCAAGUAGCCGUUGAUCUUGAAGUUGAGAGUGGUGGAGUGGGCGACCCAUUAGAGACUACCAUAGGUGGAACUGUGAAGACGCCCGAAGUAGUUUCUGAUGCCACUUUUCCAGAAGUCCCUGCUAGCGGUGAGUACGCAAGUACUGGUAGUAGUCGUGCGUACGUUGUCUCUGAGUUGGUUCUUUCAGGUCUUGGCAAAAAUACCGAGGAGUUUCCACCCAUACUGGCUAGUGAGCCAGUUCCCAUGGUGAAGAAACGUCAUCGAGUUCCUCCUUGGUCUGCCAAGUAAGUACUAUGUUGUAAUGGUUUGAUUACUGACUUUACGAUUAGUAGUUGCAUUAUUAAUCUUGAAUCGUGUUUGAUAUCAGGACUUUUGAGGAUAUUGUUCUCGAGAGGGUGAGCGUGGAGCAGGUUGAAAAACCGUCACACACAGACUCUGCUGCAGCAGCUAUUGUCGAUUUGACAAGUGAAGACCCGGCACAAACUAGUGACGUAGGUGCAGUGACUCUCGCAGCCGCCAUACUGCGGGAUGUAAUCAGCUCACUUGAGAAUCUGGCGCUGCCAAUCCCUGAGGUUGUUAAUGAUAAUCCUCCCUCCGUAACCGAUAUUGCAGCAACUACAAUAGUGGCGUGUAUCAAAGAGGGGCCCGUAGUAGUCUCACAAAGUAGCAAGGCAUCUGGGGAGUAGGUUGUGCCAACUGUUGUGCUUGAGAAAGCGGCGGGCAAGAAUGUUCCUGAAGCUAGAGCAUUUUUUUCUCAGCAGCUAGUCCUUACGCCAAGUGUGAGGGCUAGUGUGGCAGCCGAGGCUCCAGGGUUGUCGCAGAAAGUUGAAAUUUUUGAGAGUCCCCUGGAAGAGCUGCCACCAAUAUCAAACUUCAUGAACUUGAAUCAGCAGUUGAUGGCUUAUACUCAGGUGAGUUCUUAGUACUGCAUUUGAGUACUUAAUUUUGUAGCCUGGCGCCAUUUCCACUCGUAAAGAGUACUAAUUGUUUGAUUGUACAGGAUUUAUAUGAAAAAUAUCGCAAGAAUAUCCAGGUUGUCCAGGAGUGGAGUAAGGCUACGCACCAUGUGGCGCAGUUGGAGAAGGACAUUACUGAGUAGCGCCGCCGCACUGGUGACUUCCUGAAGAAGUAUGAAGAUGCCAUUGAGUCCUUUCGAAUUGAAAAGGCAAGAAUUUGAAGUGGAGAGGAGCCGUAUGACGAUGCGCAACAAGUCCUUGCAGCAAAAACUGGAGGGUGAGUACUUAUACUCAUGACUUUUUUAUCAUAAUUUUGUAUUCUAUCAGUUUCCCUGAUUGCUUUUACUAUUGCCCCUUCUAGAACUCAAAGGUUGGGAAACCAAGCUUAGUGUCCAAGUGCUGGAUUGGAGCAAUGCUCAUAGUCGUGUUGCCGACAAAAAUGAGCAACUCAAAACCCGUUUAGAGGAGUUAGAGAGAGACCGUGAAAAAUAGAGUAAUAUGCAUAGAGAUUUCAGGGUUAUGUUGGCCAAGGCUAUGCUUGCUAUCAGAAGUCAUGAAGCCUCUUUGAAGAAGAAGGAGAAAGAUCUCAAAGAGUUAUCCGAUGCAGCACAGGCCCUGGUUGACAUAAUGGAGCCCCCCGAGGAAGGAGUAGAGUCUCGCCCCUUAAUCGCGAGAUUGAGGGACGCACCGGCCCAAAUCACCAAUAUGGCGAAAUCCAUUUACAAGCAUGUGCUGGCGAUCAUCAAGUCUUUUUAUCCAAAGGCAAACUUGGCUCUGGUCGCAAAUGGUAUCGUUGGAGAUUGUAGCGAUGAAGCGUACACGCAAUAUUUGGAGGAUCUGGAGCCGGUCGCUGAGCGUGUAGCGGGCUUUAUCAAUUUGGAGUAGUCUCAGUUUCUGUAUUGACUUGUAAUUUUGCCGAUGAACUUUAUGUAUCUGAACAAGUAUCUAUUGUUUCUCUUGGGGUGUUGAUCAUUGUAUAUGUAGUGAGAACUUGCUUGCAGAUCUCUCAAUGGGUAGUCUUGUGAGUAAUCAUUGAGUUGGCAGUUAGAGUUCCAUGUAGGCCCCAAUUGUUGCAGAUGGUUGCGGAGAGCGCGCAUGUGAUCAUAGUAAUCGUUGCAUUAUUGCCGUGAAGUUGCAAGGACACACGAGUGUACUAUGAAGGACUUGUUGGUUUGUGUCCUGAGUGAUUCACAUGCAAGCUUUGAUUCUACUCAGGCAGGCUUUCACGUGGGUCUUGUCCUUGUGAAGGACAAGUCGAGUUACUGUGUAGUCACAAAUGCGCUAUGCUGCCUAGCCUUCCGGCUAUAAAUAGUCCCCCUAGCUGCCGUUGCUGAAACAUGGAUCCAAUUAUAGCGAUGGUUGGUCUUAGGUUGCUUCUCUUUGACAAUAGCAAAUUUCCAAUGAGUGCCCCGGUGCUAGAAGAUUCGCUUCAACCAUGGAACACUUUGAAAUGUAGUAGUUGGGUAUGGGUAUUGCGGGUAUACGGAAAUGUAACUUUAUAGCGCUAUAAAAGGAUGUGAACCGUCCCCUUUGAAACAGACACUAUUCAUCAAUAAGACAGCCAAAGUUACACUCGUUCGACUAUCUCUGCUUUCGUGUUGUGACUUCGUCUUACUUUACAUUCGACAAGGGCCCAACAAUUGGCGCCCACCUUGGUCUGACCCAACAAGUAACCCAUGAUGCCGCCACAACGGAAGAAGAGACCUGCAGUGCAAAGAGAAGUCGAGACAGAGGAGACCGGUCAGAUUAUAACUCCCGAAGCCACAGAUCAGGUUCUUUCGGACAAGGAGGAGCACCUUGCAAGAGUCGAGCAAACCCUAAGGACAAGAGCAAUGAAUAAGAGACCCGCACGUGAGGUCAACCACCAAGGCCAACAACCCACAGCAAACGAAGCUACCGACCACACUGACGGCCAACAGAGCUAGCAACCUAUAAUGCCCGAAGCUACUGGCCGCACCAACCUAGACAAUGAACUAGACUCAGUCCUCCGGGAGAUAGAGGAGGUCAAAAGAAAAGAGGAAUAGUUAGCACGACAGGUGCAACAGCAGAGGGAAGCCUCGAGCAGACUAUCAAAGUUGAACGAAGCUAGACGAUAGCUGGAAGCAUUACAGAAAGAAAUUGCGGAGCUUGAGAGCCCACAUGAGAAUGCAAACCCAGCCGUAGCUUAUUUCCACCAAAGCCCCACUGUUGAUUAGGCACAGUUACAGCCCAGUUUCAACUUCGGGCAAGGCACCCAACAUCACUCAUCAGGGGUGUAUCUCGUGAUUGACACCACCUCACUGCUCUCGAUCGGACUCCAAACCACACCGUGGCCAGCAACAUACAAGCCAACCACCCUGCCCAAAUUCAACGGAUGGAUAGAUCCACGACAAUUCCUAAUGAGUUACAAAGCCGCUGUAGCUUCAGCCAGGGAGGAUGAUGUCGUCCUCGCCAAGUCCUUCAUAAUUGCUUGCGAAGGCGUGGCACUCAAUUGGUACUCACUACUCCCUCCACACAUGGUGAUUAGCUGGCAUGACCUCAAGGCGAAGGUCACACAAAAAUUUCAGGGUUUCCAUCACCCCCAAACGGCCCAAGCAGACCUUUUCCAAUGCAAACAAAAAUACAAGGAGCCACUUGCAAAAUAUGUAAGAAGAUAUGUCCAGCUUCGUUCCCAAGCGCCGCACAUUGAGGAAUUCGUAGCAAUAUCCGUAUGCAUCGCGGGCCUCACCCCUGGCCCAACAGCGUCGAAGUUAUCAAGGAAGGAUCCCAAAACGAUGAGUGCCCUUUUUAGCAAACUCAACAAAUACAUCAGGUCCAACGAGGACCACCGCAGAAGAGUAGCGGUAUGCAACAAGGAAAGGCAAGCAAACCAGAACCGAAACUGGCAACCUUCACCUUACAACAAGCCUCAAAACUCUAGCCAAAACCGUGCCAUGAACAUUGAGGGAAACCAAAACCAAAACAAGAACCAAAAUCAAAACAACAACACCCAAAGAGGGGGCUACCCGGGUAGAGGACGAGGUUGAGGAAGACAGCAGAAAUCAUUCUACUACGUCAACCAUGGCCACCAGAACCAUCAUAACACAGAAUGGUGCCCCAAAAAGAAAGAAGAAGAGAGAAAGGCUACAGAAGAAGCCACGAAAGCAGCCGUGCAAGCACCCAAAAUAAUCCACCACACAGCUUUUUACCCGCACCCAAGUUUUUACCCCAACCAGCCUAGCUUCGCCAAUUUCCAGCAACCAACGAGCUGGCCUCUUCCACCACACAUACAACCGUACCACCAAACAAUCCUGCAACAUGCCAACCCAAAUCCACCUCAGAAACCCCAAGCAUACCAGCCAUAAUGUCCAAACUAGAGCCAAGCACGCUAAACAAGAACCAAAAUUCCUUACCUACCUUCGGCAUGAUAAUGCCAAUUGCCAGGGGCUCCUCUUUAGAGUUCGAGAACAAAAGGCAGAGGCAAAACUAUUUCAGAGAAGUCAAUGUAAUCAUACCCGAGGGACCCCCAACGAAGCCAAAAUGGGCACACAUGCCCAUAACCAUAACAGGGGAAGAUUUCAAGCUCAAGACAACCUCGCACAACGAUGUGAUGGUCAUUAAAGUGCUGAUAGCAGGCUGGACGGUUGGAAAAGUCUUAGUUGACAUGGGCAGCUCCGCGGACAUCCUUUUCGCAAACGCUUUCAGAGAAAUGAACAUUGACAUGAACACACUCGACCCAACCGAUAUCCCACUUCAAGGCUUCGGUGGAAAGCCAGUGAAAGCUUUGGGAAAAAUUGAUCUCCCGAUCUCAUUUGGGGAUUGCGACAAUGCGAGAAGAGAACACAUCAUAUUUGACGUGGUGGAGAUGCACUACCCCUAUAAUGCAAUACUUGGUCACGGCUUCAUCACCAGGAUGGAUGCAACAACUAGACAACUGUACCUAUGCAUGAAAAUACCCGCGCACAAGGGGGUCAUAACAGUGUAUGGUGAUUAGCAAAUGGCAAGAAACAUAGAAAGAGGGGCAGCUUCGAGCCAAAAGAAUGUCCACCACCUAGCGCCAUCAAGCGAAGCUGAGAGCACAAAAAAGAAAAAGACAUACAACAAGCCUAAGAGGGACAAAGAAAAAAUAAAGAUCAGUGCUAACGGCGAAACAAAGCGGGUACUCCUGGACGGAUACGUCACAAACAGGUUCGUAACAAUUGGAGCCAACCUCGAUCCCGAAGAAGAGCGCAACCUCAUCGAGUGCCUCAACAAGAACAAAGAUAUCUUUGCCUGGUCCGCAGGUGAUCUCAAAGAAGUGGACAGGGAAAUCAUCGAGCAUAGCCUAGACAUCAGACCAGGAGCGAAGGCAAAGAAGCAGAAGCUAAGGAAGAUGUCCGAUGAAAAGGUCCAAGCCAUAAAGGCCGAAGUCGACAGGCUCUUCGAGGCCAACGUAAUCAGGCCAAUCCAGUAUCCUGAGUGGCUCGCUAACAUAGUGCCAGUAAAAAAGAAAAAUGGCAAAUGGAGAAUGUUUAUAGACUUUACAGAUCUCAACAAGGCCUGCCCAAAAGAUGAUUACCCUCUCGAGAGGAUUGACAAGGUGGUGGAUGACACUACAAACAAUGAAAUGCUCUCACUACUGGACCUCUUCUCGGGGUAUCACCAGAUCAGAAUCAAGAAAGAGGAUGAAGGCAAAACAAGCUUCGUGACACCCUUUGGAACGUUCUGCUUCGUGCGUAUGCCAGAGGGGCUAAAGAAUGCAUGCCAGACAUUCUCAAGGGUGACAACAAUAGUCCUGGACAGCUAGCUUCGGCGUAACAUCCUAGCUUACGUAGACGAUAUCAUCAUCAAGAGCGCCAAGCGAAGCGACCACAUUCUGGACCUCGCAGAAACAUUUGCUAACCUGAGGAUAGCCAACCUAAAGUUAAACCUAGAAAAGUGUGUGUUCAGGGUUCAGAGAGGAAAGGUCCUAGGCUGCCUAGUAACAACAAAAGGCAUUGAGGCCAACCUAGAUAAAAUCAAGGCACUGGCUAACAUGUCGGAGCCAACUUCGCUAAAGCAAGUCUAACGACUCACGGGUAGGGUUGCCACGAUAAACCGUUUUAUUCCAAGAGCGGCAGAGCGAAGCCUCCCCUUCUUCAAAACACUCCGAAGCUCCAAGGCACUCGAAUGGGGACCUGAGCAAAGCAAAGCAUUCCAAGACCUCAAAGAGUAUCUGCAGUCUAUGAUAAAGCUAUGCCCGCUAGAACACAAAUCACCACUGCUAUUAUACAUCUCAGCCUCAGCAACGGCCGUAAGCGCAGCACUGAUACAAGAAAAAGAAAUUGAAGGAAAAAUGAAGCAAAUACCAGUUUACUUCGCAUCCGAAGCCCUGAGCGGCUCAAAGCUACACUACUCAGAACUGGAGAAAAUCGCAUACGCAGUCGUUAUGGCAGCACAAAAACUGCGACACUACUUCAAGGGGCACAAAAUAAUCGUUGUAACCAGCCAGCCUCUUCAUGAUCUUUUCUCAAACAGAGAAGCUUCCAGCCGUAUCGCCAAAUGGGCGUCUGAACUAUCAGAGUUCGUCGUCGACUUUGAAAGGUGUACCGCCAUAAAAUCCCAAGUACUGGCUGAUUUCAUGGUCGUUGGACAUGGCCAAAGCAGGAGUCGAAGCAAUUUGAAACACCAUGGGUCGUUCACUGCGAUGGGGCUUGGUGCCGCAAAGGGGCAGGGGUAGCAGCAAUAGUCACAUCACCAACAGGUGUAAGAAUCAAGUAUGCAGCGAGGCUAGAUUUCCCACCAACCGCAAAGUCAACCAACAACACCAUAGAGUACGAGGGGCUGCUGCUGGCCUUAAGGAAAAUGAAAGCCAUAGGGCAACAAACGUUCAUCGUUAGAACGGACUCAAAGGUAAUCCGUGACCAUAUUGAGAAAGACAGUGGGGCCAAAGAGCCAGAGCUCGUCAAGUACCUUGAGGCAGUACGUGCGAUGGAGAGGCACUUUCGGGGAUUCGAUGUCAAAAACAUCCCAAGGGCACUAAAUGACGACGCCGAAAAACUUGCAAAAGUAGCAGCAGAGAACGAGCCAAUUCCACCUGACACAUUUUGUAAAGUCAUCACCUCACUUUCAAUCAAGGAAGAAGCUUCAGCCCCUAUCAACGCCAUCCAACAUUACGAUUGGCGUGCGAGCAUAAUGGCUUUCCUUAGAGGUCACUUCGAGCCUCGGAACGAAGCCGAGCAUAUACGCCUAAAGCAAAGGACAAGGGGCUACGCAAUUAUCGAGGGGCAACUCUACAGGACAGGCAUUUCAGCACCAUGGCUUCGCUGCAUCGAUUAUGAAACAGGCAGCGAAUUGCUCAAAGAAAUACACUGUGGUUUUUGUGGAACUCACAUUGGCUCAAGGGCUCUAGCAGGAAAAGCAAUCCGUCAGGGAGUCUACUGGCCAUCAUUCCACAUGGACCUUACUUGUACGAAGCUGUGAGGCCUACUAGAAGACAGCAAGGCAGACGCAUGCACCCUCACUCCCGAUCCAGCUCAUCCUACCUUCGUGGCCUCUCCAGAGAUGGGGCAUGGACCUAGUUGGUCCACUGCCCAUAGCAUAAGGAAAUUGCAGAUUUGCAGUAGUUGCAAUAGACUACUUCACCAAAUGGGCCGAAGCCAAACCACUGGCCGUCAUAACAUCGGCUUCGGUACAAAAAUUCUUCUGGCAAAACAUUGUCUGCCAGUUUGGAGUCCCAAGGGAACUAACCGUUGACAAUGGCAAAUAGUUUGACUACGUCUCAUUCACAGAUUUCUGCGCCAGCAUCGGCACGAAGAUAAAAUUCUUGUGUGUAUACCACCCGCAAUCAAACAGAGCUGUGGAAAGGGCGAACAUCACCAUAUUUACCGCAGUCAAAAAACGUUUGUUCGAUCAGAAAAAGGGCAAAUCGGUCGAUGAGCUCCCAAGAUUCAUAUGGUCCCAUAACAUGACAGAAUCCAGGGCAAUAGGUUUUACUCCGUUCAAGCUCCUAUUCGGAACCGAAGCCAUAACUCUUGAAGAAAUAAAAAACAAAAUUCUAAGAGUCCUUAAGGCCGGGGAUGUGGACGAAAUUGCAAGAAUUGAGAAAGACAUGAUUGAGCUCGACAUCAACAAGGCCAACAAAGACCUGGACAAGUAUCAGGAAGAAACCCGAAGAUGGAGGGACCAACACAUUCGAGAGAGGCAGAUCAAUGUCAGCGACCUUGUCAUUAAGAGGAAAAAGAAUUGGGAAAACCUAGGCAAGCUACAAGAGACUUGGGAGGGCCCCUACAUUGUCAUAAAAAGUGGCAGGUCCGACUCUUUCCACCUCGCAGACCAGCAUGGAAAUAAUCUCUCCCACACUUGGAAUAUCGAUAGCUUGCGAAAAUACUACCCAUAAUUGUACAUGUUACCUUCGGCUUGCGGAACUAUAAGCAAUGCCGAAGGUAACAGAAUAGCUUUCUCUUUUUUUUUACUUUCAAUUCUACCUCAUUUGUAAGGUCAUAGAGUCUGGACAGAACUCUUUUCCUUGCUAGGGGCUCCAUAAUGGAGGCAAGGUUUUUAACGAGGCAGAUCCAUGUACACCUUUUUUCACAACGAAAGAAAGGAAGAUUCCCCUAAAAAUUUAGAAUCCAAAAAUGCAACAACAAGUUGCAUGACCUCGCACCAGAGUGCGGAGGAGAUUUAGCGUAAAAAAUGCAACAACAAGUUGCGUGACCUCGCACCAUAGUGUAGAGGAGAUUUAGCUUACAAAAUGCAACAACAAGUUGCAUGACCUCGCACGAGAGUGCGGAGGAGAUUUAGCGUCCAAAAUGCAACAACAAGUUGCGUGACCUCACACCAGAGUGUGGAGGAGAUUUAGCAUAUAAAAUGCAUCAACAAGUUGCGUGACCUCGUGCCAGAGUGUCGAGGAGAUCUAACGCGUAAAUGCAACAACAAGUUGCAUGACCUCGCACCAGAGUGCGGAGGAGAAUUAGCGUAUAAAAUGCAACAACAAGUUGCGUGACCUCGCACUAGAGUGUGGAGGAGUUCUAACAUGCAAAUGCAACAACAAGUUGUGUAACCUCGCACCAGAGUGCAGAGGAGUUCUAACAUGUAAAUGCAAUGCCACUACAGAUUAAAGAUGCCAAGUACUCCAACAGCAAGUUACGUCUCCAACACCUCUCUUGCAACAUCGCAGUGGGGUGACGUUUUUUGAAAAAACACGAAAAAUUUCUGCGACUCUGCAAGAGAAGGGUCUGCGAGUCCGUGUCAUCUGACUUCUCUCUUGCAACAUCGCAAGGGGGGGUGAUGUUUUUUGAAAAAACAGGAAAAAUUUCUACGACUCUGCAAGAGAAGGGUCUGCGAGUCCGUGUCAUCUGACCUCAUAAAGAGCUGGAUGACAUUUUCGAUCUCACUCGGCAAAUGUUCAAAAAUGGCAGUGAACACAAUCAAAGUAAAAAAAAGAAGCUCCGAUAAGGAGACUGAUUUCUUCACGAGUAUCGACCAGAUGGGGGGUGCAUUUUCAAAAGCAAUGAAUCAGCCCAACCUUGCACAAAGUCAACCGAUGUACAAUACAACAACAAAUCUAGACGGCUACAGUUGAAGCAACUCCGGGUCACUGUAUCAACUGGCUUUUGCAUUCUUUAAGUUGGCGGGCUGCCUGAAAUGGCAACCCGACUAUGACUUAUCUAACUUCGCAAUGGGUCCACUUUGCCAGAAACUAGCGUGUUUGGACAGAAUAAAGCACGCAAUAAUUACAAGGUCGGACACAUGGCAAAAAGCUGACACAUAAGUACCUUACAGGGCACAAUUUCACAUACUAGUAAAGUAUCUGACUUCGUCAACUUUGUACACCGAAACAAAUCCCCCCAUAGCAUACAACAACCUACUUCGCAACAUCCUUGUCAUCAUCAUCCGUGCCAAGCUGCAAACGUAACUGCGCCAACCAAUCGCGCGCAAGCCCCUUUAAAUAAUCCUACCCGGAGGUUGACCAUAAGCGCUCAAACAAGUUUUUCUUCGCAUUUUCCACGACGUCAGACUUGACAGCGGAGCCAAUCUCCGGGGCGGUUGGCAUAACAUAAUUAUCUUCGGAAAUAGUCCUAAUGUGCUCACAUCCUUGUUGUUCCAGCAAGUGAAGGGUACUAUCCAGGAAGAACACAGUGGAGUAGUCAUUCAAGCCUUCGAGGACCUUCAUCUAAAAGCCACUCGAACAUCUAUUCGCAUCCCCCAUCUAACGGGCAGUCAUCAGGUUCAGCACCAAACGCACCGAGGGAAGCUUUCUAAGCUUCGUGAACUUUCUCAAACCUCUCCCUCACUGUGGUCUCAAUCUGGCUCAGCAAUUUUGCCUUCGUUUCAUACUCAGGCUCCAUCUGGCUAACCUUAGACCUCAAAUCCGUGAUAACCUUGCUGUCACGCUGAGCACCUUCGUGUAGGCCUUCAAUAAUCCUGUCCUUUUCCUUCACCUGGCCCUCCAGCUGCAUCACAUCUGCCACCAAGCGAUCAAUCUCGUCACCCCUGGCCUUGUAAUUGUCACCGAGUCUACGAGAGUCCUCUUUUAGCUUAGCAUUCUCAGCCUUGACCCUCUUCAUCUCCAAAGACAUUGCAGCGAUAGUCACUUCCAACGAAGCUACCUUCUUCGAAAGCUCCGAGGCUGCUUUCUCGCUCUUAGAAAGCUGAUCCCUUGUAAUCAUCGAAGAGUAAGAGACCUAUAGAUUUUAAAAACCAAGUUACAAAAUAACGAAGUAAAAGACAACACUCGCAAGACAAACCACCAAACUAUCUCAUAAUUGAGACCUUCUUUACGAGGUUGGUCUCCAAGUUAAAGAGCUCUUCCAAGCUCAUUGACUUCACAGCUCGCUGAAAAUCUACGCACCAAAAGAUAUAGUCGUAAGCGUAAAACAAAAAUUGGUAAAACCAAGGACAGCAAAGCCAUCUAGAAGCUGCUCUUACCCUCAUACUUUUGUGCCUCAACGGUGACCCGAACAACCUUCUCUCCAGCCUCACCCUUAGACGCCACCACAAUCUUCCCGCCACACAAAUCCCCAACCCCUCCUUUACCUUUGCCCUCUCCCGAAGUCGCCGCGCCCACCUUCUCCACCCUUUUUGAACCGCCAACAUCUGCAUAGUGCUCGCAACCUUCAUCUUCAGCCCCCCAGACCAAAGAUAGGUUACGAGGAUUAUAAACCCUACCUUCAGCGCAUGUAGCUAGAAUCUUCGUGCGCCCGCUCAAGCCCAGACACUCGUUCAGUCCCUGAAGCCUUGCCGGCAACCUCUCACCUACAUCAUAACAUUUAACUUUCAGCCUCACAUGAUCCUCACAACUAAUCUCACCAACGCCCCCCAUAGUUUCUUCCAACUCCUUCAAAAAUUCCGCUGAGGCCUCACCACAAUCAAAGAACCGUAGCUUUGGUAGAAACACCUCUACAUGCUUACCAGAUCUCACAGCUUUGGCACACCCACCUUUUGGAUCAGAUGAGAAUGCAUCCACAAGCUUCGCCUUUUUGGUGGCAACCCCCCUCUCAAGUUUCCCAACAUCAGUCAAGAAAGGCUGCGCGCCCUUAACCUUCGAGCUUGUGGAUGGCACCGUGGUCUUGGUACCAGCCGCUGAAGACGCGUCAACCCUGACACCCGAAACGGUAACACGAGCAAAUCGAGGUUUCUUGGCGCCUCUUUUGAUCCACGCGAUGGGCCCAGUGGACGAAGGUGCAAGAGCUGGAACCUCCUUAGGAGGGUGCAUAGAGAUAGGAACAAUGUAUGCUGGAUUGCUCAAGUCACCAGACGAAGUUGUCGACCCCGAUGGCAACGCAGCAGACGAAGCCCCCACGGUCAUUUCUUUCCUGUUGUGCACCUCCAAAUUCAAGGUCUUUUGCUUCGCCUUAGCGGUCACUUGCGAUUCAACAGUGAGCUUCACCACGGGUACGAAGUCAAAUUUUGCCUUCUUCCUCUGCUCAAGACUAGCACCAUGACAGCGCCUCUUGCCCGUAACUUCGGGGUGAGGCGGAACCACAAUAUCAUACAAGUCAAAAAUCCGAUUGACACAACGCCCGUGUCCCAUGAUGUCUUCCAAAGAACACUUCUCCGGUUGGGUCACGGGACCCAAAAUUUCAUGAGUUAUGUGUUCCACUGUCCGAACAAACGAGUCUAAAUCUGUAUCCCUCUCAACACUAGUUUCAAAGCAGGGGUAGUGCACUGGUUUGUCAUUCCAAGACACCUUCUUCUUAACAAGCUCAAACGGCCUCCCAAACUCUGCGAACAAAGGCCACACUCUAGCCACAACAUAUUCCUCUACGAGGUCACGUCCAGAUAUUAAGGGCCCAACAGCCCUGUAAGCAGCCUCGCACCUUGUCACAGCCGCCGAAUGAAUAAAAGACGGAGUCAUGAGCACAUCCAUCGGCCCAAAUGGUGCAUAAAAUGGGAAUCCAGUCCCAAUCCCCUCCAUCUCAAUUUUAAUAUAAAACCAAUGCGUCAGCCAGGCAUCGUCCCACUUGUUUCUCUACGUGAAGGUAAGCUCUAUCCUUGGCAAGUUCCUCUUAUCAUUCUUCCUACGUGGCAUGAAGGUGCAGCACCUGAAGUGAUUCUCACAAACCCCCUUUCCAUCCCCAGAGUAAACCCUCUUCUUCUGGAUAUGAUGUUCGUGUAGCCUCACAAAGCCCUCCACAUCAAUGCUACCACCAAAUCUACGUUGCACCUAGUAAAACUUAGACAAAUUCAUGAUGGCGUUGGGGGUCAGCUGGUGCAACCUAACGCGAUAACGAUCCAAAAUCACUGGCAACUGCCUGUCAUAGAGAAAUCAAAGCCCCGCAGUAAACAAGUCUCUGAAAACAACAGCUUCACCAACCUCGGGCGCAGGUACCACCUCGUUACCAGGUGCUCUGCCCACCCCCUUAGGAAAGAAAUUAUUUUUCUCAAAAGACGCGAUGUCUUGCAGAGUCACUUGAGAGCGCUCGAAGUAAAGAGUGGGAAUACACUAAACUUUUCCACUAGCAGGGUCGGUUGCCCCUUCCCUCGCCCCAACCUCGGCAUCCCCCUCCUCGGCUUCGUCAGCCUCCUCUUCAGCUAUGCCAACCUCAUUCACCCCUUCCUCCUCCUCUUCUGCCUCCUCACCCGAAGAUACAGUAUGAACCUCCAUCUCACCUGUCCUAGCCGUCCCUGCUACAUCCCUCACAGCACGGCCUUGCUCAUCUUUGCCUUCGUCUUCAUCAGAAGACCACUCAUCGAACUGCCGGAAGAAAUUUCCCCGCUGAGACCAAACCAUUUUUCGUAUAAAUCCACUUCUUUGACCUCUUUCCAUCAACCUCUCCACUAUCUAUCAACACAGACUGCGAAGCAUGGCUAACUCCACCACUGGAGGCAGCCUGAACGGCCAACUCUUCCGAAGACAUCCUCCGCGCAGUCUGCUUGAUACGGGCCACCUGCGACAAUAAUGACAGAGAAGUAUAACAUUGACAACGAAGAAAAAAUGUUAAAAGAAAUCAAGGAAAACAACUGUGACCAAACAAACUGAAGCUACCCUUACCACGAAAAGUGAAGCUGCCGUGACCCAAACACUUUCUGCCAAGAAGACGCAACGAAGGCACAAGCAAUGAAAGCCUAUAGCUCAAAAAUGACGGCGUAAAAUAUGACCUGGCCCCCCGGCAAACCUUAUACAGGCACAGUAAAAAAUGCCAAAAGACGCCUUUACGGCGCCUCGAAUCACCAACCAUCGCAUGGAAAAGGACGUUGGCACCCCUACCCAAUGGUAAAUGCCUCGGUACAUGCCACCUCUCAGUGUGACGUUUUGGGUGCGUUCUUCGACUUUUCACGGGUUCAGUCGACGGUGUUUUUUUUUCCUCGCCCACGAGAGGCUACUGUUGGGGACCGCCCCACAACGCACCCUGAACGAAGCCGGCGCAGAGCUCUCCCCGACACCAACUUGACCUCGUAGUUACACUCUUCCCCGAAGUAAAUGGUUAACCGAAGCUAACUCGUUCGAAGAUAUUCGUUCUUUGAUUUUGUAGGCGAGGAUCCCCGAAGUUACGGCCUACACGGCGCUCCUAGCGACUCGACUUUAAGGAGAUGCUACGACCAAAGCCCGAGUUUGGCGAGUCUCAGCCAACGAAGGUGGAGCAUGCAUGGAGGCGCACUUGGUGCGAGUGAAGCUGAAGAGUAGAAAAAGGAAAGGUCAGAGCAGUCCUGGGUUCGCUUCAACCGUGGAACACUUGUGUAAAAAAGACUUUGGGAGGGGCUCGAAAUGUAAUCUCACUUGAAACCGACAUCUCGAGUAAGGGUUAAGUUACUGUCUUGUACGAAAUAUGCCUGGAAUGUAGUAGUUGGGUAUGGGUAUUGCGGGCAUACGGAAAUGUAACUUUAUAGCGCUAUAAAAGGAUGUGAACCGUCCCCUUUCAAAUGGACACUAUUCAAUUAUAAGACAGCCAAAGUUACACUCAUUCGACGUAUCUCCGCUUUCGUGUUGUGACUUUGUCUUACUUUACAUUCGACGAGGGCCCAACAUGAGGUUGGUGGCCUAAGUACAGUGCCGCUUAGUCUACUGACUAUGGGUAGUAGCAACAUAGGUGCUCAAUGUUCUAGGAGUUUGUGACUUCUUCGCCGGAUAGUUGUUGUAGCCUGUACGAUCCUGGUCCUGUGACUUUGGACAUGAUGUAAGGCCCUUCCCAAGGUGAGUUGAGUUUGUGUAGCCCCAUUGUGUCUUGAAUGCGCUUGAGGACCAUGUCACCAAUGUUGAAAGAAUGUUUUUUGAGGUUGCGGUCGUGGUAAUGGCAUAGUCCUUCAAGGUAUCUUGCUGACUGUACAAGUGUUGCACAACGUGAUUCUUCUAAGAUAUCAAGGUCUAAGUGCCUUGUUUCCUCUGCUGCCCCUUCGUCGUAUUGCUCGACCGCAGGAGACCUCCACAUGACGUCAACAAGGAGUAUGGCUUCUGACUCAUAGACAAGGAAGUAAGGCGACUGCCUAGUAGGCUUGCACGGUUGAGUACGUAACCUCUAGAGAAUGUUGGGUAGUUCUUUGAGCCACUUGCCUCCUUUGGUGUUACCAAUGUCAUGCAACCUUUUCUUGAGAGCUUCAACUAACAUGCCAUUGGCACGCUCAACCUGGCCGUUGGUCUUAGGUGAGCGAUGAAGACGUAACGAACGUCGAUUCCGCUAUUCUUGCAAUACUCCUAUAAUUCAUGAUUGUUCAAAUUUGAGCCCAGGUCUGUGAUAAUUCUGUUUGGAAAACUGUAGCAGUGAACUAUUUCAUCCUGGAAGUCGAGAAUCUUGUCAGCCUUAGAGCAGGUGACUGGUUUUACCUCGAUCCAUUUGGUGAACUUAUCAAUGGUGACGAGUACUCGAUUGAAUCCUCCUGAGGCUAUUGGGAGCGGACCAAUCAUGUCGAGCCCCCAACAUGCGAAAGGCCAUGUUGGAGGUAUGGUGAUGAGUUUGUAGGUAGGGAUAUGUUGUUGCUUGGCAAACAACUAGCAAUCUUGACAUCUGCGGACUAGUUGCUCUGCAUCUGCCAGCACAAUUGGCUAAUAAAAUCCUGCUCUAAAAGCUUUGCCUACUAUUGUUUUUGAGGAUGCGUGAUUCCUGCAGAUUCCUUUAUGUAUUUCCGCCAAGAUGUCCUUGCCGUCCUUGCGAGUAACGCACUUCAUGAGUACUCCCGAGGAUGCUCCUCUUCUGUAGAGUUUAUCUCCGACUAGAACGUAGCUUUUGCCUCAUCGUGAGACUUGUUCUGCCUGCUUUUUGUUAGAAGGUAGCUUGUGCUAUUUAAUGUAGUCAAUAAAAGGAGUCCUCCAGUCUACUUCGAUUAUCAUGAUUUCUCAGUCAGGUUCUGGUGGACCUUUACUGGUGGUUGCUGGAUUUAUUUGUUCUGUUAUGGACGGCUUGCAAAGUUCAUGAACUAAGAUGCCUGCAGGAACUUCCGCACGUGUUGAACCCAUUUUGGAUAAAACAUCAGCAGCAACAUUGUUGUCGUGGACCAUAUGGUGAAAUUCAAGGCCUGAGAACUUGUUCUCUAGUUUACGGACUUCCUUGCAGUAUGCAUCCAUGUUUUCCUUGUUGUGGUCCCACUCAUCAUUGACUUGAUUGAUGACUACUAAUGAAUCACCAUAGACUAGUAAUCUUUUGAUACCCAGUGAGAUUGCUAGGCAAAAACCGUGUAGAAGUGCUUCGUACUCGGCUUCAUUAUUUGACGCUUCCCAAAAGUUUUGAAGAACAUGCUUGAGUUAUUCACCUUUUGGGGAUAUUAAGAGUACUCCUGCACUAGCUCCUUGAAGCUUGAGUGAUCCAUCAAAGUACAUGACCCAAUGUUCAGGAUGUUCCACCGGUGUAGGCAGUUGGUUUUCCCUCCCCUCAGCCAUGAAAUCGACUAAAGCUUGGGAUUUGAUUGUUGUUCUUGGUUGAAAUUUCAAGGACAAUGCUCCAAGUUCUACUGCCCAUUUUGAGAUUCUGCCCAUGGCAUCCUGAUUGUGGAGGAUCUCGUCGAGUGGAAAAUUAGUGAUGAUGGAUAUGAUGUGUUCCUGGAAGUAGUGUCGCAAUUUUCGCGAAGUGAGUAGUAUGGCGUAGAGUAGCUUCUGGACCGGCAGGUGCCGUGUCUUGGAGUCUGAGAGUACUUCGCUGACAAAGUACAUUGGUCUAUGGACUUUGUAGACAUGGCCUGGUUAGACCUUUUGACUACUAUUUCUGUGCUGACAACAUGAGUGGUUGAAACGAUGUACAAGAGCAAGUCUUCAUUUGGUGUUGGAGCUGUGAGGAUUGGUGGCUUUGGCAGGAAGUCUUUCAGCUGUAGCAGAGCCUUAUCCGCCUCCUCUGUCCAUUGAAACUGGUCUGGUCGCUUGAGUAAUUUGAAAAAGGGUAGACCCCAUUCUCCAAGUCUUUAUAUGAAUCUGUUUAGGGAUGCCAUGUAGUCUGUCAGCCAUGCAACCUGUCGGCUUUAAACCAAAUUGAUCUUGAAUUACCUCUGCUAUCCGUGCCGUCCAGUCUGCUUGUUGUUGAUGAACUACUGGCUGGGGAGCCGGCACAUGUUGGUAGAUCGGCGGAGGGAUGACUGGGUGAUGAACGAAAGCGUGUGGCGGGUUCUGUGGCGACGUGGCCGGCUGUGUGGUCAGCAUCUGGUGUCUCAGCGAACCGGCCAUUUCAACAUAUAGUAUAAUCGGCGCAGCACCCCGGAGCGCUUCAGCAGUCUCUGCCCCCUGCCAAUUUCCGAUAUGGCCGGUUGAUACUGUGGAGCUGUCGGCCGCACGGCCGAUUGGAAGGGUGCCUGGGUCGGAGAGCCUCCAUAGCCGGCCGAUUGAUCUUGGACGGCUGUCGCCGAUGGUGCCCCCCAAGGCACUGAAUUUAAUGAUGAUGAUUGCGCAGAGGAAAGCUGAACGGAUUGAGGUGGCGCCUGUGACUUGAGGUAUGGUGCGCUGUUGUAUCCCGGAUGCAUUGAUGGUGAAGGAGCGUUGGAUCCUCCAUGUUGAGCUUGGAUCGGCUGAGGAGCCAAGUGGGAUAUGCUUGGAAAACUCCUGACCGAGGCUGUGAUAGGUGGGGCGUAUGCCGGCCCCUAGUAUCCUUGAGACACGCCAUUGGCCAGGGAGCUGAUGAUGGCAUUGUAUACCGUUUUGGUCAUCACUGGGGAUUGAUCGAUGAAAGCCUGGUAGACAGACUAUUGAACCAUCUCGAACAUCUUGCUUGAGUCCUCGGCGAUUGUAAUCUGGCGGGGAGUUGGAAAAGGAGCUUUCUUGACAGUUUCCCCGCUCUUGGUACGACUGAAGGAUUGUAGGCAUGUCUUCUGGUACUGUGCUAUCUGCUUCUCCAACUCCUUCUGGUCGUCCUUGAGGUCUGCUUCCGUCACCUCGAUGACGUUGUCUUCGGAGAUUUCGGCAGCUUUCAACAUGGUAGUGGUCGUAUUGGUCCCACUGGGCGUGCCAAAAGUGUGUUGGCACUAAAAAUCAGUCGAUUGAAUCUCAGUGUCAGACACACGAUCUGGGAGAAUCUGCUUAGCUCCUGUUCGGGUAAUCGCCUUGGUGCGGUUCGCGCGGCGUGCCAGCCAAUUUGACCUGUUGAUUGGCAAGGAAAGAAACGUGUCAAAUCCUAGAGGCUACGAUCGGCUAAGGUUCCGAUCUCGAGGAAGCUUAUCAGCAAAUCAGCUGAUUUGCUAUAACAAGGAAAUCGGCUAUGGUAAAGCUGACAACUAGGUAACGUUUGUAAAGAAAACUGCCAGAAUAAACUAGACAAUGCUACAGAAACAACACUUGAAACAGAUCUAAUCGGCUAUACGGAAGUAAUGGAUAACAGACAAACAUAAAUAAGCUGAAAGCUCUAAUUCCAAGCUGGAUAACUGGUGAUAAAACUAGAACAACAGGUAAAACCUAGAAUUCUAGUAAAUAUCGAUAACUGAUGAAUAAAUCUAAACGAAAUGACAGCGAUGCGCCCAAAGUUAAAGCUUAGAUAUUACUUGAUAAACGGAACUUAUAGAAUCGGCCGGAGAUCGUGUCGAUGCAGCCCUGCCAACCCGUACGAACUCGUGAAAGAAGAAAGGUAUUGGCGAAGUCGCCGACUUGAAAGUAAAGUAUGAGAAAAUAGUAGAUUGUUGUAUUAAUUUGAUGAUGAUUGUACAGAUCUCUAAAGAUGGCUAUUUAUAGCCUAUUACAACCAACUUCUUAAUCGACUAGGAUUCUAUCUCUAAUUUUAAAUGAAAACGAUUAUUUACAAGUACAACUCAUAUCGGAGUUGGUCGUUACGCUCCUGUGGGCCAAUCUUCUCUUCGCAAUUCACUUUAAGCCCAUAUUGGCCCAAUUGCCCCAGCCUCUUAAUCGGCCGAUUUCUACCAACUCCAUCCGGCAAAACACUGCAGCGCCAAUCGGCCGAUCUUCAACUGUAGCACCAAUCGGCCGAUUUCCAGUCGUGACCUUUUUGACUCACCACAUCGGCUAAUCCUCUCCCUUCUUGACGCCGAUUCCAUACGUGUCAAAAUCUGGCGUCAACACUAAUGAUGAACCCAAGUAGUUUGCCGGAAGGUACACCAAAAACGUAUUUGGAAGAGUUAAGUUUCUAGCGGAAACCUCGCAGGCUUAAGAAGGUUUCCUUCAAAUCGAUGAUUAGGUCCUCCUGGUUUUUUGUUUUGACGACUACAUCAUCCACGUAAGCUUCUAUGUUGCGAUGUAAUUGUUUCUCGAAGCACAUCUGUAUAGCGCGCUGGUAGGUUGCGCCCGCGUUUUUUAAUCCAAAUGAUAUUGUUUUGUACGAAAAAGCCCCAAAUGGAGUGAUGUUUUGGCUUGAUCUUCUUCUUUGAGGCUUAUCUGGUGAUAACCUGAGUAACAGUCAAGAAAGCAUAGUAAAUCGCACCCGGUAGUAGAGUCGACUACCUGGUCGAUCCUGGGUAGUCCAAAAGGGUCCUUUAGACAAUGUUUGUUGAGAUCCGUGAAUCGACGCACAUUCUCCAUUCAUUGUUUUUCUUGUGAAUGAGUAUAGGGUUGGCUAGCCAAUCAGGGUGGAAGACUUCUUUGAUAAACCCUGCUGCGAGUAGUUUGGCUAGCUCUUUUUUGAUUGCUUCUCGUCUGUCUUGGGCGAACCUCCAGAGACGCUGUCAUUUCGGGGUAGCUCUGGUUCAACAUUUAGAGAAUGCUCGAUCAGUUCCUUGAGCACACCAGGCAUGUCGGCUGGCUUCCAGGCAAAGAUAUCGUGGUUAGCCCGAAGGAAACUGAUGAGCGCAGUUUCCUAUUUAGGAUCUAGCCCUGUCCCAAUCAGAGCUGUCUUAGAAGGGUUGCCGGUCUAGAGAUCAACCAUUUUGAAGUCUUUCUCAUUUGUUGGCUUUACUUUUGCUAGCCCCGAAUUGUUCUCUGGGAUUUCGAGUUCUGUUGGCUGAAGUUUCUUUGAAGCUGAAAAAACUUGUUGCAUGGGGUUGGGUGCUUGGGAAGUUGCUGCAAUCUCCAUAGCUUCGGUGUCGCAUUCAUAAGAUCGCCUUAGGUCUCCUCGUAGCGUUAAUUCUCCCUUAGGUCCUGGCAUCUUGAUAUCCAAGUACACGUAGUGUGGUAUGGCCAUGAAUUUAGCCAGAGCUGGUCUCCCGAGUAUGGCAUGGUAAGAGGUCUCGAAGUCGGCGACUUCAAAUCUGAUGUACUCGGUUCGGUAAUGUUCCUUGGUGCCGAAAGUUACUGGUAGGAUGACUUGUCCUAGUGGUAUGGCUGCGUUUCCUGGUACAAUCCCGUAAAAGGGUGAGUCUGUUGGAGUGAGCAUGUCCGUGAUGUCAAGACACAUCUUUCUUAGUGUUUUGGCGAAAAUAACGUUUAGUCCGCUUCUGCCAUCAAUGAGUACUUUUGUUAGUCUUGAACCUGCAACAAAUGGGUCGAGUACUAGGGGAAAUCGGCCUGGUUCUGAGAAGCUUGUCCAUUGGACCCUUCUGCUGAAGGUUAUGGGUACCUCAGACAAUUUUAGCGGAGUUGGAUCUAUUGGUUCGAUUGCCAUAAUUUCUCUGAGUACCAAUUUACUGGAUCGCUUGGAUGCGGUACCCGGGAUUCCACCAAAAAUUACGUUGACUAUUUUGGAGGCGGUUUGGAAGUCUCCUUCUCCUUCUUCAUCCUUAUGGACUUUGUUUUUGCCCUUAUCCUUUUUCUAGUUGUACACUUCGGGAGGUGGUGGUGCGAGUAAAUCUUGCAUUACUCAGCGCAUGCUGUAGCAGUCUAUUGCUGAGUGUUUGCUAUUUGGGUGCCAUGGGCAUUGUUUUUUGAGUAGUUCGGUGAAGCUUGGUCCGUCGUUGUGUUUGCGGGAUCCUUUCUUUCCUGAGUUGGUCAUGGAAGCAACGGUGUUGUCAGGUUUGCGUUUGUCAUUUUGGUUACUCGAAUAGUUAUUUCGAGUAUCGUUGUUUCGGUUCCUGUCCUGCUCAUGACUGCUAUUGUCGUGCCCGCGGUUGCGAUGGGAGCCGAAUCGCUCGCGUUCUUUAUCUUCUUCAUCUACCCAUUGUCGCAUGAUAAUUUUGAGGUCUUUGACAGUGACUGGUCGUCGUCUGCCAAAGUCCUGGUAUGGUCGACGAUCAUAGAGGCCAUUUUGCAAGCACUCGAUAACGUCUGUUUCUGAAAUGUCGACUAUAGUGGCCUUCUUUUCGAAGAAUUGCCGUAGGUAGUCGUGCAGUGUAUCACCUUCUUUUUGUUUUAGUUGACUUAGGUUGAUCUUGUUCCUUGGUCUAGUCAUGGAGCCUACGUAGUUGUUGGUGAAGGCUUUUGUCAAAUCUUCCCAAGAGUCAAUUGUUCUAGGUUUGAGUGAUUCAAGCCAUGUUAGGGGGUGUGGGUUCCAUGCAUAUGGGAAAAUGGAUGACUUUUGUGUCAUUAUUGCCUCCGACUGCUUGGACAGCCAACGAGUAGCAUCGGAGCCAUUGAAUUGGGUCUUGCUUGCCAUCAUACUUGGUGACUCUUGUUGGCUUGAAUUUUUCGGAUAGUCUUGUUCUCGUUACCCGUGUUGUGAAGGCGGGAAAAUGGUUGUAGUUGUUGACUUCACUUUUGCGGCGACUAUUGAUUAUUUCCCGUAGAUCGCUGAAAUUGGAUACUUCAUGAUUUUUCCUGAUAUGGCGAGGACUUUUUGCAGAAUUAGUGCAGCUGGCAUCUCCGACAUCCUUAUGUCGUACUGGAGCCUCGCGUUUGCUCAGUCCUUGGCUAUGUUGCCUUGGUUGGUUGACUACCUUGUUGUUGUUUCUUUGUGCUUCGUGGAAGCCAUUGUUGACUACGGCACCCCUACUGCCCUCUCGAUGAGCUGAGUUACGAGUAACAGAUGGGAUUGGUGAUUCUUUAUGGAGUAGUUUGUAAGCUUGUUCUGCGAGUUGUGCAAUUAGUCCAUUGCCUCGCUGCGCAAGUUUACCUGUUAUUUUGUUAUCUCUGUCUUGAGGUAUGAGAGUUGAUAUAAGGUUGAUUGAGGCAAUUGCUGCGAGUGGAGUGUUGUGCUCUUGAGCUUGUACUGCGUCAAAAAUGCUCUUUCAAGGUUUGUGAUGGGAAUGUUUGUGUCUACUAGUUGUCGAUGUUCAACUCGAGUAAUGUUUCGUAUCCUUCUUUGGUUUCUUUGAUCGGAAGUUUCAUCCUCUGGAGCGUUAGCUGAUGACGCAUCCUCUGAAACAUUAUCGAGCUGCACUAUCCAUCGAGGGGUUCUCCGUUGGCUAGUGCCCGCAUUGUUAUUUUGAGUGAUGACAAAGAUUUCUCUGUCUAGGUAGUAGCUUCCAGAGCUUGAUAUUGUGAUUUUUGUAGUGCUCUCCUCGCGGCUUGAAGUGAGCGGGACGCCUUCUUGGUACGGGAGGUUGUCUAUAUGAGCGAAAAGGCAUGACUCGUAGUCGCGGGUAAGGAGAGAUGGCCUCAUUCCUGGCCAGUGAACAAAUCUGCCCUGCGGCGUUGAAGUUACUACCAAACCUUGGGCUAGCACUAAUAAUGGGAUUUCUUGGACGUGGUCCAAGUUGGAGUCGCAGUCCUUGUCUUACCUGUGUUCGAGUUGAGUUCGAGUGAGGAGACCUUAGUAGACUUCGGCUGUAUUGCGGAGUCCGUAUGGGAAUUGUUUUUGAGUUGAAGUCAACUUGUGAUGUGACUGGGGCUUCGGCUUGUGUUGACUAAUUUGAGCUGGGGUUGAGUCCGAAGCGUAGUCGAACUCGGUGUCACGGACUUUGAAAAUUUGUCUUUUCUUGACAAAAUCCCCCGUUUUUUGCUGAGGAAAGCUUUCAUCGAGAGGUUUCUUCUCCUAGAUGCUGAUGAUCUCACGCUGAAAUGAUCCAGCGCCGUCGGCGAUGUAGAGCCAAGAUCCGAAAACAAAGGUUGCACCUGCCUCGAAGGUGAAAGCAGGCUUGAUAAUGAUUGGUGCCAUUGAACUCGCGUAGAGAAACUCGGCGACCGCCCCUACCUGGCAUGCCAUCUGUCGGUAUUUUAGAUCGGCAACCCGCCUAGGGGGUACCCUAGGUGGUCUUUUGUGCGGUGGGUGUCGUCAAGAAUCAAGGAGUUGAUGGUGACGCAAGGAACACGAUUUAGAUAGGUUCGGGCUGCUAGAUCGUGUAAUACCCUACGUCCUGUGUGUUGAUUGUAUUGAACUUGGAUGAGUUGUCUUUGAGGGGGGUCCCUGCCCGCCCUUAUAUGAUCGGGGGAGCAGCGUUACAGGCUAGAAUCCUAGUCGGAUAUGGUUAGAGAGUUCUACUCGGUGUAGACAGAGUAGUUUCUAUAUGAAUGUUGACUAGUCUUUGGGAGUCCGAGUGGGCCACGCUCCUUUGCCACGUAGCCCCCGAGCCUUGAUUAUGUCCGAGUACACCCCUUAGUGGGCCACACAGGACCUACUUGUGGGCCUAGGAUGCAUGCCCGUCACACCGCCUGAUGGUGGAGAGACGGAAAAGGGGCGCACAUAGCCCACCUAUCCCGUCAGUGUUGGAGGUAUGCCCUAGAGGAAAUCAUAGAGAUGAUGAUAUUCCAUUUGUAUCCAUGAUUUGUAUAUUGUGUUCAUUGAAUAUCCAUUAAAGGCUACUUGAAUUGAUUUGCAAUUAUGUGAAUUGUAUGUGAAACUCUUUACUUGUAUGGUUAUUCUAAAGUUGUCCCUAGUCGGAGUUCAUGCGAGGACACACAUGAAUAUUAGACUAGCACAUGUAUUAGUUGAUGACUAUGUUUCACAAGUCAUGGACAUGGAGAUAUUGAACUAAUAGUGUGGACACAUGUGGAGACAUGUGCUAGGACUGACCCAACACGAGAAGUAGUUCUCUCUUUAAACAACAUAUACGCUUUGUCCUUAGACCUGAGAUUGUCGCAUGUAUUCUAGAUGUGGAUCGACCUACUUAGGGGCUAUCAAACGCUACGCUGUAACAGGGUAGUUAUAAAGGUAGCUUUCGGGUUUGUCAAGAAGCAUGCUAUAAGACAUGGUCAAUCAAGAUGGGAUUUGCCCCUCUUUGAUUGAGAGAGAUAUCUCUGGGCCCCUCGAGUGAUCGGAUCCGAAAAUGCAUGGCCAUGCUACGUACGGUUAAGAGUUAACCUACAAAGGGAUUCCGAAUCACAGGAUCGAGAAAGAGCAGUCGGCUUGAAGCUAGAACAAAUAUCGUGAGGCAAAGGGAAUAGCAUGUAUAUUAUGUUGUGAUGGUUCGUCUGAUAUGAUCUUCGUGUGCGCAUAGGAGUUGGCACGUCUUGCUAGAGGCCGCUACCGACUAUUGGGCCGAGUAGGAGUACUUGGGCCAUGUCUAUACGUAUCCAAACCUAUAGGGUCACACACACACUUAAGGGGCUGGAAGCCCAAUUCGGAUCUGAUCCGAGUUGGAUUAGGUUUAGAAGUACUAAUGGGCCUCAGACCUAGAGGCCCGUCAGGAACCUCUAUAAAUAGAGGGGUGGGGGCGCCCUAGGGUUUACACCUUUUGGCAAAACACAUCUGCCGCGCCUCCCACGCCCUCGCCUGUUGCAAUUCGCGGAUCUAGCAGUCCGGCUUGCGAUGCUUCCUCCCUGCACGUGUGGAUACCUUGGAGGUGUUGCGCCUGCAGCACUUGAACGAGCCGCCGACGAGCCGCCGAUGAGCCACGACGAGCCGACGACGAGCCGCGGCACCGGAGGCGAUCUUGCUGCACGUGGACGAGCUGCUGAGGAGCUGCUGGACAUGAUCGACUACGUACGACUACGUGAUCGUCUUCACUGCAUCGACGCAUAUCUACAUCUUCCGCACCAGUAGUGCGUCGAGUGGUAAUCCCGUGAUCCUUAUACGGCAGUUCUUCCUGGUUUUACGCGGUAGAAAUUUUGAUUUGCGCUAGUGUAGCCUACCUCGUAUCUCAACAGUCAGUCCCGCAACAUCGGCGUGGUGCUUUGGCGGGAACCCGUGGGUGCGAGAAAUCAUGACAAAUCGUGAGAUAACCCUUCGCCAUCAGUUUCUCACAGCGCUCACUUAGGGUUCUUUGGCUGGGCUGCGCCAUGGGCCUUAAUGGGCCAUAACGCGAAUCAGGCUUUUGCGGCCCAUAUCGUUGGAACAUCUGUUCCUAUAAUAUGGAGUCAGUUUUUGAAAGCAUUCAGAGAUGGAAAACCACAUGAGCUUUGAGAAGUUCAGAGCAUAGAGGGCCAGGUUAUUAGUUAACCCAUCCUUGGUCUUAUUAUCGGCAUGAUUCCUAAGAUGGGACCUCUUCUAGCUCAUGUGGGUUUCUCCAUAGGAUGUGCUGCAUGAGGCCAAGUUGUCUUGGUUCGCAAAGACGAACUAAGUAUGCAUCCCGUGCAGGCUCCCCUUGGGAAUGCAGUGUGCCUAGAGGCUAAAUCUAUGCCCAAGCUGGAGCUGGAUGUGGGCAUUGCACUGGAUUAAUGAUUCAAGGGUCCUCUCCACGGAGGUAUGAUAGGUUUAAGAGAAGUCCCCUUAAGAGCCUCAACUGGAUUCUUCAAAUCCACUUGAGUCUUGGGGGCUGCACCCAUUGAGAAUAACAUAGGCCAGUAAAAAUCCUUGUCUUGAGACCCUUGGUUGCUUUCUUUAAAUCUAGUCAAGGCUCGAGGGCUGGCAAGCAUAUGUUCAUCUCUGGACUGGAAAGAUGAACAUGUUAUUGCUUAAGAGCUCGUUUUUUAACCCUUGGCAAGCCUAUUGUAAGCUCCCCAAGGCUCAGAGGCGAAGUGUGACUUCGCCUUUGGCGCUCGUGUGGGAAAACACUUAGAAAGGAUAAGUUGAGACUUCAAAUAAAGACCCUUGGCAAGCUUAUAUUAAACUUUCCAAGGCUUGGGGGCUAAGUGUAUACACUUCGCCUUCAGCGUGUGUGAUAAAGAAGACAAGGGGAGGAGAUAUCCUCGACCUCUCAGUAACCACGAGUCAGGCAUGAACCACUUGGCUGAAAGUUGAGGACCACUUGGAUUUGAAGAAAACCACUUGGAUUUGAAGAAAACCACUUGGCCACAAACAAAACUUUUGGACAAAGGAUAAGUCAAGGUUGUUGUUCAGCCAAAAAGUGCUCGGGGGCUGCUGUUGAGGGUAUAACCCCAAGGUACCACUCGGAUGGGCCUAGCCGUCCUCCAAAGGGGCUACCACGGCCCAUACGAGGGGGACUCGGGAUAGGCGUAGGAUCAAGAUGAAGGAUCGGCAUCAAGAGAUAUAGUUGCAGAUAGGCAUGUUUAAAUAUAUAAAGAGAUAACUUGUACCGAAAGGUAGUAGAUUUCCUUGUAACCGACUAGGUUUAGAUCGAAUCAGAUCUGUAACCCUGCCCCCCGUACUAUAUAAGGGCGACAGAGACUCCGCCUCAAAAAUCGAAGCCAUAUUCGAUACGCUACAUGCUGAGAAUACAACCCCGAGCACAGAACGUAGGGUAUUAUAACAAUCCGGUGGCCCGAACUUGGUAAAAGUCCCCUGUGUCCUUGUGUUAACCAUCUAGACCUAGGUGCGGCGAUCCCCUCCACACAAUCUACCACCUUGGUCUACCCCUGUGGUGGACUGCUGAACUAUUCCCCCGACAGCGUUGGAGAUCAUCGCCCUAGAUGUGUUUGCCAAGAAUGGAUGGAGAAACAAUAAUAGAAUUUGUUUUUGAUUUCUUCCUAUCGUUUGCUACUAUUUCCCUUAUUUGUGCGAUCAGUUGAUGUGCUAAGAACAAGGAUUUGGGAUUUAGGGCGAAUGGGCUGAAUUUCAGUGGGAUUUGCCCAUUUCGGUUGGGCCGAGACAAAGUGAAACCGAUCAAAAAAUUUUGAUCCAAUUUAAACUUUAAGCCCACCAUCACAGCCCACGGAUGGCUCCCCUAGUAUAAAAUCAUGAGUCAUUAUCUGGAAACCCUAGAAAUUUAAUUUUCCUCCUCCUCUCCCCAAGCCACGCCCGCCAAGCUCUCUCCUCAUCACCCUCCUUCCAGUCCCAAUCCACUCCUCUCCGCAGUUCGCACCACCAUCUCUGCCCAGCGGCCACCAUUUCUAAUAUUUCUCUCCAAUCGUUGGUACGUGUAGGUGUCUUCUGUUCUAGGUCAUGGCUGAUCCAUCAUGUACAGCAGCUCGUGGGGCUCAUGGAGGCAUCUAGGAGUCAGGUGGUCAGCGGCCCUGUACGUGGUAGGAUGAGUGGCAGCAGUGGCCCUUGUCGGAAGGCGUUCCCGAUGAGGGUUCUUGGUGCGGCGUGGUGGCCGCAGGCUCCAGCGUGGAUGUCCUGGAGUAGCGCCUUUCCUUGCUCGAUCGGGAUGCAGCAUUGCAGGAUGCCAGUAUGGCUCCGCUUGUAGAGCUCCUGGUUGAUGAUGAUGAAAGAUUUGGCACGGCGGGCGAUCCUUUGCGCCUCUGUCUUGUCUGUCGGGAGCAAAUCGUGGAUGAGGUAAUUGAGGUACGGGGCUCUCCAGUUAGGUGGGGGGUCAGGUCCCUCUAUAGGAUUCGAGUCGAUUUCCAUGACCUCGGGGUCGGAGGGGUCGGCCUCCGAGUCUAGGACAGGUGGCGUGUUGCCGACCUCCUUCGACUCCUCAUAAGGGUCGGCUCCCGAGUCCGGGACAAGUGGUGCGUUGCCAACCUCUCCCGGCUCCUCGUAGCGGAUCAAGGGCUUAUGCUGGUCACUGAUAAAGACACCGUCGGGGACUGGCUUCCAACCAGAUGCCACUUUUGCUAGUUCGUCAGCUGCCUCGUUGAAGCGUCUUGCGACGUGGUUGAGCUUCAGACCGUCGAACUUGUCCUCAAGCUGGCGGACUUCAUUGCAAUAUGCUGCCAUCUGGGGAUCAUGGCAGCUCCACUCCUUCAUGACUUGCUCGAUGACUAGCUGAGAGUCAUCUCGGAUGUCCAGCUCGAUGGCGAUGUGAAGCCUAUUGAGGAGAGCCUCAUACUCAGCGACAUUGUUAGACGUGGGAAAAUGGAGCCGGAUCAUGUACCUCAUGCGUAUGCCAAGGGGAGAGACAAAAACCAGGCCCGCUCCGGCACGAGCCUUCAUCAGCGACCCGUCGAAGUACAUCGUCCAGUACUCCUGCUUCUCUGGUCUGAUGGCGUCUGGAUCUCUGUCCAUUCCACGACAAAGUCGAUGAGUACCUGGGACUUGAUGGCUGUCCGGGUGGCAUAGGUAAUGCCCUUGUCCAUAAGCUCGAGUGCCUACUUUGCAAUCCGCCCUGUGGCAUCCUGAUUUCGGAUCACUUCGUCGAGGGGGAACGAUGACACGACCGUUACCGGGUGGGAGGUGAAGUAGUGGUGUAGCUUCCUCUUCAUGACAAGGACUGCGUAUAUGACCUUUUGGAUUUGGGGGUAGCAGGCGUUGGAGUCGGACAAGACCUCGCUGAUGAAGUACACCGGGCGCUGCACCUUGAGGGCGUGUCCCUCCUCCUCUCGCUCCAGCACUAGAGCAGCGCUGACCACCUGGGUGGUUGCCGCAAUGUAGAGCAGGAAUGGCUCCAAGUCUAUCGGUGGGACCAGGAUUGGGGCCCUCGUCAGGAUAUACUUGAGCCGGUCAAGCACCUCUUGGGCCUCGGCGGUCCACACGAAGUGGUCGGUCUUCUUCAGGAGUCGAUAGAGGGGGAGUCCUCGUUCACCGAGGCGUGAGAUGAAGCGGCUUAGGGCCGCAAGGCAUCCCAUGACGCGCUGCACUCCCUUCAGGUUUUGGAUCGGCCCCAUAUCGGUGAUGGCCGAUAUCUUCUCCAGGUUGGCCUCGAUGCCGCGCACGGAGAUGAUGAAGCCGAGCAGCAUGCCCCUCGAGACCCCAAAAAUGCAUUUUUCGGGGUUGAGUUUGAUGCUCUUGUCUCUCAGCCUUUCGAAGGCCAGCUCAAGGUUGGGGAUGAGCUGGUCGCCUUUCUUGGAUUUGACCACGAUGUCAUCUACGUAGGCCUCAACAGUUCACCCGAUGAGGUCCCCAAAAUACUUGAGCAUACAUCGCUGGUAUGUAGCCCCCGUGUUUUUGAGGCCGAACGGCAUCGUGACGUAGCAGUAGGGCCCGAAAGGGGUGAUGAAAGAGGUCACAAGCUGGUCGGACUCUUUCAUCGCGAUUUGGUGGUAACCGGAAUACGCGUCAAGGAAGCUAAGGGUUUCGCACCCUGCGGUUGAGUCGACUAUUUGAUCUAUGCGUGGCAAAGGAAAUGGAUCCUUUGGGCACGCUUUGUUGAGACCCGUAUAGUCAACACACAUUCUCCAUUUCCCAUUCUUCUUUCGUACAAGAGUAGGAUUGGCUAACCACUCGGGGUGGUACACUUCCUUGAUGAACGCGGUCGCCAAAAGCUUCUGGAGCUCCUCACCGAUGGCCUUGCGCCUCUCCUCAUCGAAGCGGCGCAAGCCUUGUCUCACCAGUUUGGAGCCGGCCUUGAUGUUCAAGGAGUGCUCGGCAACUUCCCUCGGGAUGCCUGGCAUGUCCGAGGGUUUCCACACAAAAACAUUGCUGUUUGCGCGGAGGAAAUCGAUGAGCGCGCUUUCCUAUAUGGGAGAUAGGGUCGCGCCUAUCCGCACCGUUCUGCCGUCGGAGCAAUCGGGGUUGAGGGGGACCUCCUUCACGCCCUCCGUGGCCUCGCAGGAGGUGGAGGACUCCUUGGAGUCGGGCAGGUCCUUGGCGUCCUCCGCAAGCCAGACCGCGUGGUCCUCCGAGCAAGUGAUGGCCGAGGCGUACUCACAGCACUCAACAUCACACUCGUACGCCUUCUGGAAAGACCUGCCCAUGGUGAUGACACCGUUGGGCCCCGGCAGCUUGAGCUUGAGGUAGGUGUAGAUGGGGAUGGCUGUGAACUUGGCAUAGCAUGGCCGUCCCAAGAUGGCGUGGUAGAUUCCAUGGAAGCCUACCACCUCGAAAGUGAGGGUCUCCUUCCUGAAGAUGGAAGGAGUCCCAAAAGUGAUGGGUAGGUCGAUCUGCAUGAGGGUCAUUGCUCGUUUCCUCAGCACGAUGCCGUUGAAUGGCACCUCCGUCGAUCCCCAUGACGUCAAGGGUCUCGGCGUAGAGCAUGUUGAGGCUGCUGCCUCCAUCCAUGAGCACAUUGGUGAGGCACUUCGUGCCGAUGAUGGGGUCGAAGACGAGGGGGUAGUGUCCUGGCUGCGGGACACGCUCCGGGUGGUCGGACUGGUCAAAGGUUAUGGCGGACCUUGACCAGUCGAGGAAGGCUGGGGUAGCGGGGUUGGCCGCGUAGACCUCACUGUGUUCCAGCUUUAGGCGGCGCCUGGAGUCGUAGGCCGCUGGCCCGCCGAAGAUCAUGAAGCACCCAUCCACGUUGGGGAAGCCAUCUUCCUUCUCUCCAACGUCCUUCUCUUCUUCGGGCUUCCAUCUUCGGUCGCCCUUCACUGGAUUGCCUACAAAGUACCUCCUCAUGAGGUUGCAAUCCUUGUAGGCAUGCUUGACGGGGAACUCGUGGUUCGGGCACGGUCCCUCAAGCAACUUGUCGAAGAAGUCGGGGGUGCCCUCAGGAGGCGGCUGUCCCCGUUUGUGCUCGGCAACAGCCACGAGGGGAGCCUCGUGCCGUUGCUUGUUCUUCUUCUUCUGCUAGCAGUUGGAGAUGCCCUCAUCGGAGUGCUCUUCCCGCUUCGCCUUGCCUUUGGAGUGAUCAAAGAUUGCCCCGACGACCUCUUCGCCCGAGGCAAAGCUAGUGGCGAUGUUGAGGAGCUCCUAGGUGGUCCGUGGGCCCCUACAUCCUAGCUCGUGGACCAGGGGCCUGCAAGAGGUUCCCGCCAAGAAGGCUCCGAUGACAUUGGCAUCAGCGACGUUGGAGAGCUUGGUGCGCUUCUUGGAGAAUCGAUGGAUGUAGUCUCAAAGGGACUCAUCCGACCCCUGGCGGCAGCUUAGGAGGUCCUAGGAGUUUUCGGGGCGCAUGUACGUGCCCUGGAAGUUCCCUACCAAUAUUUCCCUUAGGUCAUUCCAGUUUUGGAUCCGACCUGACGAAAGGUGUUCCAGCUAGGCUCAUGCUGAGUCGGCUAAGAAUAGAGGGAGGUUGUGGAUGAUAAAUAGGUCGUCAUCCGCCCCAUCGGCCUGACAGGCAAGUCGGUAGUCGCUGAGCCAAAGCCUGGGUUUCAUCUCCCCGGACUACUUGGCCAUGUUGGUGGCCUGCCUGAAACAUGCUGGGAACAGCGCGUUCAAGAUGCGCGCGGAGAAGGCCUAGGCCCCGCUCGGUCGGGGCUUGGGCUUCGGUCUUCUUCACUGUCGUAGCAGCCACCACAUUGUACGUGGUAGCCGCGGUCAGCUUCGUCCUCCCUAUCCACGCGGGAGCGCCUUCGCGCAUCCAGGGUGUCACGAGCAUCGCAGACGGGACCAACGCGCCGGUGGACAGCUGGGGCUCCUCCACCUGCAGGCGGUGGGGUCCGUCGAGUGGGCGUGGCCCAAUUCCCCCUGCGGGGAGGCUGGUGGAGAGACUCCCCACACCUUUCAGGAGGCGCGGUGGGCGCUGCCCUGCUGGUGUUGUGCCCGCAUCGCCGGGACGUGAAGCCCUCCGCUUGCUGGACUGCGGUGCACUCAAGCAGGUUGCGCACCUCUUGGUGGGCCUGUUGCUCCUCGGGUGUCACCGUCUUGGGGAGUCAUUGGAGUAGGGCGCGUGCGAAGAGUUGAGGAUGAUCCUCAUCCUCGCAGAUGCGCCGCUGGACGUCGCGUGCCUAUUGACGCGCUCCGCCUUCUUUGCGGGGGUGCUCGACCUCCUGAUUGGGCACCACGCGCGCCUCCGGCAGUCGAGGCUACUCUGGGACCCUGGUGAGGGCUCUGGCUGUAGCUGCAGCGCGUGGUGGGGGAGUGCGCUACCUCCCUUCGCCGUCGUCGUCGUUGGACCCCACGGAGUGCACGUUGGCCAUGAAGCACUCACGCGAGGGGGGUGGCUCCUAUUGUCGAAACCAGCGUCGGAGGCCGUUUCCAUUACGCCCACGAACUCAUUGUUCGCAUGUGGAUCGUGCCAGGAGACGAACUUAAACCGUUGUCGUGUUGCGUAGGCCAAAGGGUCGCUGCUCCGAAGGAGGCUCCGUGGUGCGCGCCCGGCCGCUCACCACCACUCCAGCGGCGGAGCCGGAGGUGACGGGGUGAGCAGGCAGGACGAGGAGAGGAAUCAGCUCGAUUCCCUCUCCCGUGGUGAGGAAGUAUAGGCUCCCGAAGCGGAUGUGGGAGCCGGGAGCAAAGCCGAUGUCGUGGUUGGCCAUCCGAAGCCGGUGAUGAUCGUCGUACGCGCAAAGGCCUACUACCUAGCGCGCCAACUGUCGGUGUCAAGAAGAGGAUGGAGGACUGUACUUCAAGAAUAGGAUAGUAGUUCCUAAAGAUGAGGACCUAAGAAGAUUAAUCUUAGAAGAAGCACAUCUGUCCAAGUUUGCCAUUCAUCCCGGAAGCAAUAAAAUGUACCAAGAUUUAAAGCAAAGAUUUUGGUGGGCAAGGAUGAAACCUGAAAUUGCAAGAUAUGUAGCUGAAUGUGAUACUUGCCGAAGAGUUAAGCCCAUACUACAAAAGUCGGCAGGUUUAUUACAACCUUCAGAAAUCCCUGUCUGGAAAUGGGAAGAUAUUUCUAUGGAUUUUAUAGUUGGAUUGCCUACCACUUCAAAGGGGUAUGAUUCCAUCUGGGUUAUUGUCGACCGCUUUACUAAGUCAGCUCACUUUAUUCCAGUCAAGACUACUUAUCCGGUGUCGACAUAUGCCAAGCUCUAUAUAGCCCGGAUCGUAUCCUUGCACGGAGUACCAAAGACCAUUAUCUCUGAUCGAGGUUCCCAGUUUGUUUCCAGAUUCUGAGAACGAUUACAAAAGGACAUGGGUACUACCCUAAUUCGAAGUUCUGCCUAUCAUCCGCAAACUGGAGGACAGACAGAAAGGGUCAAUCAAAUUUUGGAAGACAUGUUAAGAGCAUGUGUCCUUACCUUCUCUAAGCUAUGGGAUGAAUGUUUGCCCCUAGCCGAGUUCUCCUAUAUAAUAGCUAUCAAGCUAGCAUUAAGAUGGCACCUUUCGAAGCCUUGUAUGGUCGAAGAUGCCGAACUCCUUUAAAUUGGUCAGGAAUAGGAGAAAGGACACAUUUGGGAUCAGACUUGGUUAUGGAAACUGAGGAGAAGGUCCAGAAGAUUCGCAAACAUUUAGAAAUAGCCCAGUCCCGACAAAAGAGUUAUUCGGACAAAAGGAGACGGUCCUUGGAAUUUCACAUCGGAGAUUUUGUGUACUUGAAGGUAUCUCCAAUGAAAGGAGUACAACGCUUUGGAGUAAGGGGUAAGUUAGCCCCAAGAUAUAUUGGUCCCUAUGAAAUUCUGGAACGAAAAGGUCCAGUAGCAUAUAAGCUGUCGUUGCCAGACCAACUUACUUCUAUACAUGACGUGUUUCAUGUAUCCCAGCUUAAUAAGUGCUUAAGAGUUCCAGAAGAAAUUUUAGAAGAUCCAGAAAUUGAGCUCGAGCCCGAUCUAACCUAUGAAGAAAAACCUAUUAAAAUUCUGAAUCAAAAGACAUGAGAUACCCGAACUCAAAGUAUCACGUUUUACAAGGUACAAUGGAAAAACUAUACUCCGGAUGAAGCUACUUGGGAACAGGCUAAAGAUCUAGAGUCUAAAUAUCCGGAAUUAUUUGAUACCGUCAGGAACCGAUGAACAAAAGCCACCACCCCACUAUCCUUGUACAGAAAAAGAAAGAAUAAUUGACCUGACGCAGUUUCCUUUCCAUUCUCAAAACCAAGGAUUUAACCCCGGGAAUCUCGGGAUGAGAUUCUGUUAAGGGGGAGAGGCUGUAACAGCUGCUAUUUGAGUCAUUAAAGUGACUUUGAUAAAUUGGAAGCAAUUCAAGAAGAAAGGAAAAAGAAAUUGGCCAAAAAUCAAAUUCGGGCCAAAUUUGGCCGAAAUUUGAAUUUUGAAUUUGAAAUUUAGAAAAAUUCGGCAAAAAUGUGGAAUACAAGUGUGAGAGUGAUUAGAACUUAGGGAUCAAGAAUUUGGAACAGAAAUGGUGCUACAUAUCUCAGAGAAAUCAAAGGAAGAAAAAGGAAAAAUUGAACUUACGGUUCAUCGUCUGAAAAUAGAAACUCAGAAAAACAGCAGCAGAGUCUGUUUUCAAAAUUUAAUUCUGAAGAAUUUUUCAAAUAAGUGCACCAGGACAACUAUACCAUAUUGAAUUAUGAACUUUGUACUACAAGAUUUGGGUGUUGUUGACCCGGGACAGUGAAAGGAAGGAAUUCAAAUUCAAGCUCAAAGUCAGCACAUUGUCACAGUUAACUGUCACUCUGAAAAUGGUUAAGUCUGAAACCGACAGCAUAGGGUCAACUUUGAAUUUGAAUUCAGAGCAAUGUAGAUCAAGAAGGGUAGGUGUUCUUGGGCAAAAUAGAAACUUUGGAGGUUGUAGAACAUCAUUGGGAAGAAGUUGGACUGGAAAAGAAGGAUUUGGAUCACAAAAUUCAACCAGAAAGUAAGGCAAAUAUCACUGUUAUGUUCCUGACGAACUGAACUUAAAGUUCAGCAAAAAUUCAGUUGAAGCCGAGAAAGAAAUCCAAAUUGCACUGUGUUUGAUGAUUAUCUCGGGGUAGAGUUAAAAUAAAAAUUGGAGGAUUCAAGUUUAUCUCCAACUUCUGUUAAGACACUUGGGGACCGUCGGAUCGAAGAUCGGCCGCAAUUUCGCUCUGAAGAUUUCGGGCAUCAGGAGAAAGAAAAGAGGCGAUGACAGAGCAGCUGGACGUGUCGCCGCCGCCGUCGUCGGUCGCUCGCCAGCGCAGAUAGCUAGGCCACCUCCUCACCACAUAAGCCUAUGGGUAGGCCACGGUGUCGCCCAUGCGCGCGGUGAACGCUUGAAUAACUACCGCUCCCGCGCCGCCGUUUCUACCGCUGUCUUUUUACCGCCGCCGCUCCUCUGUCAAGCACCGCUGCCGAGCAAAAUUCCACCACCACGCCUCACCUCCCGUCGAUUCAUCUCGCCCACUCCUCCACAGACACCCCAGCUGCACCCCAGCCAAGUUGUUGUCCAACAUCCAUGCCGGAGUAACCGUGCUCGCCGUCGUUUCUGUCCGCCAUCGUCACGCCGCCCGCUCACGGUGAGCCCUACCUUGCGCUAUUCUCCGUCCUUCAUAAGUAGUCGUAGGCGAGUCCUUAAGGUCCUAGGAUGGUGUAGGAGUAGUUGUUCGAGUAGUUUGUGCCGUCGUCGUGAGUAGUCGCGACCGGCCGUAGGCGCCGCCACCCGCCGCCGUGGAGGGAGUGGCUCCGGCCAUCUCCCGAGGAGUUGUUGCCGCGCACGGGUGCGUGAAGGUGUAGAGGUGCCGUCUGGGCCUAGCUUCGCCGCCGGUGGGGCGCCGGCCGGCGAGUCGCGCCGCCCCCUGUCGCACGCACGUUUUGGCGGGAGGAGGAAGAAACGUCUGGAGCAGCGGGCCCGCGUGUCAGUGAAGUCGGAGGAGUGAAAGGAGCAGGCCGACCGAGCGCGGGCGGUUGUUGGGCCGGCGCGUCAGAAGCCCAGGGAGCCGGCGCGGUCGACCGUAAAGGAAAAGGGGCCGGAGGCCUAGAGCAGCUAGCAGGCCGCGCUCGCGGGAGAAAUGAAGAAAAAGGAGAAGGGGCCGUUGGACCGAAGUCGGACCGGGAAGUGAAUAGGAAAAAGAAAACGGCCCACGGGGCCCGUUAAGAGGAGAAAGGGGCCGGCGGGUAAAUAGAACAGGAGAAAGGUGGGUCCGCGCUGUGGGGCCCAGUGCACGUGAGAGAGGGUAAGGCUGGGCUGCGUAAGAAAAGUUUUCCGGGUGUUUUUCGGGAAAAAUUGGAUUUCCUUUAAGAAAGUAAUUAGUUUAAAUCCGUUUUACACCAUUUAAAUCACAUAAAUUUCUAGGAGUGUCCAAAAUUAGUGAAACCAAUUUUGUUAGGCUUGUUUUAUUUUCCUUUAUGCAUUAAAAUUUUUACACCCUAGAAAAAUAAUAAAAAUUCGGGUAUUUAUUUAAUGCCUUCAUUUUAGGGUAAUUAAAUAAAUACUUAAUAUUUAUAAAAUGUAUAAAAUAUGAAUAACAUUUUCUUAAAUCACAAAUUAUUUUUAACUCAUAGGAAAUUAGGUUUUCAAGUUAGAAAAUAAUUAUAACUUUUUCUAAAGAUAAAAGAAAAAGCCUUAAGGAGGGUUAAGUAAGAAAAUUAAAUUGCGGGUUAAUCUUUUGGGGUUUAUGUGUGUUGGCUUGCAACUUUAUCAUGAUAGGUUGUAUAGUCCUUGUUGGCUUGCAACUUUAUCAUGAAGGAAAGUUGUAUAGUCUUUUAUUCAAAAUUUUGCAUUUCUAACCUCUGCAUGUAUCAUGCUAUAGAUCCCGAAGCACCAGAAGGAGAAUAUUUGGAAUUUUCAGAAGGACCUUCGGAGUUCGAAGAAGUUUUUGAGUUAGUCCCCUGUGAAGCCAACCCGCUAGAGAAUACUAACUUUUUAAGCGAACAAGGCAAGCCCCGGUGCAUUUAUACCUAUCUAUUUUGGAGUCGUUAUUUCAUGUGUCUAAUUAUCGGUUAUUUGCUUUAUGAAUGCACUAAGUCUAGGAGUUGCUUGAAACCUAUUCUUGUGUAUGAUCAUGCCUUGUUUUAAGGACAUCUUUGCCACUUGUUCAAACCUUAGAAGAUAACCCAAGUCUAGAAAUGCUUAGUUGCUUAAAUGCUUGGUUUACCAACCUUAAGGAAAACUUUGAGUCAUACAUGUUGCUUAUGGAAGAUAACUUGGAAAGUUGAAAAGCAGGCAGAAGCUAGAGAUGUAGUUCUGUCUGCUAGAUUAAUUUGGUUAAGGCCCGAUUCGUUGUCUUAACCUUUGAUCAAGUGAUAAGCAUCUGAUCACUUACUGGGUAUGGGACCAGUAAAGCCCAGUAGGUUAGUAAACUCUAUGAUCAGGAAUACUUCGUACCCGCGCUUGACGUGCUGGAGAUUGGCAGGGGUGUAGCCUGAAACUCACAUGGUGAUCGGGCCAGACGUGGGGUCCCAUGUGGGGGUGCAUCCCUGGGUCCGGGUAGUCGUAUUCCUAAUCAUUGAUUUUGCUAAUCGAGAGGUUGUUAGAUACGACCUGGACAGUCAUAUAAAGCUGGUGAUCAGGGUACUCUCCUGCAGGAUGUAACUAGAUCCGGAUCGCCGCAAUUCUCGGUUAUGAAUGCACUUGAUCAUUGUUGAGCAUCGUAGUAUCAAUUCAUGCAGUAUAUAUCCUUCUGUUAAUAUUUGAUGUAUGACUUAACAUCUAUGGUUGUUUUUACUUCCUGUUAUCACUUAGAAUGAUUAGGUAAUAACUUAACCCAAAUAAAAGAUAAAACUAAGGCAUCACUCGUAGUAAGCUUUUUCAGCAAAAGUUGUGAUAAGCAAACACACCAAAAAGAUAGCAUACAUUCCAAAGAAAACUAUUAUAUUGGUUAGUCGGGUAAGACUUGCUGAGUACCCUGUACUCAGGGUUUUCCCCUUGUGGCUAUCUUUCAGAAGCUCCGCAGGAGUCUACAGAGGAGGAGACCCCGAAGCCCUAGGGUACUGUCCUGAGUCUCACAAUGCCCUAGAGAAAAAGUUUUACAUGCGCAUCCUCUCCUGAACUGUUUAUGUUGAAAUCUUAGACUUCUAUCUAACACUGCACUGUUAAGUUUGUUUCAAUCUAUGUUCUGUAAUAACUCGUACCUUUAUAUGUAUGUAAAAAUGUAAUGUUUGUUGAUAUUAUCCCAUCGCGGAUACUAUCCUGAUGUAUGGCUAUGAGACAUGUCGUGGAUGCUUCGAGGAGUCCUAGGGACACUCGACGGACUACCGGACUUAUGCUGUUUUAGGUGCGUUUCGGAUAAUGGCUGUUCCGACAGCGAUUAGGUGCACUUAAACCAGCUUAAGUUGGGCGGUUCCGCCACAGCUGGUAUUAGAGCCGUAGGUUGGGAUAAUCAACAGAUAUUACCUUUUAAAACUGAGACUCUACUUUAAAAUAAUAAAAACAAGAGUCACAGGUGGCAGUAGUGUUAACUGGUUGAUUGUUUUGCAGAUGCUAACUGGUUGCUGCGUGUCGCUAGUAUUCGGUAGUCUGUUAUUCAGGGAGAGAUUACGAUGCCACCAAUUUUCCUACGAGUGUGUAUAUGAGUCUAAAAGUACGUAGGAAUCAUUGCAUCAUGUUUGCAUUGCAUGUUUCAAAACUUUUGGGUUUGGUGAGCGCCGUUAGACCUGACCUCGUUUAUUUUAUAGGAUGUUUGAAGAAGGCUACACUGAUAAGGAUGGAUGGACCCGCGGUCACUAUUUGGAUAAGCCGGGAUUCGUGCAGUUGCUUUGGAAGAUGCUACAAGAGUUGGGCUUCCACAACCCCCCGGAAUAUUAUUGGAGAAAAGAAGAUACUGGCCACAAACAAUAUUGAACUGUGUAUGUGCAUAUUCCGGAUGCUGACACCCGUCCCAAUUGGCGUCUGGAGGAGGUGAUGGAGUCGGGUUUUGAGUUCAACGACACCAUGGAAAGGGCGGCUAUGACUGCUCUUACUGAAUUAUGUGAAAACCACAAGGUGGAGGUAGGAUCGAGCUCCGCUCGGUUCUAUCCUAUCAAACAUCAAGAUGACGGGAUAUGGAGGAGAAGGAUUAAAGCUUUGUAGAACACUUCUCGAGUAGAGCACGAUGUAUUGGUUGUUGCUGCUUCUGAUUAUAUGACAGCUAUGUACAACUUGCAUCAAGCCCGCAUCAGAGAGUAUUAUAACCAAAGGCAGAAGAAUGAAGACGCUAAGAUGGAGUUGAUGGGUGCCCGACAUGACAAGGAGAUGUACAAAAAGGCGGCGUUGGCAAGAGAGCAUGACAUGGAGAAAACAAUGCAAGAACAAUCCAGAAGAAUUGAGGAUUAUGAAGAAAAACUCAGAGUGAUGCAAGGGUUCAUUGAAGCUAGCAGGAGCAUGGCAGAUAGAGCGAGGGAGGAAGCUGAAUCAAAUGUUAAUAGGCUGGAAGCGGAAAGAUUCCAACAGCUAGACGAGAUCCUGUCACUUCGUCUAGCUUUGGAGGAGAUGCAGGCCCAGGUACCUGCACAAAAUAUUGUCAAUGUCCCACCGCCUCCACCACCAGAAGAGCCCCAGCCACCGAACCCGGAGGAAGCGGACCAAUUAGUACCUGUGGUAGAAGUGGAAGAAGAUCUGGUUCCACCUGCAGUUCCUGAGAUAGAUCUGUAUGCUCAUAAGAAUCUAGAGGGAUUUGAUGUGGACAUGGAGGAUGACCAGGGUGAAGCCCCUGCGGGAAAUCAACAGUUCGCUUGGGCCAAUGCCAAUGCUGAUGGACUAGAUCCUCAGGGCUAUGGACCAAUGCAACAAUGGGGAGAAGAGGAACCAGAAGCCGGAGAAGAAGAAGAGGAUCCUGAAGAAAUGGAAGGAAACUCUGGAGUUAGCACCUCCGCAUCUGAUACUUCCUACACUUCGAGCGACCCCGGGCCGGAGUCCGGAAGUGAAAAUUCAGUCAAUCAAGCCCCACCCGUCGCUCCCCCAGGGCAAACAUUGAUGACCGUAGACCAAGAUAUCCUGCAGGUAGCAAUGGCUCGACUGGAACUAAAUGCUGAGGAACUAGGCAUUUUCCCCUAUGAUGGUUGAAGUGAACUUGGUCUGAAAAAUAUUGUAAUAUAUUUAUGUAAGAUAUGUGUGUUGGACAAGUACUACGGAGGUUUUUGUAAAAAGUAACUCCAGGGCAUGUAUUAUAAAUAAGUAUGUGUAUAAGUAUGGUUUAUGUGUGAUCGUACUGUGAUGUGUGACAUAAUAGUGUGCAGGAAAUCGUUGAUAAAUUGCACCCUAGAUAUUAAUAUCCUGUUUACUCUUGACAGCAUGACGGAUCCCAGAGGACCACGAGCUUCAGGUUCAGGAGGUCAGGAGGAGAAUUUACCAAGAGCACCCACGCUGGCAGAUGCUAUAGCCAGCCUUAUGAACUCCGGGGCAGAACAGGCCCGAUUGCUCCAGAUGAUCGUACAGAACACUGGUAAUGGUGGACAUCGGCGGGAUCCAGAGCGGGGUGUGUCCUACACCCAAUUCCUGGAGACCCGUCCCCCAAUAUUCUUGAAGGCCGAACAUCCACUUGAAGCUAACCAGUGGCUUCAAACUAUGGAACAAAAGUUUCGAGUAAUCCCCCAAUGCACCACCACUCAGAAGGCCGAAUUUGCAGGACUCCAGCUUCAAGGUCCUGCAGGGACUUGGUGGACCAGCCAUCUGGCCAGGCAGCCAGUGGGAAGGGAAGUUACGUGGGAGAAUUUUAAGGAAGCCUUCCGAACACAAUUUGUGCCGGAAGGUAUCAUGAGAAUGAAACUGGAACAGUUCUUAGGGCUGCAACAAGGAAACCGCAGUAUUCUGGAAUAUACCAGUGAGUUCGACCACCUAGCCCAAUAUGCACCAGAACAUGUCAACACCGAGUCCAGAAAGAGAGAUUGCUAUCUUUGAGGACUCAACGCAAGAAUGCAGGAAAAGCUAUCCACCUGCACUUUCGCCGACUAUAGCUCUGCGGUGAGUACGGCCAUUACCGCGGAAGAAAAGAUGAGAAUUUUGGACGAAACCCUAAAGAAAGAAGAAGCAUUGAAAAGGAAGAAUAUUCCUUUUGGAAAUUUUGGGAACGCUCCACAGAGAAUGAAGGUGGUAUAUCGAGGUCCUCCUCGACCCAUGUAUCGCCCUUCAUUUCAGCAACGGCCUUUCCAGUCUUGGAAUGCUAGAGCUCCCAGUGCUGCCCCUCGUCCUGGAAUUGCAUCACCUCUCGGGUUUCAUAACCCUACUCCUCCAGGAACUCCACAGGUUUGUUUCAACUGUGGAAAGCCAGGACACUUUGCCCGGGACUGUCAUUUUCCCAAGGUUGGGGGAAACGCCAACUUAAGGGCUCAAACCUCGGGCCAAGGCACUGGACAAAAGUUUGUCCGUCGUAAGUUCGUCAACACUAAGACGGGGCAAGCUCAUUAUAUGAAUGUAGAAGAAAUUCCAGAAGGAGAGCCUAUCCUGGCAGGUAUGUAUCUUGUUAACAAUUAUCCUGCCAUGAUUUUAUUUGAUUCGGGCGCAUCGCAUACUUUUAUAAGUAGAAGGUUUGUUAUACAACAUCAACUAGAGGUCCAUACAUUAAAUGUCAAGUAUGCUAUUCAAGCUACUGGGGCCACACAGAAUACAAAUCAAGUGGCUCGCAAUGUGAUUUUAAACCUAGAAGGGAAUAAGGUGGGUGCUUAUCCUUUAAUUCUGGAAGAUCAAGGAAUAGAUCUUAUUUUGGGAGUAAAUUGGAUGAAGGAACAUAAAGUUCAAAUUGAUAUGGUUAAUCGGAUCGUUAGCAUGAAAGAUGACCAAGGCCACUCUUUUGAGCUCCAAUUACCCGUUCAUCCUUGUUUGGACCAGAUGGUCAAAAAGACUAGAGCAUGACUCUAGAAUCUAUUCCUGUGGUUAAUGAGUUUAUAGAUGUAUUUCCAGAAGAUCUGCCUAGGCUACCACCUGAUAGAGCGGUAGAAUUUACUAUUGAGUUAGAACCAGGCACCGCUCCUAUCUCUAGAAGAGCGUAUCGAAUGCCACCUAAGGAGCUAGCAGAAUUAAAAAUACAACUCCAAGAAUUGUUGGAUAAGGGUUUUGUUCGACCUAGCACUUCACCAUGGGGCUGCCCUGCUUUAUUUGUUAAAAAGAAGGAUGGCACAUUAAGAUUAUGUGUAGAUUACCGCCCUUUGAAUGCGGUAACCAUUAAAAACAAGUAUCCGCUGCCACGGAUUGACUUGUUGUUCGACCAGUUGUCCGGAGCUAAGGUCUUUUCAAAAAUCGACCUUCGGUCAGGAUACCACCAGAUUAAGAUAAAACCCGAAGACAUACCAAAAACAGCCUUUUCAACCCGAUAUGGACUAUAUGAGUACUUGGUUAUGUCUUUCGGACUGACAAAUGCCCCAGCGCAUUUUAUGUACCUCAUGAACUCAGUAUUCAUGCUGGAGUUAGAUAAAUUUGUGGUUGUCUUUAUAGACGAUAUCCUUGUCUUUUCUAAAAAUGAAGAGGAACAUGCGCAACACUUGCGCAUUGUUCUAAAUAGACUCCGGGAACACCAGUUGUAUGCCAAGUUCAGUAAGUGUGAAUUUUGGUUAAAGAAAGUUCCAUUCCUUGGGCACAUACUGUCCGAAAGAGGAAUUGAAGUAGAUCCCGGAAAGGUCCAGGAUAUACUGGAUUCGAAAUCACCAACCUCUGUUCAUGAAGUAAGAAGUUUCUUGGGAAUGGCCGGCUAUUACCGUAGAUUCAUCCCCAAUUUCUCAAAGGUUUCUAAACCAAUCACGGAAUUAUUAAAGAAGGAAAUAAAAUUUGAAUGGAAGCCUGAGUGUGAGGAAUCAUUCCAAGUCUUAAAGAAAUUGCUGACUACAGCCCCAGUGCUAGCUCAACCUGACAUAGAGAAACCCUUUGAUUUAUACUGUGAUGCCUCAGGGACAGGCAUAGGGUGUGUUCUAAUGCAAGAAGGCAGAGUUAUUGCUUAUGCUUCGCAUCAAUUGAAGCGUCAUGAAGAGCAUUACCCCACCCAUGAUUUAGAACUUGCUGCCGUAGUGCAUGCAUUAAAGAUAUGGCGACACUAUCUUUUAGGUAGUGAAUGUCGUAUCUUUACUGACCACAAAACCUUGAAAUACAUCUUUACUCAAAUGGACUUGAACAUGAGGCAAAGACGGUGGCUGGAACUGAUUAAAGAUUAUAAAAUAGAAAUCCAUUAUCAUCCUGGUAAGGCUAAUGUAGUGGCCGACGCUUUGAGCAGAAAGGCCCAAUGCCACUGCACUACCGUCCAGUCUAACCUUAAGACCUUGUGUGAGGAAAUGGAAGAAUUAAGUUUGGAAAUGGUGAAACAAGGCACCCUUCAGAAUAUUAUGAUUCAAGAUACCCUAAAGGAAAGAAUUAUAACAGCCCAAAAAGAAGAUCCAUGGAUUAAGAUACUUUAUCAGCAAAAAGCAGAAGAGAAGAUCCCCGAAUUUAAUCAAGAAGAGGAUGGAGGACUGUACUUCAAGAAUAGGAUAGUAGUUCCUAAAGAUGAGGACCUAAGAAGAUUAAUCUUAGAAGAAGCACAUCUGUCCAAGUUUGCCAUUCAUCCCGGAAGCAAUAAAAUGUACCAAGAUUUAAAGCAAAGAUUUUGGUGGGCCAAGAUGAAACCUGAAAUUGCAAGAUAUGUAGCUGAAUGUGAUACUUGCCGAAGAGUUAAGCCCAUACUACAAAAGUCGGCAGGUUUAUUACAACCUUCAGAAAUCCCUGUCUGGAAAUGGGAAGAUAUUUCUAUGGAUUUUAUAGUUGGAUUGCCUACCACUUCAAAGGGGUAUGAUUCCAUCUGGGUUAUUGUCGACCGCCUUACUAAGUCAGCUCACUUUAUUCCAGUCAAGACUACUUAUCCGGUGUCGACAUAUGCCAAGCUCUAUAUAGCCCGGAUCGUAUCCUUGCACGGAGUACCAAAGACCAUUAUCUCUGAUCGAGGUUCCCAGUUUGUUUCCAGAUUCUGAGAACGAUUACAAAAGGACAUGGGUACUACCCUAAUUCGAAGUUCUGCCUGUCAUCCUCAAACUGGAGGACAGACAGAAAGGGUCAAUCAAAUUUUGGAAGACAUGUUAAGAGCAUGUGUCCUUACCUUCUCUAAGCUAUGGGAUGAAUGUUUGCCCCUAGCCGAGUUCUCCUAUAUAAUAGCUAUCAGUCCUGUCGGACACCAUUGAGUUGGUCACAAGUUGGAGAGAGACAAACCUACAGUCCUGAUCUAGUAGUAGAAGCCAAAGCACAAGUUAAGGUGAUUCAGGCAAAUCUCAAGGCAGCCCAAUGUCGACAAAAGAGUUACUCCGACAAGAGAAGGAGACCCCUGUAGUUUAACCUUGAUGAUCACGUAUAUCUUCGAGUCUCCCCGACCAAAGGAGUGCAACGAUUUGGAGAAAAGGGAAAUUGGCUCCCCGUUACAUUGGCCCUUAUGAAAUUGUGGAACUUUGUGGACCCGUUGCUUACCGGAUCCAACUACCAGAACAGCUUUCGACCAUCCAUGAUGUUUUCCAUGUCUCCUAGCUGAAGAAAUGUGUCCAAGUCCCAACUGAGGUUUUGGAAUAGGAGCAACCUCAAAUCGGGCCCAACCUGACCUACGCCGAGUACCUGGCCAAAGUCCUCGACCAUAAGGAGAGACAUACCCGACGACAAGUUGUGAAAAUGUACAAGAUACUAUGGAGCAACCACACGGAGGAGGAAGCAACCUGGGAAACAGAGGAGUAUCUGAACAAGCACUUCUGAGGUUUUAUUUUCAGCCAAGAAGGUAAGAACCGCACACCCCCACCCGUCGCCCUUACACCCAAAUCUCAGGACGAGAUUCUUUUUAAGGGGGGGUAGGCUGUAACGACCUUGGUUUAAUCAACCGAGUUAAUCUCAAGACAAAUCCCAAAUCUGCAGUUUCCAUCGGCCCGACCCCUAAAAACCCAGCAAAAUCGCACCAACCCAGCAAACGACAGCUCUUCUCUAAGUCCCGAAACCAGUGUUCCUCCAAAUCUUAGAGCUGCGGGAGAGCCAGAGACUGAAUGGUGGACCCCAAGACUAGAUCCCACGGAUCUCUCAAGUCAGACACGCUAGAGCCUGCGUGCGUCCCGCUUCGGAGCCUCUCCGCCGCGUGGCUCAACCUCCCUGACGAGCGCCGCCUCGUCCAGUCGCCGGCCGCGACAAGAUAGAUCAGCACGCCUCCUUCCUAAUCGCGCGCGAUAGCCCCUGCAGCCCUUUCCACCUCGCCUCGUCUCGCUCGCACCCUCGCCGGCCGCGCCAAGGAGCCCUAUCGCCGUCGCGACAAAGGAUUUGCCGCUGCCGCACCUGACCGCCUCGCAUCCCGCACCCAUCACCUCGCCUGGAUCCCCGGCCGCACGCCCCGAUGCCUUCCAGCAUUUCCGUCUCCCCUCCAUAGUUGCGCUGCCCAAGCGCGCGCUCAACGACGAUACCGCCCUCGCCAACCCCGGCUCCGGCAGUAACAUGCCCCGGCAAAGCCGCUAAUCUGCGCUCGCUAGCGUCGCCGCUCGCCCUGUCACCUCGCCUGCAGUUCCUUUCUUUCCUUCCUGUCACAUGCUAGUUGAGUCGCCGCACCCAAUCCGCCACUUGACGCGACCAGACCUGUGCUCACCCUCUCCAACUCUUCAUCCUAGCAAAACCGCGCCUGCACCGGCUUUGUCUCUAGUGCCCAAUGACCAAAGACCCUGUCCCCGAAGCUCCACUUCGCCGGCCGAUGGAGGCGCCGCCCAAUCGCCGCCACGGCAGAGCACCCCAUCCAUUUCGACCUGAUCUUCACACUGCUCGAACUCUCUCUCUCUUCCUCGCAGCUAUAAAAGGGAGUACUAGGGCCCCUACCGGAGUUUCCUUCGCCAUCGCUCCCUCGCCGCACCUUACUCUACUCGCACUUGAGCGCUGCCGCUUAAGCUCUUAAGGAACUGCCCCUCUCCGCUCAAACCGCUUUUCCCAACCCACCAGCCGCCUGUUUUCCUCCGCACGGUGGCUAGAGCUUGCUUGUUGUCCACAAGAAGCACCACCGCCGCCAGAGCAUCGUCGAACCUCGCCGCCGCCCAAGCCUUAGCGCCUCAGUCGUUCCGCCUAAGUCUGUUUCUUCCCGACCCCAAGACUUCACCAGUAGUGUUAAAGGUAAGCUGCUGACCCCUUCCCAGUUCGCCUGACCCCUUUUUCUGCCUUGCCCGACCCUCUCUGUUUCGCCGACCCUUGUCCGCUUCGCCUGAGGGCUCGGCUGUAUCUUUUUCUUUGACCCGAGAGUAUCUAUGUAAAAUUUUGGUGACUUCUCUUUGUUAAGUCUGAGAACCCCGGUACAGUUAUUCCUUAGGUCUGAGGGUCAGCUUAUAAGUUUAUUCCUUCGUAUGUAUGUGAAUUUACGUAUAGGAGUUGUUUGAAACCAUAGAUGCAUGACCUAGUUGUCUUGAUCUGAACACUAGUCUAAUAAGUCUGAGUAGUUGCAAUGCUUAAUAGGACUCGGUAAAAGUUGAGUGAUUUCCUGUCACGCGCGAGUUAUAGGAAUUGGUUGUUUUCCUUCUGGUUACGACUAUAAGGACGAUGGACGGGGCAGGGCCUGGUGAACUCUUUUGGUGGUCGGUGGAUCACCCCGUCUGUCUACUCGAAUUUGUUUAAGGUCCGACAGGGGAUUGAUGGGGAUGGCCAACACAGGAAGCGACCCUCGGUGGUGCGCAGAUGUCGUCAGAUUAGGUUCGCCAUGCAUGGUUAAGGAACCCAAAUCGAUUCGUCUGCCUCUCACAGUUUGAGACUGCUUGAUCGCUAUGCUACACUGAGUAAAGAUGGAACAGGAUGAUGAUAUGAACUUGAUGUUUGAGUUAUAUACACAUACUGUUUGGAACUGUGUUUGCUUAGCAUAAGUUGCAAAAAUAGGCUGGUUGAUGAACUUAGAACCAGAGCUAAAAUAUUGAAAGUAAGCACCUACUGUAGUUGCUUUUAGCAAACAAACCCCUCAGCCAAAGAGCCUUGCACGUAGUGGUGGAGUAGUUUUCCCACCAGUCGGUUAAGUCUUGUUGAGCUUAGAAGCUCAGCCUUGUUAUGGCAUCUCUUUUCAGGUGAAGUUGAAGCUUCUGAGUGUGCUGCUGUUGGCACUUGGCCACCCCAGCUUCCUCCUGGGUGGACGGUUGAGUGGGAUCCUUCCUCGGACGGCGAGGAGAGGGAUCACUGAUGUCCUGAUCGGCCUCAUCAGGGACAUCCGACCCCGGCGCUAGCUUCCGCUAUUUUAUCUAUCUGCUGCUUUUGAAUCUUGUAAAACUCUGAUUUUUCAAACCAGUGUGUAUUAAAUUGUUGAACUAAUUAUUUGAUCUGCUGUAUUCUCUGGAACUACUCACCUUCGUGUGAGCUAUGCUAACUCGUUCCUAUCAAAGUGGUUUUAUCGGAUGAAAUCCGACAGAUCGUCGAAUUAACUUGGUUAAGGCAUGUGAUUCGCGUGUUAAGCAACUUAACCGUGCUUUAGCUAAGUUAAUCCGAGGAGCUCUGCCAUACCUCGUCUUCGUAACCCUUCUUUUUUCAUGGCGUCAGAUGCAGAGCUGAAUCCCUGACUUCCUGCCUACCGCCAGAGACAAAUAUAUACAGUUUUCAAUCAAGAAAGUUUACUGAGGGCUUGUUUGGUAGGCUUCGGUUGUGGCUAAAACAGCAGUGGCUGUGGCUUCUCCAAUGGACCAAUUUUUUUUAGCUUCGGGUUAUCUGGUUAGAAAAACUUUUAGUAAAACAGCUUCUACCAGAUGUGUAACUUAGAUAGAAAGGUGAAAUGUCUAUAAUAUCCUUUCUCUUCUUCGUUUUCUUUUUCCUUCCUAUUUUUUCCCUUCUCUCUUUUUUCUAUCCACUCACCGGUGCGCGGUCUCUCCUUUUCUUAUCCACUCACCGGUGCCCAGCCAAAUCCUUAUCUUCUUGCAACCAGAGGGGAACCCGCGAUGGUCAGCUAGCUAGCUCCACUCCAUGGAUCAAUUGGUUCAAGAAAGCAAUCAAAUGCAUAGCCGCCGGCGAGUGUAGUCCACAAAGGAUGGAGCCGAGACACCCAAGAGCCCCAUUGAUGCUGCCGCACGCCACGAUGCCAUCAUUGUGGCCACACCAUUGGAGACAGAGAGAACAGCUUGCUCCCGCUCAGGCGCACGGUGUGAGCUGAAGAGUUUGGUGCGCCUGUGCUGCCCGCUCUCCAGCUCCGCCACGCCAUCCCUCCCUACACCGCCCCUCUCCACCAUGCCUCCCCGCGCCCCCUCUUCGCCGCGCCUCCCCUCUCAUCCCCCCUCCCCCCCUCCCCCCGCGCGCGCCUCCCCACGUUGCACGGUGGGCAAAAGGGUCACAUGGCCCCACGUUCGAGGCUGAUGCUGCGGGGAGCUAGUUUUUUCGGCUCCCCCUCCCUCGAAAGGCUCCAGAGAGCAAAUUUCAGGGAGCUUCUUCCACAAAGCCAUUUUGCAAAUGGCCCUUUGGUAGGGCUUCGCUAGAAGUCGAUGUUGAAGUCCUGCUAAACAAACCCUGAUUUGAUUUUUAAGAGCAUUACAUCGAGCCGGACAAUCUCUUAAAAACACUCCAGAUCACUGCAUAGUGGGACGCUGGGUCAUCCCAUGCGGGCCGUGCAAUCGUACAGGGCCUCCAAAUUAUACUAUACACUUAGGUAUAACUAUGUGGACUAUUUUUGUCGUUGUUUUGAAGCUCAGCACGCACCACCGUUGGUCGAAUUGCCUUCCGAUCGACGGAUGGUUUGUCUCCUAAUUUUCUUUGAGUAUGUCCCGUGCAGUCAAGUCUGUUGAUCCCUUUUUUGUCGCCCUCAUGAGACGUCGCGCCGCUCUCGCCGAGACGCAGCCAGACGUGCGUCAAUCGCCGGCCGCCGUCUUCGCGAAUUCGUGCAAAAGCUCAAGGCCACACGCUUACACCUACGUGCGUGCACUACCGGGUAAAGGAGGACACGCUCAGGCGUACAACGCAACACAGAGUGACGAUAUUUGUUCUUUUUUUAAAAAAAAUCUUGUUUCAAUGAACAAUUACACUGCUGAUUAGAAGUGCAUAAAUUAAUUUUAUUCUUUUCAACGCUCCAAUUUAGGCCCCCGGCCCAUUUAGUUUCGUACAGGGCCUCGGAAUUUUUCUGGACGGCCCUGGGACGCACGCAUCCUACAAAAUAUAUAGUGAUCGAAACACGCUAAUUGCAAUCAACUAUAGAGUAGAUUGCCACUCGUGUGUUCAAAUAUAUAUACCACUAGAGUUUGCCAUCGAGGAGAUCCUCGGUGAGCUGCAGCAUGUUCGUCUCCGGGAGGUCAAAGAGUUGAGCCGGCACAGAGCCGCUGAACAUGGUCUUGCCAAGGCGGAUGCGCCUCAGCGUCUUGCACUGGGCGAGUGAGUCGGGAAUCGGACCAGACAGACAAUUCUCCAUCAGCACGACUACCUCCAGCAUCCCGCCCGCACAUAGAUCAGGCGGUAUAUGCCCUGUGAGGUGGUUGGUGGCCACGUCCAACAUCUUCAGUGGGCUGUUCUUGCCUAGUCCAGCCGGGAGGUUGCCUGUGAGGUUAUUCUCCCAAACUUGCAACACCUCCAGGUUCGGUAAGUUGGCCACGAACUCCGGUAUGUUGCCACGGAGGUGGUUGCGGAACAGGUGUAGAAGCGUGAGGCUGGUGAGGUUAGCGAGGCCGGCUGGUAUCUCGCCGGUGAGCUCAUUCAUGGAGAAGUCAAGCGACUCGAGAUUCCUGAGGCCACCGAGCUGCGUGGGUAUCUCCCCGGAGAGGCGGUUCAUCUGAAGGAAGAGCGUGUCGAGGUGUGCGAGCCGGCCGAGCUCUGGCGGGAUGGGGCCCAUGAGGUUACAGCUGCUCAUGUCCAGGCGGACGAGCGAGUCGAGCUCGCCGAGCUCCGGUGGGAUGCCGCCGUCGAACAGGUUGAAGUAGCCGAUGUACAUCUCCCGCAGCCGCUUGAGGCGCGCGAGCGACGCAGGUACCCGGCCGGACAGCGAGUUGCCGUUGAGUCCCAGGUACUCGAGCGCCGUGAGGUCGGCGUAGCUUUCCCAUAUGGCGCCAGAGAAGUAGUUCCCGCCAAGGUGGAGGUAACGGAGGCGCGUGUGCGCGGCGCCAAACGGCGGGAGCGGGCCGGAGAGGUUGUUGUUGUAGGCGUCGACGACCUCCAGAACCGGGAAGUAGGGCUCUCCUGCGCCGGCCGGCGCGGGGAACGGUCCGGUGAAGUUGUUGUUGGAGAGGUUGAGGUGGCGUAGCGCCGGCAGCUCGGCGAGUGACGCCGGGACGCUGCCUGCCAGGGAGCAGGCGGCGACGGUGAGGUUCUCGAGGGCGUCGAGCAGCGCCAUCUCGGGCGGCAGGACGCCCCCCUGCAGCGGUAUGCCUGUGAGGUUGAUCCCGACCACGCGGGCGGCCGCAUCGCAGGACACGCCCGAGAAGGAGCAGUGCGCGGGCGGCGCGGCGGCCGGGUCCCAGUCGGCGAGAGCGUUGGAGGUUGCUGGGACCAGCGCCACCUUGAGUUUGACCAACGCGUUCACGUGUCGAUCCGUCGAAGCGGAGGCGGAGGUGGAGCCAAGGACCGAGAGGAGGAGGAGAGGGACAAGGGGAGGCAUCAUUGUGGUGGCUGCGGCUGCUGCGUGGCGGCGACCGGCGGGGAGACGUGUGAAUAAAAGGGUAGUGGCGGUAGUGGAUGGAAUCAGCAUAUCGAAUCCCCAGGAUGGAGACGGGGAUUACAGCGCCCUGCUAAUCAAGCUCCGCUACAUGGAUUCUGAACAGCUGACAGUUAGGUAGUGUUUGGUUGGCUCAAAUGUAACGUAAUCUGAUUACUGAACGUAACGAAUCCUAUUACAUAUGUUUUGGUUGCGGUGGUUUAUAAUCAAUUGACACUGUAAUCGAAUCCCUUACCUAAAUAAUAUUUAUACAAGCUUGUUACCCCUCCUCCCCCACCGUAAUCAGAUAUAGCACCCACACAGUAAUCUGAUUACGUUACCAGAGUGCAACCAAACAAAGAGGGCAAUCACCCAUUCCACCGCCAAAUACACUGUAAUCUGAUUCCCUUUGCGUUUACAUUACAUUAGCACGAACCAAACACUAUCUUAGAUCUACGGAAAUUCCUAAACAUUUAGAGCGACGGAAGGGAUGAUAUGGACUCAACAGGUAGGGCCAAUGUGUCAGGUCCCUCUCUCUCAUAUUGCAUCCCCUUCUUCACUGUGGCACCAUGUCGCAUCCCCUCCAUCAUGCCACCAUCGGCAUCCCGUCCGUGUAACAGUUGCCAAGCUAGUCAUGUAAGUGACUUUGGAAAAUUAAAAGCAAAUUAAGAAAAGAAAAAGAAAUUGACCGAAAAAUCAAAUUCGGGUCAAAUUUGGCCGAAAUUUGAAUUUCGAAUUUGAAAUACAGAAAAAUUUGGCAAAAAUGUGGAAUACAAGUAUAAGAGUGUUUGGAACUGAAGGAUCAAAAAUUUGGAACUGAAAUAAUGCUAAAUAUCUCAGAGGAAUCAAAGAAAGAAAAAGAAAAACUGAGUUUACUGUUCACCGUCCGAAAAUAGAAUUGCAGAAAAACAGCCUCAGAGUCUAUUUUGGAAAUUGAUUUCUGGAGAAAUUUCCAAAUAAAUGCACCAGGACAACUAUACCAUAUUGAAGUAUGAACUUUGGACUACAAGAUUUGGGUGUUGUUGGCCAGGAUCAGUAACAGGAAGGAAUUUAAAUUCAAGCCCAAAGUCAGCACAUUAUCACAGUUAACUGACACUCUGAAAUAUAGCUAAGUCUGAAAAUCGACAGCAUAGGGUUAACUUUGAGUUUGAAUUCAGAGCAAUGUAGAUCAAGAAGGGUAGGUGUUCUUGGGCAAAAUGGAAACUUGGGAGAUUAUAGAACACGUUUGAGAAGAAGUUGGAUUGGAAGAACAAGAUUUAGGUCACUGAAUUGGUUUACCAAGUAAGAUCAACUCCACUGUCGGUGACUGACGAACUGAAAGUCAGUUUCAAUGAAUUUCAAAGGAACCCGAGAAACAAAUCAAAAUUCAAUCAUAUUUGAUGAUUAUCUCGAGUCCAAGCCAAAACAAAAGAUGACGGGUUUGAGUUUAUCUUCAACUUCUGUUAAGGCGCUUGGAGGCCGUCGGAUUGGAGAUCGACCACAAUUCGACUCUGAAGAUCACGGGCGUUAGAGGAGCGGUGACAGAGCACCAAGACGUGUCGCCGCCGCCGUCGUCGGUCGUCCGCCAGCACGUCUAGCUAGGCCACCUCCUCACCACGCAAGCCUAGGGGUAGACCACGGUGGCAGCCAUGCGCACGGUAAACCGUUCAUAUAUUUACCGCUCCCGCGCCGCCGUUUCACCGCCGUCCUUUUUACCGCCGCCAGCUUCUCCUCUGCUUAACACCGCCGCCGAGCAAAAUUCCACCGCCACGUCUCGCCUCCCGUCGAUUCCUCUCGCCCACUCCUUCACAGACACCCCAGCUACACCCCAGACCAGUUGUUGUCCAACAUCCAUGCCGGAAUAACCGUGCUCGCCGCCGCUUCUGUCCGCCGCCGUCGCGCCACCCGCUCACGGUGAGAACCACUUCGCGCUGCCUCUCUUCCUUCUUGAGUAGUUGUAGUCGAGUCCUUAGGGUCCUAGGAUGGUGUAGAGGUAGAUGUUUGAGUAGGUUAUGCCGUUGUCGUGAGUAGUCACCACCGGCCGAGGGUGUCGCCGCCCGUCGCCGUGGAGGGGAUGGCUCCGGCCAUCUCCCAGGGAGCGGUCGCUGCGCACGAGUACGUGAGGGUGUACGGGUGCUGUCCUGACCGAGCUUCGCCGCUGGUGGGGCGCCGACCGGCGAGCCGCGCCGCCCCCUGUCGCGGGCGCGUUUUGGCGGGAGGAGGAAGAAGUAUCUGGGCGCUUGGGCCCGCGCGGCAGUGAGAAGAGAGGGGGAGAAGGAGGCCGGAGCGGCGCGAGCGGUUGCUGGGCCGCGGCGCGUCGGAGGCCCAGGAGGUUAGCGCGGUCGACCGGAAAAAAAAAAGAAAAAGGGCCGAAGGCCCAGUGGGAGCCGGCCAGUUUCGCGGAGAAAAAGAAAAAGAGAAGUGGGCCGAGAGGCUGGUGUUGGGCCGAAGAAGAAGAAGGAAAAAGAAAAAUCGGCCCGCGGGGCCCGUCGGGAGGGGGGAAAGGGCCGGCGGGUAGAAAUGAAUAGGUGGGGUGGGGUCCGCGCCAUGGGGCCCAGUGCACGUGAGAGAGGGUAGAGAGGGGUUGAGUAAGAAAAGUAUUUCCGGGAGUUUUUCGGGAAAAUUAGAUUUCCUUUAGUAAAAUAAUUCGUUUAAAUUCGUUUUACAUCAUUUAAAUCACAGAAAUUUAUAGGAGUGUCCAAAAUUAGUGAAACCAAUUUUGUUAGGCUUGUUUUAUUUUCCUUUACGCAUUAAAAUUUUUACACCCUAGAAAAAUAAUAAAAAUUUGGGUAUUUAUUUAAUGCCUUCCUUUUAAGGUAAUUAAAUAAAUACUUAAUAUUUAUAAAAUGUAUAAAAUAUGAAUAACACUUUCUUAAUCACAAAUUAUUCUUAACCCAUAGGAAAUUAGAUUUUCAAGUUAGAAAAUAAUUAUAACUUUUUCUAAAAAUAAAAGAAAAAGCUAUAAGGAGGGUUAAAUAAGAAAAAUAAAAUUUUAGGUUAAUCUUUUUAGAUUUUUUUUGUGUGUUGGCUUGCAACUUUAUCAUGAUAAGUCGUAUAGUCCUUGUUGGCUUGCAACUUUAUCAUGAAGGAAAGUUGUAUAGUCUGUUAUUCAAAAUUUUGCAUUUCUAACCCCUGCAUGUAUUAUGCCAUAGAUCCCGAAGCACCGGAAGGAGAUUAUUGGGAAUUUUCAGAAGGACCUUCGGAGUCCGAAGAAGUGUUUGAGUUAGUUCCCUGUGAAGCCAACCCGUCAGAGACUACUAAUCUUUUUAACGAACCAGGCAAGCCCCGGUGCAUUUAUACCUAUCUAUUUUGGAGUCGUUAUUUCAUGUGACUAGUUAUAGGUUAUUUGCUUUAUGUAUGCACUAAGUCUAGGAGUUGCUUGAAACCUAUUCUUGUGUAUGAUCAUGCCUUGUUUUAAGGACAUCUUUGCCACUUGUUCAAACCUUAGAAGAUACCCAAGUCUAGAAUUGCUUACUUGCUUACAUGCUUGGUUUACCAACCUUAAGGAAAACUCUUAAGUCAUACAUGUUGCUUAUGGAAGAUAACUUGGAAAGUGAAAACGGACAGAAGCUAGAGAUGUAGUUCUGUCUGCUAGAUUAAUUUGGUUAAGGUCCUAUUCGUUGUCUUAACCUUUGAUCAAGUGAUAAGCAUCUGAUCACUUACUGGGUAUGGGACCAGUAAAGCCCAGUAGAUUAGUAAACUCUAUGAUCAGGAAUACUUCGUACCCGCGCUUGACGUGCUGGAGAUUGGCAGGGGUGUAGCCUGAAACUCACAUGGUGAUCGGGCCAGACGUGGGGUCCCAUGUGGGGGUGCAUCCCUGGGUCCGGGUAGUCGUAUUCCUAAUCAUUGAGUUUGCUAAUCGAGAGGUUGUUAGAUACGACCUGGACAGUCGUAUAACGCUGGUGAUCAGGGUACUCUCAUGCAGGAUGUAAUUAGAUCCGGAUCGCCGCAAUUCUCGGUUAUGAAUGCACUUGAUCACUGUUGAGCAUCGUAGUACUAAUUCAUGCAAUAUGUAUCUGUCUGUUAUCAAUUGAUGUAUGACUUAACAGUUAUGGUUGUUUUUACUUUUUGUUAUCAUUUAGAAUGGUUAGGUAAUAACUUAACCCAAAUAAAAGAUAAAACUAAGGCAUUACUCAUAGUAAGAUUUUCGGCAAAAGUUGUGUUAGCCAAGUACACCCAAAAGCUAGCAUGCAUUCCAAAGAAAACUAUUAUAUUGGUUAGUCGGGUAAGACUUGCUGAGUACCCCGUACUCAAGGUUUUCCCCUUGUGGCUAUCUUUCAGAAGCUCCACAGGAGGCUACAGAGGAGGAGACCCCGAAGCCCUAGUGUAUUGACCUGAGUCUCACAAUACCCUAGAGAAAAAGUUCUACUUGCGCAUCUUCUCCUAGACUAUUUAUGUUUAAAUCUUAGAGCUUGUCUAACACUGCAUCACUAAGUUUGUUUCAAUCUAUGUCCUGUAAUAACUCGUACCUUUUACAUAUGUAUGUAAAAAUGUAAUGUUUGUUGAUAUUAUCCCAUCACGGAUAUUAUCCUGAUGUAUGGUUAUGAGACACGCCGUGGAUCCUUCGAGGAGUCCUAGGGACACUCGACGGACUACCGGACUUAUGCUGUUUUAGGUGCGUUUCGGAUAAUUGCUGUUCCGACGGCGAUUAGGCGCACUUAAACCAGCUUAAGUUGGGCGGUUCCGCCACAGUCCGCUCCUCCCGCGCGUGGCCGUUUAGUUUCCCUUCCACUGUUCUUCCUUGCUUUGCAGCUGCCUCCAUCACGUUGCGCACGCCGGCCAACCGCUAGGUGCUCUCUCACACUCGAUCAUCGAUCUAGUCAUGACUAGAGUCAUUUAUGGGAUUUUUAGUUAGAAAUGGCUUCAAGUCAAGGUAAGGAAGAAAGUAGAGGUGGGCUGCCCUUGUAAUUUUAUGAAAUAUGCACACUAACUGACCUUCCAUGCGCCUCCUUUUGUCCCGGUUUAAAGUUAGCCUGGGACAAAAGGGGGCACGCCAUGGUAGGUUGGAAUGGAGCGAAGCUUUACUCCCGGUUGGUAUUUGCAACCGGGACUAAAGGGUGGCCUUUAGUCCCGGUUGUAACGGCUAGAUUCCAGGCGUCGGUAGCGUGCCCCUUUUAUCCAGGUUGGAGCCUCAAACCGGGACAAAAGGACCACUCUUUUGUCCCGGUUGACCAACCGGGACAAAAAGUUUAGUUCCGGUUGGAAUUACCAACCCGGAGUAAAUUUCAACCUACUGGGAUAAAAACUCAUCCCCCAUUAUAUCCCAAGACAGAGGUCUUUCUUCCUUCUCCAGCCCGAGCCAGUCCACUCCACAAAGACAAAGAGUUUCACCUACUCUCCGGUGGCGCCGAAGCAAGCCUACGGGAGGUGUUGCCCGAAAUUUUUUUCCCUCAUUUCCGUAGAAAUUUGACUCAUCCAAAAUAUUGUGAAGGUUACCUACUUUAUCCUCUUGUUAUGCUUUGAUUUAUGCUUUACACAGGGAGAAAAAUGAGGUUGUUUGUUAGAAAGAGGGAGAGUGAAAAGGAUUUGUAUUUAUAUAUAUUUUUAACCUAGAAUGUGAUGGAUAGUUUGCUUGUUAUAUACGAUUUGUAUUAGUUAAAACAACUUGAUGUGUAGAAUGGAGAUGGAUAGUUUAUUUGCUAGAAUGUGAAGUAGAAAAUGGAGAGGAUUUUGAGCUAGAAUGUAAGGGAGAUUGGAGUGUACAUGUGAGGUAGAAUUGAGAGGAUUUCAAUAUUAAUUAUGAGGAUAAAAUUAGUAUGUCAUAUGUGUCAUAUAUAGUAUGUGUCCUUGCAGCGGUUUAAUUAUGAUGCUACCCUUGUCUAGACGGUUUAUCUUGUCAAAUUCAAUAUGGUUUUUCAAAUCUGUACUUGUUGAACUUGCAUGCCGUGUUCAUCUUGGUAAGCAUAUUCUCCACCGAGCGGCAACGGACGUUAAGGAGGAGCUUGGAUUCUACGAGGAAGAGCGGCAACGGACAUUGUGGAAGAUCAUGUCCCCUUUCUCGUAGAAUCGGAGCUCUUCCAUUGCGAAGUACUGUGCCGCUCGGUGGAGAAAUGCUCGCCGAGAUGAUCAUGGUUUUCAAGUUCAACAAGUUCUACAGUGCUAAGGUAUGAAUUUUUGUACAUAGAGAUGGCUUCUACUGCUGGAGCUAGUGGCGAUGGUGGGGGUGAUCGUCGUUCCUCUCGCGGCAAGGGGAAAACAUAGUUCGCCCUCAUGAUAAGCUGAAGAAAAUGAGCACGUGGGAUUAAACAAUGCUUCAUUUUUUGCAAAGACGUCAUGAAAAUGCUGUUACGACGGGUCAGGAACCUCCUUUUGGUGGUCCUUAUGCUCCGUCGUCAGUCCCAGGUGUUUCACGUUCACUUAGUACUACCAUUGCAGGAGGCACAAAUAAACCACAGGAUGAGGCUGGGUCAGCGGAACCUUCAUCUUCGAUGCCCAAGGAUGCUUAAGCCCUCCUAGAUAAUCCUCGGUGGAUGGCUUGUCGUAGUGUAUCAUGUUGUUUGGAUCUGAAAUUUAAAUAUGUGUAUUUCUAUCUAUAUCUAAACUUUCAGCAUUAUUUGCACUACAAAGUUUGACAUGGAAAUAGCAUGUAGAUAAGUUAUAAAGUGUAUAAAAAAAGGGAAAAAAAUUGUAAUCCAUUUCCAUGCGUAAUCCAUUUUCAUGCAUAAUACGAUGCAGAUGGACCGGCAAUGGAUGUAUAAUGCGGACAGAUGUAGCAAAGUGCUUAUUGAUGGCUUGCGUCAUUUUCUCGAAGUGGCCAAAGCGAACAAGCUAGAGAAUGGGUUCGUAUGUUGUCCAUGUUUCCAAUGCAGUAACAAGAAGGACUAUUCAAAGGAUUCCUGGGGGACUAUUCAUAGCCACUUGUUUAGAUACAGUUUCAUGCCUAACUAUUUGGUUUGGACCAAGCAUGGUGAAAGAGGGGUUGUAAUGGAAGAUGGUGAAGAGGAGGAUGAUGAUGACAACAUUCCGGACUGAGCUACAGGCCAAGCUUUUGAAAAUACUCUGAUGACCUUGGUCAGGUGCUACGGGAUGCACACAGAGAUUGCGAAACUGAGAAGGAAGCAGCACAGUUGCAGCGCAUGAUAGAUGAUCACCAAAAAUUAUUGUACCCAAAUUGCCAACAGGGCCAUAAAAAAUUGGGUACCACACUAGAAUUUGUGGAAUGGAAGGCUAAAAAUGGUGUGUCUGAUAAGGCAUUUCAGGGGAUGUUGAAAAUUGUCAAGAAGAUUCUUCCCGAGAAUAAUAAAUUGUCGUCCACAACAUAUGAAGCUAAAUAGAUUAUUUGCCCUCUGGGAUUGGAGGUUCAGAACAUACACGCAUGCCCUAAUGAUUAUAUCCUCUAUCGUGGUGCUAAAUACAAGAAAAUGGAUGCUUCUCCCGUGUUCGAAGCACAGCGAUAUAAGAUCAGGCGAGAUGAUCCUAGUGAUGUCGAGGGCCAGCCUCUCAAGAAGGGAGUUCUUGCGAAGGUGAUGUGGUAUUUCCCUAUAAUACCACGCUUGAAGUGCUUGUUCAGGAACAAGGCGAAUGCUAAGUUGAUGUGAUGGUACAAAUAAGAACGUAAGGAAGAUGAGAUGCUGAGACACCCCCAGAUGGGGCCCAGUGGAGAUCAAUUGAUAGAGCAUUCCCGGACCGCCGCCUCCUCCGUCGCUCCAUCCCGCCGCCUUCUCCGUCGCUCCAUCCCGCCGCCUUCUCCGUCGCACCCCCUCAAGCUCGUCGCCGCCGCCUCCGUCGUGCCGCCUCAUCGCUGCCUCCGUCCUUGUCGCCACCUCCAUACUCGUCAUCGCCGCCGGCCUCCGCCCUCAUCGCCGCCACCUCGCUCCGUCCCCGCCACCUCCUCCGUAGUGCCUCCUCGAGCUCGUCGUCGCCGCCUCCAUCGCGCCUCCUCAUCGCCGCCUCCAUCCUCGUCGCUGCCUCCGUCGCUCCAUCCCCGCCUCCGCCGGCGUCCGCCGCCCCGGCCUCCUCAUCCUGCAUAUUGCCAAUCCGCCACCCCCACCACCGCCGUUUCACCGUCCCAGCCGCUGUACGACCUCCUGCCCCCGCCGGCCCUGGCUCCCGCACCUACGACGGGGACUUUGCUAACGCAAGCCACCGGGUUGCUGACACAAGGGCCCUUUUUUUUUAGAAAAUCAAUAGAAAUUUGUAGAAAAUCAGUAGAUUAGUAAAAAAUCAAUAGGAAAUUACUAUUAUUAGUUGAAACUCAGUAGGAAAUUACUAUGAUUAGUAGGAAAUUAGUAUAAUUGAGUUCAGAUGCUUAGUAUAAUUUUGUAAACAUUUUGUAUUACUUUUAGGAAUUACUAUGUUUCAUUAUAAAUGAUUUGAAAAUUAGUAGAAAUUUGUAGGAAUGGUAAACACUUAUUUAGUAUAAAUGCUUAGUCUAAUUUUGUAUACAUUUAGUAUAAUUGGUAGAAAUUCUUACAAAUUACUAGAAAUUGGUAGAAAUUUAGUAGAAAUACUUACAAAUUAGAAGAAAUUUGGUAAAAAUUCUUAAAAUUAGUAGGAAUUAGUAGAAAUUUUCUAGAAAUUCCAAUAAAUUAGUAGAAAUUUGUAUAUACACUUCAAAUUUGGUAGAAAUUAGUAGAAAUUGGUAUAAACACUUCAAAAUUCGUUGGAUUCAUUCAAGACUAUCAUGUAUGAUUUCAUGUUAUUCUAUGAUUUCAUGUAUAUACCUUAACGUACAUGUAACUAUGAUUUCAUGUAAGUUUCAUUUCGUGUAUGGUUUCAUGUGUAUGUUUCAAUCAGUUUGUUUUUUUCCAUGGUUGUUCUAUGAUUUUGUGUAUAUACCUUAACGUACAUGUAACCAUGAUUUCAUGUAAGUUUCAUUUCGUGUAUGGUUUCAUGUGUACUUUUCAAUUAGUUUGUUUUUUUUCCAUGGUUGUUCUAUGAUUUCAUGUAUAUACCUUAACGUACUUGUAACUACGAUUUCAUGUGUGUUUAAAGUAGUUGAGAUGGCAGACGACAAGACCGCAAGGUGUCUAAUGGAGCGAAUUAUUGCUGGUGAUGCUAAUGGCUCCAACCUUCCCAUAACGUACACCGAUGAAGAGGGUACCCAGGUGGACAUGUUCCUCAACAUGUCAAGCUGUGACAAUGAAGAGCCUGAGCCCCAGCAAAACCUUGCCAUGGCGGAAGGUUCUGGCAAUGGCAAUGAAGAGCUCGAGCCCCAGCAAAACCUUACCGUGGCAGAAGGUUUCAACGAGGUAUAUAUAAUUUCCAUUGUUUUACCCCAUCUAUAAUGUCUUAUUCGUUAUUACUAUGUACUAAUUAACAAAUCUUGAACUGUUAGCCCUCUGGAUCGAUGAAACGUAAGAAGCCCCAAGGUCGUACAAGGGUGAUGGAUGGGAGGCUUGUCAUCACGGAAGUCACAAAAGAGGGCAGGUCGAUUGCUCCUGAAAAAGUAGCAAAGAAGUAUGUGAGUCAAAUCGGGGCAAUCGUAAAGGACAACAUGCCUAUCAGCAUCAGGGAAUGGAAGGGCAAAACAACUAAUCCAUAUGCGCUCCCAAAUACACAAAAGAAUAUGCUGUGGGAAGAUAUCAAGAGACAUUUCACAUUUCCUGAAGGAUAUAUUAAAAAGGAUGUGAAAGCAUGGACACUGAAGAAGAUGGCCACACAAUUCUAGACAUUCAAGAAGAUGCUGGAUGCCAACUACUUUAAGAAGGGUCGAACUCCAGAUUUCAAUGUGUGGCCAAAGUUGAGGGACCACUGGGAGGCAUUUGUCGAAUACAAGAGGAGCGAAGACGGUGUGAAAAAGAUCCAGACCAACACUACAAAUGCUGGUCAAAAGGAGUACCAUCAUCGUCUAGGGCGAGGUGGUUAUGGCAUAGCAGUUCCCAGAUGGAAGAAGAUGGAACAAGACCUGAUUGAUCUGAGUAUCGUACCAGCAACUAUUGAAUAGCCUGAACGAUCGAAAAAUUGGUAUUACACUCAUGGAGGCUUCCUGAGCCAAGAGGAUGGGACGUUGAUAUUCAAUGAGACAAUACGUCAAUAGGCCGAAAGGCUUAUCAAGAACAUUGAAGAUGCUAACGGUGGGAGGUUGAAGGUGGACCGAUAGAAUAAUGAGCUCACAUUAAUCCUCGGGAAUCCCGAGCACCUAGGACGUUACUGAGGGUUCGGGGUCAUUUCGUGGAAGUUUGCUUUCCAAGGUGAGAGCGCAUCGUACAGAAGCCACAAGCGAAGAAAGGAAUAGAUCAAGAAGAGAUGGCAGCACAUGCUAGAAUCCAAAGUGUAUUCACAAGAAGUAAGAAUGUUGGAGGAAAUAAAUCGUUGAGUUGCGAAGUUUGCUCAAUCUGGAGCAUUGCCGGAUCCAAACUUUGCCAGCCCUUCUCAACACCUCAUGAGCAGCUAUGCUUCUACAGAGCUCCCCGAUGUGCAGAUGCCAAGCUUACCCGUGGACGAGCAACGGUUCGCUGUGGAUGCACUCAUGCAACGCACCUCAUGUGAGCUGCAUAUACAGGUCGGCAACCUCACUAUUAAGGUAUACUUAUACAUAAUAUUUAUGCAAUCUUCUUAGUUGAUCCAUGCCUCGGGAUCGCAGUUUAAUAACUGGUUUACUUCUACUAUAUGUACAGGUGGUGUACGGGAGUGCCUUACCAAUCCUAGUAGGGCAGACAAGCCAUGGCAUGGAGAUUCCACCUGGCAAUGCCAGCGCCUAGAGCAGAUCGCUGAUAGCUAAUAUGAAUAACCAGAGCUUGACCUCUCGGGAGGCGUCAGGAAAGGACACUAGGAGAUGCGCUUCAUGGGAUCAUUCUAUGGUGCAAACACUACAUCAUUAUCCCCGGCACGGAAGCACCUCCUCAGAGCACAAGACCGCUCCCCGCAAAUCCCCAGCAGCGACCAUCUCCUCAAAGCUCAAGACUUCCAUCUCCAGCACAACCUAUUCUAGGACCAUCGCUUCGUGCUCGAUCAAGGUCUCCAUCUCCACCACAUCCUGGUGGUGGGAGCGAUGAAGACAAUAACAACACCCCUCCCAGAUCACCAUCGCUGGGACUAAGAGCAGCCUCGAGGAAGGAACCUGCAGCACCACUCAAGAAGUCGUGACCACUGCCUCCCAAGCCAAGAUAGAGAAAGAAGAGAAGAAAGGAACCUAAAGUGACUCAUGAGGAACGCUGGGAGGCAAUGACUCAUGCGGAACAGUGGGCCGAAAUCCAAGCAGAGGCUAGGGAGUGGUUCAAGAAAAAGGCUGAAGAAAAAAAAGAAAGGGAGAAGGAGCCACUGGUAGUAAAUUGAAAAGAAUUAAAUUUUUUUAUCAAGAUGGAAGAAGGAGCCAAGAAGAGGAUAGCACUACUAUCGAACUACGAACGAGUAUUAGUCAAGGCUGAUGAGAGGGAAAAAAUGAAAGGAAAUUCAUCUUCCAGUGGUGUUGUUCCCGACCUCGGGCAUCUACCAGAAAACGACGCUAAAAAUAUAGCAGCAAUGCCCUUGGAUCAACAAGCACAAGUACUGCUAUUCAUGGAAGAAACAAGUAUGGGAGAUGAUGAAUGUCUAGGGCAAGUUGAGCUGAUAGCUGCACCGCCAGUUGAACCAAGAUGGACCUUUGAGCUAGGCAAGUCUCUACUAAGGCCUGAGUUGGUACGGAAGCUAUCAACAAAGAUGUACGAAUUCCAUCAAUGGUACAUGAAGGUGUUUGCUGACUCUAGGGAGAUGUUCAGCCUUAAGGUAAAACUGAUAGAUUUUUACGGUGAAGGUAAGAGAGUCCUGUGGCUAGAAUUUAAGGAUAUAUACUGUAACGACCUCGGUUAAAAUCCUUCACGUUAAUCUUAAUCCGAGUCCCUGAUCCCCAUCCCAGCUUUCCCGAGUUUAAGUACUCAACCUCCAGCCCCGGUUCUGACCCUGCAGAUCUGACCCCUCUCCGUUUUCCCCAGUUCCGACCCCGCUGACCCCAACUCACCCGCCGGAUCUUUCUAAGUCCUCGCACAACGCCUCCCUUCAAUCUGAGCAGUGGACCACUAAGACUGACCGGUGGACCCACAAAAUCUUUUCCUCAGAUCUCCCGCGACAGACGCACUCGAGUAGCAUGCCCGCUUCAGAGUUCCCUUGCCGCGUGGCUCAACUUCUCCGAUGCCCGCCGCUCCGCCUCGUCGCCGGCCACGACCGAAUGGAUUCUCGCGCCCCCUUCCCCAAUCGCAGCGGAAGCUCCUCUGCUACCUUUUCUGCAGCACCUCGCCGCCCACGCCCAUCAUCACCUCGGCAGACCCCGGAUGCAAGAGCCCGAUGCCGCCCGUCUUUUCCGUCGCCCCUCCACAGUUGCGCCGCCCCGGUCCGCGCUACGUGACGAUUCCUCCUCCGCCAACCCAGACCACGGCUGCGUCAGCUCCUUUUCUGCCCUGUCAGAGCUCCACCCUUGACAAUCUGUUGCUCCGCGCUCACCAGCGCAACUGCCGCCGCCUGUCUUCUCACCUGUGCGCCCUCGUCUCUAGCGCCGUUCCCGUGGUCACUUCCAUCAGAUCCACCGCACGACGACGCCCGCCUCCGCCAAAUCUCAACCACCGGCAAAAACCACGCCUGUGCCGCCCUGUCAUCGGUGCCCAAUGACUGCCGGUGCCACCCCCAAAGUCCUAUUCCACCGCCCUCGUUGCUCAAUCGCCGCCCCGGCAGCGCACUCCAUCGUUUCUUCCCCGGCCUUCGCGCUGCUUCCCCCUUCUCUCUUCCGCGCAGCUAUAAAAGGGAAUGCCAGAGCUCCGCCGGAGUUCCCCUUCGCCAUCGCUGCCCUCCCGCUUUGCUCCUUGUUCGUGCUCACAGCGCCAACGCCUAAGUUCCGGAGGAACUCUCCUCUCCGCUCCACACCGUUUGUCCCUAAUCCGCCCAGCCUCUUACUCCCCGUGCUGCACAAGAGCUUGCUUGUGGUCCACCAGAAGCACUGCCGCCGCCGGAGCACCACCGGACAUCAUCGCCGCUGCCCAAGCCUUAGUCUUUCUGCCCAAGUCUAUUCUUUCCCGACCCCAAGCUUCAUCUAUAAGACGAAGGUAAGCUGCCAACCCUUUGUCCGUCUCGUCCGACCCCUCCUAUCCGCUCGACCCCUGUUCCGUCUCGCCUGACCCUAUCUGUUCCGCCGACCUUUCUCCGCCUCGCCCGAGGGCUCGACUGUAUCUUUUUCCUUGAACCGAGGGUAUAUGUGUAAAACUCGGGGACUUCUCUGCGUUAAGUCUGAGGACCCCUAGCACAUCUAUUCCUCUAGAUGAAGGGUCUGAUCAUAAGUUCCUUCCCAUCCGACCCUCAUAUCUUGAUCUCCACCAACUCAAGCGAACCUCCCCACCCUCCCGUAACUUGCCGCAAGUUUCUGGGCUCAAACUUGCAAGUGUUGUUGUUGAAAUAACCGUCUAAAUGCUAACCCAUGCAUUGCAUUCGUGUAGAGCUGCGUCUCGCCGACGGCUUCUACGAGCUGCACCCGGCGCUAGAAGACGAAGGUGUAGCCGAGCUCCUGCCUCCAGAAGCCGAAGCCGAAGCCGCCCAAGCAGAAGAGCAGCUUCCCUCCUCCUUGUUCGAAGGCAAGCCCCGGAUGCAUGAAUCCCCUGUGUUUCACCAAACUUGCGCAUGCCUUCUUUAUCAUGCUUGUGCAUUUACAUAUAGGAGUUUUUUGGAACCAUAGAUGCAUGACUUAGAUCCCUGGAUCUGAUCACUAGCUAUUGGACCGGAUAGAUGCUUUGCUUAAAUAGGAAUCGGUAAAAGCCGAGUGAUUCCUGUCACUCACGAGUUGUAGGGGUUGGUUGUUUCCGCUUCUGUUACAACUAUAAGGACGAUGGACGGGGCAAGGUUUUGGGUAACUCUUUGGUGGUCGGCUGAUCGCCCCGUCUAUCUAUGAAACUUGUUAAGGCCCGACAGUGGUGGUGUUCGUGAUCAAGUGUUUGAAAGUACUAAUCUCAUACCUAGUAUGGGAUGGGGAAGCCUAGUACCUGAUUGAACUAGGGCGUGGCUUAUACCCCUGCUGUCCCUGGAACGAGGUUCCCAUGGUGCAUCAUGUGGGUGCAAGUGCGGUCACAGUACGGUAGAGACCGGGACUGUGGAGCAUUGCAUGCCAAGGGAAGUUUGGACCUGACACGCGCCUGGGAAUUGAUGGGGACGGCCGACAUGGGAAGCGACCCUUGUGGUGCGCGGAUGUCGUGAAAUUAGGUUCGCCAUGCAUGGUUAAGAAACCCGAAUCGAUUCGUCUGCCUCUCACAGUUUGAGACUGCUUGAUUGCUAUGUCACCCUGAGUAACAAAGGAAUCUGAUGAUAACAUGGUCUUGAUGAAUAUAUAUAUACCUUUUGGUUGGAUCUAUGUUUGCUUAGAGUAAGUUGCUAACUUAGAUCGGAUAAUGAACUUAGAACCUGAGCUAAAACUUGAAAGUAGGGAUACACCUAGCGCUUUUGGCAAACAAACCCCUCAGCCAAAAAGCCUUGCAUGUCUAGAAGUGGUGGAGUAGCGUACUCCCUGUCGGUUAAGUCUUGUUGAGCUUAGUAGCUCAGUCUUGUUGUGGCUCUUAUUUUUCAGCUGAAGUUGCUGCCCCUGAGCCCUCCUAUGUUGGCACUUGGCCGCCCCAACUCCCUCCGAGUUGGACGGUUGAGUGGGAUCCCUCCUCGGACAGCGAGGAGAGGGAUCACUGACGUCUCGGUUGGCCUCACCAGGGAUGUCCGACCCCGACGAAGUAGCUUCCGCUUAUUGUCUUACCUUCUGUUAUUUUCCUUGAACCUUGUAAAACUCUGAUGUUUAUUUUUGGUUUUAAUCUAAAUGGUCAAUUGUUUAACUCGGUGGACUUUUUGUAUUCUCUGGAACCGCUCGCCUUCGUGUGAGUUUGCUAACUCGAUCCUGUUGAAGUGGUUAAAUCGGAUGAAAUCCGACGACACUUCGUGUUUACUUGGUUAAGGCAUGAGUGUCCCCUCUCAGGCGACUUAAUCAUGUUUAAUCAAGCAAAUCCGAAGUGGAUCCGCCACAUAUACGAAGUGUACCAUCAUGAUGCCCUAGACGUCUCUCUGAUCAGCGCCUGGGUUCUGUAAGUAUCCGUUUAUCUACAUGUAAAUUUUGGCUCAUAUCAUUAUUUUUUUGCGUGCAUCACCGUGCUAACUUCGCCUUCCAUUUUAUGUAGGAUGCUAAUUCAGACGUGCCGAUGAGGAGCGUACCUCCAUAUUGGCUUCAUGGAUCUAUCCGUAGUUAACCAAAAACAGAUACAGGUUGUGUCGGACAAAACCUUGGUGGAAGUAUACAAUUUCCUAGACAAACAAAAAUUCAAGGAUUUCAUACUACUUCCAUACAACUUCAAGUAAGUGUUUGUAUACCGUCUACUUUCAUUUUCUUUUUCCUUACCUGAUUAAUGUUAGUUAGCUCUAAUAUAUAUGAACAUUUACGUACGCAGUUUCCACUGGAUCCUCAUUAUAAUUGAGCCUGAUAGAAGCCAUGUCACUGUCUUCGAUUCGUUGAGGAAAGAUCCGGUGGAGUACCAAAACAUGCAAGACAUGCUAGGCUUGUAAUAAUUCUAGACCUUUAUCUCUAUGCAAAAGUUUGUUUCCUAAAUUUUUACCUAACACUGCAUCAUUCAUUAUUUUAAUCCGUAGUGCAUGGAGACAAUUCAUCAGGAAACACAAAGAUCCAUUCAAAAAAAAAACUUACAUGGAACACAGACUUUCUGGUACGUAUGAAGUUUGCAUAAUUUGUACAUUCUAUAACACGAAUAUUUUAUAACUUAUUUUUUCCCCACUGAAGUGCUUAAGAUAGGAACUCGGGAAUAAUCUAUGUGGCUACUACAUCUGUGAGCACAUGCACAGUUUUGUGGGACCCAAGGGACUAAAGAUGACGCCGCACAACUUUAAAGUAUGUAAAAUAAAACUAUUAAUAGUUAAUUCUUUUCUAGCUCCUUAUAUUUAAUUGUUCAUGUAACAUUCACAUAUUUCCAAAUUAUAGAUGUUAAAUAUUCAACAUGGACUCUUGAAGAAGGAAAGAGUAGCGGCAAUAUCUGAAGGUCUCAUUGGAUUCCUGAUGGACGAGGUGGUAAAUCCACAAGGAGAAUUUUAUUACAAUGGACGAAAUUUAGACGCUCCGAGCAACACCUCGACGGGAAGAUUGUAGAUGUAUAGUUUGAUUUGUAUAUAUAAUACACUAAGAUUUGUAUAGUAUGCUAAGAAUUGUAUAUAUAUAAUAAGAAUUGUAUAUAUAAUAAUUGUAUAUUUACUAGUUUCAUUCGUUUAAAUACUAGUUUGAUUUCAUUAUUAGAAAAGUCUCAACUACUAAAGCUUAACAAAAGGGCCGGGGUACGUAUGUGAUGCAUGAAAUUACAGGUGCCAUGCAAGCGCCUGCAUGGUGCGCGCAUGAAUUCAUGCAGGACUUUAGUCCCGGUUGGAAAACCCAACCGGGACUAAAGGGGCACCCUUUACUCCACGUUGGUUUUACCAACCGGGAGUAAAGGGCCCUGUCCCAGCCUGGUGUGGCAGGCCUUUUAGUCCCGGUUGGUUUUACCAACUAGGACAAAAGGAUGGCUUUACUCCCGGUUGAAAGACCCGCGACUAAAGAUCCCCCCUUUUGUCUCGAUUGGUUUAUCCCGGAUGGAUUUUCGGGAGAUUUGCUCUCUACCAACCAGGACUACUGCUCAGUUCUCUAGUAGUGGCAAGUCAAAUUAAUAUCUUGAUAUAUUUUAAUAUUUAUGAAAAAUAGGGCAAAAAUAUGAUCAAAGAAUGGAUGCUAGGAGUUUCCUUCAUGAAAGAUCCCUAGUGCGUUUCCUUGGUUGACCAGGGACUCUGACUUCUCGUCUUUUGGAUCCUCAGUUUCUUAUCGGAGCCUACCCAGGCUAACGUUCCCACAUGUUAGGUCUUCUGGAUAACUAGGCCUCCAACUUCUGACCUUCUGUAUCCUCAAUUGGGCGUAUCCUCGGCUCAAACAAGCAUACAAACAUGCAAAACAAUUCUAACAAUCAAUUUACAGCUAAGGGAUUCGAAAGAAAAUGGAUGAAUGGUGUUUUGAGAAUUAUCGGAUAUCUAAAGGAUAAUCCCGGAUAAAAGAUGAAUGAUUUAUUAAUUAUUUAGAAAUAUGCUUCUAAAGAAUUAAUGGAUUGGGUGACUGGAUUCUAAAAGAAUUCUAGGAAUUUACUAAUUGAUGUCCUAGGGAUAUCUAGGGUUUUGGUCAGGCAGCACAAUGGCUAGGUUUUAUCCACAACUAAGGUUUUGAUUUGCUAAGGAUGAUUUGAAGGGUGGAAUUGACGGAAAGGAGGAGGGGCUCGGGUUUGGGUGGCUUUCGAACUCGGGAGCCCGGUUGAUUAGCCCCAACAUUGGGUUCGCUCUAUGGAUUGUCAUGGGAUUGGGUUUGCCAAGAGCGAUCGGCUGGGUGCCGGUUCAACACUAGGUUGUUUCUUCGAUAGUAGGUUUGCGAAGAGCGACCGGCUGGGUGUCGCUAAAUUGCUAGGUUUUAAGGCUUGAGAGUUUGCGCGAAAAGGUUUGGAUGACUCUAAAAUAUUUUUAGGAUUUUUCCUAGGGUUUUUGGAAUUGAAAUAAAAAGAAAAGCAAUUAUUGGUGUAUACAUAGGGUUUUAUAUUAUGUGAGGGCGAGAUAUUUUGGAAGAGGGGUCAUAUGAGAUGAACAAUGGAAAAGGAAGGCAUGGAUAGGUUUAGGAUAUUCUGUAGUAUUUUUGGAUAAUUUUGGGGAAUUUUGGAGUAAGGGAGGGGCUCGAAGUGAAAGCUUGUGUGCACUUACUUGGUGCACCUAGCGUUUAUGCAGGGGCUGCUAGGGGUGGGGGUGGGGUCUGCCCGGUGCACUGUGCUGUGCACCGGCGCUGUGGGCCGGUGGACCAGGCGCAGUCUAAGCCUGCGGUCCAGUGGACCACGUCCACGCGAGCAAGAAACGAUUGGGCCCACUUGUCGGGUUGAGUUGAAGAGAGAAAGGGUAACAGGGUGGGAUAGAGGGGAAUGGCGGUGGCCGAUCAUGCGCUAUGGUCGGGCAACACCGCCGCGUUGCCAUGGCCCAUGGGCGCCGCCGUCAGCUUGAGGUACGAACUGUCAGCUUUUAUUGCAUUUUGUUCUUUGUUAUCAUACAACCGAUUAGAUCUAUCCCAAGUGUUGCUUCUCUAGCGUUGUUUAGUUUGCUCUAGUACCUUUUCUUUAUAAUCGCUACACGGUAUCGACUGUUUUAUAGCUGGUCACCUCUACAGUAAAUCGGCCGAUUCGUCGAUACGCUUUUAAAGACAAAUCGGAAAUUUAGCUGAUCAGAGCCCCCUGGAAUUUAAUAUUUUUGUUGCCUUGUCAAUCAACACAUCAGAUUGACUGGCACGCCGCGCGAACCACACCAGGGCGACAACCCAAACAGGAGUUAAGCAGAUUCUCCCAGGUCGUGUGUCCGACGCUGAGGAUCAUCGGCCGAUUUUCAACGCCAACAGAAGCUUAGCUUGACCAGUCUCGCUGAUCUUCCCAAGGGUUCACCAGUACUGACGGGCAUUUUCUCUAUCUAGAACCAGCUUGUGGUUAUAUUAUUCGAUUCUCGUGCAUCGCAUAGUUUUAUUGGAACAAGAUUCAAUGGUAAAUGUGGACCAAAAUUUUGUCACACCAAAGGGUCUUACAUGAUUUCAAUACCUAGUGGUAAGAUUGCUUCAAACCAAAUAACAUGUGGUGUGCACUCAAGAUGGGUGGAAAGGUUUUCCAAACCGACUUUAUUAUUUUGGGACUGGAAGGCAUCAAUAUUAUUUUGGGAAGGAAUUGGAUGACUCACCAUAAGGUCAUAAUAGACAUUGCAGCACGGGCUGUCGAGAUAAAUUCACCUACACAUGGAAUUUCCAAACUUUACUUGCCAACUUGGGAGUGUAUAAAUUCAUGCGCUUAUCUUGCAAUAGAGUCCCGACUGGAGGAUAUUCCCAUGGUAUGCGAGUAUGCAGAUGUUUUUCUGGAUGACUUGCCAGGAAUGCCACUGGAUCAGGAUAUUGAAUUUGCCAUUGAGCUGCAACUAGGAACGGCACCGAUAAUGAAGAAGCCUUAUCGAAUGCCACCUGUGGAGUUGGUAGAGAUGAAAACCCAGCUUCAAGAGCUAUUAGAGAAGCGUUUCAUUCGCCCAAGCACAUCACCUUGGGGCUGCCCAGCUCUCUUUGUGAAGAAGAAGGACGAUAGUCUGCGGAUGUGCGUGGAUUACCGACCUCUCAAUGCGGUGACCAUCAAGAAUAAGUAUCCCUUGCCCCGCAUUGACGUUCUUUUUGAUCAAUGUGGCGGAACCACCCUAAUUAACUUAGCUAAAGCACAAUUAAGUUGCCUGACAUGCGCUCUUGUCCUUUAAUCAAGUUAACUCGGCAGUCUGUCGGAUUUCAUCUGAUAAAACCACUAAUCAGGACUGAGAAAAACAGAGCUCACACGAAGGUGAGUGAUUCCAGAGAAUACAACAGAUCAUCCAACUUAAACAAGUACAUCAAUUUUAUUACAACACUAGUUCGAAAAUCAAAGUUUUACAGAGUUCAUAACCAGCAGAAAAGAUAAACCAGCGGAAGCUAGCGCCGGGGUUGGAUAUCAUGAAUGAGGCCGAUCCUGACAUCACUGGUCCCUAUCCUUGCCGUCCGAGGAGGGAUCCCACUCGACCGUCCACCCAGGCCAAGUGCCAAAAGCAGAAAACUCAGGAGUUUCAACACUACCUGAAAGAUGUGCCACAGGCAAGGCUGAGCAACUAUGCUCAACAAGACUUAACCGACAGGGCUGAGCAACUAUGCUCAAUAAGACUUAACCGACCUGUUGGGAUACGAGGUAGGCUACGCUAGCGCAAAUCAAAAUUUUCUACCCCGUAAACCAGAAAAACUGCCGUAUAUGGAUCACAGGAUUACCACUCGACGCACUGGUGCGGAAGAUAUAGAUUCGCGUCGAUGGAGCGAAGUCGAUCAGCGUAGUCGAACACGUAGUCGAUCAUGUUGACGUCCAGCAGCUCGUCCCCGUACAGCGAGAUCGUCCUCGUGCCACGGCUCGUCGGCGGCUCGUCCAAGUGCUGCACGUGCAACACCUCCAAGGUAUCCACACGUGCAGGGAGGAAGCAUCGCAAGCCGGAGUGCUAGGUCCUUGAGUUGCAACAGGCAAGGGUGUGGGAGGCACGGCAGAUGUGAUUGACCAUGCCUCAUAGCAUGCUUCUUGACAAACCCGAAAGCUACCUUUUUAACUACCCUGUCACGGUGUAGCGUUUGAUAGCCCCUAAGUAAGUCGAUCCACAUCUUGAGUACAUGCGACAAUCUUAGGUCCAAGGACGAAGCGUACAUGUUGUGUAAAGAGAGAACUACUUCUCGUGUUGGGUCAGUCCUAGCACAUGUCUCCACAUGUGCCCACAUUAUUAGUUUAACAUCUCCAUGUCCAUGACUCGUGAAACAUAGUCAUCAACUAAUAUAUGUGCUAGUCUAAUAUUCAUGUGUGUCCUCACAUGAACUCUGACUAGGGACAAUUUUAGAAUAACCAUACAAGUAAAGAGUUUCACAUACAAUUCACAUAAUUGCAAAUCAAUUCAAGUAGCCUUUAAUGGAUAUUCAAGGAACACAAUAUAAAUCAUGGAUACAAAUGGAAUAUCAUCAUCUCUAUGAUUGCCUCUAGGGCAUACCUCCAACACGACCGAUGGGACCUACUCCACCAACCUCUAGACAUUCAAGGCUUUUUGGCUGAGGGGUUUGUUUUGCCAAAAGCGACUACAACAGGUCCUUACUUUCAACAUUUUAGCUUCCAGUUCUAGAUUCAUUUACCAAACUAAGUUAGCAGCUAUACUAAACAAGCAAAAGUUCCCAAGCAAUUUAUGACAAGAAAGAUAUUACAUCAUCAUCAAGUUCCAUUCUCACUCAGUGCAUCAUAGCGAUCAAGCAGUCCCAAACUAUGAGAGGCAGAUGAAUCGAUUCAAAUUUCUUAACCAUGCAUGGCGAACCUAAUCUCACAACAUUCACGCACCACGAAGAUCACUUCCCAUGUCGGUCAUCCCCAUCAAUUCCCAGGCGCGCGUCAGGUCCAAACUUCCCUUGGCAUGUAAUGCUCCACAGUCCCAGCCUCUUGCCGUACUGUGACUGCACCUGUACCCACAUGAUGCAGCGUGGGAACCUUGUUCCAGGGACAGAAGGGGUAUAAGCCACACCCUAGUUCAAUCAGGUACUAGGCUUCCCCAUCCCAUACUAGGUAUGAGAUUAGUACUUUCAAACACUUGAUCACGAACACCAACACUUUCCGACCUUAAGCCAAUUUCAUGUAGACAGACGAGGCAAUCCAUCGACCACCAAAAUAGUUCACGGAGCCCUGCCCCAUCCAUCGUCCUUAUAGUUGUAACAAAAGGAGAACAAGCAACUCCUACAACUCGCGAGUGACAGGGAAUCACUCAACUUUUACCGCGUCCUGUUUAAGCAUUGCAGCUACUCGGCCUAUCAUACUAGUGUUCAGGUCAAAGGGAACUAAGUCAUGCAUCUACGGUUCCAAACAACUCCUGAACGUAAAUGCACAUCUAUACAAUAGAAGGCAGGCGCAAGUUUAGAGAGACUGGGUUAUGCUCUGGGGCUUGCCUUCGAGCGGGGUGGAAGCGAACUGAUCUUCGGUGCUCUCAGCUUCAGCUCCUGCAGGUAGCAGCUCGGCUACAACUCCAUCUUCUGGCACCAGGUGCAGCUCAUACGUGCCGUCAGCGAGGUUUAGCUCUACACGGAAUGCAAAUGCAAGGGUCAAACACCUAGACGGUUAUUUCAACAACACUUGCAAGAUUUAGCCCAGAAAUUGUAGCAAAACUACAGGAAAGGUGUGAAACCCAUUUUAUUGGAUUCUACUCAAAAAGAGGAUUCCAACCUAAGGAAUAACUGUACCGAGGUCCUCAGACUUAACACAGAGAAGUCCCCAAAAUUUUACACAAAUACCCUCGGUCAAAAGAAAAGGAUACAGCCGAGCCCUCGGGCGAGGCGGACAGGGGUCAGGCGAAACAGACAGGGUCGGGUGAAAUGGACAGGGGUCAGCAGCUUACUUUUGGGUCCUGCUGACAAGGUCUUGGGGUCGAAAAGAAGCAAGCUCAGGCGGAACGACGAAAGGCGUUUAAGGUUCGGGCGGCGGCGAGGUUCAGCAGUGCUGCAACAGCGGUGGUGCUUCUUGCAAACAACAAGCAAGCUCUAGCGCUGCGUGGAAGAAGGUGAAGCGGCUGGCGGGGUUGGCAAGGCGUGGUGUUGGGCGAAAGGGGGAACUCCUCAGAGAGCUCAGGUGGUGGCGCAUGAUCUCAAAACAAAGGAGUGUGCGGUGAUGAGGGCGAAGGAGAUGAAACCACGCAGUCCAUGUGGCAAGGGCAAAGAUAGCGAAGGGAACUCCGGUAAGAGGCUCUGGUACCCCUUUUAUAGCUGCGCGGAAGUGAACGAGCUCGAGCGGUGCGAGGAUAAGAUUGAGGGAAAAGGAGUGCUCUACCUCGGCGGCGAUUGGUGGGGGUCUCCAUUGGCCGGCAAGGUGGAGCUCCGGGGAUAGGAUCUUACGGCAUUGGGCAAGGAAGACAGCGCUAGGCAAGUGCGAUUUUGCUAGGCAGAAGGAUUGGCGAGGUUGAGCACGUGCCUGGUCGCGUCAAGCGCCGGAUUGGUUGCGGCGACUCGGUAUCGGCAGAUAGGAGGGAGAGAGGUGCAUUGUAGGUGAGGGCGCUGCAGGCGAGGUGACAGGACGAGCUAUGCUACACGAGCAUACACGGACUAGCGGCUCUGCCGCGGCACACGACUGGCAAGGUGGGGGGAAAAGGAGUUGUCACUGCCUGCGCAGUGGUUAGCGAAGGCGAUAUCAUCACGGGGUGCAUGCGUGAGCACUGCGACUGAGGUAUGACGGAAGGGCCGAAAGGCGUUGGGGCGAGCGGCUGGGGAUCCGGGUGAGAUGAUGCGCAUGGGAGGCGAGGCGGUACUGGCGCGACAGCGGCCAAUCUUCGGUCGCAGCGGCGGCAGGGCGCCUGGUGCGGCCGGCGAGGUCUCGGGCAAGAUGAUACGGGGCGGAAAAGUCUGCAGGGCGCUUCUGCGCACGAUUGGGAAGAGGCGUGCUGAUCCAUCUUGUCGCGGCCGAUGACUAGGCAAGGUGGCGCUCGUCAGUGCGGUCAUGCCACGCGGCGGCGGGGCUCUGAAAUGGGGCGCACGCGUGCUCUGGCGCUGUUUGUCCAAUAGAUCUGUGGGAUCCUUUUCUGGGUCCACCUUCCAGCCUCUUGAUCUCCCGAUUUCCAAACUACACCACUUUGACUCCCAUAACAAGAGUUGUAGUACUCAGACCAAGGCCCAACUCUUGUAAUCGGACCGAGUUCAAAAAUGGAGUGGACUUGGGGAUCCAAAGCUCCAAAGUUUGGAGGAACACUGGUUUCGGAACUUAGAGUAUAACAGCGGUUUGCUGGGUUUUAGGGGUCGGGGCUGAUUUGAGCUGCAGAUUUGGGAGUGUUCGGAGGCGAAUUGGACCAAGGUCCAAUUAACAAAGUUAAAGCAGGGACUUCGUUCUUCUACUUCUAUAAAGAGUUUUCUUGACAUUCUGCUCAACUUUCCAAAGAUAAACCCUCCCUAAGGCGCUAGGUUGGGCUGAAAACAAGACUUAGCCGGUAUAGCUCAAGAGAGGCUGAGUCAACCGGAUUAGGGGACUUGUUUUAAGAUUAGACUUGGCUGAGUUAACCUAGGUCGUUACAAUCAACUUGCCGGAGCCAGAGUGUUCUCUAAGAUCAAUUUCCGCUCUGAUUAUCAUCAAAUCAUGAUCCGGUCGUGUGACAUCCCUAAGACCGCUUUCUUCACGCGGCAUGGACUAUAUGUGUUCCUAGUCAUGUGCUUUAGGCUCACAAAUGCCCCAGCCUACUUCAUGUAUCUCAUGAAUUCGGUAUUCAUGCCCGAGCUUGACAAGUUCGUCAUGGUCUUCAUCGACGAUAUCCUCAUGUACUCCAAGAAUGAAGAAGAGCAUGUUGAACACCUCCGCAUUGUUCUUCAACGUCUUAGAGAUCAUUAGCUAUAUGCCAAGUUCAAGUGCGAAUUCUAGCUAGAUAGUGUGAAAUUCUUGGGGCACACUAUAUCCAGCAAAGGCAUAGCAGUUUAUCCAAGAAAGGUCCAAGAAGUGAUGGACUGGAAGCCACCCACUUCAGUUCAUCAAAUCAGAAGAUUUCUUGAUCUAGCGGGCUAUUACCGGCAUUUCAUUCCAGACUUCUCCAAGAUAGCCAAGCCAAUGACCGAGUUGCUAAAGAAAGGGGUCAAGUACGUAUGGAGCAAAAAGUAUGAAGAAGCUUUCCACACUUUGUGAAAGUUAUUGACCUCGACACCAGUCUUAGCCCAACCAGACAACACCAAGCCAUUUGACAUCUAUUGUGAUGCUUUUGGCACUAGUUUCGGAUGUGUUCUUAUGCAAGACAAUUGGGUCAUUGCCUAUGCUUCACAAUCACUACGGCCUCAUGAGCAGAAUUACCCGACACAUGAUUUUGAACUGGCAGCGGUGAUUCAUGCUCUGAAGAUAUGGAGACAUUAUUUGAUGGAUUCUUAUUUCAAUAUCUACACCGAUCAUAAAAGUCUCAAAUACAUCUUCACUCAAGCUGAUUUGAACAUGCGUCAAAAAAGAUGGUUGGAAUUGAUCAAGGACUAUGAUCUAGAGGUGAACUACCACCUCGGAAAAGCAAAUGUGGUUGUAGAUGCUCUUAGCCGCAAGGCCUAUUGUAAUUGCAUUUCUGCCGAGAACUACCUAGAAACCUUGUGCCAUGAGAUGAGGAAGCUAAAUUUGGAGAUUAUUCCUCAUGGCACACUAAGCCACAUCUCGAUUGAGCCCACCUUACAUGAUCAGAUAAUCUUGGCACAGCUAGAGGAUGUAGAGGUAAAACUCAUCAAGAAAAAGCUUGCACAAAAGGAUGAAGGAUAUAAGCAUUUCCGAUAGGACUGGAAAGGAGUUAUAUGGUACCAUCACCAACUAGUUGUUCCAGUCAGUCCCAAUCUCUGGAAGCAAAUUUUGGAUGAGGCACACCUCUCUAAAUUCUCUAUUCACCCCGGUAGCACCAAAAUGUACCAAGACCUCCGACAAAAUUUUUGGUGGACAGGGAUGAAAUCGGAGAUUGCUAGGUAUGUGUCGGAAUGCGACACGUGCCAAAGAGUGAAAGCAAGCCACUUGAAGGUAGCCGGUACUCUUCAACCGUUGCUUAUACACUCAUUGUAGGUUUGCCCAACACCUCACGAAAAAUUGAUUCCAUAUGGGUCAUAGUGGAUAGACUUACCAAGAUGGCACAUUUCCUUCCUGUCCAUACAACCUACUCAGCCUAGAAAUAUGCCGACUUAUAUUUGGACCACAUUGUUUCCUUGCAUGGUGUGCCAAGAUGAUCAUUUCUGAUAGAGGUGCUCAAUUUGUAGCACGCUUCUGGGAGCAGUUGCAAGCUUCUCUUGGCACUAAGUUAAUCCACAGCUCAACUAAUCACCCUCAGACAGAUGGGGAAAUAGAGAGCGUAAACCAAAUCCUGGAAUACAUGUUGCGAGCGUGUGUCAUUCAUUAUGACAAGAACUAGGACAAAUGCUUACCAUUAAUGGAGUUUUCAUAUAACAACAGCUACCAAGUUAGCUUGAAGAUGGCACCAUUUGAGGCCUUGUAUGGUCGCAAGUGUCGAACUUCGUUAAGUUGGUCCUAGGUGGGAGAACGAAUAGUGUAUGGACCAGAUUUAGUAAUUGAGGCAGAACAAAAGGUGAGGAUCAUAAGAGAAAACCUUAAAGCCACCCAGUCAAGGCAAAAGAGCUACUUUGACAAGGGGAGGAAACCACUGCAGUUCGAAGUUGGUGACCAUGUAUACCUUUGGGUUUCACCAACCAAGGGUGUGCAUAGGUUCGGAGUAAAGGGAAAGUUAGCUCCUCGAUAUAUUGGUCCCUAUGAAAUCACGGAAAUUUGUUGACCCGUUGCCUAUCGAGUGAAACUUCCACCCAGACUCUUUGCUAUCCACAAUAUCUUCCAUGUAGCUCAACUCAAGAAAUGUGUUCGAGUUCCAACCGAGAUUAUCGAACAAGAGGAAGCAUGGUUAGAACCGGAUCUAUCUUAUGUUGAGUUGCCCAUCAAGAUUCUUGAUCGUAAGGAGAGGAAGACGCGGAGACAAGUGGUGAGAAUGUUAAGAUUCAGUGGAGCCAUCAUACGGAAGAGGAAGGUACUUGGGAAAUAGAGGAGUAUCUCAACAAGAAUUUCCACGAAUUUCUUUUCAACCAAGGAUGUUCGUGCACAGCAACACUAGUUUUACAUCACCCGAAUCUCGGGAUGAGAUUCUUUUUAAGGGGGGUAGGCUGUGACAUCCCUAGUAAUUAGAUUGAGUUUAAAUCAAAGCAAAAUCAAAAUGGUUAAGUGUUAAACACCUUUCACUAAAGCACUUGGAAAGCAAGUAAAACCAAAUUUUAUAUAUGAACCCAAAUUUUAGCCAAAAUAAAAGUGGUAGAUCUUUUCAAAUGAAGCAACUUUCAAUAUUAGCACUUCUUCGGAUUUUGAGGAGAAGAUGUUCAAAAAUUGAGUAGAAGUUAUGCAUUGUUAAAUUCACAUAAUUGUUAUUUAUUGUUAAAAAUUCAAAAUUAUGAAAAAAAAACUCCUAAUUUUUGCUUUACAACUAUGCUAUGCCUCCUAUUAUUUUAUUUAAACACUAGAUACAAUUUACUGAUUUUACAAUAUUUUUACCAAAUUUUUCAGAAAUAUUUGCUUGUGCCAAAAAUUAUUUAAAGUUCAAUUUUGGCUGUUUUGUUUUGUCAAUUGCGUGAAAACCAUAGCCGCUCUUGCAGUGAUUCUUGUGGCAUUAGAUUUUUCAUGAUUUUAUCGUUCCAACGAGUAUUUUUGGGCAAUUUUUUGACAAGUUUAGCUAUGUCUUUUAAAUUGAGAAAUUUGGCACGUUUUAUAUUCUCACGGGCCUACCUAUCAGCCGGUCAUCUCCUUCCUCUUGCCAUCUGCACGCACAUCGUUGGGUGUAGGCCCCAAAGAUCGCCAGUUGGGCAAGCCUUGGCAUGCUAGCAGUGCUCUCCUCUGCCGGUUGGCCAUCACGACGUUGCCCAUUUGAAGCUCUGUUCAUCCCACGCCCCUCCUCACCCUCCAUUGGAUAGCACCUCAGCCGCACAGCAUGGCAGCUAGGUGGCCAUCGAACUCCGGCGAUGCCCCCUCGCCGCCAAUGGACAAGCAGCGAUGCCGUGGCGUCCUUAUCUUCAUGCCCGUCCUUAUCCUCACGGUGCUCCUCACCUAUAAAGCCAAGCACUGGCUUCUUCUGGAAGCAUUGCCCCUCCCAACCUCCAUUGCCAGCACCCCUAAGCUCCAAAUCCCUUUUUUUUGCCAGCGAAAUUCAUUGCUGCGAGCAAGCCUUGGCUCAAUUCCUCGCAGCUACACCUUCCCAUCGAUGUCGCGCAUCCGUUUUGCCGCCUCCAGGCCGUCCUCCCUUGCCGGGCAAGUCUCCCCAUGGGAGCCCCCUCGGCACAUCUUCUGGUUGCCGUGAAGCCCUUUGCUGUGCCGUCCCCUCCUCAUCGCAGCGCCGCUGGUGAGCAUCCCCUAGCCUAGGACACCGUUUCCCCACUGCUAUCCCUCCCCUAAACCACACCAUCCUAACCUCCCUGUCGUGGCUGGCCAAGAGCCCGUGCAAGUCUGUGCCGUGCUGCUUCUAAUUUGUGAUGCGCAGGGGUGUGUUUGGAGAAGAAGGGAAAAGGAGAAGGGGUUAUGGGAAAAAUCCAAGGACCUAUACGUGAGUUUUCAGUAGAUCUACGGGCUGUUUUGAAAGUUGGUCACGAUUUUCUUUUAUUUCCUAGAUUAAAUAGCUGCAAACUUUGAAAAGGUAUAGAAAAAUGUAGAAAAAAUGGGAAAAUAUGAAACUUGUUUUGUUGGAUUUUUUGUGAUGUCUAGUUUAUUUCAAAAAUGAUUUUUGUGCAUGUUACUAUUCUGCAGUAGGAUCUAUGAUUUAUUUUGUGUGGAAGCCAUUAAGUGCCUUAUAAAUAACAUAGUGCUCUAAAAAUUGUGAAGCCACUUUUGUUAGUUCACUUGUAGCAUGCAUGUUCAGAUUUGAAACUUGUACUACUAGUCUAGGUGAUGUUCAUGUUGUUUUAGAUUUAAAAUUCUUAAAUGCUUAGUUAUGUUGUUUAAAAUUCAGAAACAAGAUAACUUUCCAAAUGAAUGAUGAACAACACAAAAAUGACCACCACCUUUCUUUGAUGAAUUCUAAGUUAUUCAAACCUUAUAUGUGUACACAAUCACCAUCAAACAAAAGCCAUAUUUUCAUUCCAACCAAACUUGUUGUGUGAAGAAAAGAAAUGUUAAACUUGUCUAGGUGAAUGUGUUCGAAGUGCACCGUGAGAUUUUACAAUGUUUACGAAAUGCAACCUACAUUGUGAACGUUUAUAAAUGAAAUCUUAUGCAUAUGCAUCUAGUGUAGAAGCUAACCUCGCUGACGGAACGUACGAUCUCGGCCUGGAACGCGAAGAAGGACACCCUCUUGCUGAGCUGAAUGUGGUCGAGGCAACCCAAGGCCCGAACCAAAGUUCGGAAGAGCCCAAGGCUGAGUUAGGGCAAGAAGGCAAGCCUCGGAGCAUAACCCUGGUUUCUAAAAUUAUGCACUACUUAUGCUAGUUAUGUUUGUGCAUUAAGUUUAUAGGAGUUGCUUGAAACCUCAGUUGCAUGAUCCUAGGUAUCUAUGUGUUGAAUACUAAUAUGUUAAGUCGUGUAGUUGUUAUGCUAAAUAGGGACACGGUAAAAUUCGAGUAAUUUCCAGUCACUCGCGAGCUAUAGGAGUUGCCUAUUUACUUAUGUUGGAAUCAUAAGGAUUGACGAGCGGGGCUGAGCUAUAUGUUCUGGAUUGGUGGAUUGCCCUGUCUGUCUAGUGGAAAAAUAUGCUAAGGUCGAAUCGUGACGGUGUUCGUGGUCAAGUGUUUGAAUGUACUAAGCUCAUACCUAGUAUGGGAUGAGGAAGCCUAGUACCUGAUUGAACCGGUGUGGACCUUUCCCCCGUUCUCUCUGGAACUGGGUUCCCAUGUGGCCACAUUGGGUACAAGUGCAGUCACGGUACAGCGUCGUUCUGGGACCGGUGGGGCCUCGUAUCCAAGGGAAGUGGUAUCUGGAUAAACAUCGCGAAUUGAUGGGAACCGCUGAUAUAUGCGAACCUGGCACGACAGUAGCAUAUAUUGUGGGUUUGGGUCCACCUGGCAAGGUUAAGAAACUCGAUUCGAAUCGUCUGCCUCUCACAGUUUGAGACUGCUUGAUCACUAUGCUGCACUGAGUAAGAGGUGGAACAAAGGAUGAUGAAUGAUACUGAUGCUUGUUUAAUUUGCUUGUUCACCAUGCUUGCUUAGAAUAGGUGCUUACCUAGAAUGGAUAAUCAACUAGAACCUGAUGCUAAAACUUGAAAGUAAGGAUCCACAUUAGAAUGAGUUAGGGUUAAGGUGGACUAGUUCCAAAUGGUAGUACCUCAGCAAUCCCUGAAGAACUCGGAUGACGGCAACGCCAGCCCACGCUCGAUGAAGUGCGCGAAGAUUACUGUCUCAUCCGAGUAGCUCUCGAAAGGCCACGUAUUUCUGGCUGCUUCUCUCCAAUAUGUGAAUUCCUUCUCCUGGAGUAGAUUGGCAAGCACUAGUACCUAGAUCUUCCCGUACUUGGGCGCAGGCAGCUGGACCUCCUUCUCUUUCUUGGCGGCCUUGCGCUUCUUCGAUUCUGCCGCCUUGCUCGAGGAUGCCUUCUUGGGCACCAUUGCUCUAAUGGUCUUCUGGCGCAUCAGCUAGAUGGCUAUACAGUGGGGGGUAGCAGCGCUCAAGGACGGCAAGCGGUGGCACUAGGGUAACAGUGCUCGGGGAAUGCAUGUCGUGGCGCUAGGGUGACGGUGGAGAAGAUGAAUGGCUCGGGCGCACUAGUUUGGGUAAACAGAAGGGAUAAUAUUCCUCCGUCAUUUAUAAACACGGCACAAGGUAACUGAGCAGCGAAGAUUACAAGGAAUAUUCCAUUUUUUAAGCCAUCAGUUAUCAUCGGAACGGUUACCAAGUUUUUCAGAAGAGAUAAGUUUUCUGAAAGACGAACGGUCACAUUGGACCAGUGGUUGACCCUUAUACCCAAAAUAGUCGUAUAACGGCUCGGGGGCUGCAUGCCACGUGCCCGUUGGACAAAAAGUUUUUUCUUCGAGUUUUAAGGGGAAAAAAUGUGAAAUUACAAGAUUGACCCUUAACCUAAUUCUUCCAUUCAACCUAAGGCUUCAGGGCUACUCCAUAUGGAGUGCAUUUUUUUCAAAUCACGCUUCCAUAUAAGAUUGAAGAUUCAAGGCUAAGUUAAAUGAGGCUUGAGCAGCUUCUAGCCGCAUGGCAGUACUCGAGCACAUUCGAGGACUCAAUCCAACGGAGUGCUCAAAAGAAGCUAAAGUGCAUGCACAAGAAGUAAGAAUGCAGAAAGAAAUUAAUCAGUGAGUGGCCCAAACAGUUACUGAGAUGGCCCAAUCUGGAGCACUGCUGGAUCCCAACAUCGUCGUUAGGCCUUCUCAACGCCGAAGCAGUUGUGCUUCCACAGGGGUCCCCAAUGAGAACAUGCCAAGAUUACCCAUGGUUACGCAGGAGCACCAACGGUACCCUAUGGAUGACAUCACUCAGCGCACCCCAUGUGAGCUGUACAUACCAUUUGGCAACGUCACUAUUAAGGUAUACAUAUAUAUAAUUUAUGCAACUAUCUCAAUUGAUCCACGCCUCGGGAGUUUAGUAACUUCUUUAUUUCUCCUAUAUGUACAGGUGACGUACGGAAGUGCUUUACCAAUCCUGCCAGGAUAGAAAAGCCAUGGCAUGGAGAUUCCACCUGGCUACUCCAGCGUUGGCCUAGAGCAGAUUUGUGAUAGUCAAUAUGUUGGCCUAGAGCUUGACCUCCCGUGAGGCGAUGGGAAAAGGACACUAGGAGAUGCACUUCAUAGUCUCAUUCUAUGGCACAAACGCUACACCAUCAUCCCCGGUAAGGAGGCAUCAUUGCUUCCCAUAGAUCCCCCAUAGCCACCAUCUCCUCAGAACUCAAAACGGUCAUCUCCAGCACAUCCACCUCUAGGACCGUCGUCACCACCGAGACCGUCACAUCCUACUCGAUCACCGUCUCCAUCUCCAUCGAAUCCUGGUGGUGCGAGCGAGGACGACCAAAACACCCCUCCUCGAUCACUAUUGCCGGGACUAAACUCUAGUGCGACCAAGGAACCUGCAGCACCUCUCAAGAAGUCGCGACCACCGCCUUCCAAGCUAAGGCAGCCAAAGGCAAAAGAACCUGUUAAGAAAACAAAAAAGUCUGAACCCAUGAACAAUCUAGCAGGCGAUAUGACUUCUAAGGAAUUGCAGUAGGCAUCGCAAACACAGGUGAGGGAGUUCUUCCAAGCAUGCGCUGAACAAAGAAAAGUGAAGAUGAUGGAGCCAAAGCUAGUAUAUCUAGCAAAAUUAGAGUUUUUAUUGGCAUGAAAAAAGAAGUAAAGAAGACUUUACUAUCGAACUACAAUCGUUCGUUAGUUAAGUCUUAUCACAAGAAAAAAAAUAAGGAGAGUCAUCUUCCAGUCGUACUAUCCCCAGCUUAGGCAGCAAGCAGGUAAAGACGAUCAAGCUAUAACAGCUUUGCCCUAAGAACAAGAAUUCCAAGUCAUUACAUUUAUGGAAGAUACAGAUCUGUCACUUGCUGAAGUUCUAGGGCAAGCUGAAUCGCCAGCUCCAGAAAAGAUUGUACCUAAAUGGCCCUUUGAGGUAGGCAAGCCUCUAGUAAGGCCUGAAUUGGUACGGAAGCUCUCUACGAAGAUGUAUGAAUUCCAUCAAUAGUACAAGGAGUAGUCAGCCAAGGAAAGGAUCAUGUUCGCUCUUCGUGUUAAAUCGAUUGAUUUUUCAGUGAAGGUGAGAAACUCCUGUGGUUGCAAUUAAAGGAUAUAUAUGAAGUGUACCAUCAGGAUGCCCUUGACAUCUCUCUCAUCAGCGCUUGGGUUCUCUAAGUGUGUGGUUAUUAAGAUGUAAAUUUUGUCUCAGAUCAUUAUUUUGUGUGUAUGCGUCGCCCUACUAACUUUGUAUUUCAUUUUGUGUAGGAUGCUAAUUCAGAUGUGCUGUAGAGAAUCCUACUUCAACAUUGGCUUCAUGGAUCCAUCUCUCAUUAACCAAGAUCAGAUAUGAGAUCAACCAAAGCAUACAUUGGACGCAAUAUACACUUCCUUGAAGCAACAAAAUUACAAGCAAUACAUACUACUGUCAUACAACUUUAAGUAAGUGUGGGUACCGUCUAUUUUCGUUUUCCUUUUCCUUACCUAAUUAGUGUUAGUUAGUUCUAAUAUGAACAUUUAUGUACGCAGUUUCCACUGGAUUCUCCUUGUAAUUAACAUUGAUAAAAGUAACAUUAUUGUGUUCGAUUCAUUGAGAAAACCACCGGUGGAGUACAAAGACAUUCAAGACAUGCUAAACUUGUAAUAAUUCUAGACCUUUGUCUCUAUGCAAAAGUUUGUUUCCUAAAUUUUCACCUAACAUUGUAUCAUUCAUUAUUUUAAUAGCAGCAUCGAAACGAUUCCAUAAGACUCACCAUGGUAAAUUGAAAGAAAAACUUACACUCAAUACAACAUUCCCGGUACGUAUGAAGUUUGCACAUUUUGUACAUUCUAUAACACGAAUUUUUCAUAACUUGUUUUUUUCCUACUAAAGUGCUUGGGACAGCAACAAGGCAAUAAUUUAUGUGGAUACUACGUCUGUGAGCACAUGAAUAAUUUUGUGCGGAACAAGGUGAUAUCGGCUAUUAAUAAUUAAUUAUUUUCUAGCUCCUUAUAUUUAAUUGUUCGUGUAAUAUUCACAUAUUUUCAAAUUACAAAUAUUGCGGAUUAAAUAAGAACUCUUGGAGAAGGAGAUGCUUUUGACAAUCCAAGAAACUCUCGUAGGAUUUCUGGUGGACGAGGUGAUAAAUCCCGUAGGAGAAUUUUAUUACGACGGAGAUUCAGUAGCCGAACGGAGCAACACCACAACGGGAGGAUCCUAAGAAUGAAGACGGCAAAUUAUUAUAUAUAUAGUAAUUAUAUAAAUACUAGUUUGAUGUGUAUAAUAUACUAAGAAUUGUAUAUAUAUAGUACUAUCAUGAAAUAUAUAUACGACUUGCAUACAAUAUGAGCGUAUACGUGUAAGUAGUGUAUGCUAAGGAUGUAUAUGUAUAUAUAUGUGAAGCAACAAUUAGCAUUAAUAUGGAAAAGAUUUUUUAAAAUAAAGGUCUUUAAUCCUGAUUGGGAAUACCAACCAUGCGCAUGCACGUACCCCCUUUAGUCCCGGUCACUAAAACCAACCGGGACUAAAGGGGGUCUUUAGUCCCGGGUGAAUGGCCCGGGACUAAAGAGAGCCCCCUUUGUCCCGAAUAGAUAGUCCUGGUUGGAUUUUUGGGAUUUAUCACUCUGUCUAACUCGGACUAGGUGAGUUUUCCACCCAUGGUUCUUUCGAACUUUUUGUCUCUCAAAAUUAAUUUUUUGUGUAUUCUAAAUUUCUAAUUCCAAAAGUUAUGGUCUCUUCAUCUUUUUGGUUCUUGAGAAGAAGAUAAAGCUGAUUUUGGGAUGAAGAAUGUCAACUGAACGGAACGAUACUAAUAAAAGCGCACAAAGGCAACAAGAAUCCACAUCCGUGUCACCUGCAUACUAGCUAGCACUCGAAAAUCCAAAAGGAAAUUCGUGUGAAAAAGAAUAAAUCCAAAAGGAAGGCUAUAAGAUGCGCCACUCAUCCGUGGAACUAUACUUAAUUACCACUGGUGUUAGGUUUCAAUCAUGACAAUGAGUCAUACUCCCUCCAUCCCAAUUGUAGGUCGUUUAUAGAUUCAAACUUUUACUAUGUACCUAGACAUAAGAAUAUAUCUAGGUGCACAGUAGCAAAAUAUAAAAAUCUAGAAAUGUCAAAACGACUUAUAAUUUGGGACGGAGGGACGGAGAGAGGACGGAGGGACGGAGAGAGUAGCUUAUUACUUACCAUCAUUUUUGCCUAAUUAAAGCACUGGCACUUCCCUCGUUUUUUCAACCUCAAGAACAUUCAUCCCACUUGUUCAAUAAUGCGCACUAUAUAUACGUCCAUUUACAUGUUAACUUCACGCUAACUGAAGUGUUAAUUAUUCGCGAGAAAACGGCAUCCGUCCAUUGUCGGGGCAAAAGGUAGAGAGAAUGAUUCGAGUUUCCGUGUCGUGGGCGAGAAUAGAUGCACCUAAAGCUAGGCAUAGCCCUGGAAAAUCCAAUGAUAUAUCAGAUAUGAGAGCUGCUCUCGCUUUGUUAGGCUGACCUAUUGAUUUGUACUCCUAGCUAGCUACGUCCACAUCGAAUCCAUUGAACUGGGAAACGCCUGUCAGAUUAUCAGCAUGUGUUGUUUAUAUGUGGUGGCCUUUAUUCUGAUUCGGGUUGACCUGCCACACUAGUAACAUGUUUUGCGAAUUCUUGAUCAGCAUGUACAGCUGUGUUAACGCAAUUCUAAUUUACGGUCACCCGUAACUUCUCCUGCAUCCGGUCGAUCCGACAACAGUUGCCUCUCUUUUCCGUAUACAUACGCGUGCUGUUCAUUCUCGUUUUGGUAGGAAUGGGCACACCGCACAUGCAUUCCCGUCGCUUUCUGCGUGGAAAUACAGAAGUUUAUCGAGAGAUCCAACAAAAUUUUAGAAGAAAAAAAUUAUUUUAGUAAAAUUAUCAACAAACGGUCGUUUUGAAGAACAAUCUGACAAAUUAUUUAGUAAAAUUAUUUAAAAGACCAAUCUGACAAAAAAUUAUCAACAAACAGUCGUUGAAAAUUUUAGAAGCAAAAAAUUAAUAGAAUUUUUUUUUAAAUGUCCUAAGCAAAAAAUUUGAUAAAAAAAUUUUAGAAAGGAUUUUGAAACAAAUAAAAAAUUAUUCACAAAAUUUUGGAGAACAAAAUUUUUGAGGAAAAAACUGCCAAGCGGAUACGGCCUCUACGACCGCAUGGCCACCGCCUCUGGGUGGGAGGGUGCUGCUAGCAGCCGCUCGUGCGAGCCAGCCUCCGUCGCCGUUCCCGAGCGGGAGGGUGCCGCUCCUGGCUCGCUCGCACAGGCCCGCACCGCCGCUCCCAUGAGCUGCCCUUGCCUCAAGCCCACGGUUGCUAAGGGGGCUGCUCGUCUGCGUGUCGUGCCUCCCCCGUUGAGCCCGAGGGUGGUGCUCGCCGUGGCUGCCAUCGUUGCGCUUGCUGCUGGAGGGCGAGCCCAUUGCCACCUUGCGCGGAGCGGGAGCUCCACCAUCGCCUCAUGCAUCUCCGGCGUCCGGUGGAGACCUUCCCAGUGGACCGUCGAUUUGGAUUGAGGAGAGGAAAUAGAACAGCGAAACGAAAAUGAACAGGAAGAUGGAGAUAAGAUUGCGGGCCCCACCAUGUGCGUGCUGUUGGGAGUGGAGAGAGAUGGGAUUGACUGGGAGGGCGGAAGCUUACGGGCAACCGUUUAGCAUUGGGCCAUGCUAAACCUUUUCAUUCUCAAUAAAAAGUUAUCCUUAGUAUAGAUUGUUGGUGUUUUAGAUCGGCAACACGUCUAGGGAGUACCCAAGGUGGUAUUUUGUGCGGUAGGUGUCAUCGAGAAUCAAGGAAUCGAUGGUAACGCAAGGAACACAAUUUAGAGAGGUUCGGGCCGCUAGAUUGCGUAAUACCCUAUGUCCUGUGUGUUAGUUGUAUUGAUCUUGUUCUUCGUCGUCUAGAGAGGGUCCCUGCCCAGGCGCAAGAGUCCUAGUCGAGUACAUUAUAGAGUCCUACUCUAACUCGGUAGAGUAGUUUCCUUUGGAUCCGACUAGUCUUCGGGAAGUUUAUGAAGCCUACGCGCCCUGUAGAGUAGUCUUCAUAUCUGAGUAGGUUUCGGGUACGUUCCCUUGAGUGGGUUCGUACAAGUCUUCUUGUGGCCUUGGGGGUGCCUAGCCGACAAGCCCCUGAGUACUUUGUAGUCGAGAGGAACAGCUCCGAGUGCUUGAAGAUGUCGCCCGAGUUCCUCCUGGUGCUCCUCGAGUACUUCUCGAUGCGGCAAACCUUCGAGUACCGGAGUUGUCACGUGACUGGAAGGUACUCUUAGUAGUUCCCAAUGUUUGCUUCGAGUAGUCUAUCUUGAAAUUCUUUAUAUGGUAGUGCGAUGACAAUCGCACUCCAUAUGGAGUAGCCCUCGAGCCUUAGGUUGAAUCAAAGAAUUAGGCUGAGGGUCAAACUUGUAAUUUUGCUUCAACUUAGUCUUCAGAAAAAGGAAUCUUUAUCCAAUGGGUACGGUAUACGUAGACCCCGAGCACUUUGGCGACUACUUUUAGUUGGUGAAGGGAUCAAUGUCUUAGUCAGAGUAACCAUUGGACACUAGAUGGUGGUGAAUAUGAGUCGUAUUUGACCGUUGCUUGAAUAACGGGUGGAAUCUAGAAAUGUUGUUGUUAAAAUAGGAGGGCCCAGUGCUAAUUAUUAGCACACCUGUAGCAGAUCUGCAAUUUGCGCCCUUUUUGGAACCCUAGCAUCGCUGCUCCUGUUUGUGUCGCCGCUGUCGUUGUUGCUUUGCCCAAUCUUUUGAAGAGAAAUUGCUGCGGCCUUUUUCUCCCCCUUUUUUUUCCUCAAUAUAGUUGAUGCGUACCAAGAAGAUGGGCAAGAAACCUGAGAAGAUCUAGGGGGAGGCCGCGACCACCGGCAAGUUGAUAUCCAGAUCCAAGAAAGGUAAAGAGCUCGAGUUGCCGACGCCCAAGUGCAGCCCGACAAACCAGACUGCGCCGCCACCUCCUGGGGUCACCUGGCAGCACUCUGUGAUGAAGGAGCCGGCGGUUCAGGCCUUGGUUGAUGCAAAGAUUCUCCAACCAAAGGUGGAGCUUGAGUGGAGGCCCGCAUAUGGAAAUACAUGGCAAUUCGAAGAACACCCCAAGGAGACAGUGAUGCUAGCUCACUUUGUUAAGAGAGGCCUGGCGAUUCCUACCUCUGACUUCUUCAGAGGUAUUCUUGAGUAUUAUAAUCUUUAGCUAGUCCAUUUGAAUACGAAUGGUGUGUUGCAUAUGGCUAUCUUUGUACACUUGUGCGAAGUGUACUUGGGUGUUUUGCCUAGUCUGGAUUUGUUUAGGAAAUUGUUUCAGUGUAAACCACAACCCAACACAACUAGGACAGAAGUCUUUGGAGGAGCUGGGUUUCAGUUGAGAAACUCGGGUGCAUAUCUCGAGUAUGAUCUUCCUGAUUCCCAUGGUGAUUGGAAGAAGAGGUUGUUUUAUAUUGGCAACCAUGAUCCUGUCUUGCCAGUAGUCACCAGCCAUGCUCUAAAACAUGCGGAUAACUGGAUGAAUGAGCCUGAGGAUACCAAUGAGAUCACCAACUUGUUGAGGCAGAUUACCGAGUUGAAAAUUUUGGAAUUGACUGGGAUCAAUGUAGCCACCAGUUUCCUCAAGCACAGAGUUCAGCCCCUACAACAGUGUGCUCAUUGGGGCUUCGAGUAUACAGGUUUUGAUGACCCAUCGCGUAUGUCCCCUGAAGAUGUAUCCGACGAUGAUGUGGAGGUGUUGUUGGGUAAGUUCUUCAAGAACUAUCGAGGAGUGCCAGUACUCCUAGGAGUCCUCCGACAGUUCGACGGUUGGUAUGGACGAAUAGAUGUAUUUUUGCUUCUCUUUGUUCAUUUGUGUAGUUAGCUGAUUGACAGGUAGUACUUUCUGAGUAACAAUGUUGUCUUGUGGUUUGUAGUCUCGGGUGCUGGCUGGUUUCUUGACCACGCCUUCCGAGGAUAAGGAGGUAGCCGAGGGUGAGGCUGAAGAUGCGCCUUCUGCUCCUCCGGCUAAGAAACGCUGAGUAGUGCAGAAGAAACCCGCUACUCAGCAUGAUGCAACUACCUCGGACUUGACUCUCGAUGAGUCGUGAGGUACCAAGGUACGUAGUCGUGUGUUGUAAUUGUUUGAGUAUUUUGAGUUUCUUGUUGACUUAGUCGUAUUGCUUGCAGAAUACUGAUGAUGUUAGUCUGUAUGUUGAAAAGGCCACCAACUUAACUUUUGGUGAUGACGAGGCUACUUCUGCUGAAGUAAUCACGACUACCAAAGAUGCGGCUGCGAGUGUCGUGGCCGUUGAAGAGCUGCUUGUGGAGGAGGCGCCGUCAAACUUAGGGUCAACAGCCCCCGAGCAGGUAGUCCCCGAGUAGGUAGCCCCCAAGCAGGCUAUUAACCCAUCAGGUGAUGAGGCCACAACUUCUGAGGUGGCGGAUGCUGUGAAGACACCGGAAGUGGCUGCUGGCGCCUCAAUGCCUGAGGAUAUUACCGGUGGUGAGUAUGCGGUAUGUUCUGGUAGUCGUGCGUCCGUAAUCCCAACCUUGAUUCUUUCAGGACUUGGCGAGAAUGUGGAGGACUUUCCUCCCAUGGCCCCUGUGGAGCCAGUACCAAGUAACCAGCCAGUGGUAGUCGAAAAGAGGCGUGUUCGUCUGCCACCGCGAUCAGCCCGGUAAGGACUUGUGUAGUCUUUUCUUUUGAUGAUUUUUGUACUCUGUAGCUGGAUGAUAAUCAUGUGACUUGAUCGAUCUAGGGAUGCAGAAGAUAUUAUUCCCGUCGAGGUGGGGCUAGAGGUUGAGGCUGGUCCGUCGACUACCAUUUCUGGGCCCAUAGUCGACUUGACUAUGGAGGGUGAUGCACCUGAGAUCGAAGACGCAAGUCUCUUGGGUGCUACCAUGAAUAUGCUGCAGGAGGUCAUCCACUCAGUGGAGGGCCCUACAGUCCCCGAGAGUUCUGGAGGUGUGCUGCCUACGACAGCUGAAGUUGCAUCAAGUUGCCAAGAGCACUGGGGUCAGGUACUCGAGCUGCCACCAGAGUCGGAGAUCAAGAGAGCUAUCCAGAGCUUUCAGGUGUGUAUAACCCAUUUUCUUUGACUAAUUAUAUUUUGACAAGCCUUGAUGAUUGUGUUGUGUUGUUGUAGGAUCUGUAUGACAAGGCCUAGAAAAAUACUCGGGCUCUUCAGAAGCAUAGUGGAGCCGCACAACGGGUAGCGCAACUGGAGCAAGAGUGUCGCCGUCUUAUAGAUUCCUUGAAAGUUCAUGAGGAGGCCGCUAAAUCUUUUGCAAUUGAAAGGAAUGAUCAUGAAGUCCUUCAGGAGCGGUUGGAGAAUCACUAUAGAUCUUUGAACCAGAGAUAUCACGGUGAGUACUCAUAGUUGUUGAGUAUGUUCAAUCGUAGUCGUGGAUUCUUCUCUGAUUUGUGUGUUGCUUGACGUAGAGCUCAAAGGCAAGGAGGCCGCUGCGAGUAUCCAACUACUUGACUAGAGGAAUGCUCAUGACCGGGUAGCCGAUGAGGCUGUCCGCCUUAGGGCAUCACUGGCUGAAACUCAGGCAGCCUAUGAUCGCGAGAGGGGUAGAAAGGAUCGGAUGGGAGUGAUGCUGGUGUUGGCUAUGGUGUCCUGUAGAGGUCAUGCUAGAACUGUGGAGAGGCUAGAAAGUGAUCUCCAAGAGUUGACUAGUGCUGCUCACGACACAAUCAACGCCAUUGCUCCACCCGAAGAUGAUGUUGAGCCUCACUCUCUAGUCGAGAGACUAAGAGCUGCCCCGGGUGGAGUUGCUGGACCGUGUAAGAUUGUCUGCAAGCAAGUCCUUGUAGUGGUCAAGUCGUAUUACCCGAGCACAAACUUGUCAGCGGCUGGAUACGGAAUUGCCCGAAACUGCACAGAGGAUGCCUAUGUGAAAUAUCUUGAGUAGGCUGAGCCCAUUCCAGCAAGGAUGAUCGAGUUCAUAUCUUUGGAAGAAACCUAGUCAUUUGGACUCGUGUUGUAUUUUUUGCCGAACACUUGUGGCUAUACUCGAACUCAGUCAUGUAAAUCUUGCUUUGAGAAAUUUAAAUUAUGAUAUGAUGAUCUAUGUUGCUUGACCUCGUAGUCAGGAAAACAAAUCCGAGUAACCAAGUAGUCGUAGUAUCCGGUGUGGUCUUCAAUUAUUUGAGUUGUUGGUGAGAGUACUGUAGCAAUUAUUGCUUUGUACUUGAGAGGGUGCAUGGGUACGCUAUUCACCUUUGUCUGUUAUGCUCAGUGUGGUCACAUGCGUGGAGUUAAGCUGUCUGUCUAACCCUUGUCUGUGUCUCGUGCUCAAGCGGGCAGUAAUUGCGAGUAGUUGGUAGUUGCAGCCCUUCGGCUAUAAAUGAGCCCCUGGGUACUCGACCAAGGUCAUGCCCUUCAGUAUAGCGAUGGCUUGCUUCAGGUUACUGUUGUUUGAUAGUAGAGAGCUUCCAAUGAGCACCUCGGUGCUAAAAGAUUCCUCGUAGAUUAGAGCCACCUUCCCUCCAUAGACUCUGACGCUCAUAGGGAUAACCGUGAUGCUAGAAGAAUCCUCGAAGGAGGGUUUGCAGCGUGCCUCAUCUAGUAACUCGCGAUCUAGUUCAGUCCACGCUGGAACUUGUGGGUGAAGGAUCAUGAGCUCCGCGAUCUUUAUCCAACUCCCUGAUUAGAGGUGGAGGUGUGGCGUGUGGUAAGGACCUGUGCGCUAAAACUGUCUAGGGAGCAGCUUCGGGGAGUGUACUUCAUCUUCCUGGUGCUUUUCUUCUUGAUCCUGCGUCGGCUAUUCAUCCUGUCACCGUCGAGGGAGCGGCGGUGAAGGAGUACCUAGCUUCCGGUUGUCACAGGGAGGGAUCAUGGUACAACUACCUAUUGCGCAGCUUCCUUGUGUGCAGGUCCUGCCUUUUGACACUGCUUGCACCUUGGUAGUCGGGUAGUUGCCAAGCUCGUGUAUCCUUGUGAUAUAGUAAAAGUCUGGGACUUCUGUUCUAACUGCCAGUAGUUGCUUGUAGUCGUUGUUGUGCUAUUGUGUUAUAUUUUGUAUACCCUAACUUCAUUGCGUAGUUGAUUGUAAUCCUGCGGAGUUUCGUUAAUGCAAAAAAUGCAAAUAUGAAGUGAGUUUGAGUACUCCUUGACUGAUGGUUGCGGCAGUCUUGUGCCUUUUGAAGAAUGAAUGACUAGCAUCGUAGCCGUGGCUUGUUAUCGUAGAGCAUUGUGGACCAGUAAGUGGAAUGACUUGAGUCGUGGCUUUGUGAAGCCGCUUAGUCUUGUAGAGACGAGUUGGCGAGAGAGUAUUGAAACUUGUAGAGUUGAAGAGCUUGAGUGGUUGUGAAUAGCCGCCGAGUUGUGAUAACUCGAAGAGACUUGAUGCAAACAAGUCGAGGCUGGAGCGCUGGGGCUCAUAGAGUCGGAGCUCGAGUGGCUGUGAAUAGCUGACGAGUAGCUUGUUCUGGUAUAGAAGGCUUGUGAAGCUCGUGUACAAAACUGCCUACUGAAACUUCUGCACGAGUUGAGCCCCUUUUUGAUAACACAUCAGCGGCUACAUUGUUGUCGCGGAGGACAUGGGGAAACUCAAGGCCUGAGAACUUCUUCUCUAGCUUGCGGACUUCCUUGCAGUAGGCAUCCAUGUUUUCCUUAUUGCGAUCUCACUCAUCAUUGAUUUGGUUAAUGACGACUAGCGAGUCACCAUAUACUAGGAGUCGUUUGAUACCGAGUGAUAUUGCGAGACGAAGGCCAUGUAAAAGUGCUUCGUACUCGGCUUCAAUGUUUGAGACUUCCCAAAAAAUCUGGAGAAUGUAUUUGAGUUUUUCACCUUUUGGAGAAAUCAAGAGUACUCCUGGGCCAGCGCCCUCAAGCUUGAGGUAAUUGUCAAAGUACAUAACCCAAUGCUCGGGCCUUUCCAUUGAUGUUGGUACUUGGUUUUCCAUCCACUCCGCCAAGAAGUCGACCAGAGCUUGGGAUUUGAUAGCUGUUCUUGGUUUGAAGUCUAGAGAUAGUGAGGACCAAUGGUGGUCACCCUUGGAUGAUGAGUGAUUGACAACGUUGUGUUGGUUUGAUGUUGCUCUUGGCUUGUGAUGUGCAGGUGUUGGAUGCGGUGUGGCGGCCGACAACAAGCGGUGAAGGUCAAGAGAAAGGUUCAUGUUGAUGGACCAAGGGCGAUGAAGGAUGAACGCGAGUAGGCUUGGACCGAUGGACCCGAGGAGUUCGGGCAGAGUCAUGAGCGGUCCAUAUGGUGCACGAAACGGCAAGAGAACAUGACGGUGAUGGAGAUGGCAUCGGUCGAGUCAAGUGGAAUGGAGGCAAGUCAAGUAGGUGGCCCGGGAGCUGGGAGCAAAAGACUUGGAGGAGUCAAAGGCUUGGCGGAGAUCAGACACGCGUCAACAACGAGGAGGUCACAUGGCGGCCAAGCGAAGAUGAACAGUUUGGAUGGUUUGGGCCUCAAAACCGUCGUACAGGCAGGUUUGCCAGUUUGGGCCUCAAAACUGUGGGCGAGCCUGGUGCCCAGAGCUUCGAGAAGGAGGGCACAUGGCAUCAUCGUGAAGCUUGCGUCGAGGCAAACUAAAGUCAUGAAGGUGGCAUGUCCGUUCGAUGAGCGCAAAAAACUUGGACCAUAAUACCCCUGCGUGGGUAGUUCUCUUAGUAGUAUCUAUAGGGGUGGUUUAGUAACAAAUUCGAGACUAUAAAUAGGGAUGGGUGCUGGUUGUUUCAGCACCUCUCUAAGCACUUCAUCUAUCUAGGGUUUUAGUAGUUCAUUAGCCUAGUCUCUCUCUCUCUAGUUUAUCUCUCUAGAGGUCCUCAGAUGUUUUGAGCACAGAAUUCAUGUAAUGAACCGAAUUUUUGUUGCGGGAAUAGAGGCCCUAACCUCCUCGUGUCCUCCGAGUGUUGGGAGAUGAUGGUUUUGUGAAAAUCUCGCUUGUGUUCUUCGUGUUCGUGUUUUCUCCCAUUUUUCUUCUAUCACAUUUUUGUUCGAUUUGUGAUUUUUGAGGAGUCUUGACUCAAACUGAUCAUUUGAAAAUGAACUAGGACAUGAGUAAAGUCCUUCUACCAAAGGAAGUCAUCUAAUUCCUCAGGAGCUCAUAGAUCAUGGCAAUUCAAGUUUCGAGGCAGAAAUGAGCGGCGUUCUUCACAAGAUUUGGAUUUUCCAUUGAUUGACAAAUAUUUGGGGGUUGAUCUUUUAGGAGUACCUUCUCUAUGUUGUUGUGAUUCUAUGGUUAAAAUUUGGUGGCAUUUGGACUUGAUUUGAUUGAGUUAUGGCCAAAAUGGUGACCGUACAUUUGUUUUCACACAAUUCAACAUGUUCUGAAGUGUAGGGCUGGACCGUCCGCCAUUUUAGGCCUGACCGUCCACCCCCAGGAAGCACACCGUUUGCCUAGAGCUCGCAGAUUUGGCCUGGCUUGAGCUAAUUCUCGUCCGUUAAGUGAAUUUUGUUGAAAGUUUCACUCAGAUUGUUUCUUGAGGGUCUUGCUGUGUUUAUUGGUCAUCACCAUAGACACCCAGCCACCCAGUUGGCUAGAGGAUCUCUCAUCUUCCACUUGCUUUGGUUUUGGGGCUUUGAAUUUGGGACAGAGGCCUAAGAUUUCGAAAGAAAUUUUUGAAGCUCCCAUUCACCCUGUUGGAGGUAUGCCCUAGAGGCAAUCAUAGAGAUGAUGAUAGCUGAUUGUAUCCAUGAUUUGUAUAAUGUGUUCAUUGAAUACCCAUUAAAGGCUACUUAAAUUGAUCUGCAAUUAUGUGAAUUGUAUGUGGAACUCUUUACUUGUAUGGUUAUUCUAAAAGUUGUCCCUAGUCGGAGUUCAUGUGUGGACACACAUGAAUAUUAGACUAGUACAUGUAUUAGUUGAUGACUAUAUUUCACAAGUCAUGGACAUGGAGAUGGCAAGAACUUCAACGGCCUUUGCUUCUACUCCAGCAAGAACCGCGACGGGCAAUGUGUCAUGGCCCUCAACACCGACAACAAGAAGGAUGACAAAGAAAGCGACUCCGACACAGAAGCAGAGGUAAAGCCUACUCCAAAACAACUUGGCUUAGAAGUAGAAGAAUUGAAUGAUUGCCUGAUCAAUCAAGAUAAGUUGAUUAAGAAGGCCACUCGUGAACGAGUUGAGCUUAAGGCUAAGUUGGAGAGCGUUUCGAUUGAGAUAGAUAUGCUUAAAUCUGCUCCUACUGUUUUCUGAUGUUGUUGAGUGUGAUGAAUGUGUUGUUCAUAUGGCUAGUCUUGCAUCUUUACAAUCUAAGCAUGCUGUGUUGGUAGAUGAUUUGGAUUUGACUAGGGCUGCUUUAGAUGAGGUCAAGACUAUGUCUAUUUUGCUUGGUGCAUGUAAGUCUUUCCUUGCUUUGCAAGUUCCGUUGGAUGAUGCAUGUGCUAAGCUUAGUGCUUUAGAGAAGUCUAAGUUCAUUGCUAGAUCUAAACUUCCUGAAUGUACUAAUUGUCCUGAACUCAAACUUAAUUUGCAAAAUGCUGAGGAUGCAAACUCUUACUUGCGCACCGUUCUUAGUUGGGUAUCAAGUAGGGAACCUCAGCUAGGUAUAAUGAUUCAGGAGUUCAAAAGGGCUGAUGGUUUUGGGCUUGAGUCUAUUAUGAAGAGUUGUCAUUUUAAAUGGUUGCACAAGUUCUUUGAUGGGUUGUGUGAGAAGGUGGGUCAAAACAGUGGUGAGAGAAAGAAACCAAGCUACAACCAGUGUGAGCCACCAGCUGACUACACCCCUCGAGAGUCACCCACACAAAAUAGAGAGCAACCCAAUCCAACUUGUGAGCAAAACUUGUCUAAGUGUGUUAUCUUAGUAGUAUCUAUAGGGGUAGUUUGGUAACUAAUUCGAGACUAUAAAUAGGGAUGGGGGGCUGGUUGUUUCAGCACCUCUCUAAGCACUUCAUCUAUGAAGGGUUUUAGUAGUUCAUUAGCCUAGUCUCUCUCUCUCUAGUUUAUCUCUCUAGAAGUCCUCGGAUGUUUUAAGCACCGAACUCAUGUAAUGAACUGAGUUUUUGUUGCAGAAAUGGAGGCCCUAACCUCCUCGUGUCCUCCGAGUGUUGCGGGAUGACGGUUUUGUGAAAAUCUCGCUUGUGUUCUUCGCGUUCGUGUUUUCUCCAAUUUUUCUUCUAUCACGUUUUUGUUUGAUUCAUGGUUUCUGUGGAGUCUUGACUCAAACUGAUCAUUUGGAAAUGAACUAGGACGUGAGUGAAGUCCUUCUACCAAAGGAAAUCAUCUAAUUCCUCACGAGUUCAUAGAUCGGGGCGAUUCAAGUUUUGGGGCUGAAAUGAGCAGUGUUCUUCACAAGAUUUAGAUUUCCCAUUGAUUGAAAAAUCUUUUAGGGUUGAUCUUUUAGGAGUAGCUUCUCUUUGUUGUUGUGAUUCCAUGGUUAAAAUUUGGUGGCAUUUGGACUUGACUUGAUCGAGUUAUGGCCAAAAUGGUGACCGCGUGUUUGUUUUCAAGCAGUUCUGCGUGUUCUUAAGUAUAGGGCCGGACCGUCCGCCAUUUUAGGCCGGACCGUCCGCCAUUUUAGGCCGGACCGUCCGCCCCCAGGAAGCAGACCAUCUGCCCAGAGCUCGCAGAUUUGGCCUGGCUUGAGCUAAUUCUCGUCUGUGAAGUGUUUUUCGUUGAAAGUUUCACUCGGAUUGUUUUUUGAGGGUUUCUUGAGGGUCAUCACCAUAGACACCCAGCCACCCAGUUGGCUCGAGGAUCUCUCGUCUUCCGCUUUCUUUGGUUUUGAGGCUUUGAAUUUGGGACAGAGGCAUAAGAUUUUGAAAGAAAUUUUUGAGGCUCCCAUUCACCCCCUCUCUGGUCACCUUUCCGGUCCUUCAGAUAGAGCUCCGAGUUCUACUGCCCACUUGGAGAUUCUUCCUGUUGCAUCCCUGUUAUGAAGGAUUUCACCGAGCGGGAAUUCAGUGAUGACGGAUAUGCUAUGUUCUUGAAAGUAUUGUUGUAGUUUUCAUGAAGUAAGCAAGAUUGCGUAGAGUAGCUUCUGCACUAGUGGGUACUGAGUUUUGGAGUCCGAGAGUACUUUACUAACGAAGUAGACGGGUCUCUGGACUUUGUAGGCGUUGCCUAGUUUAGACCUUUCGACUACUAUUGCUGUGCUGACAACAUGAGUAGCAGCAGCUAUGUAUAGGAGCAAGUCCUCGUUUGGAGAUGGAGCUGUGAGGAUUGGUGGUUUUGAUAGGAAGUCCCUGAGCUGUGUCAAGGCUCUGUCUGCCUCCUCUGUCCAUUCAAACUUGUCUUGCCAUUUGAGUAACUUGAAGAAGGGUAAUCCACGUUCUCCAAGUCUUGAGAUGAAUCGAUUGAGGGCUGCCAUGCAGCCUAUAAGCUUCUGCACAUCCUUGAUGCCAGCUGGAGCUUGCAUAUUUGUGAUGGCAGAGAUUUUCUCCGGGUUGGCCUCAAUGCCACAGUGGCUAAUGAUGAAUCCGAGUAAUUUUCCUGAGGGUACACCGAAAACGCAUUUCAUAGGGUUGAGUUUCCACCGAAAUGCUCAUAGGCUUGCGAAUGUUUCUUCUAAGUUGGUGACUAGAUCAUCUGGAUUUCUUGUUUUAACGACCACGUCAUCUACAUAAGCUUCUAUGUUGCGGUGUAGUUGUUUCUCGAAACACAUCUGUAUGGCACGUUGAUAGGUCGCACCAGCAUUUUUUAGCCUGAAAGACAUUGUUUUGUAGCAAAAUGCUCCAAACGGGGUGAUGAAAGCUGUUUUGGCUUGAUCUUCUUCUUUGAGGGCUAUUUCAUGGUAGCCUGAGUAGCAGUCGAGAAAGGAGAGCAAUGCACACCCAGCUAUGGAGUCGACUACUUGGUCGAUCCUGGGUAGUCCAAAGGGGUCCUUUGGGCAAUGCUUGUUCAGGUCUGUGUAGUCGACGCACAUCCUCCACUCAGUGUUCUUCUUGCGAACGAGUAUAGGGUUGGCUAACCAAUCGGGGUGGAAAACUUCUUUGAUAAACCCUACUGCGAGUAGUUUGACCAGCUUUUUUUUAUUGCAUCUCUUCUGUUGGGCGAACCUUCGUAGUCAUUGUCUUUUUGGGGUAGCUUUGGGAUUGACGUUUAAUGAAUGCUCGAUCAGCUCCUUGAGACAUCAAGCAUGUCAGCGGGCUUCCAAGUGAAGAUGCCGUGGUUAGCCCGAAGGAAACUGAUGAGCUCCCUUUCCUAUUUAGGGUCUAGCCCUGUUCCAAUCAGGGCUGUCUUGGAUGAGUCACCAGUCUGGAGAUCGAUGGGUUUGAAGUCCUUCUCCCUUGCUAGUUUCACCUUAGUUGAUCCCGACUUAUUUUCUAGGAUCUCGAGUUCUGUGGGGUUGAGCUUCUUUGAUGUUGUGAAGACUUGUUGCAUGAGAUUCGGUGCUUAAGAAGUCGCUGCGAUUUCGACAGCUUCCGUGUCGCACUCGUACGAUCGCCUCAAGUCUCCACAUAGUGUUAACUCACCCUUAGGUCCUGGCGUCUUGAGUACCAGGUAGACGUAGUGUGGUAUAGCCAUAAAUUUGGCCAGGGCUGGUCUUCCGAGUAUGGCAUGGUAAGAAAUUUUGAAGUCGGCAACCUCAAACCUGAUGUACUCGGUUCGGUAAUGUUCCUCGGUGUCGAAAGUGACUGGUAGGACAACUUGUCUUAAAGGUAUAGCAGCAUUGCCUGGGACAAUUCCAUAAAAUGGUGAGUCCGUUGGAGUAAGCAUGUCUAUGACGUCGAGGCACAUUUUCCUUAGUGUGUUAAUGACGUUGAGUCCGCUUCUGCCAUCGAUGACUACUUUGGUAAGUCUUGAGCCUGCGACGACAGGAUCGAGUACCACAGGGAAUCGGCCUGGUUCUGAGAAACUUGUCCAUUGGUUCGUUCUGCUGAAAGUUAUGGGUACCUCAGACCAUUUGAGUGGUUUAGGAGCUGCUAGCUCAAUAGCCAUAAUCUCUCUAAGUACUAGCUUAUUGGACCGCUUGGACGCAGUACCCGAAAGUCCACCAAAAAUGAUGUUGACCGUUUUAAAGGCAGUUCGGAACUCGCCUUCGCCUUCAUCAGCUUCGUUGACCUUGCCUUUACCUUUGUCCUUCUUCUGACUGAUUUCUUCGAGAGGGGGUCGUGCGGGUAAUUCUUGCAUUACUCGGCGCAUGCUAUAGCAAUCGAUCGCCGAGUGUUUGUUGUUUGGAUGACAUGGGCAUUGCUUCUUGAGUAACUCGGUGAAGGAGGGCCCAUCGUUGUGUUUGUGUGACCCUUUCUUGCCUGAGUUGGACAUAGCUACGACAGUGUUGUCCGGUUUGUGUUUGCGGUUCUGAUUACCCAAGUAGUUGUUUCGAGUAUCAUUGUUGCGUUUUCAGUCUUGUUCAUGAUUGUUAUUGUUGUCAAGACCGCGGUUGUGAUGAGAGCCGAAUCUCUCACGCUCUUUGUCUUCUUCAUCUGUCUAUUGUUGCACAAUGAUUUUGAGAUCUUUGACGAUGGCUGGACGACCUCUGCCAAACUCUUGGUAUGUUCGACGAUCAUAGAGGCCAUUUUGAAAGCACUCGAUGACGUCUGCUUCUGAAAUGUCGACUAUUGUAGCCUUUUUUCAAAGAAACGGUGCAGGUAGUCACGAAGUGUCUUGCCUUCUUUCUGUUUGACUUGACUUAGGUCAAUUUUGUUGCCUGGGCGAGACAUGGAGCCCGUGUAAUUAUUAGUGAAAGCCUUCAUCAAGUUUUUCCCAGGAAUCGAUCGACUUGGGCUUGAGUGACUCGAGCCAUGUUAAUGGCGCAGGUUCCAUGCAUAUGGGGAAGUGAAUGACCUUUGUAUCAUCAUUACCCCCAGCUGCUUGAACUGCUAGUAAGUAGCAUCGUAGCCAUUGGACUGGAUCUUGCUUACCAUCGUACUUGGUGAUCCCCGUCGACUUGAACUUCUCGGGUAGUUUAGUUUUCAUUACCCGUGUGGUGAAGGCGGGGAAGUGAUCAUAGUCAUUGGUUUUGCAUUCGCGUUCAUGGCGACGGUUGUUAUCUUAGGUCGCUUAAGAUUGAGGCUUCGCGAUCGGCUCUACGGUGGCGAGGGCUCUUUGCAGAAUUGGUGCAGCUAGCCUCCCUUGUGUCCUUGUUUCGCCUUGGGGCCUUGCGUUCAUCUCUAUUUUGCCUUUGGCUAUGUUGCCUCCGCUGGUUGACUACUUCGUUACUGUUUCUUGGAGCCUCGCGAUUGCCACCAUAGACUGCAACAUCUCUGCUGCCAUCCUGGUGGGCCAAGUUGCGAGGGAUAGAUGGGAUUGGCGAUUCCUUGUUGAGUAGUUUGUAAGCUUGUUCUGUGAGUUGAGCUAUUAACUGGAUGGCCCUUUCCAUGAGUUGUGCUGUUAACUCAUUGUCUCUAUUAUGAGGUAUAAGAGUUGAUAUGAGAUUGAUCGAGGCAAUUGCUGCGAGUGGAGUGUUGUGUUCUCUAGCUUGCACUGCAUCGAAUGCUCUUUCAAGAUUCACGAUAGAAAUGUUUGUAGCUAGUAGCCGGCGAUGAUAUGCUCGGGCAGCAUUGCGUUCCCUUCUUUGAUUUCUUUGUUCAGAGGUUUCAUCUUGCGGAGCGUUAGCUGACGAUUCGUCUUGUGAAACGUCGUCGAGUUGUGCAACCCGUCGAGGAGUUUUUUUUGUGGCUAGCACCCACGUCGUUAUUUGGUGACGUGAUGACGAAGAUUUCUCUGUCCGGGUAGUAGCCUCCAGAGCUUGAUGUUGCAAUCUCCGUAGUGCUUCCUUCUUCGCGGGCUGAAGUAAGCGGGAUACCUUCUUGAUACGGGAGGUUGUCUAUGUGAGCGACAAGGUGCGACUCGUAAUCUUAGGCAAGGAACGAUGGCUUCAUCCUAGGGCAAUAAACUAAUCUACCUUGCGGAGUCAAAAUAAUUACCAAGCCUUCAGCUGGUCCUGACAAAGGGAUCUCUUGGAUGGAGUCUGAAUCGAAGUCGUAGUCCUUAGCUGACUCUAGUCCGGAUUGGACUCGAGUAAGGAAUUCUUGGUUGACCACGGCUAUGUUGUGGAGUUCGUGCGGGAGUCGACUUCGAGCUAGAGUCGACUUGCAGGAUGACUUGACGUCAGCAUGUGCGGGCUAGUCCAAAUCGAGGUCGAGUCCAAGCCGUAGUCGAACUCAAUGUUGUUGGCGUUGAAAUUUUGGAUUUUCUCGAUGAGAUUCUCUAUUUCUUGAUGAAGAAAGUUUUCGUCGAGAUGCUUCUUUUCCUGGCUGUCGAUGAUGCAGCGUUGAAAGGAUCCAGCGCCAUCAGCGAUGCAAAGCCAAGAGCCGAAGAUGAAGGUCGCGCCGCCUCAAAGGAGGAAGCAGGCUUAAUGACUACUGGUGCCAUCGAUCUCGCGUGGAGAAACUCAGCGACUUCCCCUACCUGACGUGCCAGCUGUUGGUGUUUUCGACCGGCAACCUGCCUAGGGAGUAUCCAAGGUUGUCUUUUGUGCGGUAGGUGUCGUCAAGAAUCAAGGAAUCGAUGGUGACGCAAGGAACACAAUUUAGACAGGUUCGGGCCGCUAGAUCGCGUAAUACCCUACAUCCUGUGUGUUAGAUGUAUUGAUCUUGUUCUUCAUCGUCUGGACGGGGUCCCUGCCCGCCCUUAUAUAGUCGGGGGAGCAGGGUUACAGGGCAGGAGUCCUAGUCGAGUACAUUACAGAGUCCUACUCUAACUUGGUAGAGUAGUUUCCUUUGGAUCCGACUAGUCUUUGGGAAGUUUAUGAAGCCUACGCGCCUUGCAGAGUAGUCUUUAUGUCUGAGUAGGUUUCGGGUACGUUCCCUUGAGUUGGUCCACACAAGUCUUGUUGUGGACCCAGGGUGCCUAGCCGACAUUAACCCCUUUCAUAUGCCCAAAGUCCAAUUCUCCUCCCUAAUGUAGAGAGAAGGAUGUUUUUGCUCCAUUUUUUUAAAAAAAAUGGUUUGUUUUACCCUUGUGCUAGAGAGGCACGAACCGGGCAGCCACAAAAGCAAGGGCAUUGGCCUAAGAGCAUCUCCAUUAGUCUCCUAAUAAAUAUUUCCCAAUAACUAGUUAAUGGGAAUGUCCCCAUAUCCAUUUCAUUGUUAUUGGGAGAGUUACUUUUGUAGUCUCCCAAUAAUCUCAUCCCAAUCCUACUAUCGUAUUGGGAGUCACAACUCCUCCUUUAUUUAGGGAGAGAUGGGGUGAAUUAUUGGAUUGUUCCAAUAAUUAUUGGGAAAAGGGAAAUGUAAAGGGAGUCUGUUGGACUACUAUUUUUUUACCAACUCUCCCAAUACAGCAGUUGGAUUGGAAAUUUUGGGGAACUACUGGAGAUGCUCUAACAUGUGAAAUGAUUUUGGAGAUCCAUAUCGCAUAAUAUAUGUCAAAAAUUUUCAAUUUUAAUUUAAAAUUUUGUAGGUGGACAUCAUAAUGUAUGUCAAAAAAAUAUUUUAUGAUUUUUUCAUCAUUAUUUCUCAUAUAAUUUGGUAUGGAAAACAUUAAUUUCUUAUUAAGUGUGAUACUAAACCAAAAUUCAUGAUAUAUUUUUCUGACAUGUGUUAUGAAUUGUGAUGUCUACUAGCAUCUCGCAAAAUUUUAAUUUAAAACUAUGGAGAAAAAAAGUCAAAUUAGAUUAGGGGGUAAAUUGAACCAAAUUGUGUAGUUCAUGGGGUAAACUGAACCAAUACAUAGUUUAGGAGGUUUUCCGAACUUUGCGAGGGGAAGAAUUUAAACUUUUUUUUGGGGGGUAGGGGGGAGGGGGUUUGUUUCAGCGUCAAGCAGCGGAGGUUAGAAGUGCCGCCGCUAGCUUUACUUUUUUAACGGAAAAAAUUCGAAUUACUACCCUUCGGAUAAUCCCUAAAGUACGUUUUUGUCUAAUUUACCCUCUAAAUUAUGUUAUUUGGCCAAUUUACCCCAACGCAAUUUGUCUUUUUUUCUCCAUAUACAAGUUCAAUUUUAAUUUAAAAUUUGGAAGGAUGGUAGUAGACAUCAUAAUGUAUAUCGAAAAAAUAUUUUACGAUUUUUUCAUCAUUAUUUCCCAUAUAAUUUGGUAUGUCGAGAAUUAAUUUAUUAAGUGUUAUUCUCAACCAAAAUCCAUAAUAUAUUUUUUUGACGUGUGUUAGGAAUUAUGAUGUCUACUAGCAUCUCGAAAAAUUUUAACUUAAGACUCUACUUGUCUAUGGAGAAAAAAAACAAGUUAGAUUAGGUGUAAAUUGAAUGAAAUUGUGUAGUUCAUAGGGUAAACUAAACCAUAGUUUAGAAGGUUAUCCAAACUUUGCCUAUACUUGAGGGAGUAAUUUGAACUUUUUUUCUAUUUUUAACCAACCGCGGGCGUUUUUUGUUUUUUGAAAACCAGUUACCAACGUUGGUGAAGAAGCACUGAUCUCCAAAAUCUAUUAGCUACCCCACACCUUGAUGACCAGGCCAAUGAUGAAUGGACAAAUAUUUGGUCCUCACCGAAUUUCACUUCUAGGCAAGCCUAUAAGCAUAUCUAUGGCACUCUACCAGCCUCUCCUCUUUUCAAAUGGAUGUGAAAAUCAAGGGUUCAAAACAAGCACAAGUUCUUCUUUAGGUUGUUUCUCAGAGACCAGCUGAACACAAGAAAUCUCCUUAGGAGAAAGCAUAUGCACCUUGAUUCCUAUAAUUGUGUUCUAUGCAUUGCAUAAGAGGAGGAAUCCAUCACAGAGUUGUCCUUCUCCUGUCCAAGCCUGCUAGAUUUUAUCUAGGCAUUGAAUGGGACACCAAUCUACCUACUCUGGACAUGGUCAUUCAAGCUAGGGAAAGAUUUGGAUCAAGCAUCUUCAGGGAAAUAGUUAUAGUGGCGGCCUGGUGUAUAUGGUGUCAUCAAAACACAAGCUAAAAACACUCGGCAAAGAAAAAAUACUCGGCAAAGCCCAAAAAACACUCGGCAAACCCCCCCCCCCCCUCUUUGCCGAGUGUUUUUUUACACUCGGCAAAAAAAUAAUUUUUUUCCUCUUUUCACCUUGAAAAUUUUUUCUACUCCCCACAUACAACAUGUGGUACUCCAUGCUAAAAUUUGGUAUAUUUUUGGAUUUAUUUGUUAUAUUUAUUUAAAUAAUUGCAUUUCAAGGAAAAUUUUGGUAUAAGUCAAAUUUGAACUGCAAGUGAUUCAAAUUAUAGAAUAAAAUGAGUAGAAAAAUAAUAUUCACGUUAUUUAGCCAAAUUUGAGACAUGACCUAUGAAAUGAAAAGAAAUUUCGAACAUUUUGUUCACGAAACACAACCACGAACGUGUGGUCGAAUGAUUUUUAAAUUAUAAAAACAGCAAGCGAAGUUUGAAAAUCAUGAGAUUUGUCAUGAUGUGAUGAUAUCAUAUGUGGAGGCUGUGGAAAAAAAUUGAGAAGGUUUCGCACAUUUCGUCACAUACGAUGUUUACAAACCGAAGCGUCUCAGAAGAAGAAUAGUAGCGUUGAGAAGGAUUCGAUAAGAAUUGGAGUUAGAGUGACGGUCGAGUUUUGUUUUGACUACAAAACUUUUUGUAUAGGUAGUACAAAACAUAUAAUGUUUCAUGUGCAAUUUUUGUAAUUUUUUGGAACCGUUAGAUAAUUUUAAUGUAUUAAGUGCAAUUAUAGAAUUUUAAUUGAUAUAAAUUGAACUCGAACUAUAACCGCAUAAAAUAAUGAAAUAAUAUGAAUAGAACAAUAAAAUAUAUAUUGUUGAGUGAAUUUAACCUACAACCAUAUAAUAUAAUCAUAUAAUAUGAGUACAAACUGUUAUGGAGAAGAAGGAAAAAUGAAAAAACAAUCUUUGUCGAGUGCCUAGAUAUAGGACACUCAGCAAAGAAAAAAAAUCCCGUAUAACUUUCCUUCCCCCUCCCUCAGCACGCUACCUCCCCGGCCUCCCUCAGCACGCCCCCUCCCCUCCCUCCCGAACCUCCUCGCCUCCCUUAAUGCACCCCCUCGCCUCCCUCAUGAGCCUCUCCCUCACCGGCAGUGCCCUGCCCCUCCCCUCCCUCACCGACAGCGCUGCCCACCUCCCCUCCCUCUCCAUCUCCGCCUGCCGCCCACCCCCUCCCCGGAUCCGCCCCCCCCCCACCCCCUCCCCUCCGCGCGGCUGGCCCCUCCUCCCUCUCCGACCGCCGCCCCGGCCCCUCCUCUCCCUUUCUCCGGCCACCGCCCCACACAUCUUCUCUGGAUCCGGCCGCCGCACAGCCCCUCCUCCCUGUAUUCGGCGGGGACUCACUGGGUGGGCGCGGACUUCGUGGUGGUGGUGCCGGAUCGCUCCCCUCCCUCUCCAGGCAACUCCCUCCACUCCUCCGCUCUUCCCCUCUCUCGCGCGGCGGCCCCUCUCCGGCGGCGUCUCCGGCUGCCACCCUGCCCCUCUCCCCAGAUCCAGUCAGAUCCGGCCGCCGUCCCACCCAUCUCCCCGGAUCCGGGGGGGGACUCCACCCCUCCACCCAAGAUCUAGCUCCCCGACCUGCGACGAUGCCGGUCAUGGAGCAAGGACUGGGGCGAGCUUGCUCGUGCGGCGGUCGAUGUCGAGGCCAGGGUGAUGAGGACAUCACCUAUUCGGAUACAACCACAUUAGUAAAUUUUGAUUCACAGGUGAAAUAAUUCUUUACCAUUAUUGUAUUUGAUACAUUUGAUGAAUUGAUGUUGCACUAUGAUGUGUGUUCGUUGUCCAUUUCAGAAAUACAUACAUGGAUCACAAAUAGUGUUAAACACACAUGGAAAGUGUUAAACACACAUGGAAGGUAUGGAGGACCAAAGAAGUAGAUUGGGGCCAAGUCCAAGUAUUCACAACAUCCUCCACCAGGCCACCACGUCACUUUUGGCCCAAGAAAAGAAAGAGAUCCAAUCCAACACGUUUUGGGGCUGGAUUCGGACUGCAACUCUGUGCCAACUUGCAACAGCUGCCACGACCACAUCCGGACUCCGUUUUGAGCGUUCAAUUACUCCUUGAAAUCCUUAUGAAGUCUAUUUUCCUAUGGAUCUGAACUCAUGUCUACAUCUUAUUUGAGGCGGCUGCAAUCAUCGAAAUACUACCGAGAGGUUUUCUGUCCAAAGGUGUUGCGUCACCUUAUUUUGGCCCAAUGGGCCGUGUAUCAAGUUGGGUCCAUUAGGGACAUGUCCUAGGGUUGAAGCACGACCCCAACACCCCCCGGUCGUGUUCCUAGGUAUUAAUAAGGGUUAGAGCCGCCACAAACAGAUUGGGUUUUGUUUUGUUGAAAGUUUAGCUAUUGCUACUUCCUUGUAGAUGCGUGUGUCGACUAGACCAUCUGUUCUACUCGAUUCAGAACCCCAACUUUGUGAGUUCAGAUUUGUUUCCAUCUCUACAUUUGCAAUUGAGUUGCUUGUUAUACUUGUUCUUGCUUGUUCCUCGAUUGCUUGCAGGAAUUACCCUAGUGGUUUUGUUGAUCGUGCACCAGAAGAUCGCGGCGACCAUUGGAGGUGGUGUAUCGGUUGCUAAGGCGCAGCUUGGAAGGCUGUAGUCGGGCCGUGAACGUCGUCUCCAUCGACCAAUCGAGUUAUCCCACACCUCUCAUCGGAAGAUGGGAAUCAACCCUAGCGGGUUCAUAUCAUAUGGUAUUAGAGCAAGGUUUAUCGGUGAGAGAUUUCCAAUCCUUCGCUGUUUUACUUUCCUAUAGUCCAGAAAAAGCCAAAAAAAAAUAGUAGAUUUGUUGACUCGCAAUCUUAUAAACCCUUUGAGCCUUUGCUAGCACUGCUUAGUUAGGGCUUGUUGAGUUUUUGGUGGCAUCGGUUGUGUUGAGUUACUGGUCUUAGUUUUAGUCCUUUAGAGUUUCGAGUUCUUAUCACGUUCUAGUCACAGCUGUGUGCUACCAUAUAAAACCUUUUGUUAGCUGAAUCUGAAUACAUAUUUGUGCUCAAGUCCGAGUAGGAUUCCGAGUUUGUUUAAGACCGAAUCCCACGUGGUGCUGAGUUCGAGUUGGAAUCGGUUUGGAGUCCGAAUUGACAGCUGCCUUGUUGCUGUCUUGAGUCUAAAUCUGAUUUCUAUCCUUUCGGAAAAAGUUUGUGUAGUAUGUGACUCUUGUGAAGUCCUUUUGUUCAUAUAAUCAGAUUUGAGGAUCCCCUGAAAAAAAGAAGAAAAACAACAGAACAAAAAAGAAGAAAAGAAAGACAAAAAAACAGGAAGAAAAGGAGCUGUUCGUUGUGCUUCCCUAUUGUUUUCCGAUGGUGUGAUGUGACUUUCUUUGUGUCCAGGCUCGCGUCUCUACCACGGUCUAGGCUAGGACCAGCACAGUACCACCGUUGAACUAUUAUUCAGCUUGCUUUUGUGACUAACGUGGUGCUAGUAUAUUUCCUUGCUUAAGCCCACCUACAGCUCCACAUAUUCGACUACAGCUCAAUAGGUUUUUGUUGCUGCGGCACCGAUACACUUCGCUCCAUGGUUGUAGACUUGUUGGUUGCCGUCACCUCCUGUUUGGCUUGGUAAGAACUUGUAAGGGCUUGUUUUAGAAAGAUGAGUUUGAGAGAAAUUACAAUCAAGAAAUCCUAGUAGUUGACAUGAGGAUAAAUACAUAUUGUUUUGUGUUUCUUGUUUUCUACUAAUCAUGGCAGGUGAUACGGAGAUUUUUGAGCCAUUGAAACUAGACCCUCAUAUUCAGGAUGUCAUUCAACACUUUCCGUUAUAUGAUGGUAAGUUUGAUCUUGAAGCUUAUAUUGGGAGUUAAAAGUAGAGAAUGAAUUUGAUGAGCAUGACCUAUCUGAGAAACAAAAGAUUUAUAUUGCCUCUAAUAUUUUGACUAAAUUUGUCUUGCUACAAUGGAAACACAUUUGUAGGUGUAACAAAGUUCUAGAAUCUUGGAAAAACUUCAAAUGUCUUUUUAGAGAUGCAUUCAUUCCUGAAUAUUAUGCUAAUUAUUUGCUUGCAAAAUUAGACAACUUGAGGCAAGGUAGUAGGACUGUGAAAGAAUACUUCUAUAAUUUUAAAAUUUGUAUCAUGUUUGGUGGAUUAGAUGAGUGCAUGGAAGAUGUUAUGAGUAGGUUCAUGAGAGGGCUCAAUUCUGAAAUUCAAACCUUGUUAAUUAACAAUUCUCAUAGCCAUAUUGGUCAAUUGUUUUGUCUUGCUCUCAAUGUUGAAAAGGAGAUUCUAUUAUCUGUGAAUACUUGCAAGAAUGAUGUGACCCAUUAUAUCCAAAAUUUGUUCACUCUCCAUGCUAAUGAAGAGCAACAAAUAGUGGAACCCAUUGCUGAUUUUCCUUUGUCACAAAAUGAAUUACUUGCUUUUCCUUAUAAUAAAGAGGACUUAUGUGCUGAUGAUUCUUUUACUCCUAUACCACAAGUAGCAAAUAAGUGUGAUACUUUUAGUUUGGAACCAUACAAAUGUGCUGAAGAUAAACUUUUUCAUCCUAUUACUUGUGCACAAGAUGAACUGAAUUUGCUAUUCUCUUUAAAUACUUUGGGUUAUAUUGAAUUUGAUGUUCUAUGUAAUCUAAGUUGUCUAAAAGAGAAACUUAAAUUUGAUUCUGGUUUGCCAAGCUUUAAUCAUUGUUCUCUUCAUCCAAUUGGCAAAUACGACAGCAAAGGAGAAUACUUGGUGCAUAAAGUUUAUAUUUGCUCUAAUCUGAAAUAUCCUUUUGGACAAAUAUACCAUGAUCAAAUAGAGGGCUGCACUAACACUAAUAAUGUCUUGCAAAGUUUUUCUAGUUUUUCCCAUAUGCAACAGGGUAAGACCAAAGAAGGGGAGCAUUACCGAUUGUGGCCAUGGAGCAUGGUCGUCACUCCGUGCUCCAACAUCAAAGCAAGCACCUUAGAAUGCCAUUGGAGCAAGUCGAGGACGACUUGCAGCCAAGAAGGGGAGAAUGAUGAGGACAUCACCUGUUCGGAUACAACCACAUUAGUAAAUUUUGAUUCACAGGUGAAACAAUUCUUUACCAUGAUUGUAUUUGAUACAUUUGAUGAAUUGAUGUUGCACUAUGAUGUGUGUUCGUUGUCCAUUUCAGAAAUACAUACAUGGAUCACAAAUAGUAUUAAACACACAUGGAAGGUAUGGAGGACCAAAGAAGUAGAUUGGGGGCCAAGUCCAAGUAUUCCCAAAAUCCUCCACCAGGCCACCACGUCACUUUUGGCCUAAGGAAAAAAAGACAUCCAAUCCAACACGUUUUGGGGCUGGAUUCGGACUGCAACUCUGUGCCAACUUGCAACAGCUGCCACGACCACAUCCGGACUCCGUUUUGAGCGUUCAAUUACUCCUUGAAAUCCUUAUGAAGUCUAUUUUCAUAUGGAUCUGAACUCAUGUCUACAUCUUAUUUGAGGCGGCUGCAAUCAUCGAAAUACUACCGAGAGGUUUUCUGUCCAAAGGUGUUGUGUCGCCUUAUUUUGGCCCAAUGGGCCGUGUAUCAAGUUGGGUCCAUUAGGGACAUGUCCUAGGGUUGAAGCACGACCCCAACACCCCCCGGUCAUCUUCCUAGGUAUUAAUAAGGGUUAGAGCCGCCACAAACAUAUUGGGUUUUGUUUUGUUGAAAGUUUAGCCAUUGCUACUUCCUUGUAGACGCGUGUGUCGACUAGACCAUCUGUUCUACUCGAUUCAGAACCCCAACUUUGUGAGUUCAGAUUUGUUUCCAUCUCUAUAUUUGCAAUUGAGUUGCUUGUUAUACUUGUUCUUGCUUGUUCCUCGAUUGCUUGUAGAAAUUACCCUAGUGGUUUGGUUGAUCGUGCACCACAAGAUCGCGACAACCAUUGGAGGUGGUGCAUCGGUUGCUAAGGCGCAGCUUGGAAGGCUGUAGUCGGACCGUGAACGUCGUCUCCAUCGACCAAUCGAGUUAUCCCACGCCUCUCAUUGAAAGAUCAGGAAUCAACCCUAGCGGGUUCAUAUCACAGGGUGUGGUGGAGGUGGCGGUCGGUGGGUGUGGUGGUGGCCGGCGGGUGUGGUGGUGGCCGGCGGGUGGUGGUGGCGGCGGCGGGCAUGGCGGCGGGGAGGCAAGGCACGGCGGCCGGUGAGAGGCACGGGUGCAAGGCACAGCGACAGCGUCGACGGCAGGAGGCAAGGCACGGCGGCAUGGGAGGUGGUGCCGGCGGAGCUAGCGGUGGUGGCGGCUGGCAGUGGUGGCGGCGGCGGAGCUGGCGGUGGUGGUGGCGGCGGAGCAGGAUGUGGUGGUGGCGGAGGAUGUUUUUUUUUAUUUUUUUCAAAAAUUGGUUGCCGAGUGUUUUCUCGGCACUCGGCAAAGACUUUGUCGAGUGCCCGACACAAAACACUCGGCAACUCAGUGUUUGCCGACUGAAAGUUUGCCGUGUGCCGUUUGUCGAGUGUUACACUCAGCAAACGGUUCGCCGAGUGUUUUUUGCCCUUCGCUUCCUGGCACUCGGCAAUUUCCCUAUCUCCGGUAGUGUGUAUGCCCGUGCGUUGCUACGAGAUAAUUUUCAACAUAAUAAGAACAUGAAAAAACAUGUUGUUUUGAGAUCACCGGAUUCUAUAAUUUAGUAUUCUACUUGAUCUUAGUAACGUGUUGCUUUGAGCCAUGGUGAGUGGACGGAUGGACGUGGCAUUCCCAAGUGUUAUUAUGAAAUAAAUGGCCUUGAAUUGUUAGAGGGUAAAUCCUAAGAAAUCUGUGAUCUAUCAUCCGGUGCAUUCUACUGGGAAGUAACUACCAGUUGCUGGUUCAAGAGAAAUGAUGUAAGCAUGGACAGGUGAAGUGAUAAUUGCCAUACAACUUAGAUUCUCAAUCGGCAGACAUACUUCACCUUGGAAAAUAGUUAAUAUUUCCAUUCCUCGUGGCAGGGAGAUUGGUCCUCACAACACAUGCUAGCUUUUUAUUUUCAGAGUAUGAGAGUGGGUUAUGGUGAUAAGAUUCUCAAAUUCAACUCGAUAGCAUAUUCAGAUAAGGUGUAAGGUAUAAAUCAAGCACUUUGCAGUAUUGAAGGGAUGAUUCAUUGUCCAAUACACAUUCCUUUGGACUCAACAAAUGUCAUUCAAUGGACUGCCUUCAAAACUAUCAUCACUUAUAUUACAGGACAGAACUGAUUUAUUUUGAUUUCCCUUAAUUAGGAUGUCCUUCACCAAGAGAUUAUUGGUUAGCAAUCAAAUGUGAAGCUAAUACAGGUGAACACAUUUAUGAAUUAUGAGGAAGUUCAAUCUUGGAGAUGUUCAGAGCUAAAGCCCUAAUUACUCUCAAAAACUAUCAUGAGCAUCUUGAUAUACUCUGCUGUCAAAGGAGCUUUUCAUAUUGCUCCCCCUUACUAUAAGAUAGCACUUACUUUUAGCAUAGCAGAAAUACAUCCAAAAGUUGAUAAGAUAUUAGAACUGUAUAGUAACUAUAUUCUUCAUUCUGUACCAUUUUCCUUGUACCAUGUCCCUUGAAAGGGAUUUCUUCCGCUGAAGAGAAAAGGUGAAACUGAAAAGGAAAUUAGCUUUUGUGCCAUUUUCUUUUGUGUAACAAAAUCUCUAGAUCAAGAAAAAGUGGAAUGAUCGAUGCAAAUUUUGCCAAAGAUAAAGGAUGCUUAGUCUUGUUGGAUCAGGGGAGGAUGCAUGCUACAGAAACUUCAUGACUCCAUAAAUAGCCGAGAUUAAAUCCUUGGCUAAUUAAAAGUGCUUCUUGGAUGACAAAAAAACUGAUAGGAGGGUAGUAGGGAAACAUGCACGCAGGAGCAAUCAACCAAGUUAAAAAUGUGCACAUAGUCAUUUUAUCGAACACCUAUAUGGCAUUCAAAACACAACCUCCUGAUGAAUAGCAUGGAUGCCCAAUCAUAAUGAAAAAGGUCCUGCAAAGAUAAAGGAUAGGCAGGUUGUGGUCCAAUAAUGAAGAUUGGGAUGUAGCGGUAUCGGGAUUAAUUAGGGAGGAAGAGAUGCUACUGGCCGUUCAUUAUAGAUCACCGUUUGUGUUGGCAAUGGCUCUCUGAAUCACCGUUUUCUACUGGAGUCGAUUGAAGGAGAUGACAUGCUGGCCUGGUGGAUGAACGACUUACCAUGUCGUGAGGCAGAAGACAACGCCUGACUGCUGCUCCCGCCAGCGCAGUCUGAUUAGCUUGAGUGUUCGGAUUGGUGGAGGUGAUGGUGUGGAUCGCCGGCGUCGCUGGUUCCUUGAGGGAGAGGCAACAGUCACAGGAAAAUUCGCGCCGGUGUCGCUGGUUCUUGAGGCCGAGGCGGGGUGAGCUAACGAUUGUAGGAAAGAUUGCGCCAGCGUCGCUGAAUCGGUGAGGGUGUUGACUGUUGAGGGCUCGACUCCGAGCGGACAACCGGCGGUCGCACGGGAGAUCACGGAACACUCUUUUUUCGCAGGACAGCGCGAACGUGGCCGGGAAUUCCGGAGGCGAGGGUACGUGAACUGAGAUCGAACGUCUGGAAUCGAUCGAUGGCAGGACGACUCACAACGAGGAUGACGGUUCGCAGGUGUCGGUCUGGUGCCGAAACAAUUGUCGCCUAAACACCCUUAUUACGUUCUUCCCUCUGAUCGUACCCAUCCUAUUCACUGUAGGGCGAUGGAUCAGAGACGUCCUGAAGGGACCAUGACACCCUAAGAGAGGGUGAAUUAGGUGUUCUAAAUACUAAGGCUUUAAGCACAUAUAUAAAAACCUAUUUCAAUUUCUAUCUAGAUGUGCACUAGGUUUUUCUAUGCGUUGCUAUAUCUAUCGCAAAAGAGUUUUACACCCUAGGUUCCAAUCCUGCAAACUACACAUGACAAUUCUAGGAAAGGUAGACGCGGAAUGUAAGUGCAAUAAGAAAUGCGGAAGUAAAUGAGGUAGAGAAGGCAAACUCCCGGCAUGGCAACACGAUGAUUUUUUUACCAAGGUAUCGGAAAACAAAGCUUUCCACCAAUCCUCGUUGUUGGAGUCCCUCUCAAAGGGAAUGCCCGCGCAAGGGCUGCCGAUGAGCCUUCCACACACGCAAGUGGGUCUCCACCUAACCUCUCCCGGAUGCUCCUUGCUGCUCUUCAUUUGGUAGAGCUUCGGCAAAAUGCUUAGGGCCUCUCCUCCCUAUCACAAGCAACGGCGGCCACUUCACAAAUGCGGUUGGAGGGUCUCGCAAGACUUACAAGCUCCGAACUUACAACUCUUGGUGCGUGCAACCACCGAUACAAAGGAGAUGUGCAAACCUCGCCUAACUCUAGACUAAACCCUAAAGUAAUGUGCUAAUAGGACCAUUUUCCUUACACGCCCCGAUCCUUCUGACCUUCCCUCCACCGAGGUGCUCAACCACUCAACAAUCCCCCUCUCUUGAUGAUCCCAAUAUAUAAAAAGCUUAUGGUACAAUUGCCUCUCUUGCUGAUCCCCAUUUGUACCGUGUCACUAGUAGAAAACUGAGUAUUAGUCCCGGUUGGAAAGUUGCAAAUCUCUCGAAAAACUAUCCGGGAUAAAGCAAUCGGGACAAAAGAGGGUGUCUUUUAUCCCGGGUCCCUCAACCGGGACUAAAUGGUUUUGCAAAAAAUUUAAAAAAUAAAUAAAUUCCCGGGGGGUCCCGGGGAGGCCUCCCCACACGCGCACAUCGCAAAUCACAAGUCACGCGAUUUUCACGCGAAAUAUGCACCCCUUUUAUCCCGGUUGGUAUUACAAACCAGGAUAAAAGGGUCCGAAGGAUUUAGUUUUGUCCCAGCCACACGUGGGGGACCCUUUUAUCCCGGUUGGAAACACCUUUUAUCCCGGUUGGUACUACAAACCGGGAUAAAAGGAUCCGAGGGCUUUAGUUUUUUUUCAACCAUCCGUGAGGGACCCUUUUAUCCCGGUUGGAGUUUUCAACCGGGAUAAAAGGCCCCAUUUUAUCCUGGUUGGUGUCGUGAGUUUUAGUCCCAAGUGGUAACACCAACCGGGAUUAAAAGGGUGACCUUUAGUCCCAGUUAUUCUUACCACCCGAGACAAAAGGCUCUCCCACGGGUAACUGAUUUUUUCACCCGGGACUAAAGGGUCCCCCACAGGUGGCUGAUUUUUGAACCGGUACAAAAGGUGAUUUUUAGUUCCAUUUGCAAAUACCAACCGGGAUUAAUGCUCCGCGCACCCCCUUUUAUACCGGACCUACUUUAAACCGGAAUUAAAAGGGGGCGCAUCGAAAGUCAGUUCUCAAUUAGUGUGUAGAUGUAUAAAAGUAUAGGGAUCACCACCCACGCGCGACUAUCCUCUAUCGGGGAGGAAAUGACGCAGUUCCUACCGCAGCCACGAAUGUGCUGCGCUGCCUGUGACAACCUCCGCCUCCUCUGCGUAGCCUCCUACCGCAUGCAUAAGCAUGCUGAGCCGCUGCCUAGCGUCGCCAAGAACAUGUUGCGCUGGUUUAGACGCCAAAGAGGCCGCACACACGGGUGUGCAGUUGGAGUCUUGGAAACCAGGAGCAGCUUGUGGCCAUCGAGGAGCUCGCUGUUUUUCUUGCCUUGUGAUUCUGCGCAACAAUGCGAAUGCGUAUGUGAUCCUUUUUUGCUUGCUGAUAAUGAAAUCACUUAUUGGUGCUGGUUGGUUUGAGAUAUUUAAGAUGCUCCUACUAUAUUACAGAUUGAUGUCUGGGUACUGAAUCAGCUUCUUUACUGAAACUAUAUAUUAUUAAAUCAGCUUGCUGAAAUUGAAAUGAUCAGACUUGAUAUGGGUCAUGCAAGUCAGAUUCUUUUCCUUUGCUUCAACCACUGAGCUCAAUACCCGAGUAAGUUUUCCUUGCAUCAUUUUCCUAUUACCAUUGGUUUCAUAUCUCUGUAAUUUUAGUCAGUUUAAUUGAUUAAGACUUGAUACAAGCUGAAAUAUUAAGGCUUAAAAGAUUGAGAAAAAGCAGGAUUUUAUCAUUGUUGAUAUAUUUUGUUUUGAUAUAGGCUGGGCUGUUCCGUCCUGCAGUUAAUUUAGUACAAGAAUCAUUAUUGGUCUAAUUCGGCAUGAUAUGGGCUGGAAUGUUCAUCCCUGCAGUUAAUUUAGUACAAGAAAACACCACCAAGUAGCUGCUACGGCAGUGUCUUACGGCUUAAGGUUUGUUCUAAAAUCAUUUCUGCCCAUCACCUUUCUCCUAUAUUUAGCUACUGGUUGUUAAUUUAAAGAGUUCACUGUUCACUUAAAGGACUUCAGUGGUUAGCAUUGGAAAUUAUGAGGCAGGCUGCAAUGUUAUAAAAAGUUCAGAAGUCGUACUAUUUGACAUUCAGGUUUUGCACCCUAGAGGCUUGCAUGAUGCACGUGGGCUACAUGUAGUUUCAUUGUAUCAUCGGAUCACAAUCUCUCUACUUCUGAUUUGUUUGAUUUCAGUUCAGGCUGGCAACAGUUGUGGGCGUGUGGUAUACCUAUCUGGUGUUAAUCAGGUUCUCAAGAAUGUCAUUAUGCUGCUGCUCUCGAGUCCUGGAAUUUCAUACAAAAAAAAUUCAUGUCUGCUAGUUGCUUGGUCGAAGCAGAGUGAUGGUCGAGAGCUACUAUACAGGACUUAUAUGUUCAAUUGUGCAUUAUAGAAGAAUAAGUAGAAAUGGAUCUAAUUUGUGCACUGGCACACUGGAUAUUUGAAGAAAAGUUGACCCAUCCUUGGACUGUGGGUUGGAGUUUGCAAAUAUGUUUUGACUUCACAAAUCUUGUUUGAUUAUUUGAGGUUAACACCCUGGCACCAGUAAAAAGAUAAUAGUGAUUGUGCUACGAUGGUUAUUUGAAGAAAUGUUUGCUUGGAUUCAAAAUCUUCAAGGAGGAUUAAAUAAAGAGAAUUGUGGUUCAACUGUUGGGUACAAUGAUUUCGGUGCUGUUUCAGUUAUAUGAUAUAUUUCCUUUGACCUUUGCUUGUCCUCGUAUUGUUUUUUUUUCUUCAUUUCAGUUGGAUCUGGCAACUGGACAUAGAUGACGCAGUAUUCUUAGUUGUUGCAGUUUUCUUGUAGUGUAGGGAAUGCAAGAGACCUAUGUAUAGUUAUUCAUCACUUAUCAUGUGGAACUUUGGUGUGUAAUCAACUUUUGUAAUGAGAUGGGAGAAAUCAACAACAAAUUGCAUUUUGAGAAUAAAUCAAAUUAGUAUAGUCUUUGUUGGCAGUAGCAACGUACGGGCACAUACUAGUGGAAAACAUAAUUUGGAUUUCGGAGCUAAGAGAUAUUGCCUCCAAAAUGCAUGCUGCGCAGAGAAGUCCAAAACCAGACAGAUUAUCUUGCCAUGCCAUUUUGGGAUCUUAAUUUCAUUUCCAAGGCAAGUCAUGAAUACCAAAGUUGUAGAUCUUUUGGUGCUACAAAACUUAGGCACCGAAUUUGCAUUAUUUAGAGUUCAGAUGUGGGAGAUAUGAUGUCCGAAAGGAAGGGCUGCGAAAAAGGAAAGUCUGGACGAAUUAGAUUUCGUGGAAAUCAAGUUCUGCUUAAUCCUCAAGCAAAGGGCUCAUACUAAGAUAGGUGGAGCACACCCCAAGGGUACUUAAGGGUAUCAACAUGACCCCCUUGGCAUGCUCAAAUCUAUUCACCAAAAGUCCGCGAAAUAGAGGAACACACACCAUAGGGAGUUGAGGGCCGCUGCAAGUCCUCGAAGUUGCCUAGAAGAUGGCUUAGGCUAGACCCUAGCCAUCAUGGUCGUCCCUGCAUGGCGAAGCCAUGGUGGAGUUCCAAAGCCUGGCCUUGAAUUUUUCGAGGCAUAUGUACAUUCAAUGGUGAUAUCAAUAUGUUCUUGUCUCUAGUUUGAUCUACUAUGGUUCAUUCUUAUUUAGUUGAUUCAGUUUGUUAAGUUACAUAGAAAAUCCAAGCCAGUUAGUUGUCGAUCCACAGAUCGAUAAACCUUGGAUGGAAUACUCUAAGGGAAAAGUUACAACUAAUAUAUGCGCUUGAGGUUCAUAAAUUGGCACACUAGCUACUGCCAACAAUAGCUUAUCCAUCUACCACAAGAUAGAUAUGAACCCCCCAUGUACCCAGUUCAGCAGCAUCAACAUCUUAGAAAGGAAAAAAAAUCAAUAUCUUGCUAAAAAAUAAUAGUGUCAUCUGCAUAUUGCAAAAUAGACAAGCUAUUUUCUACUAAAUGUGGUACAACCCCAUUCUCUUGCACGUCUUCCUUAGCCCUAGCAAUGAUGAGAGCCAACAUGUCACCACUAUAUUAAAUAGUAUAAGUGAGAGUGGAUCAACUUGUCGGCGCCCCUCUCUAUUCUGGAAAUAUGAAUCCAUUUACUCAUUUACCUUUAUCCCCACAUUUCCCCCUUUGGUAAAUACUUCUAUCCAUUUUCACCAAGUGUUAGAUAAGCCUUUCAUUCUUAAAGUAUGUUGUAAAAAACCGCACUUCACUUUAUCAUAUACUUUCUCAAAAAUCAAUCUUGAAAAUAAUACCAUCCUUUUUUUUUUAUGUGUCAUUCAUGUAAAGUCUCAUGUAAGAUAUCAUCUGUUAUAUUUCUUCACGGAAGAACAGUUUGUGAAGGUCUCAUAAUUGUUUGAGCUAUUUUCAUGAUUCUAUUUGUAGCCACUUCGUUAAAAAUCUUGAAGCUAACAUUCAACAAACAUAUUGAUCUAUAUAGUUGAAUUUGCUUCGCAUCACUACUAUCAAAAUAGUAAGAUUAUUGUUCCGAAGUUUAAGCUAUGGAGAGGCAGGGUGCCAUUGUGGAAAUCCUCAAAUGAUGCCGUCAAGCCAUCUUUGAUAGCGUCCAAGAAGAUUUGAUAAAACUCAAGAGGAAAUCGUCUAUGCGCGCACAAGAUGUUUUAGUUUUGUUAUUUCCACAUUGUGGAUCCUGGCAUGAUCAAAUGACGCUAACAAAAACGGUGACAAAAUUUCAUAAAAAAUACACUUGUUCUUUAUAUAUAUUUUUGCACCUAGUAUAUGUCUACCUUGAAAAUGUCAAUCUUUGUUUUGACCCCUACGUACAUGACACGUCUGAAUUUGUUCAAAUUAAUUUGACGCGGGUUGAACGUCCAACGGGGGCAAUGGCCCCCAGCCCACCACAACUGCUAGCAAAUAGCAACGUUGUAUACCAGAAUGUCGCACACAGCAUGACAGGCCAUCGCCAGCUAGCAGAGUGCAUGUUCAGUUGUAUUGAUAUGAUGCAGUAUAUGCAUAAGCUGAAUAGGCAAAUUAAUUGAACAAAAUGGCAGUAGAUAAACAGAUGUGAAGGUAGGAUGUACCAGUGUAGAAAAGAAGAGCAGUAUCGUACCUGAUCGAUAUCGCUGGCGUCGUAGCCGGGGUACAUGUGCCGCGGGAGGACGCGGAGGAUCCAGACGGCGGGAUCUGUACAGGAGCGGCUGCCUCUUCUUCUCCGACAAGUUGUGCGGCCAUGGCGCGUCGAACGGCAGCGGCCGCGCCUAUCGACCGACCCUGCACUCUGCUGAUCCCCGCGCUGGUUCGGAGGGUUACUUGCACUCCGGCGUUAUCAAGGCUAGGUUCUUGGGGAGCAGCCGCGACGGAGCUGCCUAAGGCUGCGGCGCGGAGGACGGCGGCAGGCAGGUUCCGAAAGAGUGGUGAGGAGAACAAUCUCAUAGGAGGGGUAACAGGUGAUUGCGGCGGCUUGGAACGGGUGGCGAAGAGUCAACGGCGGUGGAGGUGGGCGACGAGAACACGGCGAGCUACGAUUUUGCCCCUGGAUGAUAAGGACAAGUAAUUGGUGUAGUUUAAUAGGCGGUCUCAUGCAUUGACACGUAAUCUUGAGACGAUUCAACAGGUAACCUGUACAAUGGGUUGUCCUAUAAGUUGUCUGAUAGUGGUAUAUAAUUUCUUAAUUGUGCAUAAGAAAAAUAAAAUAUUAUGAGUUGCAUGGCAACAAUAACUCGUACAGUGGUUGUUAAGUUGUCUCGUAAUCCUACAAUUUAGCUUAUGAGGUAGUUGUUUCGCGAAGCAACGACCUCUUUCUCUCUCCUCGCUCUCUCUCCUCCACAUCAUCAAAAAUCCUACACACUGCAUGAGACGACCUAUAAAACCGCUGAUGCGUAGCAAUGUACUUGCCGCCAUAAGACGGGAGGCUUGUGGAGGUGCGGUGCGUGGAACGCACAGAUACGGUUCGGUGGGGAUUGGAUGGACGGGAAUGAACGGCAUCUGUUGCGUGAACAGUCCUACAGUAGCAUCGGCAGGGCCGUGAGAUGCGCUAUCCAGCGGCUCGGACGGAGGUACGGUACUGUACGUAGCAGGUAAAGUGUUCUCAGGAACUAAAGAUUUGAUAUGAUACAUCCGGGUUUAUCCAAAACACAAAAUCCUUUGGCCCCACUCCGGACGCGGACGACGUGGCCCUCUCCAUCGCCGCAACUGCCGCCCACCCUGCUCCUCUUCCCAAGACGCGGUCUAUGCACCAUCACCCCCUCCAUCAAACCGCCAUCCCGUAAAGCAGUCUCUAGCCUUCCAACACCGCGCCCACCAUCCAAACCACGCGUCCCUUCCUCUCCUCCACGCCAUCUCACGCCGCCGCGAUGCCGCCGGCCACCGCGCCGGCGAGCCCCGCCCCGGUACAUCCAUCCCGCGUGCGUGUCCUCCAACCGGGAGGGGGCCGUACGACGGGGCCAGUGGUGUACUGGAUGCUGCGGGACCAGCGUCUUGCGGACAACUGGGCCCUCCUCCACGCCGCCGGCCUCGCCGCUGCGUCCGUCCCCGCGGCUCCCAUCGCCAUCGCCUUCGCUCUGUUCCCGCGUCCCUUCCUCCUCGGCGCGCGCCGCCGCCAGCUGGGGUUCCUCCUCCGCGGCCUCCAGCGCCUCGCCGCCGACGCGCGCGCCCGAGGCCUCCCGUUCUUUCUCCUCGAGGGCGGGCCUGCGGAGGUGCCGGCGUUGGUUCGGCGGCUCGGAGCAUCCGCGCUCGUUGCCGACUUCUCGCCGCUGCGGCAGGUGCGGGAGGCACUGGACGCCGUCGCCAGCGAGCUGCAGCGCGACGCCGCCGACAUGGCCGUGCACCAGGUGGGUGCACUGGAAUCCCUCCCUUGAAAGUCUUUUCUUUUUUGGGGAGAUGGAAUCCCUCGAACGUUGGAAUGGGCUGAUACGUGGUCAAAAUGCUGUGGCGUUCAUGCAGGUGGACGCACACAACGUGGUGCCCGUCUGGGCGGCGUCGGGGAAGCUGGAGUACUCGGCCAAAACCUUCAGAGGCAAGGUGAGCAAGGUGAUGGACGAGUACCUGGUGGAGUACCCCGAGUUGCCGGCGUUGAUGCCAUGGGAUGGUGAGCAGUCGGAGGAUAUUUACUGGGAUGCGCUGAUCGACAGGGUUUGCAGGUGCGGCAGGGUUUUUGCAGUGAAGGGUGACACUUUCGCCUGGAAAGUAUAUUAGCAAUUUAGCAUUGAUAAUGAGGGUUAUAUAUUUCUGCACUCAUGGAAUAGUGAGGCGGAGAAUGUGCCAGAGAUUGAUUGGUGUGAGCCGGGGGAGGCAGCAGCGCUGGAGGUGCUUCUGGGGAGUAAGGACGGGUUCUUGACAAAGAGGAUCAAGAACUAUGACAUGGGCCGGAAUGAUCCUACAAAGCCACAUGCAUUGUCGUGUCUUUCGCCAUACUUGCAUUUUGGGCACAUUUCAGCACAGCGGUGUGCUCUGGAGGCAAGAAAACGCCGCCAACUUAGUCCAAAGGUGUGCUUGCCAAAAACCAUAUUAAAUUGCUAGCAUCUUUCUAGGACCCAGGCCGCAAACCUGAACAUCACUGAUAGAGCUUAAUCCAUCUGUCUCACAGUGAACUAAUAGCAUUAUGAAAUACCUCAUCUUUCGUUGCAGUCAGUGGAUGCAUUCUUGGAGGAACUGAUUAUAAGGAGGGAACUAGCUGACAACUUCUGCUAUUACCAGCCUCACUAUGAUUCACUGGCUGGUGCAUGGGAGUGGGCUAGAAAAACAUUGAUGGAUCACGCCUCUGAUAAAAGAGAGCAUAUCUAUACGUGAGCAAGUCAUAUGAGCUUAUUCCAUUUAUCUGCUUGCCAUGAUUAAGGAAAAAGGCUCAUGUUUGCUGUGGUUAUUUGUUCACUGGCAUUUUGUUUUGGCUUACAGGAGGGAGCAGCUCGAGAAUGCAAAAACAUCUGAUCCUGUAUGUAUUAGUAUUUUCCUUGUACUCUACUACAGAUGUUGAAUUCAUUCCGAUCUACUUCCUGAUUGGAUCAUCUGUUCUUGAUUUUCCAACUUUUAUCAGCUGUGGAAUGCAUCGCAGUUGGAGAUGGUGCACCAUGGAAAAAUGCAUGGAUUCAUGCGGUAACAUAAUUGGUCAUGGUUUAGCCCAUUUAUGUGUUGUUUGUUUAUUUUUGUGCUGAUAGGGCGGUGUUCAAAUUGCCUGAUUGCCAUGUCAUCUUGCUGGACAAAUAAAGAAAUGAGCAUUAUUUCGGCUUUGUUUAUCUACUCUGUAGUAGAAUUAGCACAUAAUGCAGUCAAAUAUCAAUGUCCUUGCCUCCAUUAGCUAAUAGGCCUUACAAAAAUAGCUGAUUGGUGACAAUUGCAUGUGUUACGUUUUCUCAUUUUGUAUUCAUAGUGCUUGUUUAGUUCAAACUUCAAAUACAGCUGAAUAAAUCAAGGUUUCUGUUCCUAUUUCAACAUUAUAUUCCUUCAAUUAUAGUUGACGUAAGUGUGGGUUAGCUUACAAUGAUUUUUGUAAUACUUGAUUUGUACCAAGUUAUUCACCAAGAUUUGUGUUGAUUCGGUUGGAGUUAACUAUUAGCAACCUUUUGUAUAUAUGUUCUUGAUAACAGAAAGCAAUCCACAUUGUUUAUAUGCCAUUUUCUCGCAACAAAGCUUUGUUUCUGUAUCGUUGAUGCUUUAUUUCUUCAUUGAUAUUCUCUGUAUAAGAGAUUAGUUUGUGUUGAUACAGUAUUUUUCUGCAGAAUGUAUUGGGCCAAAAAGAUUCUAGAAUGGACCAGUGGACCUGAAGAAGCACUUUCAGUAGCAAUAUAUUUGAAUGACAAGGUAAAUUUGUAAGAAUGUUUGAGGUGCCCAUAGAGUUGUACCAUUCUAUUUUUUUUCCUUGUUCAUGGAAACUUGCCUUUAUUCACCAAUGCAAGAAAUUAUGGGGUAGACAGAAACUUGCUGUACUUGUGUGUAGGGUUAUAAAAAUUACAGAUAAGAUUGCUUUGCAAGAACCUGCAAUUGACAAAAACUGUUAUUGUAAUAAUUCCUACUCCCUCCGUUUUUAUUUGUAAGGCAUACACGUAUAUCAAGAUUCAAACUUUACAGUAUUUGACGAAUAAUUUAACUAUCAUUUUUUUAUUUUUAUAAUGUAAAUUUUAUAUGGUUGGAUUCAUAAUCAAAUAUGCUCUACAUAACAAUAAAUAAUAUAAUAUAAUAUAAAUGAAUGGUUAAAGUGUAAUUUGGAAGAACGUGCCCAGUCAUACCCCUUUGAUAUCAAUUACACUCUCUUUGGGAGUGUUUGGUUUGAGGAAUGGGUUGAUCCAUCAUCUUCUCACUCUGUCACUUUUUUUGCUUGGUUUGUGGAAUGGAAUGGAAUGUGCUGGUCCAUCGCCACCAUACACCUCUUAUAAGUCAGUAAUUACUAUAAGCAUGAGAGAUUGGAGUCAUCCCACCAAAAUUCUUAGGAUAGACUCAUGAUGGAUGAGGUGGUCCCUCAAACCAAACACCCCAUUCAUUACCACUUAAAGUAUACUUUCAGCUGCCACAUUUAGGGUGCGUUUGGUAGAGCUCCCAGAGCUGAUUCUCUGUUGAUUCCAGCAGGAGCUCUGCCAAACAGUUUUUCAGAGAGAAGUGAUUCUUCCUUGAUUAUGUGAAGUGAUUCUCUAAAAUGAACUAAGAGGCUGGAAGCUGAAAAAAGUAGCUUCUCCUAAUUCUGCAAAGUGAUUCUCCAUCUUGAUUUUAAGAGUUUAUGCUAGAGAAUUGAAGAGAAUCACUUUCAUCCAUAGAAUCGCUUCUCUCGCCCAUAGAGAAUCAGAAUCAUAUGGAGCUCUACCAAAUAGGCCCUUAGGAGCAUAAAAGUUUGAAAAUUUACUGUUUCUGUAAGCAUCUGAUUCCUGAAGUUGUUCUAGUCCAAAUUCUGCACCUUUGCCCCCUUGUGAUUUGAUGAUUUUAGCAUGCCAAAAUCACAAAGGAGUUUUAGUCUCAGGUGCAGUUAAGAUUGUUGUUUGUAGUACUACUACAUAUGCUGAGAGAAAAGAUGGUAUCAGUUCUAACAAUGAAUAGAAUCAGCAUUCUUUUGGAAGUAAGGUGUACCUGACCUUACUGCUGUUUAUCACAAAAGAGUUAGUCUCAGAUGUAUAGCUUGAAGAUAUACCCAUACUGCACAUACCUGCUGUUCUCAUUUCCUCAGUGAAUAGAUUUGAUUUUGUUAUAGCAGUUUGCCUUAAGGUAUUCAAGUUGUUUUGAAGUAUGUUAUAUGAUAGGCUAACAAAUUAGUCUUUUGCAGUAUCAUAUAGAUGGCAGGGACCCCAAUGGCUAUGUUGGUUGCAUGUGGUCUAUAUGUGGCCUCCACGAUCAGGUUGGUGAACUUGGGUGGGUUAGUUCAUAAGAGAGACAGCAAAAUCUUUGAGUUGCUUUUCACAAGCACAAAAAUAUAUUAUGUAAUUCCAUAUUAGUCACUUAAAGCUUACAAGUUAUUCUGCACUCCUAUUUUUUCAGGGUUGGAAGGAGCGUCCAGUAUUUGGAAAGAUACGUUACAUGAAUUAUGCUGGUUGCAAGAGAAAAUUCAACGUUGAUGCUUACAUUUCAUAUGUUAAAAGAUUGGUUGCUCAGGCCAAGAAGAGGAAGGCCGAGGAAUCUCCAGAUACAGGGAAGGUCAAAGCGUCCAGAGUCUGAGGCGAUUAAGCAGUUGAACAUGUCUAAAACUUCUAUAUAAUUCGAAUUUGGCUGGUAGAUAUUAACAUGGCAACCGAAGAGUUGCUAAGUAGUAAUAAGUAGAGAGACAUUUUGCAAGGGUUUAUGCUCACUGAUAUUCUUAUGACUUCUGAUGAUUGAAACUUAAUUAGCAUUAACUAAGACCGGUCAAAUUCAAGUGUAUGCGAUUGUUAACAUUGUUACUGAUUUGAAUGUUAGCUAGUGUUGUACUUUUGGACAACAUAUGUGACAUUGCUAAAUUGAAGAGGGAGAUGCAUUAUGGAAAACUUGUACCUUGGGUUCUCGUAGAGAAUGCCAUCAUUUAAUACAUUGUUUUUUGAACUUGUAUCGUUAGUAUGGAACUUCAUUUCCUGAUCCGAAAUUUGUGAAGAUGGAUUUGAUAGGAGUGCUUUAUUUCCUCAAAAGUAUGUAGGUUUUUUAGUUCCAGGUUAGCGUUUAAAUUUAUUGAAGGGAUCGUAACACUCACAAUUUCUACAUUGGUGUGAACUAGGUUUCUACAUAGGUGUGAACUAGGUUUUCUAUUUGUUAUCUAACCUAUUGUUGUUAUCUCUACUAUAAAAGAGUUUUGCAUUCUAUGUUCCAAUCAUGUAAACUACACAUGGUAAUUAUAGAAAAAGUAAAUACAGGAUAUAGUGUAGUAAAAAAUACGAAAGGUAGAUGAGUUAGAGAAGGCAAACUCCUACCAUGACGAUUUUUACUGACGUAUCGGAAAGCAAAGCUUUCAACUAGUCGUCGUUGUUGAAGCCCCUCUCAAGGUAUUGCCCGCACAAGGUAUAAGCUCCCCGGUCAAGUAGCCGAUAGGCCUUCCCCACGUGCAAGUGGGUCUCCAUCUAACCUCUUCCUGAUGCUCCUCCCUUCCACAUGCACCGGCGGCCACUCCAAAAACGCGGUUGAAGGAUCUCGUAAGACUUACGAGCUCCGGAUUUACAACUAUCGGUGCGCGCAAGCACAGAUAACAAAGACUUGUGCAAACCUCACCUACCUCUAGGCUAAUCCCUAAAGCAAUAGCACUAAUCAAGACUAGCCUUAUGCUAAUUAUCUUAAUCUUCUCAUGAGCACUUUGGUGGAUAGAGUACUUGUCUAUAUGUGGCAUACAAGCUUACAGCUUGUCCAAGCUCUAACACACUUUAAAUGGUCGAGCAAUGGGACGUAUAUAGUCUCAACCCCCAAAACUUACCGUUGCUCCUCAGUGUACACCAACUAAUUCAGUGCAGCUCAGUGUACACCACCACCAAAUGAAUCGGUGGUCCAACUUCAGGUAGUCGUUGAGCCGCUGUCACCCGAGCCCUACAUGUAUCACCGACCGAUUCGAUGAUAUGUGAAGGGCAUCACCGAAUCAUUCGGUGACCCCUGAGCCGUAGUCUUCUCUGUCUUCAAGUACUGUCUGAUUCGCUGGUGAGAGAUAUGGGUACCUCAUGGGUCCCUAUCGACUAGGAUACUGACAAGUGGGCUCGCCCGACUAGGGUGUGCGAACUGACAACAUGAAGAUACUUUCAAAUCAGUUCGGAUAUUGUAGGUGUCCAACUCAGAUUACCUUCCAUGUAACUACCGAGUAGAUUAGAUUUAAACCAACUUGUAACCCUAGGUCGUCAGCCUAUAUAAGGCGGUCAAGGGAGUCUCCCAAGGGCAAUCCAACGCACCGAAUCUCUCAAGCAAUACAAGCCACCAAGCAUAUAGUACGUAGGGUAUCCUCUCCGGAGGCUCGAACCUGUCUAAAACCCCCUUGUCCCUUGUGUUCUUGCUAUCACUUUUCUGUUCUUGCUAUCACUUUCGAGUUCUUUAUUUCACAAUCGCCUCCACGUACAAAUGAACUACUUGGGUAACCCCCUGGUAGACUGCCGGGCUUAUAAAUCUGACGGUUGACGUGCCAGGUAGGGGUGAUUGUGAGAUCCUCCCCAGCGAGCUCGAUGGCAUUUCGUCCCGACGUCAUCUUCCCCGAGAGCACGAAGAACUUUCUCGCGCUCGUCCACCCACCCAUGCUGUACCAAACCCGCAGCACCCAUCUAUCGACGGAACAACCUUGCCUUGAGAGAGGGCAAGAAAGUGACAGAUGGAGGCGGCGGCGGCGGCCGGCCGGCGUGCAGCCUGGCUCCUCGAUGCCCCAGAUCGCCACGCAGGUGGAGAUGGCGGAGGCCCGGGUGCCGCUCGCCUACCACGACCAGUGCGCACACCUCCUCAUCCCGCUCAACAAUCGGUGCAUCGCCGAGUUCUACUUCCCUGGAAGUGCGAUCCCGAGCACGUGAUUGAGUCAGGAUUCUGGAUUGAAAAGCACGCGCAAAAGGACCGGUCCGAGCUAUUUUUGUUUGCAAGUCGAACUAUAGGAUCAAGGGAUAGGGCAUGCACGCUGGACGCUGCGUGCAGAUACGGCGGAGUCGUCCUGCAUUCUAUUACUUUUUCUUUAAUCCGGUCAUGAAGUACUACUUGGUUCUUCAUUCAAUUAACCAGGACUAGCAAUAUACCCGUGCGUUGCAACGGUAAACAUGGCACAAACUUAGUUGAUAAUUUAAUUUAUAAUAACCCAUAUCAAUUAUUCUAAAGAUUUUUAGGCUUCAAAUUUGUGCAUAAGUUAGGCUCAUUCACGUGACGGCGCCACGCUUUGAAUGGAGUCGCAAAGAUGCACAACCAGAAAAACACACAUCAAAUCACACAUACAGCAAAUAUGCUCUCCCCUUUGUCUAGUGGUGAGGAACAGGGUGGUCACGGACCUCUACCCCACGGCCUCCGCCGCCGCCGAUGGGGCCACACCAUCCGCCGGCUGCAGCGUGGCCGGAGGCAGCUCGCCCCAUGGUUGCUGCGGCAGCCUGCCGGUGGCCAUGGCACCAAACAAGUGCUGCUUAGUGAUCACUCUGCUGAAGAUAAAAUAGCAAAUCAGUUACACAGAUGCUCAUUAUCAUUCCAAUGAAUCACUCUACAUUAAAGGUAGCAUAUCAAACUAAAGGAAUAGUAUUGAUAUAUACAUAAAAAUUCAAACAGCUAGAGAGAAUGGUAUUGAUACAUAAAUAUUCUAAGAGCUACUAAAGGAAUUGGCAACCGAAUUUGUGUUUGAUUUGCACAUGAUCAAAACCCAUUAGCGUGCAACAUCCGGCAAAACAAGAGGCCUAAAAGUCCUUGGGCGCAUGCAAAAGAGUUCUGAGGUGCAUGCGAGCUGCUCUAUGCCUCUAUCAACUAUCACCCAUCUCACUACACUGACACAAUUAUGACCCAUAGCGAGGAGCUGAGGACAGGGUGUGUUGUGUGCAUCGACGGCAGCACGUCUCCUUGAAGUGCUCCGCUCUACUACUCUUGAAGUGCUCCACUCUACUACUGCGCACAAUGGAGUAGAGUUAAUAAACUUGUGAUCCACAAAUAUUGCAUCAUGCACAAUUAAUGUCAGAUGCAUUUUCAAAAUACUAUUUUCACACUUGCUCUCAAUGAAGAAAAGAACAUAUUUGGGAUUUCAGCAAACAAAAAGGAAAUUUAAAUCAACUGCUUUGCCAUUUCACAAAUGAUAAGCUAUGACUUAUUGUAUGAAUUCAUCCUUUUGUCUUAACCUUUAUCUUAAUAAAACACCAAGUAAAUAUGGAUAAAUCAAUAAUUGUCACCAUAAUUUAGUAUUUAUCAAGGCAUUGAAACCUCACUUUUCAGGUGAAAUAGACCCUCAUCAGUCAUCACCAAUCUUGCGUGGGUCUAAGUCUAAGCACUCGUUGAUCAAUUUUGAAAGGAACAAGGGCAUCAGAAAAAAAAGUAUUUCCCCAUUAUGCAUCAAUUGAUACACAAUGAAAUAUAAAUUCUGUUGUACUUGAAAGGUACAAGCAUCUCUCACAAGAUAUUAGGUAGAAGCACAUUUCUGACAAGAUAUUAAAGUUAAAUGCUCUUUGUAGGUGUAUUUCUGAUAAGAUAUUGAUAGCCUAUGAUUUUAAUUAUGAAUACAGUCAAGAAAAACGAUGAACCACUUUCCUAAACAGAUAAUUGAGUUUGCCAAAAGUUUUAUAAUCUGCAUCGUGUUUACGUUCCAAGUUCUCACAGCUGUCGUUGCAUGUGCCACACCAACUUCAAUUCAACAAGACCAAUAAAGGCCAAUCCUGCAAUAGAAUAAUAAAUUUUAGUCUGUUAGUGAAGUUUUAGUAUCCAAGUGGUUGAUUUGAAGUGUUUCAUGCAACAAUCUAAAUGAGUAUUAUUGUAGAGUUCAUAGCUAGAUGUGUACACAUAGGGAAACAGGACUAAUAAAUUUAUAAAAAAGUAAAACUUGGUCAAAAAAAUGCUGCCUCCAGUCAACUAUUUUCUUUUGAAAUUAAGAAUAGAAUGAUAUUGUGUUCACCACACCAGCAACAAAAGAAAUAAAAUUUUUUGUUCCUUUCAUGUUGUAUAUACUAUAUAGUAGCUGAAAAGUAUUAUCAGGUUAUCUUUGUCUGACACUUGGAAACAUUCAUGUUGUGUAUUAAAAUAAGAACUCUUAAUCAGAUCCUAAAUCAUUCUCUUAUCAUAACAUAUGUUAUGACAAUUGUAGAUAAUUAGUGGUAAUGGGCACUAUUUCCACGGGCAAAGAGAUUAAAUAUAAGAUUUUUUUUUGCAGAAGUGACAAUUGAUGGCACAGUAGUCCCAGAAGACACAAAACCUGAUAUAACCUCUAAAGAAACUGCAGUGACUCCAUAGCCCUCCAGAUUGAGAUGAGCUAACUUGUGUAGACCUGAAUUGAAUAAGCCAACAAUAAAACACAUGAAGUAACUUGAAAUGAAACCUCAUUUUACUGAAACUAAAAGCAAUGACUUAGUAAAACAAGUAAAUAGACCUAAGAAAGCAUGUGACUUUAAUACUGAAACCCACCGAAAGCAAUGAAACCCACCAAAAGCAUAGUGCAAACCUGAUUGAAAUGCUGCCGUCAUCGUUCACCUGAGAGAAGAAACAGAGGCUUGCUGCUGCUGCGUGCCUGCACUGCACCAAAACAAUACAUGUGCCCAAGAGCAAAAAACUGCAGGCGCUGAUGCUCCUCCUGUCACUGCACCAUAUUACCUAUUGAACAGAGAAAUAGAGCUCUAGCAAAACCAAGCUGAGCUGCAGCUAUUGCCAAGUGAAAGAAACAACACUAAAAGCCGGGGCAAUGCUGAUGGCCUACGUUCAGAAGUGAAGCUUCAAGAGCUUUUGAGCAAAGGCACAGAGCAGAGCUGCCAGAUCAAGCUCCAAGAGCAGAAGCCAGAAAUCUAAACAGCGGAAAACCAGAAAUUCGAUGAGGGAGCUUUUGCUGACAGAAAAAUAUGUGGCACCGGAACUGAGGUCCAGCGCCUCCAUCUGCGUGAGCUUCGUGAAGGAUGGUGGCAGGUCGCCGUCGAGACCAUUGUUGAAGAGCACCAGAAAUCUGAGGUUGGACAAAUCGCCAAUGCAGUCAGGAAGCGCGCCGGUGAGGUUGUUGUUCACCGCGCCAAACGCCCACAUCACCGAGCAGUUGCAGAGGCGACCGGGGAUGCCGCUGUGGAGCGUGUUGUUGCCGAGGUCCAGUAGCUGCAGGCUCCUCGGGUCGCCGAGCUCCGGCGGGAUGCCGUCGGUGAAGUUGUUGUCGUACAGUACGAGCUGCUCAAGCUCGCCGAGGCGGCCGAGCUGCGGCGGCACGGCGCCACCGAAGCGGUUCGAUGUCAGGUCGAGGACCUGCAGCGUCGAGAUGUUGCCGAGGAACGACGUGAGCGUGCCCCGGAGCCCAGUCUCCAGGAGCUGGAUGGACGUGACGUGGCCGGCGCCGUCGCAGGCCACGCCGGUCCAGUUGCAGUGCGCCGGGAAGGUGCCACCGGCACCGCCUGCCCGCACCAGUAUAUGUUCCGAUUCCAUCUCGAUGCAGCCUCUAUUUCUCGAUUCCGUCUCCAAGCGCGCGACGGGCCGAAUUGGCGGGUGAGGCAACCGAGAGCGAACUGUGGCCGCUGCGGAGCGGGGAUCAAGAAAUACCACCAAGAUCGAGCGAGAACACGAACUGGAGGGACCCCAUGGGCCUCCACCCUGCGCCGCCGCAAGCCCCCGCCCCCGCCGCUGUCCCCUUCACCGGCCCUCCCCACGCUGCCGCCGCCGCUCCACGCCUUCAUCGCUGAGGUCGCCGGGGAGGACCGCACCGCCGACCUCCCCGAGGAGCUCCCUCGUCUGGCGCCAGAUCCGUUGCCGCCUCCAGCGCCUCCUUCGUCGAGGUGAGGAGGAGAGAGGACCUCUCUUCACACUCUUCCUCCUCCCAUUCUUCACGGCCGCGGCCGAGCCCAGGACGCCGGCCGCCGCACCUCCGACGCUGCCGGCCGCCCGCGCCCAAUCUCCCUCCGCCUCUCUGUUGUGAAGAAAGGAGAAGUCUUUUUCCCAUUAACCCCCUCCCUUCCCUUCUUUUUCCACCCGAGCUCCCCUCUUUUCAACAUUUGGACUGCGGGUUGAUUACUAAAAAGUCAAGGGACUUUUUUGCAAAAUAACCACGACGAACGAAAAUUGCUGGCAGAGACGUUGUUUGCUUUAAUAAUAGGUAUAGAUUAUUAAUCUAUUCUCUUGCAUGGUUGUACGUCUACAUGGUCAUCAAGCGUUGCUUCUUGUGCCGGAUGAAGAGGCGGCAAGCAGGCGUAGAGGUCCCACAUCCGUACGGGGUCAUCUAUUCACGUGCUCGCGGCGCAACGACAGCAUGGGUAAUGCUUGGUCCUCUGGCCAGCACCACCGAUCACUUCGACCAUCUGGAACCAACAUCGGCUUCGUCAACAGCUGUUCACCAAUGGCUGCCCGCUCGGGAGUGACAUGGGUUCUCUGACUCGACCACGAAUCAAGAUAAGUCUUAUUUAUAAUUAAAUAUUUUACGGCUUUUGUAUACCUACAUAUGCCUCGGCUCCUCCAUGUCUCCGUGACUUUCGCUGACCGCCUCGGCUUCUCUAUGUCUCCGUGACUUUCGCCGACCACCUUGGUCACACCCCGACUGCUUAUACAGGUUGGUCUGUCCACUACACGGGCGGUCGGGAGCUACACCCCAUGAGUGCCCAGCUUAUGCUGGUUCCAUCUGCUUUGCGGCUUGUCCGUCCCUCUUAAUGGUUGCUAAAGUACUCGGGUAGCACACGUCUUAAUCCGUGAAACCUUGACUCAUCAUGCGCGUCUCCUAUAUGUGAGCAUCGGGUCAGCCCUAGCACUAUAGCCUGAGGUAAGCUAUCCUCUCCGUGAGCAGUGGUCAACAGGACUAGGUGCUUAAAUGUAACAGGCUAAUUACCUGGGAAAAUUACCUAGUCUACAAGAGCAGGAUGCACAAGAGUUUACUUCUACUACAGUAAAAUUAAAUUUCUGAGUUGUUCAAUUAUUAAAUAAUCUACACUAUGCUACAUAAUAUUUGUAUUGUCCUUUUACAGCUUAAAAACUACUCGGCGUGCCUCCCGUCGUCCGGCCGACCUCUUUGGCUCGAGGCGGGAGGCGACUCGACGUGCUUCCGCGACUCGUCCAGCUCCCAGCCUCGGGGGUUGGGCACCGCAGACGACUCGGCGUGCUAUCCGUCGCCUGGCCGACCUUUCUAGCUCAGGGCAGGAGGUGACUUGGCGUGCUUCUGUGGCUUGGCUGGCUCCCAGGCUCGAGGGCUGGGCGCCACAGAUGACUCAGCAUGCCUCCCGUCGCCCGGCUGACCUCUUUGGCUCGGGGUGGGAGGUGAAUCGGCGUACUUCCGCGAUGCGUCUGACUCCUAGGCUCGGGGGCUAGGCGUCAUAGAUGACUCGGCGUGCUUUCCGUCACCCGGCCGACUUCUCUAGCUUGGGGCGGGAGGCGACUUGGCGUGCUUCUAUGGCUCUACCAGCUCCCAAGCUUGGGUGCUGGGCGCCGCAGGCGACUCGGCGUGCCUCCCGUCACCCAGCCGACCUUUUUGGCUCGGGGCGGGAGGCGACUUGGCGUGCUUCUAUGGCUCGGCAUGCUCCCAGGCUUGGGGGCUGGGCGCCAUAGAGGACUCGACGUGCCUCCCGUCGCCCAGCCAACCUCCUUGGCUCGGGGCAGGAGGUGACUCGAUGUACUUCUGCAGCUCGUCCGGCUCCCAUGCGACUCGGCGUGCCUCCAUGGCUCCGCCAUUCCUCAUCCUUGGGGGCUAGGCGCCUAUUUUAGGUCGGUGUGCCUCCGUGGCUCCGCCAGUCCUCAUCCUCGGGGGCUGGGUGCCUACUUGUGGUCGGCAUGCCUCCAUGGCUCUAUCUUUCCUUGUGUUCUGUCCUUCACUUUGACUUGUUGGAUGCCCGACAUCCAUCAACUCCGCACUUGACUUUGCUCUGCACAUAUGGCUCCUUGUUCACUCGGAUUUUCUUCUUCUUUUUUGAGCAUUGCGUAGCCUCUCCGUCACCAUGACGCCAUCGCAGCUUUAGCCGGGUACAUUCCAAGCUUCGCUGUGAUGACCUCAAGUUCCUAGUCACCUACACAUUCCUCAACUUCCUCAAGCUCAAGGGGCUUGAGGGAUAUGGGUACCCCAUGGGUCCCUAUAGACCAGGAUAUUGCCUGGACCUGACAAGUGGGCCCACUCAACUAGGGCGUGCGAGUCAAGGACAUGAAGAUACUUAGAGUACAUGUCAAGGUAACCAGACAGUUCAAAUCAGCUCGGAUAUUAUGGGACACGUAUUGUAGUCCGACUCAUGUUACCUUCCAUGUAACUACCGAGUAGAUUAGAUUCAAACCGACUUGUAACCCUAGGUCAUCAGCCUAUAUAAGGCGGCCAAGGGAGCCUCCCGAGGGCAACCCAACGCACCGAAUCUCUCAAAGCAAUACAAGCCACCAAGCAUACACGAUGUAGGAUAUUACUCUCUGGAGAUCCGAACCUGUCUAAAACCCCCGUGUCACUUGUGUUCUCGCGAUCACCUUCGAGUUCUUGGUUUCACAAUCGCCUCCACCUACAAAUCAACCACUUGGGUAACCCCUUGGUGGACUGCUGGGCUUAUAAAUCCGACAACUUGCCUUGUCCUGUGGUCACCGUAUGAAUCGGUGGUUACUUAUAAACUUUCAGAGCCGGAUCUGAGCCAAUCAUGAGCCGAGCCGAUCCUCACCGACUGAUUCGAUGGUGACCUUGUGUACACACCGUAUGAAUCAGUGCACAUAGUGCACACUGUCUUGGUUCUGCUGCUAUCCAUGGUCACUGAGUAGUAAUUUGGGGACUUCUCCGGUCAUCAUCAUAUUAAUCGGUGGAAUGCAUCAAUGCUCAUUUCUGUGGUAGAACCGCCCCAAUUAAACCGGCUCAAGCUCACUAACCCUCAUCAUAUUAAUGAAGUACAGGUCAAUCGCACUUCAACCAGUCCAACCAAACACUCUGUUGGGUAGUUCCUGAUUUAACCACUGAUUUCAUUGUUCCGAAAUGAACACCAGAAGUCUCACACGAAGGUGAGUACAGAUAGUACAAGCAUGACAGAGUACACGAUAAGUUUACAAACCGGGUUCAAAUACAUAAAUAUUACAUAGAGUUCAGCACGGAAGCUGAAAUAAACACCGACAUGAAUAAAAGUCUAGCACAACGAUUCAAAAGUGAUCAAGCUAAAGACCACACACUUCAGCCCAAUAAAUACCUAUUAGGAUCAACGACCACCCAACUAUCGGCAUCACGAAUAACAAAUUUAGCGCAGCAAGGACAGAAACCUAUAUCAUCUGCACCUAAAAUAAAUUUAUCAACAAACCUUGAGCAACUAAUACUCAACAAGACUUACCGACUAGUGGUAUACACUUAGCCGACUCCUAGUACGCAAGACUUUUAGCUGAGGGGUUUGUUUUGCCAAAAAGUAACUAAGAGUGUUUCAAUAUUUUAGCAUCAAGUUUAAAGUGAGAGCAACUAUUUUCUUAUGUUUGCAAGAUAAAUAAACCAAAGCAACGAACAAGUAAAUAAUUUAGCAACACAAAUAAUGAUCAUCAUUAGAUUCACUUCUUUACUAGCGAUGUGACUCCGUGAUCAAGGUCCCAUAACUGAGAGUGCGGCAAAUCGAUUCGAUUUAAUCCAUUGCAAGGUAUACCAAAUCACAUUACAUAUGCAUACCCCGUUGAGCAGCACAUGGCGACCAUUCUCUUCAAGAGCGCUAAAUAUUUGAACUGCCACACGAUCCUCAAGUACUAGUCCCCACCGAUACCCAGAUGGGUCAAACAUGAGUUAUUGACUAGCACCCAAUGGAGAGAUGCUAUCAAGCUCAACCUACCAGUGCGCAAUAAGGUAUAUAGGUUUAACGGUUUCGACUACCUCGUACUCGCUAACUAGUGAAUUAUUAUGUUUUAAACAUGAGAUGACUAGGCAUGAUCAAUUUUAUCAAUUCUCAGAACCUGAACUGAGCCAUUAACAGUAACAAAUGUCAGGUAAAUUUUUCUAGAAAUUACACUAAGGUCCCGUUUGGGUCCAAGGAAUUGGAAUCUAUUUAAUGGAGUAGGCUAAUUUAUGUUGGAAUGUGGCAUUCCACAACUUUCCAAAGUUUAGAUAUAAGCCUAUCUUAAAUUCAUGGGGUGGGAGAUGGAAAUUGAUUCUAUAGAUUAUGGUUAUUAGAUGGAAUUCAAUUCUUAUAGCACGCUCUUAGACUCGCUUCUCUAUAGUAGAAGUGCAGCAUACAAGUAUCUCUCCCAUAUCACCAACUAUAAUAUACAACUAUAUUCCACAUACAAUUAUAUUAGCUUAAUUAAUUUGUGUCUAAAUUAUGAUUAUUAGGAUGGAAUUCAAUUCCAAUGAUCCAAACGGGGCCUAAUAGAAUUCACAUACAACCAUUUUUAUUUACACUAAGGUAAAUGUAGCUAGGAAUAAGAAAAUUUACUAAACUAACUUAUAAACGCAUUCUGGGGAUGAACAACAUAUAACAUGGUAAAUGUAUUGACAAAGUAUUUUACAUGAUUUUAUCAAGAUUUUACAAAAACAUAAACUAUUUAUAAUCAUAAGAACAUGUCAACAUGGUGAUAAGUUUAUUUAAGCAUCAUCAUAUGGUUUCUGUACAUAAAAGCUUAACAGAAACUAAUAUGCCACAAGAGUACUUUCCUGUGAAUAAUUAUUUUUGGGUUGAUAGAAAUAUCUAUACACAUUAAACUCUAUUAUGCAUACACUGAUUUGUACCAAGGGCAAAAGAUUUUUUUCACAAGAUCUCUCAUUUUUAAAAUGUAGUAUGAGUUACAACAGAUCCAACAAAAUUGGUUUCAUAUGUUUAUCAUUUUUCUACGGUAUACUGUGCAUUUCUGAAGAUUUAGUCAGGAUUUACGUUAACCAAAUUCAUAAUUAAUCAAAAUUUUCAGGGAAUACUUUAGCUACCCAGAUCCUGUGCUACUAAUACCCCAAGCGCCAAUGACAUGCGGGACCCGGAGUCAACAUGACCUAGGUCAGGUCACCGUCGGUCAAGCUGACCUACGCCAGCGACGAAGAUUUUGGCGAGGAGGCUGGCACCAAUAGCUUCAGUGCAACGAGGUGCACCCAUACCCACCCGCGGCCCGACCGGAAGGUGGCCGGACAUGGCCGGUGACGAGCGCUGGCGGAAACAGCUCACCAAUGGCGGCAUUUGAGCCAAUUCUGGUGGCAAUAAAGGCGGAGAAAGUGGGGAAAUGAGGCUGUAGCAUCUAUGGCUCACCAGAAAUCCGAUUUGGCAGUCGGUGGUGGAAGAAGAGGCUGGGAUGGGGGAGUUCACAAGCGGCACCUGAGCUUGUGGCUAGCGGCAAUGGCGGGCGGGGAUUCUUCAAUCCCCACCGGAGGAGCCAUGGCCGGCGCUGCUGAGUGGUGGCGGAUGGAGUUUGGGAUGUGGGGAAGGCUCUGAUGGUGCCGUUUUGGGUAUGGUGGGUGGAGUAGGGAGAAAUCGGCCAGCGGAUGGAGCUGCUUUGUGGUUCAGUUCUUGGUUUUGCUAGAGGAAGAAGAAAUGCAGAAAGAGAAUGAUUCAUAAUUCUUAAUGGAGAAGGAAGAGGUGAAAUGAGCGUGUGGUGGAGGGAGAGGUGCGUGGUCAUGGUCGUGGCGACGCUAAGGCUCGUAGGCGGCGUUUUUCUGAUGACGGUCGGGCCUAAGUCUGAAUAAACCGAGCAAUUCAGUUCGCACGCGAACACACUGAAACUGGCCAUGUUCGACCCAUCAAAACUCCCCAAUUUUGUGCAUAAGCUAUAUUUGGAAUGUACACCAAAGUUUUAGAUCACUCGUCCAACUACAACUUUCUGUAAAGGUCAUUGGCAUAAAAGUCUAUGGAUUUGACGUUACAGAUGCCUCAAUUUUGGGAUUUACAUGGUUUUAACUGAAUUUCCAAUGAAUUGAAAUGUGGUUUUUGGCCAACUUUGAGUUGAAAAACAAAGGCCAAAACGUUGGUGCACAAGUUCAAACUUCCUGUGCAUGUCACUUUUAAACAUAGGGUAACAAAUUCUAUAAAGAAUUUUUGAAAAGUUCAUACACAAAAUUUGGAUAAAAUCAAGUGUUUUGGUGUCAACUUUGAGCAGCUUUCAGGACUUGGGCAGAUUUGAGCAGAGGCUGGAAACAAUGGUUUUACCAGUGUUUCACUAGGUUUUUGAAUGAGUAAACUUUGUUUUCAUACAACCACAACACACCAAAAUGAAACUUCAUACAUUAUACUGCAAGUUUCAUGUUGGUCAAAAGUUAAAGUGUUUGAGCACAUUAAUUUUAAAAGUUAGUCAAACAAGGCUAAAUAGAAUUACUCUACACAAGAGUUUUCCAAGUAAUGAAGGUUUAAAUGUGAAUUUUGAAUUUGACUUGGUCAAUAAUUUUGACAGGCUACUCGGGAUAUGUGAGAUCAGGUGCAAUAUGAAUAUCAUCUGUAUUAAUUGCUUCAGCUGGCACCCGAAGACAUUUCUUGAGUUGAGAAAGAUGAAAGAUAUUAUGGAGCGCCGAUAAAUGUGGAGGAAGUUCAACAGGAUAAGCCACAGGCCCACAUUCUUCAGUGAUGGGAAAAGGUCCAACAUAGUGAGGCGCUAGAUUUUCCAUCACACCAAAAUGCUGAACAACUUUCAUGGGUGAUACCUGAAGAUACACCUGAUCGCCAACUUUGAAUACAAGUGGUCGAUGCGUCUUAUCAGUGUAAUUUUUCUGAUAGGAUUGUGCCACUUUAAGAUUUGACUGAAUGAGACGGACUUGUUCUUCAGCAUCUUUAACCAAUUUAAUGGUCCAAAGAAAUUUCUCUCACCGACCUCUAACCAAUUUAAUGGUGUCCUACAUCUUCGCCCAUAUAGAGCUUUGAAAGGUACCAUUUGAUACUCUCUUGAUAACUAUUGUUAUAAGAAAAUUCAGCUAGCGGUAGACACUCAUCCCAUUUCUUGCUAUAAGUGAGAAUAUAUGCUCUAAGCAUAUCUUCCAAAAAUCUGAUUUAUUCUUUCAGUUUGACCAUUGGUUUGAGGAUGAUACGUCGAAUUGCGAAUGAGUUGGGUAUCGAGAGAUUCAUGCAAGUGUUCCCAAAAACGAGCAAUGAAUUGAGAGCCCCGAUCAGAUAUGAUUGUUUUUGGAACACCAUGAAGACUCCCGAUACGUGCAAUGUAUAGCUCAGCAUAUUGCUUUGAUUUAUAACUACUAUUUACUGGAAGGAAAUGAGAAGAUUCUGUGAGACGAUCAAUGAUAACCUAUAUAGAAUCAUAUCCUUUAGAAGUUGUGGGAAGGCCAACAAUAAAAUUUCAUACUGAUGUCUUCCCAUUUCCAAGAUGGAAUAUUUAAUGACUGAAGUGUCCCAGCUGAUUUAAGUGACUAGUUUUUACCCUUUGGUAGAGAUCACACUUGGAUAUAUAUAUUUAGCAAUCUCGCCCUUCAUUCUAGUCCACCAAAAUUAUUGUUUCAGGUCCUGGUACAUUUUAUUGCUACCACAGUGGAUAGAUCAAUAACGUGAGAGGUGAGCUUCAUCAAGAAUUAAUUUCUGGAGCUCAAAGUCUUUGGGCACCGCAAGAUGGUUUUUGAACCAUAAAACACCAUCAUCGUCUUGUUGAAAACACCCAGUUUUAAUGUCAUUUUUAGCAAGCCUCUGUUUAAUCUUUACUGUGAGCAGAAAUGAUCCGAGUAUUUCAAUGGCGUUGUGUUCAUUCAAACCAAGUUACGGUUUACAAUUUGUUGCCAAACCCCUGUUACCAUGUACUUACUUUUAGUACUCACACUGGGCAGGAAUUGUAGCUGUCAGCGUCGAACUGCGACAGCGCCGGCAUUCCUCCAUCUUCUAACACCCCGGGUGUUAAUUACAAUCAUUAAUAUUGAACAUGUCAUUAUCAUUUCUGAUCAUGUUGUUCGAAAUACAAUUAAGAAUCUGAACCAACAAUGAACUAGCUGUCCAAAAGUGGUGUUUGAAAAAUCUUGAAUAGUUUUAUACUAAGAAACAAAACUUUCAGAAGAGUCUAAAUUUCUUUAAAAGAAAAGUGGUCGAUAUCUAAGUUGACGCUAAUUUCGAAAUGUUAGAAAUCACCUUUUUAGUGGUUUUGUAAAUAAGUUACCUAUUUGGACUUUGCAAAGUUCAACGUGGAGGGUUUCUAAAAAUUUUAACCAACAAAUCUGUAUGCUAGUUGAUGUCAUCUUUAAAUAAGAAAAACUCAUAAUUUGAAUUUUUGGUAUUGUUCACAUGGAAAUUCUUAGAGAAGUUUGAAAGAGAGUACUCCUUUAAAAAUUCUUGCUGAAUUAAAACAUGUCUUAAAAAACAUAUCAUGGUGAAAUAUCAUGUUCCUACUAAACAUAAUGUUUUAAGUAAAUAAAACUAGAACUCAUGAAGUUCUUUAAGGUGGAAAUCUAAUUCUAAUGGGAAGUUGACUAAUAGUAUUAAAAGCUCCAAAAUGGAAAUUGCAAGUUGAAAUCCUUUAUAAUGAAAUUCAGUUGAAUGAAACUUCCUUAAAUUGAACACUAGAAUUCUUUGUGCAUGCAUAAAUAACUUCUCAUAUCAUUUUCUAUGCUAUGCUUUAUAUGUUCUAAUGACUUUCUUAUUAAAGACAAUAUUAUGGAAUGCCUUAGCUAAAAAUCAAAUUAAAUACUAAUAACAAGUAUAAACAUGGAAAUAUGAGUUUAAUUCCAAAAUCAUGCAUGCAUAAACAUAUUCAAUAAUUUUUCUAGCACUUGAGCAAAUGUGAUGUUGCUUUUCUUUCUAAAUGAAAUUUAGGAAAUAUUUUGGCUAUUCUUCUAAAUUAAAUAACAAUAAAAGUGUGCAUAUGGAAAAUAUGUAAAUUAUACUUAAAUAAAGUUGGAAGUGUUAGAUGAAUCAAUUUUGAGUCCUGAACAUGUUUGAGUAUUGAAAUAAAUUCGAAAUCCCAUUUUUGCUAUAUUAGUGUUGGUUUACUCCAACUUAGUCAUCUUGGGGUGCCAUUUAAAAUUUUUUUUGCUAAACACUCUACUUUUAGCCAAUACAAACUUUGUAGUCCUUCCUAUUUAGCUUCACAUGGAUAUCAUCUUGAGUGUGAAAACCUUAUUUAAUAGUUAAAAUUCGAGAACAAAUAUUGGUCAACCCCUGUUUUCACUCAAACUCUGAAAGUUUCUAAGUCCUUCAAUGCAUGGCUGAAGUUUACAAGUUUCUAAGUCCCAUGUUUUGGAGUGGUAAACUCCAUAUUUUACUUAAACACAUAACCAAGGUCUUGAUCAAAAUGAGUCGUAUUAUGAUUUAAGUUUACAUGAACAUUCUUGCUGUUAAAUUUGGAUCAUAGUUGGACAUUCAAAAAUCGACUUAAAGUCAGCCAAAUGCAAAUAGAAUCUGUCAGCUAUCAAUCUCUGAAAAUUCAGUUAAAACAGAUUAAUCGCAAGAUUUGAGCCUCUGUAACUUCAAAUCCGUAGAUUGUUUGGAUAGGAACCAUUAAUGAAAGUUAUAGAAGGAUGCUUGUUCUACAACUUUGAUGAAGAUUAUAAGUAUAGGUUAUGCAUGAAAUCGGGGAGUUUUGAUGGGACGAACAUAGUCAGUUUGAAUGUGUUCGCGCGCGAACUGAAUCGCUCGGUUCAUUCGGACUUGGCCCGACCGUGAUCAGAAAAACGCCGACAUGUGGCGCUCAUCUUCUGCCGGAGAGCCUCGGCGUCGCCACGACCAUGACCACGCGCCUCGCCCUCCACCGCACGCUCGGUUCACAUCUUCCGAAUUCUCAGUCAAUCUCUCUCUCUUUCUUCUUCCUGGCAAGGAACUGAACCACAGAACAGCUCCACCAGCAGGCUGAUUUCUCCCUGCUCCGCCCACCAUUCCCAAAUCUCCGCCUGCCGAGCCUUCCCCACCUCCCAAAAUCCACUCGCCACCACUCAGCAGCGCCGUCCAUGGCUCCUCCGGCGGGGGAUUGACAAAUCCCCUCCCGCCAUUGCCGCCGGCCCCGAGCUCGGGCACCACCGGUGAACUCCCCCGUACCGGCCUCCUCUUCCACCACCGACCGCCAAAACGGAACCCCGGUGAGCCCUAGAUGCUCUAGCCCCUAUUUCCCCGUUUCCUCCGCCGCCGUUGUCGCCGCAUUUUUGGCUGGGCCGCCGCCGGUGGUCUGUAUCGUCGCCGCUCAUCGCCGGCCGGGUCUAGCCGCUGUUCAGUAGGGUCUUUGGUGGGUAUGCGUGCGUCUUGAUGCGCUGAAACUGUUGGUACAGGUCUCCUCGCUGGAAUCCUCGCCGCCGGCGUGGAUUCGCCGGUCAAGCCGGCAGGGGUCGGCUUUGACCCGGUGGUGACCUGGCCUGGGUCGGGUUGGUCGCCGGCCCAGCCUGUCUGUGGGUUAGAGUGUAUCCGGGUAGCAAAAGUUUUCCCUGGGAAUUUUGAGUAAUAACGAUCAAUUGGUUUAUGUAAAUCUUGACUGAAACUUGAUAAAUGAAUCGUAAAUUGUAGAAAAAUACUAAAAAUAUGAAACCCAUUUUUUUGGAUCUUCAGUGACUCAUGCUACAUUUGAAAAAUGAUAGACAUGGUGAAAUGACUAUUUUGCCCUUGGUACAAAUCAGUGUAUGCAUAAUAGAGUAUAAUGUGUAUAAAUAUUUCUGUCGACCCAAAAAUCAUGAAACAUUCACAGUAGAGUACUCUUAUGUCAUAUUAGUUUCUGUUAAGUUUUCAUAUCCAGAAACCAUAUGUCGGUACUUAAAUAAAUUUAUCACCAUCUUGGCAUUUCCUUAUUUUGAUAAAUAUUUUCUGUUUAUAUAAAAUCUUGGUAAAUUCAUCUAAAAUAAUUUUUUAGUAUUUUAACCAUGCUAUAUCUUGUUCAUCACCAGAAUGUGUUCACAAGUUCGUUUAGUGAAUAUUCCUUGUUUGUAGCUACAUUUACCUUAGUAUAAAUAAAAAUGGUUGUAUGUAAAUUCUAUUAGUUUAAUUUCUGGUGAUAUUUGUUACUGUUAAUAGUUCAUUUUAGGACAUGAGAAUUGAUAAAAUUGAUUAUCUCUAGUUGCCUCCUAUUUAAAACAUAAUAAUUCACUAGUUAGCUAUUUUCUUUCUUCACGGAAAUGUUGAUAUGUUUUUGAGUUAGAUUCAAUAACUUAGUUAAGGAAGUCCUUCAAACCAAAGAAAUAAUUAAAUCUGAACACCAUCAUGGUAGUUUCACCAUAUUUCUUUGCGUAGUUUUCUAUAUGUUUUUUUACUCAAUAAAUGGCUGCCCAAUUUUAUGUGAGAAAAUAUGCAUCAUUUUAAUCUUGCAUUGCACAUUCAUGUAGAGUCCACAGCUGAGAACUUCAUGUACGAGUUGGUCACUGAGCCCAAAGGGCAACAAGAGCAGCAACAAGAUUCAGUCCAAGGUCCGGAAGAGCCCAGUGCUAAGCAGCAGAAAGAAGGCAAGCCGCAGAGCAUAAUCUCUAAUUUUAAAAUUAUGCAAUGUUCUUAGUUAUGUAUAUGUGCAUUAACUUUUCACGAGUUGGAUGAAACCAUACUAGUUGUUAUAUACUAAGUAUGUGUAGCUCGAUAAAAAUGCUAUGCUUAAUUAAGUUUGGUAUAAGUCGAGUGAUUGCAUGUUACUCGCCAUGUUACUCGCGAGGUAUAGGAUCACUUUAUAUACUUGUGGUUAAUUCUAAAAUAAAUGGUUCACACGAUAAAUUUGGAGACCAGGCGGAGAUGAGAAUGAUUAUUAUGAUGUUGUUGGUUGCGUAGCUCUGCCUGUGUUGAUUAAGGCAUGUUCGUUGUUGGUCUUGUUGAUCGAGUUUGAACAGGACUAAUCCUAUGCUCGGAGUAGGAGGUAGUCGAAACCGGUAAACCUAUGUACCUUAUUGCACGCUGGUAAGUUGAGCUUGAUACUGACUUCUUCACCAAAUACUAGUCUGUAACUCAUGUCUCUGACUCGUCGGGGUAUAGGUAGGGACUAGUACUUGAGGGUCGCGGGGUAGUUCAAGUACUUAGCGCUCUUUAAGAGAACGGUUAUCAUGCGCAACUCGACGGGGUAUGCAUAUAUCAUGUGAUUAGGUAUACCUUGCAAGGGAUCAAAUUGAAUCGAUGUCUCUAACCCGUCGAGGUAUAGGUAGGGACUAGUACUUGAGGGUCGCGGAGCAGUUCAAGUACUUAGCGCUCUUUAAGAGAACGGUUGUCAUGUGCAACUCGACGGGGUAUGCAUAUAUUAUGUGAUUAGGUAUACCUUGCGAGGGAUCAAAUUGAAUCGAUUUGUCGCACUCUUCGUUAUGAGAUCUUGAUCACUGAGUCACAUCGCUAGUAAAGAAGUGAAUCCGAUGAUGUUGUGUCGUUAAAUUAAUUACUUGUCUCAUUCCUUUGGUUUAUUUAUCUUGCAAGCAUAUAAAAUAGUUGCUCUCACUUUAAACUUGAUGCUAAAAUAUUGAAAGUAAGGAUCCCCUCUUAGUAGCUUUUGGGCAAAAUAAGCUGUCGAUGUUUUAUACCUGGCAACCUACUGAGAAGUGUCUCGAGGUAGUAGGUUGGUUGGUGGGGAAUCGUCGGACCUGAAACUUGAAGGUAAAAGUGAGAACACGAGAUACAAAUUUAUACAGGUUCGGGCCACCAGAGUAGUGUAAUACUCUACGUCCUAUUUGGGGUGUUGUAUAUAGCGCCCUGCGUUUGUGUUGGGGGGAAAUAUUAACGACCUCCAAAAGCCCAUGAAAAUAACAAAUCAUAAAGGCCCAAGCCCACCUAGGGCGAUAAAGACUACCGUCGGCCCAACAUGGGAGGAGAGAGCCACGCUCUGCCGCGCCCGACCCAGUGUCCCGUGGUCGGGCGUCCCCGACCCCUUGAAGACCAAGCUCCGCCUCGCUCGACCCGCGGGCCUGGGGUCGGGAGCGCCCGACCCCCCGCCGCAAUACCUCACCUCGCUCGACCCAGGCACAAGGGGUCGGACUCACUCGGGCCUACCCGACAAGUAUCCGCCUCGGGCGCAGGUCUCGUGGGUCCCCCUGUCGAUCUUGCCAUAAAUGCGCCGCAGUUCUGACACGCAGAAGGGUGUUCGUGUCCCCGACGCAACCUGCCACAAGUACCCAUGCGCAGCCGCGCGGUACAGGCUACAGUGGCUGCGGCUUCCUCCGAUUCGCUACAGGGCACUCAUGGCCUGCGCCGCCCGGAGCGGGAGGAAGCCGCGCCCGUUCUCGCGCCCCGCGCAUCCGGCGACAGGGACGCGACAUCCGCCUUCCGCGGGCCGUCAGCAAGAUGGCGGGAUCAACCACCUUCCCCAACGGACACAGGUGCCACGACGAAACACCGUCAUCACGUCUGGCGGCGACAGCCACCGAGGAGACCGUCAACAGGACUCGACGGCGGCCGCCCUCUUCCAGCGAACGCGCCGGCAGGAGCCGAAGGCCGGAGAGGACGCCGGCGGCCUAGGGACUUGGUCCCUCCCCUUGUGUUGUACCUCACUUGACUUAGCUUGUCUCUUUGACUUCUCCUCACACCCGGCCUCCUUGCACUAUAAAAGGAGAACCGGGGGCCCUAAGGCAGGGGACUCGAACUCUUUCCAUCGAACAGAACACACUCAUACUCUCCUUAGAGCAUCAGGGCACACCCAAGAGACCUGGGAUCAGCUCCCUCUCUCGCCCUCCUGUAACCCCUACUACAGACCCCGCAUGGGCAACACGAGCAGCUCCCGAUACUGGACGUAGGGCUCUUCCUUACCUGAACCAGUCUAAACCCCGUGUCUCCCACGCCACCAUCCGAAGCCUUACGCGCAUAAAAGAAAUUUACUAGUCUAAGUCUUGAUCCGCUAAUCUUGACAACGACAGUUUGGGUGUUGUGUAGCCUGAUUAUUGGCUUUUGAUGAUGGUUCUAGGCCUUGUUGGUCUAAGGUCCCGAUCUGGAUACCCCUGCCCUCCUUUAUAUACUUAGGGGGUAGGAUUACUAGUCGGUUACAAGGUGUCCUAGUAGGAUUACAUGGUAUGAGUUCUAGUAGGAUUAUAGAGGAAUCCUAGUACGAGUCCGUCUUCUUCCUUUCCUUGCGGGUACUAAGAAUCUAUCCCCGAUAAGUCCCUGAGCGCUUCAUAGUCGAAUGUAGCAGCCUUCGAGUAGUUUUAGUGCUCUUCGAGUACUUUGUCUGGUUGAAUCUUCAAAGGUUCUCAAAGCUGUCAUGAGGCUAUGAUGUGCUCAAGCCUUGAUAGUCUUGAUUUUGUAAUCUCCAUCUUUGGAAUGUAAUAUGGAGGGUAGCGAAAGUUGCACUCCAUAUGGAGUAUUCCCCGAGCCUUACGUUGAAUCGAAGAAUCACGUUGAGGGUCAAUAAAAUGUUGAAUCUUCUUAUUUCAUCUUGAAAAAAAUCUUAGGUGUAGUUUAUCAGCCCUCGAGCCUUGAAAUGAUUAAAUAAUCAAUCCAGAGUCUUUAAUCAGCCCUCGAGCCUUGAAAUGAUUAAAUAAUCAAUCCAGAGUCUUUAAUCAUGAUGUAAGUCAUCAUCCGAGUAGUUUUGCGGCGUCCAGCCCCUGAGCUUAUGCGCCAGGUGGGCCAUAGGAACCAUAUCGAGUAGUUAUUGGCACUGAACCCCCGAGUUUUGAGAGCUAGCGGAGCUAUUUCGAGUAGUAAUUUGUGCUUUAGCCCCCAAGCUUGGAAGAUAGGUACCUGGAGAGUCAUCGUCGAAGCUUGACCUAUAAAAAGAGAUGCAUAAAUUAUGUAGCAUAUCUGUAGAAUUUGAAACUACUGAAAUUUAUUCAGUAAUGAAUGUAAUGUAAAACUAUUGAGCUUUUCAAUGAGAACAUCAUAUUUUUCAUUUGACACAUCCUCCAUGCUCUCAUUGUUCUCUUUGAUAGUCAUUCAUAGCUUGUUAGUAUUUCCAAAAGUAAACACACGAUUGAAAACAUUUUCACUAAGUGAGGGUAAAAUAAUAUUUUUGAAAAUCACAUCAUAUUAUUUUUCUUGUUGCCCAUUAUUUUUCACGCCCUCACAGUGACUCUCCAAACAUUAAAGCCCUUGCUUGGAGAAAUGCUUCCAUGAGAACUUUCCAACGUUGGUAACCCGUGCCAUCGAAAUGUGGAGCCAAACCUAUUGAAUCCAUCCCUUACCCCUAUCGAGCUAACUCACUAGGCAGUGAAGCCUAGCCGUUCCCCUAUCGAGCUAACUCACUAGGCGGUGAAGCCUAGCUGUUUCCAAUUAGCUGGUUUCACAAUUUGCCAAUGGAAUUGGCGACUCUUUGUGAAAGAUAUGAGCCCUGGCUCUGAUACUUUGUAAGGAAUCAGUGCUCGUAGCCUAAGAGUGGGCGGGGUUGAAUUAGGCAACUUAAAACUUUAACCUAUGGCUUUCACUACUUUUGCAUCAAACUUAAACUAGAUCAUGCUAUCAAGAUGUGCAACUAUGAUUGAUUUAGUGUGAAACCCUCAUCCCAAAAUAAGUUUUUGCAACCUACAUCCAAUCCUAGUAAAAGAUACUACACUAAAAAUGUAAAGACACACAAGUUGCAAGUAUGAAAUGCGAAAACGUAAAAGGUGAGGAUGAGGGGAAGCAUACUCUUGACACAAUGAUUUAUCCCGUGGUAUCAAUAGGCACUAAGCCAUCACUAAUCCACGUUGUUGAAGCACUCAUACAAGAGUAGUGCUUCUCGGUCACCAAGUUUCUUCCAGGACACCCCUUUACUUGCCAUAAAAGCUUGGACACUAAGGGUCACGCCAAGCUUCUCCACUAAGGAAGAGGGUCUCUAUGUCCCCUGCACACGGUCAUCGACACCGCUCCACACCAAGCCGGAGGGUCGAAGACUUGCCGGUGAGCCACCAAGGUUCCAAGGCGCCGGCACACCUUGUACAGCUGUGAUUCACUCCUUGAACCGAUCAUGAGGUAGGCACACCUUGCACUCUCUCUUCCCUAUGCCUAUUCUAGCACUAAUCACUCUUCUAAACUUGUGAUAAGCCUUUGAAUAAUCACUUAUACACUUUAGAUGGCUUGUAUGUGUUCUUGAUGAGUCUUGAUCUCGAAUGAAAUUCUACACACUCCAGUAACUUUAAAUGGGUGAGUAGAGGGGUAUAAAUAGUCCAAGGCAUCAAAGAGCUAUUGCUCCAACGACUAGUUAAAGUGUACCAUCGGAUGUUCCAAUGGUAUGCUUUUAGGUAGCAUCAGAACAUCCGAUGCGACUAGCCGUUGGCUCCUCCGCAUCCAACUUCUUCAAGAAUUCAUCCGAUGCUUUAUCCGAUGGCUAAAACGAACUGGAUUUUUAUUUCUGAGAAUCCGACUCCUUGUACCCUUCUGAUAGUUCCUGGAUUAGUAGCUAUCAUGUAAAGAACUCAUUUCAGCAUAAUAUCAUUUUCAUACAAAGAAAUCAGAGUACAAUAUUUAAUAUUUACAUCUGAAUCAACCUGGAAUACGAAUAUGAUACAGGUCCCUUGGGCUAAACAACAAACAAAAUUCAUACACAGCGGUAGCUAGGUUUUCAAGUCUUCAUCUUCGAUUUUCACCACAGGCAUCCUUGAGCGAAGCAACGCGACCGUUCCUUCAUGAAUUCUUCGUGAUCGGACUUUCACUCCAAGUCUAUACCUGCACACUCACUAACUAUCCCCAAGGAAUGGGAGGAAUGGGACAGGUCCACAUCACCAUCCGUAUGCAAGCUUUAAGUGUCCUAAUGCUAGUAUUCAAAAGUAGUCAAGGAAUAGGCUCGGGUUUCCUAUGCAGUAGCAAGCAUAAAGAAUAAAACUCCAUAUCCAUCAAUCCAUCUCUCAUCACAUCGGGGACACCUAUCACCCCAGGGUCCUAUCACUAUCAACCUAUCUCCAUCACUAGGGUCGAUGCAAAAGCUCCCUCUCUUCGCAUCCCAACAAUUACAGCCGGAUCUUGAAGGAAAAAGGAGUAACUUCUCCUCACCCCAACUACAAUUGCGGCUCACAACACUCAUAUGUAGCUAAAAGGGGAAGGUAGAGAUAUCCCAAAACAAUGGAGAGUCGUCGUGACACUGGAUUGUCCAUGACUGAGGACGCGGCUAUAUGUAUAGUUUUAACUCUUCAGAGUGUGUACACCUGGACCCAUCUCGGAGUGAGACAGCCAGGGAUCAGCCGACUGAACAUCACCCUACCAAGCGAAGGUUAGAACCUGGGAGUUACGAUACCAUCCUGCAACUAGGCUCGGAUGCAAUCCCCCAUACUGGACCGCCCCGGAAUUGCGAAGCACUCCCACCGGGGCCAAUCGGGGGCAAAAGCAAAUCAGGGGGCAAAAGGUCAACACCACUCCCACCUACAUUGAUACUCUAUCCUACGGCAGGUAUGGUACCGCACUUGCCAGUCUUGACAUGAGCCUAAAUGCAUAAUUCAGCGAGUGGCGUGCACGUUUAACAUAUUCCCGUGAAACAUGACGACCCACUCGGUUUCAGACUAGGGUGAGCUCCUAAAUCAAAAAGCGUCUCCACAACAUGGUCCGCAACGGCACCCAUAAGAGGCAUCACCCCCAACUCCUAUGCUCCUCAACCAUAUACUCGCAACAAGUAGUACUCGCAACAAGUACCAAACAGGAAACGUUCGAGAACGGACCCCAAGCCCCCAAUCCGAAUAUUGGAUUGUGUAAAACUCACCUCCAUCAAGUAUCCUAAAAACACAUUCUCCUGCUGAUUUUAAGUAAUAUCCACACACGCCAAGAAUCCUAAUCACAAUAUCCCAUGCACAUGCAUCGCACAUAGCACAUAUAAGUAAUAUGGCAAAUAAGGAUUCAAGGCAUAAAGUAGGCUAUGCAUGGUUCAUCAUCAUCAUACGAGGAAAUAAAACGCUAACAUACUAGUUAGCAAUGCCUAAUGGGUAUUCAAAUCGAAUGGGCGUGAACCUGGAGUUGCUUUCUUCCUCGUAGUGGUCCUCAAAAGGCUUCGGCUCUAGUUUUCAGCUCUGAGUCUCUAGCAAGUCCUAAUUACACGAUUAUCAUAAUUACCGGGGUCUAUUUGCAAAGAAAAUCCAAAAGAUAUCCAUAGAAGAUCCAAAAAAAUAACAAGGACUAGUCUAUCGUGUGCUUCAUGAUUUUAGAAAAAUUAUGAAACUAGUUUCACAAUUUUUGGAGUUAAGAUGAAUUAGUUAUGAAUUUGUGAAGUUUAAAUCAAUUUGUGAAUUUUCAAAUAAUUCAAGAAAAUAAGAAAAAUUACAGAGGUGACACGUGGUAGCACCAGAGCGCUCCACGCGUCUUGCUGACGUCAUAAGUGGGCUCGGAUGAUGUCAGCGUUGACUCGGUCACAAAGUCAACAGUCAACAUUUGACCGGUCAACGGGUCCACAGUUCGGUGGGCCCCAUGUGCUGACGUGGCACCCUGGUAGCUAUAGGGUAGCUGUAGGUUGGCUUUAGGCUGGCUAUUGGCUAGCUAGAGUUUAGGUGGCGCACACGCAUUAGCCAUGCGGCUGCUAAAUCCGCGACCACGUGUGAUCUUUAGGUGGCUUUAGGGGGGCUAUAGGCUGGCGCUAAGGCUGAGGUUGCAGCCCACGUGGCGCUGGCGUAGCUGCCACUUGGGCUUGGUCCAUGGCACGGCUCGGGCGCUCGAUCCACCGGGAACCACAUACCAUGGUUCAGGCGGGGUUUCUUUUUCCCCCUCCCCUCCACCGUGGCUACGGACGGGGCUAGCCAGAGUUAGCUCUCCUAGUGGCCCUACGACGAGUUGCAGGCUAAAAGUAGUCGCCUGGCCCUAUCUCAAGUCGGCGAAGCGUUUUGUGGAGUCGCGGGACGACAAAGCUGCCGGUUCUAGGCAGCGACGCUCAGGCAGCUCCGGCGAGGUGGUGAGGCGCGCGUUAGGCUGCUGUUGACGGGCCAAAAGCACGUGCUUUGGCACGCGGGCAUCACACUGCGGCCACACUGGCGCUCAGGCAACCCUUGCGGGUUCCAAUGGUGGUGGUUAGGCUCGGCGACGCUAGCGAGCGGCAGUAGCACGCCGAGGGACAGCUGGAAAAGGUGUGCGUGGACGUUGGCGUGCGGUUAGGCCAAGGCCCGGCGAGCAAGGCUCGCGGGGCGCAAAGGCCGCACCUUAGGGAUUUUCCCCAGGGUAUUGGCUGCGGCGGCCGCCACGGCGGCGCACCCAAGCGGCUAGUCAUGUCGUGCGUGCGGUGAUGUCGUGGCGAGCGGUGGCACCUGCACAAGUGCGGCUCAAUGGCCAGAUAGAGGCAGCGCGUGUGGAGAGGCUAGGCGAGGCGUGCGGGUCCGCGGAGUUCCACGGCCGCAACCUUGACUAUGGUGACGGGCGGCGGCAUAGGGCGGAGGUGGCGUCUCACCUUGGUGGCUCGGUGGCGCGGGCUCGGUGAGGUGGCGAGGUGAGGUCGGGCGGGUUGAGGCCGUCCAGGACGUGCGGGAGCGUUGAUGUUGUCGUUUGGGGUGCCGGCUCGACGGUGGUGGCAUCGUGGACGGCUCCAGGCGAUGGUGUCUCCUCUAUGCUCCGGUUCCUCCCCCUUCCCCCUUCUUCCUUCCCUUGGUGGCGGCGGUAGAUGGGAAGCCCCUAGGGCAUGUGGCUGCCGGAACCGAUCAAGGGUAAGGGGUUUUAUAGGGGCUUGACUAGGGUUUGGGUGCUGGGACUCGGUUGGAUGGCUGACGAUCUUUGGGGUGCAUGCAGGGGUGGUGUGGCGUGCAUCGAGUGGUUCCCUGGGCUACGGUUGGUGCACGCCGGGGUGCGGGGGCGCGAAGCGGGGCUUAUGGAAGCCUCCCACAGCUUCCUUGUCAUGGAGCAAGGGCAACGCACGGCGUGUCAGCGCGAGAGGCGGGAGGAAGGGGAUAAAGCUAAUAGGCGGCGCUCGUCUGUCAGCGAGGGGUGAGUGGGAGCGGGGGCGGGCGGAGCAGGUCGGAGUGGGUUGGCUUGUUGGGCUGUCGGGCAUGCAGGCCUCGCCUAGAAUCGAAUGGGUUGGCAAGCCGAUGGAGUUAAGGGGCCGGGGGGGUUUGUGGGCCAAGGGUGGUUUCGGCCCAGGUGGGAAUAGGAGUUUAGUUAGUUUUUGAUUUAAUUCAAAUUUGAAUCCUAGAAUUCAAAUUUGACUUCACUCAAUUAAAAUUCAAAUAAAGGCCAAAUAAAAUUUCAAAUAGCACUCUAGCAACAUAUGACCCUAAGAAUUUCAGUUUAAUUCAAAUUUAAUCUAGGAAUUUUUUUGUAGAUAUUUAAUGAAGACAUCCUUCUAAUUUGAAUUUUCACUCCACUUUCAACAAUUUUUUUUGAAAUUCACCUUUUUGCAAAAACCGACAUUUGAAAAUUUGCGGGAUGUUACAAUACCAUCGGAUCAUCUUGUGCUGAAGAAGUUCUAGUCAAAACGUAUUUGGAACUUCGCAAAGUAAAUAUGCUUUGUCCGAUGCCUCGAGCUUCUAGCCAUCGGAACAUCCGGUGCUAUAGAGUUUCUAUGUCUUCUCUACGAAUUGCUCCGAUGCAUGUAAAAUAAAGGCUGUCAGAUCAUCCGGUGCACUUGAAUUUUUCCCUGAUUUUCCCAUUGUAGUAAUUGCUUCGAUGGUUAGUUCAAUGCUUGCUCCGGUGAACCAUCGGAACAUCCGAUGAUAUUGAAUUUUCUAAGUUAAAUACCACCACUUGCACAUCGAAAAUACUGUCAGUUGGAUUUUCUCUAGAUUUUCUCUGUCAUUUGGAUGCUUGAAUACCAUAGAAUAAUCCUAGAUAGCAUGGUGUCAUUUGGAUGCUUGAAUACCAUAGAAUAAUCCUAGAUAGCAUGGUUUGGUCACUUGAAUACCAAAAGCUUGGAUGCUUGAAUACCAUGAUUUGGAUAUCAAGAAUACCAAAGCUUGGAUACUUAAAUACCAUGCUUUGGAGCUUGCCAUGGUUUGGUUUGCAUACUUGGAACCUAGAAAACCUACAAGGCACAUGCUUGACAAACCAUUAGUUCCAAUGGCUAUGUUGUCACUCAAUCACUAAAAUCACAAACUUUGGCCUAAUUGGGGCCAUGUUCGCUACAAUCUCCCCAUUUUUGGUGAUUGGUGACAACACAAUCAAAGCAAGCAUAAAUUUGCAAAAAUUGACCAAUUGAACCACUUACACUUGCUUGGAUGCUUACCACCAUCCAACUUGAACUUUAUUUCCCCCUUAUUCAUCCUCAUCUUAUUUUACUUGUCUCCCCCUUUGACAUAUUUCUCCCUCUUUCUUGAACUUCUCCCACUAUGUAUGUUCACCCCUAGGCCUUUCUUGCUUUGAUUCCACACUUCUCCCCCUUUGAAAUCAAAUCACCUAAAAGGUGGUUCCAAAGACUUGCAAAGCAAAAAGACCUUGAUGGCACUAUUUGAAAUGUGCCACUUGUAAAUGAUAUCACUUGAAAAUGACACCACUUGUAAGAGGCUUAGAGAGAAGCACAUGAGGUAGCACAAGGAUGGGGAAUGUAUGAGUACAUUGCCUUUGAACUUAUAUAUGAAAUGUAAGAUCACAAGGACAUGACUCAAUAAGCAUGAAAGUGCUCAUAUUAUUUUUAUCACUCUUAUGAUUUGUUAGUUCUAUCCAACAACAAUUGUGAGCGACCAGUCACAUGAAGAAGCGACACUCAGGGGGCGCCCAAGAUUUCCAAAUACACUCAUAUGGGCAAAACCAAGAGCUUCCUCAAUAAGUGCAUCAUAGGCAGAUUUAGUUGUAUAGUCUCUUGAGUCUGAAAGCCUCGAAAUAAGCUUAUCAGGAUCCCCUCUUGUAGUACCAUACCUUCUAAUAUAUCCCAUAGUUCAAGAUAUUCCAUUAAUGCUUCCACGGUCCCCCUGAGUAUCUUCCAGCCAUUUCCCAUCAUCAAGUGUAGCCAUAACUGGACCGAAUACGUUCUUGCUUGCUAGCCUGCUGACAUUUGGGCCACUUGAAGCGUCCCCACAUAAAUAGAGACUAAAUGUGAUACAAUUAUCAGUCCCAGGAGGCUGAUAACACAUUUAUUCGACAGAUAAUUCAGUUACCGUACAACUCCCGAGGGAGCGGACGUGAAAGCCACGCAGUGAUAAUAAGUAAAUAAACAACAGCGGCUAACCAAGCGACUGCCAAAAGACAGCACUCGGGACUAUACGGUAGCAGCAGCAUCUUGGAAAGGCCAGCACCACAGGCAGCGUUGGGUGCGGACAAAACCUCUACUCAAGGUCUUCGGCGAUGAAGUCCGGGUCUUCCUCUGUAGUAACGAAGCAAGGGUGAGUACGAACGUACUCAACAAGUCCAACCCCAUCCACGGAGGGGGAUACAAUCAAGUAUAUGCACAGGAUAAAUCAAGGAUAGGCUAGAGUUUAUUUGCAAUAAAGCUAGGUUUUUCAACACAUGCAAGGGCUCGUUUUCAAACAAAUUUUCGUAAAGCUUUUCUUUAGUAACCGAAACAUUAAGUGGGGUUGAUCCUACACAAAGGAUCCAAGUUUUAUCGCUAUCGGACUCCCCGUCCGCCAUAGCGCACGGCACAACUGCCGGACACUUCCAAAAUUCCACACACGCACGCACACACACACACACGACAAACAUGCCCAAGUGCUAAUUAUGUGAUCAAGCCGUAACUCGUCCAAUACAGUGGACACGGCUACCCGGAUAGGUUUUAACUCUGCAGAGGUUGUACACUUUUCCCACAAGUAGGGUACCGCAGCAUGAUCACCUUAGUGCCAGUGCGGAUCCUAACAAAGCCAUUACCCACCUUAGCUAAGACUGGCUAGCCUUCACGGAAGCACCCAAGGGGUUCACGGCUCAUCCACGAGACCGUAACCGGGACCUAAGUCACCAAGAUCUUACUCCUUUUUCAUGGGCUCCCGUUGCUCACCAGCAUCCCUGAAGACUAACAGUUUAGCUAGUGGGAUUUAUGCUAAGUCGUUGCCCAUACAACGGUCGAGUGGUUGCACGAUGGUGGAAUUAGGCAAGAUGACACAUCAACUCGGUCCUUAAUCAUGACAAGAUGGAUAUCUCCCGACAUUGCUCAACCACCAAGGUACGAGCACCACACCCUGGCAUCCCACACAAGGAAUACCCAUCCAUCCUGUCUACACAUCCUUUUCCCUUGAACCCAAAAAGCCAUUUUUCUCACUUGCACACACACACACACACAUUUAUUUUCCGAAUACACCAUUGUAAUAAUGAAUGCAGUUAAGUAGUAAUUUCCUAAGCAUUCUAGCGGUGGUUAUCGACUAAAUAGAGCGUGUCAUGUUUACAGACAACCAUAGGAUAACAAGGAAUGUUCAUAACAAUCAAGGGGUGGCUAUCCAACCAUAUCUUGCAAUGAAAUAAUAUGCGUUUUGUAAAACAGGCCAAUAGGUUGUGUUUGAAAACUAGGUAUUAAGUAUGCAUCAAAGGGUGAGAUUGGACUUGCCGUCUUCAAAGCCUUUCGGGAGUUCCAGCUCGUGCUGCUGGUCCUCGGGCUCGGGCUCGUGGUCAAACACCUCCUCGGGAUCUUCCUCGGGCAAUCCACGAUUUACGGCACACACAAACGGACACACAAAUAAAUAAAAGAAAGAUCAGUUUUUAACCGUGAGCUUCGAACAGAAAACGUGAACGGAAAUUUGGAGAUGGAUCGGCGAAAGUAUUUCGGAGGAUGACGUGGUAAAAUUUGGGAUCAAUUGGAGGAAGUUUGGCGCAUGAACUGACGGGUUAAGCAUGAAUUAGGGGCUUAAAUAGGAGGUUUGGGACUGAUUUGUAAUAAACCACGGACCUAUUUGUGAAUAAUUUUGGAGGUGGAGGGGUUUAUCCGCGAAUAGGAUUAUGAGAGUGGUGGAAGGACUAUUUCGCGAAUAGCAGAUUCUUUGGGGGUUAGAUUGGAAUUUUGUGGUUUCUGCUUCCUUCCUCUCCAGGAACUUGGAGAGGGAGAGAGAGAGAGUGUGGGGGUUGACCGGCGGCGAGCCGAGGGCCGGGGCGGCAGAGGAAGUGGAGGGGAGCCCAUUUUGCCUCUCACCUCGGGGCUUUGAGGAUGGGGAAGGGGGUGGCCGGCGGGAGGUGGCGGCGCACGGGUGGCGGUGGGAGGCGGCGGCGCACGGGCGGUGGUGGCGAGCUGGGGUGGUGGUGGAGUGGCAAGGGAGGCCGGGCGAGCGGCCCUUUUUAUAGGCUGGCGAGGGGCGGCCGGCGGUGGGGGACCGGGCGGCCGGCGGUGUGCGGCAUGGGGGUGGGGGCCGGGCAGGCCGGGCCGGCGGUAGGGGCUUGGGCGCCGUAGGAGGGCGUCGCGGGGAGGGCGGCACAGCAAUGGUGGCGUGUGGCAGGCGGCACCGGAGGAGAGGUAGGGGCCGGCGGCGGGCGGCGUGGAGCGGGGACGAAGGUGGGGCCGGCGCAGGAGGUGCGCGGGAAGGGGUCGGCGGGGUCGGGCGGCGCGGAGCGGGGCUGGAGGCGGGGUCGGCGGGGUCGGCGGGGUCGGGCAGCGGCACGUGGCCCAGGGUGCGGGUCCCAGGCAGCCGGCGGUAUGGUGCCAGGGAGGUGCAGACGCCGGGGGAAGUAAUGGCGCCGGGGAGGGACCGGCCCAAGGAGUGGCGUCAGGAACCGGGAGGAGUGGCACCAGGAAGAAGAAGAAAGGAGGAGAGAGAAGACGGAGGAGGAAGAAGAAAAAGAAAGGAGAAGGGAGAGGAAAAAGAAAGGAAGAGGGAGGAAACAGAGAAAGAAAGAGGGGGAACCGGCGGCGAUUGCGGCACGCGGUCGGAGCACGCGCGCGGCAUCUGACAAUGGCACACGGUGGAAAAUACGGGCACGGAUAAAGAGAUAGGGGUCGGCUUGGGUGCCGGGACGGCGAAAUCGCUGGGGAGAUUUUCGAUUUUCGAGAGCUCAGCGGUAAAAAGAUUUUGAAGGCGAUUUUUAACGGGUGAUUUUAGUUGGUGAUUUCCGCGGAUGUUACACCACUCAAGAGUCAAUAUGCGUCUAUUUCAUUAAGAUCCCUCCGAGACAAGCGUCCAUUUGAUAUUCACACGAGAUGAGAGACCAAUUUGAGAUGUGCCUUUGUCUAUUUGUGAUGAGUGAUUGACUAGAUGAUUUGAGGCUGUACUGGUUGAGUUCAUAUUUCAUAUGUGCAUGAUUAUGCUAACAGCUAACCGGAUGUGUUGUGUUGUGUGCGUUGUGUUGUGGUGUUUGCGUAAACCAUGUAUUGUGUGUUGUGUCUCUUGGCUUAUAAUGUGCAGGUGUAGGAUUCGACAUGGCAGUCGACAACAUGAGGUGAAGGUCAAGCGAAAGGUUCAUGCCGAUGUACUAGAGCUAUGAAGGCUGGACACAAGAAGGCUUGGACCGAGGGAUCCGAGAAGUCCGGACGGAUUCAUGGGUGAUCCACAUGGUGCAGAGAAGAGCAAGAGUACACAAACGGGAUGGAGACAGCGUCGGUCGAGUCAAGCGGGACGGAGGCGAGUCAAGUAGGUGGCCCGGGAGCCGGGAGCGAAAGACUUGGAGGUGUCAAAGGCUUGACGGAGGCCAGACACGCAUCAACAUCGGUGAGUCACGUCAUGCGUGGCGUGCAAGAGGGUUUGACCAGUUUGACCUCAAAACCGGGGAUGAGUCACGCCUGUGGGGUGUGCAAGAGGGUUUGACCGGUUUGGCCUCAAAACUGGGGGACGAGUCUGGUGUGGCUAGAUGGUGUCAAGUCAGAGGAUGCGUGGCACCAUCGCGAAGCAUGCAUCGAGGCGAAGCUAAGUCGUGAAGGCGCUGGGUCCAUCCGAUGUAUGAGGAAAAAGUUGGAUGAUUUUACCCCUAUGGGGUAUUUGGAUUGUAUGCUUAAUGUAAGGGCAAUUUGGACAUUGGCCAAAUUCCUAUAUAUGUGUAGGAGGGCUGUUUGGGGCAGCAAUCUCUUUAGGCUAGUUGGUGGUAGGCUCCUCAUUUUGUUUGUGAGAGGCUUUGGUAGAGGUGUGAGGGGAGAGAGGAGUGUAUCUUUGUGUUGAUCUUUUUGCCAUUCAAGCUUUGUUUGUGCUUAGGAUUGGCAUGUAAUCGGACAUGGUGGAGUAAUCUAAGAAUCAAUUUUGUGCUCAAUUGCUUCUCCUUCUCAAGAUCUGAAAUUUAUCUUUUUCCCUAUUUUCAGAGUAUUUUUGGGUGAAUUUUUGGAUCUCAGGAUUUGCAGCGAUUUGGGGUAUUUUUGUUGGGGCAAAUCAGUGCUAGGAUAUGUGCAAGAACAUCUAGGAUGAUCCCCUAGCAAAUCCAUGCACGAGCACUUUGGAUUUUGAGAUUUACCAAAAAUCCGCUUCUUGUGCCCUUCUCGAAAUUUAUGGAAUCUUGUGACCAAUUCGUGAGCUUUUCGACUUGAAACUUUGAGAACACCUUUAGAAUGUUGUCAUGAGGCUAUGGUUCAAAUUUUGUAAUUUUGGGAGGUCGUUUGGUCGAGUUUCGGAUUUUUCUUCUCUUCUGACGAAGGCUAAAAUCUGGGAUUCCGGAAUAUUUCGGAAGUAAUUCCGGAAUAUUUCGGAAGUAAUUCCGGAAAUUUCCGGACCUCCAGAAGUUUCCAAAGGUUUCUUCGGAAAUCUCCAAAAAUCCAGAAUUUUCCGAAGGUUUGUCCGGAUUUUUCUGCAUAAGGUGUUAUUUUUUAAAAUCCUUCUUCCGAUACUCAUUUGGACUCUUUCUUGCUUCCGCUAUUCUCAACUUGGGUUCCUAGCAUCAUUCCUAGAUUCAUUAGCUCGUGCAUAGCUAAGUGGACUUGAUUUUCCUAGAAGAGAGGAUUGGGGGACUUUAACCGAGAUUGUUUGAGAAAAUUUGAAUCGACUCCCAUUUACCCCCCUCUGGUCGCCUUUCCGGUUCUUCAAUUGACAUCAGAGUUUGGUUAAGGAUCGCACCACCUUAAUCGGCUUUGUGAUCCACGGGGUGACAAGGUAAAAUGUACUUUUUCUUGCAGAUUUGAUUUUCGAGAUUCGAGCUUACUUUUGGCUAAUCCUAACCGGUGCUUUGAGCUAUGGCACCAAGCACUUCUUCUUAUGUUUCAUUAUCCUCAGGUAGGAGGAGUUCGGAGAUUGAGUUGGAACCAGAAGUGGAGGUGGUGAUGGAUCUCCUCGAGAACUACCAGGAUGGUGAUCUCACGAAGGGCGAGUUCUACCGUGGGCUAAGAGACAUUAGCCAAGAUACGCUUGCCAAAUGCAUCAUGGUUCUAUGCAAUCGUGUUGAUGAUGAUGAAGAUGAAAAUUGGAGAAACAUAGAGCUGUGUGAUGCUUUGUGUAGGAAGAAUGAGAAGAUGAAAUGUUCUCUUGCUAGGUUAAAAUAUGGAAUUGCUCAUUGGAAGUCACAUGCUUUUAAUCCUUGCAAUUGUUGUGAUGCCUUGCUUAGAAAGAAUGAUGAAUUGAACUCUUCUUUUGAUUGCCUAAAAUCUAAAAAUGACUUGUUGAAAUUUAAUACCUCCAUGCCAUGCCAUUCUUGUGUAGAUUUAAAUAAUGAUCUUGAUAAGGCUAGAGAUGAAUUUUCUUUGUUGAAAUCAAAUGCUUCUUUACCAUGUGUUUCAUGUGAGUGUUUGCUUGCUGAAAUUAACGAACUAAAAUUAACUCACAUCAUAUGUGUAGAUCAACUUGAGCAUGCUAGGGCUGAAAUUUGUGAAAUGAAGUCUAUGCCUUGUAGCAUGUGCUCUUUGGUUGUUGAUGAUGAUGCUUGCCUUACUUCUUGUGAUAAUCAUGAUGCUUUGCUUGAUGUGAAUGAUGAUGUUUCUUCAUGCGGUCUUAUUUGUACAUCAUGCAUUGAAUUGGAAAGUGAAGUUUUGGCUUUGAAGUAAAUGCGCGAUGAUAUGAGCACCCAGUUGGUUGAGCACAAUGAGAUGAGUGCCAACCUUGAGAAAGACAAUGAACUCUUGCGUACCAUAUAUGCUAAGUGCAUUGAAAAGGAGAUGGAUAAUUUGAGAAAUGCUCCAUGUGGUACUUGUGAUCGCCUCAAACAUGAAAAUGAGGUUUUGGCCACAAGAUGCAAGAUUCUUAGAGCUAAGUCUUUUGAUUCUCGUAAUUCUUGUCACUCCGAUGUUGGUGUUUCCAAAAUUGAUUCUUCCCAACUGGAGUUGCCUUCUUCUAUUGAGCAUGAGUCUUUGGAUGCUAGUACUUUUGCUAGUGCUUUGGAUAGCUCUUCUAUAGCUACUUUUAAGUUUGUUGCUUCUUCUAAUAUUGCUCAAGACAAUUCAAGUGGCAAGGGUUCUUCUCACAUUUUUGGAACUCAUACUCCCAAACCAAGGUUUCAUUGCACCUUUUGCAAGAAAGAUGGGCAUACUGUUGAGUUUUGCUUUCGUCAUGUCAAGCACGAGCGACGUGUGCAUGCCAAAGCUUUGAGGAAGCCACGUGGCCUUUCCCAUGGCACGUGUGAACUUAAUAUGGGCACCAAGUCAAAUGGUGUUGUUGAUGCUUCUUACUCUAAGUCCAAAGGGACUUCUCACUUGAAUGAGAAUGAUGAUUCAUCCUCUCGGAAUGUGCCUACAUGAUGGGCAUCAAGAGAGCUUUUGUUGUCGUCCUGCAAAACAAAUACGGCGAACUCAUGCUUCUAGGCCUUUGGUUGUUCAUAGCCUGUCUCAUGGCAUGAGCACUUUUGAGCCUAGUAAGAAGCCACAUUUCAUUGAUGGGUUUUAUGACUCCUUUUCUAGUGAGUUAGGUCAUGCUCGUGGACAUGCUUCUAGUUAUUCUUCUGUUGGUCCACAACAUGGUUCUCAUAGUGCUUGGUUGGUUCUUCUCUUAAGACCUCAUGGGAUCAUUGUCUUUUUGCUAGUGGUAGCACUCGUUUUUUCUUCUCGAGUUUAUCCUUUGCGGUAUGGUUCCAAGGGAAUUUCAAAAUCAUCUCAUUUGAACCGGAAUUUGCAUCAUGCUAACCCACAUGAUAAGUUGAGUGCAACUUUUACCUGAGUGACUAAGUUUUGGAUUCCCAAGUAUAUGCUUGCUAACCCUUUAGGAUCCAAGACUCGGUCUUCUUUGUCCCCUUAUGUGUAGGUACAGGGAUGCGGGUGGAGAACAUGAGCUCAAAGUGACUUGAUCUUUCGCUUGAGGUGAUCAAGACUUGAUGGUUCUCCACACCAUUUGGAUGUCCCUCGAGAGGCCUUUGUACACUUGUAUAGUGAGUUUUACCUUCCAAACUCUUGUGCUCACUUGUAUACUAUUUGCAUGUUUCAUCCUUGUAUCAUGCUGUGAAUAUACCAUGGUAGGCUAGCUACCUUUUCAUGUUAGCAUGUGUGAUCUUUAUGUUUAUCUUGUCAUGCUAGCUUUGUAAAUGUGAAUAUAUCUUGGUGGAUGAUCCACAUGAACAUCGUGCCAUGCUUUAGCUUAGUUUUCGUAUUGGGUAUGACAUGUUGUUCAUUUGGUAUCAUUUUAGCUUAGUAUCUUUGUAUGAUCAUUUGCACCUUGUUGACAUGUUUGCUUGCUCAAUCUUUUAUUCAUAAAUGUGAAAUCAUGUUGCAAUGCUUAAAUUCCUCUCAUUAGUACCAUCAUUGCAUUGUGUAGCAUGAAUUGAGCUUUAUCUUAUUUUUGGGCUUGCCUUGUCUUUGUGUUGCAUUUUAUUUUUCUUUGGAUUUUCUCAUCCUUUGGGAGUUGGAGCUUUUCUUUUGCCCCCUUCUUUUUAUAGCUUUUAUUUUGCUAAUGCAUCUUUGAUUGAGGGGGAGUUCGGCUUCAUUCAAGGGGGAGUUUGGACUAAGGACUUGCUUUGGUUUUUGAUAUCCGCUUUUGAUCUUUUAAUUGGUAUCAUAUUUCAUCUUUCAAUUGGAUUUUAUUUUUUUCAAGUGAUAUCAAUUUUUGAUCCUUCAAUUGGUAUCUUUUCUAUGGUACUCAAUUGGGAUCCUUGGCAAUUCUUCUUUUGCCACCGAGCUUUUCCUAGAUUGGUUUGACCCCUCAUGAGCUUUCUUGAUUUGAGUCGAAUCCCAUCUCUUUAGCAUCGCAUUGCAUUUGUUAUCGUCGUGCAGGAUAAAUGCAGCAAACUCGUGCUUCUAGGCCUUUGGUUGUUCAUAGCCCGUCUCAUGGCAUGAGCACUUUUGUGCCUAGUAAGAAGCCACAUUUGAUUGAUGGGUUUUAUGACUCCUUUUCUAGUGAGUUAGAUCAUGCACGUGGACAUGCUUUUAGUUCUUCUUAUGUUGGUCCACGACAUGGUUCUCAUAGUGCUUGUAUUGGUUCUUCUCUUCAGACCUCAGAGGAUCAUUGCCUUUUUGCUAGUGGUAGCACUCGUUCUUCUUCUCGAGUUGCUCCUUUGAGGCAUGGUUCCAAGGGUGUUUCAAAAUCAUCUCAUUUGAACCGGCAUUUGCAUCAUGCUAACCCACAUGAUAAGUUGAGCACAUCUUUUACCCGUGUGACUAAGUUUUGGAUUCCCAAGUAUAUGCUUGCUAACCCUUUGGGAUCCAAGACUCGGUCUUCUUUGUCCCCUCAUGUGUAGGUAUGGGGAUGCUGGUGGAGAACAUGAGCUCAAAGUGACUUGAUCUUUUGCUUGAGGUGAUCAAGGCUUGAUAGUUCUCCACACCGUUUGGAUGUACAUUUGUAUAGUGAGUUUUUCCUUUCGUAUAUACUACUCACUUGUGGACUCUUUUGCAUAUUUUAUACUUGUAUCAUGAUGUGAAUAUACCAUGGUAGGCUAGCCACCUUUUCAUGUUAGCAUGUGUGAUCUUCAUGUAUAUCUUGUCAUGCUAGCUUUGUAAUAUAUCUUGGUGGAUGAUCCACAUGAACAUCAUGCCAUGUUUUAGCUUAGUCUUCGAAUUGGGUAUGGUAUGUUGCUCAUUUGAUAUCAUUUUAGCUUAGUAUCUUUGCAUAAUCCUUUGCAUCUUGUUGACAUGUUUGCUUGCCCAAACUUUUAUUCAUAAAUAUAGAAUCAUGUUGCAAUGCUUUAAUUCCUCUCAUUGGUAUCAUCAUUGCAUUGUGUGACAUGAAUUGAGCUCUAUCUUGCUUUUGGGCUUGCCUUGUCUUUGGAUUGCAUUUUCUCUUCUUUUGGUUUUGAGUUAGAGCUUUUCUUUUGCCCCUUCUUUUUCUAGCUUUUCUUUGCUAGGUGGCUUUGGUUGAGGGGGAGUUCGGCUUCAUUGGAGGAAGAGUUUGGACAAAGAACUUGCUUUGAUUUUUGAUAUCCGCUUUUGAUCUUUUAAUUAGUAUCACAUUUGAUCUGUCAAUUGGAUUUUAUUUUCUUCAAGUGAUAUCAAUUUUUGAUACUUCAAUUGGUAUCUUUUCUAUGGUACUCAAUUGGGAUCCUUCGUGGUUCUUUUUUUGCCGUGGAGCUUUUCCUAGAUUGGUUUGACCCCUCAUGAGCUUUCUUGAUUUGAGUCGAACCCCGUCUCUUUUAGCAUUACAUUGCAUUUGUAUCAUAUUGCACCUUGUACACUUUGCACUAGAUGAGCUUCUGCUAUAUAUCCUUAGCAUUUCCUUAUGCUAUUUGUGAGCUAGUGCAUUGGUUGGUGUUAUUAGCAAUAUGCAGCAUAUGCUCUUGAUGAUAUUGUCAUAUAACCAUGUUGAGCUAAAUGCUUUUCUGAAUCAAAUGUUAAUCUUGAAUAAUGAAUUCUGAAAUGCUUAUCACCCAUGACUAGGUACCUAUUUAUGCAUUGCUCUUGCUUUAAUGCUAGCUCCAUGUUUAGCUUAUACUUGGAAUUCAUGUUCUUUUCAUUUGGAUCAAAGAUCUAGGUAUCAUUGCAAAUGUUUAGCCCAUGAUGCAUUCCUUGGGGAAGCAUGGCUUCUUUGUGCCGCAAAGGCACUUCAUGUAACUUGUUUAAUGUGAAUAAUAAAAAAUGAUGAUAAGAAAAAUUAGGUAUUUCACCAAGUUUUUGUACUUAAUGUUGAUAUCCUUGCUUGCUUCGUUGUUACAAGAUGUCUACUAAAAGAAGUAGGCACAUGGUUUCAACAAGCCUUAACAUGACUUGUGAUACAUAUGUGGGUGUUUGCAAUGAUCUCUUGUUGAGAAUGUAUCUUCCUUGUAUGAGCUUUGAUGUCCUAGUUUACUUCUUGCUUGAGUGAUUCAUGUCUAGGUGCUUGCUCAUGCAGUGAUACUUUUAUAAACUGCAAAACUUGACAAGUUGCUUCGUUUUUUUCUUAUAUCAUAAUAUCCUUCUAAUAGCGAUGCAAUUGCUCUUUAUGAUCUACCUGCUUGUGCAUUAUCUCACUAUUAGCCAUUGUAAGUGCUUUGUGAUAUAUUUGAGAAGUUUGGUAGGUUGUACACCUCAUGGCAUGUAUUUUGUGCUCCCAUGUGAAUUUUUGAGUUUUGCAUUUGAGGGGGAGCAUGUAUUCUUUUGCUUUUGUGCAUGUAUUUCAUUAUGGCAUGUUUUCAGGGGGAGUGCAUGUGUUCAGGGGGAGCUUCUAUGCUUUGUGCUAGUUUUGUGCUCUCUUUUGCUCUUUUUGUCGGUCGUGUUGAGCUUUUUACCUCUUCUUGAGGAGGUGGCAUUUGGUUUGAGUUUUCGAUUGUCACAUGAUUGGUGUUGAGCCAAAUCUGCCUCUUCUUGAUGGAUCAUGUGUUUUCGAUCUUGACAUGAUUGGUGUUGAGCUCUUUCUGCCUCUUCUUGACGGAUCAUGUGUUCUUUGUCUCGGUUGUGUCGAGCCAUUGCCCAUGUCUUUGGGGACUGAGACUUUUCCAAGUUGAUUUGGUCUUUGUGAUGCUUCUCAUGCCGAGUGACUUUAAUCAUAGCUUUACAUGGCUUUCGAUCACUUGAAUGGGAGGUUUGCCUAAUUGGUUUCACAUUUUGGCUUUUGUGGUUCUUCUCAUCUCAAGUGACUUUGAUCUUGGUUUUUACUUGACUUUUGAUCACUUGGAUGAGAUUUUUAGCUAUUGCCUCUCAAACUAUUUUUUUGUGCUUGAAUGUUGUGAACACACUCAUCAAGAGGGAGAUUGAGAAAUCAAGUUAAUAUGAACCUUGAUUUGAUAGUGAUGAGCGUUUGACAAAUGUUGAAAUGUGUUUGAAGGUUUUUGGGAUGCAUGGAGCUCUUGUGUCUUUUGCUUGACUCUUCGAUUGUGUUAAGUCUUUGCCCUUUUCUCUGGGAACCGAGAGUUUUUUGUUUGGAGCUUGCAUAAUCGCUUCUCAUUUCAAGUGGCCUUGUAUUUGCUUUUACUUGGCUUUUGGGCACUUGAAUGCAUUCUCUUUUGCUUUCAAAUCACCUUUUGUCAAUGCACUUAUCAAGAGGGAGAUUGAGAGACCAAGUUGAGAUGUAUCUUGGUCUAUUUGUGAUGAGUGAUUGACUAGAUGAUUUGAGGCUUUACCAGUUGAUUUCAUAUUUCAUAUGUGCAUGAUUAUGCUAACAUCUAACUGGAUGUGUUGCGUGCGUUGUGUUGUGUUGUUUGUGUAAACCAUAUGUUGUGUGUUGUGUCUCUUGGCUUAUGAUGUGCAGGUGUAGGAUGCGACAUGGCGAUUGACGGCAUGAGAUGAAGGUCAAGCAAAAGGUUCAUGCUGAUAUACUAGGGCUGUGAAGGGUGGACAUGAGUAGGCUUGGACCGAGGGACCCAAGGAGUCCGGGCGGAGUCAUGGGCGAUCCACAUGGUGCACGGAAGAGUAAGAGUACACGGACGGGAUGGAGACUAUGUCGGUUGAGUCAAGUGGGACGGAGGCGAGUCGAGUAGGCAGCCCGGGAGCCGGGAAAAGAUUUGGAGACGUCGAAGGCUUGGUGGAGACUGGACACACGUCAACAUCGGUGAGUCAUGUCAUGCGCGACGUGCAAGAGGGUUUGACCGGUUUGACCUCAAAACUAGGGAUGAGUCACGCCUGCGGGAUGUGCAAGAGGGUUUGACCGGUUUGGCCUCAAAACCAGGGGACGAGUCCGGUGCGAUUUGAUGGCGUCAAGUCAGAGGAUGCGUGGCACCAUCGCGAAGCUUGUGUCGAGGCGAAGCUAAGUCGUGAAGGCGCCGGGUCCGUCCGAUGUACGAGGAAAAAGUUGGAUGGUUUUACCCCUAUGGGGUAUUUGGAUUGUAUGCUUAAUGUAAGGGCAUUUUGGACAUUGGCCAAAUGCAUAUAUAUGUGUAGGAGGGCUGUUUGGGGCAGCAAUCUCUUUAGGCUAGUUCAUGGUAGGCUCCUCAUUUUGUUUGUGAGAGGUUUUGGUUGAGGUGUAAGGGGAGAGAGGAGUGGAUCUUUGUGUUGAUCUUUUUGCCAUCCAAGCUUUGUUUGUGCUUAGAAUUGGCUUGUAACCGGACAUGGUGGAGUAAUCCAAAAAUAAAUUUUGUGCUCAAUUGAUUCUCCUUCUCAAGAUCUGAAUUUUAUCUUUUCUCCUAUUUUCGGAGCAUUUUUGGGUGAAUUUUUGGAUCUCGCGAUUGGCAGUGAUUUGGGUGUUUUUCUUGGGGCAAAGCGGUGCUAGGAAAUGUGCAAGAACAUCUAGGAUGAUCCCCUAGCAAAUCCAUGCACGAGCACCUUGGAUUUUGAGAUUUCCCGAAAAUCCCCUUCUUGUGCCCUUCUCCAAAUUCAUAGAAUCUUAUGACCAAUUCGUGAGACUUUCAACUUGAAACAUUGAGAACACCUUUGGAAUGUUGUUGUGAGGCUAUGGUUCAAAUUUCGUGAUUUUUGGAGGUCGUUUGGUCGAGUUUUAGAUUUUUCUUCUCUCCUCACGAAGGCUGAAAUCUGGGAUUCCAGAAUAUUCCAGAAGUAAUUCCUGAAAUUUCUGGACCUCCGGAAGUUUCCGAAGGUUUCUCCGGAAAUCUACAAAAAUCCGAAUUUUUUUUAAGGUUUGUCCGGAUUUUUGCACACAGAGGUGUUGUUUUUCAAUGUGCUUCUUCCGGUACUCAUUUGAACUCUUUCUUUCUUCCGCUAUUCUCAACUUGGGUUCCUAGCAUCAUUCCUAGAUCUAUUAGCUCGUGCAUAGCUAAGUGGACUUGAUUUUGCUAGAAGAGAGGAUUGGGGGACUUUAACCGAGAUUCUUUGAGAAAAUUUGAAUCGGCUCCCAUUCACCCUCCUCUGGUCGCGUUUUCGGUCCUUCAUCAGAGAACUCACAGUUUGGGACUAUUUAUUUGGUUUCUCCUAUUCUUUUUACAAGAACGACGGGCAAAACGUACAGCAUCAUUCUAAUGUGUUGAUGGUUUUUUUCUCUUUCUUUGUUAGUUAUCAUUAGAUCUAUCAUUUCCUGUUUAGAUACAAACUCAAGGCUACCAGAGGGGGCUAUCGGAAGUCCACGAAGCACCCCCGAGACAGCGGCGGCAGCGCAUCUUGCUCGAUGCGAUCGCUCAUGCUCGUCCUAAGUGGCGGAUGGCGUGCGGCGGCCAUAGUGACCUGACGCGGUACGUGAGGCUGUGCGGCAGUGGCGGUCUGGCAUGGGGUGCGAAGGCAGCUGAAGCGGGGUGGGGGGCCGCGCGACAACAGGGGCCCAGACAUGCAGCGCGGAGGCGACCCGGUAAGGCGCGAGGUGGCCGCGCUGCAUUGUCUAGGUGAGGGGCGCAGAGGCAGUGCAACGGUAGCCCAGCACGGCGCGAGGUGUCCGAGCGGUGAUGGCUUGGAGGAGUGGAGGCCACGUGUGGCGCGGCUCAUCUCUGCUGUGGCAAAUUGACAACACCACCAAGCAUAGUGGCAUCUGCGGUAGCGGUGGCCUGAGGGAGGCAGAUCUUGAGCCCUACAGGCCAAAUCCGACGCUCUCGGGGCUUGAUCUACAAGGAGCUUUGAAAGCUGGUGUGGGGUGGCCGUGCGUGGUGCACAGCGGUGGGAAGCCAUGCGCGUGAGGAGGGGCCGCAUGUGUGUGCAGCGACAAGGAGGCUAGGUGGUCUCAGGGAGGAGGGGUUUGUGGUGGUGACCAUGGUGGGCAGUGAGCUUGUGGCGACAGCAGGCAGGUGGGUGUUGGGUGAAAACCUUGCCAUAACAGUAAGUUGGGCUGACAACGGCGACGCCUUUGGUGUCUCACUUCCUGUUGGGGAUGUUGUCAAGGCACCCUCCUUGCUUCGGUGGUGGAAACUCUAGGUGAAAACCAUGCCUAAGUUCUCUUGGUUGGGUGGCGACGACACUUUUGACGUCGGUCCUUCUUGAAGGUGCUGUCUUUGGAGUUUUCGUUCUGCCUUCCCCAUCUUCUCGACGGCUUAUCUAUGAUGCCAGUAGUGCUCUCGGUGGCCAAGAUGGGUUGGUGUAGGGGAGAGUGGGUCCUUCUUCUCUCUCGACCCCGCAUCCCUUCUGUGGCAACAAUAGGACUCCUCGUACCUGUUGAUGUGUUGUUUGGCGUUGAUGGGGGUGUGCUGGAAGCUUCACUGUUUGGUUUGGCGGCGAUUGGUCACGCCUAGCCAUGGCCGAUUUGGUGCUAUGCCCCGACCUUGGUGGAAUGGGCCAUAUGGUGGAGUGGGUGGAGACAAAGUUAAGGACUCGAGGUGCGGAUGUCCAUGAUGGCGGGUGGUGACCAAGAGGUGGGUGUUGGUGCAGUGUUUGUAGGGCUUCACUUCUGCAUGGCGCUUCAGGGUGAUGGUUUGGGGGCGUGCGCCAGUGGUGACCACGAAGUUGGCAGAGAGGCCAGAGUGGUAGGAGGUGUCCAGCAGAUGUACCUUGCUGAAGUGACCUGCGCGUUGAGGAGUUGGGUGGUCCCGCUUAGCGGUGGCAGCUCCGAUGCAAGUUGGUCUUCCUCUACGACAUUCUGAUAUCUUCGACAAGGUGACUUGGUUGCUUGGUGCCACAGUGUAUGACCAGAUCUCAACGGGCAUUGUCGUCAGAUUGAUGGCCAGAGGUAGCUACACAUGCAUUGGCUUGAUGGCUCGCAGUGUUUCUACGACGACUAGCCCUUCUUAGUGGGAGUUAGUCCAGUGUAUGACAACUUCGUGAGGUGGUGCAAGCGUAUCCGAUGGCAUGAUAGCUACACGGCUUGCAGUGAACCAUGGCGGCUAACCCUGCAUGGCAGUGAGUGGCUUGGUGUGGGACAUCAUCGGCAAUGAUGGCGUAGGCGGUGAUGAUAGAAUAUCCUCUGUCGGUCAUUUGCCCGGGUGAUAGUGGUGCAGUGUAACAUCCCUAAAUUCAAAAACAUUUAAAAAUAAGGACCUUUUAAAAUUUUUCAAACUAAAUUUAGCAUUAAUCCUCUUUUCCCCUUAAUAUCGAAAAUUAGCAUUAAAUUUUUCAAAAGCAUUCAACUACGCAUAAACACUACAUGAUUGUGCAUUUGAGUGCUCUAGAAUUUAAAAAGAAUUCAAAGCUCAUAAACCUUCCUCAAAAUUUGAACCUAGUUUAAAUUUGAACUCAAACCAUAUCAAACCCCUUUCAAACAAAUAUCAAAACUUACUAUUCCUAACGCAACUUUGAAACCUGACCCAUCUCUCCAUCGGCCUAGCCCACCUCCACCUCUCUCCUCCUUCUCCCGCACGGUCUAAACAGGCUGCUUGUCCCAGCGAGCCGCCUGGCCUAGCCGGCCCAGCCCGCACGCCAGUGUCAUCAUCUUCCUCCCCAUCCCCUUCCUCCUCUAGCCGCCCGUGCAUCCCUCCUCUCUCACAACGACACUGUUGCUCGGAUCCUCCUCCCCAGCCACCUCCCUGCCCACGUGCAUAGCACUAUAGUGCCGCACCUCUUCCACUCCCAUUGUCAGAAACCAUCCCCCCUCCCUCACAACCCCGGCCGCCGGCACCUGCACGCACGAUGUCGUGGAAACGCAAUGAUGGCCACCUGCUAGAUCUACCUGCUCUAGCAAUGCCCUACCACCCCAAGACACGCGACGGAGCCGCCUCGACGAGCCAUGUUGCCCUGUGCCCUUAACGCCGCCCCUGGCCAUCUCCCCUACCCUUCGCGCGCAUGCCAAGGUGCCAUGACAGUGCACCAGAGCGCCGCCCACCAUGGGCUGCCGCUCGACCUCAUCCUUUCUUCCCCUGUCCUCUUCCGUGAGCUAAGAUCAUCUGAGAGCUCGAACUCACCCCGCACCACCACCUCUUCCCCCUCCCGCCGGUUUAGGAGAAGGCUCGUCCCUUCCACCUGCCACUAUGCUCUGACCCCUAGAGCUGGGCUGCAGCAAAGUCGAGGUUACCGCAAGACCUUAGCCACCUUUCUAGCGCUACAGCACCGCUCAGCGUGCUGCUCUGCGCAGACCCACCGCCGUUACAUGCUGCCACUCUACUCCAGCCAUCGUGUGACCCGGAAAAGCAUCACAGGUACUCCCAUGGUGCUGCCCGAGGCUUUGCAUAAGCUUUCCACCCCUUCUGGUCGUGCCUCCCUUUUUCUCAGCCCGCCGCUAUAACUCUGGCAAGCCACCAUGAGCCUCGACUCGCCCCAAGACCUACCGCGAUAGCUCCACCAUAACAGCCCGCACCAUUAGUGUAGGGAUACGAGGUAGGCUAUGCUAGCGCAAAUCAAAAAUUUCUACCGCGUAAACCAGGAAAACUGCCGUAUAUGGAUCAUGGGAUUACCACUCGACGCACUGGUGCGGAAGAUGUAGAUUCGCGUCGAUGUAGCGAAGUCGAUCAGCGUAGUCGAACACGUAGUCGAUCACGUCGACGUCGAGCAGCUCCUCAACAGCUCGUCCAUAUGCAGCAAGAUCGUCCUCGUGCCGUGGCUUGUCGUCGGCUCGUCAUGCCUCGUCGGCGGCUCGUCAUGGCUCGUCGGCGGCUUGUCAUGGCUCGUCGGUGGCUCGUUGUGGCUCGUCAAUGGCUCGUCAAGGUGCUGCAGGCGCAACACCUCCAAGGUAUCCACACAUGCAGGAAGGAAGUGUCGCAAGCCGGACUGCUAGGUCUGCGAGUUGCAACAAGCGAGGGCGUGGGAGGCGCGGCAGAUGUGUUUCGCCAAAAGGUGUAAACCCUAGGGCUCCCUCACCCCUCUAUUUAUAGAGGUUCUUGACAGGGCUCUGGGUCCGAGGCCCAUUAGUACUUGUAAACCUAAUCCAACUCGGAUCACAUGCGAAUUGGGCUUCCAGCCCCUUAACCGUGUGUUUGGUUACUGGGUCGGAACGGGUCGGACCCCCUUCGUCCCACGUUUGGUUCAAAAGAGAACUGGGUUGGGUCGAACCCACAUGGGAAUAUUCCCAUUAGAUUCGGGUCCAAGCGAUUCCUCCAAAACGAACGGAUCAAUUCGACCCAGUUCUUCUCACGCGUCUCCUCUUACCGCACCUCCUCUCACCCCCGACCCCAACGCCAGAGCACCGCCCGGCUCCAACCCCGCCGCCCCUGACCUCCUCCGCCAGCGCCCCCAUCCGCCGCCUCACCUACCACGCCGCCGCCCCUAGAAUCCGCCGCGCCAGCCCCCAUCCACCGCCCCUCUUCCCCGCACCUUCUCCCAAUGGAUCUCGCCGCCGCCGCCCCUGAAAAUCAAGGAUGGCUUGCCCUCCGCCGCCCCUGACCUUCGCCGCCCUUCAGAUCCGCUCCCGGCCAUGACGUCCGCCGCCGCGCCCUGACGUCCUCCGCCGCCGCCAUCCCUGAGAUCCGCCGCCGCGGCCUGAUCCGCUCCGCCGCCCCUCAGAUCCGCCCCCGCCUUUGACUGCCGCUGCGCCCCCGACCCCUUCCGCCGCCGCGCCCCCGACCCCUUCCGCCACCGCCCCAAGCCAGGUCCGGAGCGCCUAUCCUCCACCGCCCCUCCGAUGCGGCUCCGCCCCUGACCGGCGCCGCUUCCCUCGCGUCCAUGGUGGGCGGCGGCCCGUGACCGGUGCCGUCCCCUGGCCUCCGUGGCGGGCGGCGGCCCCUAACCGGCGCCGUCCCCUGGCCUCCGUGGCGGGCGGCGGCCGGCGGCGGCCACUGACAGGCGCCGCUCCCCUGACCUCCGUGGCGGGCGGCGACCCCUGACUGACGCCGCCCCUAACCGACGCCGCUACGCCCCUAGCUUGCUGCUGCCCCUGUCAAGCUUCGCCACCCCUGCCAAGCGCCGCCGCCCGUACCAUCCGCCGGCGCCGCGUCUCCUUCUCUCAAAGGUUGAAACCGUACACCACCAUGUUUAUGUUGGUUCAUAUUUAUUGAAUUGACUUGAAUGGUACUGGUUGAUAGUAUUAUGGAUUGAAUUGAAUAACUAGUCCAGUAGCAUGACAUCCUGGUUCAAUUGGCUCUAACAGCAAGUGUUUCUUUUAUUGUUGUAUUGUAGAUGGAUAAGAGGACCAAGAUUGUAACUUGUGCUACUGCUGCAUACAUGUUGUUGUCAAUGAUGGCGGUGAUUAUUCAAUCUAGAAAACGUAAACGAUGUGCCAGAAGGGUUGGUAUUACCUAUGGGCCUAUGGAGGCAAGGGAUAGGAUGAGAGUAGAUUAUCUAAAUAACAAAAUUUGGAAGGAUGACACAACUUGCUUGAACAUGUUAAGACUAAAUAGAGGCAAGUUUUUUCGAUUUUGCAAUCUUUUUAGAGAACGUGGUUUGCAUCAAGAUACAUGUCACUUGUGUGUUGAGCAGCAGGUGGGUAUGUUUCUAAAUACAGUGGGACAUAACCUUAGGAAUAGGUUAGUUGGAACUAAUUUUGAUAGAUCGGGGGAAACAGUUAGCCGCUAUUUCAACAAAGUACUCCAUGCUAUUGGAGAGCUGCGAGGGGAACUAAUUAGGCCCCCGUCUUUGGACACUCCAAGCAAAAUUGCAGGGGACAACAGAUGGGAUCCUUACUUUAAGGUGUGAGGCUUAUCCCUGUUUUGUUUUGACUUUUCCAUUAAUCUAACAUCAUAUGGUCCCUAAUUUUUACCUUUUUAAAAAAAUUAGGACUGUAUUGGAGCUAUUGAUGGUACUCAUGUAAGAGUAUCUGUUCCUAAGAAUAUUGAGCAUGCCUUUCGCGGUAGGAAAUCCUUUUGCACACAAAAUGUAAUGGCAACUGUAGAUUUUGAUCUACAGUUCACCUAUGUGUUGGCUGGUUGGGAAGGGGCUGCACAUGAUGCUCUAGUUUUACGUGAUGCUUUAGAAUGUGAGAAUGGCCUUCGUGUCCCACAAGGUAAUAGAGUAGUAAACUCUCAACUUUUAUAUACACAUUUCAGUCUAUAGUAUUAUGACCAAUCCUUAUAUCAAAUGAUAGGAAAAUUCUACCUAGUCGAUGCUGGAUAUGGAGCCAAACCAGGAUUUUUGCCUCCCUUUCGUGGAGUUCGGUACCACUUAAACGAAUGGGGAAGUAAUCCAGUGCAAAAUGAGAAGGAAUUGUUCAACCUUAGGCACUCAUCACUACGUGUCACAGUAGAGAGAGCAUUUGGGGCACUAAAGAGGAGAUUCAAAAUUCUUGAUGAUGCUACACCAUUCUUUCCUUUACCAACACAAGUAGAUAUUGUUUGUGCUUGUUGCAUUAUUCACAAUUGGGUCAUACAAGAUGGGCGUGAUGAGUUCUUCACAGAGGAUACUAAUUGGGCAAGCUACAACCAUGCUUCCACACGCAUUGGCCAAGCAAAUGAGCAUGCUGCUAUGGUUAAUUUCAGGCAGCAGAUAGCAGAUCAAAUGUGGGCAGACCGUCAAAACAACAAUGUUAACUAAUAUUUGUAUCAAACUUGAAUUUCUUUCGGUUGUAUAACAUAUUUAAACCUUUCUUUCCUUAUGUUGAAUAAUAUUUUUAUGAACAUGUUGCUUGCUGAAUUUUAUGUAAUUUGUGAUGAUAAUGUGUAUUUUGGCUACAUGUUGGUGCUGAUUUUGUAUUGGUCAUAAUGUACAUUGUGGCUACAUGUUGGUGCUGAUUUUGAACUGGUGAUAAUAUACAUUGUGGUUAUAUCUUGGUGCUGAUUUUGGCUACAUUUUCGUGCUGAUUGUGUUUUUGUGUGGCAGAACAAUGGAGGAAGUAGCUGAAGGGUCUGGUGGGACUAGUGGGCAUGCUACGUGGACAUCAGCAAUGUCUGCUUUAAUGCUCUCUCACCUAAAUGAUUUGGUGGCUGCUGGUUUGAAGACAUCAAAGGGAUUUAAGAAACACCUUUUUAAUGGUUGUUCUAGGGUUAUCAAUGAGAAGUUCACCACAAGGAUCACUGGUGAGCAAGUUAAGAAUCAUUUGAAAACAUGGCAGAAAAGGUAUGCAAAGAUAAAUAGAUUGAAGAAGUUGAGUGGUGCCCUCUUUGAUGAAGAAAACUGCAUGAUUACACUAGAUGAGGAGCACUACAACGGCCAUGUCCAUGUAACCUUACUGUCGUUUGCUUAGUUCUUGAUUCAUUCACCAGUGUUAGAUUAUAUUAACAUAUUUUUCCAUCAUGUCUAGGAUCACAAGUCUGAUGUUGAGUACUUGAACAAGCCCCUCUUGCACUAUAGAGAGAUGACAGCAAUAUUUGGCAAUACAAUGGCUACUGGAAAUUUUGCAAAAGACUCAAGUGCACCUCUAGGUAGAGAGGAUGAUGAGGGUGAAAGUCAAGAAGAGGGGGAUGAGGUUACUGGGCAUGGUCCAAGUGAUGGGCAUACCACUCAAGGGGCAACGUCUUCUGCUAGUAGACCUAGUAAGAAGUCAAAGAUAGCUGAAAUGGAGGAGGAUGGGCUGGUUGCCGCCUUCAAAAGUGUAGGUGAGAACCUUGCCGCUGCCAUAAAAAUGGUAGCUAAACCUGAUAAUGAGCUGCCACCUGACCUAUUUGAUGUCUUGAACCAACUUCCUGGUUUUAAUUCAGCACACAUAUCUUUCUACUAUGCUCAUUUGGUGAGCAAUCCUCACAUUGGCAAAGCUUUCUAUAACUUGCCAUUCGAGCACAAGUUAAAUUGGGUCACAAUGUUCAUCGCUGAAAAGUUCCCUGGAAUGUAAGAGUGAUUUCAAUGAGUAGGAUGUUUCUUUUGUUAGAACUUGAUCCUGUUAGUGUCUAAGCUCUGAAUUUAUAUUAUGUAAGCUUCAACUUGAUGGCUGAUAUUGUAUUGCCUUGAACUUGGUAUAUGUAAGGCUUGAACUGGCCAUUAACGUUGCUAUAUUGUUGAUGAACUUGGUGUAUGUAUGUAAGGCUUGAACUUGGUAUAUGCUGUUAUUUUCAUCCAUCAUUUGGAAUAUCUUUCUUCUUUUCAAAUGAUUUAUGUCCUAUGUGUUUAUAACCAGAAAGCAAAUGAGCAUCAAAUCCUGUUAAGAAGCCCCUGAGUUGAUGAUAUUAUAUUAUUUUUAAAUUAACCAGUAGCAUGUAUUUAAAUUAACGGCAAUUUUUCACAAGAAAAUAACAGUGCUAGAAUGGGAGCAGUACCAAGUUGAUGUCUAUAUUGUUGAUGAAUUGGUAUGGCAGCUAGGGUAAUCUCACCAAGAAGGUGAGCAUAUUCAUUGUCAAACCCGCAUCCUCAAACCAAACAAGAGAUGGAACCACUCCAACCCACUUUAUCCCACUAAUCAAACAAAAAACUGGGUCCAACCCAUCCCUGCAACCAAACAAGAACUGGGUUCACUCCAACCCAGAAAACUGGGUUGGCUCCAACCCAACCCGCAUGGUCCCAAAACCAAACGCACGCUAAGUGUGUGACCCUAUGGGUUCGGAUACGUAUAGACAUGGCCCGAGUACUCCUACUCAGCCCAAUAGUCGGUAGCGGCCUCUAGCAAGACGUGCCAACUCCUAUACACACACGAAGAUCAUAUCAGACGAACCGUCACAACAUCACGUACAUGCUAUUCCCUUUGCCUCACGAUAUUUGGUCGAGCUCCAAGCCGACCACUCUUUCUCGAUCCUGUGAUUCGGAAUCCCUUUGUAGGUUAACUCUUAACCGUACGUAGCAUGGCCAUGCAUUUUCGGAUCCGAUCACUUGAGGGGCCCAGAGAUAUCACUCUCAAUCAGAGAGGGGCAAAUCCCAUCUUGAUUGACCAUGCCUCAUAGCAUGCUUCUUGACAAACCAAAAAGCUACCUUUUUAACUACCCUGUCACGGUGUAGCGUUUGAUAGCCCCUAAGUAAGUCGAUCCACAUCUUGAGUACAUGCGACAAUCUCAGGUCUAAGGACAAAGCGUACAUGUUGUGUAAAGAGAGAACUAUUUUUCGUGUUGGGUCAGUCCUAGCACAUGUCUCCACAUGUGCCCACAUUAUUAGUUUAACAUCUUCAUGUCCAUGACUCAUGAAACAUAGUCAUCAACUAAUACGUGUGCUAGUCUAAUAUUCAUGUGUGUCCUCACAUGAACUCUAACUAGGGACAACUUUAGAAUAACCAUACAAGUAAAGAGUUUCACAUACAAUUCACAUAAUUGCAAAUCAAUUCAAGUAGCCUUUAAUGGAUAUUCAAGGAACACAAUAUAAAUCAUGGAUACAAAUGGAAUAUCAUCAUCUCUAUGAUUGCCUCUAGGGCAUACCUCCAAUAGUCUCCCACUUGCACUAGAGUCAAUCUAGAAGGUACCUAUUGACACCGAAUUAUCGGACUUCUAUAGUUAGUUUCCGAACAUGAAGCCUUCAUACUCCGAAGCUGGGGUCCUGUGUUGACACCGAAUGUAGGAAAUAUGCUCUGAAAGGAAGGAAUCGGCACAUGAUGCAAAAGUUCCAACAGAUUGGCAUCCAAGGGAAGCCCACGUAUGGGAGGUUGCUUUAUAGAAUAAAAUAUUCUGGAGAUAGAGUUGGUUAGGGAUAAGAUUGAUUAGAGAUAGAGUUGGUUUAGUUAGAGAUAGAAUUUUGAUUAGAAAAGAUUGUGUACGUAACUUGCCUUGUACAUGGUUAGAUGCCAAUUAUGUAACGUCAAAGGCCAUCCGUCCUAUAAAUAUAAAGGGUCCCGGUCAUUGUAAUAAUCAUCACACGAUCAAUAAACAAACAUAUUUACCUUUACCUUUCGGCUUCACGCCAUUGCAUUAGGAGUAGGAGUAAUGUAGCUUCUCGACGAGUUCCUUCUAGCAAGCUGGGCUGCAUCGACCUCGAUCUCCGGCGAGCUGCAAGUUCCGUCACCAGGUGUUCUAGGCUUUAACCACCGGGCGCAUCGCUGUGGUUUCUUCUAGUUUCAUCUACCAGUUAUCUAGUAUCUUCGAUCUUUGACUUGCGGCGCAUCGCUUCUGUCUUGAUCUAUGGUAUUCACCAGUUAUCCCGCCUUGAUUAAGCUUGCAUCGACUGAUAGUUAUCUAUUCUAUCGUCUUGCUCUGACCCCUAGAGCUGGGCUGCAGCAAAGUCGAGGUUACCGCAAGACCUUAGCCACCUUUCUAGCGCUACAGCACCGCUCAGCGUGCUGCUCUGCGCAGACCCACCGCCGUUACAUGCUGCCACUCUACUCCAGCCAUCGUGUGACCCGGAAAAGCAUCACAGGUACUCCCAUGGUGCUGCCCGAGGCUUUGCAUAAGCUUUCCACCCCUUCCGGUCGUGCCUCCCUUUUUCUCGGCCCACCGCUAUAACUCUGGCUAGCCACCAUGAGCCUCGACUCGCCCCAAGACCUACCGCGAUAGCUCCACCAUAACAGCCGGCACCAUUAGUGUAGGGAUACGAGGUAGGCUAUGCUAGCGCAAAUCAAAAAUUUCUACCACAUAAACCAGGAAAACUGCCGUAUAUGGAUCAUGGGAUUACCACUCGACGCACUGGUGCGGAAGAUGUAGAUUCGCGUCGAUGUAGCGAAGUCGAUCAGCGUAGUCGAACACGUAGUCGAUCACGUCGACGUCGAGCAGCUCCUCAACAGCUCGUCCAUAUGCAGCAAGAUCGUCCUCGUGCCGUGGCUUGUCGUCGGCUCAUCGUGCCUCGUCGGCGGCUCGUCAUGGCUCGUCGGCGGCUUGUCAUGGCUCGUCGGCAGCUCGUUGUGGCCAAAUGAGUAUUCAUCGGCUUGUUGGAGUUAAUUCAAAUCAAUAUAAUAUUCCAACCAGAAGAGCCGAUGGUAUAGAAAGCUGAUCUUAAUUUCAAUCGGCUGCACGUUGUAUAGAUAAAUUUGAUGCCAGAUUAAUUAUGGAGGAAACCGAUACAACAUCGACACCAUCAUUCCUUAAUGAUGUUAUAUAUCGGCCAGUUCAGAGGAAACAAGUAUCGGCUGGGCACAUAGUAGCUGAUGGAGUUUUUUUUUUAUCAGCAAAAGGAAACAAGCAUCGGCCGAUGGAAUAUAAUCGGCAAGCAUAGUGGCUGAUGGAAAAAAAUUUUUGGCCAAUGGAACAUUUUUUUCAGCCGAUAGAAAUAUUUUUCAGCUGAUGCAACAUUUUUUCAGCCGAUAGGAAAAGCUCCAGCGGGUGGACAAGAGAGAAAUAAAAAAAUGCAUCGGCAGAUUGACAGUUGUAUCGGCUAAUUGGAAAAAUUAAAAGGGAUCGGCUGAUUGGAAAUUGCAUCAGAUAAUGGAAAAUGGGAUCGGCCGAUUGGAGUUGUAUCGGCUGAUUAAGGAAAAAAAAAUCGGCCCGAUUGGAGGUGUAUCGGCUGAUUAAGGAAAAAAAAUAGCGGUCGGCCAAUUAGCAUCAACCUGUUAGAAUUAAAAGAAAAAAACAGAGAGAGACAUCGGCUGAUUAGUGUCAGCCUGUUGGAAUUAAAAGAAAAAAAAUAGAGAGAGGCAUCGGCUGAUUAGCGUCAGCCUGUUGGAAUUAAAAAAAAUAGAGAGAGGCAUCGGCCAAUUAGCGUCAGCGUGUUGGAAUUAAAAGAAAAAAAACAGAGAGGCAUCAGCCGGUUAGCAUCGGCCAGUUGGAAAUAAAAAAAAGAAGGAAGCAGCCAGCCGAUGGAAGUUCCAGCCGAUUGGCAAAUGAAUAAAUGAAAGAAGAAAAAAAAAGAAGGAAGAGCAGCCGAAGGGCACCUCAGCCGACAGGCAGGAAAUAGAUAAAAGUAGACAAGGAAGAGCGGCCGAUAUCUGUGAUCUCCUGCUUGGUUCAAAAAAAAAUCAGCUGCUGGUUCAAGCGAAAUGGUAUCAAUGGCUUGGUUCAAAAUAAUAUCGGCCAACUAUAUACAUAUCGGCCUCCGAGCCAAUGGCCAAUAAAAAAAAUAGUAUCAGCCGAUUGACUGCUUGGCAAAUAAAGAAAAUUGCAUCGGCUGAUUGGUUCAAGAAAAAUAGUAUCAGCUGCUCAUAGAAUUUAUCGGAUAUUAAUUUCGAAGCAUGAAAUAUUCAUACUUCAAAACUGGGGGGCCUGUGUUGACAACAAAAGCUUGCUGAUUACUGCACCAAGUUUUGGUAUCAAUAGACUAAUCUGUUUCUACUGCCGGCGAAUUUAUCAGCUCAGAGUGGGAUCAAGGCAUCAAGCCGUUGAGGUUCUUUAUAUUUCAAGAGGAGUCGAUGUGGCUUUGAAUAUGGCAAUCAGACGUCAUUGGCUCUAAACGCAAGCGUCAGACUUCUAUAAUUAGUUUCAGAACAUGAAGCAUUCAUACUCCGAAACUGGGAGGCCUGUGUUGACACUGAAUUAUCGGACUUCUAUAGUUAGUUUCCGAACAUGAAGCCUUCAUACUCCAAAACUGGAGGGCCUGUGUUGACACCGAAUGUAGAAAAUAUGCUCUGAAAGGAAGGAAUCGACCGAUGAUGCAAAAGUUCCAACAGUUUGGCAUCCAAGGGAAGCCCACGUAUGGGAGGUUGCUUUAUAGAAUAAAAUAUUCUGGAGAUAGAGUUGGUUAGGGAUAAGAUUGAUUAGAGAUAGAGUUGGUUUAGUUAGAGAUACAAUUUUGAUUAGAAAAGAUUGUGUACGUAACUUGCCUUGUACGUGGUUAGAUGCCAAUUAUGUAACGUCAAAGGCCAUCCGCCCUAUAAAUAUAAUGGGUCCUGAUUAUUGUAAUUUUUACCACACGAUCAAUAUACAACACAUUUAUCUUUUAUUUACCUUUUCGGCUUCACAUCAUUGCAUUAGGAGUAGGAGUAAUGUAGCUUCUCGACGAGUUCCUUCUAGCAAGCUGGGUUGCAUCGACCUCGAUCUCCAACGAGCUGCAAGUUCUGUCACCAGGUGUUCUAGGCUUUAACCACCGGGCGCAUCGCUGUGGUUUCGUCUAGUUUCAUCUACCAGUUAUCGAGUAUCUUGGAUCUUUGACUUACGUCGCAUCGCUUCUGUCUGGAUCUACGGUAUUCACCAGUUAUCCCACGUUGAUUAAGCUUGCAUCGGCUGAUAUUUAUCUGUUCUAUCGUCUUGCCGUUUACGACAUAUUAAUUGUUAUUAAUUCUGUUGGAAUAGACGAUAGAUCUAUUUUUAAUAGCCUGUUGCAUCUUGAUCUUGGCCAUCCUUCGAGUGUUGUUGGGAGUAAGUCCCGUUGUGAUUGGAUCCAUCGGCUAGCAGGGUUCAGAUUAACGUCCUGCUAAAUAUUUCUAGACUGCAACUACCGGGCGUAUCGCUAUAGUUUCACCUAGAGAUAUUGGUGGUGACGUUAGUUUAGAUCUCAUCGGCUUGUGGCUCUAGCUAUGGUGGGGCAACAACUCAACAGCAUCCUAUUUUCUAUCGGCCGUCUGGCGGAUAGUUAUUGUAAAUUAUAUUAAAUUGGCUCGAUGGCUGAUAAAUGACUCACAUUCAUCAAGGUACUGGAAUCGGCUUCACAGCCGAUAUAUUUGUCAUGAUUUAUUUUGUUGCACCAUUAUCGCUACUGUGCCAGGAUUAUAUCGGCCUUAUCAGUCAGUUGCCUCGGACUUCACAACGAGUAUCAUCUCCUUGUCAGCUGAAUGGUCAAACUGACUGGCACGCCCGCGCACACCACGUGCGCCGAUUUGGAUUCUGCACUGGAGUUAAGCAGAUCUCCCAAGUCCUCAUGUGCUGAUGCAGGGUCCACCACCGCCAGGAUUUUGCGUCAACACAUUUGAUACCCAUAACUGGAGUAACCAGCAAGCUUUUGUUGUCAACAGUACCUAAUACCCAUAGCUCUUACAUGCGCAUCAUGCUUAGCCUGUGGGAGUAGUUUUGUCAAUGAAUCAGAAAUGUUCAAAUCCGUGUGUAUUUUGCAUAUCUUGAUCUCACCCCAGUUAACGAAGUCUCGAAUGAGAUGAAAUCGCCGCAUUACGUGUUUAUUCUUCUGGUGGUUCCUUGGCUCCUUUGCUUACGCAAUUGCCCCAUUGUUAUUACAGUAGAGAUUCAAUGGGCUGGACGCAUUCGAGAACACACCAAGCUCAAUGAAGAAAUUCCUUAUCCAAACACCCUCCUUCGUGGCUUCGGAAGCCACGAUGUACUUGGCUUCUGUCGUAGAAUCGGCCACUAUCUCCUACUUGGAACUCUUCCAACUAACAGCACCACCAUUUAGCGUGAACACAAAUCUUGAUUGUGACUUUGAAUCAUCUCUAUCGGUUUGGAAAACUAGCAUCGGUGUAACCUGUUACAACGAGCUCCUCCUCACUUCCAUAGAUGAGGAACAUAUCUUUAGUCCUUCUCAAGUACUUAAGAAUGUUUUUCACCGCUGUCAAGUGACUCUCACCUGGAUCAGACUGGUGUCUCCUUGUCAUACUUAGCGCAUAUGAAACAUCUGGGCGAGUACUUAUCAUUGCAUACAUGAUAGAUCCAAUAGUCGAGGCAUAUGGCACUCUACUCAUGCAAUCCCGCUCAUCAGCAGUCGAAGGACACUAAGUCUUACUGAGAUGUAUGCCAUGUGACAUAGGCAAGAACCCUUUCUUCACCUCUUCCAUGUUGAACUGUUUCAACACUUUGUCAAUGUAAGUAUCUUGGCUUAAUCCUAUAAGCCUUCUCGAUCUAUCUCUAUAGAUUUUGAUGCCAAGAAUAUAUGCCGCUUCCCCUAUGUCCUUCAUCGAAAAACUACUUUGUCAAUGUUAUUUCCAAUCAGCAAUAUGUCAUCCACAUAUAAGAUGAGAAAUACUACAAAGCUCCCACUAACCUUCUUGUAAAUGCAAGACUCUUCUUCGUUCUUGGUGAAGUCAAACCCUUUGACCACUUCAUCAAAAUGAAUGUUCCAACUCCUAGAUGCUUGCUUCAAUCCAUAAAUGGAUCUCCGAAGCUUGCAUACUUUUCUAGCAUUUUUCGGAUCGACAAAACCCUCGGGCUGUAUCAUAUACACGUCCUUAGCUAGGUUUCCAUUCAGGAAAGCUGUCUUGACAUCCAUCUGCCAUAUCUCAUAAUCGAAAUAUGCAGCUAUAGCUAGAAUAAUCCGAAUGGACUUAAGCAUCACUACGGGCGAGAAGGCCUUGUCGUAGUCAACUCCUUGAACUUGUCCAAAACCUUUUGCGACAAGCCGUGCUUUAUAGAUGUGAAAAUUUCCAUCCAUGUCCUUUUUCUUCUUAUAGAUCCACUUGCACUCUAUGGCUUUAACACCAUCAGGCAGGUCAACCAAGUUCCAAACUUGAUUGUCUCCCAUGGACUCUAUUUCGGAUUGCAUGGCACUUUGCCAUUUUUCGGAGUCUGGGUCCAUCAUUGCUUCUGCAUAUGUCGCAGGCUCAUCAUUGUCCAACAAUAAUAUUUUCCGCAUUUUGUGGAGCCUUACUGACCUUCGUGGUUGUGGCGGUGCUUCUCUUGCCAUGGGUAUCUCAACUUUUUCUGCUACGUUAGCAUCAACCAUUGAUUCUUGCCCGAUCAGCUCAUCUUGAACUUCUUCAAGAUGCACUGUCUUUCCACUCUUUUCUCCUUUGAGAAACUCUUUCUCUAGGAAAACCCCGCUCCGAGUGACAAACACUUUGCCCUCUGAUCAGUUGUGGAAAUAAUAUCCUAAAGUUUCCUUUGGAUAUCCCAUAAAAAUGCACUUCACAUCCGAUUACGUCACUUGACAAACACUUCACAUCCCCAAAGCUUUAGAAAAGACAAACUGGGAACUUUUCCGGUCCACAUCUCAUAUGGUGUCUUAACUACGGAUUUAGAUGGUACCCUAUUAAGUGUGAAAGCUGCUGUUUCCAGAGCAUAUCCCCAAAACGAUAACGGUAGGUCUGACUGGCUCAUCAUUGAUCAAACCAUGUCUAACAAAGUUCAAUUACGUCGCUCGGAUACACCGUUUCUCUGAGGUGGUCCAGGCAGCGUAAGUUGUGGAACAAUUCCGCAACUCUUUAGAUGAUUGCUAAACUCGUGGCUCAAAUACUCGCCUCCACGAUCAGAUCGUAAGGCCUUAAUUUUCUUGUCACGCUGAUUUUCAACAUCAUUCUGAAAUUCCUUGAACUUUUCAAAGAUUUCAGACUUGUGCCUCAUCAAGUAGACAUAGCCAUAUCUACUAAAAUCAUCAGUGAAAGUUAUGAAGUAUUGGAGCUUCUUCAUGCGCUUUUCACUUAUAUGACCCAAACGACAAUGCCAUAAGUAGGUAGGACUCAAAUCAUUAGGCCGAGGCCUUUUAGCACUUACGUUACAGACAGGUGAACCAUCAAGAUUCAAAACAAACAAUCCAUUCACAAUGGGUGCAAAAGCCAUAAACAUAUCAUUCUUAGAGAUCACACAACCAUUGUUUUCACUCGCAAAUGAAUAACCAUCCUUCAUCAAGCAUGAAGGAGACAAAAUGUUUCAACUUAAACUAGGAACGAAAUAACAAUUAUUCAACUCCAUAAUAAAUCCUGACGGGAGGUGGAGUUGCAUCGUCCCGACGGUCAACGCAGCAACUCUUGCAUUAUUGCCCAUGCGGAAAUCAACUUCUCCUCUUUCCACGCUUCUACUUCUUAUCAUUCCCUGCAUCGAAUUGCAAAUAUGAGCAACCGAUCUGGUAUCAAAUACCCAAGAAUUAAUAAUUGUAUCAGCGAGAAAUAUGUUGUCUAUAACAUUAAUAACAAGCGUACCUGAGGUGGAAGUACUCUUACUUCCGCCAUUCUUCAACGAAGCUAGGUACUGCUUGCAAUUUCUCUUCCAGUGACCACGUUCAUGACAGUAAAAGCACUCUUUGUCUGGAGCAGGUCUAGGUCUAGCUUUAACCUUGGGCACUGGGUUUGGCUUGGACGUUCCAGCCUUGCCCUUCUUCUUAAAUCUAGGCUUGUUUUGUAUAUCCAUCCCAUGUCUACUACUAGCGCUUUUCUUAAUGUCAGCCUCUACUGUUUUAAGCAUGCCACACAGCUCAUUCAGACCCUUCUCCGUCCCAUGCAUAUGGUAGUUUGAGAUGAAGUUCCCAUAGCUGGAUGGAAGAGAUGAAAGAAUGAAAUUAGUGGCCAACUCUUGGCCCAGUGGGAAGCCCAGCUUCUCCAACCGUUGAGUGUAACCAACCAUCUUGAUUACGUGUGGUCCUACUGCUACGCCUUCUGCUAGCUUGCUCUCCACAAAGGCCUUAGACACAUUGAACCUUUCAGUCCUGGCCUGUGUUUUGGAACAUGUCUCUAAGAGCCACGAUCAUAUCGUGCGCCUCAUGGUUUGUUUCGAACUGCAUCUGCAGCUCGUGUUCCAUGCAAGCAAGCAUGAGGCAGCUUACUUCGAGGUUAGCAUCACAUGCUUUCUUGUAAGCAUUCUUAACAACAGCAGGUGCAUCAUCAGCAGGUUCUUCUUGUAAUGGGUUGUUUAGAACAUCUUCCUUUUUCUCAGCCCUGAGAACUAUUCUUAGGUUUCGGAUCCAAUCCGAGUAAUUUGUUCCAUUCAACUUGUCCUUCUCAAGGACCGAACGCAAAGCAAUCGGUGUGGUGCUGCUAGGUGCCAUUUAAUCUACAACAAAAGUAAUGCAAAAUACACUAAGACAAACGUAUCCUUGAUAGAGCAAAUGACAUUAAACUAUUUAACAGAAUCUACUCCCACUAAAAUCAAUAUCCCUCUAUUGAUACUUAGUGAUUCAGGAUCCACAACUAACAAGUCUACUAGUGAGCUUUAGCAUCACCGCUAGCAAACAAGGUAGAUCGGUAAGCAACUCUUUACAAAUCAUAUAUCAUAUGACUCCUGUUGUUGGGUGACAUCUCUAUGUCUCGGCUCCCAACCUUUGUGCCCCAAGGUCUUAACCAUUAAGAUAACCUUGUUAAGCAAACCAACCCUUAUGUGUGUAAGUGUCCGACACAAACCCGUCUAGUCAAGGAAAACUAGUGGCACCCUAAUUUCAUAGACCCACCACUAAUUGUACAAGACAUGGGAUGGUGCAAGUUUUAGUUGGGAGGGCAUACUAACUUAAACUUUGUGAGGGAUCAUUCUACUUCUAACAUCACAGCAUGCAGAAAGUAAAACAUAAAGAAUAACAUGCACACAAUUGUGACACAGUAUGGCCCGUUUUCUUAUCGCGGUCUCCAUCUCCACAGAACCUGUUCACCAUGGUGAUCUCCAUCUCCAUGUUCCAUGUGCGCCAUCCUCCUGGUGAUGAGUCCUCCAAGAACUAGAACAAGCUAUGAAGAUUACAUAGUUGCUUGGAUCAUCACAGAUUGGUACGCAGACCAUUAAAUACAUUAAAGUGACAACACAUAUGGCUCCAACCGUGUUGCCGUACGUGCGACACGAAGGUCACAAAUGAGUUACACACAUGCAUCACAUACACAAAGGGCCAUACAUCCUGCAAAACAGAAUUACGCGUUCUAACGUUCCAAACUUCAGACGCCCAAAACUCCAUCUUCCAAGAUGAAUUUGGGAAAUCUAAUUUUGCCGAAAACGGCAAAGCCAUUGAAUUUCAUGUGUAACUUUUUCUAUAGAUCAAUUUUUAUAUAAAAUUCGCCCUGAUCCGAGAUCGUACCGAAAACUUACGGCUGUUUUACUGAAGCACACGCACACGGCAAAAUUCCGACCCGACAGUAGAUCCAAUCUACUAUUGUGCAUCUCAUGCGCCUGGCGUAUGAACCUGGAUUUUGAUUCAACCAAUCACAUUGAUCUUCGCUCGCUGCAACUGGCAUUACGUGUAUCACUUAACUUCGAUGGCGGAAAUCCGACCGGUAGGAGUAUGUCGUUACACAACCAUUGCAGCAAGAACACGAAAACAGGAUAUAGAUCAAACUGAAAACUAGCAUACCUCCAUAUGCACACAUCCUGAAUCCAAAGCAAAACAGCUACGGCUCUAAUACCACUGUAGUGAUACGAGGUAGGCUACGCUAGCGCAAAUCAAAAAUUUCUACCGCGUAAACUAGGAAAACUGCUGUAUAUGGAUCACGGGAUUACCACUCGACACACUGGUGCGGAAGAUGUAGAUUCGCGUCGAUGCAGCGAAGUCGAUCAGUGUCGUAAAACAUGUAGUCGAUCACGUCGAUGUCGAGCAGCUCGUCCAUGUGCAGCAAGAUCAUCCUCGUGCCGCGGCUCGUCGUCGGCUCGUCGUGCCACGUCGGCGGCUUGUCGUGGCUCGUCUGCGGCUUGUUGUGGCUCAUCGGCGGCUCAUCCAAGUGCAGCAGGCGCAACACCUCCAAGGUAUCCACACAUGCAGGAAGGAAGCGUCGCAAGCCGAACUCCUAGGUCCGCGAGUUGCAACAGGCGAGGGCAUGGGAGGCGCGGUAGAUGUGUUUCGCCAAAAGGUGUAAACCCUAGGGCGCCCCCACCCCUCUAUUUAUACAGGUUCCUGACGGGCCUCUGGGUCCGAGGCCUAUUAGUACUUCUAAACCUAAUCCAACUCGGAUCACAUCCGAAUUGGGCUUCGAGCCCCUUAAGUGUGUGACCCUAUGGGUUCGGAUACGUAUAGACAUAGCCCGAGUACUCCUACUCGGCCCAACAGUCGGUAGCGGCCUCUAGCAAGACGUGCCAACUCCUAUACGCACACGAAGAUCAUAUCAGACGAACCAUCACAAUGUCACGUACAUGCUAUUCCCUUUGCCUCACGAUAUUUGGUCUAACUCCAAGCCAACCACUCUUUCUCGAUCCUGUGAUUCGGAAUCCCUAUGUAGGUUAACUCUUAACCGUACGUAGCAUGACCAUGCAUUUUCGGAUCCGAUCACUCGAGGGGCCCAGAGAUAUGACUCUCAAUCAGAGAGGGGCAAAUCCCAUCUUGAUUGACCAUGCCUCAUAGCAUGCUUCUUGACAAACCCGAAAGCUACCUUUUUAACUACCCUGUCAUGGUGUAGCGUUUGAUAGCCCCUAAGUAAGUCGAUCCACAUCUUAAGUACAUGCGACAAUCUCAGGUCCAAGGACAAAGCGUAUAUGUUGUGUAAAUAGAGAACUACUUUUCGUGUUGGGUCAGUCCUAGCACAUGUCUCCACAUGUGCCCACAUUAUUAGUUUAACAUCUCCAUGUCCAUGACUCGUGAAACAUAGUCAUCAACUAAUACAUGUGCUAGUCUAAUAUUCAUGUGUGUCCUCACAUGAACUCCGACUAGGGACAACUUUAGAAUAACCAUACAAGUAAAGAGUUUCACAUACAAUUCACAUAAUUGCAAAUCAAUUCAAGUAUCCUUUAAUGGAUAUUCAAGGCACACAAUAUAAAUCAUGGAUACAAAUGGAAUAUCAUGAUCUCUAUGAUUGCCUCUAGGACAUACCUUCAACAAUUAGGGCUACUUCCUACCCUGCAUGCCACCCCAUAAUGGCCGGCGGUGACGACUCUGGCGAAGUCCUCUUGUAACGACUGACCCCUAAACCUUCCCAGUUAGUCUUGAUCAGAGCCCUUGAUCCUAGUCAUCUACCUUGCUUUUCCCGCGCCGAGUGCUCAGCCUUCAGCCGAUUCCGACCCCGGAGACCCGACCCCUCCCCGCUUCGCUUCUCUCCCGACCCCGGCGAGCUCAGCCCACCGUAGGAUCCUUCUAAUCCUCCUCAACCAUCCGUUCUAUCCACCGGUGGACCCGCAAGAUCUUUUCCCAGAUCCUCCGCGACAGUCGCACUCGAGUUGCAUGCCCGCUUCAGAGUCUUCCUGCCGCGUGGCUCGUCUUCUCCGACGCCCGCUGCUUAGUUUUGUCUCUGGCAAGCGACCAAGUGGGUUCUCGCACUCCCUUCUCCAAUGGCAGCGGAGCCCGAUGUCGCCCGUCUUUCCCGUCCCUUCAGCCACAGUCGCGUCGCCUGGUCGCCGCUACCCGACGAUUGCUCCAUCGCCAACCCCGACCGCGGUCGCGACAGCUCCUUUCCCCCGCCCCGUCAGAAGCCGCCCGACAACCUGUUGUUCCGCGCUCUCGCCCGCGCCCGCAGCUGCCUGUCCUCUCACCUGUGCGCCCUCGAUUCUAGCGCCGUUAAACUGGUCGCUUCUAUCAAAUCUUCUGCACGGCGACGCCCGCUUUCCGCCAAAUCUCAACCACCGGUCUACCCGCUCCUACGCCGCCCUGACGGCAGAGCGCAAUGAUCGCUGGCAUCACCCCCGGAGUUCUGCACCACCGCCCUCUUCGCUCAAUCGCCGCCCCGGCAGAGCACUCCAUUGCUUCUCCCCGGCCUUCGCGCCGCUCCCCUUCUCUCUCUCCCACGCCGCUUUCUUUCCUCUGUUCCAGCAGCUAUAAAAGGAAUGCCCCCGUCGCCGGAGUUCCCUCCGCCAUUGUUGCCUUCAGCCUUCUCUCGCUCUCUGCUCAAGCUCCUAGAGCCGCACACCAAGUUCUUGAGGAGUUCUUCUCUCAGGUUCUCUCUCAGUUUUCUCCAAGUCACCCAGCAGCUUGCUCCUCCGUGCUGCGUAAAAGCUCUCUUGUAAUCUGCAAGAAGCACCUCCGCCGCCGUAGCAUUCCCAGUCUUAGCCCUUGUUCGAAGCUUUAGUCCCUCCGCCCAAGUCUGCUUCUUCCCGACCCCAAGCUUUCCUUUCAGGAAGAAGGUGAGUUGCCGACCACAGUCCGCCUCGCCCGACCCCUCCUAUCCGCCCGACCCCGGCUCCGUCUCGCCCGACCCUGUCUGUUCCACUGACCCUUAUAUCCGCCUCACCCGAGGGCUUGGCUGUGAUCUUUUCUUCAACCCGAGGGUGUAUGUGUAAAACUUAGGAACCCUUCAGCGCUUGCGUCUGAGGAUCCCUAGUUUUCCCACAUCCUCUAGUUCAAGGAUCAGAUCAUGAGUUCC